rnacentral:lncRNA from 1 species
AGCAAAUCCAGUUAAUACCUUGUAAGAAACACAAUCAAUGAUCACGUGGGUGGACCUUUGCCUUUCUCAAGUUGUCAGUAUAUAGUGUAACCAUUAAUAGAAUAAAUAGAUACACAAGAACCAGCUUAAGAGAUGGAGUAUCAGCAGAUGGCAUCCUUAUUCAGGCUUAUGCCACUUCCAAUUACUUUUGAUUGGACAUUUGAUUGGAUGAGAGACCCCAUAAGCAACUUACUAAAUGCUUUUGGACAUGAACAUAGUGUAGGUCCUUUGCUGCGUGCAGAAUCACAAGCAAAUUGGAAAUGAUCAAGUAGAGAAUAAAUUAUAAGAGAAAAGCACAGUCACACUGAUUUAAGUGGUUUGGCGGUAUUGUCUAUGUACAUGGGAGAAGCAUACCAUGGAUUCUAAAGAUUGUCUCCCCAGAAUUUAAGUGGAUGUAUUGCUUAGAGUACUGCUUUGGCCAGGAAUAUACAUGAGGAUUUCCUUCCCGUUUUACUGCCCAAUACAUCAUCUUUGUCUUCACCGUCAGUAGAGGAAUCCUCACCUCGAGGAAAGUUUGAUUUUUCACACGUUGUGGAGAAUCUUCUAUAAUAUUGACAUCGUGUAUAACAAUGCAUUCACCAUCAUUACAGAUAUCUUGGCCAAACAUAUUUGUCAAAACUCCACAAGCUUUUGAUUCCACAGCUUGCAAAUCAUCCCAAUCUUAAGAAUCUUGCAUGGUUUCAGCAAGUUCCGCUAGGAUGUCAUCGCCAGUGCUCCAUAGUGAUCAACUCUCGACCUUUGUCACCUUGAGAAAAGCAAAAGAAGUAAGAGAUGACUUUGCAAAAUCCGUGGCAAACAAGAGAUCAAAUAAAUACAAUUUCCAAUACGUAAUUUGCACUUAGUUCAAAGAGACACGACAUUGAUAUUAUUGCGAGACACCAUAAGUAAUUUGCAGUGAUUUAAGCCAGACAGUUCACUUGUCAAUAAGAUUACUCCACCAAACCCACAAAAAAACAGGGGAUGAGACUAACGCUCAAUGACCUAAACUCUGGUCCCAUUCAAAUCCAAAGUAGACCGUGAUUCCAUAGCCAUCAUCAGAUUCGAGACUAACCGCAAUAAAUCUCCUUAACUAAGAAUGCACGUUCAAUCGAAUGCACGUUCAAUCGAAUGCACAAACUAUCCCCGCAACACAAGCGAUUAAAGUCAUUCCUUGAUGACCAGAUAUCACGCAAUUUGGGCCAAUAAUCAAGAAAAAACCGCCGUUCAUCCCAAGUAACCUAAGCACAUCAAGCUGGAACAGUGCCGGACAUUUCACUCGUCAGUAGGACUGCUACUUCGCUAAACCCACUCCGAUGCAUUCAAACCUAAAGCAAGACGAUUCCACAGCCAUCAUCAUCAUCAUCGUGGGGACGAGAGCUACCUCCAUAAUCUCCGCAAACGCUAAUUAACAUAAGAACACGCGACGAAAUAACGAUUCGAGUCACCAUAGAGCGAAACGAGAUGGCCCGAGCACUUGCUGGCGAUAAGUGCUCGGGCGAACUGCUUGUCGAAGCUGAACUCGUGAACCGAGCUUAGUAACCGAGCUUUCUCUUCCUCUGAGCCCCGCUCCCUCCAUGGAACUUCAACCUGUUCGAGUGAUUCGAUCGAUCGAUGAUGCCCGAGUCGGAAUCGAAUCAAUCCGUAGCCUCAAAUUGGAAUCGAGCUCGCUCGAAGUGCUCUUGUUCGAUAACCUUGCCAACGAUGGCGGGAUUGAUGUUUUUCGUUUUCCAAUUUUAUACGCCGGAGAAUGGGAGAGACUUGGAGCCAUAUUUUUCAGUUCUUUUUUUUUUCGCAAUUCCGUUUUGCCCCUGAAGUUUGUUUAAGUUCUAUUUUUGCUCCCCCAUAAGUUUUUUUCUGGUUUCAUUUGACACCCUUGGGUUCGUUCUGUGUGAAGGCUCCCUUGCAAACACGAGACUUGCAUGUCGUACUGAAAGUUUUACAUUUACGAGACGUAUCUCAAAUUUCUUUCCUGUUGAUUGUUUAUCUGCAAAGCAAAAAAUUGACAUAGUAAUGCCUUUUCUUUAAUUUACAUUUUCACCUUUCUCUAUAUUAAUAUAUAUAGUUCAAUGGAACGAUUUUCAAAUUUUAGAAAAAUAGCGUUUCCAUAACUACUUUAAUAUUUUACUAAAUAUACACAAAAUUAGUGACACAUAGGCCGCAAAACUUUAUGAAAUAUAAAGAAAAUUACAAUCAAUUUAAUAUUUAACUAAAUAUACAUUUCCAAAACUACUUCAAUAUUUUGCUAAAUAUACACAAAAUUAGUGACACAUAGGCUGCAAAACUUUACGAAAUAUAAAGAAAGUUACAAUCAAUUUAAUAUUUUACUAAAUAUACGUAAAAGAAAGUUAUUUUCAAUUAUGACUGUGUUUGUUUCGCGAAGAAAAUACUUUUUCCAUAAUAUCUAAUAUUUCGGACGCGAAAAAUGGGUGAUAAAAAAAAAAUUCUAUCGUCUCCGCCGCUCCUCCUCCGCUGCUGUCUUGUCCUUCUCUUCUAGAUAGUAGAGCAAACCUCUCUCUCUCUCUCUCUCUCUCUCUCUCCUAACAUAACAUUGAAACCUCGUCAAAUCUGAGAAAUAAUCAUUCGAUUUUGAUCAAAAAAAUAUGUUUUGAUUGAUCGAAAUGAUAGCGGUAUCAAAUCUUCCUUCGCGUUGUCGGGAUUACUUUGCCCAAAAAAUUGAACUAUUGCCUCAUGAGAUUGUCAAUCUGUAGCCAAAGACACUUAUUUUCAGCCAACAAAUGUUGACAAAUGCGUAGUUCGUUCACAUAAUGCUUGGUGUGCUGAAUUUGUAGGUGAUGUCGGAAGGAAGUAGGAAAUGGGUCGACCACAAAUGAAUAGAUAAGACUGUCUAUUUAGUGAUAAUUGUCAUGCUUUGGUAGUAAAGUUUGGAGGGAAGUGACCAUAAACUGGUUGGAAUAAUUUAGUUGGAAGACAAUUUGUUGAUCCGGCCUUGUGCUAUAGAAUAUGAUAAUUCAUGCAUAUAUCUCGACCUGGACAUUUUUGUGGGAAGGAAAAGCAUAAACUGGAUUCAUUACUAACAUUGCGCUAUCAAUUUUUGUCGAAGCAAUCGAUCUACUCUUGCAUAUCAUGAAACUGUGAAAUAUUGACCUGGACCAAAGGUUACUCCUUUUGCAGUUGAUUUAGUGCUUCAUUUGCGUUGUGGGGAUUGCCUAUUCUAUUGAAUGGGAUGGGUCAGGGAUGAUAGUGAUGUGCCUUAUCAUGAUGUAGUGUUUAUUAGUUUGAUAGUCAUCUUGCCUUAUCUAAUGAUUUGCAAAUGGAAGACAAUGUGGCCUAGCUGAAGUAAUUUGGUUGGGAGAAUGUCAUCUGGCAUUUUGCUUUUAGAAGCUAAUGGCAUUUUUUGUCGUGUAUUCGCUGCUAUUGGGAUGUCUGUUUUGGUCUUUAACAUGGUGUACCUAUGUUUGAGUUGAGUGACAAGUGAAGAGGCUUUGAAGGCAUUGGUGGGCAUUGCUCUGAAGUGGCUGAAAUAGAGACGUGGAGCUGCAUUUUCCCUGUAGUUUAGCUGCAUUUAGGUCAUAUACAUUGGCACGAAUUAGCUCUCUUAUAGAGUGCCAGUCAUUACCGGGUGCGUAUAUUUGAAACAAUUUUUGGUAGAAAUUGAUGUUUUUGGUUCUUAUUGAAAAGCAGCUACUUUGUAUAUUCAUAAGCAAAUGUAUCUACUGAAAUUGAUGUUUCUUGGUUCAUAAGUUUAGUUCUACCUUUGUGUGCUUUGCUUACAUCUUGAGCCCAACCAUCCAAUCCUGACUGCAUGAUGCUUCUUAAGUUUGUGACUCAAUAAUUCACAAAUAUUCCCAAAUACUGCUCUAAAUUGAUAAUUCUUGAACAUGGCAACUGAGUUUGUGAAACAAUUUUCUCAGUUUCAAGUACAGUUGUGACUUGGCAAUCUCAUUUCUAUUGAUGUGAGGAAAAUGUCACAAAUGGUCCAUGGACUUCUACUUAAUGUGCAAUCUCGUCCCUGAACUUUCGAUUGGUUCAAUUUGGUUUCUAAACUAUCAAUAUAUGUCCAAUCUAGUCCAUGACUAUUUGAAAAUGGACCAAUUUCGUCAUUUCGUUAGUUAAAGUUAACAUAAUUGGGGAUUUUGGUCUUUUUCUUCUUCUUCUUCUUCUUCUUCUUCUUCUUCUUCUCUCUUCCCUCCGCCGGCCAUGGCAAAGCCGACGGAGGGAAGCCGGCAUCAGGCGAGGGCCGUCCUCGCUGGAUGCAAGCAAGUUGGCGAGGGCCGCCCCUGCCUACGUCAGGCGAGGGCCGUCCUCACCCGACAUAGGCGAGGGCUGCCCCCGCCUGAGUCUGGCGAGGACGGCCCUCGCCGGACGCCGACUUCCCUCCGCCAACUCUGCCAUGGCCGGCGAAGGGAAGAGAGAAGAAGAAGAAGAUAAAAAGAAGAAGAAGGAAAAACAGUUAAUUUUUAACAAAAGAAUUAGAUCGGACGAUUAUCGAUAGUUUAGGGACCAAAUUGAGCUAAUCAAAAAUUCAGGGACGAGAUUGCACAUUAAGUAAAAGUCUAAGGACCAUUUGUGACAUUUUCCCAUUGAUGUGUGAUAGAAGUUACUAGUGACAUGGAAUUGACAAUUCAUUGUGUAGAUGGAUAAGAUAAAAUUUAAGUGGCAAAAGCAAGUGCCUCUAUAGCAGUCAUGACUGUUAUCACAUUGGUUACAGAUGAUUAUAAUCAUUGGAAAGAUCAUAUAUUUGGAAGUGGAGAGCUUGGAUACCGUUGAUAAUGUCAAAGCUUAGGUACAGGACAAGGUAGGCAUUCUCCCAGAUCAGCAGAGGUAUAUUUUUUUUUUCCAGGAAGCAACUCAAGGAUGGCUAGACAAUCUACAUCUUGUGCUUCGCCUUCGAGGUGAAAUGCAGACUUUCUCAACUUUUUAGAUGUCGAACAACUUCGAAUUAUCUCCUAAAAAAUCUCUCAUGAAAUGUCAACAGUGCGUAUUUUUUCAAUGGAUAGCUAAUUUUACACCUAGUAGUAAAGUUCCAUCAUUCUAUCUGUAUCAAAGAAUUAUUUCUCCACCAUCUAUACCAAAGCAUUAUUUCUCAAGUUCCUAAAAAUAAUUGCUCUUCAUUUAUCAUAUUUCACAAUCGGAAGAAUGAUUGUUGCAAAACACGGCUCUUAAAUUUGCAAGACUAUUAUGCUAAAAGUUUCUAACAAUAAUUCCUUAAACUUUGGGAUGUAAAGAAACUACAAAAUUUUGGAGGGACCAAGUUCCUUAAAUGAAUAUGAAAAUUUUUGUAAAUAAAGAAAAGCAUCAGCAAGGGGGGCCAGGAAAGAGACAUGGAUUGCUACCAUUCUUAGGGUGGAGCUAACUAUCAUUGAGAGAGACCACAUCAGGUUUGUCUAUUCCCAUCACAAAGACAAUGUCAGCACAUACAAUCUGGACCUCUCCAAUAUGCCAUUUCGUUUAAAAAGCUACUCUCUGGCAGGCUGCUAAUCCAGCAUGACAGCACACUGUCUUUAUACGGCACUUCUCAUUCAAGUAUUUUGCGACGUCAACACAUUUACUCUUCAAAAGGCAAUAUAUUGUGCCACAAAAAUUAGCAAAACAAUUCUUUAGCAGCCCUCCAAGUUGCUUCGGUGGUUCCUUGUCUUAGCUAUAGCCUCUAUUUUAGAUUUGCUCUGUCAAAGCUUGUCUCAAGAACAUGAGCAUGGGGAAUCCUAAGAGCUUUUAGGAUAUCCUACAAUGAUGUAUAAUUCAAUUAGAACAAACAGAUUAUUUCAACACAAUCAGGAGGUUAACGUGUAAUUUUAGUACUUCACGAACUGACUGAGUGGCAGUAGCAAUUAAGGCCAUCACUGGGACAUACAGAAAGUUUUGCUCGAGAUAUCCCAGUCCCUGAUAAUCUGGACAAAAAUCAUGUUCCCAUUGACAACAAUGAUGACAACCACGAAAGUGACAAUCAAUGAGCUUUUCUCAUUAAUCAGUCAAAUGUACAAGAGAAGCUCAAACCAGCAGUACGUUCCUUUCACGAGAUCACAUUGACAGAGCAAAUCCAGUUAAGACCUUGAAAGAAACACAAUCAAUAACCACAUGGGUGAACCUUUGUCUUUCUCAAGUUGUUAACAUAUAGUAUAACCAUUAACAGAAUAAAAAGGGACUCAGGAACCAGCUUAAGAGACUGAGAAUCAUGCCAACAAAGACAGGAGAUGGGAUCGUUAUCCAAGCUUGUGCCGGUUCCAAUUACUUUGGAAAGUAAUCUCCAUUGGAGCUUAUUUAAGUUGUGUCUUCUUUACUCAAUAUAAUGAAUGAUAAGCCACUAAGUGUUUUCAAAUGAUGGAACCUAGAUCUUUUCUAAAGUUCAAACAACGAACACUGCAUUUUGUCAUAUUAUAACUUCAAAGGGGUCUGGGCUUCAGAAGGUUUAGUGUAACACAGACAAUUUAAUUAGGCUAGAAACACUGAAAAUGCAAAAAGGUUUGGAGAAAGAGUUUAAGUUUGCAUAUAUAAAAGUUAACUUGCUUAGCUAUAUCAGCAACAAGAACAAUAGUUUUGCAGUGUUAACAUUCAAAUACUUAUUUCUUUUGAAGUAACUCUAGCAUAAUUUUUCUUCAUGUACGAGGCAUACCAAAGAUUAUGCAUACCUUGCGCAAUGUGCCUCAUCAACAACAAAACCAGCUAGUUGUGCCCACAAUGCAUGAUGGUUGAAUAUAAAAAAUUUAUAAAGAACCUUUUCGAAAAAGUUAUGGUGCAUUAGAAACAAUACCCUUUUAUGCAAGCAUUUCAAUAUCUCGAGAAAUGACGGGUUUCCCACAAUCCUUUAAGGAGUUGCAUACAAUAGUUUGCAUGAUGGUUUAUCUUUUCUGGAAAGGCAGGCAAAGCAGAAUUGGAGAUUAAUAAUUUGACGGUCACAACACUCAGCAUAAAAGCUUUAGAAGUCCAAUAUAGUUAAACCUUUGCCUUAGUUUUUGGAGGACAGCUGCUGCUUGGGCAGCAGUUUGUUGAGAGUUCAAAAAAGUAGAUGGUAUUCCGCACUUAAAGGGUUGGAGUAACUAAUUGAUCUUGGACGAGAGAUAGCAACGAGAUAUAACAACUGUGAUGCCUGAUUUAAGAGUUGCUGGCGGCUAAAACAAAGGGUAAAACCAUCAGAAGAACACAUGAAGAAAAGAAGGGGCAAGCAAAUUAUUAUUUCUUUCACCAUCAGCUGAUUAGGAAGGACCAGUAGUCACUACUUGUCUUAUAACUACUUUCAGCUAGAAACAUAUAUCAACCCCCUCAAGACUGAACAGAAAACACUUCCAAUAAAUUCAGAUUAAUACUUCGUCCUUAAUUCAGUAAAUCAAAUAUCUUGCAUGCUACCAAGAUCCAUUGUAUAUUAAAGGGCAUUCAUUUCAUACCAAUGAUAAAAAAAAGAAGAAGUCAUAUAUCAUCACCCCUUGUGAGAUAAUGGCAUAGCCAAUAACUGCGAGGAAAUUUAGAAAUCUAGAACCCAUAUUUGGUGGAAGUACUUUGAAAAUUAUUCCUCUUUGACUUAGUAACCCAUUUGGAUUGGACCUAAAUUAAGACUGACAACAACACUUGCAUGCAUAAACAAGAUGAAUUUUCCAAUCAGUGAUCAGAAGGUCCUAGAUGCUGCAUUGGUUGAAAUGAAGCAAUCUUGCUUGGCUACAGAAGAUUUACAAGCCUGAUGCUGCAUUGAUUGAAAUGUCUUAUUUCUGAAUAUUACAACAUUUGUCAAUUCUAUGUCAUCCAAGGCUUGCAAUUCCUCAUGACUCAAAGUUCCUUGUUUGCAUGUCAAAAUUUGAGAGCAAUGUCUUUUAUUUGAAACUGACGAUAUCGAAUCUUGAGUGACAGUGUUCUUGCAAUCCUUCAACACAAAUAAGCCUCUCCGGCACCAUAAAUACUUUCUGACAUGGGAGUGAUGGAAAAUGAAAAUUGUGCACAAAGAAAUCCCAAGCCUUCAUUUCGCAAAAAACUCCUAUCAAAGAUGCCGGUUGCUAAGUCCAACACCUGGAUGAUGUAAUAUACUUUCAAAACAAAAAUCAACUGUUUUUAUUGACCAAAUGGUUCUAAUAUAAGUAAUUUUAGAUCUUAAAGACUGAAGUAACUGGCAAAAGUUAUGAAUGUCUUAUACAUAUGAUUGGAUGAGAGCCCUCAUAAGCAAUUUACUAAAUGCUCUUGUAUAGACAAACCUGCGUAAGGUCCUUGAGGAGGUUGCCAAACACCCUCUCUUUGGCUGAAGGGGCUUUGGGGGCUGGAUGGGCUUUCUAAAUGCCCAUCCAAACGCACCCUAUGUGCGAAGGUUACUUUGGAAACGGAAGACUUGCAUAUCAUACUAGAGUUACAGACAUAUCUAUUACUAUGCGUCAGUCAAUAAAAGACAACAUCGAGAAAGUAAUACCCUUCCUUAAUUUACGUUUUUACCUUUCUAUAUAUAUAUAUAUAUAUAUAUAUAUAUAUUUUGGUCUGAAUACCUUUCUAUAUAUUAAAUAUAAAUAUGUGCCUUGCCCGGGGUGCGUGGGUGGUGGUUUCCUGCGUGUCUCCCCAGGGUUUACUCCCUGGCUGUCGACCGUGCGGCGGGUUCCCUGGGUCACAAAAAAAAAUUAUAAAUAUCAUAGCGGAAUGAUUUUCCAAACUUUAGAAAAAUAGCAUUUUCAACACUACUUUAUCAUGGAUGGGAACGAAACUUCAUAAGUCAAAGCUCUCUUUUUUAUGGGAUUGGUCUUAUAUUCAACAUGGACCGUUAAAUAGAAAGGGAAAAAACAUGACUUUUCCAAGUCUGUUUUGCAAAAUCGAUUUUCUUUCAUCACUUUCAAACAUUAAAGGAAAGUUAUAGACGUGAUCAAAUUAUCGUUUGAUUAAGAAAAGUUACAAUGAGUAAGGAAAUUUAUAAAGACAAAGAUCUAAAAAAUUUACGAAGUGCAAAGGAGAGUUAGAGGCUCUCUCUUUAAUUUUUUGACGUGAUCAAAAUAUCAUCUAUAAUGGUCAUCAUUUUAUUAAUUAUCAAUUAAUUUGUAGCGGUUUUCUAACAACUCUCUCUUUUGUUUGAAUACAAGAUUAACCAUAAAUCCACAAUCUUUCAAUAUACAUCCAACUCACAAGAUUCACAUGUCUUUCCUUGUCUAGCUGGGCUAUGCACAUAACAUGUUCCCAUUCCUUCUGUUAUUCCAUGUAGAGUUUUAUCUCGUGAAGAUAGCCACUAGAGCCCAUCGUACCGACUUUCAUGCUCUGAAGGGAGAAAUUGAUCUCGAGGAUAGUGCUUGAAUGCCUCAAACAAUAUAUCUUAUAUUUUUUCAUCAUUUUUAAUAUAUUUCCAACAAUUCUUUCUCUUUUAUUCAUAUUAUCUAAUAUUUUUCCAACAUUUCCAUGGAGAAAGGGCAAAACCAAAGCAAGAGAAACAAAAGGGAUGCACUAUUUCGUUUCACAUCAUUCCUUUGCGGUGCUCGUUGUGUCAAUUAUUCUUUUUAUCCUUAUAUUUAGGGGUGUGCAUGGUCCGGGCGGGCGGUUCCCGACCUAGAACCAGGAACCGCCCGCUAAGUACCGGUUCCGAAAAAUGGGAACCGGGAUCCACCCGGGAACCGGACCGCCGGUCCGGUCCGGUUCCCGGGUGGAUCCAUGGAACCAAUUUUGACGCGGGCGAUGCUGGUUCUUCGGGAUCUGCAGAAGGGUCGCUUGGGCGAGAGGCAGCGGUGGAGCUGGGUCACGGGUCGUUGAACUGGAUCACCGGUCGCAGGGAGGCUAAACGGCGACGGCGUCAGGGCUGAGAUGAGCUCAGAUCUGUAGUCGUCGAGCGAGAUCAGCGUGGCUGAAGCAGGGAACGCCGAACGUUGGUCGCAGAUGGGUCUCGUGGGUUGCUGGAGUCGCGGCCACCGGCGUGAAGAAACGAGCGGUGGUUGUGGUGCUGCACGUCGGGGGGAAGGCGGAUCUGGCAGGGAGGCUGAACGGCGACGGGAUGAGCUCAGAUCUGUAGUCGUCGAGCGAGAUCAGCACGGCUGAAGCAGGGGACGCCGAGCGUUGGUCGCGGAUGGGUCUCGUGGGUUGCUGGAGUCGCGGCCACCGGCGUGAAGAAACGAGCGGCGGUUGCGGUGCUGCACGUCGGGGGAAGGCGGAUCUGGCAGGGAGGCUGAACGGCGACGGCGUCAGGGCUGAGAAGAGCUCAGAUCUGUAGUCGUCGAGCGAGAUCAGCGCGGCUGAAGCAGGGGACGCCGAGCGUUGGUCGCGGAUGGGUCUCGUGGGUUGCUGGAGUCGCGGCCACCGGCGUGAAGAAACGAUCGGCGGUUGCAGUGCUGCAUGUCAGGGGGAAGGCGGAUCUGGCAGGACGACGAUGGCGGAGGUGCGGAGCUGUCGCAGGCGCGCGGGUAUGAGAUCGGAGCGGCGCCGACAGGAGGGUGGCGGACGACUGGGCUACAGCGGCUUCGCGGCUAAAAAAAAUGAGGCGGACGCACAGGUCACCGAGGAGGAAUCGAAAUAGCGAGAGGAACUGAGGAAGAGAGAGAGAGAGAGAGAGAGAGAGAGAGAGAGAGAGGCAGCCGCAGAAGAGAAGUGGAAGAGACAGAGAGAGACCUAGGUUUGUUUUAGAAAUAUUUUUUUUUUAAUAUUAAAAGGGAACCGGUCCGGUUCGGGUGGGCGGGCGGGUGGAUCCGCCCAUGGAACCGGGAACCGGACCGGUUCCCACCGGUUCCCAAAAACUGGAAUCGGGAAUCGGACCGGUUCCCUCAAGAACCGCCGGUUCCGGGCGGUUCCGGUCCGGUUCCGGGCGGUCCGGGCGGAUCCGGGUAUUUUGCACACCCCUACUUAUAUUCAAUCAUCUCAAGAAGAAAAAACAAAAAUGCUGCAAAAGAUAGCAUCAAGGGAGUAUUCAUGCUCCUUCUUCAGUAUCUUAUAACAAGUUAUUGCUCUACAUAUCAAUCAAUUAUUUAAAAUUUCUAAGUUUAAGAGAAUAACUCGGUGAUAUCAUAUCGUUUUAAAAUACGUUGGAUUUAGAUGAAAUCGUUAGCUUGUGGAGCUAGCGCGGAAUAAACACGAGCCCAUUUGUUUAUCUCCACCCCACGUUUGCAACUCCAUUUAGGGAGAUGGGCCGCGGAUAUACUUUUGAAAAUUAGCCAACUGGGCUCCAGCGUCCAAGACACAGCGCCUCCACCCAUGGCACGUGAUCAUGUUCCAGCGUAAAAUCAACGCGGAACCGCGUUAUCCGAUUCCCAAGUACAAGUUCUCCCUACUUCCAGAUCUGAAGCGGAGGAAGCAGCGAUCUUCUUUCUCGCGAAUCCACCGAGCAGUACACCCGAGGCCGUCGCGAAGAGCACCUGCAGUCGCUCCUUCCGAACCACCGGAUUCAAAGGACUGGUUUUUUGGCGGGCACCAAUCAGCAGGUAAAAUCAACUCGAAUCGUGUCGAGUUUCGAACUUUUUAGUGUUCCGCUUGCUAUAAUUUCUGAUAACGGACUCCGCUGAGGUGAUUAGGGUUCCUGGAUUUGGGGGCUCUUCGGCGGAACACAAGGGUCGUUUCUGGAUUUUAUCGAAAGAUCGUAAGUUCCCCGUCUGUAGUUGGUGAUUUCGUAGCCACUACUCGUCCUUUCUCGCGAUGAACUGAGAUGAUCUGCAAAUUUACCUUUGUGUCUUUCCAAACCAAGCCGAUCUAGGUCGAGGCGUGAAGGUGAUCUUCGGGAUUGCGCGGCCUUUCGGGACUCGGACCCAACUCGAUCUGCUUCAAGGCGACAUCUUCUCAAACACUAAAACCCGUCACAGCUAUUUCAUCUCUGAAUCGCUCCCGGAGGUAAGCACAACCUUCAUUCUCUGGUCUAUUCCAAUUGAUAGCACACAGAAUAAAAUACAUGUGAUUAUUUAUUACUCAUCCCAUAACUUCUAACAUCCUUUUAAGGCAUACAGAAUAAUACGUGUGAAAUUUCCUCGAUUUUUGUAAAAUCAUCAUCACAUAUAUAUUGCUAAUUUUUGUUACUUUUCAAUCUUCUCAUUUAAACUAAUCGGUUGAAUCUGGUGAAAUCACAUGCUGGCCGUUGUCCCGGUAUUGUUUUCAAAACAUCUACGGUUGACUGAACUCCCUCGGGACAAAGGACCCGCUCCAUGAAAAUUAUGAAUAUACUCUUCUAGACCUGAUUUUGGGUCCAUUGGCCCUAUACAUACCCCAAUUGUCAAAAAUUACUUAAGGCCUGAAACAUCCAAAAUACUCCGUUUUUGUAGAAAUAAUUCUCUUCUUUUCUCUUGAAAAUGGUUUAAAACUAUACUUUUUCUUUCCAAAUAUAGAUCGUGCUGGCCUAUUCUCUUCAAUAAUUGCACUAAACCUUUCACAGCCUACGGAUCAAAAUUGUCAACAACAAAAUUUAUCCAAACAAAUCAGAUCAACUAGAGAAUUUUUUAAUGUCCAUAAAACCAGUUUCCAUUAUAUUGGCAAUAAUCAUAAUUUCUGGAAAAUUACAGAAUAUUCAAAUGUUUUCUGGAAGUUAUGAAAAAUACACAAUUGUUACUAUUUUUUUUUUUUUUUUUGGUGCUGGUUACAAUGGAAAACUUGAAAGUGAGCAAAGCUGCUGGUUUCAGAGCACUUACACAUAUUUAAUAUGUGGAUUAUGCGGGUUAAAAUAGAGAAAAUUGUCAUAAAGUGUGGUUUUCGUGAGAUUUAACUGCUUAUAGCAAAGCCGUGAUAUAACAUAAAAAGUUACUGACCUACGAUAGAUUUGACAAUAUGAUUUAUGCAUGUGUAGGGUGGGAGAGAAUGUAGCAUUUACAAGAGGAAGAACGUCUUUGAUAAUAUUAUACUGAAAUAUUAGCAGGAGCCACAUUUACCUGUUUAACAGUAUGGUUUAUAAGUAGAUAUGAACAGAAUUGGUCAUUUUGUACUCUGGUCCAAAUUGUGCUCUCUCACGUUUGGCCUCUCUCUUGCAGAACAAUUCGGAACUAUUGUCAGCACUUGCUUUCUUUGAUCUUUUCACUCUUGUAAGUUUUCACCUGGGCUUGUUUAAGGUCUCCUCUCUCCAAUCUCACGCCUCUCUUCGCAUCUCAGCUCGCGGGAGGUAAUUGCUUUUUCAUGUCUUCUUAGCAUGUCGUUUCUAUUGAUUUGUCACUUUGUUAUUGGAAUAAUCGGCUGAACUAAGUGCGUUCUGGGCCCCUUGUUGUCAAUUGGGGAUGUGGGGUGGCCGCUAAAUAGCAUAGGAGGGUCUUUUAUUCUCUCUUUGGAGUCGUCGUUACCUGUUAACGAGGUAUGUACCCAGCUCAGAUUUGACUUCGGUGAAAAAAGAAAGCCUUUGUUUUCGACUAUAGACGUGGCUAAUCCUAAGAAUGUCUGAUUGUUAGUUGCAUCGUAAUUCAGUAUUGAUCUUUUGUUGAACUACAACGAGUAGGUCUGCAAGUGCGCUAGACUCUAUUGCGUGCAAAAUUGCCACAUUUCGCUUGAAGCCAUAGGCCAUUUCUUUUUUUAUGCAUUGUGAGGCUUUCUGUGUUUGAAGGUCCUAGAUCAAUUUAUGGAAAAAUAAAUCAGAAAAAUAGGAGGAGGCUGGUUCUUGGGUCAACUCGUUGGGUUCUCGGUUACAAAAACGGAGAACUGAUUAUUACGGAAUAAGUUCUUGACUCUUAGUUUAGAACGUACUCAUCCUGAAAUCAAUCAUCCUAAGAGUAAAUCUUCUCUUAAGGAGAAUUUGGUCGACAAUUUUACCUCCCUAUAGAACAUUCCAAAUGAGUGAUAUUCUAUUUUCCUCGAAUUGUUGGACUAUUAAUUGUAGAAAGUAUAUUCCCUUGCAAUAGUAGGGAAGAAAACCUAGUUGAUCUUUUAACAGACACGAAAACGAUCAAAUAAAUUGAGUCAUAUAUGCAAAUUAGAAGAUUCACCUAGCUCUAUAUCACUUAUUUCUUACACCUCUUUGUGGUGAUAUUCUCAUUAUGGGCCCUCCGACAAAAAUGGGGACAAUCACUCAACGCCAUUCUCAAGGUGGUCGUCUCUGAAUUUUCCUUAGCAGCUUCCUUUCACUUCCCUUCUUCUCUUCUUCUCCUUCUUCCAUCGAAUCAGUACCUAAUUCUAAUCGUUCAGACUAACAUGGAGAAAGAGGAGUGCAUAAAAAGAGAGCACCAAGGAGCAUCUACUCCUCCGUUUUUUUCAUCUAACAAAGUAUAGCUCUAUUUUACAGACAAGAUAUCAAUCAACCUAUUAGACUUGAAAAUUUGAAAUGAAAGGCUCGGUGAUAACAUACCACCUAAAAAUAAUUUCAUUUUGCAUGGAAUUGGAGCAUGUGGUGCUGGCUUGGAAUAGAUAAAUGAUAAAUAACCGUGAGCAUUUUUGUUUAUCACUACCUCACGUUUCCAACUUCGUUAACAAUAUUAUAAUUUUAAAUGAAAUUAAAAUAUAAAAUCUCAUCCACAGCUCGGUCCUUUCUCGACAUCUUCCCCACAUUUCUAAUUCCGUUUUGACUCAAUAUAAAAUCUUUUGAAUGGUUUAUCAAAUUCCGAUUUUCAAUAACUAAAUUAAAACAAACUUAUGCUUAUAUUUUUAAUUGAAUGUAAUAUGCUUGUACUCAUAUUCUAGUUCUUUAUAGCUCAAUUGAAAAAAUUAACGUACACGUUAUUGGUGAGUGGAUCAAGCCAACAAAUUUGACUUGAAUAGUGUGAAGUCCAAAAGAAGAUAAGGCGCGGUCUAAAUGCAACUGCUCUUAGUCAAUCAAUUACCAAUUAAUUAAAGAUUUAAUGUUGGUUUUUUCUUGCAUGUAGCGGGUUCAUGUUCAUACUUUUAGUAGAGAUUAGUUCAUUUAUCCUUUUAUGCAAUAUAAAAGCGUCUUUUGUUCCAACUUUCGCCCUUUGAUUGCCAUGCAUCUUUUGUUCCCCUUUUUACUUUUAAUUCAACAAAUGAAUAAAAGUAAAGGACAUGAUUGAAGGACUCUUUGAAAUAGCAUUGUGUGAAAACUAAUUCCCAUUUUGAACACCUUGACUCCAGCAUAAAAGUAUCUAUUCUUUUAGUUAAUGGGGUGGGAAAAGCAAAAGGCGAGGAUGAAGCAUAAAGUAUCACCCAUCUUCAAUUCGAUUUGAGGGACCAUGCGGUCCAAUCACAAUCUAAUUGCUACGACAACUAGAAAUAGGGGUGUCACUCAAUCAAUAAUUUGAGUGGCCGCGUGUAGCCAUUGUCAAAAGGUGAGGAUAAAGCAAAAGGUAUUGCCCAUCUUCAAAAUUUUAAUUUUCACUAUGAUUUGCUUGGCCACGGGAUCCAACAACAAAAAGAACUAACAAGUACAAUCUAUAGGGGUAGUCUUGCCAAUUUCGAGGAAGGGAUUGUUUUGGUGUUUUUGGUCAAAAAGGUUAGAAUCAAAAGAAGUACAAUUACCUCAUCUAACGUCAUCCACCACAAGAUUGUGCGUCUUCUUUGGGGCAAGAGAAGAAGUAAAGCUUUAAAUAAAGUCCCAAGUGCUUGUGUUUGAAGAAGAGAAACGCCAAUCACCGUAGCUCAUAGAGACGCUCGUUUUUCUUCUGAGAUAUCUGAUUUUGAUAGCUCCAGGUUGAGGCGUGAAGGUGAUCCUCGGAUUGCAUUGCCUUUCAAGACUUGGACACAUUGAUUUGCUUCAAGCAACUUCUUCUCAAACACUAAAACCCAUCACAGAAAUUUUAUCCUCGCAUCGCUCCUCGAGGUAAGCCCGGCCUUCAUUCUCCAGUUUAUUACAAUUGAUAGGACAAACAUAUAUUUGUUUAUUACUAGUCGCAUAGCACCUAACGUCCUUUAAGGCAUAGAAAAUAUCACUUAUGAAAUUCCCUCAACUUUUUCAAAAUGAUCACCUCAUAUAUAUUACUAAUUUUUAUUAUACAAUAUUUUCACUUAAACUAAUUGGUUAUGAAUGGUUAGCCCAAUUGAAUCUGGUGGAAAAGCAUGUUGGCCGUCAUCACUGUUGUUUGCAAAACAUUAACGGGUGACUAAACUCCCUCGGGACAAAUGACCUCCAAAAGAAAAGAGCACCCUCCUAAUAAAACCUAUGAAAGGAUGUUUUACACGUAAAAUGGCUCCAACGGUUAGUUUUCUAUAAAAAGAUUCCAUGGAUGCUGAUAAACUUGGCAGAAAUUGAGAAAGCACCAAAUCUCUAAAUUGCUCGAUCUCUCUUGCGUUCAUGAUAUGUUUUAGCUUGCAUUUGAUUCCUUUUGUUUAAAAAAAAGCCUUAAUGGUGGUUUUUAGUUUGAGAGAGUGGACGUAGUUUUGCUAUAAUCUGAACUGUUAUAAGUCUAUUGGCAUAUUCUUUUAUUCUUUAGUCUCAUUACUUUAUUUGUUUGAUAGAAGUAUCUCCUUCAUAAAUUGUUUCCGCAUGUACUGUAAAAUCCUGAAAAUUUAAUUUCUUAAUAUAAUUUAAUAGAUUAAGAGCUCUUCAUUCACGACCAUAGACACUCACUUGGUCACUUCUGACUGUCAAAGUGAACUGUAAUAAAAUACGGUCAAAAAGCGAAAAGUUAUUUGGUGGAAAGGUACUAAUAUUGGGUGAAGUGGAGUUUGAAUGAUGAGAAAAAAGAGGAAAAGACAUUGGAGUCAAAAGGUAAAGAGGAAAAGAAAGAAAGAAGGGAAAAGAAAGUGGGAAAAGAAAGGAGAGAGAGGAGAAGAAGGGAAGGAAAAAGGAGAAAAAGAGGAGAGAGAGGAGAGAGAGAGCGGGGGAAGAGAGGAUGUGUCGGCGAGAGGAGAAGAUAAAAAAAGGAGACGGGAGGUUUUGAGCUGUGCAGGAGGAGAAAUCUAUGGCAAAAUUAAAUUUAAAAUCACAUUCAUAAUUACUAUUAGGUCCUUUCUUCACGUCUUGCCCACAUUGCCAAUUUUGUCUCUAACUCAAUUAACAGCUUCUAAAUGAUUUAUCAAAUUCUUUGACAAAAAUGUUUAUCAAAAUCUUAUUUUCAAUAACCAAGUAAAAACUGAACCACUAUGUAUAAUUUUGAAGUAAUGCGAUAUACUUGUACAUAGAUUCUGGUAUUUUAUAGCCCAAUUAAGAAAUUAACGUACUCAUUGUAUGUGCGGGGAGCAAAACCAACAAGAUUGACUGACUACAGGAUGAUGUGUUAAAAGAAGAUAAGGCAAGGACUAAAAGCAUGCAACUGCUCCUAGUCAAUCAAAUACUAAUUAAUUAAAGAUUUCACGUUUAUUUUUUUCUUGCUAUGUUCAUACUUGUUCAUACUUCAUAGAGACUAGUUAUCCAAUCUUUUUAUGCAGCAGAAGAGCAUCUUUCUUUCCAACUUCCCCCGGUUGCCACCAUGGACAAUGGACGGAGUCACAUUGAAACAAACGAAGGGAUGCACCCUUUUGUAAUGGGGCGUUCUUGGGGGAGGAAGAGGAAGAGAGCAGUCAAUCUUCUCAAGAAGAAGAAGAAAGCAUCCACACCUUCAUUCAUCUCUCCAACACCCACAGGAGAAGGUAAUGAUCAUUAUGAUGUGUUCUUGAGCUUUAGAGGGUCAGAUACCCGCAAGGGAUUCGCCGAUCACCUCUAUCACAGUCUAGACAAGGUGGGGAUUGUACCGGUUUUCGUGUUCAGGGAUGAUAAGAGCAUUCCAAUUGGCGAGGAAUUCGGUCCAAGGAUUCUUGAUGCUAUUGCUCAGUCUAAGAUUUCGAUCCCCAUAAUCUCCAAAAAUUAUGCUUCAAGCAAAUGGUGCCUUCGUGAGCUUAUUCACAUCAUGGAUCUUCGGAAGAGAACAUCACACAUAGUUUUACCCAUCUUUUAUAAAGUGAAUCCAUCGGACGUGCGGCGUCUAAAAGGAAGUUUUGGGAAGGCUUUCCAUUCACAUAAGAAGUAUUUUGAUGAGGAGGAUAUCCACAAAGGGCCGCAAGCACUUGAAGAAGUGAGUUACUUACAUGGAUGGGAGUCUAAGAAAGUUGCUAACGGGUACUUUGCUUCCACCUUAACUCUUCUUUUUUGAUAAGUAAGUUAUUGGGGAAAUUACCAAAAAAAUUUUAAAUCUAUUGUAAUUGUGUCAAUGUAGUCCUAAAUAUUUUUAUUUAGUCAAAUUAAUCCUAAACCCUUAGAAAUUUGCCAAUACAGUUAUUCGGUCGAUUUCAACUGGAAAUUGUUAACGUAAACAAUUUUUUUAUUAUUUUUUCUGAAAUUUUUAGUUUUAUUUUUCUUUCUUUCUUCCACUCUGGCUGCGGCCUCCUUGAUGGAGGGUGACAGGCCACAAACGAGGGUCGGUGAGGCUUGCCCUCGCGAAUCUGGCAAGGGCGACCUCGCUGGAAUCUGGUCCUUUAGAAAAGGCGAGGCCAACCCAAACUGAAAUCUCACAAAAAAAGAAGAAGGAAGAGCGUCAGAAAUUGGGAAUCCAUGAACACAAUCAUUCGAGAACACGAUUACAUUUGCAGAAUAAUUGGGGAUGUCGCAAGCGAAGUGGUUGAGGGUGAGGCAUUGUCUUUCUCUUCCACAGAUUCGCUUCCUUCUUCGCCUUCGACUCCACUCCACCUACCAAAAUGGGGGACGAAAAUGGAGUCACCACUUCGUCGCCGUCGUCGUCAUCUCGCUCUUCUUUGUCUCUGUCUUUGUCGUCAAAGUAACAGCUCCUCUGCUCCGCUGCAUCCAUCGGCGCCACCUGCGCCGUCCAGUCGAAGUUUGCCAGCACGUUCUGGCUGCUGGCGAACCUCCUCAUCUGACCCAACGACGGCCCUCUCUUGUUGGAAAAACUCUCGGUCUCUCCCUCCUUGCGAUUCUCUAUAGGACCCACUAGAAGGACCAGAUUCAGGCGAGGUCAGCCCUCAUGGCGAGGCAGCCCUCAUCUAUGGCCAGUGACCGUAGAAGAUGGAAAAAAAGAAAAGAAAGAAAGAAUAAACAAAAAAUAUAAGCAAAUUCAACAAAAUUAUAAAAAAUUAUAGAAAUACUUCAUGUCGAUAUCGACGGUGCCUUGUAGAAUAGCCUGUGUCCAUGUUAGCGAUUUCUAGCCAAAGUUGGCUAGAUGGAUCACAUUAGCAUAUUUUCAAAAUGUGUAGGACUAAAUUGGCCAUAAAAAAAUUAAAGACUAAAUUAACACAAUUAUAAUAAAUUCAAUUUUUUUUUAGUAAUUAUUCUGUAAAUUUUCUUGUUCAUGCCAAACAGAUGAAUUACAGUUGUCUUCAACAGAGCAAAAAUCAAAUAAAUGACAACCCCUCCAGCCAAUAGUGUCAAUCACCAAACAAUAUGCUUAGAAAGGACUCGCGUGCUCAGUAUUUCAAAGCUUUAUCACCACCAGAUAAAAUAGACCUGUUCAUGCGAAUGGAAGUUGGCUCAGGUGAAAAGGACCGGACACUUCGCAUUUGGCAUGUCUAGGUUUGAUUUCCAUUGUUAGUAGACCCCAUCGGUAUCGAUUUGUAAAUCAACUAUAAGUUCUCAAUUUUAGCAUGUGAGAUGCCCUGGCCUUAGAGCGGAGUAACCUACUUUUCUCCUAAACUUCUUUAAUUAAAACAAAAUUGGCCUCCUAUGAUUUAACUAGCAUCAAUCUUAAGCCUUGUAACAAACAUUACACUUCUAAAGACUCUUAACGAGCCACGCGCACCGCCUUAUUUUCUUUCAACAAGAUCCAUCUAGCAAAAGAGAGAAGACAAAAUGAAAUGACCGCUGGCCAUCAUACCCCAUUGUUAUUUGUAAAACCAAAACAUCUUGCAUGUUAAUUGGUCCCAUCCAUUCUUCACAUGCCUGUCGGUGCCUUUUGAUGAGUUUAAGUAUAAUCAUGAAAUUAUCAACGAGUUUUUUUGUUGGACAGGCAUGAAGGAGAAUUAGUGAAAAUAGUUAUCGAAAAUGUUCUGAGCAAGUUGCAACAAGAUUUUCAGCUUGAUGUUACUGAGCACUUAAUUGGAAUUGAUGAUCAUGUGAAUAGAAUCAUGAAAUGGGUAGACACUCCUACCACUAAUGCUCGAAUGAUUGGAAUCUAUGGCAUGNNNNNNNNNNNNNNNNNNNNNNNNNNNNNNNNNNNNNNNNNNNNNNNNNNNNNNNNNNNNNNNNNNNNNNNNNNNNNNNNNNNNNNNNNNNNNNNNNNNNNNNNNNNNNNNNNNNNNNNNNNNNNNNNNNNNNNNNNNNNNNNNNNUCUGCAAAUCGACCUUGAAUUUGGGAAUGUUGAUGAUGAAUUAGUUUGAUCAAAUCUAGAUCAGAGAAAAAAGGUUCUCAUUCUUCUGGAUGAUAUAGAUCACAAGGAUCAAUUAGAUGCUUUGGCUAGAGAACAUAAUUGGUUUAUGGCGGGAAGUAUAAUUAUUGUUACAACCAGAUACAAAGCCAUUCUUGAUCAAUCUAAAUUCGCUGUACACGAGUAUGAUUUGAAUGAAUUGGAUCAGGAGCAUGCUUUGCUUUUGUUUAAUAGACAUGCCUUUGGUACGGACUAUUCUCUAAGGGACUUUGAGGGUAUAUCUGGUGAUAUCGUAUCCACCAUGGGUGGGCUUCCCUUGGCAGUUAAGGUUGUAGGUUCAUAUUUGAAUAAAGAAAUGAAUCGAGAAGUAUGGGAAGAGGUGCUGGAUAAGUUAAAAACCCAACCACAUGAAGACGUCCAAAAAACAUUGCGAAUAAGUUUUGAUGCAUUAGAAGACGGACCUAAGCAGAUUUUUCUCGAUAUUGUUUGUUUCUUUAUUGGCGAAACGAGUGAAUACGCCAUGUACAUGUGGAAGGACUGUGGGUUUUAUCCAAUUCAAGGUAUUAAAGAGUUGAAGUUGAGGUGCUUAAUUAAAAUUGGAGAUGAUGAUAGAUUUAAGGUGCAUGAUCAAUUGAGAGAUCUUGGAAGGAUCAUUUUUUGCGAAGGACAACCGCUUGACAAACGUAGCGGACCAUGGGACGACGACUACAAGGGAGUCCCAAAAGUACUAAGAACCUAUGAACAGGUAAAAUAUGGCACUCCCUUCUUUUUCUUUCCCUCUUAUUUUAAUAUAUUUAAUCUGAUCUAUUCUAAUAUUUCAUCUAGGAUGAACAUAUAUGCUCUUACUUUUUAGGAUAAAAAGAUCUAUGUAAACAUCCAUUUAUGUCCAUCUUAGAUUAUUUGUGACAACUAAAUGGAUUAUAAGUAUUUAAAGGAUGAAAAAGUUAUACCAUUUGAUUCGAUUUCAUUGAUAUAAAUUACAUCUGUAAAGAUUUGCUUGACAAUCAAUUUAAGAUCCUUUAGUUACAAUUUUGCUCUAUAAAACUCAUUGACUAAAAGCAUGCCAUUGUCAUAUCUAGUUGAAAAUAUUGAUAAUCUGAAGGAAUACAAGAACAAAUGUAGAUGAAGUAUAAACAUCAUAGAUCAAAUAAAUGAAGAUUUCUAGGUUAAAAGAAGAAGAAGAUAGUAUGUGUCAAUUACAAUAACUGAUAAUUAAUUCAAAACAAUAAGAUUAAAAAAAAUUCUCACACUUCUGACAUGUGCUUACUUUCUAGUAUGACCAAAUGUAUUGGGGGGCUCUUGUGAUUCAAGAAUCCAAUGUUUGAUAUUAUUUUCUCCAUUUUGAUUUUGAAGAUAUCGGUCCCUCUAUCAGUUAUAUCUAUCUCUUUUCAUUCUUAUUUCCUCUUAAUAGAUAAGAUAGCAAAAAUCCUUUAAAAAUAUUUUUAGGAAGAUCUUAACGCUUUUAAAAGUUUUAUCCUGUUGACCUUGCUCAUUUCAUGGAUUAGGUUACGUGUGUGAUAAAGAGUGGAUUUUCUUGUAACAAACAUUUCUAUAUGCUAUAAGUUGUCUUAUAUUAUUUAUAUUGUUGAGACAAUGCCUCUUUCGUGCUAGAAACGUCUAGAAUGACUUGACUAUUUAUAAAAUAAAUUAAAAAAGAAAACUUGACCAAUUAAAGGAAAUGUCAUGCUUAUUGUUAUAUCCAUACCUUGUCUUCUGAUCUAUGAUUUUCAGCAUGAAGCCAAUUUUUUCAACUAUGUUUUAUCUUUUGCUUAAAUUAUCAAUGUUCAUGUCAUUCUAUUAUUAUAUAUUGUCCAUUUAGGAUGCCUCAUAGGCUCAUGGCUGAUCAAAGGCGAGGAAUUAGCCCUAGCAAUUAACCUAGAGAUGGGCAAACAAAACGGCUCUAUAUUCUUGAUAUAAUUUGAAAUAGUCCGUUCCUAUGAUUCCAUAUCACACUCUUUUGUUGAUCCAAUAACUUCUUAACAUUAGCAAAAAGACCACACUAUACGGGUGUUUGAAAAAUGACCCAAAAAAAAAAGAAGAAGUCAAAUCUGUUUGGAAUGGACAAAUAGCUGAAAGAUGAUAAUUAGUGUGGUAAAAAAAUUGAAUGAUUGUUUGAUUUGAGAGAUUUUGAUUUAACUUUGGAAAUUGAAAUACGUAUGGGAAUAAUUUCCAAUUGUCUUGACUAUUUCAAAUAUUAUUAUGUUUGACUAUUUCAAAUAUUAUUAUGUCUAUUUUGUUAUAUCCUAUUUCUUCAGUUCAUUUUGGUGAAAUAUAUGCGUAUUGUGUGGAAACUUUUGAAGAAAGUUUGAGGUUUAAAAUCCCCUUUCCAUAUAGUAGAUUUUUUUUUAAUGUAAUACAUAGUAUAGAUUGAUGUACGAGCAAAAAUUAUUGAAGAUAGUGUGGGAUGGUGAUUACAACAAUUUAGCGACUUUUCAGACGGAUAGACUUAAGAGAAUUUAUUCCCAUUGCAUUUCACUGGUUAAUAUUUAAAGCAGAUAUAAUGACAAACGUGUCUAACCAUAAAAGUGAAUUUCUAACCAAUUAAACUUUUGGGGGAAAAUAUAGGUAUUAUUAUAAAAGUCAAAUAAAGCCAUAAGGAAAUUUCUUUCACCGUUUGCAACUAAUUAAAUGAUCUAUUUUAGCAGGGAGUUAAACAGUAUGUUUUUUGAUUUAUAAGAUGGAAAAAAGAAACGGUGCCAUUCUUAUGGAACCGACAUAUGAUGAUUAAACAAUGUUACCACCGCACUUUUUAGUUCAUUUUCUAGUUAUUCUAAAAGUGACUUAUUUUUUUUCAAUCCUAGUCAAAACUGCUAACCAAUGUCACCACGUCACUUUUUAAACAUACUUUACCAAUAAAUAAAUAAAAAACGCUUCAAUUGUCAAAGACAUGAGUAAUCACUUCACGUAAAUAUUUAAUGACGUUAAAGAUAUUUAGAUACCUUCUAGAGAUAAGGUAUUUCUUUUAAUUUUCUAUAUCUAUUUUGAUAAUGCAUAUUAUAUUUGAUUUAUUUUAAUUUCCCUCCACGUAAACUUUUCUAUUUAUCUGAAUAUAUUAAAAAUUCCUUUUUUUUCUCUUCCACAUAAUUACAUUUAACUAAUGAAAUGAAAAUAGGAUGCUUCCUUAGCUGCUUAUAGGUGGCCCGUUGACACUCUUUAACAAUUCUUUUAAGAAAUUAUACAUAAGUCAUUUAAAAAUUUACAAGUAAAUAUUUGUACGUUGUAAACUAGUUUUAUGUAUUUCUUCUUAAAUGAAAGUGAAAAUCCAUGCGCUACAAAAUUUUGAAAAAGAAGAAGAAGCAAGAGAUAAAACAUUGAGGUGCAUUUGCCUUAGUUGUUUUAAAGCAAUAAUUAUUAUUUUUUCUUUGUCUUUGCGUCAUUUGUUUAACUUUCAAAAGGUCGUAAAAAAAAGAAAAAAGAAAUAAAUGUGAGUUUACGUAUCCAUACAUGUAUAGGGGAAGGAUAAAAAGGUAAUCGUGCAAAUUCAAGAUUUAAAAAAAAGCAAAAACUAAAAAGUGAAAAAACUUGCAGAGAUGGUUCCACGACUUUUUGGGGGCAGCUUCUAGCGGAGAUUCCAAGUUUUCUGAAGUGAGAUGGUUAAAGUGGGGCGUUUAUGGAAACGAAGCGUCUCUUUCGACGAUCAACUUGCAUUUGCCAAAAUUAUCGGUGCUGGACUUAUCUUGGGGAGUAAUCACAGAGAAUUGGGAAGGAUGGAAGUCAUUCAAGGUAAGAUUGGGAAAAGAAUACAUCCUCUCUGCGAUCUUGAGGUUUGUUUUUGUUUAGCCAAUCAACUCCUCAUUUGACGGAUUAUUCUCCUUUUGUAUUAGGUGUCAAAGCAGCUUAAAGUUCUCAACGUUGGAUGUUGUUUUUAUUUAAGAUGUACUCCUGAACUCUCAGCUUUCACGCAGUUGAAAAUUCUCAUAUUGAACGAUUGUCUUGGAUUGGAGCAUCUCCACCCUUCUAUUGGCAAACUCACAAGCCUCGUUACCUUGGACUUGAAUUUCUGUCCAGAAUUGAAGCAUCUCCACCCUUCUAUUGGCAAACUCACAAGCCUCGUUACCUUGGACUUGAGUCGCUGUUCAAGUCUCAAGGAGCUACCAGAGGAGGUGGGUGGAUUAAAAGAUUUAGAAGAACUUAUUUUAGAUGAAUCUGGUAUUACAGCAAUUCCUUGGUCUAUUGGUUCUUUGAGGAAAUUGAAGACACUGAGUGCCUUCGAAUGUAAGUCACUGAGAGAAAUCCCCAGCUCAAUUGGGGAUUUACAGAAUUUGCAACAUCUUGACUUGACUGAUACUGCAAUCAAAAAGCUUCCCAGUGCUAUUGAAGGGUUGAAAAAUCUGCAGAUUCUAAAUUGGUGAAAUCGGUGACUUGCCUUCCCUCGAGUAUCUCGAUAUCAGUGACACAUCAAUAUCUGACCUUCCAGAAAGCGUCUGGAAUCUUUCUUCUCUCCAAAGCCUUUACCUAUGGGACUGUAUGUGACAUCCUGAAAUUCGACCCCGUUUCGAUAAAGUGAAAUGGGCAUUUCGUCGGCGUGCCUAUGGCCUUUUUCUCUGAGCUGAUCACUCACGAGUUAACUAACCUAUUGGGUGAAGCCGUUAAGGGAUGUAUCAGCUGUAAAAUCCCUAAAAGCUACUUAAUUGGUUAGAUUGAGCUAAAAUCACGUCCGAUCGAUUUUUAACCACGAAAUUGAACUCGAUUUCGGGAAUCGAAUUUUAAGCGCGUCAUAAUUCUUAUUUUAGGAUCCUGUCUCAUCGCUCGUCAAUUUAUUGACGAGUCCGAAAUUUCAAGAAAGAAAUUAUCGGAAGAAAUAUUGAAGCCCAAAAGAAAAGGAAAAGAGAAAAGGAAAAUUUAAAUAAGGAAUUAUACAUUUCCUUUUCUUUUUCCUCUCUCUCCCUCUCUUUCCUUUUCUUUCUUUUUCUUUUUCUUUCUCUCUCCUCUCCCCUUUUUCCCCUCCCCCUCGUGCGAAUUCCCACCGCUCACUUUCCCUCUCUCCUUCUUUGACCGGUCCAACCCUAUCCUCUCUCUUCUCUCUCCUCUUUCUUCUUCCUUCCCACACACGACAGAACCAGCUCCUAUCUUCUUCUUCUUUCUUCAUGCUCGAGCGAACCAGAAGCUGCAGCUCGCCGAGAACCGCUCGCUGCUCGUCCCGCCGCCGCACCGCCGCACCGCCGCGCCGCGCCCGUGCGCCCGCCGCCGUCCGUGCGCGCUCAGGCCGCGCGAUCCAGCGACCCAGCUGCUGUUCGCUUCUGUUACAGCUUCGUCCAGCCAUCCCCGGCCACCUCCGGCCACCGCCCAACCCCGCCGGACCUCCCCCGCAACCCCCUCGCCCUCCGCCGGCUUUCCCUCGCCGCCCUAGCCGCCGGAGCAAGCCCGAUCGGCUCUGUCCAGCAGACCCACGGAGUGGGUUUCAGCGACUUCGGGCCCACUUUUGGGUCGUUUCCCGGCCCCGAACCCGAGCCGUGCUUUGGGAACAAUCGUUCCUCGCGUCGCCGCCGUCGGAUUGAUCCGAUUUGCGGGCGAUUUGGUGAGUAAUCUCACUAAUCUCGGAUUAGUUGGCUAAUUAUGCUUUAGGUUGGUUUAGUUUUAAUUAAUUAUGUUUAGGUUGUUAGAUUAGAAGUAAUUAGCAAUUAUUAGUCAAUUGUGAUGCGAUUUAGAUAAAUUGAUUGUGCAAUUAACAAGUAGACGUGGUCUACUAUUUAUUGGGAGUGUCUCGGGAAUUUUCGGACCCCUAAUUGGGCUUCAAUUUGGCAAUUCGGGCCUAAGUGAGAUUUUUGGGCAUUUAAAUAUUAAUUUUCGGAAUUAAAUUAAAUAAUUAUUUAUUUUCCGAAAAUUCAAGGGAGAUGGUUCGGAACCGGAAUAUUAUGCUGAUGACCGUGGUGAAGUCUAUUUAUUUAAUCGGGCUUUAUUUUAAGCUAAAUUGAAUUUUUAAUAUUAAUUAUUUAAUUUUAGAAAUUAAUAAGNNNNNNNNNNNNNNNNNNNNNNNNNNNNNNNNNNNNNNNNNNNNNNNNNNNNNNNNNNNNNNNNNNNNNNNNNNNNNNNNNNNNNNNNNNNNNNNNNNNNNNNNNNNNNNNNNNNNNNNNNNNNNNNNNNNNNNNNNNNNNNNNNNNNNNNNNNNNNNNNNNNNNNNNNNNNNNNNNNNNNNNNNNNNNNNNNNNNNNNNNNNNNNNNNNNNNNNNNNNNNNNNNNNNNNNNNNNNNNNNNNNNNNNNNNNNNNNNNNNNNNNNNNNNNNNNNNNNNNNNNNNNNNNNNNNNNNNNNNNNNNNNNNNNNNNNNNNNNNNNNNNNNNNNNNNNNNNNNNNNNNNNNNNNNNNNNNNNNNNNNNNNNNNNNNNNNNNNNNNNNNNNNNNNNNNNNNNNNNNNNNNNNNNNNNNNNNNNNNNNNNNNNNNNNNNNNNNNNNNNNNNNNNNNNNNNNNNNNNNNNNNNNNNNNNNNNNNNNNNNNNNNNNNNNNNNNNNNNNNNNNNNNNNNNNNNNNNNNNNNNNNNNNNNNNNNNNNNNNNNNNNNNNNNNNNNNNNNNNNNNNNNNNNNNNNNNNNNNNNNNNNNNNNNNNNNNNNNNNNNNNNNNNNNNNNNNNNNNNNNNNNNNNNNNNNNNNNNNNNNNNNNNNNNNNNNNNNNNNNNNNNNNNNNNNNNNNNNNNNNNNNNNNNNNNNNNNNNNNNNNNNNNNNNNNNNNNNNNNNNNNNNNNNNNNNNNNNNNNNNNNNNNNNNNNNNNNNNNNNNNNNNNNNNNNNNNNNNNNNNNNNNNNNNNNNNNNNNNNNNNNNNNNNNNNNNNNNNNNNNNNNNNNNNNNNNNNNNNNNNNNNNNNNNNNNNNNNNNNNNNNNNNNNNNNNNNNNNNNNNNNNNNNNNNNNNNNNNNNNNNNNNNNNNNNNNNNNNNNNNNNNNNNNNNNNNNNNNNNNNNNNNNNNNNNNNNNNNNNNNNNNNNNNNNNNNNNNNNNNNNNNNNNNNNNNNNNNNNNNNNNNNNNNNNNNNNNNNNNNNNNNNNNNNNNNNNNNNNNNNNNNNNNNNNNNNNNNNNNNNNNNNNNNNNNNNNNNNNNNNNNNNNNNNNNNNNNNNNNNNNNNNNNNNNNNNNNNNNNNNNNNNNNNNNNNNNNNNNNNNNNNNNNNNNNNNNNNNNNNNNNNNNNNNNNNNNNNNNNNNNNNNNNNNNNNNNNNNNNNNNNNNNNNNNNNNNNNNNNNNNNNNNNNNNNNNNNNNNNNNNNNNNNNNNNNNNNNNNNNNNNNNNNNNNNNNNNNNNNNNNNNNNNNNNNNNNNNNNNNNNNNNNNNNNNNNNNNNNNNNNNNNNNNNNNNNNNNNNNNNNNNNNNNNNNNNNNNNNNNNNNNNNNNNNNNNNNNNNNNNNNNNNNNNNNNNNNNNNNNNNNNNNNNNNNNNNNNNNNNNNNNNNNNNNNNNNNNNNNNNNNNNNNNNNNNNNNNNNNNNNNNNNNNNNNNNNNNNNNNNNNNNNNNNNNNNNNNNNNNNNNNNNNNNNNNNNNNNNNNNNNNNNNNNNNNNNNNNNNNNNNNNNNNNNNNNNNNNNNNNNNNNNNNNNNNNNNNNNNNNNNNNNNNNNNNNNNNNNNNNNNNNNNNNNNNNNNNNNNNNNNNNNNNNNNNNNNNNNNNNNNNNNNNNNNNNNNNNNNNNNNNNNNNNNNNNNNNNNNNNNNNNNNNNNNNNNNNNNNNNNNNNNNNNNNNNNNNNNNNNNNNNNNNNNNNNNNNNNNNNNNNNNNNNNNNNNNNNNNNNNNNNNNNNNNNNNNNNNNNNGGUACGGUCUCGCUCAACGACCAACCUGCUUAUGCUUUGUUUGAUUCGGGAGCAACCCAUUCCUUCAUUGCCGAACAAUAUGUUAGGAUGCUAGGAUUGAAUCCUGUAUUGUUAGAAUCGGCAAUUUGCAUAUCUACACCCUUGAAAGAUAAAGUUAUUGCUGCUUUGGGAUGUUCGGGGUGCAAGUUAGAGAUUGGUGAGCGAGUGGGGAAAAUUGACUUGUUAGUCCUAGCCAUGUAUGAUUUUGAUUUGAUAAUUGGCAUGGACUGGCUCACCAAUCAACGAGCUAAAAUGGACUGCUAUCGCAAGGCGAUACAGUUUAACCCAUUAGAGAGUAAGAGUUUCGAGUUUGUCGGAAAUCGAGGAGGACCUUCGAUUUCCUUAAUCUCGUCGCCGGAAGCAACUCGUUUGUUAGACGAGGGUUGCCGAGGCUAUUUAGCGACUGUCGUGGAUACGACAGUUGAAGGGUUGAAAAUGGAAGAUAUUGCAGUGGUACAGGAGUUUCCAGAUGUUUUUCCAAAAGAAUUGCCAGGAUUACCGCUAGAAAGGGAGAUUGAAUUUGUAAUCGAGCUAGCACCAGGGACAGAACCGAUCUCAAAGGCACCGUACCGAAUGGCGUUAUCUGAGUUGAAGGAACUGAAGGUGCAGAUGCAAGAGUUAUUGGAUAAAGGAUUUAUUCGUCCUAGUGCAUCGCCUUGGGGAGCACCAGUUCUGUUUGUUAAGAAGAAAGAUGGUUCGUUGCGUUUGUGCAUCGACUAUCGGCAGCUCAAUCAGGUAACGAUCAAGAACAAGUAUCCAUUGCCGAGAAUAGAUGACUUGUUUGAUCAACUGCAAGGAGCAUCAAUAUUCUCGAAGAUCGACUUGAGGACAGGAUACCAUCAGCUGAGGAUUCGGAAAGAUGAUAUUCCUAAGUCAGCAUUUUGUACCCGGUACGGGCAUUACGAGUUCACAGUGAUGCCGUUUGGAUUGACGAAUGCUCCAGCUGCCUUUAUGGAUUUGAUGAAUAGAGUGUUCAAGGAAUAUCUAGAUCAAUUUGUGAUCGUGUUUAUAGAUGAUAUCCUGGUCUAUUCGAGAAGUAAUGAAGAGCACGAGAAUCAUCUGAGAUUAGUGCUUCAGACCUUAAGAACACAUCAGUUAUAUGCUAAGUUUAGCAAAUGCGAGUUUUGGCUGACUCGUGUUGCGUUCUUAGGUCAUGUGAUUUCCGGAGAAGGAAUCUCCGUCGACCCGAGCAAGAUAGAAGCCGUGAUCAAGUGGCCAAGACCGACAUCAGUGACAGAAAUCAGAAGCUUUCUGGGAUUGGCAAGUUAUUACAGACGGUUUGUGGAAGGUUUCUCAGCAUUAGCGUCACCUUUGACAAAGCUCACGAAGAAAAAUGAGAAAUUUAUAUGGACAGACAAGUGCGAGCGUAGUUUCCAAGAGCUGAAGGAAAAGCUAACUACCGCACCUGUGCUGACGAUUCCAUCUGGUCCUGGAGGAUUCGAGAUCUACAGUGAUGCGUCAUUUAGGGGAUUGGGUUGCGUGUUGAUGCAACAUGGCAGAGUUGUUGCAUACGCUUCCCGGCAGUUGAGACCUCAUGAAUUGAAUUAUCCGACGCAUGACUUAGAACUUGCAGCCAUCAUAUUUGCGUUGAAGAUUUGGAGGCACUACUUGUGUGGGGAAAAGUUUCAGAUCUUCACAGACCAUCAGAGUCUCAAGUAUUUGUUCUCUCAGAAGGAGUUGAACAUGAGACAGCGUCGAUGGAUGGAAUUGUUGAAGGAUUAUGACUGUGAUAUUUUAUAUCACCCGGGAAAGGCAAAUAAGGUUGCCGAUGCAUUGAGUAGGAAGUCUUCAAUAGCGCAAAUCUUGAUUAAGGAGUGGAACUUGAUUGAGAGAGCUCGAGAUUCGGAAUUCAAAUUUGAGGUAGGCCACCUCUCAAGUUUUAUGGCCACCCUCAGAAUUGAACCGGAUGUCCAGGUUAGAAUCAAGCAACUUCAACCGACAGAUCCAGAAGUACAGAAAAUUCUUCAAGAAGAUACCGACAAAAGAAAAGCUGAUUUUCAAGUUUCUGAUGAUGGGGUACUGAGGUUUCGUGGACGUUUGGUUGUACCUAACGAUGUAGAGCUUAGAGAAGAGAUUUUAUCUGAAGCACAUCGUAGCAAUUACAGCGUUCAUCCCGGAAGCACUAAGAUGUAUCAGAAUUUGCGUCAACACUACUGGUGGUCAGGUAUGAAGGCGGACAUCGCCAAGCAUGUGGCCAAGUGUUUGACUUGUCAGCAAGUAAAAGCCCAGCAUUGCAAGCCGGGAGGACUUUUGCAACCUCUCGCGAUCCCAGAGUGGAAAUGGGAGCAUAUCACGAUGGACUUCGUGACUGGACUACCAAGGAGUCAAAGGGGAAAUGAUUCAAUUUGGGUAGUAGUCGACAGGUUGACAAAGUCGGCUCAUUUCAUUGCAGUUCGAAAGGACCUGAGUCUAGAUAGACACGCAGACCUGUAUGUGCGUCAGGUGGUUCGUAUGCAUGGAGUGCCAGUUACGAUAACAUCUGAUAGAGACCCAAGGUUUACUGCUGCUUUUUGGAAGAGCUUACAGAGUGCUUUGGGUACAAAGCUUCAGUACAGUACGGCAUAUCAUCCUCAGACGGAUGGCCAGUCAGAAAGGACGAUUCAGACUCUUGAAGAUAUGCUGAGAGCGUGUGUAAUAGACUUCAAAGGAAGCUGGGAAGAUCAGCUUCAUCUGGUGGAAUUCGCCUACAACAAUAGUUAUCAGCAGAGCAUCAAGAUGGCUCCAUUUGAAGCGUUGUAUGGCAGAGCAUGCAGAACUCCAGUGUGUUGGGAUGAAGUCGGAGAAAGGAAGAUAACAGGCCCAGAGUUGGUUCAGCAAUCAGUAGAUGCCGUGGCAGUGAUCAGAGACAGAUUGAAGACAGCGCAGAGCAGGCAGAAAAGUUAUGCAGAUAAGCGUCGAAGGUCUUUGGAAUUCCAAGUUGGUGAUCACGUUUUUCUAAAAGUGUCACCAAUGAGGGGAACUUCGCGCUUUGGUAAGAAAGGCAAACUGAGUCCGAGGUACGUAGGUCCGUUUGAGAUUCUUGAAAGAAUCGGAAACCUAGCGUAUCGUCUUGCGUUGCCGCCAAGAUUGGCGCAAGUGCAUGACGUCUUUCACGUGUCGAUGUUAAGGAAGUAUGAGCCUGACUCGACCCACGUGCUCAAUUUUGAGGAAUUGGACGUGGAUGACCGUGUGUCAUACGUUGAAAGCCCGGUUCAAAUUGUCGAUCGCAAAGAGCAAGUUCUGCGUACAAAGACCAUUCCGUUGGUCAAAGUGGUCUGGCAACACCACGGUACUGAAGGAGCGACUUGGGAGACUGAAGAAUCGAUGAGACAGUUGUACCCCCACCUUUUUGAGCAAAGUGUAAUGGUUUAAAUUCGAGGACGAAANNNNNNNNNNNNNNNNNNNNNNNNNNNNNNNNNNNNNNNNNNNNNNNNNNNNNNNNNNNNNNNNNNNNNNNNNNNNNNNNNNNNNNNNNNNNNNNNNNNNGAUUGUGAAUCCUGAAUUCGACCCCGUUUCGAUAAAGUGAAAUGGGCAUUUCGUCGGCGUGCCUAUGGCCUUUUUCUCUGAGCUGAUCACUCACGAGUUAACUAACCUAUUGGGUGAAGCCGUUAAGGGAUGUAUCAGCUGUAAAAUCCCUAAAAGCUACCUAAUUGGUUAGAUUGAGCUAAAAUCACGUCCGAUCGAUUUUUAACCACGAAAUUGAACUCGAUUUCGGGAAUCGAAUUUUAAGCGCGUCAUAAUUCUUAUUUUAGGAUCCUGUCUCAUCGCUCGUCAAUUUAUUGACGAGUCCGAAAUUUCAAGAAAGAAAUUAUCGGAAGAAAUAUUGAAGCCCAAAAGAAAAGGAAAAGAGAAAAGGAAAAUUUAAAUAAGGAAUUAUACAUUUCCUUUUCUUUUUCCUCUCUCUCCCUCUCUUUCCUUUUCUUUCUUUUUCUUUUUCUUUCUCUCUCCUCUCCCCUUUUUCCCCUCCCCCUCGUGCGAAUUCCCACCGCUCACUUUCCCUCUCUCCUUCUUUGACCGGUCCAACCCUAUCCUCUCUCUUCUCUCUCCUCUUUCUUCUUCCUUCCCACACACGACAGAACCAGCUCCUAUCUUCUUCUUCUUUCUUCAUGCUCGAGCGAACCAGAAGCUGCAGCUCGCCGAGAACCGCUCGCUGCUCGUCCCGCCGCCGCACCGCCGCACCGCCGCGCCGCGCCCGUGCGCCCGCCGCCGUCCGUGCGCGCUCAGGCCGCGCGAUCCAGCGACCCAGCUGCUGUUCGCUUCUGUUACAGCUUCGUCCAGCCAUCCCCGGCCACCUCCGGCCACCGCCCAACCCCGCCGGACCUCCCCCGCAACCCCCUCGCCCUCCGCCGGCUUUCCCUCGCCGCCCUAGCCGCCGGAGCAAGCCCGAUCGGCUCCGUCCAGCAGACCCACGGAGUGGGUUUCAGCGACUUCGGGCCCACUUUUGGGUCGUUUCCCGGCCCCGAACCCGAGCCGUGCUUUGGGAACAAUCGUUCCUCGCGUCGCCGCCGUCGGAUUGAUCCGAUUUGCGGGCGAUUUGGUGAGUAAUCUCACUAAUCUCGGAUUAGUUGGCUAAUUAUGCUUUAGGUUGGUUUAGUUUUAAUUAAUUAUGUUUAGGUUGUUAGAUUAGAAGUAAUUAGCAAUUAUUAGUCAAUUGUGAUGCGAUUUAGAUAAAUUGAUUGUGCAAUUAACAAGUAGACGUGGUCUACUAUUUAUUGGGAGUGUCUCGGGAAUUUUCGGACCCCUAAUUGGGCUUCAAUUUGGCAAUUCGGGCCUAAGUGAGAUUUUUGGGCAUUUAAAUAUUAAUUUUCGGAAUUAAAUUAAAUAAUUAUUUAUUUUCCGAAAAUUCAAGGGAGAUGGUUCGGAACCGGAAUAUUAUGCUGAUGACCGUGGUGAAGUCUAUUUAUUUAAUCGGGCUUUAUUUUAAGCUAAAUUGAAUUUUUAAUAUUAAUUAUUUAAUUUUAGAAAUUAAUUAAUUAUUUAUUUAUUUCUUGAAAAUUCAACUGAGAUGGCCUGGAACCGGAAAAUUAUGCUGAUGAUCGUGGUGAAGCCCGUUUGUUUAAUUGAGUUUUAGUUUGUGCUAAUUUAAAUUUUUAAUAUUUAUUAAUUAAAUUUCGAAAUUAAUUAAUUAAUUAUUUAUUUUUCGGAAAUUAAGAUUGAGAUGGCCGACGACCGAAAUCUCGUGCCGAUUGUCGUGACGCAGUCCGUUUAUUUAUUUGAGCUUUGAAUUGUGCCAAAUUAAAUCUUGCAAGUGGUCGAGUGGGACCGUAAAGCCAUUAAAUCUUGCAAGUGGUCGAGUGGGACCGUAAAGCCAUUAAAUCUUGCAAGUGGUCGAGUGGGACCGUAAAGCCAUUAAAUCUUGAAAGUGGUCGAGUGGGACCGUAAAGCCAUUAAAUCUUGCAAGUGGUCGAGUGGGACCGUAAAGCCAUUAAAUCUUGCAAGGGGUCGAGUGGGACCGUAAAGCCAUUAAAUCUUGCAAGGGGUCGAGUGGGACCGUAAAGCCAUUAAAUCUUGCAAGUGGUCGAGUGGGACCGUAAAGCCAUUAAAUCUUGCAAGUGGUCGAGUGGGACCGUAAAGCCAUUAAAUAUUGAAUGUUGCUGAGUGGGACUCUGAAUAGCAAUAGUUUGAAUGACCGGGAAAUGGUCAGGUUGACAUGUAAUCGACAAGGUCGAUUGAUCAUUGUUUUGAUUUGAUGUUGUGAAUUGAUUGACUGAAUGGGAAUGACCGUGAGUGGUCUUGUUGACUUGUCAUCGACUAGGUCGAUUUGAUUGAUGCCUUGAUCGGUGAUACGAUUGCUUGAGUGCCUAUUGUGAAUUGUACUGACUUGCAGGUGGGAUCUGAUGCUAAGGUACGUCUUCUGACUUAUGCGUGUUUAGGCAGCCUUAGUAUAAUGGUUCACUAAUCGGGCUUAGUGGGGUAGAACUCGCUGAGACGUAGUCUCAUCCCAGUUUGGGGAAAACCAUUUCAGGACCCCGCUAAGGAGCUGAGGAGGAAGAGUUGGAGAAGGAUUUUGGGAGAAGAAGACAAUCUCGAGAGGGCCCGUGAGUACGGCCUAGAUGGACUGAAAUUUUAUCUUCUUUGAUAUCUCCAUUUUGAUGUGAAUAGAGUUUAGAAUAAAAAAUUGUGAAGUGUUCUGGUUUGUGGUUUGUAUAAAAGUUUGGUUAUAAAUUUUUCAAUAUGAAAAAUAUGGCCCUGCUUUUCUAUCCCAUCGAUUUAUUGUCUGGGGAUUUUUAAUUGCUUCCGCAUGUGCUUAAAAAUGAAAGGGUCGGCGAUACAUUGUCCUGGGAUAUCGCAUUAUAAAAUCGACCAAGUGAGACGGAUGUGUGCGUGCCUGAGGAUCGGGGCGUGACACUGUAAGGAGCUCCGGUCGCUGCCAGAGCUUCCUUCGGGCUUAACAUGUCUGUCGGUUACUUGUCAGAGUCUUGGACUGCCACAGCUCCUUCGCCUCAUCCACCUAGAAGAACUCAAUCUUGAGGUACCCCAUUUACUUGAAGACAUCCGCGACCUUUCUUCAAUAACAUUGAAACUCUGUUUUGAGGAGUGGGAUAAGCUGAUAUCACUUUCGCUCUACGAACACAUGCACCUGGAAGAGCUUUCAAUAAAAAAGUGCAGGUCCAUCAAUAGGUCGACCCUUUCACAAUUGAUUCAUCUGAGACGAUUACGCAUUGAGCAUUGCAAUAGUCUAUUUGAAAUUUCAAGAUUUAUAAAUUUGGAGUCCUUGGAGGUCAUAUUUUUAUAUGAUUGCAAUUCCAUUAGAAGGCUUUUCUGUCCAAAAUCAGAGUGUUUGAAGAAAUUAGUGGUAGUUGGGUGCGACAAUCUAGUCGAAAUUCAAUGUCUUGAGAAUGUGAAUCUCGUAGUAGAGUUGGAUUUUACAGGAUGCAAAUCAAUGGAGACUUUGCCAGAUUUGAUAGGAUGUGUGAAGUUAUGAUCUCUAAGAGUUCGAGGCUGCAAGAAACUUACACGGCUUCAGGGACUUGAAAAGUUGAAUUUAGUUGAUUUGGAUAUUUCUGGUUGUGACUCCUUGGAAGCAACACCGAACUUAUUUGGAACUCGCAUCUUUAGAAAUUAUGAACAAGAGCUGUCUUUUGAUUCAUGGAGUGAUGUUUCCUGAAUAGAGGUAAAUAAGCGGUGAACAAUCAUUUUUUGUCUGAGAUUCAUGACCUACUUUUGAUCACUUUUUUUGACAAGGAGGUUUUCUAUGACAGGGUUCUGUACUAUCCUAAAUUGCUAGUCUUACAUAAUUGAAGGAGUGGGGCAGUUGGUUGUAGAAGCUGAGAUGAUGCUUUAGCGAAGAUCAAAAUGCAGACCCUAAUGUCAAUAGAAGGCAUAGAGGCUGAUGAACUUCUGCUACUCAUUAUUGUAUACUACGCCUAGAAUUUCCCAACGUCCAAUGUUCAUAUUUUCUUUGAAAAACCAUUUUGAGUUACUUUGUAUGUUCUUUUAUAUGUCAAAUUUGACUAAUGGUAGAUAUCGUGUUUGGGACAAACGCCUUUCGAUUUUCCAUAAUGCAUGAAACCCCUGUCAAGUUUCUUACUGUUCCCUUGAUGUCCCUCAUUAACCUUCUAAGAAGAGCAUAACUUCUCGGAAUAUGAUGAACUGAGCUAAAAUAAAAUUCAAGGUUCAAGUGUUUCUGUUUGGUGACCAAAAAAAAAAGAGUAGUUUUGGCUAGUCUGUCAUAUAUGAAUGUAGACCACCUUAACAUUAUUAGUAGCUGAACUGUUGUUUUGAAGGAUUAUCAAGCAAGGUAAACUGGUGUUGCUUCUAUGACAUGUUUGGUUGGUCUAUGCGACGAUCUAGGCUUACUUUGGGACUUCAAUUCAAUUAAUUGCAUCAAUGACCUUUUGCAUUAUUGGACAAUUUUUUGCCUGUCUGUGAAACAAGCUGGGAUGCGGAGCUCAAGAAUCUGCUAAUUAGUUUGCAUCCCGUUUGAUCCUAUUGUUGUCAUGGAAUUGCUUUAUGGCAUGACUGAUUUGGGCAUGGCUAACUGUGCUGAGGAACUUCAAAUUCCAUACCUGAGGCUGAUCAAAAUAAAGAAAAGGGAUUUUUCAGAGGAAGCUACCGCGACAACUGAGGACCAUCUUGCGUGCCAACCUUGAAGAUGCUCUGGGGCUGACUGGAGUGUUACAAGGAAGUUUUGAUGCUUCUGAAUAUUCAAACACUUGAUCUGAUCUCGACGUCACAUCCCUGAAUGAUUCUAAAUGUAUUUUUUUUUUCAAUUAAAUAUUCUUUGUAUGCUCAUCAGGUUCUAGCUCUCAUUUAAUCAAAUACUAAGCUGCUGAUUUUUUGUAUGUUACCCAAAUGCAGAGUUGUCCGAUGCGGUUACAUUCUAAUGGUAUCACUCCCGAAUUGAUAAGGCUUUGUAGAGGGAGGUAUGCACUGCUAGGCUCCUCCAUUUUUAUCAGUUUAUUUGUGUGAUGAUAUCCUUUGAAUGUUGUCAUAUAGGUUUCUGAUUUGAUAAGAUCAAUUUUCAUGUAUGCAACAUUGGAUCUGUAAAGUUGAAAUUAACCUCCUCACAAGCUAAUCCUGUAUUGCUGAUAUUGCUAUCUGGAUCUUGCAAUAUAACCCAGUAGCAAAUAAAUUUUUAUGUUCUGUAGUUUAGGCACUAAUCCUUUCAGCAUAAUUUUAUUAAUUUCAAUUCUGUUCCUAAACACAAAAAGGAAAAGUGUUGCUAAUUGCUUACUCCUUUUAUGCCUGUUGGUUUCUUUUUCAUCGGCCAUCUAAUAAAGUCUCUGUUCAUUGUGGUCCAACUCUGGUAUUGAUAUUUACGCAUUUGUACCUUAUCUCUCAUGGGGUAAAUUCUGAUGCUACGAUCUUGGAUUUAUUGAUAAUUAGUUAGUGCUAUCUUCCUUGUGCAGACUAAAGCUGCAUUUGAUGAAACUUGGAGAAAGUCCCCAGACACCAUGGGUUGAAGAUACGGGCAAGAAUGAGCUAUGUGAGUAUAGAAAGGCAUUUUGGAGUUUUUUGCUAUUGGCGUUUGUCAUUGGCUCUGUGUUGUUAUUACUCUUCAAAGGAUUCUUGAUAUAAGGCGACCUCUUCUCAUGUGGUGUAUUAGUCCUUCGCAAGCUUUGAAAUUGUGCUACUCUUUAGCAAAGGCUGCAUCACAAAUCGCUUGGAGGUAGCAACGGCUGCAUCAUAAAUCACUUGGAGGAAGACCGCACGUGUAGAUGGUUCUACAUGUGGAGUCAAGCUUAAAAUGAGAGUUGUUGACAAGAUUACCAUUUAGAUGUCCACUUUAAGCUACAGUUUUGUGACUGGGAGGGACUUUUUUUGUGGAAAAAGCAAAUGCCAAGAGAUCAGCAAAUAAUCUGUAAAUUGCAGCCAAGAGUUUCAAUGAACAGCUUUCCAAGAAGACAGGAGUUUCCCAUUUGGAAGAAUUUUGAACACAAAAGAAUGGCAUUCAUUAGUGUAAAAUCAUCUCUCUGGUCUGGUUAUGUCGGAAUAUUCAUAUGUAGGCAUUUUGCAAUCACUUUGGCGGUAUAAUCUCAAACUUGAUUUGUUUAAGCAUGAAUCUAAAAGCAGAAGAGACACAGCCAUGUACAUUUUCAUACCUAAAAUCAAGUAGAGAGACUAGUUCGUUCUUGAAGAGCAGCAUUACUUUCUCCUUUGAGAUUCUCUUAGGUGGACGCAUGGAGCUCAUGUCGCUCGGAGUCGCACCUCCACGGUUGUUUUUAGCGUUUCCACCUCUAAAACCAGGUCUCUCUCUCUCUCUCUCUCUCUCUCUCUCUCUCUCUAUGGAUUUGUUCUUGUACACUUAUGUCAGUCUGAUCAAGCACUGGGUUCUAAAGUGAAGUAUAGAGUUGUUUUAUGCAAUUCUCUAUCAAAAGUUUGUCUGAGUCUCUAGUGUGGAUGGAGUUUAUGUGGGCUCUAUUUCUUGAACGAGAAUUGAUGUAGAAAAAAUAGUUUUUUCUAUUCUUCUUUCGAGUUCUUCCUGCAAUAAAAGCUAGUGGCAUUGAUUAUCUGACGCCAUCUUGAUUUGAGGUUUCUCUUUGAAUGUGGUGUUAAAUGACAAAGAAAGAAUCGGUGGUUCACGUGAAAAUGGCUAUUUGAGUUGUUUGGAAAGGAAGGAAGCUAUUGGUAGUAGCUAUAACUUAGUGUGUUUAUUGCAGAGGAGGAGGGGAAAGCAAAGAAGAUAAGAUCAAAACAGGAUGGGAGAAUGUGUGUCUCAGUGUUUGGUUGGUUCACCAAGUUGAAAUUGGGGAGAGCAUGGCAAUCUUAGUAGCCACAAGAGAAUUUGGGAUCUUGGAUGAAGAAUGUGGCAACAGACUGGACCAAGAGCAGAUUGUUACAUGAGUUAGAACUGAAAAGAGGUGAAUCUGUCAAAUUAGAAGAACUUAUGUUAGAUUUUGCUGAUAUUACUGAGAUUCCUACGUCUAUCGGUUAUCUGAUGAAGUUGGAGAAAUUGAGUGCCUGCUGUUGUGAGUCACUCAGAGAAAUCCUAGCUUAAUUUGAGAUUUGCUGAAUAUGCAACAUUUGGACAUUAGUGAUCCUGGGAUUGAAAAGCUUCCUAGUGCUAUUGGAAGGUGUUGAAAAAUCUGCACACUAUAAGUCUCCUAUCAUGCCUUGUCUGAAAAAGCAAUUCCAAGUGAAAUCGGCGACUUGUCUUCACUCGAGAUUCUCUAUAUCACUUGUGCCGCUAUCUACCCUGCCAGAAAGCAUUCGGAAUGUUUCUUCUCUCCAAUGCCUUAGCCUAAUGGGCUAUGACAAGCUCCGGUUGCUGCCAGAGCUUCCUUCAAGCUUGACAUAUCUGUUGAUCUCUUGUCAGAGUCCCAGGUUGCCACAGCUUUCUAGCCUAAUUCACCCAUAAAAACUCCAUUUUAAGGCAUGCCAUCUAGUUGAAGACAUCCAUGAGAUUUCCUCAAGACCCUUGAAAUUCUGUAUUGAGGAGUGUGAUAAGCUGAUAUUGGUUAAGCUCAACAGAUUCAAGUACUUGGAAGAGUUUUGAUAUAAAAAAAAAAAAAAAAGUGCAGUUUGAUUGAAAGAUUGGCCCUUUCACAAUUAAUCCAUCUGAAAUGAUUAUGCACCAAGCAUUGCGAUAACCUAGUUGAAGUUCAGACCCAUGAUGAUUUGGAGUUCUUGGAGGGCAUAUUUAUACAUGACUGCAAUUCCAUUAAAAGGCUUCUCUGUCCAAAAUCAUGGUGUUUGGAGUAAUUACAGACCAUCAGGUGCAACAAUCUAGUCGAAAAUUGAGGUUUUGACAGUGUGUAGUUCUUAGAAAAAUUGGAUAUUACAAGAUGCAUGACAAUGGAGGCUUUGCCAAGUUUGACGGGAUGUGAGAAGUUACAAUCUCUAGUAAUUAAAGACUGAGAGAAACUUACUCAGCUUCAGGGACUUAAAAAGAUGGAUUUAGAUCUUUUGGAUGUUCAAGGUUGCAACUCAAUUGGAAAUGCUACUGAAAUUAUCUAGAACAUGCGUCACUGGAAAUUAUGAAGAGAUCUAUCUUGAUCUCUUUGUUGAAAUAUUAUACUACAGUGAUAGUGAUGUGAUGAAUCUUAUACCUGUAUUACAACAGUGAGACGAGUCAUGUUUCCUUGACAGAGAUAAAUAAGUAGUAAGCUAUCAUUUUUCUUCUAAUAUUCAUGACCUACUUUUCAUCACUAUCUUCUUUUGACAAGAUGGUUUUCCAUGACAGGGUUCUGACUUCCCUAAAUUGCCAGUAUUACAUAAUUGAAGGAGCAAGGGUAGUUGGUCAUAGAAGCUGACAUGAUGCUUCGGCCAAGAUCAUAAUAUAGACCCUAAUGUCAAUAGAAGGCACUGGUUAUCUAGUAAGAUUCUCCAUCCUUGAAUGGCCAGCGUGAGGGAAUGGAGUAACACUUUUCUUGAAGCUAUAUUUUUUAAGAAUGAUUUGCUCCGCACCGGGUAUCUAUUUGAUUGAUUUUGGAGACUCUGGAUUUGCUAACAUAUACUUGCUGUUGAAUACGGUAUAGCAAUGUUUUUCAUUUAUCCUUCCAUUGGCAGCUUUUGUAGACUGCAAACAGAUUAGUGAUUUGUGAGGCAAGACUGAAUAUCAACAUAGUUAGACAAGAAUCACCUAGUGAUUAACAGUUUCCCUCUCUGUAAACUUGGGAUUUGAAUUUUUCAUCUAGAGACCGAUGAUCUUCUGGUACUCAAUAUUGUAAACUAUGGCAAGUAUCCAUUUUCCCUAUGUUCAAAAUUCAUAUUUUCUUUGAAAAAAUCCUUGGCCAUUUUGAGUUCCUUUGUGAGUUCUUCUAUGUGUCAAAUUUGACCAAUGGCAGAUACCCCAUUGGGGAUUAACACAUUUUGAUUUUCUGUGAUGAACCCUAUCAGGUUUCUUAUUGUUCCCUUGAUUUUCCUCUUGAAUCUUCUAGAUAAGUAUCAAUUCCAGUAAGUAUAAAGAACUGAGCUAAAAUAAAAAUCAAAGUUCAAGUAUUUCUGGUUGGUGAUAAAAUAAAAAAAUGGAGAGUAUUUUUGGCUAGUCUUUCAUGUGUGAUUCUAGACUGCCUAUUCUUAACCUGCAGUCAAAUUAUUAUUUUGAAAGAUUAUCAAGCAAGGUAAAUUGGUACUGCUUCUACGACAGGUCUGGUUGGUCUAUAGGAUGAUCAAGGCUUACUUUGGGACUUAAAUUUGAUGAGCUUUAUCAAUGAUCUUUUGCAUAAUCUGGACAAAUUUUUUGCCCAAUCUGUGAAACAAGCGGGGGCAAGGAGCUCAAGAACUUGCUAAUGAGUCUGCAUCCCAUCUGAUCCUAUUGUUGUCAUGGAAUCGUUUUAUCACAUGAUUAAUCUGAGUCUGGCUAACUUGGCUGAGGAACUUCAAAUUCCAUGCCAAAGACUGAUCAAAAUGAAGAGGAUAUAUUUUGCAAAGGAAGCACCAGCAACAGCUGAGGACCAUCUUUUGUGCCAACGUUGAAGAGGCUCAUGGACCAACUGGAGUGUGUUUAGGAAGUUUUGAUGCUUGUGAGGAUCCAAAACACUUCAUCUGAUCUCAACAGCACAUGCUUGAAUGAUUUAAAUGUUGUAUUUCCAGUUGAGUCUGCUUUUUGUAUGCACUCGAGGUUCAACCUCUCUGUCAAUCAAAUGUGUAGCUGGCUGAUUCUUUUGUAUGUCAUCCUGAUGCAGAGGUGUUUGCUGCCAUUGCAUUCUAAUGUAAUCACACCUGAACUCAGUGAGGCUCUGCAGAGGGAGGUAUGCACUACUAGUCAUACCAUGACAAUGAAAAAAUAACCUGUGUGCUUAUACUAUAUGAGCUAUGGAAUUUCACCUGAAAAUCAGUAAGCAAGUAUGCAUGAGGACAAUGUCCUCCAUUUCUAUCAGUUUAUCAAUGCAAUACUAUCCAUUGAAUGUUGUCAUAUAGGAUUCUGAUUUUUUUUUUUUCAAUUUGAUAAGCUCAGUUCUCAUGCGACGUCGACUUUGUAAAGUUGAAAUUCACCUCCUAGCAAAUUUUAUUGCACCGCUGAUUUUGUUGAUGGGAUAUUGCGAAAUAACCAUGUAACAAAUUCAUCUUUCUGUUCUGCAGUCUGAGCACCUCAUCUUCUCAGCAUAAUUUUAUUAACAAGGAAAGUGUUGCUAGUUGCUUUCGUCUCCAAAGCCUGCUAUUUUCUUUUUCAUUGGCCAGCUGAUGAGUUCUCUGUUCAUUGCUGUCCAACUGCAAUUGGGGCAAAUGAUGCUUUGUGCAUUUGUACCUUGUCUUUUACGGUGUAUAUUGUGAUGCUCCGAUCUUAGUUAUCUUCAUUCAUUGAUAAUUAGUAAAUUCUAUCCUUCUUGUGUAGAUUUAACCUGCAUUUCAUAAAAUGUAGAUAACAUCCCCAAACAUCACAGGAAGGAGAUGUGGGCAAGAAUGAGGUGUGUCAUGAGGUGUUACGGAAAGGCGUUCCAAAGUUCUUCGCCAUUGGUGCUUAUAAUGUGCUCCAUGUUGUUAAUAUUCUUCAAGGAUUCAUGAUAUAAAGGGACCUCUUAUAAUGUGUAGUAGUCCUUUGCAAGCUUUGAAAUCGUGCUAAUAAUGCCGAAUUUUCAAAAUGCUUUGAAGAGGACCGCAUAUGUACAGGUGGUUCUGUACGUGAAGUUAAGCAUAUGGCGAGGUUUAUCAAAAAGAUUACUGUUUAGAUGUCCACUUCAAGCUACGAUUUUUGUCAAUGUGGAAGACAUCUUCAUGGAAAAAGCGAAUGUCAUGGAAUCACCAAAUAAUCUAUCAAUUGCAGGCAAGAUUUUCAGCAAAACGAUUCCCAAAAGAAAGUACUUUCUCAUUUGGAAGAAUUUUGAGCACAAAAUAAGUGUUUCAUCAAUAUACGAUCAUCUCUGAGCCUCGGGAAGUUCAUGUAUCGGCGUUUUGCAAUCACUUGUAAGAGUAUAAUCUCAAACUCGAUUCCUUUAAGCAGGAAUCUAUAAAGCAGAGUAUACACAGCCGUACAUUUUCCAUACCUGGAACCAAAUUUUCUUUGGCAUUGGCUACAAUUGAACUGGAUAAAAAUGUCAAGAAUAAUCUCUGGAAAGGUGAAAGUAUCUCCUCCCAAUGCUUAUACUCAUUUGGUUUGGACAAAAACACUGGAGGGGUCAUCUAAUUAAUUAGUACUCGGACUAUACUACACCAAAUUGUGGUCAUUAGUCAUCAUUCAAGUUUAAAUCGAAGCAAUUUCUUUGGAGCCACUCUCAGAUGUUCCUCUUUAUCAUACGACAUUACAAUUGUGGAACUUUAGUAGUUGAAAGCUACUCGCAUCAUAGAGUCUGAUUCGCUCGUUGUCUAGCUGAACUUUAAGUUAAUACUUUCUGGAGCUAAAGAUAAGGCCAAGUAACUUUAAGUCAAUACUUUCUGGAACCUUUGUUUGAUACAAGCCUUGAACUUGCCUCGACCGAAUAAAGCUUGUAUCUGGCCAGCCUCCUCUUCCUCUGCUUCUCGGGGUCAUUCCACCACGACACUUUUAUCGACUUCUAAAAUGUAAGAAAUAGGCAAAGCCAAAGUCCAUUUUGACUUCCGACAUCAGGUUUGUCUAUUUCCAUCCCAGAGACGAUGGUAGCACAUACAAUCUGGACCUCUCUAGUAUACCAUUUCUUUUGAACAGCUACUCCUUGACGGGCUACCAAUCCAGCAUGAUUGUACACCAUCUUUAUACGUCACUUCUCUUGUGACAUCAACACAUUCACUCUUCAAAAGGCCAUGUACUAUGCCACAAAAAUUAGCAAAACAAUUCUUUAGCAGCUCUCCAAGCUGCUUCAGUGGUUCAUUGGUCUUAGCUAUGACCUCAUACUUUAGAUUUAGUCUGUCAAAGUUCGUGUCAGAACAAGAGCAUAGGGAACCCCAAGAGCCUUUAGGAUAUCCUGUAAUGGACAUGUAAUUUAAUCAGAAUAGACAGAUUAUUUCAACAUAAUCAGGCGAUUAAUAUGUAAUUCAAGUACCUCACGAACUGACUGAGUGGUAGUUGCAGUUAAAGCCAUCACUGGGACAUUCGGAAAGUUCUGCUCGAGACAUCCCAGUCCCCCGUAAUCUGGACAAAAUGUCCUAUAGACUACAAUAAUGACAACCACGAAAGUGACAACCAAUGAGCUUUCUACGUUAAUCAGUCAAAUGUACAAGAAAAGCUCAAACCAGCAGUAUGUUCCUUUCAUGAGAUCAAACUGGCAGAGCAAAUCCAUUUAAAACCUUGUAAGAAACACAAUCAAUGAUCACAUGGUUGAACCUUUGCCUUUCUCAAGUCGUUAACGUUAAGUAUAAGCAUUAAUAGAAUAAACAGGGACACAAGAACCAGCUUAAGAGACUGAGUAUCAUGCCAAACAUAGAGAGGAGAAUUGAUCAUUAUCCAAGCUUAUGCCGAUUCCAAUUAGUCUAGGAAGUGAUUUCUAUUGGAGCUUAUUUAAGUUGUGUGCUCUUUACUCAAUAUAAUGAACAAUGUGCUGCUAAGUGUACCCAAACAAUGGAACCUAAAUCUUUUCAUCAAACAUGGAACACUGAAUUCUGUUAUAUUAGAACUUCACAGGGUUCUGGGCUUCAGUAGGUCUAGUGUAACAUUGAUAACUCAAUUAGGCUAGGAACAUAGAAAAAUGCAGAGAAGUUUGGAAAAAGAGUUUAAGUUAGCAUACAUAAAAGUUAGUUUGCUUAUAUUUAUCUAGAACAAGGACAACAGUUUUACAGUGAAAUCACAAAUAAUUAUUCCUUUUGAAGUAAUUCUAGCAUGAUCUUUCUCAUGUACAAGGCAUGCCAAAGAUUAUGCAUACCUCACGCAAUGUGCCUCAUCAGUAAGAAAACCAGCUAGUAGUGCCUGCAAUGCAUGAUGGUCAAAUAUAAAAUAUUUACAAACCUUUUAGAAAAAGUUAUGGUGCAUCAGAAACAAUGCUUUUCUAUGUCAAUAUCUCAAGAAAUGAUGGGUUUCCCACGAUACUUUCAGGAGUUACAUACAAUAGCUUACACAAAGGUUUAUCUUUUCUGAAAAGGCAAGUGAAGCAGAAGCGGAGAUCAUUAAUUUGACAGUCACAAUGCUCAGCAUAAAUCACAAGCGUUCGUUUACGCAAAACAUUCCUUUCAAUGAUGCUGGAUUGCUAAUCCACACUUUGAUGAUCUGCUAUACUCUCAAAAGUAUUUGAGAAAUAUAGGAAUUUGUAAAUCAUCCAAACUGAAAUCAACUUCUUUAUUGACCAAAGUGUUCUAAUAUGUCAUUUUGGAUCUUGAAGAGUGUGGAAGCAAUUGGCAAAAGUUAUGACUCUCUAUUGGAUAUUUGAUUGGAUGAGAGGCCCCAUAAGCAAUUUACUAAAUGCUUUCGGACAUGUACAAUGGUAGGUCCUGUGCUGUGUGCAGAAUCACAAGCAAAUUGGAAAUGAUCAAGCAGAGAAAAAAUUAUAAGAGAAAAGAAUAGUGAAACAUUGAUUUAAGUGGUUUGGCAGCAUUGUCUAUGUCCAUGGAAGAAGCAUACCGUGGAUUCUAAAGAUCAUCUGGCCAGAAUUUGAGAGUUCUGCUUUGGUUAGGAACAUAGCACGUGGAUUUCCUACCUAUUUUAUUACCCAAAACAUCAUCUUCGUCUUCACUGUCAGUAGAGGAAUCCACCUCAAGGAAAGUUUGAUUUUUCACAGGUUGUGGAGAAUCUUCUAUAAUAUGGACAUCUUGUAUAACAUUGCAGUCACCGUCAUUACGGAUAUCUUAGCCAAACAUAUCAGUCAAAACUCCACAAGCUUCUGAUCUGCAGCUUGCAAAUCAUCCCAAUCCUCAGAGUCUUGCAUGGUUUUGACAAGUUCUGCUAGGAAGACAUUGCCACAGUGAUAAACUCUUGACCUUCGUCACCUUAACAGAACUAAAAGAAGAAAGAGAUGAAUUUGCAGAGCCAUGGCAAACAAGAGAUCAAAUAUAUACUAUCUACAAUAAGUAUUCUACACUUAGUUCAGUGCAACACAAUAUUGGUAUUAUCGCAAGACACCCAUAAGCAAUUUGCAAUGAAUUUAGAAAAAAAGCCAGACGGUUUGCUUGUCAAUAGGACUACUCCACCAAACCCACAAAGAAACAGGGGAUGAGAUUAACGCUCAACAAACCAAACUCCGGUCCAUUCAAAUCCAAAGUAGACUAUUAUUCCAGAGCCAUCGCCAGAAUGACUAAACGCAAUGAAUCUCCUUAAUUAAGAAUAUGCACAUUCAAUCAAAUGCACAAAUUAUCCGCGCAACACAAGCAAUUAAAGUCAUUCCCCCGAUGACCAGAUAUCACACAAUUUGGCCCAAUAAUCAAGAAAAAAACCACCGUCAUCCGAAGUAACCUAAGCACAUCAAGCUGGACCAGUGCCGGACAUUUUGCUCGUCAGUAGGACUGCUACUUCACUAAACCCGCUCCGAUCCAUUCAGACCUAAAGCAAGACCCUUCUACUGCCAUCAACAUCGUGGGGACGAGAGCUACCUACGCAAUCUCUGAAAAUGCUUAUUAGCAUAAAAAGCGCGUGACGAAAUAACGAUUCGAGUUACCGUAGAGAGCGAAACGAGACGGUCCAGGCACUUGCUGGUGGACUGCUCGUCGAAGCCGAACUCAAGAGCCGAGCUCAGCAACCGAGCUUUCUCUACCUCCGAGCCCUGCUCCCUCCACGGAAUGUUCAACCUGUCCGAGCGGUUCGAGCGAUUGAUGGUGGCCGAGUUGGAAUCGGAUCGAAUCGAUCCAUAGUCUCGAAUCGAAUUCGAGCGAGCUCGGAGAAUGGGGGAGAUCGGAGCCUUACAGUUCUUUUUUUGACAAUUCCGUUUUCGCCCCUGAAGUUUGUUUAAGUUCUAUUUUUGCUCCCCCUCUUCUAAGUUUUUUCUGGUUUCAUUCGACCCCCUCGGGCUCGUUUGGUGUGAAGGCUCCCUUGGCAAACGCGAGACUUGCAUGGGGUACUAGAAGUUUUAGGGUGCGUUUGGCUGGCACCUAUUCUGUUCCCAGGAACAGAAAUUUCUGUUUUUUUGUUCCUGGGACAAAAAGGACAGAAACGCGUUUGGUGCGUUUAUGUCUUUUUGUCUUUGUCCAGGACAAAANNNNNNNNNNNNNNNNNNNNNNNNNNNNNNNNNNNNNNNNNNNNNNNNNNNNNNNNNNNNNNNNNNNNNNNNNNNNNNNNNNNNNNNNNNNNNNNNNNNNNNNNNNNNNNNNNNNNNNNNNNNNNNNNNNNNNNNNNNNNNNNNNNNNNNNNNNNNNNNNNNNNNNNNNNNNNNNNNNNNNNNNNNNNNNNNNNNNNNNNNNNNNNNNNNNNNNNNNNNNNNNNNNNNNNNNNNNNNNNNNNNNNNNNNNNNNNNNNNNNNNNNNNNNNNNNNNNNNNNNNNNNNNNNNNNNNNNNNNNNNNNNNNNNNNNNNNNNNNNNNNNNNNNNNNNNNNNNNNNNNNNNNNNNNNNNNNNNNNNNNNNNNNNNNNNNNNNNNNNNNNNNNNNNNNNNNNNNNNNNNNNNNNNNNNNNNNNNNNNNNNNNNNNNNNNNNNNNNNNNNNNNNNNNNNNNNNNNNNNNNNNNNNNNNNNNNNNNNNNNNNNNNNNNNNNNNNNNNNNNNNNNNNNNNNNNNNNNNNNNNNNNNNNNNNNNNNNNNNNNNNNNNNNNNNNNNNNNNNNNNNNNNNNNNNNNNNNNNNNNNNNNNNNNNNNNNNNNNNNNNNNNNNNNNNNNNNNNNNNNNNNNNNNNNNNNNNNNNNNNNNNNNNNNNNNNNNNNNNNNNNNNNNNNNNNNNNNNNNNNNNNNNNNNNNNNNNNNNNNNNNNNNNNNNNNNNNNNNNNNNNNNNNNNNNNNNNNNNNNNNNNNNNNNNNNNNNNNNNNNNNNNNNNNNNNNNNNNNNNNNNNNNNNNNNNNNNNNNNNNNNNNNNNNNNNNNNNNNNNNNNNNNNNNNNNNNNNNNNNNNNNNNNNNNNNNNNNNNNNNNNNNNNNNNNNNNNNNNNNNNNNNNNNNNNNNNNNNNNNNNNNNNNNNNNNNNNNNNNNNNNNNNNNNNNNNNNNNNNNNNNNNNNNNNNNNNNNNNNNNNNNNNNNNNNNNNNNNNNNNNNNNNNNNNNNNNNNNNNNNNNNNNNNNNNNNNNNNNNNNNNNNNNNNNNNNNNNNNNNNNNNNNNNNNNNNNNNNNNNNNNNNNNNNNNNNNNNNNNNNNNNNNNNNNNNNNNNNNNNNNNNNNNNNNNNNNNNNNNNNNNNNNNNNNNNNNNNNNNNNNNNNNNNNNNNNNNNNNNNNNNNNNNNNNNNNNNNNNNNNNNNNNNNNNNNNNNNNNNNNNNNNNNNNNNNNNNNNNNNNNNNNNNNNNNNNNNNNNNNNNNNNNNNNNNNNNNNNNNNNNNNNNNNNNNNNNNNNNNNNNNNNNNNNNNNNNNNNNNNNNNNNNNNNNNNNNNNNNNNNNNNNNNNNNNNNNNNNNNNNNNNNNNNNNNNNNNNNNNNNNNNNNNNNNNNNNNNNNNNNNNNNNNNNNNNNNNNNNNNNNNNNNNNNNNNNNNNNNNNNNNNNNNNNNNNNNNNNNNNNNNNNNNNNNNNNNNNNNNNNNNNNNNNNNNNNNNNNNNNNNNNNNNNNNNNNNNNNNNNNNNNNNNNNNNNNNNNNNNNNNNNNNNNNNNNNNNNNNNNNNNNNNNNNNNNNNNNNNNNNNNNNNNNNNNNNNNNNNNNNNNNNNNNNNNNNNNNNNNNNNNNNNNNNNNNNNNNNNNNNNNNNNNNNNNNNNNNNNNNNNNNNNNNNNNNNNNNNNNNNNNNNNNNNNNNNNNNNNNNNNNNNNNNNNNNNNNNNNNNNNNNNNNNNNNNNNNNNNNNNNNNNNNNNNNNNNNNNNNNNNNNNNNNNNNNNNNNNNNNNNNNNNNNNNNNNNNNNNNNNNNNNNNNNNNNNNNNNNNNNNNNNNNNNNNNNNNNNNNNNNNNNNNNNNNNNNNNNNNNNNNNNNNNNNNNNNNNNNNNNNNNNNNNNNNNNNNNNNNNNNNNNNNNNNNNNNNNNNNNNNNNNNNNNNNNNNNNNNNNNNNNNNNNNNNNNNNNNNNNNNNNNNNNNNNNNNNNNNNNNNNNNNNNNNNNNNNNNNNNNNNNNNNNNNNNNNNNNNNNNNNNNNNNNNNNNNNNNNNNNNNNNNNNNNNNNNNNNNNNNNNNNNNNNNNNNNNNNNNNNNNNNNNNNNNNNNNNNNNNNNNNNNNNNNNNNNNNNNNNNNNNNNNNNNNNNNNNNNNNNNNNNNNNNNNNNNNNNNNNNNNNNNNNNNNNNNNNNNNNNNNNNNNNNNNNNNNNNNNNNNNNNNNNNNNNNNNNNNNNNNNNNNNNNNNNNNNNNNNNNNNNNNNNNNNNNNNNNNNNNNNNNNNNNNNNNNNNNNNNNNNNNNNNNNNNNNNNNNNNNNNNNNNNNNNNNNNNNNNNNNNNNNNNNNNNNNNNNNNNNNNNNNNNNNNNNNNNNNNNNNNNNNNNNNNNNNNNNNNNNNNNNNNNNNNNNNNNNNNNNNNNNNNNNNNNNNNNNNNNNNNNNNNNNNNNNNNNNNNNNNNNNNNNNNNNNNNNNNNNNNNNNNNNNNNNNNNNNNNNNNNNNNNNNNNNNNNNNNNNNNNNNNNNNNNNNNNNNNNNNNNNNNNNNNNNNNNNNNNNNNNNNNNNNNNNNNNNNNNNNNNNNNNNNNNNNNNNNNNNNNNNNNNNNNNNNNNNNNNNNNNNNNNNNNNNNNNNNNNNNNNNNNNNNNNNNNNNNNNNNNNNNNNNNNNNNNNNNNNNNNNNNNNNNNNNNNNNNNNNNNNNNNNNNNNNNNNNNNNNNNNNNNNNNNNNNNNNNNNNNNNNNNNNNNNNNNNNNNNNNNNNNNNNNNNNNNNNNNNNNNNNNNNNNNNNNNNNNNNNNNNNNNNNNNNNNNNNNNNNNNNNNNNNNNNNNNNNNNNNNNNNNNNNNNNNNNNNNNNNNNNNNNNNNNNNNNNNNNNNNNNNNNNNNNNNNNNNNNNNNNNNNNNNNNNNNNNNNNNNNNNNNNNNNNNNNNNNNNNNNNNNNNNNNNNNNNNNNNNNNNNNNNNNNNNNNNNNNNNNNNNNNNNNNNNNNNNNNNNNNNNNNNNNNNNNNNNNNNNNNNNNNNNNNNNNNNNNNNNNNNNNNNNNNNNNNNNNNNNNNNNNNNNNNNNNNNNNNNNNNNNNNNNNNNNNNNNNNNNNNNNNNNNNNNNNNNNNNNNNNNNNNNNNNNNNNNNNNNNNNNNNNNNNNNNNNNNNNNNNNNNNNNNNNNNNNNNNNNNNNNNNNNNNNNNNNNNNNNNNNNNNNNNNNNNNNNNNNNNNNNNNNNNNNNNNNNNNNNNNNNNNNNNNNNNNNNNNNNNNNNNNNNNNNNNNNNNNNNNNNNNNNNNNNNNNNNNNNNNNNNNNNNNNNNNNNNNNNNNNNNNNNNNNNNNNNNNNNNNNNNNNNNNNNNNNNNNNNNNNNNNNNNNNNNNNNNNNNNNNNNNNNNNNNNNNNNNNNNNNNNNNNNNNNNNNNNNNNNNNNNNNNNNNNNNNNNNNNNNNNNNNNNNNNNNNNNNNNNNNNNNNNNNNNNNNNNNNNNNNNNNNNNNNNNNNNNNNNNNNNNNNNNNNNNNNNNNNNNNNNNNNNNNNNNNNNNNNNNNNNNNNNNNNNNNNNNNNNNNNNNNNNNNNNNNNNNNNNNNNNNNNNNNNNNNNNNNNNNNNNNNNNNNNNNNNNNNNNNNNNNNNNNNNNNNNNNNNNNNNNNNNNNNNNNNNNNNNNNNNNNNNNNNNNNNNNNNNNNNNGACCGGCCAAAAGAAGAAAAAAGAAAAAAGGAAAAAGAAAAAAGAAAAAGGAAAAAUAAGAAAAAAAUAGAAAAAAAUAAAAGAAAUAAAAAAUUUAUACAAAUUUACCAAACGUGUUUCUAUUUAUUUUUUGUUCCCGGAACAAGUUUACCAAACGCAUUUUUUUGUUCAGAAAUUGUUCCCAGGAACAGAAACACUUUUUUUUAUUUCCGUUCCUUAGAACAAUUUUUAAACAGAAACGCAAACAAACACACCCUUAGAUUUCCAAGACGGAUCUCAAAUUUAUUUUCUGUUGCUGUUUAUCUACUAAACAAACAAUCGGCAAAGUAAUAGCUUUUUUCUAACCAAAAAAGCAAAGAAAAGAAAAGUAAUAGCUUUUUCUUUACUUUACAUUUUUACCUUUAUAUAUAUUAAUAUACAUAUUUCAAUGGAAUGAUUUUCAAAAAUUUUGGAAAAAUAGUUUCCAACACUACUUUAUUGUUUGGCACAAAAACAAAAAACUACUCUACCGUCUUUACCAAAAAAAAAAAAAAAAAACUACUCUAUUGUGCCCAAAACAUCAUGAUUAUAAUGGAAAUUUCAUAAUUUAAAACUCUCUUUUAUGGGAUCAAUCCCGCAUUCAAUGUGGAUAGUUGGAUGGGCAAAAACAAAAUCCGUCAAGCCUAUUCUACAAAUUCUAUUUUCUAUUGUAACUUUCAGGCAUUAAAGAAAAGUUCUGGAUGCAAAUGUUUUCAAUUAUAUCUGCUCAAGAAACGUUAUGACAAAAUAAAGAAAAUUACUAACACAUAGGUUGCAAAACUUUACAAAGUGUGAAUAAAGUUACAAUCACUUUAAUAUUUUACUGACAUACACACAAGAAGUUCACUAUUAAUAAGUAGACUACUGUUUUUAUGGAAUAUUGUGAACCAUAGGCUCAGAGGAUUUACGACCUCCAAAAAUAAAAAUUAAACUCUCCAAAGAAAAUUUAUCCAAGGAUAUUUUACAAAUAAAUCACUACAGUAAGAACAACUACAUACGCCAUAGGAAAAUUACAUUCUAUUAAGUGAUUUACUAACAAUCUAAGAAAAAAAUUGUCAUAAACUUAAGACAGUUUUUUUUUUUUGGUGAUAUAUUCCAAAUCAUAAGAUACAUGAAAUUUAAGUAACAAAAGAAAAAAUACACCAAUUAGUAAAUUAUUAUUAAUUAGGAAAAUUAAGGAUACUAAAGAAAGAUCACGAUAAAUUAGAUGGAUUCGGUCCGUUUUGCCUUCUCAUGAAACCAGCACCUAUCCCUUGGUCUUGUGAGGAUCUACCAGAACUAGUCAACAGCAAUCUAUGAGACAACGUAAAUCAUUAAAACCAGAAAAGAUUAAAUCUGCAACUGUAAUAUCCAAGAGAGAUUAGUGCUUGCUCUUCAAACAACUAUCGGAGAGAGAGAAGUGCAAAUAUUUACUCAUUCCAAACCGUUUAAUAAGGCCAUAGAUGUGGCAGAGAUGGAUGUAGAUGACACCUUCAGAAAUUUCAAAGUCAAUAGAACCCACUGUAAAGUCCACAUGCCCCAGAAGUUAUAAGGCCUUAAAUCAAGCAGCAUCAUUGACAUAUCACAAUAAUGCCGCAAUUGAAAUAUGGAAAUGAGAACACCACUUCAAAUCCAGAACUUCUGUUAGAAAUAUUGGCAAUGCGCCAUACAGUAAAUCUCGGGAGGCAUACCUUUAUAUUUAACCCCAUUUUUAUUUGAAAGAAUUGCAGUUUUUUUCUUUUUUGAUCAGCCUAUUCAUAUCGAUAAUUUAUCAUCUCAUGUUUCUGCUUUCUGUGGAGACCGCUUCUCUCUCUUCCCAUGCAAUGAUGCGAAACCGUGAGCCUUGAACUAUGAGGACUAAAAAUGAGACCCCAUCAUAUCAAUCUCUCACAAGUCAUCGACCAAUCUUAAUGAAACAAAAUUGGAUGAUAAACUAGAUUGUGCAUGGAGAUUUAAUAAUCGCAAAUGUAUAACAUGUUCAAGGGAACUAACCAGGCUUGCCUCCAGAAAAUACAGGGCUUUCAACAGGUUCAACACCAUAGAGCUGACAAAUAAAAGAGAACCAGCAAGAAGUUAGACUAGAAGGGGAGAAAAAGAAUAACAUGCAGCUGAUGCAGCGCUCUCAACACAAAAAGAAUGUUCAGGCAAAAGGUUUUUUAUUCAAGGCAUCCAUAAUUGAUAAUCACCCAAAAUUGACAUUAUUUUGUCUGAGUUCAACACAUGACAAACAAUAUCAUAAAAACAAUCUACCUUUAUGUCAGGGUUUUGCUCUUUCAAAAACUUUCCAGCACCAGUUAUAGUACCACCAGUUCCUAUUCCAGAAACAAAGGCAUCUAUUUUGCCGCCCGAGCCUUUCCAUGUCCCUGGUCCGGUUGUUUCAUAAUGUAUCUAAACAGAACAAUGACAGCAAAGCUCAAGUUCGUGCCAUCACCUGCAUAUACAACCAACAAGACAUUACAGUUGACCACACAUGUGCCUUUGGGUUAGCAGGAUUCUUGAACUGCUGAAGAAUGUAAGAGUUAGGUUUCUUUGCCAUUAUCUCCACUGCUUUCUGAAUAGCCCUUUUCAUGCCCUUGGGAGGAUUGGUCAGGACCAACCCAGCUCCAAAAGCACAGAGGAUGAUCCUUCUUUCCAAAUUCAUAGAUGCUGGUAUUGUAAUGAUUAACCUGUGUAGCCUUUGUUGCUGCCAUGAAUGCCAAAGGCAAUGCCAGUAUUGCCAUUGGUAGGCUCAAUCAGUACACUCUUCAGCAAUUUUGAAUAAAAAGACAAAAUGAAAAAUCCAUUAGCAAAAGAGCUUCAUUUCUAUAUAAAUUCAUUUGCAACUGUGCAUAAUACCAAUACAGUGAUUAUUUGCUGGCAUUCCCUAAUGACCAGAUACAGCGCAUUUUGGCCAAUAAACAAGAAAGGCUUUGCCGCGUGCCCAGUUAUCAUCAAAGAUAAGACUACUUCACCAAACCCACUCCGAUCUAUUCAAACCUAGAGCACACUAUUCCCUAGCCAUCAUCACCAUCGUCGUGGUGGACGAUGAAAUACCUACACGACCUAACCUCUGCAAAGGCAAAUAAGCAUUAUUAAAAAAAAAAAAGAUGGGCGACAAAGUAACGAUUGAAGUUACCGUAGAGGGAAACGAGACGGUCCCAAGCACUUGCUGGAGGACUGCUCGUUGAAGCCGAACUGGAGAGCCAAGCUCAGCAACCCGAGACUUCUCUGCCUCCUCAAACCCCCGAUGCUCGAUGGAAUCUCAACUUGUUCGACGCGAUUCGAAUCGAUUGAUCGAUGAUGCAAUGAAGAGAGAGAGAGAGAGAGCGCGCUCGAAGCGCUCUCUUCGAAGAAAAACGAUGCCAGCGAUGGCGGGACUGACGUUUUUUGCUCUGCUUUUUUACCAGCUGGAGAAUGGGAGAGAUUGGAGUCAUAUUUUUUUUAUUCUUUCUAAAACUCCGUUUUUGCGCCUGAAUUUUGUUGGAGUCUCUAUUUUUGCCCCCCUCAUAAGUUUUCCUGGUUUCAUUCGACACCCUUGGGUUGGGUCUAAGUAUUAGAAGAAGAGCAAGUAUUUUCCGCGAGACUUACAAGUAUACCAUCGACGUGAUACAUCAAGCCAAGCGUUAUUUAACAAAAUGGCUGUAGGUUACAAUUAGUCCUAAAAUUAUAUAUACGUAUAUCAAUUCGGUCAUAAACUUAUUCCUUGUACUAAAUUAAUCCGAAAUCUUUGCUAAAAAAAAUCUAAUAUAAUUAUUCUAGCCAAUUUUCACUGAAAAUUAUUGACAUUGCAGUGUGUCACGUAAAACUGCCGAUGGUGAUUCAACCACCACGUUAACAAUUCAUGAAGAAAAUUAACAGGAAUGACUAUGUUGAAAUUUUUUGAAAGGAUUUAGGACUAAAUCAACAAAAUUAGAAAAAUUUAGAAUUGAAUUAAUAUAUAUAUACACACACACAAUAAAUUUAUGAUUGAUUGGGUAAUUUUUCUUAUAAACAGCAAAGCAACUUUACUAUUUUUUUUUUUAAUUUCAAGUUAUAUAAACUUCAAUUUGUGACAUCUAUAACAUGGAAUGCCGGGGUGAAACCUGUGACGNNNNNNNNNNNNNNNNNNNNNNNNNNNNNNNNNNNNNNNNNNNNNNNNNNNNNNNNNNNNNNNNNNNNNNNNNNNNNNNNNNNNNNNNNNNNNNNNNNNNUUAAAAAAAGCUAUGAUGAGUGUCUCAAAACUUUCGAAGAAAUUUACUGUAAGUGAAUAAAAUACUGUUUUUACGGUAUAUGAAGAAUCAUAGGUUCCAGAGAAUUAACGCCCUCCAAACAAAAAUUACAUCCUCCUAAGAAAAAUUACUAAAGGAUAUUUUACAAAUAAUUUACUAUUAGUAAGGAUGAUUACAUAUGCCCAAAGGAAAAUUAAGAUCCAUUAGGAGAAAUUUACUAUAAACUUAGGUAGAUUACUAUUUUUAAUAGAAUAUUACAAUUAUAGGACCUACAUAAAUUACAAUGACAAAAAGGAAAUUACGUUGUGUCAAAAAAGUUUUGAUAGGAUUAAAGAGGAUUUGUUUCGGGCUUCUCAGUUUUCCUCAUUUUUGUAGACCGAGCUUGACGGGAUAAUACUAGAAUAUCUAGCUUCAGACGUAUAUGUUGCCAUAUGAUGAACCGUACAACGAAGAGGAAUCGAAAGAGACAUUGAAGAAGCUAAGGAGGGUUAAGAACCCUAGAAAUGAGGCGUAAACAACAUUUGGCCAAAACAAAGUCGUUACCAAUAUAAUCGACCCCAAGAUAGAUCGAAACGUCAAUCCUACCAAAUACUAAGUAUUCAUCUAGUUUUACAAUCAGCAUCAAAUUUACUAGGAAAAGAGCUUACUGAAAAUAGGAGAGAUGAGCAGAUCAGACAAUUUUAAUCAGCUCCAUGAACUAAAUUCAAUCAUCAUAACAUUUUGCAUCUGGUGCGCAUGUUUCCAGGUUAAUACUCACGGGCGGUGCAUCGGUGAAAAUUUUGUUUUAUAAUAUUGCAGGUUAAGUCAUUUGUGACUUGUGUGGAGAGCAAACUUCCUGCAGGACCUAAGCGAGAGCAUCUUGCCUGUGGAAUCCGUGUUGAGGCUGCCGCUGAGUACACGAGGGUACAACGCGUGAUUGAAAUUUGAUGAAUGCGAGGUAGAGUGAUUCCUCGAGCUGUACUUUGAAGGCCAAGUUUCUGUCUAGUUGAAAAUGCAAUCGUCGUGGCUGCAGAAGUAGCCACGCACGGUCGUGAAGCCAGGCCACGAGUCCAAAAGAUCCCGACCCGCAAUUUUUGAGCUUACUAUCUAACCAAUUUGGUCAAUGUGACUCUACGUGUGUUGACCUCGACUUGCCCAGAUCGCCAAAGUAAUGGUCAACGUUACCCGAACACGAUAAGUUAAAUGUCAAUCUCAUCUUUCUAGGAGAGCAUAUCGCUGAGGUAGCCAAGUAGGUAAGGAAAUGUAAGGUCUUACGUCUGGAAGAAUAAAUCAAGACUCCAUAAGCCAACAAAAUGUUACUGUCCUAACACGAUGGCCAUGAGAAUAAGACGUCAACGAGGCCUAGCAAUGUUAAGGAGAUCGCCCAAAAAUAACCCGAUGGGUUUUUCGAUCGACUAAAUCUAAGUUAGUUCAGUUAGUGCAGACCAUCUAAGAGCACCCUGGAAAUUUCUUUGAAAAUUAGAUGCCUAUUUAGAAGCAUGGUGAUCUAAAUUGAAUGAAAAUGGGAGUUGAAAAUCUAUGAUGACACGAAAAUGGAAUCUUAUCUAAUUCUUAAUUAAUUCUGUUUCUGGUUAAGCAUUACGGGCAAUGGAAUCAAAAUUGCGAUUUGGGUUUGUAAAAUCCACAGCCAUCAUUAGGAUGGAGACUAAACGCAAUGAAUCUCCUCAAUUAGAAAAAUGCACAAUCAAUCAAUUUCACAUAUUAUUCGCGCGCACAAGAAAUUAUGUCAUUCCCUGGUGACCAGAUAUCACACAAAUUGGGCCAAUAAUCAAGAGAAACCACCAUCCAAAGUAACCUAAGAACAUCAAGCUGGACCGGUGGCGGACAUUUUGCUCGUCAGUAGGACUACUACUUCACUAAACCCACUCCAAUCUAUUCAAACCCAGUGCACACUAUUCCAAGGCCAUCAUCGUCGUGGUGGGGGUGGACAAGAAAUACCUACAUAACCUCUGCAAAUGCUAAUCAUCAAUAACAUCCUACAACAAGGCAACAAAUUAUGCAAGUCAAAUAGAUGGAACUCAUACACGACUAAAAAAGAUUUUGACAACAGUAGUGUCAAAAAAACUCCCACCAUCUGAAAUUUUGACUUCGCCAAAAUAUCUGCAUCAUCUUUUCCUUGCUCAACUCCAUCUAUAAUAAGAAACAAAGCAUGCUAAUAGCUUUAAAUGAGCCAUCUCCACCAGAAAACUUUCAAAUGCUAGCGAUGCGCGGCCGUGACUAACAAAAUUGAUAAAAAGAUAAUGUGGGCCGUACCGGCACCAGGUAUAUCAGGACUGUUUGAGAACAGCUUCUUCCUGGACUUGCCAUUCCAGUCGAAAAACUGUCGGAAGCCUCCCUUUUUCCGUCUUUUCUCCACCUCCAUCUCUCAAUUACAGGUAUCUAGAAAGAACAGAAACAAAAGUACAUACAUAAAGAGCAGAUAGGAAGACCCAGAACAACCACAUCCAGAGUAAAUUUGCAACAUCGGCAGGUGCAUUCAACUAUUUCCCAGACAAAACUACGCGAGAACGCAUGAAAAAUGGAGACCCAGUUCAUAUUAUCCAAAUUUCAAUAACCCUCCAUCCCUAUCCGCAAGCAUUUCACGACUCACAGCUCGGGUAAUUCUAAUUCCACGUUUGCCAAGAAUCGACCCAACAACCACUUUCGGUGCAUUAUCCGAACCAACACCAAGCAUUCCCACAUAACUCAAAUGAAACACGAUUCAUUCACACAGCAUUUCCCAAACUCCUGAACCCCCCUUUGCUUGUAGAACACGACCUCACUACCUCCCCCUGCUAAGUCCAGACUCUAAACUGAAGUGGAGANNNNNNNNNNNNNNNNNNNNNNNNNNNNNNNNNNNNNNNNNNNNNNNNNNNNNNNNNNNNNNNNNNNNNNNNNNNNNNNNNNNNNNNNNNNNNNNNNNNNAGACAGCGAUCUUGCUAUUAAAAAAGGAUUUUUGUUUUUAUUUUUUUAUUUUCUCUAUUUGUUUUUUCAGAGAGUCAGGGUGCCGUGUCCGACCGCCACGUGUCAGUCUUGUGAGUUAAGCCAGUUUAAAUUGGAGAAAAAGUUGCUAUUUCCUUUUUUUGCUGGUUGGUGUCUUUUUGUUGUCAUUUCAGAAAGGGUCAGGGGAAAGGUUCCUGCUUCCCAAAUCUAAUGGGAUUAAUUUUUCGGUUAUUAUUUUUACUUUGCAUACUUGGUACGUUGCAAUUUAGGAGAGAGUAUGUUCUUUUGGGCUAAAAAAUUUGUUGGCAUAUCAUUUUGUAACUAAUAAUGUUUUAUAGAACGAGUUACGCAAAAUGGUAUUCCAACUUAAACAAAAAAAUUGAGUCUUAUAACUUACUCACCUUGUCGUGAAAAUUUUUUCUAGAAGAUACAUUUCAAUUCGAUAAAAUAAUAAAAACAAAUUAAGUGACUAGAUUGCACAUUUGGCAAUAAAUUAAGGAAAUGUGAUGGCUAUUUUCUUUUGAUGACCAAGAGACCGCCGGAGAUCACUCUUCGGGGAUCACAUAAUCCUUCGAUACUCGAUAACAUCGGUGGGGUCUCGCCGCAAGCCGCUAUUUAGACGUAAACCCUUGGUGGGCUGUCCUAAUAAACCACCCGUGGGACCUCCACUUAAGUCGUGAGUAUUCGAAGAUUCAACCUCGUUCCCUCGGCGAUAAGAUAGUAAAGCCCAACUAUCAAUAAAUUAGGGAAAUGUGAUGACUUUCUUCUUUAGGAAAGUAAACUCAUCAAAUGGGUGGAUUAAGUCGAAAAUAGUUCGACUCAAAUUGAUCAAUUUAACUCAUUUUGACACAUUUCAACGCAAUACAAAUUUAGUGAUUCGUAAUUAAACCAAUUAAUACCAAAUCUAACCAUAUGACUAGAACACUUUCAUAUUUAACCUAAUUUAAGAAAAUUCAUGCUUAAACUGAGAUGAGAGCAUAAAGUGAGCAUAAGAUUUAAUGAGAGCGAGAGAGGAAAAAGAGAGUCAUAGAGGUGAAAUGAAUUCAAGUAAGCAUGAAUCUAUUUAUGCAUAUUAUUUUAGUUUUUACCACCCUAAAACCAUUUAUGACCAAUUUUUUGGAAUAUAGCCAACUUAUAUAAUAGCUCAUCACAUCAAAUAUGGAUUAAGAAAUAAGUCUAUGAUUCUUUUGACAAGUCUAAAGAAUAAUUUAAAGAUCACAUUGAAUAAAUUAUUAUCACAUGUUGAAUCAAAGUUUAUUGAUUAUUAACGUCAAUUCUCUUAAACGAUCUUUUCUCUUGUUGGGAAAGAAAUGGAAAAGACAAAUCGUUUGGCUUUAGUGCGCAUCUCCGAAAAAAUGAAUUACAACAGUACUCAAAAACAUCAAGCAUGAUUCACGUGUUUCCUUUUUUUUUUUUCAUUCUCUUUACCUAUUUUACCUCUUACACGAUGCUACAUAAUAGUCUUGGGUUGAGGGUCAAAUACUGCCACAUUUUUUUUUGGUCAUACAAACACUGCCACUUGACAUGCAUGAAACGUAGACCCCCUCCAUUGACCAAAAACAAAGACAAUUUCGGUCUUGGUAGAACAAGACAAUGUGAUACUCAACAUUUAAUCGAAAUUGACGUAGGAUCGUUAGGUAGCUUAUUUGCUAAGACCAUGUUAGGUAGCUUAUCUGCUAAGACCAUGUUCCUUUUUUCUGAAUGUUGCAUGCACAUUCCAAAUGACUUCGUUGCAAUCCCACUUUUGAAAUGGAGUCACCGUACGAACCUUUCUCGAUAGUCAAUAAUCCAACCUUUGAGAAGUUCCAAUUUUGAAGGUUCUUGGAAAUUUCCAUACAUGCAAUGACAAUAUAUAGUCUACAAUAUGACUAUUUGAGUACAAUCCCUAUAAGAUUUGGGAUAAAGAAUGCUUAAAUAGAUAUGAUACAAGCCGAGAAAAAUAUACAAAUGAGGAAUACCCCACGACAGGUAGUCUGAUUAGAACUAGUGUUUCUUGUCGCAUCAAAGUCACCAUUAACUUGUCUUUUUCUUUUUCUUUUGGGAGACUUAAAUCACUUUAUCCAAUUUGAUCUCUCUUAUGGUGUACAAUCAUGCGCAUGUACCUCAUAGAAGCAUUUGGCAUCAUCACAACUCAGAGUCAUAACCAAAAAACUAGCCGGGUUAUAACCACUAGGAUCCUCUUUAAAAUGAUAAGGGGACCAUCUCAAAUUCCUGAACAAGGAUAAUCACAUUCCAAUCCUUUAAUAAAUAUCAAAGAGUUAAGACAGUCCAUUCGCAUCGUUUAUUUCUGAUUGUAACCGUAAAAUUUUCCCAUUCAUUACAUAAUGUUUGAUUUAGGUCAUGAUCAUUAAGUAUCGCCUAUAAUGUAAGUUUCGAUGAUGGCAAACCCAUCACCACAACUAAACGGUAUGUCAGUAAUUCAUUAUUUAAUAGGACCGAAGGGCACAAAUCAAUCGCUUUCGGUUACAACACAACUCAAACUUGUAAUUUUGGUACUUACGUGAUCAUAGAGCCAACCAAGCUCAAUAAUAAUUAACUAGUUGCCACUUCUAGAAAAUAGGAGAUUUCUGUUGAUUGAUAUCAAGAAUCUAUAGGAUUAUUUGUUUAUUUCUCAUUUAUCUAUUUCGAUCCAUGUAACAGCUGUUCUUCCUCUAAUAUCCCAUGCAAUCUGAGCUGCAGUUACUACCCUCUUACAAGCUUCCAAAAUACAUUUGCCCUCACGUGAAGAUUUACUACGGUACGGGCUCUCCUCUGUGGUCUUCAGAGGACGAUGGGUAUACCCCAAAGUUUCUUCUUCUUUUCCUAGGCCGAAGAGAAUCCCCCCAGUCCAAUAUAUUUCCGAAACAAUCCUUUUCAAAUGACUCAUGCACGCACUAACAUUCAGAGAAACAAUUUUGUCCUCACUUCAAAAGGCAAUAAAUGAAUUACCUCCUUCUGGGCCAAUACUGUCAAUUUCCCUCACCUUGUGCGAUGCUAUGCCGUCAUCAAAACCGUGCUGAUUCCAACUAUUCUGAGUGCAAAGCGUUGGCUGCAAUUCUAUAUAUAUAUGCAAUCAUCACCGUGAAUUGUUAUGCAAAUACAACAGAGAAGCAACUGAUAAGUGCCACGUGAGAGCAUUAUUAGGCAGUUGACACGUCCAAGUCAAAAUGAAUCUAACGUUGUGCCUGACCCAAGAAUAAUAAAAUCAUGUUAAAUCCCUCGGUAUCGAAUUAUGGAUGCACUGCCAUGUGCUCUCCGUGAAAAACUAUUGCAUAAUGGGGAUCUAAGAUCCCAGUCCACUAAUGACUUGAACAAUCCAAUCCACCGAUGCAAUGCUUGCUGACCAGCAAGCCAGGAGUGUUCAAUAGUUGGAUUAACUGAUGAUCGAUAAAGGUUUUCAACCAAUCGAUUGUAUCUUUAGAUAUACUACUUGGAAAAUUGAAUCUGCAAGUAAACUAACUUUAGAUGCAGUCAUGAUAUGCAUUCAUCACUAAUUCAAAACGGGAAAGAAGAAUUGCAACAUGCCUUCGUAUAAUUGGAUUUCAUUGUUAUUCAUUGCUGAACUAAAACAAGAAACUUUUUCUUCUGCAGUCAAGACCGGAGGGUGUGUUCCCAUAUGCCUCUUUGGUUUAUAUGUCGACCCACAUUUUGUUUCCCCAUAUGAAAAUAAUUAGUUCCAGACAAGGAACAUGUCACAUAUGAAAGGAAAAGACAAACAUGAGAUGACAAGACCAUCACAACUGAAGAAUUCUGUGUCCAUAGUUAAGGACCUUUGCCCCUUCAUUACCAUGUGGUCUUCCAAUAAUUGCGGAUGAUGGAACCAGAAGAACUGUGCGGCUCAAGAUCAUGCGUAAGUCGGUAUGUGUCGUCCAUCAAGAUAGUUGACACGUGAAAGGUUUACCUUUAUGAAGAGGUUUUGAGACUAUUAUCGCAAGGAUUAGAACCAUAUUUACAGUCUUCCUGAUUCACAAACAUGCCAAAGUGCACAAGUAAGGUUUGCCACUGACACUUAUCCUGAAAAUUCACAAAUUGGAGAAGAAACACCCGUUUAUCAAUAGACUUUGCUCCAUUUAGGUGAGCGGAAUAUGAUUUUGGCCCAAAGGGUCCAUUACUUUGUGAAUAUGUUGCCAACAGACCCAUCUAAUGAUCCAGCAUCCAGACGGGGUAAUGCCAGACUAACACUAAGAACAAUCAAUAGAACAAAGUGGAAAGCGUAAACACAAAAUAGAAGCAUCACUUAGUUGAGAUCUUCAGAGAGAAGUCGAGAACACAAAUUGGAUUACCUUGAGAUCACAAUAUCGCUGAUUUUCCUAGCUUGAGCAAAUGCACUUCUAAAGAUUUCAGUUUUACAUCCUUGACCACUCCUUAACAUGCACACAACCCGACUGAAGUCCUUUUUUGCAUAUAGAGCAAUGCGCACUGCUGGUAGAUUAUCUCUUCCUGCCCUCCCUCAUUCUUGGUAACAGCUUUCGAUUGACUUGGACAUUGUGUUGUGGAUGACAAAACGCUUACCACAUGCCAUAAAAAAUAUUUACUGAACCAUCAAAGUUGAAAUAUGAUAAAAAGAUCAUAACAGGAGGACAAAUUAGAUCAGAUUCAUUUGCUACUUUUACAGUAAAGAAAAGAACUUUAUCCUAGUUUAACUUGAUUUCAGCACAACAAAUGCCAUGCGUGGAAGAAAAAAUUUGAAGUGAAAAAAACACAUAAUGCGCUAGUUGCAAUCAAUAGCCAAGGACGACAAUUCAGCAGGCCACUGGACCAAGGAACUAGCAAAGUUUACUUCCAAGCACACCAAUAAACCGAUCAGCGAAACUAAAGCAUUAGAAAAAAGGUAAAUUAGUUGAGUAUUUGCUGGCAUGUCAGCUUGACAACUAAAAAUAGGCAAAGGCUUAGAAUCCAUUUCAACUUACAACAUCAGGUUUGUCUAUUCCCAUUCCAAAAGCGAUGACUGCACAUACAACCUGGACCUCUCUAGCAUGCCAUUUCUUUUGGACAGCUACUCUUUGACAGGCUGCUAAUACAACAUGAUAGUACACUGUCUUUAUACCGCACUUAUCAUUCAAGUAAUUUGCAACAUCAACGCAUUCACUCUUUGAGAGGCAAUACACUAUGCGACACAAAUUAGCAAAACGAUUCUUUAGUAGCUCUUCAAGUUGCUUCAGUGGUUCCUUGGUCUUAGAUAUGACCUCAUAUUUUAGGUUUGGUCUGUCAGAGUCUUGAGAACAAGAGCAUGGGGGAUCUUGAGAGCUUUUAGGAUAUCCUGCAAUGGAUGUACAUUUCAAUCAGAUCCAAAUGAUUUUUUCAACAUAAUCUGGAGGAUGAUGUGCAAGUUUCAUACCUCAUGAACUGGCUGAGUGACGGUUGCAGUUAAGGCCAUCACCGGGACGUAUGGAAAGUUUUGCUUGAGACAUCCCAGUACCAUAUAAUAUGGACGAAAAAUCAUGUCCCUGUUGACUGCAAUAAUGACAACCGAGAAAGUAAUGAUCAAUAAACUUUACGUUUACAAUCAUUCAAAUAUAGGAGAAAAGCUCAAAACAUGGAUACAUUCCUUUCAUGAAAUUGCACUGGCAGAGCAAGUCCAAUAAAGACCUUAUAAGAAACCCGAUCACUGAUCACAUGCGUGAACUUUUGCCUUAUAUCUUGAGUUGUUAAUACAUGGUAUAAAAGUUAAAAGAAUAAGUAGGGACACAAGAACCAGCUUAAAAGACCUGACUAUCGUGCCAAACAUGGACACUUUCACUUACUUCCGAAAGUAAUUUCCGUGAAGCUAAAUUUAGUUGUGCGCAUUGUGCUUAUUAUGAUUAAUGAUGUGCCACCGACAUUUCGCAAAAGAAGAAACUAGAUCAUUUCCAGAAUUAGUUAUUUCAACAUUGCAUUCUGUUAUACUAGAAAUCCACAGACAGUCUGGGUUUCAGAAGGUUUAGCGUGACACCAACAAUGUCAUUAGGCCAGCAACACAGAAGAUGUAAAAAUGUUUGAAAAAAAAGAGUUUGAGUGAGCAUAUAUAAAAGUUAACUUGCUUUUCUCUAUCUGGAACAAGGACAGUAGUUUUGCAAAGGGAACAACAUAAAUACUUAUUCCUUUUAAUGUAACUCUAUCUUGAUCUUUGCUUUAGAUACAAGGAUGCCAAAGAGCAUACCUCACACAAUGUGUCUCAUCAACAACAAAACCAGCUAGUUGUGCCUGCAGUGCGUGAUGAUCGAGUAUCAAAAAGUUAAAAAGAAACUUUCAGAAAAAGUUACACGGUGUAUCAUAAAUAGUACCUUUCUAUGCAAUCAUUUUAAUAUCUUGAGAAAUGAUGGGUUUCCCACAAUCCUUUCAGGAGUUACAUACAAUAGCUUGCACAAUGGUUUAUCUUUCCUGAAAAGGCAGGUAGAGCAGCGAAGAUUAAUGACUUGACAAUCCCAACACUAAGCCAAAAAAAAAAAAAUUUAGAAGUCCAGUGGAAAUCCCAUCGCAACAUAUGGAGCAUGGCCCAACAUUUUAUGGAGGGACAAUGAUUGUACGGUAUGAUAUACUUCUCUCGGAAGGCUAAGAUGCUAAAAUUUAUUUUUAAGGGAAACAUCUUAGGCAUGCAUCUUUUCAUUAACUACUUAAAAAAUGUACAUCCUUUGCAACUAUGGAGCAAACCAUUUUAUGGCGGGAGAAAGAUUGUAGAGUAGGAUGUACUUCAGCAGGAAGAGAGCUAAACCUUGCCUUAGUUAUUGGAGGACAGCUGCUGCCUGGGCAGCGGUUUGCUGAGAGCUCAAGAAAGUUGAUGGUAUUCCGUACUUGAGGGUUAGAGUAAUUAUUUGAUCCUGGAUGAGAGAUAGCAGGAGAGAUAUAACAACUGUGACACCUGGUUUAAGAGUUGAUGGCAACUAAAAUGAAGGGUAAAAACAUCAGAAAAGCCAAUGAAGGGAUGAGGAAUAACUCUUUUAUUCACCUUCAGCUAAUUAGAAAGCACCAGUUGUCACCAUUUGUCUUAUAAUUACUUUAGCUAGAAACAUAUAUGAACUACUCUAAGACAGAACAGAAAACAUUUCAGGAUAAUUAAACUUAAUAAAUUCAGAUUAAUAUCUUCCUUCGUGAUUCAGUGGGUCCAAUAUUUUGCAUGCUCCCAAGAUCCAUCUUAUAUGAAAGGAUAUCCAUUUCAAACCAAUUAUGGAAAUGAUCACCCCUAGUUGAGAUGAUGACAUAGCACAUAUGUACAUAGGAAAUAUAGAAUGUACAAUAUGUAUUUGGUGCAAGUAAUUUGAAAACUUAUUCCUCUUUGACUUAAUAACCCUAUUGAAUUGGACCUAAAGCAUGACUGACGACAACACUUACAUGCAAAAACAAGAUAAAUUUUCCAGUAAGUAAUUAGAAGUUCCUAGAAGCAGAGCACAAACCUCAAAUUCUAGAAAUUACAGAAUGGACAAAGAUGGGUGAAGGCAGAAUGAGAAUGUCCUAUAUUUCAGCACAAACUUCUCAAUAGUGCUAAUAAAGCAGAUUGCAAGAUCAUUUUAUAGCUUAAAUUUCAAUAUACAGGUCUACCCGUCUAGUAUAUAAUCGGUGGAACCAUUCAGCAAAGUGCACAGGGCUUGUGCUCUAAACACUGUCUCCACACAUGCUUCUACAUUCGAUCAUUACACAAAUGAAAUAAUGUUAACAUUCACUAACCUAGUAACGUAAACUUUUACCAUCUCCAGUGGGCGUGAGAACGAAGCAAUCUUGCUUGGCUACAGAAGUUUUACAAGCCUGAUGCUGCAUUGGUCGAAAUGCCUUGUUUCCGAAUAUUACAACAUUUGCCAAUUCUAUGUCAUCCAAGGCUUGCAAUUCCUCAUUACUCAGAGUUCCUUGUUUGCAUGUUGAAAUCUGAGAGUGAUGUCUUUUACUUGAAACUGAUGAUAUCGAACCAUGAGUAUCAGUGCUCUUACAGUCCUUCAACACAAAUAAGCCUCUUCAGCACCAUAAAUAGUUUCUGACAUGUGGUGAUGGAAAAUGAAAAUCAUGCACAAAGAAAUUCCAAGCCUUCAUUUUGCAAAACACACCUGUCAAAGAUGCUGGAUGCUAAGUUCAACGCUUGGAUGAUGUACCAUACUCUCAAAAUACAUGAGAAAUAUAGGUAUUAUUACAUAUCCAAAACAAUAAUGAACUGUUUUUAUUGACCAAACAAUUCUCAUAUAAGUCAUUUUAGAUCUUAUAGACUGUAGAAGUAACUGGCAAGUUAGGAGUGUCUAUUAUACAUUUGAUCAUAUGAGAGCCCUCAUGAGCAAUUUACUAAAUGCUUUUGUACAGGUAUACCGCGUAAGGUUUGUUGCUGAGCAGAAUUGCAAGCAAACUGGAAAUGAUCAAGGAAAGACAUAAGUUGAAGAGGAAAGAACAGUGACACACUAAUUUAAAGGGAUGAGUUGUUUAACAGUGAUUAGGAGAUAAUUACAAUAAGAAAUAAAUCAAUUUCUCACUAACCAAAACCUCAAUUGCAAGAGUCAAUCAAAAACAAAUGAGACAAGUGGAAAGUGUUUCCCAAGAGUUUUCUGAGGACACUAUAAUCUCCUGAUCAAAAACCAAGACAAUCUGUUCUCAAUUCUUCUCGUUUUCCUUGUUGACACCCCAAUAUACCUCAGCAACAAAAAUAUAUAAAAGUACGGGUGUAGAAUUAUUGUUAAAACAAUAAAAGGUCAUGCAGAGAUCUGCCAACUUUUUGUCAACCUCCUAAACAACUGGACCAUUGUGGCCAGACUCAUGGGAUUUUCCUAGUAACUAUUGUGUCUUCUUCAGGUGCCCAUAGUUUCUUCAUUGAACGGGCAACCCUGUAAAAUACUGAGACAUUCUUCAAGCCACACAUUUGGUCCAAGCAAUUACACGGGCUAAUCCCAAGACAAAUCUAGGUCCAUGGAUAAAAAACUUAAGCUACAAACUUAACACCUAUCAACCAAAUUACUUUUGGGCAUGGGAAAAAACAUGCCAAGCCACCAUGCUUUUCUUUUUUUCUUUUUCCUUAAUCCCUUCAAACUGGUUAGAACAGAAAGGAGUGAGACAACUUCACAGUUUUCAGAAGCAUACCAUGGAUUCUAAAGAUCGUCUGGUCAAAAGUUGAGUGGACGAAUUGCUCGGAGUACUACCAAAUAUAUCAUCUUCGUCUUCACUUUCAGUAGAGGAAUCCACCUCAAGAAAUGUUUGAUUUUUCUCAGGUUGUGGAGAAUCCUCUAUAAUGUUAACAUCGUGCACAACAUUGCAUUCGCCGUCAUUAGGGGUAUCUUGGCCAAACAUAUCAGUCAAAACUCACAAGCUUCUGAUUCUGCAUCUUGCAAAUCAUCCCAAUCCUCAAUGUGUUGCAUAGUUUCAGCAAGUUUUGCUAGAAAAUCAUCGCCACAGUGCUCAACGGUGAUAAACUCUCGACCCUCGUCACCUUAAGAAGACCAAAAGAAGAGAGGGAUGAUUUUGUGAGUUCCAUGACAAACAAGAGAGAUAAAAUAAAUACAAUCUACACAAUAUGUGAUUUGCGGUUAGUUUAGAAAUAAAACAGACAUUUCGCUAGUCAAGAAGACUACACCGCAAAACCUCGUCAAAAUGACGACCUAACUGCAAUAAAUCUUCUCAUUUAGGAAUGCACAAUUGAUCAAUUCACCAAUCAUCCCCGCAACACAAUCAAUUACGCCAUUCCCUAAUCACUAGAUACCGCGAAAUUCGGCGAAUAACCAAGAAAAGCAACCUAAACAUAUCAAACUGGAACAGCACCAGACAUUUCGCUCGUUGGCAAGACUACUUCCCUGAACCAGCUCCAAUCUAUUCAAACCUAAAGCAGACUACGAGAAGGACCAACACAACCUCUACAAACGCUAAUCGGCAUAAAAAAUGGGCGACAAGGUAAUGAUGAUUCGAGGUACCGCAGAGGGAAAUGAGACGGUCCAAGCACUUGGUGGCGGACUGCUCGUCGAAGCCGAACUUGGCUCUCGAGUUCGGAGCGAUUCGAGCGACCAAUCGAUCGAUGAUGCACCAGUCGGAAUGGAAUUUCAAUCUUCUCGAGAGCACGCGCGCGCCCGAAUUGCUCUUGUUCGAAAAACCUUGCCAGCUAUGGCGGGACUGCUGGAGAAUGGGAGAGAUUGGAGCCGAUUCCAUUUUCGCGCCUGAAGUUUGUUGAAAUUCUAUUUUUGCCCCCCCUCAAAAGAGCUAUGGCUCUUUUUACGUUAAUCUUUUAUUGGGCUUGAUUCAUUCUUGAACUUGGCAGAUAGGAAUAUAGGAAAAGCCUUCUUUGCAUACAUUAGACCACGAGAAGUUAUCUCAAAUUUUCUUUUUAUCUGUUGCUGUGUAUCAGCAAAAGGAAAAAUUGAUAAAGUAAUACUUAUCUUAAUGUACAUUUUUACCUUUUACCUUUAUAUAAAUUUCGAAAGAACGAACUUCAAAUAAUUUGAAAAAUUAAGUUUCCAACACUACUUUAUAAUUUCACAAAAAAGAAAAUACUUUUUUGUUGUGGCCGAAACGUCGUGAUCACAAUGGAAAUUCCACAAGUCGAAGCUCUCCUUUUAUGAGAUUGGUCCCGCAUUCAACGUGGACCGCUAGAUAAGAAGGGGAAAAAAUUGGUCCGUCAAUUUUUUUUUGCAAAAUUGACUUUUGGUCAUAAUUUGAAUUCGCAAACGUUAAAGAAAAGUUACAAAUGCAAAACUGAUCAAACUUUCAUUUGAUUAAAAAAAAAUUAAGAUGAGUAAGGAAAAUUACCAAUAUAUAAGUCUCAAAACAUUACAAAAUGCAAGGAAAGUUGCUAAAUUCAGAUAUUUCAUUAAACAUGCAAAAAGAAAUUUACCCUUAACCGAAUAAAUUACUGCUUUUAUGAAAUAUUACAAGGCACAGACGCCAAAAAUUUAUGCCCUCCAAACAAAAAUUACAUCCUCCAUAAGAAAAAUUACAAAAGGAUAUUUUACCAAUACAUUACUAAUAGUGAGGAUGAUUAUGUACACUGAACAAAGUUAGGAUUUAUUCGAUAAUUUACUAAUGAUAAGAAAAGAAAUUUACUAUAAUGUAGAUUACAAUUUUUAAUGGAAUAUUACAAACUAUAGGACCUACAGAGCUUACGACCACCGAAAGGAAAUUACGUUGUGUUAAAAAAGUCAUAAGAUGAUAUGUUACUAGGAGAUUACUUUUAGCGAGAAAAAUGACUGAUACAAAAAAAAAAUCACAAUCAAUUAGACAAGAUCAGGUCUAUUUUCCUUUCAGAUCUGGUCAUCGUUGAUCAUUAGACUAAUCCUUGCCAAUCCUUAGGCAGCUUUGAGUUGCGAAGAGUAUGGAGGAAUUUGUUCAAAUCAAAGGAUGUGUCGUAGCUUUGUAAAGAUUUGCAGAUUCAUUUGGUGAGUUUUGGGAUUUUCAUCUUCCAUUGGGCUGCCUAUGUUCUUGUGCUAGUGUAUAGGUAUAAUGCUUACUUCCUCCAGAAGCUUUCUUAUUCUGCCCAGAUUUAGUGAUUUUCUUAGGGGAUUUAAUCACCGUUUAGAAAUCUUUGACAAGUUUUUUAUGCGUCAGAUUUGACUAAUAGCAGAAAUCAUGCUUGAAACAAUCACAUUUCGAAUUUUCAAGCUAUUGUUUUACGCCAAGUUGGAUUAGUUCCAUUGAAACUCCUCUUGGACCUUGGAAUGUGAGAAUGAACUUGCAAACCACGUGAAAAACUGAGAAUCUAUUGAAAAUUGAAAUCCGAAGAUUUGGAUUAGCAGUCAAGCAAUCGAGUCCUUCCAAUUCUAUACCUAAUGUCAAUUGAAUUGGCAAACAAGAAUGGUGAUCCCUUUUUCAACGAAAUGGUAGGGGCCUUAAAGGCGAAAUUCUUUAAAUAUUACAAAAACAUCCCACUUUUUUUGGGUAGCCACUAUCGUGGAUCCAAAGUUCAAGUUGGAGGAGCUGGAAACUCUUCUUGUUUCAUAUCACAAACAUUUGGGACUUAGUUAGGAGUUCUAAGUAGAACGCAAAUUAGCAAUAACAAUGAGAUGGCUCUCAAAUAUGUCCGUGGCAUAUGCCGGUUAAUAUUAUAGGACAAGUUCUAUCUCACAGACAAACAAUGCGGCCUCUUUGAGUAGUGCCCACAAACCUAUAUUGUCUUUGUUUUAUAAGUAGGAAAACACCCCACUGCCCGCUAAGUCUUCGUCUUCAUUGUUUACCAAUGAGCUGGAGUGGUACUUGGGAAUAGACUACUCCAAGCAUAUCGAUAGAAUUGGCGAAAAUAACCUCGAGGACCUGAAAUGGUGGAAGAGGUGAACUACCACUUUUCCGAUUGUUUCUAUUAUGACUUGUGACUCACCCGUUCCACUGGCGUACCUGGCACCUUCAAAAUCUAUGUUCGCUACAAGCUCCCUUUUGGAAGUCAAAUAGAUCGAACUUGUUUGCGUAAAAUUUAAAAAUGGUUACUGUAGGGGUUAAUUAGUUUUUACAAGAAUUAACUCCGGAGGAAUAUAACCAACAUGGACUCGAGAACAACAAUGAUACUAUAUUAUUUGAAUCAUGGUGAAGGACAUUUGAGUGGAGCCAUUAAUUAGGGCACCACUAAGUGUAAUUUUUAUUUUUCAAAUUAUUUGAAAAUGUGUCAUAAUUGGGUUUAACAGAAUGUGUGUUUUUAUUAAUUUCCCUCAAUUAAUCUCUCAUUAUUUCUAAUAUUUGAACAAAAAUUAUUUUUUAUUGAUUUUUUUUUUUAACUAGGCCCAGACCAACAAUGCCCAAGUGGUGUCGUCCCCGGCAUGCCCUAAUGCCCAAUCUUAACCAUUCUUCGUCAUGUGACAAGGCCCAAAUACUAUAUCGGCUAUGGUUAAAGCCUAAUAAAUCACAUCGACUGUGAUUAAACCCCAAAUCAGAAUCAUCGGUAAACAUAUAUCAUAUAUCAAUACGUAGUUCGACAAUGAGUGCCAAUCCAAUAUCUAUAUAUCAUAAUCCAACAUGCCCAUAUGCUAUAUAUUAGAAAUAAUUCCCCCAUCUAAACAAUUUCGAUGAAUGUUCAAAAUAACAAUCAACUUGGAAAUCCAUUCAACGCUUGAUCCAAUUUUAUAGAAUAAGAUGCCAUAAGUUAAUUUAAUUUUUCCCUUAGUUCUGAAAGUGCAGGAGCUAAGGAAAAAUUUAAUUGGCCUGUUUGGAUUAUUUAGCGUUUAAACAAGGUAAGUCUAUGUCCAAAAGAACAAAGGUAAGUCACUCCUACCAUUUCUGUGUUUUCAUGAAAAAACUGCAUUGCGUGGUUUAUCGAAAGGAAACCCUAUGUUAUGCAAUUUUACCAUUUCUGCGUUUUCAGUAAAAACUGCAAUACUUGGUUUAAUGGAAGGAAACCCUAUGUCAUGCACUUUUCAACUGGUCUGAAGAAUACUCCUGCAUUUAAUGAAGUUUUUCAAUAUAACUUAGAAAGACGGACAAGAAUCAUUUGACUAUUUCGGGGAUUAGAAAAUCAAGUUCAUCCCCUUGUUGCUCCGCCUCUAAAGAAAAGUCCCUAGAUUAUUACUACCCCCCAUUUUCUUUCCCUUCCCUCAAUCCGAACACAUAUUGGACGUGAAUCAAUUGUAUUAUUUCAUUAAAGACUGUUGACCUUGAAGAUACCUAUUUUUUUUUUCACUGAGUUUCAACUUGAUUUUGAUCAAAAGUUAACGCCUGCUAAGAUUAUGAUCGAUUGCAAUAAUUGGGUUGUGCAUUGCAAGAGCUUUCCAACAUCGCCUAGUUUGCCCAAAUUGGAUGACCAGAUUGCUAGAUAUAUCAGCACAAGGAAAUGCUUGAUCCUUUGGAUGCUCACAUGUGAUCUGCAACUACCAUUCAAAGUUAGCUUGAAGAUACAAAACUUGGUGAUCUGAUUUUGGAGGCAACGGAGCCUUAAAUGGUUUUGCUGGACACAUUUGAUGCCCGACUAAAGAGUAUAUCAUUGUACACUGCUUUCUCUUGUUUCAUUAUUAUUCUCCGUGCCCUUCAUGUGAACAAUGAGAAGGCCGAAAUGUUAGUACUGCCUAAUAAGACAAUUGUCGCUGAUUCUAAUGUCAUUUGGCUGUCUUUAACAUAUGAUUAGUGGAUGAAGGUAAUGUGAUCCCUUAAAUGUCCUUGUCAGCUUGCAACUCUCCAAUUUGAGGAGCUUCUUAUCUUCUUCUCCCUUAUCUUUUUUGGAGAAAUUGUCCAAAAUACCCUAAACCUUUUGACAAUUUACCAAUUUAGUGUUAAAUUUUUCAAUUUUACCAAUUAAAUCCUUAAUCUUUUGACAAUUUGUCAAUUGAGUUCAUCUUGCCAAAAUUGCUAAUUUCAUGUUGAGAUCAAGUCAAUUUUUCAAUGUUGAGAUGCACAGCAACAUGUGAUAUCUUACCAUGUGCAUGAAAAGUACAUUUGAGAGUGACGUGCUUUUCGGAUACCAUGCUCUUCAUGACAGGGUUGGCAAAUUAUGCCGAAUGAAAUUGUUGUUUUUAGAUGUUAAAAAGAUGACAUAUGACUAUAGUUAUUUCGCAUUGAAGACAAUCUUUCAGCCCUUCCUGUAAUGGCACACAUAUUGUUACCUGGAUAGUAUCUGCUUAUAAAUUAUAGAUGGUCUCGUAUGGUUUUCUUCUGGAUUUCUUUCUUGCAUUUUGCUGUUGACCCUUCAAUCUUUUGGCUGGUGAAGGUAAACAAGUUGGUGAAGGUAUACAAUCUUCAUUAUUCUCUUCAUGCGUUGAUCCUUUGCUUUUGUUCAUUGCGCAGUAGAACCCAAGAUUCUUAACCUCAUUUCGAAGUCUUAAAUUUGGUAGUACUAAGAUAUGGGUGUGAAUGAAUUUAUUCCUUUUUGCUAUUUACCAUUUUGGGUCGUUGAUGUCCCAUCUCAGUCAAUGACGAAAGAGGGAAGAGUCAAAGAUCCAAUGUUAUUCCAUUUAUCUUAAUGUUGCUCUGGAGUACACUUAAAGAGCACCGAGUUGCCUUUAAUUCAUAUGGUUUCUAUCCAAUAAAAGCCGGCUAAAUCAGAUUGUUCCAGAUCAGUCUAAGGAUCCAUAAUUUUUUUUUUUUGGUGACCCAGGGGAACCCCGCACGGCCGACAGCUGGGAGUAAACCCCUGGGGAGGCACGUAGGAAACCAUCACCCACGCACCUUGGGUAAGUCGCCAAAUGAUCCGCCUGCUUCCCUGCAACUUGCGUUGCAGUGGCUUCGAACUCCAGACCUCCUGCGUGGAGGAAUUAUUCCGUAAAUUAAAUAUAUGUGCUAAAUUGAAUCUGGAGCCACAAAACUGAUGGAUUUAAUUUAAAUCUUAAAAAAAAAAAAACUCACGAACAACAUAAGCAGAGCAAGCAGGGGAGAAGAAAAUGGAUUUUACGAAUUCAAGUAAAGAUGAAAACUUGACAAACUUCAUCAGGUAGCUAAUCUUGGCUAUGCUAAGUAACAUAUAGCUUUUGCAUAUCAACUUCAACUCACCUUUUGAUGAUGGACUAGCUUUAGAAUUAUAUGUAUCGCAUAUUUGUGUAUUCACAUUUAUGGACCGUGAUCAGUUUGGGCUCACUCUUGUCAAUUUAAAGGAAAACAAGUAUAAUUAUAGAACAAUAACAUUACCACGUAUGCUAUUAGAUCAGCAUGAGUUAUUUGGAGUCAAGAGGCAAAUUGAAGAGUUUGAUGUGUAGCGUAUUUACGUAGCAUUGUUGGACAUCUAGAUUUUAUUAAAACACUUAAGUGAAACCGUGCAAACCCCAUACAAAGCCUCAUCGUAAAAUACAAAUUUCAAUAAAAUUAUUAUAUUGUGAUUGAUUUUCUUCGUCGCAUCAUUUAUAAAUUAAAUUUAUACAAUAUUUUCACGGUAAAUAAUAAUCUCUAGUCUCCCAAUGCAACUAACCAAGCAAGAUAGUGGAAGACUUUGACUUGCCUUCAAUCGCUAGAAUAUUUUUCCCCACUUUUCUUUUGAGUGGGUCUUUUCGGCUUUUACCUUAUCCCUUUCUUGGCAACUGGCAAGCAAGAUAGUGGAAGACUUGAACUUGCUUUCCCUCACCAAUUCAUUUUCCCCCUUUCUUUUGAGUAGGUCUUGUUGGCUUUUGCCUUAUUGCUUUCUUUGCAACUAACCAAGCAAGAUGGUGGAAGACUUUGACUUGCUUUCCCUCACCAAAGAAUUUUCUUAAAGUUAAUUAAUUCGGUUUCAUACAAAAAUUGAUAUAUAAUCUUUGAAAAAGUCUUUUCUUCGUAAUAAAGAUUUCUUUUGCAAAAUGCAAAUACUGACAUGAGUAUGCUAUGUAAAGAAAAAUAUCGCAUCGAUCUAAUUUGGCAUCACGCUAGAUUGUUGCAAUAACAUAUUUAUUCUUAAGUUAUGAGUCCUCAUAUGACGGUCCAUCGCUUGGGCUCGACAUCANNNNNNNNNNNNNNNNNNNNNNNNNNNNNNNNNNNNNNNNNNNNNNNNNNNNNNNNNNNNNNNNNNNNNNNNNNNNNNNNNNNNNNNNNNNNNNNNNNNNNNNNNNNNNNNNNNNNNNNNNNNNNNNNNNNNNNNNNNNNNNNNNNNNNNNNNNNNNNNNNNNNNNNNNNNNNNNNNNNNNNNNNNNNNNNNNNNNNNNNNNNNNNNNNNNNNNNNNNNNNNNNNNNNNNNNNNNNNNNNNNNNNNNNNNNNNNNNNNNNNNNNNNNNNNNNNNNNNNNNNNNNNNNNNNNNNNNNNNNNNNNNNNNNNNNNNNNNNNNNNNNNNNNNNNNNNNNNNNNNNNNNNNNNNNNNNNNNNNNNNNNNNNNNNNNNNNNNNNNNNNNNNNNNNNNNNNNNNNNNNNNNNNNNNNNNNNNNNNNNNNNNNNNNNNNNNNNNNNNNNNNNNNNNNNNNNNNNNNNNNNNNNNNNNNNNNNNNNNNNNNNNNNNNNNNNNNNNNNNNNNNNNNNNNNNNNNNNNNNNNNNNNNNNNNNNNNNNNNNNNNNNNNNNNNNNNNNNNNNNNNNNNNNNNNNNNNNNNNNNNNNNNNNNNNNNNNNNNNNNNNNNNNNNNNNNNNNNNNNNNNNNNNNNNNNNNNNNNNNNNNNNNNNNNNNNNNNNNNNNNNNNNNNNNNNNNNNNNNNNNNNNNNNNNNNNNNNNNNNNNNNNNNNNNNNNNNNNNNNNNNNNNNNNNNNNNNNNNNNNNNNNNNNNNNNNNNNNNNNNNNNNNNNNNNNNNNNNNNNNNNNNNNNNNNNNNNNNNNNNNNNNNNNNNNNNNNNNNNNNNNNNNNNNNNNNNNNNNNNNNNNNNNNNNNNNNNNNNNNNNNNNNNNNNNNNNNNNNNNNNUGCUUGAUCUAGUCAGCGUGAUUGCACUUUGAGCAAGACGCCUCUAAUUUUGAGUCGGGCCAUGACAAAGAAGAGAGAGAGAGAGAGAGAUGCAGACAAAGAUGGGGGCUAAGUUGCGGAGGGCGUCGUUGGCGCUGGUCGGGGGAGUGACCGUAGGCUGCUGACAUUGAUUGGCAAUGGUGGGGGAGGGGGAGUGGUGGAAAGAGAGCAAUGAUGUGAUAGAAUAAAGGCUUUUCACCUGAUGGUGUAUCACGGGGUGCAUAAGUUAAUAGAAAGUGAGUAUUUUUGACAUCUAAGCGUCCUUUAAGAUGCAAUUCGGCUAAUAACAAAAAAAAAAAAAAAAAACACCAUCCAAAGCAACCUAAACACAAUCAAACUAGAACAGUACCAAACAUUUUGCUUGUCGGCAAGACUACUUCGCUGAAGCAGUUUCGAUUUAUUAAAAAAAUAAACCAAAACCAAAUUGAUCUAUCAUCGUAGUGGACAAGAAAUACCUACAUAAUAUCUGCAAAGUUGACUAGCACAAAAAAUGCAUGACAAAAUAAUAAUUCAAGUACCGUGGAGUGAAAUGAGACAGUCCAAGCACCUGUCGGUGGACUACUCGUCGAAGCUGAACUCGAGCACCAAGCUCAGUAAUCAAGCAUUCUCUACCUUCAAGCCCCGAUCCUCCAUGGAAGUCAACCUGUUCGAGCAAUUCAAUCAAUCGAUGGUGCACAAGUCGGAAUCAAACUGAUCGCUAGUCUUUGCCAAAAGCGUGCGCUCGAAGUGCUCUUUUGAAAAACCUUCCUAGCGAUGGCGAGAUUAAUGUUUUUCCUUUUUACUUUUAUAUAUGCUGGAGAAUGGGAGAGAUUGGAGCCAUAUUUUUUUCAAUUUUUUUGGAAAAUUCCAUUUUCGUAACUGAAGUUUGUCUAAGCUCUAUUUUGCCUUCCUGUAAGUUCUUCUGGCUUCAUUUUACACCCUUGGUUCUUUUUAUUUUUAUUUUUCUGGGUUUGAGUCAUUGUUGACCUCGAUAGAUAAUGUGUGAAGGCUCCUUUGCAAAAAGAAGACUCGCAUGUCGUACUAAAGUUGUAGAACCAUGAGAAGUGUCUCAAAUUUCUUCCAUCUGUUGCUGUGCAUCAGCAAAAAAAAAUAUUGACAAAGUAAUAUAGUUUCUUAGUUACAUUUUUACCCUUAUAUAUAUUUCAAUGGAAUGAUUUACCAAUUUUGGAAAAAUAGCAUUUCCAACCCCCGGCUCCCCGGGGGGGGGGGGGGGGGGGAGGGUGGGGUGGGGUGAGGAAUUUCCAACAAAGAUUGGCAAAGAUCGGUCAAACAAUCGACAACAACUAGAUGAGAAGGGGAAAAUUUGACUGGAUCUCAUCUAAGUAAUGGCUACUCUUAUUUGACACUCAUAAAUUACCUAUUAAUUUUCACACAGUGCAUAUGUAUCAAUUUCAGGACUUUUCUUCACAAGUAGUCAAGUUGAGCCUGAGCAUUUCAAAUAAAGGAAAGACUCAAAGCGAAUUAAAGAGAGAAUGCAUCAGUUCAUUUUAGGGCGUUCUUCUAUGGUGCUUGUUGCACCAAUUCUUUGAUCUGGGUUAGGUUGUAUUCUUCUCAAGAAGAGGAAAAAGAGUGGAAGCGAUACAAAUGCAGAAAAUAAGAGCACUGAUGAAGCAUCUACAUAUUCGUUCAUCUAUCGAACACCAACACGGGAAAGUAAUUCUUAUGAUGUAUUCUUGAGCUUUAGAGGCUCAGGUACUCACAAGAUCCUUUUUUUUCAUGUCUUCUAUCCAUUUCCAAAUCCGUUUUAACUCAAUAUGAUUUAUGAAAUUCUAAUCUUCAAUAUCCAAAUAACAAUCGAACUUACGCUUAAUUCUUUUAUAGCCCAAUUUAGAAAUUAACGUACACGUUAGUCGAGAAUGCACCAAGCCAACAAGUUUGACUUGACUAGAGGGUGAGGUCUCAAAGUAGAUGAAGGCAAGGACUAAAAGCAUCCGCAAUUGCUCCUUGUCCCUCAAUUACUAAUUUAUUAAAUCCAUCGCAAUAAAGGGUAAUGUCGUGUGGUUUGUAUGAUUGCAUGAGAUCCUUUUGAAAAAGAAGGCGCCCGCCAUUCUUGAGUUCUGUGGCUUGUAUGAUUGCAUGAGAUCCUUUUGAAAAAGAAGUAUAUCUGACAAUUGCAGUUCAAAUCUGUCAUUGAUUGUGAAUAACAGCAAUGUCCCUCCAGUCUUCCACUAACUUAGUUUGCUUAAAAUUUAUUCUUCCACAAAUCAAUUUUAAAGAUUAAAUUAAAAUCCUCCAAGCCCCGAUGGAUCUCAACCCGUUUGGAGCGAUUCGAGCGAUCGAUCAAUCGAUGAUGCACGAGUCAGGAAUGGAACUUCAAUCUUCUUGAGAGCACGUUCGUGCCCGAGUUGCUCUUGUUCGAUGAACCUUGCCAGCUAUGGCGGGAUUGCUGGAGAAUGGGAGAGAUUGGAGCCGAUUCCGUUUUCACGACUGAAGUUUGUUGAAAUUCUAUUUUUGCCCCCUCAAAAGAGCCAUGGCUCUUUUUACGUUAAUCUUUUCUUGGCUUGAAUCAUUCUUGAACUUGGUAGAUAGGAAUGUGGGUCAAGGCUUCUUUGCAUACAUAUGACUAUGGGUAGUCAUCUCAAAUUUUCUUUUUAUCUGUUGCUGUGUGUCAGUAAAAGGAAAAACUGGUAAAGUAAUACUUAUCUUAAUUUACAUUUUUACCUUUUACCUCUAUAUAUUUUUCAAUAGAAUGAACUUAAAAUAAUUUGGAAAGAUAGGUUUUCAAAGCUACUUUACUAUUUUGUGAAAAAGAAAAUACUGUUUUGCUGUGCCCGAAAUGUCGCGAUAGCGACGGGAAUUUCAUAAGUCGAAGCUCUCAUUUUACGGGACCAGUCCCACAUUCAACGUGGACCAUUGGAUAAGAAAGGGAAAAAAACUGGUCUGUCAUAUCUAUUUUGCAAAGUUGACUUUUGGUCGUAAUUUGAAUUUGCAGACGUUAAAGAAAAGUUAUGAAUGCAAACGUGAUCAAACUUUCAAUUGAAUAAAAAAAAUUAAGAUGAGUAAGGAAAAUUACCAACAUAUAAGUCUCAAAACAUUACAAAAUGUAAAGAAAGUUACUAUCAUUUUAGAUAUUUCAUUAAACCUACAAAAAAGAAAUUUACCUUAAAUUGAAUAAAUUACUGUUUUUAUGAAAUAUUACAAAGCACGGAUUCCAAAGAUUUAUGCCCUCCAAAUGAAUAUUACAUCCUCCAUAAGAAAAAUUACAAAAGUAUAUUAUACAGAUAAAUUUCUAUUAGUGAGGAUGAUUAUGUUUGCCGAACGAAAGUUAAGAUCUAUUAGAUGAUUUACUAAUAAUAAGAAAAGAAAUUUAUUAUAAAUUUAGGUAGAUUACAAUUUUUAAUGGAAUAUUACAAACUAUAGGACCUACAGAGCUUACGACUACAUAAGGAAAUUAUGUCAUGUUCAAAAGUUAUGAGAUCAUAUUUUAUUAGAAGAUUACUGUUAGUGAGGAAAAUGACCGAUACCAAAGAAAAAUCACGAUCAAUUAGACAGGAUCCAGUCCAUUUUCCUUUCAGAUUUGGUUGUUGUUGAUCAUUAGAUUGAUCCUUGCCAAUCCUUAGGUGGCUUUGAGUUGUGAAGAAUAUGGAGAAUUUGUUUAAAUCAAAAUGGUGUGUCGUAGCUUUGAAUAGAUUUGCAGAUUCCAUUUGGGUAGUUUUGGGAUUUCAUCUUCCAUUUCGCUGCUUUCGUUCUUGUGCUAAUUUACAAGUAUAAUGCUUACUCUGCCCAAAAGCUUUCUUAUUCUGCCCAGAUUUAGUAUUUUUUCUUUUUAGGGGGGUUCCUUGCCUUAAAUUUUUUUUGACUAAUUUAUUAUGCAUCAAAUUUGACUAAUAGCAGAAACAUGCUUGAAACAAUCACAUUCUGCUUUUCUGAUAUGAUGAUUCAAGCUCUUGUUUUACACCAUGGUGGAUUUGUUCCAUUGAUACAUGUCUUGUACCUUGGAAUGAGAGAAUGAGCUUGCAAAUUACAUGAAAAAAGAAGAAUUUAUUGAGACUGAGACCCGAAGAUUUAGAUUAAUGGUCAAGCAAUUGAGUCAUUCCAUUUUAACACCUAAUGUCAAUUGAAUUCGUGAACAAGAAGGGCGAUACCUUUUUCAAUGAAAUAACAGUGGCCAUAAAGGCAAAAUUCCUCAAACAUUACAAGAAUGUCUCGCUCUUUUUUUUUUUUUUUUGGUAGCCAUUGCCUUGGCUUCAAGGUUCAAGUUGGAGGGGCUUACAAUGCUUCUUGUUCCAUAUUACAAAUCUUUGGGACUGAGUCAGGAGCUCCAACUGGAGCACCUAUUGGCGAUAACGAUGAGUUGACUCUCAAAUAUGCAUGUGGCAUAUGUGGGUCGAUAUAAUACAAUCCAUCCACAGAGAAAGAAUGCAACCUCAUUAAGUAGUGCCCACAAACCUCUAUGGUCUUUGCUUCGAAGAACACCGCACGGCCUGCUAGGUAUUCAUCUUCAUUGUCUACUGGUGAAUUGGAGAUGUAAUUGGGAAUAGAAUAGACUACACCAAGCACAUUAAUAGAGUUGGUGAAAAUAACCUCGAGAAUGUGAAAUGGUGGAACUCGUGACUUACUCACUCCACUAACAUAUACGGCACCUUCGAAGUCUAUGUUCACUACUAGCCAACUUUUCGAAGUCAAAUAGAUCCAACUUGUUUGCGUGAAAUUUGGAAAUAAUUACCGUAGGGUGAAAUUAGUUUUUACAAGAAUCAACUCCAGAGGAAUGUACCCAACAUGGACACAAGAACAACAAUGACACUGUAUAGUCCAAAUCAUGGUGAGGAUAUGAAUUAGUAUCGGAUGAAAGAGGGAAGAGUCAAAGAUCCAAUGGUGUUCCAUUUAUCCUACGAUUGCUCUGGAAGACACUUGGGCUUCAUUCGUAUCGCGGAAAAUAGUUUCCAGGAAAAGUUUUUCGGAUUUUUCAAAAUUCAUUUAAUAGAAAAUGAACUAGUUAAGAAAAACAUUUUGCAUUAGUAGCAAAAAGUUUUCUAAAAUAGGGGAAAACAUUUUCCUCACUUACUCUAUCUUAUCUCACACCCUUGCUAGCCUCUUCUUCUUUCUUUUUUUCUUUUUUUCUUUUUUUUUUAAUUUUUAAUCUUUUUUCUUUUUUCUUUUUUUCGUUUCUUUUUUUUUUUCCUUCUUUUCGGGCCCAUCCCGUGGUUGGCGAUUGACCAAAGAAGAAGGAGGAAAAGAAAAAAAAAUAAAAGGUAAAAAUAGAAAAGAAAGAGUAAAAGAAAAAAAAGUAGAAAGAAAAUUUAAAAGUAAAAUAAUCAAAUUUGAUUUUUUAAAAAUAAAAAAUUAUUAAAAUGAGUGCACAAUAAGAAAUCAAAUCGAAUUUUCCACACUGAAUGGCGAAAAAUAUUUUCUAGUUCAUUCUCAUGUUUCAAGCAAACACCGGAAAAUAUUAUUAUUUUCUUAAAAAAUGGCUUUCUUAAAAAUAUUUUCCAGAACCACAAUAUUUUAUGUGAAACGAAUGAAGCCAUGGAGAGUGCCUAGAUACCUUUGAUUCCCGGGGUUUAUGACUAAUAAGAGCUGGCAAAAAUCAGAUUUUUCAUAUCAUCAUAACUAUCCAUUAUCUAUUAAGCCAAAAAACGACAAGUAUGUUCCUAGCAAAAGGCAUAAAUUUCAAUAGUUUUAUAUGUUACUCCUUUUAAUAGCAUUCUCAUGAUAUGGAGCAAUUACUCUGUAAAUAUGAUAUAUAUGCUGAAUUGUAUCUGGACCAAAAAUGUUGGAUGUAAUGUAAAUCUCAUUAAAAAAAAAAAAAUUCACGAUCAACAUAAGCAAAGCAAGCAGGAGAGAAGAAAAUUAAUUUUAUGACUUUAAAUAAAGAUGAUAAUUUGACCAACUUAAUGAAGUAACUACUUUUGGUUGUGCUGAUUUAUAUUUUCACGUAACAUAUAGCUUUCAAAUGUAAAUUUCAGCCGUCCUCAAGCACUUGAUGAUAAACUAACAUUAGGAUCAAACCUAUUGCAUAUUCAUUCAUUCACAUCUAUGGACUGUGACUUAUAUUGGCUCACUCUUGUCAAUUUAAAGGAAAAAGAGUAUAAUUAUAGAAGAAUAACAUUACCAUGUAUGCUAUCAGAACAAUAUAAGUUACUGAGAGUCAAUAGGAAAAUUGAAGAGUUUGAUGUAUAACAUAUUUACGAAGCAUUGUCGGACAUCUAGAUUUUAUUAAAAUACUUAAGAGAAACCAUGCAAACCCUAUAAGAAACCCAAUUGUAAAAUGCAAAUUUUGGUACAAUUAUUAUCUUAUAAUUUUUUGCUGCAUCAUUUAUUUAUUAAGUUUAUGCAAUAUUUUCAAGAUAAAUAAUGGCCUCUCCUCUCUUGAUGCAACCAAGCAAGUGAGAUGGUAGAAGACUUUGACUUGCUUGUAAUUGCUAGAAUCUUCCCCCUAGGUUUUGCCAGCUUUUAUCUUAUCCCUUUCUUUGUAGCUAAGCAAGCAAGAUGGUGGAAGACCUUAACUUACUUUUUCUCCCCCUUCCUUUUUCCCUCCUUUCUUUUGAGUAGGUCUUGUUGACUUUUGCCUUAUCACUUUCUUUGCGACUAAGCAAGCAAGAUGGCGGAAGACUUAGACUUGCUUUCCCUCACCAGAGAAUUUUUUAAAAGGUAAUUAACUCAAUUCAUAGAAAAAUUGAUAUGAAAUCUCCGAAAAAUUCUUUUUCUUAAUAAAGAUUUCUUUUGCAAAAUGCAAAUACUGACGUGAGCAUGCUAUGUAUGGAGAAAUAUCCUAUUGACCCAAUUUGGCGUCAUGCUUGAUUGCUGCAACAACAUAUUUGUUCUUGAGAUAUAUAUCCUUGAUGAUGGCCCACUACGGUGUUGGGCUCUACAUUAGAUCUAAUGGAGAUCCGAUGUUGUGUAUAGCUCGAUGCAUGCCAGAAUGACUCAAAUGCGACGUUAGAUCUAGUCAAGUGUCAUUACAGCAAGAUGCCUCUAUUUUUGAGUUGAGCCAUGACAAAGGGUGUUUGGGGGGGGGGAGAGAGAGAGAUAUUUUUGAGUUGAGCCAUGACAAAGGGUGUUGGGGGGGAGAGAGAGAGAGAGAGAGAGAGAGAGAGAGAGAGAGAUUGCGGGGGAGGGGAUAAGUUGUGGAAGGCAUCAUUGGUGUUGGUUAGGAUAGUGAAUAUGGGAUGGUGACAUUAAUUGGUAGUGGUAGGGAAGGGGGGUUGGCGUAGAGAACAAGAGAGAAACGAUGCGGUAGAAUAAACGGUAUUUCAUGUGACAAUUGUAUGGAGGAGGUUUGGCUGAAUUGCCCUAAAUUGAUGUUGCCCUAAAUUGAUGUUGUCAUCUGGACGUGAAGCUCAUUGAUAUCGUGAGAAAGAUCAUGUUUGGAAGACUAAAAAAGAUAGGGAACAAACGACGUACCACUCAAUUGUUGGUCAAAGCAAUAGGCAAGUAAAGAAAAAGCUCAUGUAGUUGUCACACCACAUACAAUGGGCUCCAUAUGCUGGGGUUACCACACUCGAGCAUGAGGCCAACUAAGGAGUCCCGUGAAAGCAAAUGGAAAAAUCAAUUUUAUUUUCUCUUCGUUAAUUAACAUGAAUUGCAUAUAGACAUGAUUUAGACUCAUAAAAAAAUAUAUAUGAAAUUAAAUACUUUGAAUUCAUAAAAAAGCGUAUUUUUUAAAUUUUAGCUAAUCCAUAUAUGAUAUGAGUCACUAAAUAUGAGUUAAAAUGUAAAUUUUUUUACCAUUUCAAUGCCUCUAGCAGUGAGAAGCUUUCAUUUCAAUGGGAAGGGAAAGCAAAAUGUUGUCCAUCUUCACUUCGAUUUAUGUGGUCAUGCCAUCCCAUUACAUAGAGAACUAACAAAAGUUGAGAGUUAAUCGGUUACGGUAGUACUUUUUUUCAACAAGGACGCGUAAAUCCACGGUGGGAUUGUGUGUAUCCCAAGCACAUGUGGCUCAUCUUUUGAGGUAAGAGGGGAAGUAAUUUCCAAUGAAGUUGCCAAUUAAAGUAGAUGACUGUGUCAGACCAAAAAAAAGAAAAAGUAAUUGAUUGUGGGGCUCUUUUGAAAUAGUAUCGUGUGAAAACUAAUUUCCAUUGUGAACACCUUGACUUCAACAUAAAAGUAUGUACUCUUUCAAUUAAUGGGGCAGGAAAAGCAAAAGGCGAGGAUAAAGCAAAAAGUAUCGCCCAUCUUCAAUUUGAUUUGAGUGGCCACGCGGUCCAAUUACAAUCUAAUUGCUAUGACAAUCAGCAAUAGGGGUGCCAAUCAAUCAAUAAUUCGAGUGGCAAAGCGGAGCCAUUGUCAAAAGGUGCGGAUAAAGCAAAAAGUAUCGCCCAUCUUCAAAAAGUUAAUUUUCACUAUGAUUUGCUUGGCCAAUGGAUCCAAUAACAAAAAGAACCAACAAGGAAAGUCUAUAGAGGGGUCAUCUUGGCAAUUUCGAGGAAGGAAUUGUUUUGGGGUCUUGGCCAAAAAGGUUAAAAUCAAAAGAAGACAUGAGAGGAAAUAUCUAGAACCGGUCGUGAACUUCAUGGGAGGAAAGUGACCUUCUUUCAUUCUAAAAUGAUUUAAUAUGCAAUAUAUUUGUAGGAAGACAUAUGCGGAUUGGAUUAGAGAAACUUAUCAUUUAGUGUGAUUUCCAUAUGAUUUAAUGGGAGAAAAUUAUCAAUUUUUUUUAAAUUUAUUGUAUUUAUGCCCAAUUUAAUCAUAAAUCUUUUAAUUCAACUAGCUUAAUCUUCAACUUAUUAACAAUUUCCUAAUAUAGGCUAGUUAAAAAUCUGGAUGAUGGGCAUCUUAUAUGGCAUGGCUGGCGAGAACUUGCAACCUGACCGUAGAGGGCUCUCGGCUCUUGCUUGCGGUGUAUGAGGGCAGCGAGCCCUCGCCCUUCACCUACCAAUCAGCUAUUUGAUUCACCGUUCUGCCACGGUGGGCCACCGAUAUUCUUUUGAAAUUUUGGGCGUCCAAUACACGUGCCUCCAGCUAAACAUGGCACGUGAUUAUGCUCCUGCAGAGAGAGUCAGCACAGAGCCGCGUUGUCCGACUCCCAAGUAUAAGUUGUCUCUACUUCUUGAUCUGAAGCACAUCGAAUCCUCUUACCAGAGCGAGAGCUUCAGCUUGAAUCGGCAGAGGGAGCAAGGGAUCUUCUUUCUCGCGAAUCCAUCGAGCAGUACGCCUGAGGCCGUCACGAAGAGCACCUGCAAUCGCUCCUUCCGAACCACCACCGGCUUCAAAGGACCCCAUCGAUAGUUUUCUUGAGGGACUGGGUAUUCGGCGGGCAGCGAUUAACAGGUAAAAUCAACUCGAAUCGUGUCGAGUUUCCAACUUUUUAGUGUUCCGCUCGCUAUAAUUUCUGAUCGCAGACUCCGCUGAGGCGAUUAGGGUUCCUGGGUUUGGUGGCGCGGUCUUCGCUGGGAACACGAGGGUCGUUUCUGGGAUCUCCAGAUAUACCAGAGAAAAGCUGCGAUUUAAUCGAGAGAUAGUAAGUUCCUUGCCUGUUGUUGGUGAUUUUGUAGCCACUGCUCGUCCUUUCUUGUGAUGUUCUGACCUGAGAUGAUCUGCAAAUUUACCUCGGCGUAUUUCCAAACCAAGCCGGUCCAGGUCAAGGCGUGAAGGUGAUCCUUGGGAUUGUGCUGCCUUACGGGACUCAGACACGACUCGAUCUGCUUCGAGGCGACUUCUUCUCAAACACUGAAACCCAUCACAGUGAGCUCCUCGAGGUAAGCACGACCUUUAUUCUCCAGUCUAUUACAAUUGAUCGGACAAAUAAUAAAAUACAUCUGAUUAUUACUCAUAAGGCAUACGAAAUAUUACAUGUGAAACUCCCUCAGACUUUUUCAAAAUCAUCAGCACAUAUUUAUUGCUAAUUUUUCUUACUACAAUCUUCUCAUUUAAACUAAUUGGUUAUGAAUGGUUAGACAGAUUGAAUUUGGUGGAAUCACAUGCUGCCCCUCAUCCCGAUAUUGUUUGCAAAACAUUAAUGGUUGACUGAACUCCCUUGGGACAAAAGGCCUGUCUUAAGAUUACGAAAAUACCCUUCUAGAUGCAAUAAAGCCUGAAACAUCCAAAAUACUCAGUUUUUGGAAAAGUAUUUUUUUUCCCUUGGAAGCAGUUAAAAACUAGAUUUUUUUUUUCAAAUAUCGAUUGUGCUGGUCUAUUCUCUUCAAUAAUCGCACAAAACCUUUCAAAGGAAUCAAAAUUAUCAACAACAAAAAAAUUAUCUGAACAAUCGGAUCAACUGCAGAAUUUUUGAAUGUCCAUAAAGCUAUUUUCCAUUAUAUUGGCAAUUUUCGUAAUUUCCGGAAAAUGACAGAAAAUUCAAAUAUUUUUCAGAAAUUAUACACUAUUGCAAUUUUUUUUAAAAUUUUUUUUAAAAUUUUUUUAAUUUUUAAUUUUUUUUUCGUGUUGGUUACCAUAGAGAACUUGAAAUUGAGCAAAGCUGCUGGUUUCGAUGCGCUUACACAUAUUUAAUAUGUGGACAAUUUUUAGGUGGACUGUGUCUUAGCGGAUUGAAUUAGAGAAACUCAUCACAAAGUGUGGUUUUCAUGUAAUUUAAAUGCUUACAGCAAAUACAUGACUUUUACGUAUAUAUAGCAUAGAAAGUUACUGACCUACCAUAGAUUUGACAAUAUGAUUAAUGCAUGUUCAGGGUGGGAGAGAAUGUAGCAUUUACAGGAGGAAGAACGUCUUUGAUAAUAUCAUAAUGAAAAAUUAGCAAGAGCCACAUUUAUCUGUUUAACAAAAUGGUUUAUACGUAGAUAUGAACAGAAUUGGUCAAUCUGUAUUCUGGUCCAAAUAAUUCUCUCUCUCUCUCUCUCUCUCUCAUGUUUGGCCUCUCUUUUGCAGAACAAUUCAAAACUAUCGUCCUCAUUCGCUUUCUUUGAUCUUUUCCCUCUUAAAAGUUCUCACCUAGGCUUGUUUAGGGUCUCCUCUGUCCGAUCUCGCACCUCUCUUUGCGUCUCAGCUCACGGGAGGUAAUUGACUUUUCAUAUCUAAUUAGCGUGUUGUUUCUAUUGAUCGGCUGCUUUGUUAUUGUAAUGAUGAUGGGCUGAACUAGUGUGUUUUGGGCCCUUUUUGUCUAUUGGCGAUGUGGGGUGGCUGCUGAAUAGCUGAGGAGGGUCUUUUAUUCUCUCUUUGGAGUCGCUGUGGCCUGUUAACGAGGUAUGUCCCCCAGCUCAGAUUUGACUUCGGUGAAAAAGGAAUCCUUUGUUUUCAACUUCAGAUGUGGCUAAUGCUCCGAUGGCCUUGUUGUCUGAUUGUUAGUUUCAUUGCGAUUCUAUUGUGCGCAAAAUAUCCAUAUUGUGCUUGAAUCCAAAGAUCAUUUUUUUGUGCGUUGUAAGGUUCCUCUGUGUUUGAAGGUCCUAGGUCAAUUUAUAGAAAAAUAAAUCAGAAAAAUAAAAGUAGGCUGGUUCAGGGUCAGCUAGUUUGGUUCUUACAUACAAAAAUGGAGAACUGAUUAUUAUUGAACAAAUUCCUAAUUCUUAGUUUAGAACCCACUCAUCCCGAAAUCGAUGAUCCUAAGAGUAAGUCUUAUCUUAAGGAGACUUCAUGGGACAAUUUUACCUCCCUAUAGAACAUUCCAAAUGAGUAAUAUUCUGUUUUCCUCGAAUUGUUGGACCAUUAAUCCUAGAAAGUAUAUUCCCUUUCACAUUUUCUCCCUUCUUUAUCAAGAAAAAGAAAAAGAAAGAAAAGCUCAUUUUCUCUUUCCAAAGCUUUAAAGCUUGACCGGGUCUUUAUUUGAAAAAAGAAAAAGAAAAUGAGGAAUAAAAAAGUACAGUGAAAGUUUGAGCAUUUUAACUAUAUUGCUACUUUUCACCUGCUCUCAACAUAAUUUCAAUCAUCACAGUGAAAAAGAUACCAAAAUCCAUAAUAUGAUAUUUCUUAAGAUCUUUUACAUGAUAUCCAAUAGUUAUUAAAAAAAAAAAAAAACAUAGUUCAAUCUGACACAUGAAAACAAUCAAAUGAGGCGAGCCAAUACACGUAUAUUAUUCGCCUAGCUUUAAAUCACUCGUUUCUUACACCUUUUGUGAUACAAACGACAAAUUCGUUCUUGAAAAUGUGAUUAAUCAAUUUAACCUGACUGAGCACAAUUCAGCCGAUAAUCCUAUUCUACUUCUAUUUAAUUGGAUUAAAAAAAAAAAUCUUUGCAGUGAUAUUCUCAAGGUCGGCCCUCCAACAAAAAUGGGGACAAGCACUAAACGCCAUUGUUUCAAACCUUGGUCGUCUCUGAAUUUUCCUCAGCAGCUUCCUUUUACUUCCUUUCUUAUCUUCUUCUCCUUCUUCCAUGGAAUCAGUACCUACUUUCUAAUCGUUCAGAUUAACAUGGAGAAAGAAAAGAGUGCAUAAAAAUAGAGCACUGAGGAAGCAUCCACUCUUCCGUUCGGUGCCAUCUAACAAUUUAUAGCUCUAUUUCAAAGACAAGAUAUCAGUCAAGUGGACCCGGCACAGAAUAGAUGAAAGAUAAAUAACCACGAGCAUUUGUUUAUCUCAACCCCACAUUUCCAAUUUUGUCUCAGCUCAAUUAUCAGCUUUUAAAUGAUUUAUCAAAUUCUUUGACAAAAAUUGAUUUAUCAAAAUCUUAUUUUCAAUGAUCAAGUAAAAACUGAACCACUACAUAUAAUUUUGAACGAAUGCAAUAUGCUUGUACAUAGAUUCCAUUAUUCUAUAGCCCAAUUAAGAAAUUAAUGUACGUGUUAUACGUUAGGGGACCAAAGCCGGCAAGAUUGACUUGACUAGAGGAUGAUAUCCAAAAGAAGAUAAAGCAAGGAUUGAAAGCAUCAGCGACUGCUCCUAGUCAAUCAAAUAAUAAUUAAUUAAUAAUUUUAUGUUUAUUUUUUCUUGCUUGGUAAAAGAUUUCAUGUUUAUACUUGUUCAUACUUCAUAGAGACUAAUUAUCAAUCCUUUUUAUGCAGCAGGAGAGCAUCUUUCUCUCCAACUUUCCCACUCAGAUUGCCAUCGACAAAGGGCGGAGUCACACUGAAACAAACGAAGGGAUGCACCCUUUAAUAAUGGGGCGUUCUCCCGCGGUGCUUGCCACGACGAUUCUUUUUAGUAUGCUUGCAUUCUAUCUUGUCAAGAAGAAGAGAGCAUCCACACCUUCGAAAAACUCUCCAACACUCGAAGGAAUACGUAACGAUAAUUAUGAUGUGUUCUUGAGCUUUAACGGGUCAGAUACCCGCAAGGGAUUCACCGAUCACCUCUAUCACAGUCUAAUCAGGGUAGGGAUUGCACCAGUUUCUGUGUUCAAGGAUGAUAAGAGCAUCCAAAUUGGUGAGGAAUUCGGUCCACAAAUUCUCGAUGCCAUCGCUCGGUCUAAGAUUUCGAUUCUCAUCAUCUCCGAAAAUUAUGCUUCAAGCAAAUGGUGCCUCCUCGAGCUUAUUCAUAUCAUGGAUCGUGUGAAGAGCCCAUCACACACAGUUUUGCCCAUCUUUUAUAAAGUGGACCCAUCGCAUGUGGGGAAUCUAAAGGGAAACUUUGGUAAGAAGGCCUCUCAUACAUGUAAGAAGUAUAAGAAGUGUUUUAAUGAGGAGAACAUCCAGAAAUUGCGGAAAGCACUCGAAGACGUGAGUCAUUUACAAGGAUGGGAGUCUCAAAAAGUUGCUGACGGGUACUUUGCUUCUACCUAAACUUCUCUUUUUUGAUAAGUAAGUUUUUGGAGAAAUUACCAAAAAAAAAAUAUUAAACCUAUUAUAACAGUGAUAAUUUAGUUCUAGAAUUUUUUAUUUAGUCAUUUUAAUCAUAAAGCUUUUGAAAAUCUACCAAUAUAGUCCUUCUGGCUGAUUUUAGCUAGAAAUCCCUUCUUUCUCUCCGGCUGCCGACCUCCUUGAUGGCCGGCAACAGGCCACAUACUAGGGUUAGUGAGGCUCGCCCUCCCUGUCAAGGGCCAACCUCGCCGGAAUCUGGUCCUUCUAAAGAGGUCAGGCCAACACAAACUAAUAACCCUAAAAAAAGGAAGGAAGAACAUCAGAAAUCGGGAAUCCAGAAACGCAAUCAUUCGAGAACACGAUUAUAUUUGCAGAAUUAAUGGGGAUGUCGCAAGCGAAGUGGUUGAGGGGGAGCCACUGUCCUUUUCUUCCGCAGAUUCACUUCCUUCUUCGCCUUCGACUCCACUCCACCUACCAAAAAUGGGGGACGAAAAUGGAAUCACCACUUCGUCGCUGCCGUCGUCAUCUCGCUCUUCUUUGUCUCUGUCUUCGUCGUCAAAGUAACAGUCCCUCUGCUCCGCUGCCUCCACCGGCCCCACCUGCGCCGUCCAGUCGAAGUUCGCCAGCACGUUCUGGCUGCUGACGAACCUCCUCAUCUGACCCAACGACGGCCCUCUCUUAUUGGAAAAACUCUCGGUCUCCCUCCUUGCGAUUCUCUAUAGGACCACUAGAAGGACCAGAUUCUGGCGAGGUCAGCCCUCAUAAUGAGGCAGCCCUCGUCUAUGGCCGGUGACCGUAGAGAAAAAAAAAAAAAAAAAAAAAACAAAACAAAAAAUAUAAAUAAAUUAAAUCAAGUUCAGAAAAAAUAAUAAAAAAUAAUAAAAAUUCGCCAUAUCAAUACUAGGGGUAUACAUAGAUUUCUAGUCAAAAUUGAUUGGAUAGAUUGUAUUUGCAUAUUUUCAAAAUGUUUAGGAUUAAAUUAACCAUAAAAAAAUUAAAACUGAACAGAUAUAAUUAUAAUAAAUUUAGGACUUUUUUAGUAAUUAUCCCGUAAAUUUUCUUGUUCAUGCGAAACAGAUGAAUUGCGGUUGUCUCCAACAGAGCAAAAAUCAAAGAAAUGACUACCCCUCCAGCCAAUAGUGUCAAUCACCAAACAAUAUGCUUAGAAAGGACUCGAAUGCUCAGUAUUUCAAAGCUUUAUCACCGCCAGAUAAAAUAUACCUCCUCAUGUGAAUGGAAGUUGGCUCUGGUGAAAAGGAUCAGACACUUCACAUUUACCAUGUCUAGGUUUGAUUUCCACUGUCAGUAGACCCCAUUGGUAGCGAUUUGUAAAUCAACUAUAAGUCCUCAAUUUUGGCAUGUGAGAUGCCCUGGCCUUAGAGCGGAGUAACCUACUUUUCUCCUAAACUUCUUUAAUUAAAACAAAAUUGGCCUCCUAUGAUUUAACUAGCAUCAAUCUUAAGCCUUGUAACAAACAUUACACUUCUAAAGACUCUUAACGAGCCACGCGCACCGUCUUAUUUUCUUUCAACAAGAUCCAUCUAGCAAAAGAGAGAAGACAAAAUGAAAUGACCGCUGGCCACCAUACCCCAUUGUUAUUUGUAAAACCAAAAUAUCUUGCAUGUUAAUUGGUCCCAUCCAUUCUUCACAUGCCUGUCGGUGCCUUUUGAUGAGUUUAAGUAUAAUCAUGAAAUUAUCAACGAGUUUUUUUGUUGGACAGGCAUGAAGGAGAAUUAGUGAAAAUAGUUAUCGAAAAUGUUCUGAGCAAGUUGCAACAAGAUUUUCAGCUUGAUGUUACUGAGCACUUAAUUGGAAUUGAUGAUCAUGUGAAUAGAAUCAUGAAAUGGGUAGACACUCCUACCACUAAUGCUCGAAUGAUUGGAAUCUAUGGCAUGGGUGGGAUUGGAAAAACGACUCUUGCCAAGGUACUCUAUAACCAGCUGUUGAAUGACUUUGUGCAUCGUAGCUUCCUUGCAGAUAUUCGAGAAACAGCUCGCCGCAAUAAAAUUGCUUAUGUACAAAAGCAACUAAUUAAGGAUAUUCUGCAAAUUGACCUUGAAUUUGGGAAUGUUGAUGAUGGAAUUAGUUUGAUCGAAUCUAGAUUCAGAGGAAAAAAGGUUCUCAUUCUUCUGGAUGAUAUAGAUCACGAGGAUCAAUUAAAUGCUUUGGCUAGAGAACAUAAUUGGUUUAUGGCGGGAAGUAUAAUUAUUGUUACAACCAGAUACAAAGCCAUUCUUGAUCGAUCUAAAUUCGCUGUACACGAGUAUGAUUUGAAUGAAUUGGAUCAGGAGCAUGCUUUGCUUUUGUUUAAUAGACAUGCUUUUGGUACGGACUAUUCUCUGAGGGACUUUGAGGGUAUAUCUGGUGAUAUCGUAUCCACCAUGGGUGGGCUUCCCUUGGCAGUUAAGGUUGUAGGUUCAUAUUUGAAUAAAGAAAUGAAUCGAGAAGUAUGGGAAGAGGUGCUGGAUAAGUUAAAAACCCAACCACAUGAAGACGUCCAAAAAACAUUGCGAAUAAGUUUUGAUGCAUUAGAAGACGGACCUAAGCAGAUUUUUCUCGAUAUUGUUUGUUUCUUUAUUGGCGAAAUGAGUAAAUACGCCAUGUACAUGUGGAAGGACUGUGGGUUUUAUCCAAUUCAAGGUAUUAAAGAGUUGAAGUUGAGGUGCUUAAUUAAAAUUGGAGAUGGUGGUACAUUUAAGGUGCAUGAUCAAUUGAGAGAUCUUGGAAGGAGCAUUUUUUGCGAAGGACAACCGCUUGACAAACGUAGCGGACCAUGGGACGACGACUACAAGGGAGUCCCAAAAGUACUAAGAAUCUUUGUACAGGUAAAAUAUGGCACUACCUUCUUUUUCUUUCCCUCUUAUUUUAAUAUAUUUAAUCUUAUCUAUUCUAAUAUUUCAUCUAGGAUGAACAUAUGCUCUUACUUUUUAGGAUAAAAAGAUCUAUGUAAACAUCCAUUUAUGUCCAUCUUAGAUUAUUUGUGACAACUAAAUGGAUUAUAAGUAUUUAAAGGAUGAAAAAGUUAUACCAUUUGAUUCGAUUUCAUUGAUAUAAAUUACAUCUGUAAAGAUUUGCUUGACAAUCAAUUUAAGAUCCUUUAGUUAUAAUUUUGCUCUAUAAAACUCAUUUACUAAAAGCAUGCCAUUGUCAUAUCUAGUUGAAAAUAUUGAUAAUCUGAAGGAAUACAAGAACAAAUGUAGAUGAAGUAUAAAUAUCAUAGAUCAAAUAAAUGAAGAUUUCUGGUUUAAAAAAAAAAGAAAAAAAAGAUAGUAUGUGCCGAUUACAAUAACUGAUAAUUAAUUCAAAACAAUAAGAUUCGAAAAAAUCUCACACUUUUGACAUGUGCUUACUUUCUAGUAUGGUGGAAUGUACUAGGGGGCUCUUGUGAUUCGGGAAUCCAAUGUUUGAUAUUAUUUUCUCCAUUUUGAUUUUGAAGAUAUCGGUCCCUCUAUUAGUUAUAUCUAUCUCUUUACAUCCUUAUUUCCUCUUAAUAGAUAAGAUAGCAAAAAUCCCCUUAAAAAUAUUUUUAGGAAGAUCUUACUGUUUUCAAAAGUUUUAUCUCGUUGACCUUGCUCAUUUUAUGGAUUAGGUUAGGUGUAUGAUAAAGAGUGGAUUUUCUUGUAACAAACAUUUCUAUCCGUUAUAAGUUGUUUUAUAUUAUUUAUAUUGUUGGGGACAAUGCCUCUUUCAUGCCAGAAACGUCUAGACUGACUUGACUAUUUAUAAAAUAAAUAAAUAAAAGAAAACUUGACCAAUUAAAGGAAAUGUCAUGCUUAUUAUUAUAUCCAUACCCUUGUCUUCUGAUAUGUGAUUUUCAGCAUGAAGCCAAUUUUUUCAACUAUGUUUUAUCUUUUACUUAAAUUAUCAAUGUUCGUGUCAUUUAUUAUUAUACAUUGUCCAUUUGGGAUGCCUCAUAAGCUCAUGGCUAAUCAAAGGCGAGGAAUUAGCCCUAGCAAUUAACCAAGAGAUGGGCAAACAAAACGGCUUUAUAUUCUUGAUAUAAUUUGAAAUAGUUCGUUCCUAUGAUUCCAUAUCACACUCGUUUGUUGAUCCAAUAACUUCUUAACAUUAGCAAAAGGAGCACACCAUACUGGUGUUUGAAAAAUGACCCAAAAAAAAAAAGUCAAAUCUGUUUUGAAUGGACAAAAGACAAUAAUUAGUGUGGUAAAAAAAUUAAAUGAUUGUACGAUUCGAGAGAUUUUGAUUUAACUUUGGAAAUUGAAAUACUUAUGGUAAUAAUUUUCAAUUGUCUUGACUAUUUCAAAUAUGAUUAUGUCUAUUUUGUUACAUUCUAUUUGUUCAGUUCAUUUUGGUGAAAUAUAUGUGUAUUGUUGUGGAAACUUUUCGCGAAAGCUUGAGUUUGAAACCCUCUUUCCAUAUAAUAGAUUUUUUUAAUGUAAUAUACAGUAUAGAUGAAUGUGCAAGCAAAAAUUAUGAAAGCUAGUAUGGGAUGGUGAUUGCAACAAUUUAGUGACUUUUAUGAUGAACGGACCUAAGAGAAAUUAUACCAUUGCAUUUCUAUGGUUAAUAUUUAAAACAGAGAUAACAACAAACGUGCCAAACCAUAAAAGUGAAUUUCUAACCAAUUAAACUUUUUGGGGGAAAAUAUAGGUAUUAUUAUAAAAGUCAAUCAAAGCCAUGGGGGAAUUUUUUUUCACCAUCUUCAACUCAUUAAAUGAUCUGUUUUAGCAGGAAAGUUAAAGAAUAUGUUUUUUGAUUUAUAAGAUGGAAAAAGAAACGAUGCCAUUCUUAUGGAAACGGACAUAUGAUGAUUAAACAAUGUCAUCGCGUCACUUUUUAGUUAAUCGGUUCAUGUUUUAGCUAUUCUGAAAGCGACUUAUUUUUUUCAAUCCCUAUUACAACUACUAACCAAUGUCAACACGUCACUUUUUAAACAUACUUUACCGCAUAAAAAAAAACAUUUCAAUUUUCAAAGAAAUGAGUAAACACUUAACACAAAUAGUUAAUGAUGUUAAAGAUAGUUAUAUAUCUUCUAGAGAUAUUUAGUAUAUUUAUUUUGAUUUUGCAUAUCAGAUUUGAUUUCUUUUUAUUUCCCUCCAUGUAAUCUUCUUUAUAUAUUGAAAUAUAUUAAAAAUUUCCUUUUUUUUCUACAUUUAACUAAUGAAAUGAAAACCGGGUGCUUCCUUAGCUACUUACAAGUGGCCCAUUGGCACUUUUUAACAUAUUCUUUAGAGAAAUUAUAGAGAAGUCAUAUGAAAAUUUACAAUUAAACAUUUGUACGUUGUAAAAUGGUUCCAUGUAUUUCAUCUUAAAUAAAAGUCAAAGUGCACGCGCUACAAAAUUUGAAAAAAGAAGAAGCAAGAGACAAAACAUUGAGGUGCAUUUUGCCUUAGUUUAAAGCAAUAACUUUUUUUUUUUCUUUAUCUUUGUGUCAUUAGCUUAAUUUUCGAAAGGUCGUCAUAAAAAGAAUUAUAUGUGAGUUUAUGUGUCCGUAUCUUUAUUGGGGAAGGAUAAAAAGGCAUCAACUCGUGCAAAUCCGAGAUUUUUAAAAAGCAAAAAACUAAAAAGUUAAAAAACUUGCAGAGACUCCCCUUGGUAGAAAACUUGCAGUUGCAGAGAUACUUUUCGUUCCACGACUUUUUUGGGGCAACUUCAACCAGACGCGUCGAGCAACUUUCCGAAGUGAGAUGGCUUCAGUGUAAUGAUCGUGGAAGGAAUGCAUCUCUUUCGACGAUCAAUUUGCAUCUGCCGAACUUAUCGGUGUUGUGGUUAUCUAACAUCAAGAUUACAGAGGAUUGGGAAGGAUGGAGUUCAUUUAGGGUAAGAUUGGGAAAAAUACAUCCUCUCUGCGAUUUUAGGGUUUUGUUUUUGUUUAGCCGAUUAACUCCUUCUCUGAUAGCUUAUUCUCCUUUUACAUCAGCUGUCAAAGCGGCUACAAGUUCUCGAUCUUUAUGGGCUUUCUAAUUUAAGAUGUACUCCAGAUUUCUCGGCUUUCACACAGUUGAAGAUUCUCAAAUUGUCCACUUGUGGCAGAUUGGAGCAUCUCCACCCGUCUAUUGGCAAACUCACGAGCCUCGUUACCCUGAAUUUGUCUUACUGUGAAAAUCUCAAGGACCUGCCAGAGGAAAUGGGCGAAUUAAAAGAUUUAGAAGAACUUAUAUUAACAAGGACUGAUAUUAUAGAGAUUCCUACAUCUAUUGGUAAGCUGAAGAAACUGGAUGCCUCCAAGUGUCAGUCCCUGAGAAAAAUCCCUAGCUCAAUUGGGGAUUUACAGAAUUUGCAACAUCUGGACUUGUUUUCUUCUGCGAUUGAAAAACUUCCCAGUGCUAUUGGAAGGUUGAAAAAUCUGCGGACUCUAUUUCUCUUAUGGUGCCCUAGUCUGAAAGGGGCAAUUCCAAGUGAAAUUGGUGACUUGUCUUCCCUCGAGUAUCUCAAUCUCGAAGGCUCACCGAUAUCUGACCUGCCAGAAAGUGUCCGGAAUCUUUCUUCUCUCCGACGCCUUGAACUAGUGGGCUGUAAGGAGCUCCAGUCGUUGCCAGAGCUUCACUCGGGCUUAACUACGCUGUCGAUCUCUUGUCAGAGUCCCAGAAGGUUGCCACAGCUUUCUAGCCUAAUCCACCUAGAAGAACUCCAUCUUAAGGCAUGUCCUCUACUUGAAUCCAUCCCCGAGCUUUCCUCGAGACUCUCGAAACUCUGUGUUGAGGAGUGUGAUAAGCUGAUAUUACUCAAUCUCGAUGGAUGCACGUAUUUGGAAGGGUUUACAAUAAGAGAGUGCGGUUCCAUUGAAAGAUUGGACCUUUCAGGAUUGGUUCGUCUGAAAGGAUUGCAUGCUAAGGGUUGCAAAAACCUAGUAGAAAUUCAGAGCUAUGAUAAUUUGGAGUCUUUACAGGUCAUAUUUAUAUAUGACUGUGUUUCCAUUAAAAGGCUUCUCUGUCCAGAAUCACAGCGUUUGAAGAAAUUAGUGGUUGUCUGCUGCGACAAUAUGGUCGAAAUUCAAGGUCUUGACGGUGCAAAGUUCUUAGAAGAGUUGAAUUUUACAAAAUGCAGUUCAAUGGAGGCUUUGCCAAAUUUGACGGGAUGUGAGAAGUUACAAUCUCUAAUAGUUCGAGACUGCAAGAAACUUACUCAACUUCGGGGACUUGAAAAGUUGGAUUUAAUUGAUUUGGAUAGUUCUGGUUGUGACUCAUUGGAAGCAUUACUGAAAUUAUCUGGAACGCGCAUCUUAAGAAAUUAUGAUGAAGACCUGGAUUUUGACUCAAUGAGUGAAGUUUUCCUAUAUAAUGUAAAUAAGCAGUGAACAAUCAUUUUUCUUAUCAGAUUCAUGACCUACUUUUCAUAUUUUCUUUUGACAAGAAGGUUUUCCAUGGCAGGGUUGGGGAACUUUCUAAAUUGCUAGUCUUACACAAUUGAAGGAUUGGGGGAGUCGGUCAAAAGAUGACAUGAUGCAUCAGCCAAGAUCAAAAUGUAGCCCCAAAUGUCAAUAGAAGGCAUAGUAAGAUUCUUCAUCCUUGAAUCGCCAGUGUGAGCAAAAAGAGAAAUUUUUAGAAUGAUUUGCUCUACACUGGGUAUCUAUUUGAUUGAUUUUGGAAACUCCAGAUUUGCCUCUGUAUAAUUGUUGUUGAUUAUGUUAUAGCAAUGUUUUUCGUUUAUUCUUCCAUUGCCAGCUUUUGUAGAUUGCAAACAUAUAGCGGCUUGCGAGGCAAGAAUGAAAAUAUCAAUAAAGGUAAACAGGAAUUACCUUGUAAUUAACAGUUCCCUUAUCGGUAAACUCAGGAUUUGAAAUUUUCAUCUAGAGGCUGAUGAACUUCUACUACUCGUUAUUGUAUACUACGCCUAGAGUUUCCCAACAUCCAAUGUUCAUAUUUUCUUUGAAAGUUCUUUUGUAUGUCAAAUUUGAUUAAUGGGAGAUAUCCUGUUCGCCUUUGGAUUUUCCGUAAUGAACGAAACCCCCGUCAAGUUUCUUAUUGUUCCAUUGAUGUCCCUCAAUAAUCUUCUAAGAAGAGCAUCGCUUCUCGGAAUAUGAUCAACUGAGCCAAAAUAAAAUUCAAGGUUCAAGUGUUUCUGUUUGGUGACAAAGAAAAUGUUAAAAGUUGUUUUGGCUAGUCUGUCAUAUAUGAAUGUAGAAAAUUUUUUCCCGUCUGUGAAACAAGCUGGGACGAGGGGCUCAAGAAUUGGCUAAUUGGUUUGCAUCACGUUUGAUCCUAUUGCUGCCAUGGAAUUGUUUUAUCACGACUGAUUUGGGUGUGGCUAACUUGGCUGAGGAACUUCAAAUUCCAUACUUGCGACCAAUCAAAAUGAAGAAAAGGGAUUUUGUGGAGGAAGCAUCAGCAACAGCUGAGGACCAUCUUGUGUGCCAACCUUGAAGACGUUCUAGGGCCAACUGGAGUGUCCGAAAGAAGUUUUGAUUUGUGUGAAUGUUCAAACAUGUGAUCUUGUCUCAACAACACAUGCCUGAACAAUUGUAAAUGUACCUUUUAAAAUUAAAUAGGCUUUCUAUAUGCUCAUUAGGUUCACCUCUCCGUUAAUCAAACAUAGCUUCUAACCUUUUAUAUGUUAACCUGAUGCAGAGUUGCUUGAUACAGUUGCAUUCUAAUGAUAUCACUCCUGAACUCGAUGAGGCUUUGAAAGGGGAGGUAUGCACUGCUAGUCGUACCGUGAAAGACCAAAUUGUGUGCUUAUUCUCUAUGAGCUGUGGAAUUUCACUUGAAAUUAGGACACAAGUAUGCAUGAUGACAAUCUCCUCACUUCUGUCAGUUUAUUAGUGUGAUAAUAUCCUCUAAAUGUUCUCAAAUAGGUUUCUGAUUUGAUAGGCUCAGCUCUCAUGUAUGUGGCAUUGGAUUUGUUCCUCGCAAAUUAUCCUGUAUUGCCGAUUUUGCUAAUUGGAUUCGGCAAAAUAACCAAGUAGCAAAUACAUCUUUCUAUUCUAUAGUUUAGGGAAUUCACCUUUUCAGCAUAAUUUUAUUAACUUCAAUUCCGUUCCUAAACACAAACAGGGAAAGUGUUGUUAAUUGCUUACUUCUUUUGAGCCUAUUGGUUUCUUUUUCAUCGGCCAGCUAAUGAAGUCUCUGUUCAUUGUCGUCUAACUGCAAUUUGGUGUCAAUGAUGUUUACACAAUUGUACUUUAUCUCUCAUGGGGUAAAUUGUGAUGCUAGGAUCUCAGAUAUCUUCAUUUAUUGAUAACUAGUCAGUGCUAUCUUCCUUGUGUAGAUUGAAGCUGCAUUUCAUGAAACUCGGAGAAAGUCCCAAAACACUGCAGGGAUGAGCUAUGUCAUUAUGGAAAGGCAUUCCGAAGUUCCUUGCUAAUGGCGUUUAUCAUGUGCUCUGUGUUGUUAAUACUCUCCAAAGGAUUCUUGAUACAAAGCAAACUCUUCUCAUGUGGUGUUUUAGUCCUUUGCAAGCUUUGGCAUCGUCCAGUUUUUUGGCAAAGAUUGAAUCACAAAUCACUUUCGGGAAGAUUGCAUGUGCAGGUGGUUCUAUAUGUGAAGUCAAGUAUAAAAUGAGAUUUGUUAACAUGAUUACUAGUUCUAACUUGGCUGAGGAACUUCAAAUUCCAUACCUGAGACCAAUCAAAAUGAAGAAAGGGGAUUUUGUGGGGGAAGCAUCAACAACAGCCGAGGACCAUCUUUUGUGCCAACCUUGAAGACACUCUAGGGCCAACUGGAGUGUCCUGAGGAAGUUUUGAUGCUUGUGAAUAUUCGAUCACUUGAUCAUGUCUCAACAGUACAUACCUGAACGAUUGUAAAUGUAUUUUUUAAAAUAAAAUAUGGUUUCUGUAUGCUCAUUAGGUUCUAUCUCUUUGUUAAUCAAACACGUAGCUGCUGACUUUUUGUAUGUUACUCUGAUGCAAAGUUGUUUGAUACAGUUGCAUUCUAAAUAUAUCACCCUUGAACCCGCUGAGGCUCUGAAGGGAGAGGUAUGUACUGCUAGUUGUACCAUGAAAGACUAACUUAUGUGCUUUGACUAUAUGAGCUGUGGAAUUUCACCUGAAAUUAGUACGCAAGUAUGCAUGAUGACAAUCUCCUCCAUUUCUAUCAGGUUAUUAGUGUGAUAAUAUCUUGUAAAUGUUCUCAUAUAGGUUUUUGAUUUGAUAGGCUCAGCUCUCAUGUAUGCGGCAUUGGAUUUGUAAAGUUGAAAUUGUAUUGCUGAUUUUGCUAAGAGGAUAUUACGAAAUACCCAAGUAACAAAUACAUCUUUCUGUCAUGUGGUUUAGUUACUCACACCUUUUCAGCAUCAUUCUGUUAGCAUCAAUUUUGUUCCUAAAUACAAACAAGGGAAGUAUUGCUAAUUGCUUACUUCUCCAAGUCUGUUGUUUUCUAUUUCAUCGGCCAGCUAAUGAAGCGUCUGUUUUUUGUGGUCCAAUCGGUGGAAAUGAUGUUUAUGCAUUUGUGCCUUAUCUUUGAUGGGGUAAAUUGUGAUGCUACGUAUCUUGGUUUUUUUCAUUACUGAUGAUUAUAGUUAGUGCUAUUCCUCUGGUGUAGAUUCAAGCUGUAAUUCAUGAAACUCGGAGAAAGUCCCCAAACACCAUGGGAUGGAGAUGUGAGCAAGAAUGAGCUUUGUCAUUAUGGAAAGUCAUCCCGAAGUUAUUUACUGUUGGCGUUUGUGUUGUUAGUACUCUUCAAAGGAUUCUAGAUGUGAAGCGACCUCUUCUCAUAUGGUUCAUUAGGCCUUGGCGAGCCUUGACAUCAUGCUAUUCUUUAGAAAAGGCCGAAUCACAAAUUGCUUGCUGGAAGAAAGCAUUUGCAGGUUAAGCAUAACAUGAGAUUUGCUAACAAGAUUACUGGUUAGAUGUCCACUUCAAGCUAUAAUUUUGUGGCGGAGAGAUUAAAAGCGAAUGCCAUGGAAUUAGCAAAUAAUUUGUCAAUUGCAGGCAAGAGUUUCAAUGAUAAUGUUUCCAAGAAGACAAUAGUUUUCUCAUUUGAAAGAAUUUUGAACACAAAAUAAAGCACUCGUCAGUGUAAAAUCAUCUUUCAAGUCUGGUUACAUUGAAAAAUCAUAUGUAGGUAUUUUGCAAUUAUUUUGAUCGUAUAAUCUGAAACUUGAUUUAUUUAAGCAUGAAUCUAAAAGCGGAAUUUUUUUUCUUACCAAAAAAAAAAAAAACUAAAAGCGGAAGAGCCACAUCCAUGCACAUUUUCAUAUCUGAAACCUAUUUUUCUCUGGCGUAGACUACGAUUGAAGACUAUUGAAAAAUGUGGGAAAUUUUUGGAAGGGUGAAAAGGGCCAUUUUCAAAAUUUACUCAUUUGGUUUGAACAAAAAAAAUUUAAAAGGGUCAUCUUAUUGGUUAAUAAUCAGACUCUCCUACACCAAAUUGUGUUAACCAGUCACGCAUUGAACCCCUAAUCGAAGCAAUUUCUUUGAGGUUACUCUUUGAUAUUCCUGUACCCUUGUACUAGAUGACAAUGGUGGAAUUUUAGUAGUUGAAAGGCUGAAAGCUCCUGGGAAGGUACUCUGUCUAUUUCGCUGCUUGUCUACUUGAACUUAUACUCAAUUUUUCCAGAGCUCAAUACAAGGCCAAGUAGCUUGUAAGGGCAAGUAGCUUUCUAAGCCAAGUUCGAAUCUAUAAUUACUAACACAAAUAUAGUGUGGGUCGUGUUGAAAUACUUGUUAAACAUACUUAAUGUGAAAUAAUUAAAUUUUCAGAAUAUUGAUUGAACAUUUCACAAGAAAAAUCACAAGUCGAUGUAUUGAGUCUACACUUUAUUUACUAAGUUGCUUAACCAGUGUCUAAGCCAUUAUUCCAAAGGGCAAUGGCUAUGUGUUUUGACUACUUUUAGAAUAUUAGUCACAACCUUAUCGGCUGAAUUGAUUUAAAAUUUGAAAACUGUGAAUCGACUAGAUAACUAGAUGAGGGUGUUAAACCCGGUGAACUGGUUCGGUUCUGCUCCUUCGAUUUCAUGCCAAAGAUUUGCUUUGACCUUGUUUUUGAAAGUUCCAUAACAUUUUACAUCAAGAUCCUAUAAAUUACGACCAUUUGAACAAUAACUACGCAAGUUUUGAUAGAAUUAAAGAGGGUUCCCUUUGGGCUUUUCAAUGUUCCACAUUUUUGUAACUCCAGUCUCAAUGGGACGGCAUUCGAAAUAUGAAAAAUUGUCCUCAAAUCAAAAUGGAACCAUCGAAAGCCUUUCGUUUUGUUUAGCGCAUGUCAUUUUAGAAUAUCUACUUUAGGAAUAUAUGUUGCCAUAUGAUGAAUCAUACAACAAAGAGGAAUUGAACCAGACAAAUUGAGGAAAUAAGGGGGUUAAAGAACCCCAGAAACAAGGCGUAGACAACAUUCGGCCAAAACAAAAUCGUACCCAACAAAAUCGACCACAAAAUAGAUGGUAAUGUCAAUCCUACAAAUACAAGUAUCCAUCUGGUUUUGCAAUCAGCAUCACAUUUCUUAGGAAAAGAUCUUACAGAAAAGAGGAGAAUUGAACAAAUCAGACAAUUCUACUUUGCAUGGGCAUGGAUGCAGAAUCCUGUUACAAAUGUAUUAGAAGGUAAGAAAAUUCAAAAAAGAAAAAGAAAAAUCGGUAAAUAUAAAUAUAUAUUACUAUCACGUACGAGUCAUCUCAUUUGCCUAUGUUUUGAAUGCUGGAGAUCGAUGAAUGAAACAACGAGUCAGAAGAACAUAAUAUCGGAGAGAUUGAACAUUUGCGGCACCCUUUCGAAUAUUUGAUUACCAUUAGAUACAUAUAAAGAUGAAGACCCACAGAGCACAGCAAAUCUCUCUGUUUCUCACCCUUUUUCUCUCUUCAUGACGAUGGACACCGUAUUCCUUAAUUUCUGCUAAUUAGAAUCGACGUGCGAAGGUCGAGCAUUUGCGCUUCAACCAUCGGAACCCUUGUUUGAAAGAAGCCUUGAACUUGCCUUCGACCGAAUAAAGCUUGUACCUGGCCACCCUCCUCUUCCUCUUCUUCUCUGGAUCAUUCCACCACGAUGCUUUUAUCGCCGACUCCUUGACGUUGUCUAGUCUGUGCGGGGGCGAAGCGUGUUCGAGCAUGCGAGGCCGGGAUUUGGCUACGUACAUCUGGUUUUGGUUAAGAGUUUGAAUCGUCAUGAUCUCUAGACUCCGGCCAACCCCAUGGGAUCUGUAGCUCGGCGACCACGGGUCCAUCUCUGUCCUCAAUAUCUCCCCUCUCUCUCUCUCCCGGCCUCGGCCUCUCCCCUUUCUCGGAUGGGAAGGAUUUUUUUUUUGGAGGAUUUUUUUUUCUCUCUUGAUGACCAUGAACACGUCUACUGGUUCUCUGAGGAAGUUGAAGAAAUCGAGUGCUUAUGGUUGUGAGUCUCUGAGAGAAAUCCCUAGCUUGAUUGUGGAUUUACCGAAUUUGCAACAUCUUCACUUGAGUCAUUCUGCGAUUGAAAAGCUUCCUAGUGCUAUUGGAAGGUUGAAAAAUCUGCAGACUCUACAUCUCUCAUCGUGCUGUAAAGUGAAAUCGGUGACUUGCCUUCCCUCGAGAUUUUCAAUAGAAAAGUGCAGUUCCUUUGAAAGAUUGGACCUUAGACAAUUGAUUCGUCUGGGCAGAAGAACAGCACAAGUGCCAUAACUUGGCACGCCGGGACACUUAAGUGCCAUAACUUCCAAACGGUACACUUAAGUGCCACUUUUUUUUUCGAGUGGGACACUUAAGUGCCACCUCCGGCGACCCUUGCCGGAAAUCCUACGUGGCAAUAUUUUAUUAUUAUUUUUUGCCUACGUGGCUCGCCGGAGCUCCAAAUCAGCAUAAAAAUUAACAAAAAAAUUUUUUAAAAAAGAAAAUUUUAAAAAUUUUAAUUUUAAAAAUUUUUAAAAUUUAAAAAAAAUAGAAAUUUAAAAAUUUAGAUUUAGAAUUAAAAAAAAAAANNNNNNNNNNNNNNNNNNNNNNNNNNNNNNNNNNNNNNNNNNNNNNNNNNNNNNNNNNNNNNNNNNNNNNNNNNNNNNNNNNNNNNNNNNNNNNNNNNNNNNNNNNNNNNNNNNNNNNNNNNNNNNNNNNNNNNNNNNNNNNNNNNNNNNNNNNNNNNNNNNNNNNNNNNNNNNNNNNNNNNNNNNNNNNNNNNNNNNNNNNNNNNNNNNNNNNNNNNNNNNNNNNNNNNNNNNNNNNNNNNNNNNNNNNNNNNNNNNNNNNNNNNNNNNNNNNNNNNNNNNNNNNNNNNNNNNNNNNNNNNNNNNNNNNNNNNNNNNNNNNNNNNNNNNNNNNNNNNNNNNNNNNNNNNNNNNNNNNNNNNNNNNNNNNNNNNNNNNNNNNNNNNNNNNNNNNNNNNNNNNNNNNNNNNNNNNNNNNNNNNNNNNNNNNNNNNNNNNNNNNNNNNNNNNNNNNNNNNNNNNNNNNNNNNNNNNNNNNNNNNNNNNNNNNNNNNNNNNNNNNNNNNNNNNNNNNNNNNNNNNNNNNNNNNNNNNNNNNNNNNNNNNNNNNNNNNNNNNNNNNNNNNNNNNNNNNNNNNNNUCCACUUGAUGCGUCGCCCCAGAUCUGGGCGAGGGCUCGCGGGCCCUCGCCGCCGGUCGGCCGGCCCCUGGCCAGGGCCCGGCGACCCCGGCCGACCCUCCCCCCUCCGUCGCCAGCCCUUCCCGGCGACGGCGGGGAGGCGGCGACGGCGGGGAGGCGGCGGCAGCGAGGGCUCAGCCCUCAGCCGCCCGUUCGACCUCCCCCACCCUUUUUUUUUUAAUUUUUCAUUUUCUUAAUUUUUUAAAAUUUUUAAAUUUUUCUUAAUUUUUUAAAUUUUUUGAAUACUUUAUAAUUUAAUUAAUUUUUAUAUUAUUAUUUACACGUAGGCACAAAACGGCGUCGUUUUUGCGUUUUCUCUGCCACGUCAGCGUGCAAAACGACGCCGUUUUGGACUAAACUCGCCGGAAAAUUGCCACGUCAGCCAUUUGGCCGGAUUUUCGCCGGAGUGGCACUUAAGUGUCCCAUUUUACUCCGAUGAUGGCACUUAAGUGUACCAUUUUAAAGUUAUGGCACUUAAGUGUCCCGGCGUGCCAAGUUAUGGCACUCCAGGUGUCCUCACCUCAUUCGUCUGAAAUGAUUACAUGCUGAGCUUCGUGAUAGCCUAGUUGAAAUUCAGGGCAUGAUAAUUUGGCAUUCUUGGAGGUCAUAUUUAUAUAUGACUGCAAUUCUAUUAAAAAAGGCUUCUCUGUCCAGAAUCAUGGUGUUUGAAGAAAUUAGUGGCUGUCGAGUGCGACAAUCUUACGUCUUCCUAAUGCCGCACAUCACUGCUGUCUGCUUCGAGCUUUAGCUUAUCUCUACUUAGGCUCUUCGUUCUUCGUCCCUUCCUCUGGAUGCUGGUCGAGGUUUGCUGGGCUGUUUUUGUAGUUGUGGCUUUUAUGGUGUGUCCUUUCGGCUGUUAGUUUGGUUGUCUUCUUCUUGUUGCCUUGUGGCUUUCUUCGGCUCCCUUUCACUCUUUAUGCUUGUAGCAUUUAGAGUGUAAGUUUUCGGCGCCGUUUUUGUAAAGUUGACCUCAGCUCUUUAUAUAUUCUUACCUUUACCAAAAAUAUAUAUAUAGUCGAAAUUCAAUGUCUUGACGGUGCGAAGUUCUUAGAAAAGUUGGAUUUUAUAGGAUGCAAAUCAAUGGAGACUUUGCCAAAUUUGAUGUAUGUGAGAAGUUACGAUCCCUAAGAGUUCGAGACUACAAGAAACUUACUCAGUUUCGGGGACUUGAAAAGUUGGAUUUAAUUGAUUUGGAUAUUUCUGGUUGUGACUCAUUGGAAGCAAUACCGAAAUUAUCUAGGAAUGCACAUCUUUAGAAAUUAUGAACAACAUCAGUUUGGAGUUCUCUAUGGAAAUAUUAUCUUGCAGUGAUAUUGAUGUGAGGAAUCUUAUACCCAUAUUACAACAGUGAGACUAGUCCUGUUUCUUCAAUAGAGGUAAACAAGCAUCAUUUUUUUUUUUUUUAUGAGAUUGAUGACCUAGUUUCCAUCACUAUCUCCUUUUGACAAGAAGGUUUUCCAUGACAGGUUUCUGUACUUUCCUAAAUUCCUUGUCUUAGAUAUUUGAAGGAGUGGGGGAGUUGGUCAUAGAAUCUGACAUGAUGCUUCAGCGGAGAUCAAAAUGCAGACCCGAAUGUCAAUAGAAGGUAUAGUAAGAUUCUUCAUCCUUGAAUGGUCAGCAUGAGCAAAUAGAGUAAUACUUUUCUCGAAGCUCUACUUUUUUUUUUUUUAAAAGAAUGAUUUGCUCCACAUUGGGUAUCUAUCUGAUUGAUUUUGGAAACUCCAGAUUUGCCUACAUAUAUUGCCGUUGGUUUCGACAUAGCAAUAUUUUUCAUUUAUUCUUCCAUUGGUAGCUUCUGCAGACUGCAAACAUAUUAGCAGCUUGCGAGGCAAAGAUGAAAAUAUCAAGCAAAGAUGAACAAUUCCCUAGUGAUUUAAUAGUUCCUCUAUCAGUAAACCUGGAUUCGAAAUUUUCGAAUUGAGGCCGAUGAACUUUUGCUACUCAAUAUAGUAAACUAUGCCUAGAAUUUCCCUGUCCAGAAUCAAUAUUUUCUUUGAAAAAAAUCCUUGGCCAUUUUGAGUUACUUUCGUGAGUUCUUUUGUAUCAAAUUUGACUAAUGGCAGAUGUCUUGUUUGGGAUAAACAUAUCAGUUUUCUGUGAUGAAACCCUGUCAAGUUUCUUAUUGUUCUCUUGAUGUCCCUCUUGAAACUUCUAAGAAGAGCAUCAAUUCCUAUUAAGUAUGAUGAACUGAGCUAAAAUAAAACAUAUCAAGUGUUUCUAGUUAGUGAUAAAAAAAAAUGUUGAAGUAGUUUUGGUUAGUCUGUCAUAUAUGAAUGUACACCACCUUAACAUUACUAGUAGUCAAACUAUUGUUUUGAAAGUUUAUCAAGCAAGGUAAAUUGGUGUUGCUUCUAUGACAAGUUUGGUUGGUUUAUGUAACGACCAAGGCUUACUUUGGGACUUCAAUUCAAUCUACUGUGAAACAAGCUGGGAUGAGGAGCUCAAGAAUUUGCUGAUUAGUUUGCAUCCCAUUUGAUCCUAUUAUUGUCAUGGAAUUGCUUUAUCACAUGACUGAUUUGGGCGUGGUUCACUUGGCCAAGGAACUUCAAAUUCCAUACUUGAGACCGAUCAAAAUAAAGAAAAGGGAUUUUGCAGAGGAAGCAUCAGCAACAGCUAAGGACCAUCUUGCGUGGCAAACUUGAAGAGGCUUUGGGGCCAACUAGAGUGUCCUGAGGAAGUUUUGAUGCUUGUGAAGAUCCAAAACACUCAAUCUGAUCUCAACGUCACAUCCCUAAGUGAUUGUAAAUGUAUUUUUUUUCAAUUAAAUAUGCUUUUUGUAUGCUCAUUAGAUUCUAGCUCUCCUUUAAUCAAAUACUAAACUGCUGAUUUUUUGUAUGUUACCGUGAUCCCUGAUGCAGAGUUGUUCAAUGCGGUUGCAGUCUAAUGAUAUCACACUGGAGUUGAUGAGGCUAUGAAGAGGGAGGUAUGCACUGCUAGGCUCCUCCAUUUCUAUCAGUUUAUUUGUGUGAUGAUAUCCUUCGAAUGUUAUCAUAUAGAUUUGACAAGCUCAAUUCUCAUGUAUGUGGCAUUGGAUUUGUAAAGUUGAAAUUGACCUCCUCGCAAACUAUCCCGUAUUGCUAUUGGAUCUUGCAAAAUUACCAAGUAGGAAAUACAUCUUUCUGUUCUGUAGUUUAGGCACUUCACCUUUUCAGCAUAAUUUUAUUAAUUUCAGUUCUGUUCCUAAACACAAAUAGGGAGCUAAUUGCUUACCUCUUUUAGCCUGUUGGUUACUUUUUCAUUGGCCAGCUAAUGAAGUCUCUGUCCAUUGUGGUCCAACUCUAAUUGAUGCCGAUGUUUAUGCAUUUGUACCUUAUCUCUCAUGGGGUAAGUUCUGAUGCUAUGAUCUUGGACAUCUUCAUUUAUUGAUAAUUACUCAGUGCUAUCUUCCUUGUGUAGAUUAAAUCUACAUUUGAUGAAACUUGGAGAAAGUCCCCAAACACCACAGGGUUUAGAUACGGGCAAGAAUAAGCUACGUCAGUAUAGAAAGGCAUUUCGAAGUUCUUUGCUACGUCAGUAUGCUGUUAAUAUUCUUCAAAGGGUUCUUGAUAUAGGGCGACCCCUUCUCAUGUGGUGUAUUAGUUUGCAAGGUUGAAAUCAUGCUAUUCUUUAGCAAAGACUGCAUCACAGAUCACUUGGAGGAAGACUGCAUGUGUAGGUGGCUUUAUAUGUGAAGUCAAGCAUAAAAUGAGAUUUGUUAACAAGAUUACCAUUUAGAUGCCCACUUCAAGCUACAGUUUUAUGAUUGGGAGAGACAUUUUUGGUGGAAAAAGCAAAUGUCGUGGAAUCAGCAAAAAAUCUGUCAAAUGCAGCCAAGAGUUUCAAUGAAAAGGUUUCCAAGAAGAUGGUAGUUUCUUAUUUGGAAGAAUUUUGAACCCAAAAUAAUGGCAUUCUAAAAUCAUCUGUUUGCCCUGGUUACAUCAAAAUUCAUAUGUAGGCAUUUCCAAUCACUUUGGUUGGAUAACCUCAAACUUGAUUUAUUUAAGCAUGAAUAUAAAAGUAGGAGAGACACAGCCAUGCACAUUUUCAUACCUAAAACCAAGUAGAGAGACCAGUUCGUUCUUGAAGAGCAGCAUUACUUCUCCCCUUCGAGAUUCUCUCAUGCGGACGCAUGGAGCUCACGCCACUUGGAGUCGCUCCUCCAUGGUUGUUUGUGGUGAUUCCACUACCAAAACCAAGUCUUGGUGAAUUUGUUCUAGUACAUUUACCUCAGUCUGAUAGGGCACCGGGGUCUGUAGUGAAGUAUUGAGUUGUUUUAUGCAAUGUGUUUUAUCAAAGGUUUGUCUGUGUUGCUAGUGUGGAUGGAGUUUAUGUGGGGUCUAUUUCUUGAAUGAGAAUUGGUGCGAAAUAAAAGAGUUAUUUUGUUCUUCUUUUGAGUUUUUCUUGCAAUAAAAGCUAGCGGCACUGAUUCUCUGACACUAUCUGUAUUUGAGGUUUCUCUUUGAAUGUGGUGUUAAAUGACAAAGAAUGAAUUGGUGGUUCAAGUGAAAAUUGCUAUUUAAGUUGUUUAGACAAGGAAGGAGGUUAUUGGUAGAAGCUAUAAUUUAGUGUGUUUGUUGCAGAGAAGAGAGAAGAGAGCGAAGAAGAACAUAUCAAAGUCGGGAUGGGAGAAGGUGCAUCUCAACGUUCGGUUGGAUCACCAAGUUCAAAUUGGGGAGAUUGUGGCAAUCUUAGGAUCCACAGGAGAUUUGGGAUCGUCGAAGAAGAAUGUGGCAAUGGACUGGACCAAGAGCGGAUGGUACGUGAGUUAGAACUGAAAGGAGGCAAAUCUGUCAAAUUAGAAGAACUUAUAUCAGAUUUUGCUGAUAUUACUGAGAUUCCUAAGUCUAUCGGUUCUUUGAGGAAUCUGGAGAAACUGAGCGCCAGCUGUUGUGUGUCACUCGGAGACAUCCCUAGCUUAAUUUGGGAUUUAUAGAAUUUGCAACAUCUAGACAUUAGUGUUCUUACCCAAAAAAAAAACAUCUAGACAUUAGUGGUGUUGGGAUUGAAAAGCUUCCUAGUGCUACAGUAUCGUUGAAAAAUCUGCGCACUAUAAGUCUCUUAUCAUGCUGUAAUUUGAAAGAGCAAUUCCAAGUGAAAUUGGUGACUUGUCUUUGCCUGAGAUUCUCUAUGUCACUUGAGGAAGUUUUGAUGCUUGUGAGGAUCUAGUACACUUUUUCUAGGCUCAACAGGACAUACUUGAAUGAUUUUGAUGUUGUAUUUUGAGUUGAGUCUGCUUUUUUGUAUGCUCAUGAGGUUCAACCUCUCUGUUAAUCAAAUACGUAGCUACUGAUUUUUUUGGAUGUCACUCUGAUGCAGAGGUGUUUGAUGCCGUUGCAUUCAAAUGUUACUGCUCCUAAACUCGAUAAGGCUCUAAAAAGGGAGGUAUGCACUACUAGUUGUACCAUAACAAUGAAAAAAUAACCUGUGUGCUUAUGCUAUGCGAGCUGUGGAAUUUUACUUGAAAAAUCAGUAUGUAAGUAUGUAUGAGGACAAUCUCCUUCAUCUCUAUCAGUUUUUCGAUGUGAUACUAUCCUCUAUUGCUGAUUUUGCUAACAGGAUAUUGCAAAAUAACCAAGUAAUAAAUUCAUCUUUCUGCUUUGUAGUUUAAGCACUUCACCUUUCAGCAUAUUUUUAUUGACAUCAAUUAUGUUCCUAAACACAAAAAAGGAAAGUGUUGCUCAUUGCUACUUCUCCCAGGCCUGUUGUUUUCGUUUUCAUCAGGCAGCUCAUGAAGUCUCUGCUCAUUGCGGUCCAACUGCAAUUGGUGCAAAUGAUGUUUGUGCAUUUGUACCGUAUCUUUCAUGAUGUAAAUCGUGAUGCUUCGAUCUUAGUUAUCUCUAUUUAUUGAUAAUUAGUAAAUCCUAUCCUUCUUGUGUAGAUUCAAGCUGCAUUUCAUAAAAUUCAGAGAGAAUUCCCAAACAUCACAAGAUGGUGAUGUGGACCGGAAUGAGAUUUGUCAUGAGACGUUAUGGAAAGGCGUUCCAAAGUGCUUCGCUAAAGGUGCUUAUAAUGUGCUUGAUGCUGAUAAUCUUGAUAGGAUUCUUGAUAUAAAGGGACCUCUUCUAAUGUGGUGCAGUAGUCGACUCUUUGCAAGCUUUGACAUCAUGUUAUUAUUUAGCAAAGGUCGAAUUUCAAGAUGCUCGCAGGAAGACUGCAUGUGCAGGUGGUUCUGGAUGUGAAGUUAAGCAUAAAGUCAUGUUUGUCAACAAGAUUACCAUUUAGAUGACCACUUCAAGCUACAAUUCUGGGAAUGUGAGAGACUUCUUUCAUGAAAAAAGCGAAUGUCAUGGGAUCAGCAAAUAAUCUAUCGAUUGCAGGCAAGAUUUUCAGUAACAAGGUUCCUGAAAGACAGUUGUUUCUCAUUCGUAAGAAUUUUGAGCACAAAAUAACAGUGUUUGUUAGUGUACAAUCUGUCACGCCCCGAUCCUCGGACGCGCGCACAUCCUUCUACUUGGUCGAUUUUAUAAUGCGAUAUCCCAGGACUAUGUAUCGCCGACCCUUUAUUUUUAUUAAGCACAUGCGGAAGCAGUUAUAAAUCCCCAGACAAUAAAACAAUGGGAUAGGAAAGUAGGCCAUAUUUUUCAUAUUGAAAUUUACAACCACACUUUCUUUAACAUCACCACUCAUGGUAUAUUUACAAUACUAUUUACAGCAUAAAAGUCUCACACCUAUCUAUACCAAGACAGGGUUCACAAAAAGGGACGGGAUCUCAAUCCACAUCCGGGUUAUACUUAAGAUCCCUCUCUGGAUCAUCUUCUUCCUCAAAAGUCUUUCUCCAUCUUCAGGUUCCUCCUCCUUAGAUUCUCCUCAGGGUCCUGAAAUGGUUAUUCAAUAACCAAUGAGACCACGUCUCAGCGAGUCCUACCCACUAAGACUCGAUUAAUAAACUAAUACACCAUACGGUUGCCUAAGCACAACACGAGUCAGAGGACUUACCUUGGCCUCAGUUUCAGCCUGCAAUUCAAGGUUAAACACAAGCAUUCAAACAAUUCACGACAUCCGAUCAAGCAUUGAUCAAUCGACUAAGUCGAUUACAUGUCAGCCAGACCCUCUCUAGGUCAUUCCCACUCAUACCACGCUUUCCCAGUGGUGUACUCAUUCACCAAAUCACAUGUGUUUCUCGGGCGUCGUUUUCGCCAAUGACAUACCGAUCACCGACACCGUGCGUUCUUUAAGGCGCCGUUUUCACCAGUGAUAACCUUGAUCACCGAACCACGUGUCCUUUCAAGGGCGCCGUUUUCGCCAAGGUGACAUCGGCUAUAGACAACAUCGUGUGUUCUUUAAGGCGCCGUUUUCACCAGUAAUAUUCCCAUAAUCACCGAACCACAUGUGUCUAUAAGUCAUUUACGUGCGUUCUUUAAGGCGCCGUUUUCGCCAGUGAUACUUCCAAUCACCGAACCACGUAUGUCCAAUAAUAUCGUACCUGAUUGGUCUCACCAUUCUUCCUACUAUAUAGCCCAUCAACGUACUGGCGCUAUAUAUCCAUGCUUAGCCAUUACCAAUCAAAUACUCAAUAACAAACAAUUUAGGACAAUUCCUAAAAUUCCACAAUAAAUUCAAUUCCACACAACGUAGAGCUCAAAUAAAUAAACGGUCUGCACCACGACAAUCGGCACGAAAUUCCGGUCACCGGCCAUCCCGGUUGAAUUUCCGGAAAAUAAUUAAUUAAAUAAAUAAAUUUCGAAAAUAAAUAAAUAAACAUUAAAAAUCCAAUUUAGGCCUAUAUUGCCUUAUUGGAGCCCGAAACGGGUCGGGAAAAAUCCCGAGAUACAUUCAAUAAAUAACCAAACAUUUCUACUUGCUAAUAGCUAGGUCUAACCACCUAACAUGCAUUAUUAAGUCACUAAUUUAAUUGUUCUAACCUAAUCUAACCACCUAAGUGCAUGUAAUUAAAUCUAACCAACCCUAAGGCAUAAUUAGCAAAUUAAUAAAGCUUUAGUGAGUAAAACUCACUUGAUAAAAGCGGAGACCGAAUCACCGCAACGGCAACGCUACGGCGGCCGAAAUCGGACUUUCGACAACACCGGCGGGCUUGGGACCGGGCCUUAAGCUUGGCCCAACAAAUCUCAGUCCAAAUGAGAUUUGUUCUUGCACUGGAAUGGGCUGGACCUGCUGAAUUGGGCUUGCGAAAUUCACUUGGGCUUCAAGCUAUGGGCUGGGCUGCAAUUGAUUUGCUGAAAAUUGGGCUUGGCCAAUUAACUCACAUGGACUGGACUGGGCUUGAACUUGGGCCAAACUGAUGCUGAUCACUUGGGCUGGAAUAAAACUAAACUGGGCUGUCUUUGCUGGGCCCAAAAGAAAUUCACUGAGCUUGGAGACUGCUGGACUUGCGGUUGAACUCACGAAGGAGUUGGGCUUCGCUAGCUUCGUUGGACGCUGCUCCGUUAGCAAAUCAAAGGGGCGGGUUGUUGGAGUUGACCGGUGAAUUCCACACGGUUAGAUGAAGAUGAUGAUGCUGUGCGACUUCGGUGAGUGGGGGGGGGGGCAGCGAAAAUGGAGUGGCAGGUUCGGUCUUCAUGGAUGUGUGGAGACGCAAGCUGUUUCGUUUGAGCAGAACACGAACAUGGACGGGUGGCAACGAGCGGCUGGCUUCGGUCAAUCACGGGGGAGCUCGCUGGUUUGGUUGACUGAAGAACCGUGGACCGUUGCGGAGGAGGAGCAGCUUCGCUUGGUGGAGUCUUCGCUGGCUCAACGUGGCAGCAGCUUGGUCAACAGAUUGAAGAGGAGAAGCUUGGAGUUGACUGGCGUGCGCUGGCCGCGUGGGUGCUUGGAGUAGCUUCGUGGACGAUCAAUCUUCAACGAAGCAGAAUAAAAAAAGUUUCGGUGGAGCUGCUGUAGGGGUCUUCGCUGGCGUGAGUGGCCGACCAGCUCGGUGGGAUCGUGGCUUCACUCGGUGGAGUUUCUGUCUUCAAAGCUUCGUGCGGUGAGGAUCUUCAGUCAACGACGGGGCUUCUUCUGGCUUCGCUAUUGACCGAGCGUGAGCUGGCUGAAGACACGAAGCGGUGGAGAAUUCGGCGGAUGCUGAGCUCCUCGGGCAGCUUGGUGGACGCUCGGAAAAAUUUCAAAGGAAGCAGCCGGGUCUUCUUCAAUUGCUGCUGGAAGUGUCGCACGCCAGAGAAAAAUGGAAAGAGGAGAGAAGCAAUUCACGGCAGCAAGAUGGAGAGGAUGAGGAAGAGGUGGGCCUUAGCUUGAUAUUUUGCAAGAAUAUCUCCAUGGAUCACUCUUAGCCAAGUAAAAACACUUGGCCCUCAUUAGACCAUCCAAAUGACUUCCAUAACCUCUCAACUAGUCCAAAAAUGCUAGAGUGAGGGGAUGAUACGAAUUUCACCAUUUGAACUUCAAUGUCUCCAAUAAAUUCCCAAAUUGAGGUCCAAUUUCGACGUAGGAAAAUCCCAAAUGAUUUUCUAUAAAUCCCCGACACACAACGGCUCAACCCGAAAGUCAAAUUUCCCAUUAAUUUAGCCAAUCUGAACUUCGGCCAAACUUCCGCGACGUCCGAAUCCAAUUUCCGUAAAAAUCUCGGGACCUCCGAAAAAUCUUCUGAGACUGAGUCGAUGCUCCUAAAAUUUAUUGUGACAUGGCCAAAACUUCAAUUUCUGAAAUCUGACUCAAAUCGACGGUUAAUUUCACUCCGACGUGCUUUUAGUGUGACCUAGACUACCGGGUAGUUUUCAGAACUUUUUAGGGCAAUUGACUCGUGGUCGAUUUUCUUCGAGCCACAAUGAACCCACUCGACACAUUGGCGACUCUCAAUUGUCGUGAAAAUCUCGAGGGCUCGACUACCAACACAGGGUACCAAAACGACAGAAAAUCAAAUUAGUGUCGGUCGACGAGAAUUUUCCAAUUUAGUGGAGUCACCCACGAUCGGCCACACAUCUCAGUCGAACCGACCUAUCUCUGAUCUCAAUUCGAUCUUUAACUGUGCAGUAGUGACCUCUAAAGAUGAACACGGUCGAGAAGCCGCUUCCUGGUCGAAUUCUCAAGUCUAUUGCCUUAAUAUUCUUUAAUGGCUUACCCAGCUAGUCUAGUUAUCUCGAGAGUGAUCAGCUCUGAGAACAACCCUAUAGACACGUCAAUGAAAUGCCCGAUUAAUUUAAUAGAAAACAAUACUGAAAAUUCUGGAUGUCACACAAUCAGCUCUCGGAUCCAGGGAGUUCAUGUAUUGGCAUUUUGCAAUCACUUUAAUCGUAUAAGCUCAAACUUGAUUCUUUUAAGCAUGAGUCUCAAGACCAAACAAAAAGAAAAAAAGAAAACAUGAGUCUAUAAAGUAGAGUAGACACAGCCAUACAUUUUCAUACCUGAAACAAAAUUUUCUUUGGCGUUGGCUACAGUUGAAGACUGAGAAAAAUGUGAAGAACCUUUGGAAGGGUGAAAGUACCCCCUCAAGAUUUAUACUCAUUUGGUUGGUACUUGGACUCUACUAUGCCAAAUUGUAGUCAUUGGUCGUGCAUUCAAGUUUCAAUCGAAGCAAUUUCUUUGGGGCCACCACUCUCAGAUGUUACUCUUCAUACAAUGGUGGAACUUUGUAGUUAAAAGCUACUCACAAGAUAAUCAUAUAGUCUGAUUCGCUUGCUCUCUACCUACUCACAAGAUAAUCAUAUAGUCUGAUUCGCUCGUUCUCUACCAAAACUUUAACUCAAUCAUGCAUAAUGUGGGCCGCACUAACAAGUUAAAACAUUAGUGAAGUAUACCAAACACAAAAUAAUCUAAUUUUGAGCUUAUUGAUUAUAUAUAACAUGAGAAAAGUUGCAAGUAAAGUCAAUGUAUUGAAUGUAUAAUUUAUAACUUAGCUGCUCAACAAGUGACUAGAUAUUUUAUCCAAAGGGCAGUGGCAUUAUGUUUGACUGCUUAUACGACAUGAGUCAUGACCUUAUUGACCGAAUUAUUUGAAGUUGGAACGUGAAUCGACCAGAUGAUUGGAUGAACAUGUUGAACUGAUUGAACCAUUUGGUUCUAUUCAUGAGUUUCCCCCCUUUUUCUCUUCUACUUUGGUUUCAUGCAGAGGAUUUGCUUUGAGCUUGUUUAUAAUAGUUCCAUCACAUAUUACAUAAAGAUCCUAUUAAUAACAGCCAUUCGAACAAUAACAACGUAGGUUUCGAAAGGACAGGAAAAGUUCUUUGGUUCUCCUCAUUUUUUUUUGGCCCAAGCUUGACGGGAGGGUACUAAAUUAAUGAAAGCCGUCACAAAAAAUCAGAAUGAAACUGUUGAAGGCCUUUCGAUUUAUUUUACAACUGCAAACUGCAUGUCGGACUUUAUAGCUUCUUUAGUUUGCCAUAUGAUGAAUCAUAUAACGCAGAGGAAUCGAAAUAGACAAAUUGAGGAAAUUACAGGGUUAAAAGAACCCCAAAACGGAGACUUAAAAAACAUUUGGCCAAAAGAGAGUUCUAAACAAUGAAACCGACCACGAAGUAGAUCUAAACGUUAAAUCCAACAAACGAAAGUAGUCUUCUUAUUUUGCAUUCAGCAUCAUGUUGUCAAGAAGAGGAGAAAUUAGCAGGACAGAUGAUUUUACUUUGCAUGCGAAUGCAUGCAUGCUUGUAAAAUCAUGUUGCAGAUAAAUCAAAAGGUAAGGAAAUUCGGGGAAAAAAACAAUCCUUUUGGCAAAUACAAAGACAAGACAUAUGGACUAUCACAUAAAAGUUGUCUCAUUUUCCUAUGUCUUGAAUGCUGGAGAUCGAUGAAUGAAACAACAAUUUGAACGGACAUCAUACCAGAAAGAUUGAACAUUGUGACACUCUUUUGGAUACUUAUUUAACAUUAGAUACAUAUUAAAGUGAUAACCCAAUAAACAAAACAAACCCCUCUGUUUCCUCCUGACUGAUUUCAUCCUUUUCUCCCUUAAUGACGAUAAGCAUGAUAUUCAGUAAUUUCUACAUAUUAAAUCGACACACAAAGCUCGAGCAUUUGCGCUUCAACCUUCGAAACCCUUGUUUGAAAGAAGCCUUGAACUUGACUCGACCAAAUAAAGCUUGUAUCUGGCCACCUUCCUCUUCCUCCGCUUCUCCAGGCAUUAUACCACGAUGAUUUUAUCGACUUCUAAAAGAUAAGAAAUAGGCAAAGGCCAGAGUCCAUUUCUACAUACAACAUUAGGUUUGUCUAUUCCCAUUCCAAAGGCAAAUGGUAGCACAUACAGUCUGGGCCUCUCCAGUAUGCCAUUUCUUUUGAACAGCUACUCUUCGAUGGGCUAGUAAUCAAGCAUGAUAGUACACUAUCUUUAUACAGCACUUCUUAUUCAAGUAUCUUGUGAUAUCAACACAUUCACUCUUUGAAAGGCAAUAUGCUAUGCCACAACAAUUUGCAAAACGAUUCUUUAGCAACUCUCCCAGUUGCCUCAUAAUUUAGAUUUAGUUUGUCAAAGCUUGUCUCGAGAACAAGAGCAUGGGGAAGCCCAAGAGUUUGUAGGAUAUCCUCCAAUGGAUGAAUAAUUCAAUCAGAACGAACAUAUUAUUUCAACAUAAUGAGGAGGUUAAUAUAUAAGUUUAGUACCUCACGAACUCACUGAGUGGCAGUUGCGGCUAAGGCCAUCACUAAGUCAUAAGCAAAGUUAGUCUUGAGACAUACCAGUACAUAAUCUGGACAAAAAUCUUGUCCCCACAGACUACAAUAAUGACAACCACGAAAGUGACAAUCAAUAAGCUUUCAAUUAUAAUCAGUCUAAUGUAGAAGAAAAGCUCAAACCAGCAGUACGUUCCUUUCAUGAGAUCAAAUUGGCAGAGCAAAUCCAGUUAAGACCUUGUAAGAAACACAAUCAAUGAUCACAUGGUCAAACCUUUGCCUUUCUCAAGUUGUUAACAUAAAGUAUAAGCAUUAAUAUAAUAAAUAGGGAUACAAGAGCCAGCUUAAGAGACUGAGUAUCCUGCCAAACAUAGAGAGGAGUUUGGAUCCUUAUCCAAGCUUAUGUUGGAUUCAAUUUCUCUAGAAAGUAAUUUCCGUUGGAGCUUAUUUAAGUUGUGUGCUCUUUACUCAAUAUAAUGAACGAUGUGCCACUAUGUAUUCCCAAAUGACAGAACCUAAAUCUUUUCAUCAAACAAGGAACACUACAUUCUGUUAUAUUAGAACUUCACAGGAUUCUGGGCUUCGAAGACAAUUUAAUUAGGCUAGAAAUGCAGAAAAUGUAGAAAAGUUUGGAAAAAGAGUUUACGUUAGCAUAUAUAAAAGUUAACUUGCUUAUAUUUAUCAAGAACAAGGACAACAGUUUUACAGUGAUAACAAUAAAACCAGCUAGUCGUGUUCGUAAUGCACGAUGGUCAAAUAUAAAUUUUUUUAUAAAGAACCAUUUAGAAAAAGUUAUGGUGCAUCAGAAACAAUACCUUUCUAUGCAAGCAUUUCAAUAUCUUGAGAAAAGGUGGGUUUCCCACAAUCCUUUCAGGAGUUACAUACAAUAGCUAGCAUGAUGGUUUAUCUUUUCUGAAAAAGCAGGCAAAGCAGAAGUGGAGAUUAAUAAUUUGACAGUCACAACACUUAGAAUAUAAGUUUUAGAAGUCCAAUAUAGCUAACUCUUGCAUUAGUUAUUGGAGGACAACUGCUGCUUGGGCAGCACUUUUUCGAGAGUUCAAGAAAAUAGAUGGUAUGCCGUACUUGAGGUAUAGAGUAAUUAUUUGAUCUUAAAUGAGAGAUAGCAGGGGAGAUAUAACAACUGUUACACCUGGUUUAAGAGUUGCUGGCAGCUGAAACGAAGGGUAAAAACAUCAGAAGAGCACAUGAAGAAAGGAAGGGACAAGGGAAUUAUUACUUCUUUCACCAUCAGCUGAUCAGGAAGGACCAGUAGUCACUACUUGUCUUCUAAUUACUUUGAGCUAGAAACACAUAUCAACUACUUCAAGACUGAACAUAAAACACUUCUAAAAUUUUUGACUUAAUAAAUCCAGAUUAUGAUCUUACUCCUUAAUUCAGUAAAUCAAAUAUUUUGCAUGCUAUGAAGAUCCAUUGUAUAUUAAAGGACAUUAAUUUCGAACCAAUUAUGGGAAAAAUAAGUGAUAGAUUAUCAACCCUUGUGAGAUAAUGGCAUAGCCAAUAACUGCGAGGAAAUAUAGAAAUCUAGAACCUGUAUUUGGCGGAAGUACUUUAAAAACUUAUUCCUCUUUGACUUAGCAUAACCCAUUUGAAUUGGACCUAAAUUAUGACUGACAAUAACACUUACAUGCAUAAACAAGAUGAAUUUUCCGGUAAGUGAUUAGAAGGUCCUAGAUGCUGCAUUGGUUGAAAUGAAGCAAUCUUGCUUGGCUACAGAAGAUUUACAAGCUUGAUGCUGCAUUGGUUGAAAUGCUUUGUUUCUGAAUAUUACAACAUUUGCCAAUUCUAUGUCAUCCAAGGGUUGCAAUUCCUCAUAACUCAGAGUUCCCUAUUUGCAUGUCGAAAUCUGAGAGUAAUGUCUUUUAUUUGAAACUGACGAUAUCAAACCUUGGGUGACAAUGUUCUUACAGUCCUUCAACACAAAUAAGCCUGUUCAGCACCAUAGAUAGUUUCCAACAUGGAAGUGAUGGAAAAUGAAAAUUGUGCACAAAAAAAUCCCAAGCCUUCAUUUCGCAAAACACUCCUAUUAAAGCCAUCGGAUGCUAAGUCCAACACUUGGAUGAUGUACUAUACUUUCAAAACAAAAAUCAACUGUUUUUAUUGGCCAAACGGUUCUAAUAUAAGUCAUUUUAGAUCUUAAAAGACUGAAGUAACUAGCAAAAGUUAGGAGUGUCUUAUACAUUUGAUCGAAUGAGAGCCCUCAUAAGCAAUUUACUAAAUGCUCUUGUACAGAGAACCCUGUGUAAGGUCCUUUGCUGUAAGCAGAAUUACAAGCAAACUGGAAACGAUCAAGGAAAGACAUUAAUUUUAAGAGCAAAGAACAGUAACACGCUAAUUUAAGGGGUUGGUCAGUUUCAUCCAUGUCAAUGGGAGGACUUGUUUCACAAUGACCAAGAAGGAAUUACAAUAAGAAAUAAAUCAAUUUCUCACUAACCAAAACCCCAAUUGCAAGAGUCAAUCAAAAGCAAGCUAGAUGAGUGGAAAGCGUUUUAAGAGUUUUCUGAAAGGAAACUCUAAACUCUCUUGAUCAAAAACCAAGACAAUCUGUUCUCAAUUCUUCUUAUUAUCCUUCUUGGCCCAAAUAUACCUCAGCAACAAAAAUAUAUAAAAAUAUGAGUUGCAGAAUCAUUGUUAAAAGAAUAAAAACUCAUGAGCCGAGAUCUGCCAACUUUUUGUUAACCUCCUAGACAAUUGGACCAUUGUGGCCAGACUCUUGGGAUUUGCCCAGUAACUAUCGUGGCUUCUUCAGGUGUCCACAGUUGCUUCACUAAACGGCCAACCCUAUACAAUACUCAGACAUUCUUCAAGCUGCGUAUUUGGUCCAUGCAAUUAAACGAGCCAAUCCCAAGCCAAAUCUAGGUCCAUGAAUAAAAAACUCGAGCCAUAAAUUUAACAACUAUCACCCAAUUACGUUUGGGCAUGGGAAAAAACAUGCCAAGCCACCUUGCUUUUCUUUCUUUUUCUUAAUCCUUUCAAACUGGUGGGGGCAGAAGGGAGUGAGACAACUUCAUAGUUUUUAGAAGCAUGCCAUGGAUUCUAAAGAUUGUCUGGCCAGAAGUUGAGUGGAUAAAAGGCUCGGAGUAUUGCUUUGAUCAGGAAUAUAGCAUGUGGGAUUCCUGCUCAUUUUACUGCAAAUAUAUCGUCGUCGUCUGCACUAUCAGUAGAGGAAUCUACCUCAAGGAAAGUUCAAUUUUUCUCAGGUCAUGGAGAAUCUUCUAUAAAAUUGACAUCGUACACAGCAUUGCAUUCACCAUCAUUAUUGAUAUCUUGGCCAAACAUAUCAGUCAAAACUGCAGAAGCCUCUGAUUCCACAGCUUGCAAAUCAUCCCAAUCCUCAAAAUUUUUGCAUGGUUUCAGGAAGUUCUGCUAGGAAGUCAUUGCCCCAGUGCUCAACAGUGAUAAACUCUUGACCUUCCUUGCCUUAAGAAAACCAAAAGAAGAAAGAAAUGAUUUUGCAAGUUCCACAGCAAACAAGAGAUUAAAUAAACAAAAUCCACAAUAUGUAAUUUGCACUUAGUUCAGUGAGACACCAUAUUUAUAUGCAGGCAAGACACCAUAUGUAAAUUUCGCUAGUCAAUAAGACUGCUCCGCAAAACCCACAGAGAAAUGGGGACGAGAUCAAUGAACUAGAUUUAACCAGCUCUCUGGUCCAUUCACAUCCAAAAGGCAGACCAUUCCACAGCCAUCGUCAGAAUGACGACUAACCCCAAUAAAUCUCCGUAUUCACGACUGCACAAUCAAUCGAUUCAUGAAUCAUCCACGCAACACAAUCAAUCGCCAGAAUACCUACACAACCUCCGCAACGCUAAUCAGCAUAAAAAAAAUGGGCGACGAAAUAACGAUUCCAGUUACCGUAGAGGGAAACGAGACUGUCCCAAGCACUUGCUGGCGGACUGCUUGUCGAAGCCGAACUCAAGGGCCAAGCUCAGCAACCCCGAGCUUUCUCUACCUCUUCCAAGCCCCGAUCCUCCAUGGAGUCUCGACCUGUUCGAACGAUUCAAUCAAUCGAUCGAUCGAUGAUGCACGAGCUGCAGUCGAAUCGAGACGAUCGCUAAUCUCUCCAGAGACCGCGGGCUUCGAAGUGCUCUUUUCAAAAGACGUUUCCAGCGAUGGCGGGAUUGGUGAUGUUUUCCGCUGCCUAUUUUUAUAUAUACGCUGGAGAAUGGGAGAGAUUGGAACCUUAUUUUUUCGAUUUUCUUUUUUGAAAUUUCCUCUUUCGCCCCUGAAGUUUGUCUAAGCUCUAUUUUGCACCCCGGGCUUCAUUUGACACGCUUGGGCUUGAAAAAUCGUUAACCUCGGCAGAUAGGAUUAUGUGUGAAGGUUACUUCGGAAACGGAAGACUUGCAUAUCAUAUGAAAUUUAUAGACGUAUCUGUUGCUGUGCGUCAGUGAAAGACAACUUUGGCAAAGUAAUAUUGUUUCUUAAUUUACAUUUUUUUCCUUUCUAUAUAUUAAAUAUAUAUUACAAUGGAAUGAUUUUCAAAACUUCAGGAAAAAUAGCAUUUCCAAACACUACUUUACUGUUUGGCAAAAAUAAUAAUAAAAAGCUACUUUAUUAUAGGCAAAACCUCUUGAUGGGGACGGAAAUUUCGCAAAUCAAAACUCUCUUUUAUGGGAUUAGUCCUACAUUCAACGUGGACCGUUGGAUGGAAAGGGCAAAAACAUGAUCCGUCGAGUCUAUUUUGCAAAAUCGAUUUUCUGUCAUCACUUCAAUACAUGAAAGAAAGUCAUGGAUGUGAUCAAAUUAUCAUUUGAUAAAGAAAAGUUACGAUGAGUAAGGAAAUUUACCAAGACAAAGAUCUCAAGACUUUACGAAGUGCAAAAUUGAAAGAUUUGUCAUCUUUAACGGUUUCUUUCGUGACGUGACUGACUUGUUAAUGGCUUUUUUAUCAGAUUUAUUAAUGUUUGAUGCCAAGGGGUUCAGAAGAAUUUGUAUUUUGUUGGUUCCUUAAUUGUGGUUUAUGUUGUUGCAUUGCUUACCAAAGUUAGCAUUCCCCGCCAGAUAUUCAGGCUCUACAUCAUCAAUCUGGAGCAUCGAAUGAUUUUCAGGAAUUGGAAGGAAAAAGAAAUUCCUAAAAGACAAUAUGACAUGGAUCCUGCAAUGGAGGACAAGAUUUGUGAUCUCUAUGACCUUUUUGUUGAUGUACAUAUUUCCUUUGCAUUUUUUUAUACUGCCUUUUUCUACUUGAAACAUGCUUUAGAAAGCUACUUUUAAACAUGAGUGUCUAUUUGAUUUCAUGCUUUGAGGGUCUUGAUGAGGACACCGGUCCACAAGUCAGAAAAUUAUAUGCUGAGGUACCACUAGCCCCAAAAACUAAAAAUUACUAUCUGUAUGGCUGUUUAGCUGUUAUAGACAUGUUGCAAUCUUGUUUUGACAAUUCAUCUUUGUGAAGCGUUCGCAAAACCAUCAUGAUGGUGUAUAUUGCCAUAGUUUGCAGGAUAUAAUAGUUGGAUGUGAGAUCAAUUGCAUUUACAGUGCUGAUAUAUAAUAUAUUUUAUGUUCACAGUUGCAAGUAUGUUCAUAUAGUGGUCAAACAUGGUGAUGGUUUUCAAUGUGGGUUUCACAUGCAGUGUUAGUUUAUGAUUUAUUUAUGCAAUUAUAUGAAACUAUGCAAGCACUAAACCCGCAUUUCCCCUUGUUCUGAAUUAAUAACUGAUGCAAAGAGUGGAGAGUGCAACCUACUUUUUGAAAUGGCUGCAGUUGUCAACUUUGGGCUGCUACGAAGUCGUUUCGAGUAAACGUUUUGAUGAUAAUCAUGAUGGCAUGCAUAUGAAAUGUGGAGAACCCACUGAAUUGGUUGGCUUGACUUGUUAUUUUAUAUGAUCUCUGUUUAUUUAUCACACUUUGAUCUCCGUCCUUGUCUGAACCCUGGGAUUACUGGGAUUUAAAACAACUAGAGGGUAUUCUCGAGAAGGAAAAGAUACAGGAGGAAUUGAGGUUGCGAGGCAUGUGGGCACCGGCAUCUUAAAAUAAGAAAUAUUUUCAUGGAGUUUGUCAUCUCUGCAUCGCAAACGGUUUUAUAUGAUCUCUAUUUGUUUAUCACCUCGGUUGGUUUUUACCUGCAUCCACUGGUUCUAAGACUUUUGUCAGUGUAAAGUCUUCACUUUUUGGAGGGUAGGUACAGCUUGCAGAGCUGUGGCCAAAUGGUUUUAUGGACAACCAUGGUAUUAAGCCGGCAAUUUGUAGGGCCGAAGAGAGGCGAAGGACACUUUACAACAGACACGAGGUAUGGUUAAUUUCUACAUUCUUCCACCAACUUUCUUUUCCAUGAACUGAAAGAGAAUAUGUAGUGCUUGGUGAAAGGGGAGAACGCCAAUAUUUUUUGUGUUCUACCUGGCCGCUGCAUGACUUAACAUAGUUUUCCUUCAAAGUGAUUAUAAUAUCGUCUUUACUUAUCCACAUAUUGCUUUGACUUUUUUUAUGGGUAAUUGCUAUGUAAUAUGGCUCUUAUGUUUCUUCAUGUGGACGGAGGAAAUGGUGAUUCCCGAUUCGCAAAGAAAUAAAAGUGGUUGUCGGCUUUACAAAAUAGAUUAGACAUUGGUAGUAUAAUUAAUGUAUUUGCCUUGAGCGGUGUAAUUUAUGAAUUUUGAGACCUCAUAGUGGUAGAAAUAUAUGCAGUUUCGCUUUUCACGAGAAUGUAGAGUAGCAUCUUUCUUCUUUACUUGUGUAUGUGAAUUUUCUUCCAAGUGCGAUGCAUAAGCAGAUAUAUGCCACUGGAUGGUAGCUUAUGUCAUCCUUAUAAUCCGUUUAUAGGAGGAUCAAAGAAAAUGAGGCGGGAAAAGAUGUUGGUGCCUAAAACAGAGGAGUCAGUUCCAGUUGAGGGUCUUUCAGUUGCUCAGCCACAAACCCCGCCAGAGAGAUUGUCUAUUGAUUUAGGCUUCAUGGUACAACUACUACUAGCAGACCUAUUCACAGCCCAACAACGGCAACUGCUAGGGUUUCUAAAUUUGUUUAUGCAAAAAAGCUUUCAAUCCUUGCCAUAUUGACAUGAUACUGGGACCAGAAUCCUAGCUGUUUCAUCUCUCCAAUAUGAACAUAUUUGAGGUUGUAUGCCAUAAUUACAUGAACGGCAGACAAAGUAAAGGAUGAAACAGAAAAGCUCACUUGUGUUGCAUAAAAGUAACCGUAAUCAAUCAUCAUCAUCAUCCGGUACUAAAAGAAUCCUAAUAAACUACUAGGGUGUGGGAGAUUAGGGUUUUGCCUCUUCUGUUCCCCAUGGCGGUCGACGCUCGCUCAAUGCUUGACGGAGACGAUGAACUGCUAUGUCUGUUCUGCAUUUUCAGAGUGAAGGGUGGUGAAAGUGUUUUUCAAAGAGCGACGGAGAGAGAGAGAGAGAGAGAGAGAGAGGAUUUGAGGAGGAAGACCAAAGGUGCGAGUCUUAUGAAUUUUCGGUAGGAUGGGAAUUGAGGCAAGGGGAUGGCGAGUUUUGACCUCACAAGUUCGGCCAGGCGCAUUUUCCGCACGCUCCUCCGCCACGGGGGCAGCUGCAAUUUAUUGAUCUUUUUGGUAGUCAAACUCUCUGCAUAAAUUUUUUGACCAAAAAAAAAAAAUCAAAAGAAGACUUUGCAUCAAUUCUAUUGAUCCGGUCUUAUAAAUUAUAAUUUACUCGUACUUCUUUUUCGACGGUAAUCCAAUUUCAGAAAAAUCUCCAAAAAUAACCCUCUAUGUCAUAAACCGAAUAAAACAUAAGUCAAAAUCCUAAUAAGUGGCCAAAGCAUUUGUAGUACUUCUUUUUAUACAACGCAUCUAAUCCAUCUCGAGAGAUUCGUUCUCGUUUUUUUGCAAAAAUUGAGGUUUCUCCACUAUUCAGAAAUAAUUUUAUUGCCAAUAAGUGAAAAUGGAAAAAAGAGAAGGGUACCCAGAUAUACAUGGCUUCAAUUUGACGGACUUUCCCUUUUCAAGAUCUCUUUCAUUUAAUUAGCAAAAAAAAGAAAAGAAAAGAAAAUUUCGUCCUGCACAAAUCGGGAUUUGCCUUGUUAGAAAUAUUCGAUUUGGCCUUUAACCAUAUUCAAGAAGAAGAAAAAAAGAAAAGGAAAAAAAGAAAAGAUGAAAAGUUCAAAAAUGGAGGAUGGAAGAGCGAAACGACGUUCUCCUCUGCCAAGAACUGCCGAGGUCGAGCAGUUCGUGCUGCGUCGUCGUUUUUUCCUUUAAACUCCAAGCGUUGAAGCUGGCGGAUCUAGGCGUUGGAGGGGGGCUCACAUGGAAACCGGAAGCCUUCAAAUCUCCCUCUGUCUCUGCACCUGCGAGUCAUGUGCCAUAGACGAGAAAUGUGGGGGAUGGAUCGUGGGUCGGGCGAGGAAAGAGGCCAUUUGCCCGUGGCAAUCGGUGCUGCGAAAACGGUGCUGAGUCCGGAUCCGAUCCGGGUGUGUUUUUGUCUUCUUAUCCUUCUUGAAUAUCUAAACCUGUCAAAAGUAGAUCGUUUAAUGAAUGACAAGAUAUUAAAUGGAUUUAUGACCCGACCCAUCUCGUUUUUGGGUGUAAAUUUUUCUAGAUUUGGGUUAAAUAAAAAAAUGUUUUAGCAUCACGGGACAAUGUUAGAUAUGAGUCACUUAUAUACAUAUUGUAUAUAAAUUGAUUAAAACGGAUUAAAAUGAGUUUAUUUAGGUUGAACUAUUUUCGAUACAUACCAAAACCAGGCUCAAACACCCUUUUGAUGGGUAUAUGAAGAUCUAUCUCCAAAUGGCAAAAUAAGUUCACUACCAUUCAAUCUUUAUCACUCGUGGUCCCAGGUUUGAAUCUCCCAACAUUUGCACCUCUUUGUUUUCACCAAGACAUCAUUUUGUUGCUCUCUUUUUACCAAAAAAAAAAAAAUCUAUAAAAAGAUUUAUCGCCAAGAAGCCCCAAUCUUUGGUUGCUCUUGAAACAUGAUAAAAAGUGUUAUCCAUGAUCCGAUGUAAUUUUUAAGCACUUAUGGGUCCACAAUAAAAACUUCAUGUGGAGUUUUGAUUUAGACAUGAAGUUUUUAUUUAGACAUGUGACUAACCUCUUAGAGAAAAUUAACAAAAUAAUCCUUAACGGAUGUCGAUUUGAUCAUAAACUUUAUAAUUUAGUCGAUUUAGUUCUAAAAUUAUUGACAAUUCGUUAAUGUAAUUUUUCUGAUUAAUUUUAAUUAAAAAUUACUGACGUAAAUAUUGAUCAUUUGUUGUGACGUAACUAAUAUUGGCAUGGACAACUUUUUACAAUUUUUAGAAGAAUCUUUUUGAAUUCUUUGCUUUUAUUCUUUUCUUUUACUUUCUUUUCAUGGCUCGUGUCGCCUGGCGCGGGCAUAGUGUGUAACUUUUUCAAAGUUGGAGAGCAGUCGUGCAACGGUGUGGAAGUUGCGGGGGUUUUUGAGAAAUUAUCCACAAAAUUAAUGGCACAAAGAAGGGGAAUUAAAAAGGAAAAUCCGAAAAGAGCGCAAGAAAAACCCCAUUCCCGCGCUUUCUCAUACCCUAAUCCAUCCCAAUUUGGGGGAAGAAUGCACGUGGUCCCAAUGAGUACAUUUGGCAUCUAAAAGGACACGUGGGCUCGGUAAUUUGAUGCAUUACCUCGGAGAAUGCACGUGGUCCCAAUGAGUACAUUUGGCAUCCUGAAGAGACACGUGGGCUCGGUGACUUGAUGCAUCGCCUCGGAGAAUGCACGUGGGCUCGCUGAUUCAAAAUGGCAUUUUAAAGGGCACGUGGGCUCGGUAAAUUAAUGCAUUACCUCGGAGAAUGCACGUGGCUUGGUAAUUGGUUUUGUCAAUUGAGACUGUAUAGCAAUAGCCUGAAUGACCGGGAAAGGGUCAGUCUGAUACGUAAUCGACUAGGUCGAUUGAUCAUUGAUUUGAUUUGAUGUUGUGGAUUGAUUGAUUGAUUAGAAAUGACCAUGAGUGGUCUUGUUGACAUGUAAUCGACUAGGUCGAUUUGAUCGAUGCUUCGAUCAGCGAUAUGAUUGCUUGGGUGCCUAUUAUGAAUUGUACUGACUUGCAGGUGGGAUCUGAUGCUAAGGUACGUCUUCUGACCCAUGCGUGUAUAGGCAGCCUUUAGUAUAAUGGUUUACUAAUCGGGCUUAGUGGGGUAGAACUCGCUGAGACGUAGUCUCAUCCCAGUUUGGGGAAAAACAUUUCAGGACCCCGUUGAGGAGCUGAGGAGGAAUCUGAGAAGGAGAACUUGGAGGUGAAACCUGAGUAGAAGGAUUUUUGGAAGAAGAAGAUAAUACCGAGAGAGAUUUUGAGUAUGACCUGAAGGGAUUGAGAUUCCAUCUUCUUUUGUGAACUCCAAUUGAUGUGAAUAGUUAUGAAGUUCUCUAAUUGAUGUCAUGUACAAAAGUUUGGUUAUAAAUUUCAAUAUGAAAAAUAUGACCCUGCUUUUCUAUUCCAUUGUUUUAUUGUCUGGGGAUUUUAACUGCUUUCGCAUGUGCUUAAUAACUGAAAGGGUCGGCGAUACAUUGUCCUAGGAUAUCGCAUUUAAAAAUCGACCAAGAAGAAGGAUGUGUGCGUGCCCGAGGAUCGGGGCGUGACAAUAAGACUACUUCACCAAACCCGCUCGAUCUAUUCAAACCUAGAGCAGACUAUUCCCUAGUCAUCAUCACCAUCGUCAUGGUGGAUGAUGAAAUACCUACACAACCUAACCUCUGCAAACGCUAAUUAGCAUAAAAAAAAAUGGGCGACAAAGUAGCGAUUGAAGUUACCGUAGAGCGAAAUGAGACGGUCCCAAGCACUUGCUGGAGGACUGCUCGUCGAAGCCGAACUCGAUAGCUAAGCUCAGCAACCAGAGAUUCCUCUACCUCCUCCAACCCCCGAUGCUCCAUGGAAUCGCAACCUGUUCGACGCAAUUCGAAUCGAUCGAUCAACUAUGCAAGGGUAGGAAUCAAAUCGAUCCGUAGUCUCUCUCUCUCUCGAGAGCGCGCACGCUCGAAGCGAUCUCUUCCAAGAAAAACCAUGCCAGCGAUGGCGAGACUGAUGUUUUUUGCUUUGCUUUUUUACUUGUUGGUUGCUGGAGAGUGGGAGAGAUUGGAGCCAUGUUUUUUUUUUUUUUUCAAUUAUUCCGUUUUUGCACCUGAAUUUUGCUGGAAGCUCUAUUUUUUGCCCCCCUAAUAAGUUUUCCUGGUUUCAUUUGACACUCUUCGGUUUGGUCUGCGUAAGUAUCAGAAGAAGAGCAAGCAUUAUCUAACAAAAGUGGCUGCGGGUUACAACUAGUAGGGAGAUUGUCCCAUUAGUCUUAAAAUUAUAUAUACGGAUGUCGCUUCAAUUAUAAAAUUAUCAAUUAUAUCAAUUAAUAUGAAAUCUUUGCUCAAAAAUCUAAUAUAGUCCUUCUAGAUAAUUUUCGUUGAAAGUCGCUGACAUUAUAGUGUGCCACGUAAGAUGGUCAACAGUAACUGGACCGUCAUGUCAACAAUUGCUUAUGGAAAUUGAUCAGAAUGACUACAUUGAAAUUUCUCAUAAAGAUUUAAAACUAAAUCAAUGGAAUUGAAAAAUUUUAAAAUUAAAUUGAUAUAUAUAUAUAUAUAUAUAUAAUAAAUUUAUUAUUGAUUGGAUAAUUUUCCUUAUAAACGGCAAAGUAGCUUUACUUUUUCUUUUUUUUGUAAUUUCAAGUUCUAUAAACUCCAAUGUGUGACAUUUAUAACAUGGAAUCCAAGAAGAUCUUCUCUCCUUUCUUCGUCGCGUAUUUUUUCCUGUUCUUUUAGGGUUGUCCUUUAUUUUUCUUUUUCUUAUUUUUUGUGCCAAUGACUUAUUUAUUUCCUUCAUAUGUUGAAUUUCUAAGUCCAUCAACCCAGCGCCUUAUUUCAAAUUAUAUAAACACCACCCUCACAUAGACAGUAUACUUAACUCUCGCAUAAAAUACUUACUCACAUCUUUUUUUCUUUUUUUCCUUUGCAAAGAGAAGACUUUACGUGUCAAACUUAUAAACUUUGGAUUGUCAUGCUCUUGACGGGUCUACGCUGCACGUUCCAAUUUUGCUUUUUUCGGAAAUGUGGGUUUGUUUUAAACUCAGAUAAUUCGAAUUAAAAAAUAAGUUGAAUAAAAAAAGAAAAGAAGAAGAAGAAAGGGGAGGAGGAAGUGAUGAUUUAUAGAGAUGUGAGAUAAGAAAGAUCGAGAGAGGAAAAUAUUUUCCAUUUUUCCUUUCAUGAAAAAUAUUUUUCUCAAUAAAUUCAUUUUCUGUGAAAUAAACGCCGAAAAUUCCAAAAAAUGUUUUUUUAGAAAUUAUUUUCCACGAAACGAACGGAGCCCAAGUGUUUCUACAAAAUUUUUGUAAAUUCUUCUACAUUUCGGAGAUAGUGGAGUAAUAUAUAUAUAUUGGUUGAAGUAAACAUAUUUCAUUAUUUCAAGUAGCUCCAUGAUUACAAACUAAGUAGACCUCUAACUAAAUUAGGUCUCACAAUAUUUUUGGCGGAUAAGAAACCCAGUUGGUGGGAAGGGAUUUUCGCCGAUGGGCCUUAGAGAUCCAAUCAGCUACCUAGCUCGCUCCUCUCCUAUAGUAGGCUAAUCACUUGCUCUUGUAUUGGGCUAGCAGGUUGUUGCCUUUAGAGAUAAGAGACUGGAUGCUCCGCGCUGGUUGUUCUUGAUUUGAACGUGCGCUUAUCGUUGACCAACUAUCUAACUCUAGAGAGUACUUGAGUUCAGAAGUAGAACAAAAGAAGCGUAGGGCUUCCAUGCAUGCCAGGGCUUCCACUUGCUCCGCCGAGUUCGCCCGUACUUUCUUCACAAAUGCAUCCACGAUGUUCCCAGACUCGUCUCUACAAACGCCGGCGAUGCUUCCUGUUCUCUCUCCCUUCGUAUACGAGCUAUCCACAUUGAUUUUCAGAGUGCAUUUCUUGGGCGGAAUCCAUUUUGUUGAGGAGAUGAUGUUAAGCCAAAGGCUGAAGUAGGCGCAUCCUUAUGAUACAAUUGAUUACACAUAAUAGGAAAAAAAAUGUAGCAAUUUCGGAAUUUGAUGGCUAUCUAUAUAAAGGAAUUGGUAGACGCGGAACACAAAUACAACAAAGACCACUUAACCAAAAAAAAAAAUACAACAAAGACCAAGUAAAACACUCUACCCAAUGGUAUAUAAGAAUCAUCAAGUCCCUAGUUUUGAGGGACGUAUACGGCGUACGGACAAUUGACGAUGAUUGACCUCUGAGGAAAUGGUGCCUAAUGACACGAUUGCUCGAGUGAAAUCAUUAGUAGAGCACCACCAAGCGUAAUUUUUUUUUUUAAAUAUUUGAAUAAGUACUUGGGUUUCAAUUUGGUUUAAAGAACGAGUGUUUUUUUCUUAUUAAUUUUCCUCAAAUAAUUUCUCAUUAUUUUCAUUAUUUGAAAAAAAUAUUAUAGUUGUUUUGAAUUUAAUUUUGCUUAAUGAUUUUUUUUUAAAUAUCUAGGUCCAUGCCAACCAUGCCCAGGUCGUGUCCGCUCAAACAUGCCCCAGUGCUCAGUGUUGACAUUUAAAUUUUGGCGACCCAGUUAUUUAUUUAUUGCAUAAAAAAUUAGGGAUUAAUUUUAAUCCCUAAAAAAAAAAAGAAUUGCAUAGUAUAUAAUUUUAGUUGCACUUGUUUAUUUGUUUAUCACUUUUGCAUUUGAUUAGUGGGGGAUAAGCUAUUAAUUUUACAAGUUGACAAUUCGGUAUUUUCAAAAAGAAUUCAUAUUAUUCUUUCAAUAUUCGGUAAAUAUUUCAUAUAUUUACAUGAUUUAUACAUUAAGUGAUAAAUUUUACAGAGGAUUGAAAGUUUAAGGAUGAAAUAGAAUAUUGCACGGGACAUGUAUUGAAUAAUAUAUUUUUCGACUCAAAAUAAGAAAGAUCACAUGAUCAAAGGGGAUUUCAUGCGUGAACCAAAAAUGAAAAAAAAUGUUCUGCAAAAACUCAAAUCCCUCGCCUGUAAGAAGGCUGUUCGCGUAAGGAGAAAAGGGGGGGGGGGGGGGGGGGAAGGACUUUUUUUUUUUUUUUCGGAAAAAAGGGGGUCAAGGUCAACAAAAAGGGUUUCCUUUGCUGUUUGGCUUGUCCUUGGCCUAGAUCAAUGUAAAAUGAAAGUAUGAAAAAAUUUCAUCAUGCUUAGUCAACAAAAAAAGUAAACUCUAUUGAUGGUCCUUUCGAUUCCGUCAAUAACUCUUCCCGUGAUUAUUGUUGAAAAGUUAAUGGUUGUCAACCAAUAAAACAUUUCUAAUAUGCAAAUCUUUUAAUAAUAGAUAGUAAAUCGCAUUGUGUUCAUUGACAAAAUCAUUGCUUUAUUUUCCAUUUGCCUAUGCAACAUAAGCCAUGUCUCAAGGAAUUAUAACAUCUAGGCGACUUCUCAAGCUAGUCAUUAUGUUAAAGAACUUCAAUAACUCUGUCACUAGUCUUUUUAAUUUACAAAGGCAUUUAUUAGAAUGUUGAGACAAAAAACAUUGGGAGUCAUUUCCUUCGAAUUCAUGCGACUAGUCGUGUCAAUGGCAGGGGCGCAAUAUUUCUUCAUCUUCUCCAUGGCUGUAACAUCCUCGAUUCCAACCCCGUAAGGAUUGGCUAUAAGGUCCUACAUGGAUUGACCAUGGGCCAUGGAUCGACCAAUUCGAUUGGCAAUGAAUCACGGAUCGGUCCAACCGACCAACCAAUUGAUUGAUCGAUUACGAAUUGGUCGAGGUAUCGGCCGUGAAUUUUCUACCGACCAUACCGAUGGGAUAGGAUCACCAGCUCAUAAGAUGACAUUUUUUAUCACGAAGAUUGGUCAUGGGAUCAUUUUGGAUCAGCGGAUGAUCAUGGGUCGAUCCGACCAGUCAUAGUUUCUAGUCGCGGGUGAAUUCGUCCAGUUAUGCACCGAUACACGGACGAUCUGACUUGACCAAAUGUGAUCAUCUUAUGAUCGAAAAUGCAUCAUUUCCUAUUUAAUUCUUAGUAAUCAGAAAGGAAUCUUGAAUUGGUGAUGUCCAAUUGUGGAUCGGUAAUGCGCCGACCAUGAGCCAUACAGAUGGAUUGGGUGCUAACCAGAAUGAGCUUAGGGAUAGACUCAGCUAUUCUGCCACUAAUUCUAAGAUCCAUGAGUGUCUUGAUUUAGUGCUAGGCCAUAGGUAGCCUUAGGAUUGGCCUUGAAUCGGCCGAAGGACAACUAACUCUUUAGGCCGAUCGACCGUCCAAAGCGGUUCGGGCAAGCAUAGGGAGUGAUGGCCGAAUCUUGGGUGUACAUGAUUCGAUUUUUCAAGGUGUAUCGAAUGAUCCCUUGUCCAGUCUCGAAACCAACUUAGACGAUAUAAUUCUCUACAUCGUCUUCUUGAGGAAGAAAAGUUUAAAAAGAAAUCCUCUAGAAUACCCUAGCUUCUUCAUAAAGGGGUUGACUUAUCAUUCCACCUAGAAUUUUCUAGAUAUGGUCAUGAUUAUCAAGGAUUUACCUUGGGAAUUAAGCAAAGUAUCCAAGUGAAUUGUCCCAAUAAAAAUAUGAAAUAUUGGAGCUACUUAUGGCUAUCUUAUAGCCUUGAUGCUACCUUAAAUUUCAUAGGUUUUGACUUUCCAGUUUUUUUUUUUUUAACUACUAGGUUUUUCUUACUUUUCAAUUUUAUAGAGCUCUUUGUACUUCGAAUUUGGAGAAACUUCCUUCAUGAAAGUUGUUCAAAAUAUCUUAAUCUAUAACAUACUUAAAUUUCAUAGUUUUCUGAGGUGAAAUAGUUGAGACGAAGGCCCAAUCAAUUACCAUAUGGAACUUGCCCAAAAUAGUGAAAACGGUAACCAAGUCGCUUUCUCGAAUUUUUAUAAAAUCUUUCCUUUAGAAUUUGGACAUUCUUUCUUUAGAAAAGUUUUGAAUGACAUCUAUAUAUACAACAUAUUAAAAUUUCAAAGAGUUUUGUGAAUAUUUGGAUUUCGAAAUGAGUCUCUCUCUCUUUCUCUGACCAUGCAGUUUGCUCAAUGGAUGAAUUUUUGGGUUGUGUUCAAUGAUUUUAUGCUCUUUCCAUAGAACGAAUUUGGCUUGGAUUCUUUCAUAAAAAAUAUUUGCUAAGGUCUUCUCUAGAACACAUUAAGAUUUUAUAAUUCUUCGGGUCUAUUUGUUAAGGUAAUGGUAAUGAUUUCGAAAGUUGCUCAAAAUUGUUUUCGUCUUAGAAUGAGAAAACCACAUGCUCAACUUGGAGGGGAAGGGGGCUGCACGCCCACCUUGAGGAGCAAGCUAAUUUAGAGACUUAUUGGUUUGAAGAUAAGAAUACAUUAAAUGCUUUUGGACCUUAGUUUGUUAAAGAGAAGAAACUUGGAGAAAGUUGGCUAAUGCAAACAUAUCUAAGCCUAAUGAUUGCAUGAAAUCUUGGCAAUUAAUGAGAGAGGUGAGUCACCUACUUAGGUGUCCCCUAGAAUCUUAGGUGAACCUUAGGUUAUGAUGGCCUUAGAUUGUAGCCUUAGGUUAUGGUGUCUCCUACGCUUAUCGAUUUUAGGAUUAUGUCAUCAUUUGCUUCUGUUGGCUUUGUAUUGUUAUGCUUGUUGUUUUUCUAUUGCUUGUUGUUGUAUCAAGUAAGUUCAUGAUCAUGUGUGGGUGUCGAGCACACCCGGAUGUUGAGCACACCUGGAUGUCGAGGAAUGGUCUUGGCGACUUUGGAUGUGUGCCGAGGUGUGUGCACGACUCACACUUGAACCCGAGACAAUAUUGAGGCGUGUUGUUACUCGGGACAAGUCAUGGGUCGAUGUUGAAACCAGAGCGAAUGGUUCCAAGUCAAGACCACAAGGCCGAAUCGCAUCUAGCAUGAGUCUAACAAGGUAUAAGAGUUGUUGAUUGAUUCACUUUACAUGGCACGCCUUCGGGCCUUUCAUCUGGCUAAAAGUUCAAAGAUAAAAUAAAUCGAUUGAUGCUUGAAACACAUGAAUACACAAUGGACUUAUAUGCCGACGUUGGGGAUGCCGGGUUGUUGCCUGGGGUAAAGCCCCAGAUGCCUUCCCGAUAUUGAGAUCGUGGACGAUGCUGGCCUAGGUGAGGCUAAUGCUUGGGGGUUGCCAUGGAUGCCAUCCUGAUAAUGAGAUCAGGACAAUGCUGGUUGCCAAAGGGGGGGACCAAUGCUUGGUUGUUAACAGAAGAGUCGAUUAAUUUCGACGAAUAUAAUACUAAAAAAGAUAAAUGAAACUCCACAUGUGGUCCAUGACUGAGACUUGUGUGAUGCUUGCAAAAGUUGAGUUUGUCUGAUAUGUAUUGUUAAGUCCUUGCAGCAAUUCGAGCAUAUAAUUGAAUUGGGUCACUUAGUGCUUGAAUGAGUUUCAUGAGAUGUGAGCAUCCGUUUUUAUGACCGAAAUUAUCAUAAGCCACAGAUCCUUGGAAAGAUUGUUUAUAUAAACUAACUCAUUGUCUUUAAUUCUUGAAAGCACAUAGAAGGUUGAGAGCCUUUCAUAUGCAUAAGCAAGGCAAGGCAUGAACCUUGCUAUUGAUUUGCCAUCAACAAGUGGUGGUGAUCUUGUAUCCAACGAUCGACGGCGAGAUGUCCUCCUAUAGGAGAAUGAGAGAUUUCUGCUUACUAAGUCAUCGACUCACUCUUGUUGUUCUCACCAUUUCAGGUAUGUGUUGGGUGAACAAGGGUCCAAGAAGGGAAUGAAUCUAGCAUGGGGGCUGCUUUUAGGAGCAGCUUGGUAGAGGAGCUAGGCUACCCCAGCCCUUUUGAUUGACUAUAUAUGAAAAUAAAAAUAAGUAACCCAGGACCAGGAUGGGCAUGUAAUCAAAACAGCUUUUGUUGUGUAAUAUGUAUAUGUAUAUGUUACUUUUAUUUACUUGGCCUGCAUAUAUCUUGUCCGGCUUCCAUGCUUGUUUGUAUGGGGAUUAUUUAUGAUAUAACUAAAGACAAAAGACUUUCGGGACAUUUGACGUUGCCUAGGGCAUUGAUGCUAACCCGCCGGGUCAUGCUCUCGUGCCAAAGAUAGGCGGGGGUGUGACAACGCCCCCCCAAGGAGUUGGGUGAAAUAGGGAGGUGAACGCCAAGGGUUCAUCCUAAUCAUCCUCUUCCAGUAGAAUAAAGCAUCGUUGUUCUUCUAGCAAUCUGCCAAUUUUGCAUUUGUUUAUCACAAAAGGCCAAAGACUCCGAUAGAUUCACGGAGAUAGUAACUCACAUUAGUGGAUGGGCAAGUGUGAGAGUGACGCGAAAAAACUAUUUGAUGCAAAGACAGGAAGAUAAAUGAAAGGUUAAGCGAGAUAACCAGAUUCUCAAACAAGAUCAUCAAAUCAAACAGCAGAACCACAAAUCGACCCAUUUAUUCUCUUCAUUUAGGCUAAUUUUGUCUUAUUGUGAGUCCACACAUUCAUAAAAUAGUUUUUGGAGAGGGUGAAGUUAAACAGUUCAAUGAGUUCCUUCAAGGUAUGCAGGUUCAAGCUCUACUUAGCUCAUCUAAAGUUAUUAAAAUUUCAGGAAGAGCCCCAAUCACCGAAAACUUCUGUAAUUAAGUGUUUCUACAAAAAUUUUGUAAAUCCUUCUACAUUUCAGAGAUAAUGGAGGAAUCUAUAUAUAUAUAUAUAUAUAUAUGGUUGAAGUAAACAUCUUUCGUUAUUUCAAGUAGCUCCAUGAUUACAAACUAAGCAGACCUCUAAACAGAUUAGGUCUCACAAUAUUUUUGGCGGAUAAAACCCAGUUGGUGGGAAGGGAUAUUUGCCAAUGGUCCUUAGAGAUCCAAUCAGCUACCUAGCUCGCUCCUCUCCUAUAGUAGGCUAAUCACAUGCUCUUGUAUUGGGCUAGCAGGUUGUUGCCUUUAGAGAUAAGAGACUGGAUGCUCCGCGUUGGUUGUUCUUGAUUUGAAAGUGCCCUUAUCGUUGACCAACUAUCUAACUCUAGAGAGUACUUGAGUUCAGAAGUAGAACAAAAGAAGAGUAGGGCUUCCAUGCAUGCCAGGGCUUCCACUUUCUCCGCCGAGUUCGCCCGUACUUCCUUCACAAAUGCAGCCACAAUGUUCCCAAACUCGUCUCAUCUCUACAAACGCCGGCGAUGCUUCCUGUUCCCUCUCCCUUCGUAUACGAGCUAUCCACAUUGAUUUUUAGAGUGCAUUUCUUGGGUGGAAUCCAUUUUGUUGAGGAGAUGAUGUUAAGCCAAAGGCUGAAGUAGGCGCAGAACACAAAUACAACAAUAAGGGCACUUGCGGAAUUUGAUGGCUAUCUAUAUAAAGGAAUUGGUAGACGCAGAACACAAAUACAACAAAGAUCAAGUAAAACACUCUACCCAAUGGUAUGUAAGAAUCAUCAAGUCCCUAGUUUUGAGGGACGUAUAAGGCGUACGGACAAUUGACAAUGAUUGACCUCUGAGGAAUGGUGCCUAAUGACAUGAUUGCUCGAGUGAAAUCAUUAGUAGAGCACCACCAAGCGUUUUUUUUUUUUUUUGAAAAUAUUUGAAUAAGUACUUGGGUUUCAAUUUGGUUUAAAGAACGAGUGUUUUUUUCUUAUUAAUUUUCCUCAAAUAAUUUCUCAUUAUUUUCAUUAUUUGAGAAAAUUAUUACAGUUGUUUGAAUUUAAUUUUUCUUAAAUGAUUUUUUUUUUAAAUAUCUAGGUCCAUGCCAUCCAUGCCCAGGUCGUCCUGGCUCAAACAUACAUGCCCCAAUGCUUAGUGUUGGCUUUUUACUGGGGAAAAGGACUUCUUUUUAUUUUUUCGGAAAAAAGGGGGUCAAGGUCAACAAAAAGGGUUUCCUUUGCUGUUUGUCUGAAUGUGUGCAGAGAGAGGGGACGUGUGAGAGAGAAAAAAGGAAAGCAAAAAGACAAAAAAGCAAAGGUCUCCUUCUUCGUGCAGCCGAGCUCCUCGCCGACCCCUGCACUCGCCGCCGCUGCUGCCGACGCCAGCAGCCGCACCUCUGCCCGUCGACUCCCUCCUUCCGGUGAGCACCGCUCGCCCGUCCCCGUCUCCACUGCCGCCCGUCCCUCGCUGGUCGCCGUCCGCGACGCCCGCAGCACCUCCGCCCGCCGCCUUCCUCCUUCCGGCGAGCAUCGCUCGCCCGUCCGCGACGCUUGCAGCGCCAUCCGCCGCAAAUCCUCCGGCGACCGGCCGGAUCCCACCAAACGAGGCGAUCUCAUCAGCGCGUUGCCAGACGAGGCGAUCCGCCGCAUCUUCUCGUUUCUGCCCCUCGAAGACGUCGUGAGGACCAGCGUCCUCUCCAAGCGGUGGCGGUACAGAUGGAGGCCACACAUUGAACAUACGGCCAAGAGAAUACACGUGAAUAGAGAGGAAGAAGGAGAGGGACGCUACGGCCAGUACUCUAAGUCAUACAUCCUCACGGCCACGCUUUCACCCAUCCUCAUCGCUGCCGUCGGCGUCCUUGCUGCCAUCUGUUGCUGCCCAAACGAAGCUGAGAAGCUGCUGCCGUGCUGAACAUCGGUAUGAUUCGCAAGUGACACGUGAAAGAACAGGGAGAGUACACGGAGGAGGGAUAAAUUGUGAAAGGUGGUCCACAAUUUGAGAGGGAAUUGGUGCAUGAGUUUUGUGGGUAAAAGUGAGUGGGAGAGCUGCACCACGCCCACUGAGACGAAUUCCACAUGCAGAAAAUGUCAAAAAGAGAAGGCGUUUACGAAGUCUCUUUCGCCCGACGCCGGUAACAGACUUCAAGGACCCGAGCGGCUUCCCUGUUGCCGUCAUAGCAGCGAUCUUGCAGCCUUGCCGCCGUUUCCUUGGCGAGGUUACCUACCGUGACGGCUAGUCGUAGCGCCCCACAUCAAGCCUAUAGUCAUAUAAGUUGCCGCGCCCCUCCAAGUUUCAAAGCCGGCCCCUCGACUAUCGCUGAACCACCAGCCAUCCUUGCUUAACCGAGCACCACCACACACCGCCGGUCACUCGUUGAACGGAUCGGUUCAAAUUUGGUAAUAUUAUUUGCGGAAUUAGGUAAUUAUCUUAUCAAAAUUUGAUUUGGAUAUUUUAUUGUCUAAUAUAUAUGCAAUAUCUUACAUGCAUAUAUGAAUGGAAGACGUAUUUCCAAUUAGGAUUUAUUGCCUAAGAUGCAACUGCACGUCGAUUUUUUAUUCCAUUUAUAAGGCUUUAAAUGGAAUAAUUAACCAUGCGGGAAUAAAAUUGAUAUUAUGAUCUUUAAGGCUUAACAUCAAUUUAUCGAUUUUAUUAGCGAAAUAAUCAAAUUGAUUAUAUAUUGUUUCCUAAUUUGAACAAUGGAUAAUGUCUUUGAUGACCGUGAAUGAUUUGGUACUUAUCUUUUAAUUGCUUUAUUUAUCCCAAAAAAAAAAAAAAUUGCAUUUGCAUAUCAUGUAGAUUAGAAUUGAUUUCUUAGAUAGAAUUGCAUGAUAGAAUAAUUAGAUUCUUUUUUAAUUAUAUUAGAAUGCAUGUUUAGAUGGUAUCCAAGUUAGACAAUAUCUUUGAAUUAAAUUGCAUGACAUAUAGCUUAGGUUUCAUUAAACAAGAGAAAAUCCUAAAAAAAUUGGGUGACUGCGUGUUAAUUAGGAAUCAUAUCUAGGGCUUUUGAUGUGAAUUUCGAGCUAACAUUUUAGAUACUUUCAUUAUUACGAGGUAAGUCCCGUAAUUUAUUCAUUGCUUACUUGGGUGUUAAAUUGGUGGUUUGCGCACUCGCAUGAUCACCUCACAUGUUAGGGAAGUAAAUUAAAAUUAAUUUAAAAUGCCUGCAAAAUAUUUUUUUUAAAAUAAAAGAGAAAGGUACCGAAAGGGCGUUAGAAUCUAGCGUAAUCAAGUCCUUGAGCUCACAAUCUCUGAUUUGCAAGAGUAACACCAAAAAUAGAUUAGUGGCGACUUCUAAUUGAAAAAUCACAGACAUGUUAAAAAGUUGAAUCUAAGUUGUGAAUUGAUAUGAGUUUGGGAGAGCCCGAACUAAGUUUAAGUUUAGUAAUCCAUUAGCCAAACCUUAGGUGAUUCACCCGGGGUUAGGUUGUGACACUCAGUCCCAUUCAUGCUUCACCAGGCAAUAAGGCCCGAAAACUAUGUCAACUGUCAUAUUGCUUGUGAUUAAACCUAGAACAAAACUAGCUUAUGAACAUAUAUCAUAUCCCAAGACACAGUUCGACCAUGAGCACUGACCCAAUUUCCAUAUAUCAUAAUCUAACAUGCUGAUAUGAGAUAUACGAAAAAUAAUUCACCCAUCUAAACAUUUUCGAUGUAUGUCCAAAAUAAUAAUCUAACUUGAAAUCCAUUCAAUGCUCAAUCCAAUCUUAUUAAAUUAGAUGCGAUGAAUAGUUUAAUUUUCUCUUAAUUCUUAAAGUGCGUGGGUUAAGGAAAUAUGUGGUUGGGCUAUGUGGUUUAUUUAGUGCAUUGCAUGGUUUAUUGAAAAUAAUAAAAACCAAAGACCAUGAUUCAAACAAUUAUAAAAGACCAAGAUAAAUAAUCAAUGACUAGUGAGGCACAAUUCUUAAUUUUUCUAUUUUUGUCCAAAACAUACAUAUUAGUUAUCCUUUGCCUAGAUUGAUAUAAAAUGAAAGUGUGACAAAUUUUGAUUAUGACUCGCCCUCAGAAAAAUAAUCCCUAUUUAUGGUCAUUUGACAAUAUAAACUAGUUGGCUUCAAUAACUCAUCCCCCGACUAUUUUUGAUAAGUCGAUGGUUGUGGACCAAUAAAACAUUAUUCAAAAUGCAAGAAUCUUUUAAUAUUGGACAGUGAAUGGUGUUCCAUUUUUCUGGCAUAUAUUCUGAUUAUAGACCAUACUUUCCCAAACAAUUUCUUGAACUGCAUGCCUUGUAUUCAAAAUACUCUUCUUUUUUAUGGUUCUUUUGCGACCAACUUUUAAAAGGCAAUAAUGUCACAAUCUAAGAUCCCAUCCAUGUUAGCCAGCUGGAAGAUGCAACAAAGACCAAGACUCUUUCUAGUGAAAAAAGAAAAUAAAAAACAAAGACCAAGACUCAAACCCUUAUAAAAGGCAAAUAAUCAGUGACUAAUGAGGUAGAUUUAUUAAUUUUUAUUUUUCCCGGAAAAUUAGAGUUAUUACUUCUCCUUGGACUAGAUCAAUAUAAAAUGAAAGUGUGAUAAAAUUUCAUUAUGAUCAGCCAUAAACAAAAAAAUCCCAUAUUUAUGGUUCUUAGACGGAAUAUAACUUUAAUAACUCAUCCCGCAACUUUUUUUGAAAAUUCAUUGGUUAUGGACAAAAAAAUAUUAUCCAAGGUGAAUAUCUUUUAAUAAUGGACAGUAAAUAGUGUUCAAUUUUUUAGCAUAUCUUCUAAUACUAGCCCAUAAUUUCUUGAACAAUUUCUUAUAUCGCGUGCCUUGUAUUCAAAAUCUUCUUCUUCUUUUUUUAACUGUGUGUGUGUUUUUUUUUUUUUUUUUUUUUUUGUGACUGAAGAUGAAUAUUAUUUCUUUGUUUCCACAUUCAACAACCAAAUCCAGUUAUCAAGCAAUACCGCAGAAGAUAAAUGCCAUGUUUUCUCAUUUUCAUGCUUUCAAAAACCCAUAAAUAUUUAACCAAAAUUUUUCUUACUAUGAACCAAAUUAAAACGUCAGCUUUGAAAAUCUGUCUGAGUUUCAAAAAAUUGAGAUGUUAACAUUAAAUCAAAACCUGAUUUCAAACUCUAAAAAGUUCUAUAUAUAUAUAAGGAGAACCUAACUUUAAGAGUAAAAAUCGUACCGUGCUCCUAUUUAUCUAAAAAAAUUAUGAGUCGAAAGCACCCAAAAUCUAUUUAAUUGUAACAUCAAAUAAAAAUCAUUAAUUUAUAAAAUGAUGUACAAAACAACUUAUCAUAUAUGAUUGUGGUGAAUGUCACGUGAAAUUACUGAAUCUCUUACAUAUUCAGAAUAGCAUGUGCAUCUCGUAGAUGGUCAUAUUAUGUCUAUAUUCAUGAUAUUGCGUAUCUCUAUAUUACUUCGGGGUCUACAUAAUUUAUUGCCAGUACUUGUAUUAGACAUUCCGGUUAUGAACAAAAGGCCUUCAGUUCAUUCGUCUCAGCGCUUCGAAGCUCGCCAUAGACGUUGAGACAGCCUCUGCAGAAAUAUACUAAAAAAGACUUUGAAUCCAAGAAUCAAGUUGCUGAAGUGAGGCCCACUGCGACCCAACUCCACCAUGGAUGAAAGCCUCACGAACCGGGACGACACAAACUCCUCCAAUCUGUGCCAUCAUACCCCGCCAAACUUCGACACUCAUUUGUCAACGAACCACUCAUCAGACAAGCUAGCGCCACUCACCGCCAAGUUAGUGCCACAGCCCGUCCUUGCAUCAUCCUCAGGAAGAUAAUGUCAGCAUCAAGUAACCACCACAUCUCCGACAAGUUAGUGCCGCUGAACCCUCCAUGUUAUCACAACAAUUUCGCUGUGAGAGCUGGCAAUUUUUGUUCACAUGUAAUAAUCGGGUCUUGCAAUCGUGUCAAGCAGCGCUUCCAAACCCGGACCGUCAAAGAACCGGUUUGUGUUCUAGUCUAAAGGUCAACUGGUCGAAUCGUCCUAUUGAACCAUUGGAACUGAAAACUUCUGUGUCCCUGGUUAAGGACCUCUGCCCCUCCAUUACCAUGUAGUCUUCCAAUAAUUGCGGAUGAUGGAACUAGAAGAACUGUGCGGGUCAAGAUCAUGCGUAAGGCAAAACCUUUUGCCCUCAAGAGAGUUGACACCUGAAAGGUUUACCUUCAUGAAGAGGCUUUGAGACAAUUGUCGUAAGGAUUAGAACUGUAUUUACAGUCUUUCCGAUUCAAAGACUCGCCAAAGUGUGCAAGGAAGGUUUGUCGCUGACACUCAUCCUGAAAAUUUCACAAAUUAGAGAUGAAACACACGUUUAUCAAUAGACUUUUCUCUAUUUAGAUGUGCGGAAUUUGAGUUUAUCCCAAAGGUUCCAUUAUUAUUUGAAUAUGUUGCCAACCCGACCCAUCUAAUGAUCCAGCACCCGGACAAGUUAAUGCCAGACCAACCCUAACAACAAUCAAUAGAACAAAGUGAAAAGCGUAAAAACAAAAUAAAAGCAUCACUUAGUUGAGAUCAUCAUAAAUUGAGAAAUUGGAUUACCUUGAGUUCACAAUAUUGCUGCAUUUUCCUAGCUUGAGCCAUUGCACUUUUAAAGAUUUCGGUUUUACAUCCUUGACCACUCGUUGUUAACAUGCACAAAACCCGGCCGAAAUCCUUUUGCCAUAUAGAGCACUGCACAGUACUGGUAGAUUAUCUCUUCCUGCCCUCCCUGAUUCUUGGUAAUAGCUUUCGAUUGACUUGAACAUUGUGUUGUGGACAACAAAACGCUGACCACAUGCCAUAAUUAAAAAUAAAAAAUAAAAAUACUGAACCGACAAAAAUAAGUUGAAAUAUGACAAAAACAUUAUAACAGAAAGUCAAGUUAGAUCAGAUUCAUUUGCCACUCUUGCAGUAAAGAAAAGAAUUUUAUCCUAGUUUAACAUAAUUUCAGCAUACCAAAGUUCCAUGCAUGGAAGAAAGAAUUUGACUUGAAAAAGACAUAAUUUGCUAGUUCCCGCAAUCAAUAGCCAAGAGCAACAAUUUAGCAGGCCACUGGACCAUGGAACUAGCAAAGUUUACUUCCAAGCACACUAACAAACCGAUGAGUGAAACUAAAACAUUAGAAAAAAAGUGAAUUAGUUGAGUAAUUGCUAGCAUGUCACCUUGAUUCUAAAACUGAAAAUAGGCAAAGGCUUAGAGUCCAUUUCAACUUACAACAUCAGGUUUUGUCUAUUCCCAUCCCAAAAGCAAUGGUUACUCAUGCAACCUGGACCUCUCCAGUAUGCCAUUUCUUUUGAACAGCUACUCUUUGAUGGGCUACUAAUCCAGCAUGAUAGUACAGUCUUUAUACCACACUUAACAUUCAAGUAUUUUGCAACAUCAACACAUUCGCUCUUCAAGAGACAAUACACUGCCACACAAAUUAGCAAAACGAUUCUUUAGCAGCUCUCCAAGCUGCUUCAACGGUUCCUUGGGUCUCAGCUAUGAUCUCAUAUUUUAGGUUUGGUCUGUCAAAGCUUGUCUCCAGAACAAGAGCAUGGCGGAUCUCGAGAGCUUUUAGGAUAUCCUGCAAUAGAUGGACAUUUCGAUCAGACCCAAGUGAUUUUUUAACAUAAUCUGGAGGAUAAUGUGCAAGUUUCGUACCUCAUGAACUAGCUGAGUGGCAGUUGCAGAUAAGGCCAUCACUGGGACGUAUGGAAAUGUAGGUAUUGUUACAUCAUCCAAAACGAAAGUCAACUGUUUUUAUUGACUAGACAGUUCUAAUAAAGUCAUUUUGGAUCUUAAAGACUGGAAGUAACUGGCAAGUUAGGAGUGUCUACUAUAAGUUUGAUCGGAUGAGAGCCCUCAAAAGCAAUUUAUUAAAUGCUUUUGUACAGAUACCUUGCAUAAGGUUCUUUGCUGGGAGCAGAAUUACAAGCAAAGUGGAAAUGAUCCAAGAAAGACAUAUUUUUAAGAGCAAAGAACAGUGACAAGCUAAUUUAAGGGGAUGAGCAGUUUCAUCUAAGUCAACGGGAGGAGUUGUUUCACAAUGACCAAGAGGGAAUUACAAUAAGUAAUGAAUCAAUUUCUCACCAACCAAAACCCUAGUUGCAAUAGUCAAUCAAAAAUGAAUGAGACGAGUGGAAAGCGUUUCCCAAGAGUUUUAUGAGAAGGACACUCUAAUCUCUCACAAUCAAAAACCAAGACAAUCUGUUCUCAAUUCUUCUCAUUGUCCUUGUUGACCCUAAUAUACCUCAGCAACAAAAAAAAGGGAUAUAUGGGUUGCAGAAUCAUUGUUAAAAGAACAAAAAGUCGUGCCCAGAUCUCCCAACUUUUUGUCAACCUCCUGAACAACUGGACCAUUAUGGCCAGACUCCUGGGAUUUGCCUAGUAACUAUUGUGGCCUCCAGGUGUCCACAAUUGCUUCACCGAAAGGCCAACCCUGUACAAUACCGAGACAUUCUUCAAGCCGCGUAUUUGGUCCAUGCAAUUACACGGGCCAAUCCCAAGCCAAAUGAAUCAAAAACUCGAGCCACAAACUUAACAACUAUUGACCAAAUUAGUUUUAGGCAUGGGGGUGGACACAGAAAAGAGUGAGACAAAUUCACAGUUUUCAGAAGCAUACCAUGUAUUCUGAAGAUUCUCUGGCCAGAAGUUGAGUGGAUGAAUUGCUAGGAGUACUGCUUUGAUCAGGAAUAUAGCAUGUGGGUUUCCUGCCCAUUUUAUUGCCAAAUAUAUCAUCUUCGUCUUCAUUGUCAGUAGAGGAAUCCACCUAAAAAGAAGUCCGAUUUUUCUCAGGUUGUGGAGAAUCUUCUAUAAUAUCAAUAUCGUGCACAACAUUGCAUUCACUGUCAUUAGGGGUAUCUUGGCCAAACAUAUCAGUAAAAAAUCCACAAGCUUUUGAUUCCAUAGCUUGCAAAUCAUCCCAAUCCUCAGUGUCUUGCAUAGUUUCGGCAAGUUCUGCUAGAAAAUCAUCACCACAGUGCUCCACAGUGAUAAACUCUCAACCUUUGUCACCUUAAGACAACCAAAAGAAGAGUGCGAUGAUUUUGCAAGUUCCAUGACAAAAAAGAGAUCAAAUAAAUACAAUCUACAAUAUGUAAUCUGCAAAAAGAUGCCAUACUUAAUUGUAGGCAAGACAAAGAUAAUUCAGACAUUUCACUAGUCAAUAAGACUACUCUGCAAAACCCACCGAGAAAUGGGGAUGGGAUUAACGCUCAAUGAACUAGAUUUAACUAGCUCCGCUCCAUUCAAAUCUAAAAGGGAGAGUAUUCCAUAGCCAUCAUCAGAGUGACGACUGACAGUAAUAAAUCUCCUCCUCUACGAUUGCACAAUCGAUCAAUGACAAAUUAUCUUCGCAACACAAGCAAUUACAGCAACUACAUCAUUCCUUAAUCACCAGAUACCAUGCUAAUCGGCUAAUAACCCAGAAAAGCCACCAUCCAAAGCAACCUAAACACAUCAAACUGGAACAGCACCAGACUAUUUGUUCGUCAAGAAGACUACUUCGCUAAACCAGCUCCGAUCUAUUCAAACCUAAAGCAGACUUCCAGAAGGACCUACACAACCUCUACAACGCUGACUAGCACAAAAAGUGCUCUAUUCAAACCUAGAGCAAACUAUUCCACAGCCAUCAUCAUCGCGGGACAAGAAAUACCUACAUAACCUCUGCCAACAGUAGUCAGCAGUGCAUUGUAGAGCUUUCCAACGUCACCUAAUUUACCCGAAUCGGAUGACCAGAUUGCUAGAUAUAUUGCUGCAGGGUAAUGCUUGAUUAUUCGGAUGUUCACUUUGUUAGAUUUCCCCAAUAGUGUUCCUAAAAGAAGUGAUCUGCAACUAAACAUUCAAAGUUAGCUUGAAGAUACAAAACUUGGUGAUCUGGUAUUGAAGGCAACGGAGUGUUAAAUGGUUCUGCUUGACACGUAUGAUGACCGAUUGAAGAGUAUAUCGUUGGACACUGCUUUCUCUCAUUUCAUUAUGAUUCUCCGUGCUCUUCAUCUAAAUAAUGAGAAGGCUGAAAUGUUAGUACAACAUAAUAGGACAGUUGUCGCUGAUUCACAUGACAUUUGGUUUUCUUUCACACAUGAUUAGUGGCUGAAGGUAAUGUGAUCCCUUAAAUGUCCUCGUCAGCUUUCAACUCUCCAAUUUGAGGAACUUAUGAUCUUUUCUCCCUUAUGUUUACCUUUUAACAAUUUACCAAUUCAGCUUUAAGUCAUUCAAUUUGCCAAUUGAGUCCUGAACCUUUUGACAAUUUAUCAAUGGAGUCCAUCUUGCCAAAAUUGCUAAUUUCAUGUUGGGAUCAAGUCAAUUUUUCGGUUUUGCAUCACAAAGUAACACUUAGCACCUUGCCAUGUGCAUGAAAGAUACAUUUGGGAGUGAUGUGCUUUUUGUUAGACGCAUAUUGCGCAAACCCCAAGAUCUCCAUAACUAGAACAAGCACACGCGCGAUUGAGUAGAAAGAAUUGACGCACCUGUUUUAGGAUCGAUUGUUCUUGAAGUGGAAGCGGAAACACAAUGUUCCAUGCGCAAGUCCUUCUCCUCUAUUGCCCUCCGUAUCACUGGCUCAAUGAGGCGGCCCCCUCACAUGUAGCGUUAGGUAAACGCCCCUUAGGUGAGGAUAUAUGUGAGAAUUAGGGUUAGAGGAGAGACUUGAGCACUAUUUAUAGAGUUUCCAACCAGUCCCCCUCAUUACGGGCCAGGCUCAACUCGGCCCACACUAGCCAGCCCAUAUUAGACUAAUUAAGAAACCUACUAUCUCACCUUAGACCAAACCCCGUAAAACGAUAAACGUUAAACGGUAAAUUACAAUAUCAAUUAAUGUAGUCCACAAUUAGAAAAACUCUUACAUUUUCCCACUUGGACUAUAUUAAUUGAAAUCGUACUGUAUGUGCGCACAUUGGUCCAGAGAUAAUUCUUAAUAGUCAAUCCUAUCCCAUAAAGUCUUAAACACCGAAUCAUGGCGGUAACUGCAUGUAUACACACAGAGCCUUCCAUGGUCACAAGUGCUCUCAACUUUAUUGAUAUGGAUUCAAUAUGGUAGUGUGGCAAAUGGAUAACAUCUCUCAUAGAGAGACCCCAUUUGUCAGUCACCAUUCUCUUAACUUUAGGUGUCAUAAAAACUUGUGCCACUAGAGAAUGCUUUAUGGUUCCAAUGAACCCACAUAUGUCUUGUCCUUACGGUUAACAUUUCUUUAUGUAUCACAAGACAUAUGCACAAGGCUAAUAACCGGAUGCCCGGAUGCCCCUAGCCUUCACUCAAGGUUUAAGUAAUACCUUGAGACUUUUAACAAUAUAUAUAUUCAACAUAAUAACAAUCCAUUCAAAAUAUUUUAUUGAAUGCAAAAGUUGACAUAUAUAUAUCAAAGUGUUACUAAAUUGUAACAAAACAGAUGUAGACUUUAUUCAAAGAAAAAUAAAAACACAGCUCCCACUAAAUAACAGCAUCCCAAGAUGCUCCUAGGCCCAUACUAAUGACAUGUCGAUCAAAAACACACGGGCGUAGGCCUUUAGUUAAUGGGUCUGCAACCAUAUCAUCUGUAUGAAUAUAAUUUACCGCAACGUCACCAUUCUGUACUAAUUCUUUUAUAGUCAAAAACUUGACCUCCAUGUGUUUAGACCCCUUUAAACUUCUGUUGUUAUUAAUAAACAACACUGCAGAGUUAUUAUCACAAUAUAACUGUAUGGGUCUAUCCACAAAACCAUAAACUGAUAACUCUCUAAUGAGGUUCCGGAGCCAAAUAGCUUGAGUAGCAGCUGAAAAGCAUGCUACAAACUCCACUUGCAUGGUUGAAGAAGAUAUGGAUUUCUGUUUCUCGCUCUUCCAUGAUACUGCACCUCCUGCCAACAUAAAUAUAUAUCCAGUCGUUGAUUUCUUAUCAUCUUGAUAACCAGCAAAAUCUGCAUCUGAAUACCCUACUAGUUGCAGGUCUGGAACAUAUUUAUAAAUCAGCAUAUAAUCUUUUGUUCUUUUUAAGUACCUUAAAACCUUCUUGGCAGCAACCCAGUGAUCGCGUCUUGGAUUAGACUGAUAUCUGCCUAGAAGCCCUGUUGCAAAAGCAAUAUCUGGCCUAUUGCAAACUUGAGCAUAUAUGAUGCUUCCAAGCACACUAGCAUAAGGCAAAUCCUUCAUUUGAGCUUUCUCAAAAUCUGAAUUAGGGCAUUGUGAAAGACUCAAUUUAUCACCCUUAACAACAGGAGCAAUUCCUGGUUUGCAAUCCUGCAUAUUGAAUCUUUCUAAAAUGCAAUCAAUAUAUGCCCUCUGAGAUAAACCCAAUGAACGGCUUGAGCGAUCCCUAUGGAUCUCAAUGCCAAGAACAAAAGACGCCUUACCAAGGUCUUUCAUGUCAAAAUUUUUCGAUAACAUCCGCUUUGUCUCAUGCAGUAAACCAAUGUCACUACUAGCAAGCAAGAUAUCAUCUACAUAAAGUAUGAGAAAAAUAUAUUUCCUCCCACUGACCUUGGUGUAUAUGCACUGAUCUACUUUGUUCUCAAUAAAUCCAAAUGAAGUCACAACACUAUGAAACUUGAAAUACCACUGUCUAGAAGCUUGCUUAAGGCCAUAAAUAGACUUUUUCAAUCUACAAACAAGCUGACCUGAGUCAUCUGCUACAAAACCUUCAGGCUGCACCAUAUAAACCUCCUCAUCAAGGUCUCCAUUUAGAAAAGCAGUCUUAACAUCCAUAUGGGGUAACUCCAUAUUGUAAUAAGCUACCAAUGCUAAGAUCACUCUAAAGGAAUCUUUAGAAGAAACUGGAGAAAAUGUUGCUUCAUAAUCUAUUCAUUCUCUUUGAGUGAAACCCUUAGCUACCAGUCUGGCUUUAAACUUUUCAAUCUUUCCUUUGGAAUCCCUUUUAGUCUUGAAUACCCAUUUGCAGCCAAUAGGUUUACAACCUUCAGGCAAUUCAACAAACUCCCAAACACGAUUGUGUUUCAUAGAUUGCAUCUCAUCUUUCAUCGCAUCUAACCACAAAUCUGAUUGAGGACAUGAGAUGGCUUCAGUAUAAGUCACGGGAUCAACAACACAGCCUAUGUCAUAAUCAUGCUCUCCCAGGUAGACUAGAUAGUCUGGUGGUAUAGCUGAACGUCUUUCUCUAGUUGAUCUUCUGAGUGGAGCUACUUCAACCUCAUUCUGAAUUUGAGGAGCUUGAGGAAUUUCAUCAGGAACUGUCUCAACAAUAGGAUCAUGAGCCACAUGAGGCUCCAUAAUUGUUUGCACAGGAUGAGACAUAGAUCCAGUAAUCCCCAUCGAUACAAGUCCUUUCCANNNNNNNNNNNNNNNNNNNNNNNNNNNNNNNNNNNNNNNNNNNNNNNNNNNNNNNNNNNNNNNNNNNNNNNNNNNNNNNNNNNNNNNNNNNNNNNNNNNNAUUCUUGUACCUCCAUUAGGGUUAUAAAAGCGAUACCCCUUUGAAUGGUCUGGGUAAGACACGAAGUAACAUCGAGUAGUUUUGGAAUCCAGUUUACUCAAUGUUGGAUUAUAUAACUUCACUUCUGUUGGACAUCCCCAAACUCUAAGAUGAUUCAAGCCUGGUUUACGCCCAGUCCACAACUCAAGAAGGGUCAAUGGAAUUGCUUUAGUAGGAACACGAUUUAGAAUAUAAAGAGCUGUUUUCAAAGCUUCUCCCCACAGAAAAUUAGGUAAAUUUGUCAUACUAAUCAUACUUCUCAUCAUGUCCAUAAGAGUACGAUUCCGCCUUUCAGCUACUCCAUUUUGUUCAGGACUUCCAGGCAUAGUAAAUUGACCUAUUAUCCCAGAAUCCUCUAAGUAUUUAGCAAAUGGCCCUUUAAGCUGUCCAGCAUCACCGUGCCUACCAAAAUACUCACCACCACGAUCAGAUCUGACAAUCUUAAUAACUUUUCCCAACUGUUUCUCCACUUCAGUCCGAAAAAUCUUGAAUUUAUCAAGAGACUCGGACUUUUCUUUAAUCAAGUAUAAGUAUCCAUAUCGGGAAUAGUCGUCAAUAAAUGUGAUGAAAUAAAAAUUUCUGCACAAAGUAGCCGUGUAUGGUCCACUAAUGUUAGUGUGAAUAACCUCCAACAAAUCUGAACUUCGUACAGUAGAUUUCUUCUUUAUCUUAGUCAUCUUACCUCUGCAACAGUCUACGCAAGUCUCUUGAUCAUCUUUAAGAGUAGGCAAGAUAUCAGCCUUUAUAAGCCUUUUUACUUUGUCUUUAGAGAUGUGACCAAGACGUUUAUGCCACAAUGCAUAAGACUGUUCCUUAGGUAGAGGUCUUUUGGAAACAACCUUUUCAGCGGAAUAAGCAACGUAUAUGUCGUUGGGAGAUAAUCUCAAUCGAUAUAAUCCAUCAGAUAAAUUGCAACACCCAAUCUUAUUUGAAUAAAAAAACAUGGAAUUAGUAUUACUCUUUAUUUCAAAAGAGUAUCCACACAUGUCCAAACAAGACACAGAAACUAAAUUCCGCCUAAAAGAAGGUAUGUAAAAAGUGUUUCUUAACACCAUCCGAAAACCAGAAUCUAAAAUCAAAAUAACAUCUCCCACGAACUCAACGUUAACUCCAACGUUGUUUCCAACAGUGAGCUUUGAUUCAUCCUGAGUUGGCGUCAUUCGGUUUAUGAACCCCUGUAUAGUAAAUGCAACAUGAUUAGUUGCACCACUAUCUAGCCACCAAGAAUUGGUCGGAACUUUAGAUAGAUUGGAUUCAUAAACUAAUGCCAAAGAAUCAUUACCUUUAGGCUCUCUCUUAUUUCUCUUAGACAACCAAGCCUUAAACUUGCUACAACGUUUCUUCACGUGUCCUCUCUCCCUACAAAAGUAGCAAAGAACACCAUCCUUCUUGGUGAUUGCCUUCUUAGGACCCAGAGUGUUAGAAGGACCUGCUCCUUCAGAAUUUCCUUUGUUGUUGGAGGGACCAGCAACUUCUGAAUUGCUUUUAUGGGUAUAAGUUUUCACUUCUUACCCUUGUCACUAGCAGAACUAGAAGCAUAAAGAGCAUAUGUCCUUAUCUUUCUUUAAUUNNNNNNNNNNNNNNNNNNNNNNNNNNNNNNNNNNNNNNNNNNNNNNNNNNNNNNNNNNNNNNNNNNNNNNNNNNNNNNNNNNNNNNNNNNNNNNNNNNNNAUCAGGUCAUUAACAGACCAGGUUUCAUCUUGGGAAUUAUAAUUGGUCUUAAUAAUCCCAAAAUCAGGAGGAAGAGUAUUUAGAGCUUGAUGGACAAUGCAAGCAGUAGGAAUUUCCACAUUGAGAAUCUGAAGCUUUGUUUGCAAAUCAACCAUCCUCAGAACAUAAUCUCUAACUCCACCAGAACCAUCAUACUUCAUAGUAAAAAGUGUUUGCAUAUGUGUCCCUAUCUCAGCAUUAGGCGACACACGAUUUCUAGCCAUCAAAGCUUCCAUCAUCUGUCUAGCAUUGCAGUUUGCAGGCAAACCACUUUUUAAGUGUUCCUGAAUGAAAUGCUUCAUGGACAGCAAGCAAAUUCUAUUGCUCUUUUCCCAUGCAGCAAAAUUUGCUUUUUGAGCCUCUGUACUCUCGGCAGUCAAAUCUGCCAGCCGAUCAGCAGUAAGAGCCAUAUGAACGUCGGCCAUCUCCAUAGCAAACAGAAAAUCCUCUCUCCAUCUCUUAAAAUUCGAACCAGCAAGAACCUCAAUGGUGACAGAGUUACCAUUUACAGAAAAGGUGACUGAAAGACAAGUAAUAUAUACAAUUAGCAUCAUGUGAGCAUUGUGUAACUUGACGCACAAGUACACAUCCAGAGAGUUACAUGCAAAAUCACAUAAUCACCUUUGGGCAGAAUACAUGACAAGCAAUAUAUACACUCCCCACAUGAUAAGGGUUAUGAGAAUAUAUUCCAAUCUUCGUGAAUUCAUCACCUUUGGGUAUAUGAACCAUUAGGAUCGGUCACUCCUCCACCACACUAUCAUGUAUCCCUCCAUAAACUAAUACAUAAUCACCUCAUUUGGGAGUAUAACUAUGCAUUAGACCAGGAGACAUCCCAAUCAAUAUAUGAGAUCGAAAUUUCUCAAACUCAACCAAGUGUGCCACUUUGGCGGUCACAACUCAAUUGAAUCCUUGAAACUCUCUCAUCCCAGGGAUAUAAUCUUUACAUCUCACAUACAUCAUAUACAUGUGAUUUAACUUUAGUGAUAGGGGCAUCAUAUCACUCAAAUCACAUGCCAUGCUAAUUAUAUUGCCUUAUUCAUUAAUAAAAUACAAUCAAGUUUAAUUUUUAUUAAUGAAUCACACUUUUAUAAUGUUUAUGUGAUAACAUAGCUGUAUCCCGGCACCUGUAUUUUCUAAAUCACAGAAAAAUACAAGAAAAAUACGCAAAAAAUACACUAAAAAGCACGUAUUUUGGGCUUUGCAUGUAUUUUCACAUCCAUAAAAUCAUUAAAAAUAUAAAAUAAAUACACCAUGACGUAGGAAAUAAGCAUACGAGUCCGUCGCCGCCGACCACGCGCGAAUUGGAGUCUCCACGCGCCCGCACGCGCCGCUUGAGUGAGCGGAGCGUAGAGCACACGCUCGGCGCGUGUUCGACGCGCAGGAGGUGCGUGGCCGUGCGUAGGGGUGCGUGCGGCCUCCUCCGGCGACGCGCCGCCCACGGUUUUCUUCGUCUCGUCGAUCCCAAUCCGAAUAUAUAAUUUAAUUUAAUUUUUAUUGAACGAAAAGUCUCGAAAAUCGCAAAUUAGGGCAAGAUCCGCACUAAUUAGGGUUAAUCCGUACAAAUUAGGGCAAAAUCAAUUGCGUUCGUGUUCUAGGGUUAUGGAGGCUCUGAUACCACAUGUUAGACGCAUAUUGCGCAAACCCCAAGAUCUCCAUAACUAGAACAAGCACACUCGCGAUUGAGUAGAAAGAAUUGACGCACCUGUUUUAGGAUCCAUUGUUCUUGAAGCGGAAGCGGAAACACAAUGUUCCACGCGCAAGUCCUUCUCCUCUAUUGCCCUCCGUAUCACUGGCUCAAUGAGGCGGCCCCCUCACGUGUAGCGUUAGGUAAACGCUCCUUAGGUGAUGAUAUAUGUGAGAAUUAGGGUUAGAGGAGAGAUUUGAGCACUAUUUAUAGAGUUUCCAACCAGUCCCCCUCAUUACGGGCCAGGCUCAACUCGGCCCACACUAGCCAGCCCAUAUUAGACUAAUUAAGAAACCUACUAUCUCACCUUAGACCAAACCCCGUAAAACGAUAAACGUUAAACGGUAAAUUACAAUAUCAAUUAAUGCAGUCCACAAUUAGAAAAACUCUUACACUUUUCGGAUAUCGCGUUCUUCAUGACAGGGGUUAGCAAAUUUUGCCAAAUGAAAUCUUUGCUUUUACAUGUUAAAAGAUGACGUACAACUACAGUUAUUUUGUAUUGAAGACAAACUUUCAGGUCUUCCCAUCAAUGACAGGUAUAUUGUUACCAGGAUAGUAUAUGCUUGUAAAACAGUUUCGUAUGGUUUUCUUAUGAAUCUCUUUCCUGCAUUUGAUGUUGACCUUGCAAUCUUUUGGCUGGUGAAUGUAAACAAUCUUCUUUGUUCUCGUCCUGUGUGGAUCCUUUGCUUUUGUUUCCCGCGCAGCAGAACCCUAGAUUUUUAACCUCUUUUCGAAGUCUUAAAUUUGGUGGUACUGAGAUGAUGGGUGUGAAUGAAUUUAUUCCUUUUUGUUCUUUUCCAUUUUGGGCGACUUAUGUCUCAUCUCAAUCAAUGGAUGAAAGAGGGAAGAGUCAAAGAUCCAAUGUUAUUCCCUUUGUCUUACUAUUGCUCUGGAAUACACUUAGAGAGCACCAAUAUACCUUUGAUUCAUGUGGUUUAUGACUAUUGAUAGCUGACAAAAUCAGAUUUUUGGGAUCAUUUUAACGAUCCAUUAUCUGUUGAGCCAGAAAACGACAAGUAUGUUCUGUGACAUCCAGAAUUUUCAGUAUUGUUUUCUAUUAAAUUAAUCGGGCAUUUCAUUGACGUGUCUAUAGGGUUGUUCUCAGAGCUGAUCACUCUCGAGAUAACUAGACUAGCUGGGUAUGCCAUUAAAGAAUAUUAAGGCAAUAGACUUGAGAAUUCGACCAGGAAGCGGCUUCUCGACCGUGUUCAUCUUUAGAGGUCAUUACUGCACAGUAAAGAUCGAAUUGAGAUCAGAGAUAGGUCGGUUCGACUGAGAUGUGUGGCCGAUCGUGGGUGACUCCACUAAAUUGGAAAAAUUCUCGUCAACCGGCACUAAUUUGAUUUUCUGUCGUUUUGGUACCCUGUGUUGGUAGUCGAGCCAUCGAGAUUUUUACGACAAUUGAGAGUCGCCAAUGUGUCGAGUGGGUUCAUUGUGGCUCGAAGAAAAUCGACCACGAGUCAAUUGCCCUAAAAAGUUCUGAAAACUACCCGGUAGUCUAGGUCACACUAAAAGCACGCCGGAGUGAAAUUAACCGUCGAUUUGAGCCAGAUUUCAGAAAUCGAAAGUUCAGUGAUGUCACAAGCUAUUUUAGGAACGUCAACUCAGUCUCAGAAGAUUUUUCGGACGUUCCGAGAUUUUUACGGAAAUUGGGUUCGGACGUCAUGGAAGUUUGGCCGAAGUUCAGAUUGGCUAAAUUAAUGGGAAAUUUGACUUCUGGGUUGAGCCUGUGUGUGUCGGAGAUUUAUAGAAAAUUUCUUGGGAUUUUUCUACGUCGAAAUUGGACCUCAAUUUGGGAAUUUAUUGGAGAAAUUGAAGUUCAAAUGGUGAAAUUCGUAUCAUCCCCUCACCCUAGCAAUAUUGGACUACUUGAGAGGUUAUGGAAGUCAUUUGGAUGGUCUAAUGAGGGCCAAGUGUUUUUACUUGGCUAAGAGUGAUUCAUGGAGAUAUUCUUGCAAAAUAUCAAGCUAAGGCCCACCUCUUCCUCAUCCUCUCCAUCUUGCUGCCAUGAAUUGCUUCUCUCCCCUUUCCAUUUUUCUCUGGCGUGCGACCCUUCCAACAGCAAUUGAAGAAGACCCGGCUGCUUCCUUCGAAAUUUUCCGAGCGUCCACCAAGCUGCCCGAGAAGCUCAGCAUCCGUCGAAUUCUCCACCGCUUCGUGUCUUCAGCCAGCUCACGCUUGGUCAAUAGCGAAGCCAGAAGAAGCCUCGUCGUUGACUGAAGAUCCUCACCGCACGAAGCCUUGAAGACCGAAACUCCACCGAGUGAAGCCUCGAUCCCACCGAGCUGGUCGGCCACUCACGCUAGCGAAGACCCUUGCAGCAGCUCCACCGAAACUCUUUUUCUUCCGCUUCGUUGAAGAUUGAUCAUCCACGAAGCUGCUCCAAGCAUCCACGCGGCUAGAAGUUCAAGCAGACAUCUCCACUACAAAUUGUCCCUUUGGUCAACAACAAGCCAUAGAAGCUCCUUGAUUGACCGAAUCAGCGACCUCACGUCCCAGCUGCAGCUGCUUCGUGCGUCCAGUGAAGUCUCCACGCGUCCAGGUCAACUGAAGCCGCUCCUUGCCGUUUGUUGACCCUGUCGGCCACUCACUCAUCUCCGGCACCGAACGAAGACUCCACCGGUUCUGCCGCUCCAGCUCGUCGAAGCUCCACCAACCGCAGCUCACGUGUCCGUUUAGCCGCAGUGGAUUCCAGCGCCCCUCGCCACUUCUUUCGUUUAGUUAGCGUGAAGACCGAAACCACGGAUCCAGCGGCCUCGAUUUUCUUUUGCUUGUGGACAGACCUCAGCGAGCCCAUUCCGCUUCUCUUGCCGGCCCAGCUCGCUCAAACUCAAUUGAAGCCCAUCGAAUUGGACUUAUUUCAGCCCAAAGAGAGCAGACCAUUUUCAGUUUAAUUUCAAGUCUAGCAAGUUGCAAGCCCAAUUUCCAGCAAAGAAAUUUGAAGCCCAAGUGAAGUCAGUCCAGAAAUUUCAGCUGGCCCAAUUCAACUUGAGUCCGGCCCAAAAGCAAGUACAAAUCUCAGUUGGGCUGAGAUUUGUUGGGCCAAGUCCAAGGCCCGGUCCAAGCCCGCCGGUGUUGUCGGAAGUCCGAUUUCGGCCGCCGUUGCGUCGUCGUUGCGGUGAUUCGAUCUCCGCUUUUGUCAAGUGAGUUUUACUCACUAAUGCUUUAAUUAAGUGCACUUAGGUGGUUAGAACAAUUAAUUUAGUGACUUAAUGAUGCAUGUUAGGUGGUUAGACCUAGCUAUUAGCAAGUAGAAAUGUUUGGUUAUUUAUUGAAUGCAUCUCGGGAUUUUUCCUGACCCGUUUCGGGCUCCAAUAAGGCAAUAUAGGCCUAAAUUGGAUUUUUUUAUGUUUAUUUAUUUAUUUUUCGAAAUUAAUUAUUUAAUUAAUUAUUUUUCUGGAAUUCAACCGGGAUGGCCGGUGACCGGAAUUUCGUGCCGAUUGUCGUGGUGCAGACCGUUUAUUUAUUUGAGCUCUACGUUGUGUGGAAUUGAAUUUAUUGUGGAAUUUUAGGAAUUGUCCUAAAUUGUUUGUUAUUGAGUAUUUGAUUGGUAAUGGCUAAGCAUAGAUAUAUAGCGCCAGUACGUUGAUGGGCUAUAUAGUAGAGAGAAUGGUGAGACCAAUCAGGUACGAUAUUAUUGGACAUACGUGGUUCGGUGAUUGGAAGUAUCACUGGCGAAAACGGCGCCUUAAAGAACGCACGUAAAUGACUUAUAGACAAACGUGGUUCGGUGGUUAUGGGAAUAUCACUGGUGAAAACGGCGCCUUAAAGAACGCACGAUGUUGUCUAUAGCCGAUGUCACCUUGGCGAAAACGGCGCCCUUGAAAGGACACGUGGUUCGGUGAUCAAGGUUAUCACUGGUGAAAACGGCGCCUUAAAGAACGCACGGUGUCGGUGAUCGGUAUGUCAUUGGCGAAAACGACGCCCGAGAAACACAUGUGAUUUGGUGAAUGAGUACACCACUGGGAAUUCGUGGUAUGAGUGGGAAUGACCUAGAAAGGGUCUGGCUGACAUGUAAUCGACUUAGUCGAUUGAUCAAUGCUUGAUCGGAUGUCGUGAAUUGUUUGAAUGCUUGUGUUUAACCUUGAAUUGCAGGUUGGAACUGAGGCCAAGGUAAGUCCUCUGACUCGUGUUGUGCUUAGGCAACCGUAUGGCGUAUUAGUUUAUUAAUCGAGUCUUAGUGGGUAGGACUCGCUGAGAUGUGGUCUCAUUGGUUAUUGAAUAACCAUUUCAGGACCCUGUGGAGAAUCUAAUGAAGAGGAACCUGAAGAGGAGAAAGAUGUUUGAGGAAGAAGAUGAUCCAGAGAGGGAUCUUAAAUAUAACCCAGAUGUGGAUUGAGAUCCCAUCCCUUUUGUGAACCCUGUCUUGGUAUAGAUAGGUGUGAGACUUUUAUGCUAUAAAUAGUAUUGUAAAUAUACUGUGAGUUGUGCUGUUAACGAAAGUGUGGUUGUGAAUUUCAAUAUGAAAAAUAUGGCCUACUUUCCUAUCCCAUUGUUUUAUUGUCUGGGGAUUUAUAACUGCAUCCGCAUGUGCUGAAUAAAUUGAAAGGGUCGGCGAUACAUAGUCCUAGGAUAUCGCAUUCUAAAAUCGACCAAGUAGAAGGAUGUGCGCGCGUCUGAGGAUCGGGGCGUGACAUGUUCCUCAGCAAAAGGCAAAAAUCUUACUAGUUUUACGUGUGACUCCUUUUAAUGGCAUUCUUAUAACACGGAGCCUUUAUUCUAUAAAUCUAAUAGAUGUGUUGAAUUGUAUCUGGACCAAAAAAGAAUGUGGGAUCGAAUGGAAAUCUCAAAAGAAAAAAAAAAUUCACAAUCAGCAUAAGCAAAGGAAGCAGGGGAGAAGAAAAUGGAUUUCAUAAAUUUAAAUAAAGAUGGAAAUUUGACAAACUUUAUAAGGUAUCUACUCUUGACUAGGUUGAUGUAUAUUUCAAGUAACAUAUAACUUUCACAUGUCAAUUUCAACUCUCCUCAAACACUUGGUAAUAGACUAGCGUCAAGAUUAUAGGUAUUGCAUUUUCAUGAGUUCACAUUCGUGGACAAUGAUUUGUGUUGGCUCACUCUAGUCAAUUUAAGGGAAAAAGAGUAUAAUUAUAGAAAAAUAACAUUACCACGUAUGCUAUCACAUCAAUAUUAGUUAUUUAGAGUUAACAAGCAAAUUGAAGAGUUUGAUUUAUAAUGUAUUUACAUAGCAUUACUGGACAUCUAGAUUUUAUUAAAAUACUUGAGAGAAACUGUGCAAACCCCAUAAAAAGCCCCAUCAUAAAAUGAAAAUUUCAAUAUAAUUAUUAUAUUGCAAUUGGGUUUUUCCAUUGCAUCAUUUAUAAAAUAAAUUUGUACAAUAUUUUCAUGAUAAAUAAUGGUCUCUUGUCUCCUAAUGCAACUAAGCAAGCAAGAUGAUGGAAGACUUUGACUUGCAUUCAAUCACUAGAAUCUUUUUUUCCCCUUUUUCGUUUGAGUAGGCCACAUUGGCUUUUACCUUAUCCCUUUCUUGGCAACUAAGCAAGCAAGAUGGUGGAAGACUUUGACUUACUUUUUCUCCCUCAUCCUUUUCCCCCCUUUCUUUUGAGUAGGUCUUGUCGGCUUUUCCCUAAUCACUUUCUUUGCAACUAAGCAAGCAAGAUGGUGGAAGAUUUGACUUGCUUUUUCUCGCUCGUCCUAUUUCCCCCCUUUCUUUUGAGUAGGUCUUGUUGGCUUUUGCCUCAUCACUUUCUUUGCAACUAAGCAACUAAGAUGGUGGAAGAAUUUGACUUGCUUUCCCUUACCGCAAAAUUUUCUAAAAGGUAAUUAACUCGAUUUCAUAGAAAAUUUGAUAUAGAAUCUUCCAAAAAAUUAUUUUUUUUCAUGAUAAAGAUUUCUUUUGCAGAAUGCAAAUACUGGCAUGAGCAUGCCAUGUAAGAAGAAAUAUCCCAUUGACCCAAUUUGACGUUGCCCUUAACUGCGAUAACAACAUAUUUGUUCUUGAGUUAAUCCAUAUAUGAUAUAGGUCACCAAAUAUGAGUGACAACGGGAAGGGAAAGCAAAAUGUUGUCAAUCUUCACUUUGAUUUGUGUGGUCAUGUGAUCCCAUCACAGAGGGAACUAACAAAAGGUGAGAGUUAGUUAGUUAAAGAAAUAAAUGUCCUCAUCGAAGAUGCACAAAUCCACGGUAGGAUUGUGUGUAUCCCAAGCACAUUUGGCUCAUCUAUUGAGGCAAGAGAAAAAGUAAUUUCCAAUAUCAACACCUUGUAAAAGUAGCCAAUUAAAGGAGAUGAUUGCAAGGCUCUUUUGACAUAGUAUCAUGUGAAACUAAUUUCCAUUGUGAACACCUUGACUUCAGCAUAAACGUAUCUAUUUAUUGGUUGAUGGGGUAGGUAAAGCAAAGGGCGAGGACAAAGCAAAAAGUAUCACCCAUCUUCAAUUUGAUUUGAGUGACCACACCAUCCAAUUACAAUCUAAUUGUUGCGUCGAUUAGCAAUACAGUUGCCAGUCAAUCAAUAAUUUGAGAGGCCACGUGGAGCCAUUGUGAAAAGUUGAGGAUAAAGCAAAAAAGUAUUGCCAAUCUUCCAAAAGUUAAUUUCCUCUGUGAUUUGCUUGGCCACGAGCUCUAAUAACAAAAGGAACUAACAAGUCAAGUCUACAGGGGGUCGUCUUUCCAAUUUCAAGGAGAAGAUUGUUUUGGCGGUCGUGGUCAAAAAGGUUAGAAUCAAAAGAAGUACAAUUGCCUCGUCUAAGAAACACCAUUUGCCACAAGAUUGCACGUCUCCUUUGGGGCAAGAGAAGAAGUAAAGCUUUGUAUAAAGUCCCAAGUGCUUGUGCUUGAAGAGGAGAAAUGCCAAUCACCAGAAAUCACUGAGAGGCUCGUUUUUGUUAUGAGAUAUCUAGGUUGAAGCAUGAAGGUGAACCUUGAAUUGCAUUGACUUUCAAGAUUCUGACACAACUUGAUUUGCUUCAAGGCAACUUCUUCUCAAAUACUGAAACCCAUCACAGUAAUUUCAUCUAUAAAUCGCUCCUCGAGGUAAGCCUAACCUUCAUUCUCUAGUCUAUUACAAUUGAUAGGACAAAAACACAUUUGAUUAUUACUCAUGGCAUAACACCUAACAUCCUUUAAGGCAUACAAAAUGUUACUUGUGAAAUUCCCUUGACUUUUUAAAAAUCAUCAUCACAUAUAUUGCUAAUUUUUCUUACUUCAAUCUUCUCAUUUGAACUAAUCAAUUAUUUUGACCAUAAAAAAAUUGGUUAUGUAUGGCUAGACCAGUUGAAUCCGGUGGAAUUGCAUGCCGGCCCUUAUGCUGAUGUUGUUUUCAAAACAUUGUUGAUUGACCGAACUCCCUUGGGACAAAAAGUCUGCUUGACGAAAAUUGCAAAAAUACCCUUCUAGACCCGAUUUUGGGUUCAUCGGCCCUAUACAUACCCCAAUUGUCCCAAAUUACUUAAACCCUGAAACAUCCAAAAUAAUCAGUUUUAGUAGAAAUAAUUCUUUUUUUUUCUUGAAAACAAUUAAAAAACUAGAUUUUUCCAAAUAUCAAUCGUGCAAGUCUAUUCCCUUCAAUAAUCGCACAAAACCUUUCAUAGGCUACGAAUUAGAAUUGUCAAGAACAAAAAUUUAUCUGAAUGGAUCAAACUAGCUAGAAAAUUGCUGGAUGUCCAUAAAACCGAUUUCCAUUAUAUUGGCAAUUUUCGUAAUUUCUGGAAAAAUGACAGAAAAUUCAAAUGCUUUCCAGAAAUUAUGAAAAAUUCACGAUUGUACUUUCUUUUCUUUUCUUUGUUUUGUGCUGGUUACAAUGGAAAACUUGAAAGUCAGCGAAGCUGCUGGUUUCAAUGCACUUGCAUGUAUUUAUUAUGUGGACAAUUUUUAGGUGGACUUUGUCUUUGCGGAUUAAAUUAGAGAAACUCAUCAUAAAGUAUGGUUUUUGUGUGAUUUUACUGCUUAUAGCAAUGACAUGACUUUUACGUAUAUAUAGCGUAGACAAUUAUUGACCCAUGAUGGAUUUGACAAUAUGAUUUAUGCAUAUUUGGGGUGGCAGGAGAAUGCAGCAUUUACAGGACUAAAAACGUCUUUGAUAAUAAUAUAAUGGAAGAUUAACAAGCCGGUUAGAGCCACAUUUAUCUGUAUAACAAAAUAGUUUUAAGUGGAUAUGAACAGAAGUGGCCAUUCCGUACUCUAUUCCAAAUUGUGUGGCUUGACUAGGCUUGCCAUCUGAAAACAAUUUAAUAGCUACGGUCAAUCAGCAUAUCAUCUACCAAUCGAUCAAUAAUAAUUUGAGACUAUCGUCUACUACUGAUUGGUCCUCUCUCUCUCUCUCUCUCUCUCUCUCUCUCUCUCUCAUCUCUCACUUUAGCUUUUGCAUUCGGCCUCUCUCUUGCAGAACAAUUCGAGAUUAUCAUCUACUGUUUAGUCCUCACUCGCUUUCUCUAUUCUUUUCCCUCUUGAAAGUUCUCACCCAGGCUUUUUUACAAUCUCCUCUCUCUCCGUUCUCAGCCUGUCUUCGCAUCUCAGCUCGCGGGAGGUAAUUGCUUUUUCAUCUCUUAUUAGCUUGUCGUUUAUAUUGAUUUGUCGCCUUGUUAUUAGAAUAAUUGACUGAACUAAAAGUGUUCCGGGCCCUUUUUGUCUAUUGGGGAUGUGGGGUGGCUGCUGAGUAGAGAGGAGGGUCUUUUAUUCUCUCUUUUGGAAUCGCUGUUGCCUAUUAAACUUCGAUGAAAAAGGAAAGCCUUUAUUUUCGACUUUAGAUGUGGCUAAUCCUAUGAUGCCCUUGCUGUCUAAUUGUUAGUUGCAUCGUAACUUAGCAUUGAUCUUUUGUUGAGUAGUUCUGCAAGCGCACUAGACUCUAUUGCAUGCAAAAUUGCCACAUUUCGCUUGAAUCCAGAGGCCAUGUUUUUUUAUCCGCUAUGAGGUUUCUCUGUGUUUGAAGGUCCUAGAUCAAUUUAAGGAAAAAUAAAUCAGAAAAAUAAAAGUAAGCUGGUUCAAGGUCAACUAAUUUGGUUCUCGGUUACAAAAACAGAGAAUUGAUAUUACAAAAUAACCUAAUUUUGAGUUUAGAAUCUACUCAUCUCAAAACUGAUCAUCCUAAGAGUAACUCUUCUCUUAAGAUAUUUCAUCUGACAAUUUUACCUUCCUAUAUAACACUCUAGAUGAGUAAUAUUAUGUUUUCCUCGAAUUGUUGGACCAUUAAUCCUAUAACAUAUGUUCCCUUUCACCUCUAACUCAUUUUUUCCCCUCUUUAGCAAGAAAAGAAAGAAAGAAAGAAAAACUCAUUUUCUCCCUUCAAAGCUUUAAAAAUUGAUCGAUUCUUUACUUGGAAAAAAGAAAAGUAAAUGAGUAAUAAAAAAGUAUGGGGAAAGUUUGUGCAUUUUAACCAUAUCGCUACUUUUCACCUGCUCUCAAGUAAUGAUAGUUUCAAUCAUCACAACAUAAAACAUACCAAAAUCCAUAGCAUGAUACUUCUUAAUUUUUUUACAUGAUAUCUAAUAGUGAGAAAAAAAAAUAGUUCGAUCUUAUGACACACGCAAGAAAACAAUUAAAUAAGUCGAGCCAUAUGCACAUGCUAGGAGAUUCACCCUGCUUUAUAUCACUCAUUUCUUACGCCUCUUUUGUUGCAAAGAAUAAAUUCGUUCUUGAGAUAUGUGAUUAAUCAAUUUAACCUGACGUAUCUCAAAUUUAGCCGAUAAUCUUAUUCUACUUCCAUUUUAUUGGAUAAAAAAUCUUUUUGGUGAUAUUCUCAAGGUGGGCCCUCCAACGAAAAUGGGGACAAGCACUCAACGCUAUUGUUUCAAAUCUUGGUUGUCUCUGAAUUUUCCUCAGCAACUUCCUUUUACUUUCUUUCUUCUCUUUUUCUCUUUCUUCCAUUGAAUCAGUACCUAAUUUCUAAUCGUUCAGACUAACAAGGAGAAAGAAAAGAGUGCAUAAAAAGAGAGUACUGAGGGAGCAUCCGCUCCACCUUUUGGUGUCACCUAACAAAUUAUAUCUCUAUUUUACAAUCAAGAUAUCAAUCAACUUUUAGAUUUGAAAAUUUGAAAUAAAAGGCUCAGCGAUAACACACUAGUUCAAAAUAAAUUCAUUUUAAAUGGAAUUGUAGCAUGUGGUGCUAGCAGGGAAUAGAUGAAAGAUAAAUAACCACGAGCACUUGUUUAUCUCUGUCUCACAUUUCCAACUUCAUUAAGAAUAUUGCAAUUUUAAACAAAAUUAAAAUAUAAAAUCCCAUUGACAAUUAGUAGCUCGGUCCUUUCUUGAUGUCUUUCACAAAUCUCUAAUUCCGUUCCAACUCAAUCACUAACUUUUAAAUGGUUUAUCAAAUAUCUGUUAAAAAAAAUUGGUUUAUCAAAUUAUGGUUUUCAAUAACCAAAUAAAAAACUGGACGGAUGAUUAUAUUUUUAAGCGAAUGCAAUAUGCUUGUGCACAUAUUAUAGUUCUUUAUGGCCCAAUUGAAAAAUUAACGUACAUAUUACUUAUGAGUGGAUCAAGCCAACAAGUUUUGACUUGAAUAGAAUGAGGUCCAAAAGAAGAUAAGGUGAGGACUAAAAGCAUCUACAACUGCUCCUAGUCAAUCAAUUACCAAUUAUUUAAAGUUUUCAUGUUCGUUUUUUCUUGCAUGGUAACAUAUUCAUGCUCAUAAUUGUUCAUCGAUCCUUUUAUCCAGCAGAAAAGCAUCUUUCAUUCCAACUUUCGCCCUCAAAUUGCCAUGCAUCUUUCAUUCCACUUUUUGCUUUUAAUUCGUGUUCAUGAAGUUUUCCAUGUGUCAUGAAUUCAUAAUUCAAAAGCCUUUUGGAUGUUACCUCUAAAUAUCGCUACUUCCUUCUAAAAGUAGGCCCAAAGACACCAUUCCCUUCUUUUCUAUGCUUUUUCCUAAAUUAUCUUCUUCUUCUUUUAAUAUUUCACAAACUUCUUUUUUCAGUGGAUUAUUGACUUUUCAAGAGCUGAAUGAUAUGCCAACAAAAUAGUAAUAAAAAAAUGACCCGGAAAAGAACUCAAGGACAAUGUACAAGUAUUUCAUUUGUCAUUAGUAACUUAAUACUAACGCAUUAUGCUUAUUUGGUGUCAUUUAACAAAUUAUAGCGCAGACAAUAUAUCAAUCUAUAAUUUAAAUUUAAGAGUUAAAAGCGAAUAGCUUGGCCCUUAUAUAGAAAUAUUGGCAUGUGGGGCUAGCAUGAAAUAAAUAAGAGAGAAAUGACAACAACCAUUUGUUCAUCUCUACCUCGCAUUUCCAACUUCAAUAAGAACAUGGCAAUUUUAAAUAAAAUUAAAAAUAUGAAAUCAUCGAAUUUGAACCAAAACAUUAAGGAAGUGAAGCAAGCGACCCGAAACGAAUAGGGAAACAACAUUCACACAAAAAGAGAAAAGAUCAUAGGAGGGGGAGGGAGGGAGGGAGGGAGGGAGAGAAAGAGAGAGGACCAAGCCAACAAUCAUUUGCAAAUGUAUCUUUCGUCUUUCAUCAAUCCUUUUAAGCAAAAGAUAAGCAUAUUUCUUUUCAACUUCCCCUCUUAGAUCACCAUGGAAGAGCAGAGUCAAAGAAAGAGAGCAGAGGAAGAGAGCACUCAGGGAGCAUCCUCUUCUUCAUCCAUCUCUUCAGAAGCCACAGAUUUAUGUAGUGGUCAAUAUAACGUGUUCUUGAGCUUUAAAGGCUCAUAUACUCGCAAGACAUUCACCGAUCACCUCUACCACAGUCUAAUCAAGGUAGGAACUGUACUGUUUUGCGUGUUUAGGGAUGAGAACAACAUCCCAAUUGGAGAGGAAUUUGGUUCAAAGAUUCUUGAUGCCAUCGUACGGUCUAAGAUUUCGAUCCCUGUCAUCUCCGAAAAUUAUGCUUCAAGCAAAUGGUGCCUCCGCGAGCUCAUUCAUAUCAUGGACUAUAAGAAGAGCGCGUCACACAUAAUGUUGCCUAUAUUUUACAAAGUUGCUCCAUCGGAUGUGCGGCAUCUAAAAGGAAAUUUCGGAAAUGCCUUCCAAUCGAGUCGGGAACGUUUUGAUGAGAAGGAUAUCCAGGAAGGGCAACGAGCACUUAAUGAAGUCAGUUACUUAAAUGGAUGAGAAUCUCAAAAAAUUGAGGAUGGGUACUUUACUAAACUUUUCAUAAGUUUUCUUCUUCUCGCAAAACCAAGGACAUGAAGAUGAAUUACUUUCAUUGCAAGCUCAAAAAAGAUCCCCAAAAUAAACAACCAAAAUGACUUGAAGACAACAAACACCAGUACGCCCCAAUAGUCCCUAAAAACCAAACCAACGACACCUAAAACCAAAGCAUCCCAUAGUGCCCAAGAAUUUACAUUUUCCUCCAGUAUAGAGCCAAAAAAAGAAAGAAAUGACAAUACAUCCAGCCAAUAGUAUCAAUCACUAAACAAUAGGCCUCCAAAUGACUCCAAUGCUCGGUCUUCAAAGCUUGAUCACCACCAGAUAAAAUCAACCUCCUAUAGCCAACAAGUGUUGGCUCAGUUGAUAAGGAUAGAAUACUUUGCAUAGACUAUGUCUAGGUUCAUAACUUCUCAUUGUUUUUGUUGUUUGACAGGCAUGAGGGAAAAUUAAUAGAACAUGUGGUUGAAACAGUUAUAAGCAAGUUACGGAAAGAUUUUCAGCUGGAUAUGCCUGAGCAACUAGUUGGACUUGAUGAUCGUAUGAAGGAAAUUAUGAAUUGGAUCGACAAUCCUUCCAUGAAUGCUCGAAUGAUUGGAAUUUAUGGCAUGGGCGGGAUAGGCAAGACAACUCUUGCCAAGUGCAUCUACAAUCAACUCUCAAAUAAAUUUGUGCAUGUUAGCUUCCUUCCAGAUGUUCGAGAAACUACCAGGCGCCACGGUAUUACAUAUCUACAGAGUCAACUAAUAUCAGAUAUACUACAAAGCAAAAGUGAAGUGUCUAGAAUUGAUGAUGGAAUUAGUAUAAUCAAAUCUAGAUUCAAAUGGAAAAAGGUUCUCAUUCUUCUAGAUGAUAUAGAUUACAAGAGUCAACUAGAUGCGUUGGCUAGGGAGCGUCAUUGGUUUAUGGUAGGAAGUGUGAUCAUUGUUACAACUAGAAACAAAGCCAUUCUUGAUCAAUCUAAAUUUGAGGUAGACUACAAGUAUGAAUUGAAUGAAUUGGAUAAGGUGCAAAGUUUGCUUUUGUUCAAUAGACAUGCAUUUCGUAUGGACCAUUCUUUGAGGGAGUUUGAGGGUAUAUCUCGUGAUAUCAUAUCCAACAUGGGUGGGCUUCCCUUGGCAAUUCAAGUUGUAGGUUCAUACUUGUAUAAAAAAAUGAAUAGACAGGUAUGGGAAGACGUGCAGGAGCAAUUAAAAAAUGAACCACAUAGAGAUGUCCAAACGAUAUUGCAAAUCAGUUAUGAUGCAUUAGGAGAUGGAGAAGAGCAGAUUUUUCUCGAUAUUGUUUGUUUCUUUAUUGGCAAAGAGAGAAGAUUCGCCCAUGUACAUGUGGGAGGACUGUGGGCUUUAUCCAAGUCAAGGUAUUGAAGAGUUAGAGUUGAGGUGCUUAAUUAAAAUUAGAGAUGAUGGUUGGUUUGAGAUGCAUGACCAAUUGAGAGAUCUUGGAAGGAGCAUUUUUUGCCAAGGACAACCGCUUGAGAAACGUAGCGGACCAUGGGACUACAACUACAAGAGACUCUCAAAAGUACUACGUUUUGGAUUGGUAAAAUAUGGCACUGCUUUCUUUAUUACUCCCUCUUAUUUUAAUAUAUUUAAUCUAAUCUAUUCUACAAUUUCAUCUAGGAUUGACAUGUGCUCUUACUUUCUUGGAGUAAACAUCCACUUAUGUCCAUCUUAGAUUUAUUAUGACAGCUAAAUGAUUAUAAGUGUCUAAAGGAUGAAAAAGUUAUACCAUUUCAUUCAAUUUCAUUGAUAUAAAUUACAUUUGUAAAAAUUUGAUUGACAUUCAAUUUAAGAUCCUUUAACUACAAUUUACACUAUAAAUCUAGUUCACUAAAAGCAUGUAAUUGUCAUAUCUAGUUGAAAAUAUUGAUAAUCUAAAGGACUACAAUAAUGAAUGAAGAUGAAAUAUAAACAUCAUAGAUAAGAUAAAUGAAGAUAUCUUGAAAAAAAAAAAAAAGAUAGCAUGUGCCAAAAAUAAUAACUGAUAAGUAAUUCAAAAUGAUAAGAUUGGAAAAAAUUUCACACUUAUCACAUGUUCUUGCUUACUAGUGUGGCCAAAUCUAUUGGUGGUACUCUUGUGAUUUAGGAAUCCAAUGUUUGAUAUUUUUUUCUCCAUUUUGAUUUUGAAGAUACCCGUCCCUCUACUCUGCUAGUUAUAUCUAUCUCUUAUUUCCUUUUAAUAGAUAAGAUAGCGAAAAUUCCCUUAAAAGUUUUUUUUAGGAAAAUCUUACUUUUUUUAAGGUUUUGUCACAUUGACCUUGCUCAUUUCAUGGAUUAGGUUAGGUGUACGAUAAAUAGUGGAUUUUCUUAUAACAAACAUUUGUAUCCGCUCUAAGUUACUUAUAGCACAUACAACUAUUUGUAACAAAAAAAUCCAUGAAAACUGGCUAAUUGGAGGAAAUGCCAUACUUAUUAUUAUAUCCAUACCUUUGAGUAUAAUGAUGCUCAGCAUGAAGCCAAUAUUUUAGUUAAAUUAACAAUGUUCGUGUCAUUUUAUUAUUAUAUAUUAUCCAUUUAGGUUGCCUCAUGAUAUGAUUUAUACACUAUUGUCCAAUAUCACCAUGUCACUUGUUAAACAGACUUAACAAAAAAAAAGUUUCAGUUUUCAAAAAAAAAUGAUUAAACACUUCACAACAAUAGAUAAUGAUGUUAAAGAUAUGUAAAUAUCUUCUAGAGAUAUUUAGGAUAUUUUCUCUGAGUUUCUAUAUGUAUUUUGAUCAUAUCUGAUUUGACUUUCUUUGAUUUCCUUAGAUAGUCCUGUAAUAGAGUUUAUAAAUAGGCUCUCAAUGUAAUCUCUUCUAUAUAUAGAAAUAUAUUGAAAAUUCCCCAUUUUUUCUCUUCGACAUUAUUAUAUUUAACUAAUGAAAUGAAAAGCAGGUGUUUCCAUAGCUACUUACAGGUGGCCCACUGACAGUCCUUAACAAAUUCUUUCCAAAAUUAUACGAAAGUCAUUAAACUUUACAAAUAAACAUUUGUAUGUGGUAAAAUGGUUUCAUGUAUUUCGUAUUAAAAAAAGUCAAAGUGCACAUGUUACAAAAUUUGAAAAAAAGAAGAAGAAAAAAAUAAAACAUUGAGUUGCAUUUGCUUUAGUUGUUUUAGAGCAAUAACCAUUUUUUCUUUAUUUUCACGUCAUUUGUUUAAUUUUCGAAAGGAAAUUAAAUGUAACUUCACGUGUCCGUAUUUGUACACUGGGAAGGAUAGGGAGGUUACAAAUCGUGCAAAAUCUGAGAUUUAAGAAAAGAAAAAUCUAAAAAGUUAAAAGAAAAAAAAAACUUGCAGAGAUGCAAGAAAAAUCUAAAAAGUUAAAAGAAAAAAAAAAAAAACUUGCAGAGAUGCCCCUUAUGGUUCCGCAAAAUUUUGCGGAGACGCCUCUCCUGGUUCUGCGACAUUUUACGGGCAGAUUCAAGCAGGAACGCCAAUGACGAUCUCCUUUAUGAGGUGAGAUGGCUUCAGUGGAUGGUCGAGCAAAGUGAUUUGUCUCUUUGGAUGAUUAAUUUGCAUCUACCGAAAUUAUCGAUACUGGAUUUAUCAUAUAGUAACAUCACAGAGAAUUGGCGAGGAUGGAGUUCAUUCACUGUAAGAUUGAAAAAAGAAGAUAUCCUUUUUGCGAUUUUAGGGUUUUGUACUUGUUUAGCCGAUCAACUCAUUCUUUGACAGCUUAUUCUUCUUCUGUAUUAGGCAUCAAAGCGACUGAAAGUUCUCAACCUUGAAUGUUGUCCUAAUUUAAGAUGUACUCCUUAUCUCUCGGCAUUCACCCAGUUGAAGAUUCUCAUCUUGAGCCAUUGUGGCGGACUGGAGCAUCUCCACCCUUCUAUCGGCAAACUCAUGAGCCUUGUUUCCUUGGAUUUGAGUUUCUGUGGAUGUCUCAAGGAGCUACCAGAGGAGGUGGGUGAAUUAAAAGAUUUAGAAGAACUUAAAUUAGAUUCUUCUGGUAUUACAAAGAUUCCUAUGUCUAUCGGUUUUUUGAGAAAGCUGGAGAAAUUGAGUGCCUUCUAUUGUGGGUCACUGAGAGAAAUCCCUAGCUCAAUUGGGUAUUUACAGAAUUUGCAACAGCUUCACUUGAGUCAUUCUGCGAUCGAAAAGCUUCCCAAUGCUAUUGGAAAGUUGAAAAAUCUGCGAACUCUAAAUCUCUCACGGUGUGAUAAUCUGAAAGGGGCAAUUCCAAGUGAAAUCAGUAACUUGCCUUUCCUCAAGUGUCACGUCCCGAUCCUCGGGCACGCACACAUCCUUCUUACUUGGUCGAUUUUAUAAUGCGAUAUCCCAGGACUAUAUAUCGCCGACCCUUUCAUUUAUUAAGCACAUGUGGAAGCAGUUAAAAUCCUCAGACAAUAAAAUAAUGGGAUAGAAAAACAGGGCAAUAUUUUUCAUAUUGAAACUUAUAACCAAACUUUUAUACAAACCACAAACUAGAGCACUUCACAACUUUUUACUUUAAACUCUAUUCACAUCAAAAUGAAAAUCUCAAAAGAAGAUAAACUCUCAGCCAUCCAGGCCGUACUCAAGGCCCUUCUCGGGAUUAUCAUCUUCUCCCAAAAAUCUUUCUCCUUAAGAUUCGCCUCCGAGUCCUCCUUCUCGAAUUCCUCCUUCUCAGCUCUUCAGCGGGGUCCUGAAAUGGUUUUCCCCAAACUGGGAUGAGACUACGUCUCAGCGAGUUCUACCCCACUAAGCCCGAUUAGGUAAACCAUUAUACUAAAGGCUGCCUAAACACGCACAGGGCAGAGGACUUACCUUGGCCUCUGAUCCCAGCUGCAAGUCAGUACAAUUCACAAUAAACAGCCAUUUNNNNNNNNNNNNNNNNNNNNNNNNNNNNNNNNNNNNNNNNNNNNNNNNNNNNNNNNNNNNNNNNNNNNNNNNNNNNNNNNNNNNNNNNNNNNNNNNNNNNNNNNNNNNNNNNNNNNNNNNNNNNNNNNNNNGGACCCACGUGCAUUCUCUAAGGCGACCUCUCGCCAAGGUGGUACAUCAAGCCACCGAGCCACGUGUCCUUUUUACGAUGCCCGGGCCCACGUGCAUUCUCUAAGGUACUCGCUUACCAAAGUGACGCAUCAGAUCACCGAGCCACGUGCCCUUUUAGAUGCCAUUCCAAAUACUAGACCCACGUGCAUUCUCUAAGGUACUCGCUUACCAAAGUGACGCAUCAGAUCACCGAGCCACGUGUCAUUUUAGAUGCCUGGGCCCAUGUGCAUUCUCUAAGGUACUCGCUUACCAAAGUGACGCAUCAGAUCACCGAGCCACGUGCCCUUUUAGAUGCCAAACUCUGUCACCGAGCCACGUGCAUUCUCCAGGACGACAUACCGAGUCUCCGAGCCACGUGCAUUCUCUCAGGCGACCUCUUCGCCAAGGUGACAUAUUCAACCACUGAACUCACGUGCAUUUUCCAGGUGACAUUCCAAUUCACCGAGCCCACGUGUCCUCUUUCAAGUGGUUACCAAUCUUCUUUCAAUACCGACAACCAAUGCCCAACGAUUUCUCAAUCAAAUAAUUAAAUCAACUCAACAAAGAAUUAUAAAUGCUGAAUAACAUACUUGGCCAAUCACCAAUCAAUAAUUCAAUCUCAAUCGAUUCCAAUCAAUUUAGGAUAAAUCCCUAAAAUAUCACAAUUUAUUCAAUUCCAUACAACGUAGAGCUCAAAUAAAUAAACGGACUACGCCACGACAAUCAGCACGAGAUUUUGGUCGUCGGCCAUCAAAAUCUUAAUUUCCGAAAAAUAAUUAAUUAAAUAAUUAAUUUCGAAAAUUAAAUAAUUAAUAUUAAAAAUUCAAUUUAGCUCAAAAUAAAGCCUGAUUAAAUAAACGGACUUCACCACGGUCAUCAGCAUAAUAUUCCGGUCCCGGGCUAUCUCAGUUGAAUUUUCGGAAAAUAAAUAAUUAUUUAAUUUAAUUCCGAAAAUUAAUAUUUAAAUACUAAAAAAAUCCACUUAGGCCCGAAAAGCCUAAUUGGAGCCCUCUAAGGGUCAGGAAAAAUCCCGAGGCACUUCCAAUAAUUAGUAGACCACGUCUACUUGCUAAUUGCACAAUCAAUUUAUCUAAAUCGCAUCACAAUUGACUAAUAAUUGCUAAUUUAUUCUAAUCUAACAACCUAAACAUAAUUAAUUAAAUCUAAACCAACCUUAAGCAUAAUUAGCUAACUAAUCAAGGAUUAGUGAGAUUACUCACCAAAUCGCGCGCAAAUCGGAUCAAUCCGACGGCGGCGACGCGAGGAACGAAACUUCCCAAAGCGAUUCACGGAUCCGGGGCCUGGAAACGGCCCAAAACGAGCCUUGAACAGUGCUGGAAACCCAUUUUUCCAGCAACUGUUCUUGGCUGGACGAAGCUCGUUCGGUGGCUAGGGCGGCGAGGGGAGGCCGGCGGAGGACGAGGGGGACGCGGGGGAGGUCCGGCGGGGCUGGGCGGUGGCCGGAGGUGGCCGGACGGGGGUUGGUCAGGGCGAAACCGAGUUGAACAGAGGCUGGUUCGCUCGGGGAGGUCGCCUGGUGCGAGGGAACGGAGCUGGCGGUGCACGGCGGCGAGCGGCAGGCGCGCGGGCGGUUCGGCUCCAGUGCGGCGGCGAUGGGCGACGGGCUGCUGUCUCGGCUUCUUCCACCUCUAGUUCUGCUUGCCCGAAGAAGAAAGAUGAAAAAGGGGGUUCGGUCACGAAGGGGAGAAGAGAGAAGAGAGAGGAGAGAGAGAGAAGGGAUAAGGGGGUUUGACUGGUCAAAAAGAAAAAAAGGAGAGAGUAGGCGUGGGGAAGGGGUGUCCGCACGAAGGGGAGGGGAGAGGAGAGAGAAGAGAGAGAGAGGAAAGAGAGAAGAGGGAGAGAGAGAGAAAAAGAAUUAAAAUAAUAACAUUAUUCUUAUUUUUCUUUUUCUCUUUCCGAUUUUCUUUUCUAUUUUCUUUUGGUCUUCUAUUUUUCCUCCGAUAAUUUCUUUCUUGAAAUUUCGGACUUGGCAAUAAAUUGAUGGACGAUGAGACGGUCCUAAAAAUGAAUUGUGACACGCCCAAAUAUUCGAUUCCCAAAACCGAAUUAAAUUUCAUGAUUAAAAUCGACCAGACGCGAUUCUAGUCCAAUCCAACAAAUUAGGUAGCUUUUAGGGAUUUUACCACGGUUAUAUCCCUUAACGGCUUCACCCAAUUGGUUAGCUAACUCGUGAGUGAUCAGCUCAGAGAAAAAGGACCAUAGGCACGUCGACGAAAUGCACAUUUCAUUUUAUCGAAAUAUGGUCGAAUUUCAGGAAGUCACAUCAAGAUUCUCAUUAUUGAUUUCACACCGAUAUCUGACUUGCCGGAAAGCAUCCAGAAUCUUUCUUCUCUCCAACACCUUGACCUAUCGGGCUGUGAUGAGCUCCGGUCGCUGCCAGAGCUUCCUUCGGGCUUAACAUAUCUGUCAAAGCCCCCAAUUGUAAGAACUCCAUCUUCAGGUAUGCCAUCUACUUGAACACAUCCCAAGCUUUCCUCAAGACCCUUGAAACUCUGUGUUGAGGAGUGUGAUGAGCUGAUAUUGCUUAGGCUCAACAGAUUCAUGUACUUGGAAGAGCUUUCAAUAGAAAGGUGUAGUUCCAUCGAAAGAUUGGACAUUUGUCGAUUGAUUCGUCUGAGCAUUGCGAUAGCCUAGUUGAAAUUCAAGGCCAUGAUAAUUUGGCGUUCUGGGAGGUCAUGUUCAUAUAUGAUUUGAUAAGCUCAAUUUUCAUGUAUGCGGCACUGGAUUUGUGAAGUUGAAAUUGACCUCCUUGCAAAUUAUCCUAUAUUACUGAUUUUGCUAAUUGGAUCUUGCAAAUUAACCGGUGGCAAAUACAUCUUAUUGUCCUAUAGUUUAGGCACUUCACCUUUUCAGCAUAAUUUUUUAACUUCAAUUAUGUUCCUAGACACACACAGGGAAAGUGUUGCUAAAUUGCUUACUUCUUUUAGACCUGUUGGUUUCUUUUUCAUCGGCCAACUAAUGAAGUAUUUGUUCAUUGUGGUCCAACUCCAAUUGGUGUCAAUGUUUAUGCAAUUUUACCUUAUCUAUCAUGGGGUAAAUUCUGAUGCUACGAUCUUGGAUAUCUUCAUUUAUUGAUAAUUAGUCAGUGCUAUCUUCCUUGUGCAGAUUCAGAUUAAAGUUGCAUUUGAUGAAACUUGAUGAAACUUGAAGAAACUCCCAAAACACCACGGGUUGGAGAUAUAGGUAAGAAUGAGCUAUGUCGGUAUGGAAAGGCAUUCCGAAGUCAUUUGCGAUUGGCGUUUAUCAUUUGCUCCAUGUUGUUAAGAAGGAUUCUUGAUAAAGGCGAUCUCUACUCAUGUGGUGUAGUAGUCCGUUGCAAGCUUUGAAAUUGUGCUAUUCUUUAGCAAAGGCUGCAUCACAAAUCUCUUGGAGGAAGACCGCAUGUGCAGGUGGUUUUAUAUGUGAAGUCAAGCAUAAAAUAAGAUUUGUUAACAGGAUUACCAUUUAGAUUUCCACCUCAAGCUACAGUUUUGUGACCGGGAAAGACCUUUUUGUGGAAAAAGCAAAUAAUCUGUCAAUUGCACCCAGUUUCAAUGAAAAGGUUUCCAAGAAGACUGUAGUUUCUCAUUUGGAAAAAUUUUGAACACAAAAUAAAGGCCAUCAUUAGUGUAAAAUCAUCUCUUGUAUGGUUACGUUUGAAAAUUCAUAUGCAGGCUUUUUGCAAUCACUUUGGUUUUAUAACCUAAAACUUGAUUUAUUUAAGCAUGAAUUAAAAAGCAGAAGAGACACAGCCAUGUGCAUUUUCAUACCUAAAACCAAGUAGAGUGCUCUCUCUCUCUCUCUCUCUCUCUCUCUCUCUCUCUCUCAGAUCAAGCAAGCACUGGGGUCUAGAGUGAAGUAUUUGGUUGUUUUAUGCAAUUCUCGAUCAAAUAAGCAUGAAUUAAAAAGCAGAAGAGACACAGCCAUGUACAUUUUCAUACCUAAAACCAAGUAGAGUGCUCUCUCUCUCUCUCUCUCUCUCUCUCUCUCUCUCUCUCUCUCUCUCUCUCUCUCACAGAUCAAGCAAGCGCUGGGGUCUAGAGUGAAGUAUUUGAUUGUUUUAUGCAAUUCUCGAUCAAAGGUUUGUCUGAGUCUCUAGUGUGUAUGGAGUUUAUGUGGGGUCUAUUUCUUGAAGGAGAAUCUGUGCAGAAAAAAUAGUUAUUCUAUUCUUCUUCCGAGUUCUUCUCGCAAUAAACGCUAGUAGCAUUGAUUAUUUGACGUCGUCUUGAUUUUGAGGUUCUUCUUUGAAUGUGGUGUUAAAUGACAAAGAAUGAAUCGGUAGUUCAAGUGAAAAUUGUUGUUUAAGUUGUUUGGACAAGGACGAAGGCAAUUGGUAGAAGCUAUAAGAUUUAUUGAAUGAAUGUGUUUAUUGCAGAAAAGAGGAGAAGAAAGCAAAGAAGAUCAUAUCAAAGCCAAGAUGGGAGAAGGUGCAUCUCAGCGUUCGGCUGGAUCACCAAGUUGAAAUUGGAGAGAGUGGCAAUCUUAGGAUCCACAAGAAAUUUGAUCGUGGAAGAAGAAUGUGGCAAUGGACUAGGACAAGAGCAGAUGGAUAUGUGAGUUAGAACUGAAAGGAGGUGAAUCUAUCGAAUUAGAAGUACUAAUAUAAGAUUUUGCUGAUAUUACUGAUAUUCCCACACCUGUCGGUUCUUUGAGGAAACUCGAGAAACCGAGUGCCAGCUAUUGUGAGUCACUUAGAGACAUCGCUAGCUCAACUUGGGACUUACGAAAUUUGCAACAUAUGGACAUUAGUGGUUCUGGCAUUGAAAAGCAUCCUAGUGCUAUAGGAAGGUUUAAAAAUCUGUGCACUAUAAGUCUCCUAUCAUGCUGUAAUCUGAAAGAGCAAUUCCAAGUGAAAUUGGUGACUUGUCUUCGCUUGAGAUUCUCUAUGUUACUUGAGGAAGUUUUGAUGCUUGUGAGGAUCCAAAAAACUUUAUCUGGUCUUGACAGCACAUACUUGAAUGAUUUUGAUGUUGUAUUUUGAGUUGAGUCUGCUUUUUGUAUGCUCACGAGGUUCAACCUCUCUGUUAAUCAAAUACAUAGAUACUGAUAUUUUUUUUUAUGUCACUCUGAUGCAUAUGUCUUUGAUGUUGUUGCAUUCUAAUGUUAUCACUUCUGAACUCAAAAAGGCUUUGCAGAGGGAGGUAUGCACUACUAGUCAUGCCAUAAAAUUAAAAAAAUAACCUGUGUGCUUAUACUAUAUGAGCUGUGGGAUUGCACCUGAAAAUCAAUAUGCACGUAUUCAUGAGGACGAUCUCCUUCAUUUCUAUCAGUUUAUCAAUGUGAUACUAUCCUUUGAAUGUUGUCAUAUAGGUUUCUGAUUUUAGUAAUUUGCUAAGCUCAAUUCUCAUGCAACGUCAACUUUGUAAAGUAGAAAUUCACCUUCUAGCCAAAUAUCUUGUAUUGCUGAUUUUGCUAACGGGGCUAACGGGAUAUUGCAAAAUAACCAAGACAUAAAUUCAUCUUUCUGUUCUGUAGUUUAAGCACUUUGCCUUCCAGCAUAUUUUUGUUGACAUCAAUUGUGUUCUUAAACACAAACAAGAGUAGUGUUGCUAGUUGCUACUUCUCCCAAACCUGUUGUUUUCUUUUUCAUGGGCCAGCUCAUGAAGUCUCUGUUCAUUGCGGUCCAAUUGCAAUUGGUGCAAUGAUGCUUGUGCAUUUGUACCUUAUCUCUCAUAAUGUAAAUUGUGAUGCUCCGAUCUCAAUUAUCUCCAUUUAUUGAUAAUUAGUAAAUCAUAUCCUUCUUGUGUCGAUUCAAGCUGCAUUUCAUAAAAUUCAGAGAACAUUCCCAAACAUCACUGGACGAAGAUGUGGACCGGAAUGAGAUAGGUCAUGAGACGUUAAGGAAAGGCAUUCCAAAGUUCUUUGCAAAAGGUGCUUAUAACGUGCUCCAUGCUGAUCAUCUUGAUAGGGUUUUUGAUAUAAAGGGACCUCUUCUAAUGUGGUGCAGUAGUCCUUUGCAAGCUUUGAUAUCAUGCUAUUAUUUAGCAAAGGUUGAAUUUCAAAAUGCUUGCAGGAAUGCUGCAUGUGCAGGUGGUUCUAGAUAUGAAGUUAAGCAUAAAAUCAUGUUUGUCAACAAGAUUACUGUUUAGAUGUCCACUUCAAGCUACAAUUUUGUGAAUGCGAGAGACUUCUUUCAUGGAAAAAGCGAAUGUCAUGGAAUCAGUAAAUAAUCUGUCAACUGCAAGCUAGAUUUUCAGUAAAAAGCUUCCCGAAAGAUAGUAGUUUUUCAUUCAGAAGAAUUUUGAGCACAAAAAAAAAGUGUUCGUUAGUGUACAAUCAGCUCUAGUUUUUCAUUUAGAAGAAUUUUGAGCACAAAAUAAAAGUGUCCGUUAGUGUACAAUCAGCUCUUGGAUCUCAAACUUGAUUCCUUUUGAGCAUGAGUCUAUAAAGCAGAGUGGACACAGCCAUUCAUUUUCAUACUUGAAACCAAAUUUUCUUUGGCGUUGGCUACAGUUUAAGACUGAUUAAAAAAAAUGUUAAGAAAAAUCUUUGGAAGGGUGAAAGAAGCCCCUCCCAAAAUUUAUACUUAUUUGGUUUGGACCAAACCAUUGAAUGGUCGUCUACUUGGUUAGUACUUGGACUCUACUUCCAAAUUGUAGUAGUUGGUCAUGCAUUCAAGUUUCAAUCGAACCAAUUUUUUUGGGGCUAGUACUCUCAGAUGUUCCUCUUCAUCGUACUACAUUACAUUGGUGGAACUUUAGUAGUUAAAAGAUACUCACAAGAUAAUCAUAUAUUCCGAUUCAGUCAUUGUCUACUAGAACUUUAACUCAAUACUUUCCGGAGCUUGAGACAAGGCCAAGUAACUUGUUAAGCCAAGUUUGAAUCUUUAAGCACUAAAUCAUACAUAAUGCGGGCCGCACGAACGAGUCAAAACAUUAGUUAAAUAUAUUAAACACAAAAUAAUCUAAUUUUGAGCAUAUUAAUUAUAUAUAACACGAGAAAAGUCGCAAGUAAAGUCAAUCUAUUGAUUAUAUAAUUUAUAACAUAGCUACUCAAUAACACAAGAAUGAUAGUAUGCCAUUUCUUUUUAUAGCAUACAAUCUAGACCUCUACAGUAUGCCAUUUCUUGACGGGCUACUAAUCCAGCAUGAUAGUACAAUGUCUUUAUACAUCACUUCUUAUUCAAGUAUUUUGCGACAUCAACGCAUUCACUCUUUGCAAGGCAAUAUACUAUGCCACAAAAAUUAGCAAAAUAAUUCUUUAGCAGCUCUCCAAGCUGCUUCAGUGGUUCCUCGGUCUUAGCUAUGACCUCAUAUUUUAGACUUAGUGUGACAUCCAGAAUUUUCAGUAUUGUUUUCUAUUAAAUUAAUUGGGCAUUUCAUUGACGGGUCUAUAGGGUUGUUCUCAGAGCUGAUCACUCUCGAGAUAACUAGACUAGCUGGGUAAGCCAUUAAAGAAUAUUAAGGCAAUAGACUUGAGAAUUCGACCAGGAAGCGGCUUCUCGACCGUGUUCAUUUUUAGAGGUCAUUACUGCACAGUAAAGAUCGAAUUGAGAUCAGAGAUAGGUCGGUUCGACUGAGAUGUGUGGCCGAUCGUGGGUGACUCCACUAAAUUGGAAAAUUCUCGUCGACCGGCACUAAUUUGAUUUUCUGUCGUUUUGGUACCCUGUGUUGGUAGUCGAGCCCUCGAGAUUUUCACGACAAUUGAGAGUCGCCAAUGUGUCGAGUGGGUUCAUUGUGGCUCGAAGAAAAUCGACCACGAGUCAAUUGCCCUAAAAAGUUCUGAAAACUACCCGGUAGUCUAGGUCACACUAAAAGCACGCCGGAGUGAAAUUAACCGUCGAUUUGAGUCAGAUUUCAGAAAUCGAAAGUUCAGUGAUGUCACAAGCUAUUUUUGGAGCAUCGACUCAGUCUUAGAAGAUUUUCGGAGAUUCAGGAAUUUUUACAGAAAACCGUUUCGGACGUCGCGGAAGUUUGGCCGAAGUUCAGAUUGGCUAAAAUAAUGGGAAAUUUGACUUUCGGGUUGAGCUUGUGUGUGUCGGAGAUUUAUAGAAGCCAAAUGAAGAUGGAUUGAAAUUAUUCAAGUAUCCAAUUGAGAGGAGAUGAUCCCAAAUUCGUAACCCCCCAUAAGCCUAGCUAAUUUGAACCAAUUGGAAGGUCAUGGAGACUGUCUUGGUGGCUCAUUGGAGGCCAUGAGUUAUACUUGGCCUAGGAUAAAUCUUAGAGAGCAAGAUUGGAAAAUAUCAAGCCUUGGUGGAGCCCUCCACUCUCUCUUAUCCUCAAGACCAUGCGUGACCAGCAAAAAGGGAGGUAGAACCAGCAAAGCUUCCUCCGCGUGUCUUCCUCAACUCCACUUCUCUGCCCCGUAAACGACUGCAACCCAGCGUCCACCGAAGCCAUCUACCGAGCUUUCUUCAUGUCAGCUGCGAGAUCUUCAAUUUAAAUUGCUCCUCGCCACUUGUCCAUGUCCAGUGGAUCUUCAGUCAAUAGCAGCCGAGUUUCUCCCAUUCGGUUGACCCUACAACGCCAGCGAAGAUCCCUGCAGCAGCUUCACCGAGUCCAACAUCUUCAGUCUUCCCCUGUGGCGUGCCCUCAGCUCGACGCCAGCCCGCCAGUCAACUCCAACGCCCUCAGAAGACCACCGAUUCAACCAAGUCCUCGCCCACGCAGAUCCAGCAACCGAAGCUGCUCCCCAUCUCUGCCAUGUUUCGGUCGAUUUCACUGGUCAAAGUCCAGCUGAAAACCAUUGAAGAUUGAUCGAGGAAAUCCCCCACCGAGCGAAGCCCUGCCACGAAGCAAAUCCAAUUUCCUCUCCAUCUUCAGCGCCCGAAGUUCCUCACGUGGCCAGCUCCACCUUCGUUUAUUCACAAAUCAAUUCACCGAAGGCAGCAUCGAUCGGUCAAUUGACCGCAUACUCCCACGACCAGCUGCACGCGUGCCCUCAGCCCAAACCGAAGCUUCAGCCCAGCAAGUUGAUUGUUUUCACAAGUCAGCCCAGUCUUUGAAGUCCUGCGGCCCAAGAAGCCCAGCAAGUGCUAUUUCAGUCAAGCUUGGCCCAUUUCAGUAACAAAUCUCAGUUGGGCUGAGAUUUGUUGGGCCAAGGUCAAGGCCCGGGCCCAAGCCCGCCGGUGUUGUCGAAAGUCCGAUUUCGGCCGCCGUCGCGUCGCCGUUGCGGUGAUUCGGUCUCCGCUUUUGUCAAGUGAGUUUUACUCACUAAAGCUUUCUUAGUUUGCUAAAUAUGCUUAGGGGUUGGUUAGAUUUAAUUAAAUGCAAUUAGGUGGUUAGAUUAGUUUAGAUCAAUUAAAUUAGAGACUUAAUGAUGCAUGUUAGGUGGUUAGAAAUAGACAUUAGCAAGUAGACAUGCCCUGUUAUUUAUGGAGCGAAUCUCGGUAAUUUUCCGGGCUUGUCUCGGAAUCCAAUUCGGCAUUAUAAGCCUAAAUUGGAUUUUUAUAAUUAUUUAUUUAAUUUUCGAAAUUAAUUAUUUAAUUAUUUAUUUUUCCGGAAAUUCAACCGGGAUGGCCGGUGACCGGAAUUUCGUGCUGAUUGUCGUGGUGCAGUCCGUUUAUUUAUUUGAGCUUUAUUUGGUGCUAAAGUAAUUUAUGAGUGAAUUUAAGAUUUAUUCCUAAAUUGAAUCUGGAGAGGGUGGGGUGGGACCGUAAAGCCACUAGUUCUUGAGAGGGUCGGGUGGGACCGUAAAGCCACUAGUUCUUGAGAGGUUCCGAUUGAUACGAAAUCGACUAGGUCGAUUCGAUCGAUGCUUCGAUCGGUGAUGUGAUUGUUUGAAUGCCUAUUGAACUGUACUAAUAUGCAGAUGGAAUCUGAGGCCAAGGUAAGUCCUCCAACUCGUGCCGUGUUUAGGCAGCCUAUAGUGUAUUGGCUUUCUAAUCGAGUCUUAGGGGGUAGGACUCGCUGAGACGUGGUCUCAUUGGUUAUUGAAUAACCAUUUCAGGACCCUGAGGAGAAGCUAAGGAAGGGGAACCUGAAGGGGAGAAAGUAUUUUGAAGUAGAAGAUGAUCCAGAGAGGGAUCUUGAAUAUAACCCGGAUGUGGAUUGAGAUCCCAUCCCUUUUGUGAACCCUGUCUUGGUAUAGAUAGGUGUGAGACUUUUAUGCUGUAAAUAGUAUUGUAAAUAUACUAUGAGUUGUGCUGUUAAUGAAAGUGUGGUUGUGAAUUUCAAUAUGAAAAAUAUGGCCUGCUUUCCUAUCCCAUUGUUUUAUUGUCUGGGGAUUUAUAACUGCUUCCGCAUGUGCUUAAUAAAAAAAAAGGGUCGGCGAUACAUAGUUCUGGGAUAUCGCAUUAUAAAAUCGACCAAGUAGAAGGAUGUGCGUGCGUCCGAGGAUCGGGGCGUGACACUUAGUCUGUCAAAGCUUGUCUCAAGAACAAGAGCAUGGGGAAUCCCAAAAGAUUUUAGGAUAUCUUACAAUGGAUGGAUAAUUCAAUCAGAAUGAACAGAUUAUUUCAACAUAAUAAGGAGAUUAAUAUAUAAGUUUAGUACCUUGCGAAUUGAGUGAGUGGCAGUUUCAGCUAAGGCCAUCACUAGGUCAUAUGCAAAGUUAGGCUUGAGACAUACCGGUCCAUAAUCUGGAUGAGAAUCGUGUCCCCAUAGACUACAUUAAUGACAACCACAAAGUGACAAUCAAUGAGCUUUCAACGUUAAUCAGUCACAAGUACAAGAAAAGCUCAAAUCAGCAGUCUGUUCCUUUCAAGAGAUCAAACUGACAAAGCAAAUCUAGUUAAGACCUUGUAAGAAACACAAUCAAUGAUCACAUGGUUGAACCUUUGCUUUCGCAAAUUGUUAACAUAAAGUAUAAGCGUUAAUGAAAUAAAUAGGGAUACGAGAACCAGCUUAAGAGACUGAGUAUCCUCCCGAAUAUAGAGAGGUGAUUGGAUCCUUAUCCAAGCUUAUGCCGGAUCCAAUUACUCUAGGAAGUAAUUUCCAUUGGAGCUUAUUUAAGUUGUGUCCUCUUUACUCAAUAUAAUGAAUGAUGUGCCACUGAGUGUUCCAAAAUGACAAAACCUAAAUCUUUUCAUCAAACAAGGAACACUGCAUUCUGUUAUAUUAGAACUUCACAUGGUUCUAGGCUUCGGAAGGUCUAGUGUAACACUAACAAUUUUAUUUAGGCUAGAAACCCAGAAAAUGCAGAAAAGUUUGGAAAAAUAGUUCAAGUCAGCAUAUAUAAAAGUCAACUUGCUUAUAUUUAUCAGGAACAAGAACAACAGUUUUGCAGUGGCAACAUCACAAAUAAUUAUUCCUUUUGAAGUAGCUCUAGCAUGACCUUUCUUCAUGUACAAGGCAUGCUAAAUAUUACGCAUACCUCACGCAAUGUGCCUCAUCAAUAACAAAACCAGCUAGUUGUGCCUGCAAUGCAUGAUGGUCGAAUAUAAUACAUUUACAAAGGAACCUUUUAGAAAAAAAGUAAUGAUGCAUCAGAAACAAUCCCUUUCUAUGCAAGCAUUUCAAUAUCUCAAGAAAUGAUGGGUUUCCCACAAUCCUUUCAAUAGUUACAUACAAUAGCUUGCAUGAUGGUUUAACUUUUCUGAAAAGGCAGGCAAAGCAGAAGUGGAGAUAUAUAAUUUAACAAUCACAAUACUCAGCAUAAAUCACAAGCCUUCGUUUAUGCAAAACAUUCCUAUCAAAGACGCCUGAUUGCUAAUCCACACUUUGACAAUCUGCUGUACUCAAAGUAUUUGAGAAAUAUAGGUAUUUGUACAUCAUCCAAAACUUAUGUCAACUUCUCUAUUGACCAAAGAGUUCUAAUAUGUCAUUUUGGAUCUUGAAGAGUGUGGAAGAAAUUGGCAAAAGUUAAGAUUGUCUAUUGGACAUUUGAUUAGAUGAGAAGCUGCAUAAGCAAUUUAUUAAAUGCUUUUGGACAUGUACAUUGUGUACAUCCUUUGUUGUGUGCAGAAUCACAAGCAAAUUGAAACCGACCAAGCAGAGAAUAAAUUAUAUGAGAACACAACUGUGACACAGUGAUUUAAGUGGUUUGGCAAGUAUUGGCUAUGUCCAUGGUUGAACCAUACCAUGGACUCUAAAGAUUGUCUGGCCAGAAGUUGAGUGGAAAAAUAGUUGGUACCUUAUCUCUUCUUGCCCUCCCUGAUUCUUGGUAAUAACUUUCGAUUGACUUGGACAUUGUGUUGCGGUUGACAAAAUGCUGACCGCAUGCCAUAAAAUAUAAUUACUAAACCAAUAAAAAAAGUAGAAAUAUGACAAAAACAUUAUAACUAAAGGUCAAGUUAGAUUAGAGUCAUUUGCCACUUUUACUGUAAAGAAAAGAACUUUAUCCUAGUUGAACUUAAUUUCAGCACACCAAAGUUCCAUGCUUGGAAGAAAGAAUUCGGCUAGAAAAAUAGCCAAGAAUGACAAUUUAGCAGGCCACUGGACCAUGGAACUAGCAAAGUUUACUUUAAAGCACACUAAGAAACCAAUUAGUGAUACUUAAACAUUUGAAGAAAAGUGGAUUAAUCGAGUAUUUGCCAGCAUGUCAGUUCGGUUCUAAAACUAAAAAUAGACAAAGGUGCAAAGUCUAUUUCAGCUUACAACAUUCGGUUUGUCUAUUCCCAUGCCAAAAACAAUGGUAGCACAUACAACCUGGAUCUCUCAAGUGUGCCAUUUCUUUUGAACAGCUACUCUUUGACGGGCUGCUAAUCCAGCAUGAUAGUACACCAUCCUUAUACCGCACUUAUCAUUCAAGUAUUUUGCAACAUCACAUUUACUAUUUGAGAGGCAAUAUACCAUGCCAAAAAAAUUAGCAAAAUGAUUCUUUAACAACUCUCCAAGCUGCUUAGGUAUGACCUCAUACAUUAGAUUUGGUCUGUCAAAUCUGUCUCAAGAACAAGAGCAAGGGGGAUCCAGAGAGCUUUCAGGAUUUCAAUCGGUCCCAAAUGAUUAUUUCAAUAAAAUCUGGAGUUUAAUGUGCAAGUUUCGUUCCUCACAAACUUGCUGAGUGGCAGUUAAGGCCAUCAUUGGGACGUAUGGAAAUUUUUGCUUGAGACAUCCCAGUCCUCUAUAAUUUGGACAAAAAUCAUGUCCCUGUGGACUGCAAUAAUGACAACAAAGAAAGUAAUGAUCAAUAAGCCUUACCCGUUUACAAUCAUUCAAAUAUACAAGAAAAGCUUAAACCAGCAGUAUGUUCCUUUCAUGAGAUUGCGCUGGCGGCACAAAUCCAGUAAGGACCUCAUAAGAAACACAACCAACGAUCCAAUGGGCAAAGUUUUGCCUUAUAUCUCAAGUUGUUAAUAUCAAGCCAAACAUGGACACUUCCAAUCACUUCCGAAAGUAAUUUCCAUUGGAGCUCAUUUUAGUUGUGUGCAUUUUGCUUUGUUUGAUUAACGAUGUGCUGCUGACUUUUUCCCAAAAGAAGGAACUAGGUCAUUUCCAUAAUUAGUUAUUUCAAUAUUGCAUUAUGUUAUACUAGAUCGUCACAGAAGGUCGGGGUUUCAAAAGGUUCAGUGUAACACCAACAAUGUACUUAGGCUAGAAACAUAUAAAAUGCAAAAACGUUCAAAAAAGAGAGUUUGAGUGAGCAUAUAUAAAAGUUAACUUGCUUUUCUUUAUCUAGGACAAGGAGAGUUGUUUUGUAGUGGCAACAUCAUAAACACAUAUUCCUUUUGAAGUAACUCUAGCAUGAACUUUGCUUCAUGCCAAAGAGCAUACCUCAUACAAUGUGCCUCAUCAACAACAAAACCAGCUAGUUGUGCCUGCAAUGCACAACAAUCGAGUAUCAAAAAGUUAAAAAGAAACUUUCAAAAAAGUUAUAGUUUAUCAAAAAUAGUACCUUUCUACGCAAGCAUUUCAAUAUCUCGAGAAAUGAUGGGUUUCCCACAAUCCUUUCAGGAGUUACAUACAAUAGCUUGCAAGAUGGAUUUUCCUGAAAAGGCAAGCGAAAAAGUGGAGAUUAAUGACUUGAUAAUCACAACACUCAGCAAAAUAAAUAAAUAAAUAAAUAAAUAAUUAGAAGUCCGAUAGAAACCCUAUAGCAACAAUUAUAGCCCAACAUUUUAUGGAAAAAUGAUGAUUGUAUGGUAUGAUGUACUUCUCUAGGAACACUAAGAUCCUAAAAUUUAUUUUUAAGGCAAACAUCUUAGGCAUGAAUCUUCUCAUUAACUACAUGAAAAAUGUGCAUUCAUUGCAACAUAUGGAGCAUAGCAUUUAUGGCAGGAUAAAGAUCGUAUGGUAAGAUAUACUUCUCUAGGAACACAGAGAGAGAGAGAGAGAGAGAGAGAGAGAGAGAGAGAGAGAGAUCGUAUGGCAAAAUAAUGAUUGUAUGGUAUGAUAUACUUCUCUAGGAACACUAAGAUCCUAAUAUUUAUUUUUAAGGCAAACAUCUUGGGCAUUAAUCUUUUCAUUAACUACAUAAAAGAUGUGCAUUCAUUGCAACAUAUGGAGCAUAGCCAUUUUAUGGCGGGAUAAAGAUCGUAUGGUAAGAUAUACUUCUCAUAAGGAACACAUAGAGAGAGAGAGAGAGAGAGAGAGAGAGAGAGAGAGAGAGAGAUGGAGCAUAGCCAUUUUAUGGCGGGAUAAAGAUCGUAUGGUAAGAUAUACUUCUCAUAAGGAACACAUAGAGAGAGAGAGAGAGAGAGAGAGAGAGAGAGAGAGAGAGAGAGAGAGAGAGAGAGAGAGAGAGAGAGAGAGAGAGAGAGAGAGAGAGAGAGAGGGGAGGGAGAGACAGAGAGAGAGAGAGAGAGAGAGAGAGGGGAGGGAGAGAGAGCUAAACCUUACCUAAGAUCUUGGAGGACAGCCGAUGCUUGGGCAGCAGUUUGCUGAGACUUCAAGAAAGUAGAUAGUAUUCCACACUUGAGGGCUAGAGUAAUUAUUUGAUCCUGGAUGAUUGAUAGAAGGGGACAUAUAAUGACUGACACUUGGUUUAAGAGUUGCUGGCAGCUGAAACGAAGGGUAAAAACAUCAGAAGAACACUUGAAGAAAAGGUGGGAUGAGGGAAUUAUCCUUUCAUUCACCUUCAGCUGAUCAGAAAGCACUGGUUGUUACUAUUUGUAUUAUAUUUACUUCAACUAGAAACAUAUAUCAACUAUUUCAAGACUGAAUAGAAAACACUUUAGGAUAACUCAACUUAAUAAAUUCAGAAUAAUAACUUCCUUUGAGAUUCAGUAGACCAAAUAUUCGCAUGCUACCAAGAUCCAUUAUAUGAUCACCCUAGUAGAGAUGAUGACAUAGCACAUACCUGCAGGAGAUAUAGACAUCUACAAUCUGUAUUUGGUGCAAGUAAUUUGAAAACUUACUCCUCUUUGACUUAAUAACCCUUUUGAAUUGGACCUAAACUAUGACUGACAACAACACUUACAUGCAAAAACAAGAUAAAUUUUCCAAUAAGUAAUUAGAAGGUCCUAGAAGCAUAGCACAAACCUCGAAUUCUAGAAAUCACAGAAUAGAUAGAACUGUGCGAAGGCAGAACAAGAAUGUCCUGCAUAAUAUUCUUUUCCUACUUAGUCAGAUCCUGUACAUUGGAACCCAUGGUUCUGUAGUUGAAUCACUUCUUAUAGCUUAAUUUGCAUUUGGAAAACAUUUGUAUCCUUAAGUUUGAGCACAAACUUUGUAACAGUGCCAACAAAGCAAAUUCUAAGAUCAUUUUAAAGCUUAAAUUUCAAUAUACAAGUCUGUCCAUCUAGUAUUUAAACAAUGGAACCAUUAAGCAAAGUGCACAGGGCUUGUGCUCUAAACAUUGUCUCCACUUUCUUCUACUUACAAUCAUCACGUUGUGACAAUUUUAACAUUCACUAAACUGGCAACAUAAACUUUUACCACCUCCAAUGGGCAUGAGAAUGAAGCAAUCUUGCUUGGCUAUAGAAGCUUUACAUGCCUGAUGCCGCAUUGGUCAAAAUGCCUUGUUUCUGAGACAAUGUUUGCCGAUUUUAUUUGAAACUAACGAUAUUGAACAUUGAGUGACAGUGCUCUUACAGUCCUUCAACAGAAUUAAGCUUCUUUAGCACCGUAAUAGUUUCUGACAUGGAUUGUCAUGGAAAAUGAAAAAUGUGCACAAAGAUCACGAGCCUUCAUUUAUGCAACACAUUCCUAUCAAAGACGAUGGAUCGCUAAGUUCCACACUUUGAUGAUCUGCUAUAUUCUCAAAGUAUUUUGAGAAAAUUGUUACUCAUACAUCAUCCAAAACUAAAGUCAACUUCUAUAUCGACCGAAGAGGUCCAAUAUGUCAUUUUGGAUCUUGAAGAUUGUGGAAGUAAGUGGCAAAAGUUAUAACUGUCUAUUGGACAUUUCAUUGGAUGAGAGGCCCCAUAAGCAAUUUACUAAAUGCUUUUGUACAUGUACAUCAUGUAGGUCCUUUGCUGUGUGCAAAAUCACAAGCAAAAUGCAAAUGAUCAAGCAAAGAAUAAAUUAUACGAGAACAUAAUAGUGACACAGUGAUUUAAGUGGUUUGGCAUGUCAUGGCUAUGUCCAUGGUUGAAGCAUACUAUGGAUUCUAAAGAUCGUCUGGCCAGAAGUCGAGUGGAAGAAUCGCUCAAAGUACUGCUUUAGUCAAGAACAUAGCAUGUAGAUUUCCUGCCCAUUUUACUGCCAAAUAUCUUGCCUUCGUCAUCACUAUCAGUAGAGGAAUCCUCACCUCAAGAAAAGUUUGGUUUUUCUUAGGUUGUGGAGAAUCUUCUAUAACAUGGACAUCGUGUAUAACUUUGCAUUCAUCGUCAUAACGGAUAUCUUGGCCAAACAUAUUGGUCAAAAUUCCACAAGCUUCUGAUUCUGCAGCUUGCAAAUCAUCCCAAUCCUAAGAAUCUUGCAUGGUUUCGGCAAGUUCUGCUAGGAAGUUAUCGUCACAGUGCUCCACAGUGAUAAACUCUCGACCUUAGUCCAUCUUAAGAAAACCAAAAGAAGAAAGAGAUGGCUUUGCAAGUUCCAUGUCAAGCGAGAGAUCAAAUAAAUACAAUCUUCAGUACGUAAUUUGCACUUAGUUCAGUGAGACGAUAUUAGUAAUAUUGCAAGACACCAUAAGCAAUUCGCAGUGAGUUUAGAAAUAAGCCAUAUAGUUCACUAGUCAACAGGACUACUCCACCAAACCCACAAAGAAACAAGGAUGGGAUUAACACUCAAUGAACUAAAUUUAACCAGCUCCGGUCCAUUCCAAUCCAAAGUAGACUAUUCCAUAGCCAUCAUCAAAAUCAUGACUAGCUGCGAUAAAUGUCCUUAUUAGCAAUGCACAAUCAACCAAUUCACAAAUUAUCCACUCAACACAAGCAAUCAUGUCAUUCUCUAAUGACUAGAUAUUGUGCAAUUUGGUCAAUAAACAAGGAAAAACCAUCACCUAAAGUAACCUAAAACAUCAAACUAGAACGGUGCCAGACUUUUUGCCCAUCAGUAAAACUACUUCACGGAACCCGCUCCAGUCCAUUCAAACCUAGAGGAGACUAUUCCACAGCCAUCAUCGUCGUGGUGGACGAGAAAUACCUACACAACCUCUGCAAACACUAAUCAGCAAAAAAAAAAAAAAGGCGGGUGAUAAAGUAACGAUUCGAGUUACCGUAGAGGGAAACAAGACAGUUCAAGCACUUGCUGGCAGACUCCUCAUUGAAGCCGAACUUGAGAGCCAAUCUCAGCAACCCCGAGCUUUCCAUUGAGUCUCAACCUGUUCGACGCGAUUUGAUCGAUCGAUGAUGCAACAGUAGGAAUGGAAAAUCGAUCCGUAGUCUCUCUCUCUCUCUCUCUCUCUCUCUCUCACUCUGCCUUUUUUACCUGCUGGAGUGAAGAGGCUGGAGCCAUUUUUUCUUUUUCAUUCUUUCAAAAAUUCCGUUUUUGCACCUGAAUUUUGUUGGAAGCUCUAUUUUUGCCCCCUCAUAAGUUUUCUUGGUUUCAUUUGACACCCUUGGGUUGGGUCUGAGUAAAUAUUAGAAGAAGAGCAAGUAUUUCACGUGAGAGUUACAAGUAUACCGUCACGUGAUACAUCAAGCCAAGCGUUAUUUAACAAAGUGGCUAUAGGUUACAAUUAGCAGUGAGAUUGUCCAAUUAGUCCUGAAACUAUAUAUACGUAUAUCAAUUUGGUUAUAAACUUAUCAAUUCUACCAAAUAAAUCCAAAAUAUUUGCUAAAAAAAAUAUAAUAUAAUCAUUAUGGCAAAUUUUUGCUAAACAUUGCUGACAUUGUAGUGUGCCGCAUAAGACGACAAACAAUAAUUGGACUCCUGCGUCAACAAUUUCUAGCGAAAAUUGACCAGAAUGACUACAUUGAAAUUUCGCGCCAAAGUUUAGGAUUAAAUCGACAAAAUUAAAAAAAUUUAGAAUCGAAUUUGUAUAUGUACAAUAAAUUUACAACCGAUUAGGUAAUUUCCUUUAAAACUGGCAAAGCAGCUUUACUUUUUUGUGUUUUUUUUUUUUAAUUUCAAGUUAUAUAAAGUCCGAUUUGUGACAUUUAUAACAUGAAACCCAAGAAGAUCUUCUCUCCUUUCUUUGUCACGUUUUUUUUUCUAUUCUUUUAGGGCUUUUUCAUUUAUUUUUCUUUUUUGCCAAUGACGUUCUUUAUUUUCUUUAUAUGUUGAAUUUCUAAAUCCAUGGACCUUACCCCUAAUCUCAAAUUACAUAAACACCCCCCUCACGUUGAUGUUAUACUUAACUAUUGCGUAAAAAACUGACGUCUUUCUCUUUUCUAUUUUUUUUUCCUCUGCAAAGAGAAGAUUUUGCGUGUCAAACUUAAGAAGUUUUUUUAUUUUUUUCUAUUCAACUUAAUUAUAAAGUUUGGAUGGUUAUGUUAUUGACGGUCUAUGUUGAACGUUCUUAUUUUGCUUUUUUGGGGAAUGCGGGUUUUCUUAAGACUCAGCAUCAUGAGCCGGAUCAUCAUAGCAAUUGAAACUCAUUUUUACGAAGACAAGCAUGGACCUAGAAAGCCUAAUUAUCCAAUGGGGUCGGCCCAGUUGAUAUUGGCGAAAACACGUGUUGAGUUAUAAUACUAGGGGCGGUUGGGGGAUCGCUCACUUAAUCGCAGCUCCAGUGGAGGCAAAUUUGUUGUUUGUGAUGGGCGGGGGUGGUGUGGUGACAGGGAUCUAACCUCUCCUUUCAAAAAUUGAUCUUUGGAUAAGGGCGGGCGGCAGCAACCGCGCCCGCUAAUGGAGCGACCGUGAUUGAAUUGAAUGGGAUGGGAUGGGGAGGGGCUUGGCAGUGGGCACAAACCUCCAGCGAGUCUACUGCUUUUUGAGGGUUGAGGUUGGGCGAUGAUGAUGAUUUACGCGACAGAUUUGGAAGAGCGACCCGUUUCUUUCUUCUCCUGUUGCUGCUGAGUUCCUUCGUCUUGCACGUGACCCAUAUGGUAAAAACACAAAGAUAAGAAAAGCAGCCCAACAAGCGCGAUGGCGACAGAUGAUACAAGCAUCCCCAUUGACUUCACCAUCAGAAUGACAUCGAGAAUCAGAACAUACCAAAGAAUGCUGGGAGAGACAGAGAGACAGAAGAGCUUUAAAAAUGGUCGCGAUUCGAGGAUGAACAACGUGAAGGUUCAGACCUUAGAGCAUGAAAAAGAGCAAGUUAAGAGGGACGUAUUUUCCAAACGUGGGAAUUCCUAUGAGGGGCUUGCCCACAUAUGCGAAAAGAGACAACACUAAACUUGGUCACAAAGAAAGAGUAUUUUGACAAAUUGGAGAAUCGUGCCCGCUUGAAUUAAAGCGGUUUCCACAAAAUGUUUCAAUUAAAGUUGUUUACGUCCCAACCAUGCAACAUCGAAUGGUCGACACUAACUAAAUCACCACAUGAGCAAUUUUGAGCGAAAAUGGAGUAAUGAAUUGAUAAUUUUCCCUCAGAAUUAAGCUAAAAAAAUUAUCAAGUUGCCAUAAUUUUCUAACGUGUAUUUAGAUAGCCUCUCUAUGAAAAUCAUACGAUCAAGAGGGUGGAGCGGACACCUAACCCACUACUAUUAUAUAGAAAAAAGGAUGGACGCCAGUUUCCUUAUUUGCCCUUACAUUCAAUCACAAGAAUAUAAGUCAAAUGUUACUAGGUUUCUCUUUAGGGCGCGUUUGGUAAUGAAUUUGUUCCCGGGAGCCGAUUCUGACUAGGGAUGAUUAUUUUUUAUUCUGUUCCCGGGAACUGAUUUUGAGUAAAAAAACGUGUUUGGUAACUGUCCAAAUUUUUUAAUUCUGGCAUAGAAUUGCGUUUGAUACCGUGCUAAUUGAUUAUGUUCCAAAUUAAUUUCUUUUGAUUUUUAAAUAAUUUUUUACUUUUUUUCUUUUCUUUUUUCCUUUUUUUUUCUUUUAUUUUUUUCCCUUUUUUCCUAUUCUUCUUCUUCUUCAUGUGGCCGGUCACCGGACUGGCCCUCGUCGGCCGAGCCUCGCUGGCAGCUAGGCAAGGCUCACCUAGCCUUGCCAGUGGCCAAGCCGGCCUCGCCCAACCUGGCCACCGGCGGGGUUGGGCGAGGCUCGCCCAGCUGCCGGCGAGGCUGGGCUUGCCUCUAGCGAGCUCGUUGGACCUCGCCUUGUCCUGGUGAGCCUCCAGCAAGCUUGCCGGACUGGCGAUUGGCGGCGGAGGGCAGCGGCGGGCGACGAAAACAGUGGCGGGCGGUGGCGAACGGCAAUCGCGAGAUGACGGAAGGGAAGAAUGAGAGUUUUAUUGUUUUGAUUCUUUUUUUGAUUCUCGGACGAAGAAUCAUAUUUUUUUUUUCUCAAUUCUCUUCCCAAUCUGUUUUCGGGAACAAAUUUGUUCCCGAGAAUUAAAAUUUUACCAAACAUGAUUCUCGUCCCAAACUGAUUCUGGGAACAAAAAAUCAGAAUCAGGCACUGUUUGGCACGUUGCCAAACAGGCCCUUAGUAACCAACGGUGGGGUUAUGCUUUUCCCCUUAAAAAAGUUUAGUGUGAAUUAUUUUAUUAUUCUAAAAAUGCAAUGUGUUUCGUAUUAAUAAAAAAAUUUAUAUUGUAUAUAUCGAAGCUCAUAUAUCUUCGGAUUAUAAUAUAUAUGUAUAUCGAGAGGCGUAAACUAAAAGCUUAUGCUAAGGCUUCAUCAGUUCCAUGGCAAGUAAUUCCUCGAAUGGAUGCUCAUAUUAAGGAAUCUCGUCCUCCUUUUCAAUUGCCUAAAUUGUAAGAGAUUUAAAUCUUUUGAAAAGGAAUACUUCUCAUUGGCAGCGGCAACUACGAUAAACGACUGGCGACUAGGGACCAAUGGGGGCAGCAACUUGCGGCCAAUGAUAGUGGCGGCAAAGUAUAGUGGUUACUGGUUUUAGGAUCUGGAAUUGGAAUGUCCAUAUAAGCUAUUGCCGAAUCAUUCCCCGCAUGCUUUUCAAGGAAAAUCUUAUUCCUUGUGGAACCCAAUUUCACAUUUCGAUUUCACUCCAAACAUGAAAAUUACGGGACCCGAAAAUCUUGUUUAGAAGCUUUUCUGGGUAGCUGGCUCUCCAGCCUUUUCCAAUGGAAAGAACGCACUUCUGGUUCGCGACCGACCCAACGAACGGUAGGACGACAGAGCUAAUUAAGUCACGACAAAGUCCAAAGACCCCCUGAUUGCGGGGGAAGGUGAGGAAGGUCCCACGUUUGAACAUUCAAAUAUCAUUUAUCUGUUGCUGUGCAUCAGCAAAAGAAGAUAUUGGCAAAGUAAUACGGUUGGUUAGUUACAUUUUUACCUUUAAUAUAUUUCAAUGGAACGAUUUACAAAAUUUUGGAAAAAUAACAUUUCCAACACUACUUUACCGUUGGCAAAAACUAAAGAACUACUCUUUUUUUUUUUUUUUCAAACAGAACCUAUUAUAUUUAUGGACCAAACUGAUUACAAGCAGCAGCUAUCGCAUCAGCGUAAAUAAGAUCUAAAAGAGGGGGAGGGGGAAAACCAGCCCAGUUACUUCGCUUGGAAUUGACCCUAUGGGCCUUCGCAGCCCAAUUAGCAGCAACAUUUGCCUCACGACUACAGAAUGCUAGGGAAAUAUUGGGAAAAAACAAAAGCAGGAAGGCAGCUUUGAAGAAGAGGCUUCGUUCUUGCCAUGGCGGCGAGCGUUGACCCUUCAGUGUCUCAAUGAGGGUUUGGCAAUCAGAUUCAAGAGUCAGCGCAGCAUGAGAGAGGUCUUGAUCAAUCAAAUGAUGGAGAGCAAGCAAGCAAGCGUGGAUCUCCGCCUGCAGAGCCGAGAAGGCAGCAAAGCUAUCUGAGAAGCCACCAGUAAGUUGUCCUUGCGAAUCACGACACACACAAGCCAUAGUCCCUUCCCUGCUCCCCAGUUGAUAAGAUCCAUCGAUAUUGACCUUUAAAACCCCCGGAUCUGGGGGUCUCCAUAUAGUUUCGUGAUGUUGAAAAAAAGCAGCUUUGCAGGUGGAAGAACGAGCAACAGUAGAAUCCACACGAGAUUGAAGCACUGCUUCUUCAGCUACACGAUGCGGAUCAGGAUGUUUUCGUCCAAAAAUAAAUGCAUUUCGAGCCUUCCAUAUGUGCCAAGGGACUGUGGCGAUCACUGGAAGACUAGGUAAGGGUUUCUGAUCACCGGCAUGCUCUAUGAUCCAGGCUGUGAUAUUCCUUAUAUGCUGAGUUUGAAUGGGGAGGUUGAUCUGAAGAUUACUCCAAACACGCCAAACCCAGGGACAGAAUAAGAACAAGUGUUCCAAGGUUUCCGGGGUGUCUUGAUCACAAAUAAGGCAUUUUGGAUUGUCAAUGAUAUGCCUAUGAUGCAGAUUAACUCUUGGUGCUAAACUAUUUUGACAUAAUAACCACCAGAAGUGGCCUACCUUAAGAACGGUGUGCAUUUUCCACAAUUUGUGCCAUAAUAAAGAUGGAUGUUGAUGUGAAGAUGAAGGCGCGCUAUUGAGUUUAAGCUCUGCUGAAUGGUUGAUAUUGUGAUAUGUUGAUUUAACUGGGUAAUCCCCAUUAAAAAUAACAGUCCAAAUAAGUUUAUUCAUGGAAAAUCUGGGUCGUAUCGGAAUAGNNNNNNNNNNNNNNNNNNNNNNNNNNNNNNNNNNNNNNNNNNNNNNNNNNNNNNNNNNNNNNNNNNNNNNNNNNNNNNNNNNNNNNNNNNNNNNNNNNNNNNNNNNNNNNNNNNNNNNNNNNNNNNNNNNNNNNNNNNNNNNNNNNNNNNNNNNNNNNNNNNNNNNNNNNNNNNNNNNNNNNNNNNNNNNGCAAACAUAGGGAAGAAUGGCAUCACGUCACUCAAAAGGCUCUGCAGCCCCAUGACGGGCGAGAGCCUUUUUCUGCCUCAUCAAACCGUGAGGUUGGAAAAUAUAAUCCUUUAAAAACUUUACCCCACAAGGAGGAUGGCUAAAGAAGUAGUCGCCACGCUUGCUUACCCAGCAUGGCUAAAUUAAAAUUGAGGAGAUCCCGAAACUCUAAACCACCAGCUACCUUUCUCUGUUUUAGUACCUCCCAAUUUCGCCAAUGUAUGCAUGUUCGUUGUCUAUCAUUCUGCCACCAAAAUUUCGCAAUUCUUUGUUCAAUAGAGGUACAUAGAGAAAUGGGUAAUCGAAAUAUGGACAUGGCAUACUGUGGUAUGGAUUGUACUACAGCCUUCAACAUAAUCUCUUUCCCCGCCUUUGAGAAAAGGUUUUCCUUCCAACCUUCCAAUCUGGUAUUCACUCGAGCUAGUAUCCAAGAGAACAUAUCCCUUUUCGACCUACCCCAAUCAGAUGGUAUACCAAGAUAUUUCCCACAACUUUGCAAUAUAGGAACUCUAAUAGCAUUAGCCAUAUUUUCCUGUAGAGAAGUAGGGCAAGAUUUACUAAAAAAUAUACCAGAUUUGUUGCGGUUCACCUCUUGGCCCGUGGCAAAGCAAUACUAAUUCAGCACAUUUGAUAAAUUUUGACAUUCCCGAACUGAUCCUUCUACAAAGAAAAUUGCAUCGUCUGCGAAAAGAAGGUGUGAAAGAGUUGGGCACCAUCUGUUGAGUUUAAUACCUUUGAGUGUCUCCAUAUCGAGUGCAUUAUGAAUAAGAGAUGAUAAUAGAUUGGAUAAAAGGAUAAAAAGGUAUGGGGAGAGAGGAUCUCCUUGGCGAAGGCCCCUGGUAGGAUGAAAGGGCCUAAGCUGAUCGCCAUUCAUGUUGAUACAUAAAGAUGUAGUGGUGAUACAUUGCAUGACCAGAGUACUCCAUAAUGGAUGAAAGCCUAACUUAAGUAGAUAAGCAUGUAAAAAGUCCCAUUCCACUCUAUCGUAGGCCUUCCGCAUAUCCAACUUGACAACAGCAUGAAAUUUGCGCAUCCUCCUUUUAGAUCUAAGUUGAUGUAAAACCUCCUGUACUAGCAAGAUAUUAUCUUGUAUCUGGCGCCCACCCACAAAAGCAGAUUGUUCCUCAGAAAUUAGAGAUGGUAGCAGAGGUUUCAGUCUAUUUGCAAGCACUUUAGAGAUAACCUUAUAGGCAUAAUUGCAUAAACUAAUAGGGCGAAAUUGAUCAAGACUCUCAGGUUGAGGGAGUUUUGGGAUCAGAGUAAUAACUGUUUUAUUUAAGGCUAAAGGGAAACAGCCUGAGAGAAAGAAAUGCUGAACCUCUUUGAAGAAAUCAUCCUUUAUAAUAUCCCAAUGAGUCCUAUAAAAAAGACCAGUCAGCCCAUCAGGACCAGGAGCUUUGGUUGAAACGUAGCUAGUCUCAAUUCUUCCAAGGUCAACAAUGACAUUAGAGCAUUAUUCAUGGCUGGCGUCACCACUGUAGGACACUGAUCUAAAAUAGGUUCAAAGUUGCGAGCUCCGACUGUGGUAUAUAAUGAUGAGAAGAAAGAAGUUGUCAUCUCCUAAAGCCGACUAGGAUCCCUGACCCAAUCCCCCGUUUCAUCCCUGAGCAUCGUAAUCUUAUUCCUUUGUCGCCUCUGGACUACUUUAUUAAGGCCAAAAUGUCUUGAUUGUGAUGGACAUUUCAUAAGCAAAAGUUCUCUUUUAUGAGAUCGGCCCUACAUUCAACAUGGACUGUUGGAUAAAAAGGGAAAAAACACGAUCCAUCAAUCUAUUUGGCAAAAUCGAUUUUCUGUCAUCACUUCCGAAUAUUAAAGGAAAGUUGCAGGCGCAAACUUGAUCAAAUUAUAAUUUGAUUGAAAAUAGUGACGAUGAGUAAGGAAAAUUACUAAAGCAUAGGUCUCAAAACUUUGCCAAGUGCAAAGUAGAGGAGAGUUACGAUCAAUCUACAUAUUUUAGUAAAAAUACACAAAAAGAAAUUUACUUUUAACCGAAUAAAUAUUAUCUUUGUGGAAUUUCACCAAACAUAGGUUUCAAAGAAUUUAUGACCUCCAAAGAAAAAGUACACCCUCCAAACUCAAAAGAAAACAUAUGAAAGGAUUUUUUACAGGAAAAAUUACUAUUAGUGAGGACAAUUACGUCAUCAAAGGAAAGUUGUGAUUUAUCCAGUAAUUUACUAACCAUAGAAAAAACAAUUUACCCAAAACUUGGCAGAUUAUUAUAUUUUGAGGAAUAUUACAAAUCAUUUGACCUCCAUAACUUAUGAUGGCAACCUCAAAAGUAACAGAUUUCUCAAGAAACGAUGCCCUAAAACACAAGACGCUUCCAAUUACUCUAGGAAGUAAUUUCCAUUGGAGCUUAUUUAAGUGUUUGCUCGUUACUCAAUACAAUGAACAAUGUGCGACUAAGUGUUCCCAAACGACGGAACCUAAAUCUUUUCAUCAUACAAGGAGCAAUGCAUUAUGUUCUAUUAGAACUUCGCAAGGUUCUGAGCUUCAGAAGGUCUAGUGUAAUAUUGACAAUUUAAUUAGGCUAGAAACACAGAAAAUGCAGAAUAGUUUGGAAAGUUAACUUGCUUAUAUUUAUCAGGAAAAAGGACAACAGUUUUGCAAUGUCAACAUCACAAAUAAUUAUUCCUUUGAGGUAACUCUAGCAUGAUCUUUCUUCAUACAAAAGGCAUGUCAAAGAUUACGCACACCUCACACAAUGUGCCCCAUCAACAACAAAACCAGUUAGUUGUGCCGGCAAUGCAUGAUAGUCGAAUAUAAGAAAUAUACGCCGAACCGUCUAGAAAAAGUUAUGGUGCAUCAGACACAAUACCUUUCUAUGUAAGCAUUUCAAUAUCUCUAGAAAUGAUGGGUUUCCCACAUUCCUUUUGGGAGUUACAUACAAUAGCUUGCACGAUGGUUUAUCUUUUCUGAAAAGGUAAGCAAAGAAAAAGUGGAGAUUAAUAAUUUGACAAUCACAACACUAAGCAUAAAAAAUCUAGAAGUCCAAUAGAGCUAAACCUUGCCUUAGUUCUUGGAGAAUAGCUGCCGCUUGGGCAGUAGUUUGCUGAGAGUUCAAGAAAGUAGAUGGUAUUCCAUACUUGAGGAUUAGAGUAAUUAUUGGAUCUAGAAUGAGAGAUAGCAAGGGAGAUAUAAUGAUUGUGACACCUAUUUAAAGAGUUGCUGGUAGAUGAAACCAAGGAUAAAAACAUCAAAAGAGCGCAUGAAGAAAGGAAGGGACAAGGGAACUAUUAUUUCUUUCACCUUCAGCUGAUUAGGAAUGACCAGUUGUCACUACUUGUCUUACAAUUAAUUACUUUCAGCUAGAAACAUGUCACGCCCCGAUCCUCGAGACGCGCCCAUCCUUCUAAUGGUCGAUUUUAAAGUGCGAUAUCCCAGGACUAAGUAUCACCAACCCUUUCGUUUAUUAAGCACAUGCGGAAGCAGUUAUAAAUCCCCAGACAAUAAAAUAAUGGGAUAGAAAAGCAAGCCAUAUUUUUAAUAUUGAAAUUCACAACCACACUUUUAUUAACAACACAACUCAUAGCAUAUUUACAAUACUAUUCCCAACAUACUUGUCUCACACCGAUCUACACUAAGACAGGGUUUACAAAAGGGAUGGGAUAUCAAUCCACAUCCGGGUUAUACUCAAGAUCCCUCUCUAGAUCAUCUUCUUCUUCAAAAGUCUUUCUCCCCUUUAGGUUCCUCCUCCUCAGCUUCUCCUCAGGGUCCUGAAAUGGUUAUUCAAUAACCACUGAAACCACGUCUUAGCGAGUUCUACCCCCUAAGACUCGAUUAGUAAACCAAUACACUACUCGGUUGCCUAAGCACAACACGAGUCAGAUGACUUACCUUGGCCUCAGAUUCCAUCUGCACAUUAGUACAGUUCAAUAGGUACUCAAACAAUCACAUCACCAAUCGAAGUAUCGAUCAAAUCAACUUAGUCGAUUUCAUGCCAGUCGGACCAUUUCUAGGUCAUUCAUCCCACACCAAGCAAUUCCUUAGAUUUAGUGGCUUUACGGUCCCAUCCGACCCUUUCCAAAUCUAGUGGCUUUAUGGUCCCACCCGACCCUUUCAAGAUCUAGUGGCUUUACGGUCCCAUCCGACCCUUUCCAAAUCUAGUGGCUUUAUGGUCCCACCCGACCCUUUCAAGAUCUAGUGGCUUUACGGUCCCACCCGACCCUUUCAAGAUCUAAUCUAGGAAUGAAUCUUAAAAUCACUCAUAAAUUACUUUAGCACUGAAUAAAGCUCAAAUAAAUAAAUGGACUACACCACGACGAUCAGCACAAAAUUCCAGUCAUCGGCCAUCCCGGUUGAAUUUUCGGAAAAAUAAAUAAUUAAAUAAUUUAUUUCGAAAAUUAAAUAAAUAAUUAUUUAAAAAAAUCCAAUUUAGGCCCAUAAUGUCUGAUUGGAAGCCGAGACGAGCCUGGAAAAUUACCGAGACUUGUUCAAUAAUUAACAUUGCAUGCCUACUUGCUAAUGUCUAUUUCUAACCACCUAACAUGUAUCAUUAAGUCUCUAAUUUAAUUUAUCUAAAUUAAUAUAACCACCUAAUUGCAUUUAAUUAAAUCUAACCAACCUUAAGUAUAAUUAGGAAACUAAGAAAGCAUUAGUGAGUAAAAAUUACUUGGUAAAAGCAGAGAUCGGGACACCGCGAUGAUGACGCUACGACGGCCGAAAUCGAGCUUUCGACAACACCGGCGGGCUUGGCCCAACAAAUCUCACCCAACUGAGAUUUGUUCUUGCUUUUGGGCCAGACCCAAGUUGGAUUGGGCUUGCUACGAAGAUGGGCUUCAAGCUAUGGGUUGGGCUUGAAGACUACGGGAGAUGGGCCUCAAUAAAAUUCUGCUGAUGGGCUGCUGCUGGUGAAAUUCGACUGGGCUGGCUUGCGACCCAAAUGGGCUGAACAAACUGCAACUGGAAGCUGGCUGAUCUGUGGGCUGCUUGAUCGAGCGUGGACUGACGCUAGCAGGAGGAAGGAGCAAUGUCGGCGGUUGCUUCGGCUUCGCUGGGAUCUUCAAAUUGCUGAAGUCCACGGACGUGAGGCUUCUCGGUUGGGAUUGGGAUUUGGUGGAGUGGGUUGUUGACCGAAGGGGACGUGUGGAUGAGCAAAGAUGGAGCAGGGAAGCAGCUGGCGUGGAUGCAUGGGACAGAGAGAGAUGAGGCAGCGUUCAUGGCCACCAAACUCGGUGGAGUCGUGGGCUUCAAGCGGUCAACCAAGAGCUUCAAUUGAAGCUGUUGUUGACCGAACCAGGCGUACACACGGCCAAGUGGUAGCAAGCUCGGCAGAAUCAGUUUCGGUGAAAACAGAGACAAACGAAAGUGGGCUUUGCUGGCAGGGAGAAUUCGGUGGAUUGUGGCUUCGCAUGGAGUAGCUUCGGUAAGUCUUCAACGCUUCUGGAGAAGACACGAAGCAGUGGAGCUGCAUGCGGUCAACAAUCUUUGCUGAGAUUGACCAAAACCUCAGUGGAUUGGUCUUCGGUGCAGCUGGCGGACGAAGGAAAAUUUUUGAAGGAAGCAGCUUGGUCUUCUGCAGUUGCUGUUGGCGAUGUCGCACGAAGUGGGGAGGGAGAGAGAUAGCUGUCCGGUUGAGGGUGAGAGGAAAAGGAAUGGAUAUAGAUGAGUGAUGGGGCCCUUUAGACUUGAUCUUUCCACACAAAUAUCAUUUGUUUUUAUCCCUCCAUAUGGCUGGCACCCACCAACAAAUUUUCAGCCCAAUUUACCCCUUCUAGAGAGUUGAGUUGGUCCAAAAGUCACCACUUGUGGGGCAUGCAAAUUUCUUAGCGCAAGGCUCCAAUUGCUUAUCAAAUCUCCCUCAAUCGGCUUUCAUAAAAUCAAUCAACGCUUCAAUGCCUCAAUUGCUAUUUUUCCUCAUCCAAUAACCCAUCUUGCAUCUCGAUUUUGCGAUCGAAACCAUCUUCAGCAUUGUCGGCACAAAAAUGACCCAACGACAACUUUUUCCCAGAAAGUGUCGGGUGUCAGAAAAAUCUUCUGAGACUGAGUCGAUACUCCUAGAAUUUAUUAUGACAUGGCCAAAACUUCAAUUUCUGAAAUCGGACUCGAAUUGGCAGUUAAUUUUCAUUCGACGCGUUUUUAGCGUGACCUAGACUGUCGGGUAGUUUUUCAUAACUUUUUAAGGCAAAUAACACAUGGUUGAUUUUCUUCGAACCACUAUGAACCCAUUCGACUUAAUGGCGACUCUCGAUUGUCGUGAAAAUCUCGAGGUUUCAAAUACGGACAUAGGGUACCAAAAUGACAGUUAAAUCAGAUUUGUGUCGAUCGACGAGAAUUUUCCAAUUUAGUGGAGUCACCCACGAUCGGCCACAUAUCUCAGUCGACCAAACCUAUCUAUGGUCUUAAAUCGAUUUUUAACUGUGCUGCAAUGGCCUCUAAAGAUGAGCACGGUCGAGAAGCUGAUUCCUGAUCGAAUUCUCAAGUUUAUUACCCUAAAAUUUCUUAAUUACUUACCUAGACAAUCUAGUUAUCUCAAGAGUGAUCGGCUCUGAAAAUAGCCCAAUAAACACGUCAACGAAAUGCCCGAUUAUUUUAGUAGAAAACAGGUUGAGAAAUUCAAGAUGUCACGAAACAUAUAUCAACUACUUUAAGACUGAACAUAAAACACUUCUAAAAAAUCCAGUAUAAUAUCUUCCUCCUUCAUUCAUUACAUCAAAUAUUUUUCUUGCUACCAUUAUAUAUUGUAUAUUGAAGGAAAUUAAUUCCAAACCAAUUAUGGGAAAAAAAGAAGUCAUAGAUCAUUACCCUAUGUGAGAUAAUGGCAUAGCCAACAACUACAAGGAAAUAUAGAAGUCUAGAACCCAUAUUUGGUGGAAGUACUUUGAAAAAUUAUUCCUCUUCGACUCAGUAACCCAUUUGAAUUGGACCUGAAUUAUGACUAACAAUAGCACUUACAUGCAUAAACAAUUUUCCGGUAAGUGAUUAGAAGGUCCUAGAAGCAUAGUACAAACUUUAAAUUCUAGAAAUUAUAACAGAUAGAGAUGUGCGAAGGCGGAAUGAGAAUGUACCGUAUUUCCUUCUUGUCUAAUUUUGUCCAAUGCCAUAAAUUGGAAUCCAUGGUUAUGUACUAGAAUCACUUCCUAUUGCUUAAUUUUCAUUUGAAAAACAUUUACUACCUUUUAUGUUCACAACCUUCUCAACGGUGCUUAAAAAAACAUAUUAGAAGAUCGUCAAAGCUUAAAUUUUGACAUACAGGUCAACCCUUUUACAUUUAGUUGGUGGAACCAUUGAGCAAAGUGCACAGGGCUUGUGAUCUUAACAUUGUCUCCACUCUCUCCUACAUACAAUCAUUACAUAGUUGAGACAACGUUAACAUCCACUAACCUGGUAACAUAAGCUUUUACCACCUCCAGUGGGCAUGAGAACAAAGCAAUCUUGCUUAGCUACAGAAUCUUUACAAGCCCGAUGCUGCAUUGGUCGAAAUGCCUCGUUUCCGAAUAUGACAACAUUUGCCAAUUCUACGUCAUCAAAGGCUCGCAAUUCCUCAUAACUCAAAGUCCCUUGUUGGAUGUUGAAAUCUGAAAGCAAUGUGUUUUAUUUGAAAUUGACUAUUGAACCAUGAGUGACAGUGAUUUUAUAGUCCUUCAACAAAGAUAAGCCUCUUCAGCACCGUAAUAGUUUUUGACAUGGAUUGUCAUAGAAAAUGAAAAAUGUGCACAAAGAAAUCACAAGCCUUUAUUUAUGCAAAACAUUCCAAUCAAUGACGCUGGAUUGUUAAGUUCCACACUUUGAUGAUCUACUAUACUCUCAAGGUAUUUGAGAAGUAUAGGUAUUUUGUAAAUCAUCCAAAACUAAAAUUAACUUCUUUAUUGACCAAAUAGUUCUCAUAUGUCAUUUUGGAUCUUGAAGAUUGUGCAAUAAUUGGCAAAAUUUAGGAGUGUAUUGGAUAUUUAAUUGGACGAGAGGCCUCAUUCAUAAGAAUUUUUUUUUUGGUCGAAUCCUCAUAAGAAAUUUACUGAAUGCUUUUGUACAUGUACAUUGUGUAGGUCCUUUGCUGUGUGCAGAAUCAAAGCAAAUUGGAAACAAUCAAGCAGGGAACAAGUUAUAAGAGAAAAGGACAGUGACACAAUGAUUUAAGUGGUUUAGCAGUAUUGUCUAUGUGCAUGGGAGAAGCAUACCAUGGAUUCUAAAGCCCCUCUGGCCAAAAUUUGAGUGGAUGAAUUGGUUAGAUUACUACUUUAGUCAGGACUAUAGCAUGUGGAUUUCCUACCCGUUUUACUACCCAACACAUCUUCUUCGCUUUACUGUCAGUAGAGGAAUCCACCCCAUGGAAAUUUGAUUUUUCACAGUUUGUGGAGAAUCUUCUAUAAUAUUGACAUUGUGCAUAACAUUGCAUUCACCAUCGGAUAUCUUGGCCAAACGUAUCAGUCAAAACGCCACAAGCUUCUGAUUCUGCAGCUUGCACAUCAUCCCAAUCCUCAAUGUCUAGCAUAGUUUGGGCAAGUUUUGCUAGAAAAUGAUCACCACAGUGCUUCAUAGUGAUAAACUCUCGACCUCCGUCAACUUAAGGAAACCAGAAGAAGAAAGAGGUGAUUUUGCAAGUUCCAUGGCAAACAAGAGAUCAAAUAAACAAAAUCUACAAUACGUAAUUUGCAAUUAGUUCAGUGAGAUGCCAUAUUCGUAGUGAGUUCAGAAAUAAGUUAGAGAUUUCGCUAGUCAAUAAGACUACUCUGCAAAACCCACAGAUAAAUGAGGAUGGGAUUAACGCUCAAUGAACUAGAUUUAACCAUCUCCUCCAGUCCAUUCAAAUCUAAAGGGUAGACCAUUCCAUAGCCAUCGUCGAAAUGACGACUAACCGCAAUAAAUCUCCUUAUCCAGGAAUGCACAAUCAAUCGAUUCACGAAUUAUCCACACAACACAAGCAAUUACAUCAUUCCCUAAUCACCAUAUACCAACGAUUUAGCUAAUAACCAAGAAAAACCACCAUUCGGAGCAACCUCAACACAUCAAACUGGAACCACGCCACACAUUUCACUCAUCAACAAGAUUACUUCACCAAACCUGCUUCGAUCUAUUCAAACCUAGAGCAGACUAUUCCACGACAAUCCUCAUCAUAUUGGACAAUGAAAUACCUAUAUGGGUGACAAAGUAACGAUUGGAGUUACCAUAGAGUAGAUGUGUCAAAAUGGGUCAUUGACCCAUUUAUGGACCCAUUUAUGGUUAAAUGGGUCGUUAAUGGGUCAAGCUUUAGUUCCUAAAGCACCCAUAAUGGGUUUUAAUGGGUCAAGACUGAGAUAUAUUGAUCUUAAAUGGGUCAAAGAGCUACCCAUUUAAGACCCAUUAAAAAUAAACUCAUUUAUUUUCACUCAAAACCUCACCAUCUCUCUCUUCUCUCUUUAACUUUACAACUUUUUUUAUAUAAAAACCGAAAUUAUAAUUAUUUUUUCUUUUAAUUUUCUUUCCUUUUUUUUCUUUUUUCUUUGUUUUUUCUUUCUUCUUCCUCCGAUCGUCAACACGGCGAUGGCCGGUGAUCGGCCAAGCGAGCCUCGAGCUCGCCGACGUCGGGCGAGCUCUAGCUCGCCGGAUCUAGCAAGGCGGAGGCCUCACCGAUGCCUAGUGAGGCUCGAGCCUCGCCGAUUUGGCGAGACUUGAACUCGUUGGUGUCGGGCAAGGCUCGAGCCUCGUCGGCAUCAGGCGAGGCUCAAGCCUCGAGCUCGCCUAACGCCAGCGAGGCGGAGGCCUCGCCAAUGUUCGACGAGGCUUGAGCCUCGCUAGAUUCGGCUAGGGGCGAGCCUUGAGCUCGCUCGGUGCUGGCGAGGCUCGAGCCCCCGCCAGAUCUGGUGAGGGGCGAGCUCGAGCUCGCCCGACACUGGCGAGCCUCGAGCUCGCCGGAUCUAGCGAGGCUCAAGCCUCCCCGAUCUGGUGAGCCGCGAGCUUGAGGCUCGCCUAUGGCCAGUCGUCGGCCGUCGUCGUGGCCAACGGCCGGCCAAAGAAGAAGAACAACAAAAAAGAAAAAAGAAAAUUAAAUUUAAAUUUAAAAAUUUAAAAAUUUAAAAAUUAAUGUUUUAAAAUAAAAAUAAUUAAAAUUUGAUGUUUUAAAAUAAUUAUUUUAAAAAUUAUAAAAAUUGUCCAUUAAAUUUGUGCUGUAUAAAACUAUUUUAGCGAUACCAUUUUAUAUAUACAUAUAUAUAAGAAAUAAUUUUUUUUGAAAAAUUAUAAAAAAUUGAAAAAUUAUUGAUUGGAUUUGUAUUACUUGGAAGUUUUUUAGUAAUAUAAUCUUAAAAAAAAACAUAAGAAUAAGUUUUCCUAAAUUUUGUUAAAUAUGAAGAUAUUUUAUUAAUAUGGGUCGAGUCGGGUAUAGGUCGAAAAAUUUAUAUUAGACAUAAAUGGGUCAUAAAUGAGUUAAUGGGUCAAUUUAAGUCAACCCAUUAAUGACCUGAUCCAAACCCGACCCGACCUACCCGUUUGACACCUCUACCGUAGAGAGCGAAAUGAGACGGUCCAAGCACUUGCUGGUGGACUGCUCGUCGAAGCAGAACUCGAGAGCCAAGCUCAGCAACCAAGCUUUCUCCACCUCCUCCAAGCCUCGAUCCUCCAUCGAGUCUCAACCAGUUCGACGCCAUUCGAUUAAUCGAUCGAUCGAUGAUGCACCAGCCGAAAUCAAAUCGAAUUGAUUGCUAGUCUGUCUGGAGAGCGCACGCUCGAAGUACUCUUUCGAAAAGCAUUGCCAACGAUGGUGAGGAUUGAUGUUGUUUUCCGCUUUCUAUUUUUAUGCGCUGGAGAAGGGGAGAGAUUGGAACCAUAUUUUUUCAAUUUUUUUUUUAAAUUCUGUUUCGCACCUGAAAUUUGUUUAAACUCUAUUUUUGCCCCCACCAUAAGUUUUCCUGGUUUCAUUUGACACCCUUGGGUCUAUAAAUUUUUUUUUUUUUUUCUGGAUAAAAGAAGUCGUGCACUUUUCUCUAAGCGUGUAGUGUCGAUCUUUCCGAGUCAAUGCAUAAGUCCAAUUCAUUUUGGGGCGUCCUUCCAAUAGCGCUUGUCGCACCAAUUCUUCUAAGGAUGUGCGCUUAUAAUCUUCUCAAGACGAGGAAAAAGAGCGGAAGCAAUACCACAUGCAAAAAAAUAAGCGUCAACGGGUCAUCGACAUCUAUGUUUGUCUCUCCAACACUAACAAAAGGGGGGAAGUGAUCCCUUUAACGUAUUCUUGAGCUUUCGAGACGACAAAAAUAUCAUAGAUGAAGGAACUGUGCCAAUAUUUGCACUUACGGAUGAUGAUAGCCUCCCUACUAGUGAAGGGUUGGGUUUAUGGCAUCUCGAUGCAAUCACAUGGACUAAUGUUUUCCACGAAAUAAACGGAACCUAAAGUUCCAUCCAUGUUACCUAGCCAAAAGAUGUUUCGGCCAAAUAAGAUAUAUUAGUCGUCCUUGGCCUAGAUCGAUAUAAAAUGAAAAUGCAACAAAACUUCAACAUGGUCGGCCAACAAAAAAAAGUAAAUUCUAUUGAUGAUCCUUUUGAUUCCAUCAUAACUCUUUCCGUAAUUAUCAUUGAAAGGUUAAUGGUUGUCGAUCAAUAAAACAUUUCCAACAUCAUAACUCUUCCUGUAAUUAUCGUUGAAAGGUUAAUGGUUGUCGAUUAAUAAAACAUUUCCAACAUGCAAAUCUUUUAAUAAUGUAUGGUAAAUCGCAUUGUAAUGAAUUUUAACUGUUUCUACAAAAAUUUUGUAAAUUCUUCUACGUUUCGGAGAUAAUGGAGGAAUCUAGAUAUUUUUGUUUUGGUCGAAGUAAACAUCUUUCAUUAUUUCAAGUAGCUCCAUGAUUACAAACUAAGUGGGCCUCUAAACAAAUCAGGCCUGACAAUAUUUUUGGGGAUAAGAAACCUAGUUGGUGGGAAGGGAUUUUCGCCAAUGGGCUUAGAGAUCCAAUCAGCUACCUGGCUCGCUUCUCUCCUACAGUAGGCUAAUCACAUGCUCUUGUAUUGGGCCAGCAGGUUUUUGCCUUUAGAGAUAAGAGACUGGAUGCUCCACGUUGGUUGUUCUUGAUCUGAAAGUGCAAUUAUCGUUGACCAACUCUUCAACUCUAGAGAGUACUUGAGUUCAAACGUAAGACAAAAGAAGCGUAGGGCUUCCAUGCACGCUAGGGCUUCCACUUGCUCCGCCGAGUUCGCCCAUACUUCCUUCGUAAAUCCAGCCACGAUGUCCCUAGACUCAUCUCUAUAAACGACGCCGAUGAUUCCUAUUCUCUCUUCCUUCGCACACGAGCCAUCCACAUUGCUCUUUAGAGUGCCUUUCUCGGGUGGAAUCCAUUUUGCAGCCAAAGGCUAAAGUACGCGCAUCCUUAUGAUACAAUUAAUUGCAAAUAAUAGGAAAAAAAGCUAGGACUUUCAUAAAUGGCUAUCUAUAUAAAGCAAUUGGUAGAUGCAGAACACAAAUACAAAAAAGAUCAAUUAAAACACUCAAUUCCAGUGGAAUACAUGAAUCAUUAAGUGCCUAGUUUUGAGGCACCUACAAGGCAUCUGGACAAAACAGUGAUUGACUUCCGAGGAACAAUGCCUAACAUGGACCUGAGAGCACCCACAGCAUUGGAUUGUAUGAAUCAUGGUGAAUGACAUGAUUGUUCGAGUGCAAUCAUUAUUAGAGCACCACUAAGUGUAGUUUUUUUUCAAAUUUAUUUGAAGAUAUACUUGUGUUCGGUUUGGUUUAACUGAAUGAAUGUUUUUCCUUAUUAAUUUCCCUCAAAUAAUUUCUCAUUAUUUUCAUUAUUUGAGAAAAAAAUUACAAUUAUUUUGAAUUUAAUUCUGCUUAAUUAAUUUUUAAAAAUGUCUAGGCCCAUGCCCACCAUGCUUAGGUUGUGUCAGCCCAAGCUUGUCGUGGUGCUCCGUCCUAGUCACACUUCGCCAAGUGAGAAGCCUCGAAAACUACAUUGGUUGUAGUUAAGCUUGGAAAUCACAUCGGUUGUGAUUAAGCCCAAAAUAAAACCAGCCUACGAUCAUCGUACACAUCUCAAGACGCAUAUCAACCGUAAGCACUAAUCCAAUUUCCAUAGUUCAUAGUCCAACAUGCCGAGAUAUGCUAGAAAUAUUUCACCCAUGUAUAUAUUUUCUAUGCAUGUCCAAAAUAACAAUCUUAAUUGAGUCCAUUCAAUGCUUGAUCCAAUUUUAUUAAAUAAGAUGCCAUGAAAUGGUUUAAUUUUUCCCUUGAUUCUCAAAGUGCAUGGGUUGAGGAAAUAUGUGGUUGACUAUGAAAAAUGCUAUGUUAUGCACUUCAUAACUAGUUUGAAAUGUACUCACACGUUCAAUGAAAUUUAUAACAUACAAGAAGUUGGACAAGAAUCAUUUAACAAAUUUAGGGAAACAUUGAAUUGGCUCAUCGAAUAUCCAAACAUUUAAUUAUUGUCUCGUUUGCCCUUUUGUCAUAAGUGCGAGAAGUUUCCAUGAUCUUUCUGAGUGUUGGCUGCAUUCAUAAAGAUACACAUGAAACGCCAGGAAACAUUGAAUUGGCUUAGCGAGAUUACAACUAAUAACAAUAAUAAUGUAAUGAUUGUAUUGCGUGAGUGCAUCCGUAAACAAAAGUAGUCUUCCUACCUAAUUCUCUUUUUUAAAUUGAAAUAAUAUUAUAGUUGUUGUGCUUUUACCAUGCAUUAAUUAGUUUAAUAAUAGUCUAUUUCGCUAUCAUUACCCACAGCAAAUUUUUAAGGGCAAUUAUUGAUUUUUAAUCUUAGGAAGAAUGCCACUAUCUAAGAUUCCAUCCAUGUUACCUAAUUGGAAGAUGUAACAAAGACCAAGACUUGUUCUGGCCAAAAAUAAAAAAUAAAAAACAAAGACCAAGAGUCACCCAUAAUGAAAGACCAAGACAAAUAAUUAGUCACUAGUGGGGCAAACUCUAAUUAAUUGUAAUAAUAGUAUAUUUCUCUAUCAUUACCGACAACCAAUUUUUAAAGGCAAUCAUUGAUUCUUGAUCUUAGGAAGAACGUCACCAUGUAAGAUUCCAUCCAUGUUACCUAGCUGGAAGAUGUAACAAAGACCAAGACUCAUUCAAACCUAAAAUAAAAAUAAAAAACAAAGACCAUGACUCGCCCAUAAUAAAAGACCAAGACAAAUAAUUAGUCACUAGUGGGGCAGAUCAAAUUAAUUCACUAUUAGUAUAUUUCUCUAUCAUUACCGACAACCAAUUUUUAGAGGCAAUUAUUGAUUCUUAAUCUUAGGAAGAAUGUCACUAUCUAAUAUUCCAUCCAUCUUACACGGCUGGAAGAUGUAACAAAGACCAAGACUCUUUCUAGCCAAAAAUAAAAAUAAAAACAAGGACCAAGACUCACACAUAAUAAAAGACCAUGACAAAUAAUUAGUCAAAAGGGGGUAGACUCAUUAAUUUAUCUUUUUUGGCCGAGACAGACUUAUUAAUUAUCCUCGACCUAGAUUGAUAUAAGAUAAAAGGGCGACAAAAUUUAAUUAUGAUCGGCAAGCGAAAAACAUAAGUCCCAUUUAUGGUCCUUUAGAAUUCAUUAAAAGAAUAGUCUAUCUAACUUAAAUAACUCUUCCCUCGAUUAUCUUCAAAUCUUGUUCUAUUUUUUGACGUAUCUUCUAAUAAUGGACCAAAACUUCUUGAACAAAUUUUUUAAACCACGUGCCUUCUAUUCAAAUCUCCUUAUUUAUUUAUUUAUUUAUUUAUUUAUUGUUUUUUAGUGAUUGAGGAUGAAGAUUAUUUCUUUGUUUCCACAUUCACCAACCAAAUCCAAUUAACAAGCAAUAUUGCAAAAGACAAACACCAUGUUUUCUUAUUUCAAUGGAAAAAUUAUCAAAAAAUUCUUAAACCUAUUGUACAUGUGCUAAUUCAAUCUUAAACCUUUUAAUUUUGACAAUUGAUUCAUAAACCUUUUAACGAUUUGCCAAUGUAGUCAUUCCUGUCAAUUUUGUCCGAUAACUAAUGACAUACACCAACUAUCCUAUGUGGCACAGUGGGCAUUGAUGUGGACAAUUUUCGCUUUUUUUUUUUCUAUAUUUCAAUCAUAUGUAAAAAGAAUGACUAUGAUUCAAUGUGAAGACUAUGAGUAAAUUGGAUAAAUUUCAAGUGUAGAGAUUGCAAUGGGAAUUUAGUCAGGUAGAUCUACAAGAUGAAUCUCAAGUUUCUUGGUAGAAGUGUUAGAAAAGUCAUAGACCUAUUAUGUUGAUGUCAAUUUAAUCAUAAAUCUUUUAAUUGUGCUAAUUUAAUUUAGUAUUAAACAUUUGGACCUAGUGCUAAUUUAGUCAUUCUAACUAUUUUUUGGAUGGAUAUCCUACACGAUACGGCCGGUGCUGACGUGGAUAAUUUUGAAUGAUAUUUUAAUAAUUUUCGAAUUCCUUCUUUCUUUACUUUCUUUACUUUCUCUCUUAUAUUUUCCUCCUCUUUUUGGUGGUUGGCAAGCAUCAAUGAGGCUGCCCUCACCCAGGCAACACUUGGCCUCACUAGAUCUUGCAAGGGCAGCCUCACCAGCACUUGCCCUCACCCUAGCAAGGCUGACAAGGUUCACCCUCGCUCAUGUGAGACCCAGCCAUUGGAAAGAGGAGGAGAAAAAGAGAUAAAAAAAGAAGGAAAAAAAUUCAAAAUUAUCAAAAAUAAUCCACGUCGCCUAUAAUGCAAUGUAGGCUUGCUGACGUUUAGCAAUAUUCGGCUAAAAGUAGCUUGAAUGACUAAACUAACACUAGGCCAUAAGGUUUAGAAUUAAAUUGGCACCAUUAAAAAGUUUUGGAGUAAAUUGUACCAAUACAAUAGAUUGGCUUUUCUAAUACUUUUCCCUGAGUUUCUUCUAUAUGUUGCUUUGCAUUAGCAAAAGAAAAUAUUGGCAAAGUAACACUAUUUCUUAAUUUACAUUUUUACAUGUAUAUAUUAAUUUAAAUAUUGCAAUGAAAUUAUUUUAAAAAUUUAGAAAAAAUAUUGUUUCCAACAUUACUUUACUGUCUAUCAGUUUUUCAAAUAUUUGAAAGUAAUGGCUUUGAUAGGAGUUAUGGAAAGCAAUUCUUUUUGUAACGGUUUUUUACCGUCACCAAUUUGUAAUGGUUUUUGUGUAACAUUAAUCUAUAAUGUUCUUGUAACGGCUUUAUAAUGGUCAUCAUUUUAUUAAUUCUCAAUUAAUUUAUAAUGAUUUCUUAAUGGCCCUCUCUUUUGUUUGAAUAUAAGAUUAAAUUCCAAAUCACAAUCCUUUUUUUUUUUUUUUGGGUCAGUAAAUCACAAUCCUUUAAGAUACGCCGAAUUAACAGAAUUCACAUAUCUUUCCUUUUUUGUCAGGUUAUACACAUAACCUUGUUCAUGUUCCUGCUAUUAUUCAGUGCGGAAUAAAAAAAACUGUUUAUUAUAUCUUGAGAAGAUAGCUAUUAUGCCCUAUUGCAUCGAAUUUUUUACUCCAAAAGACAGAAUUAUCCUUAAGUAUAGUGUUUGCAAGUCUCAAACAUUUGGACAAAGGGCAAAGCCGGAGAAAGGGAAACAACGGGAUGCCCUAUUUCAUUUAACAUUAUUUCCUUGCGGGUGCUUGUUGCCGAUUGUUCUCUCUAUGCUUGUAUUCAAUCAAAAAGAAGAACAAAAGCGCCGCAUAAGAGAGCAUCGAGGGAGCAUCUGUCUCUUCUUCGGUGUCAUCUUGUUGGAGAAAUCUUUCCAGAAUAUUUUGAAGCUGACAAAACAUUUCUAUCAGUCUAAGUCUGGAUAUCGAUAGUUAAAGUCUCAAGACUUUAUAGUCUCAAGACUUUGUUAUCUCAAGACUCAAGACUCAAGACUCAAGACUCAAAAUUAUUCUCACUGACAGUCUUUCUAAUCCAGUGUUGAAGGAAAUUCAAAGCCAAGGUUUAUGGUUGAGGAUUUGAUCCUAUCCUCUGGAAUAGAUUCUUUGGUUGGAUAAUCAUUUCGGAUUCUUUAAUUCUUAUCUAAGAUCGAUUGAAGAUCCGAUGGUCGACGAAAUAAUCUUGGAUUAUUCUAUUCUUGGAAACCGAGAUCCUGAUUGUAUGGGCGAACAGGAUUGAUGGGCUAUCAUCAGAUUCCUUAAAUAGCUCGGAUGAUCUUCUUGAUUGAUUCCGUCCAAUGGGUAGAUUGGAGGAAUUCCUUUGGUAAGUACCAACGGCUAUGAUGGCAUGAAAGAGUAUAAAAGGAAGACGUUCUAGUUGUUUCAAGUGUGUGAUCGAUAGAAAAAUUCCAGAGUCUGAAGAUCCUUGAUUGUUAGUUGAGACUGAGCGAAAUUGUAUACAGAGAGUGUUUAUACUUGGUGACGCCUUGAGUGAGUGUGGUAGAUCAUCUACACCUAGAAAUCAAGGAAGAUCAACACUGUAACAACUCUUUGAUCAUAGUGGAAUCCAGCCAAUCGGCUGUCAGUGCAGAAGAGUGGACGUAGGCUUGAAUCAAGCCGAACCACUAUAAACCGAGUGUUCAAUUCUCUCUUUCCCUUACUCAGUCUUGCGAUUGAAUUUUUAACUGUUGCAAAUUCUCUAAUUGUUUAAAUAUCGUGCAAGCUUCGAGAAAUUUUUUGUAUACCUAUUCACCCCCCCUCUAGGUACUCGUACUAGCUACUUCAAUUGGUAUCAGAGCUCGUGUUCUUACUUUGUUUGAAGUGUUUUACUUCAAAGUAAAAGAUCCAUGGCUAGUAUGCUAGCACCGGGGCUGAUGGAGGGGCAAAGCAAUACCAGACCUCCCUACUUCGAUGGAAAGGAUUACAACAUCUGGAAGAACAAGAUGAAAGCUUUCCUACGAUCAAAGGAUCCUCUGGAAUGGGACGUAGUGGAAAAAGGAAUCACUCCUGCUGCUGCAUCAAUCACUGAAAGAGGGAAAGAAACUGUUGAAACCAGCGGAAUGUCUCAAGAAGAAAUAAACAAGAGACAAGCACUCGAUGCUAAAGCAAUUUAUUCGUUAUAUUGUGCUUUGUCACCAACUGAAUAUAACUGAAUAUCUUCUUGUGUUACAGCAAAAGAAGUCUGGGACAGGUUACAUAUCACUUAUGAAGGGACAGAUCGAGUGAAGGAGACCAGAAUUAACAUUCUUCUUGGUCAAUAUGAAUCCUUCAAAAUGAAACCAGGAGAAUCUAUAACUGACAUGUUUAGUCGUUUUACAGUUAUUGUCAAUGGUCUUGAGAACCAAGGACAAAAAAUUUCUGAUCCCAUGAAGGUGAACAAGCUUCUACGUGGACUCUCCAAGGAUUGGAAUCAUAUAAAGACUUCAAUAAGAGAGACGCAAAGAAUCAUGCCAUUAUCUGUAGACGAACUGAUUGGAACUCUUCAGUCUUACGAAGUGGAACGAAUUAAUGAAGACGAAUAUCCAAGAGGUAAGAAAUCUAUUGCACUAAAAUCAAAUGAUGAUUCUGAUGGUGCAGAUUCUGAAGAUGAUAUGGAUGAUAAGGAGCUCGCCCUCAUGAUAAGAAGAUUCAGAAAACUGAAUAGAAAAGGCAGAAGGUUCAUCCCAAAGAAACAAAGUUUUCAGAGACAGCAGACCAAGUCUGUUGAUGAUGAGGAACCAAACAAAGAUGUAGUUUGCUUCGAAUGUAAAAAGAAGGGACACAUCAGACCCAACUGUCCUCUUCUGAAAAAGAAAAGAGGAAAAGCUGAGAAAUCUCGAAAAGCUCUUAAAGCCGAAACCUGGAGCGAUACAGAGUGUGAAGAGAGUGAUGAGGAAUAUGCCAACCUGUGUCUAAUGGCGCAAUCAGACUCAGACUCUGGAUCAGACUCAGACAGUGAAUUUGAGGUAAGUGAUUAUAAAAUCCCUGUCAAAGUCUCUAAAUAUAUUGAUGAGUUAUGUUUUAGUCUUAAGACUUCUCUUAAAAAGAUUUCCGAACUUAAAAAGGAAAACUCAGUUUUAAAACAAAAGGAAAACAUUUUAGAAGAAAAGGUAAAAAAUUUAGACUUGAAUGUUUCUACUCUUAAAGAGAGUGAAGACAAUCUUUCAAAAGAAAAUGCUUUCUUAAAAACUGAUUUAUCAAAUAUUUCAAAGAAAUUUUCAAUAGGGUCCGAAAAACUUGAAAAAGUCCUUUCAAUCCAAAGACCUUACUUCAAUAAGUCAGGUCUAGGUAUGACAGCUGAAACAAUCCCUUUGAUUGAUUUUCCGAAAGUAAAAGAAAGAAUUAAGAAAAGACCAUCGAGAGAGGCUUAUAAAAAUCAUUUCAAAAGAGUUUUUGUAAAGCCUAUAGGUCGAAAUGCUUUAAGGUGUUCUAAGUGUAACAGUCAGGAUCAUUUUGAAAAAGAGUGUCCUAUGGUUUGGAAGCCUGUUAAGAGAGUAUGGCCUAAUAAUGCUCAUCCUACUAACACCAAAGGACCCAAGAAAAUUUGGGUACCAAAGAAAGCUUGAGACUCUUUUUUGAAUGCAGGUCUCUGUCAAAAAGAAGGUAAAGUGGUAUCUUGACAGCGGAUGCUCAAGACACAUGACAGGAGACUCAAAAUGUUUCAUAAAGCUUAUUAAAGUAAAUGGUGGAAAAGUUUCAUUCGGAGGAAAUAGCAAAGGAAGUAUUGUGGGAUUCGGAACUGCGAAAAUUGGAAAUCUCACAAUAAGCAAUGUCUCUCUAGUGGAAGGACUCAACUACAAUCUACUCAGCAUUAGCCAAUUGUGUGAUACUGGUUACAAGAUCUUCUUUCAAGAAGGCAUAUGUUCUGGAAUUAGCAAAGAUUCGACUCAGUCUUUCAUGGGUCGAAGGCAUGGAAACAUCUACCUCCUUGAUGUAAAGCCAAAUGAAGAACAAUGCUUAAUCUCAAUUCAAGAUGAAGCAAUUCUAUGGCACAGAAAACUUGGCCAUAUCAACAAGAAGCAAUUAGCCAAAAUCUCUUCAAAGCAGCUUGUUCGAGGUCUACCUAAACUGCCAUAUCAAAAGUCUGACUUAUGCACUCCAUGCAUUCUGGGAAAACAGGUAAGAAAUUCAUUUAAGCAAAUAAAUCAUGUAUCUACUAAUCAUGUACUACAGUUGCUUCACAUGGAUCUCUUCGGACCAACAAGAACCCAGAGCAUUAGAGGUUAUUCCAAAUGGACGUCAAAAGUGCUUUCCUAAAUGGAUUUAUCCAUGAGGAAGUUUAUGUGGAACAACCGCCUGGAUUUGAAGACCCAAAGAAGCCAGACUCAGUCUUCAGACUGAAAAAGGCUCUGUAUGGUCUAAAGCAAGCACCUCGAGCUUGGUACGACAGACUAAGUAAGUUUUUAUUACAAAAUGGUUUUGUCAAAGGUAAAGUAGAUACUACUUUGUCUAUCAAAAAGGAAAACAAAAACUUUUUACUUGUUCAAAUAUAUGUUGAUGACAUUAUAUUUGGAUCCUCUAAUGAAAGUCUUUGCAAGAAAUUUUCUAAGUCUAUGCAGGAUGAAUUUGAAAUGAGUAUGAUGGGAGAGUUAACAUUCUUUCUUGGACUCCAAGUGAAACAAAUGAAGGAAGGAACUUUCAUCCAUCAAGAAAAAUAUGCGAAUGAUCUUGUCAAAAGGUUUGGAUUGGAAAAGUGCAAAAAGAUCGAUAUACCAAUGUCAUGUUCUCAGAAGAUAGACAAGGAUGAAGAAGGGAAGAAAGUAGAUCAAAAGCUGUACAGGAGCAUGAUCGGUUCACUUCUUUAUCUUACUGCUUCUAGACCUGAUAUUUUGUUUAGUGUUUGUAUCUGUGCUAGGUUUCAAUCAGAUCCUAGAGAAUCACAUCUCAUUGCCGUGAAACGAAUUAUCAAAUACGUUGCUUCAUCUUCAAGCAUCGGUCUUUGGUAUCCAAAGAGGGGAGACUUUAAUCUUCUAGGAUACUCAGAUGCAGAUCUGGCCGGUUGCAGAGUCGAUAGAAAGAGCACUUCUGGAACUUGUCAACUACUUGGAAACAGAACGGUGUCUUGGUUUUCGAGGAAGCAAAACACUGUAGCUUUUUCAACGACAGAAGCAGAGUAUGUAGCUCUUGGAAGCUGCUGUUCGCAAAUUCUAUGGAUAAAACAACAGCUACAAGACUUUGGCAUUGAAGACUCAUGCACAGAAAUUAGAUGUGACAACACCAGCGCUAUCAAUCUCACCAAAAAUCCAAUCCUUCAUUCAAGAGCAAAGCAUAUUGAGAUUCGACAUCACUUUAUUAGAGAUCAUAUUCAAAAUGGAGAAAUCUCGAUUCAAUUUGUUGAUUCAAAAAGUCAACUAGCGGACAUAUUCACAAAGCCUUUGGAGAAGAAUCAGUUCGACUUUAUCCGCUCGAGACUCAACAUUUUGAAGCUUGAAGAAGUUAAAGUCUAAAGACUCACCAACUCUAAGACUCUGAUCUCUUAGACUCUAAAUCCUGAGACUCAAUCAUCCAUGGCUAUAGACUGUAAGUUGUAAAAGGUACUAAUUGUCAUUUAGUUAUAUUAACUCGAAAAGGUACGAUCUUUUGUUUAAUAAUUUUGGCAGUUAUUGAUUUUGAAAAGUAGUGAUCGUUCACUUUCCUUGCACCGAUUGAACUUUCUUUUUCAAAACUGAGUUAUAUAUAUACAGUUUUUUUUUCCUUUCCCCAAUCUUCAAAACCCUAAAAGGCACUCUCCUCUCGAUACUGUUUCUACUCUUUGUUCAUCGUCGAGAAAGUGGUCAUUUUCCUUGGGAAAGCAAGUGAAGGAAUCCUCCAAUAGACAAAGAAGGAUGUCGACUUCGAGGAAAUCAUCAAGAAUCGCAAACAGGGGACCACAAAGAAUGAAGAAGGGACCGACUCAUUUCGAUCUCACUGAGGAAGAAGACUUACCAAGUCAGCGACAGAGUCCGAUUCGCUCUCCUCCACGUCAUUCAGCAUCUCCUGCCCCACAAAGUGCAAGUCACAAUCUGGAAGAAGAGAUAAUCGAGGAUGCCGACCCAGUAAGAGUUCAAAAGCCCUCCUUUUUGUAUACUCUUUAUCGUGCAUUGAAAAGCACAGGUACUCCAUUGAACUAUAUAGAUGACUUCCUUAAGGACAAAAAUUAUGGGAAUGAGUAUCUUUUUCUGAAGAAAAUGGAGGAAUGGGGAAUUGCCCCGAAAGGAAAAGCAGAGGAAGCACUUGCGAACAUUCCAAGAGAUCCUCGUAUGCCAGGACAAAAUCUGAUUGACGGGAACGAUGAUGACAAAAUGUUCCUUGAAUUUAAACCUAAAAUGGGUGUGGCAGUAAAGGUGAAAGGAAAUCGGAUGGAUUUGUUUAAAUCCAAGGAUCAGGAAAAAGUGUAUUUCAGUCUGUUGAAAAGAGGGGUAAUCAACCCUAGAAGUGUCGAUUUUGACUUCCUGGAUUCCAUCAACUUGAACCUAAGAGAGAAGUUGAAUUUGCUUCAACUUGAGACUUUCUGCUCUGACUCUACAGACGGGUAUGAUCAUCUGACCGCUUAUUUCUAUUCAAAUCUUAGCUUUUUGGAUGCGAAUAGAAUUUCAUUCAGUGUUCGAGACAGUCUAUGUGGUAGAUGUGAAUAUGUUGACGGACAUAGUUGGAGUUGAACGGGGACGCUAUCUCCCAAUCAAAGUCUCACAUGCUCGAACUACUCUGGAUCUUGUCAAAGAUAGGGAUGUAGAUAAGAAAAUUAUCUAUUCCAGGAUGAAUGCCAUCAACAUUGUGCUUCACAAGAUUGUGAUCAAUUGUCUCAGACCUAAGUCUACUUCAAAGACUUCUGUGUCUCUUUCUGAAGCAAAAUUGAUGUAUGCGAUCAACUCAGGACGGAAGUUCUCUCUCCCGCACACUAUUCUCUUCCAUAUGUACAGAGCAGUGUCAAAAGACAAAGGACAAUUGCCUUAUCCUGGUCUGGUGACCAAGAUCUUCAGACAUCUGAAUAUUGAACUGCCACAUUCUUUUUGUGUUCGAACGUGUGAUAAGAUGGUGGUAGGGUUGAAAAUGUUAAUGAAGAUGCGUCUGCAAGAACUCUCUAAGGCAAUGGAGAAAUUCAAAGUGAAAUCUCCAGUCCAGUCUGCUUCAAAAAGGAAAGGAAAGAAGGCCAUUGGUACUUCAUCGAAAAAGAGGAAAAGAACUCUUAUCCUGGAGGAUGAGGAUGAGGAUGAAGAUGAUGAAGAUCCCACUAUUCCAGCACUGACAAGAACAAGACGUUCUGUGUCUUAUCCGACAGAACUUCAGCAGAGCAGAGAAGAAGAAGAACAGAGAGAGAAGGAGAAAGAAGUUGAGGAAGAAAGAGAAGAAGAAAAAGAACAGUCUGCUGAUAAAUCUGGAGAGAAGGGAAAUCAAGAGCAUGAUCAUCACUCUUCCCCUUUCGAUGUCCUAGAGACAGGGGGAGUUAGUGAGCAAGAGAGGUCUCCACCUCAUGCUGAAGAUCCAAGACAAUCUCCAGAAGACCCAGAAGAAGUUCAGGUCUCUCAAUUGCCUGAAGAAGGUGAUACGUCGAUUCCAAAUUUGCCAGACCGAACAGAAGCGCCAUCGUCUGCAUACACACCUUCUGAGAAAGUCAAUGCCAGUACACAGACGGAUGAUUCUGCAGAUCUUCGUAGUAUCAUGAAUAUUCUUCUGGAAAUGCGUAACCAGAUAUAUAUUCUGGACUGUGAAAUCCAAGCUUUGAAGCAUGCUGGACAAGCAUCUUCAGUCUCUCUGGAAGAUAAAUUCAAAGACCUCGCUCUGCAACUUCAAGCCAAUGCCAAGAGAGAAGAGGUAGCUCAUCUGCGAGAAGAUCUGAAGAAGCUCGAAGGAGUAGUCCAGUCCAUUGGGGAUUUCCAGAUCGUGCGCAUUCCCAAGCAGACAUGACUCCUUUCUCACCCUCUUUUUAAUGAUGACAAAAAGGGGGAGAACCAAUUUGAACAAACAUUAUUUUAAAACUUUAUUUGACUUUUGUGUUUAUGUUUAUUUUUGAGUAUGACUUGAGAACUUGAACUUGAGUGUUAGACUGAAUUGGCUGUGGAUUUUGAUGCUUGACUGGUUGCAUUUAUAUCAAGUAUUGUUACAUGGUAUUACUCAUGAAAGACUAACCAAUUUGCUGUGGAUGCAGAGUCUGGUUGUUUAUUAAUCUUUAUGAGUUAGCCAUAUUGCUUGAGAAAUGUUUUUGCAGGUCAAAGUUGUUCAAAUCUUCAAGAAAGUUUUGUCACCAUCAAAAAUGGGGAGAUUGUUGGAGAAAUCUUUCCAGGAUAUUUUGAAGCUGACAAAACAUUUCUAUCAGUCUAAGUCUGGAUAUCGAUAGUUAAAGUCUCAAGACUUUAUAGUCUCAAGACUUUGUUAUCUCAAGACUCAAGACUCAAGACUCAAGACUCAAAAUUAUUCUCACUGACAGUCUUUCUAAUCCAGUGUUGAAGGAAAUUCAAAGCCGAGGUUUAUGGUUGAGGAUUUGAUCCUAUCCUCUGGAAUAGAUUCUUUGGUUGGAUAAUCAUUUCGGAUUCUUUAAUUCUUAUCUAAGAUCGAUUGAAGAUCCGAUGGUCGACGAAAUAAUCUUGGAUUAUUCUAUUCUUGGAAACCGAGAUCCUGAUUGUAUGGGCGAACAGGAUUGAUGGGCUAUCAUCAGAUUCCUUAAAUAGCUCGGAUGAUCUUCUUGAUUGAUUCCGUCCAACGGGUAGAUUGGAGGAAUUCCUUUGGUAAGUACCAACGGCUAUGAUGGCAUGAAGGAGUAUAAAAGGAAGACGUUCUAGUUGUUUCAAGUGUGUGAUCGAUAGAAAAAUUCCAGAGUCUGAAGAUCCUUGAUUGUUAGUUGAGACUGAGCGAAAUUGUAUACAAAGAGUGUUUAUACUUGGUGACGCCUUGAGUGAGUGUGGUAGAUCAUCUACACCUAGAAAUCAAGGAAGAUCAACACUGUAACAACUCUUUGAUCAUAGUGGAAUCCAGCCAAUCGGCUGUCAGUGCAGAAGAGUGGACGUAGGCUUGAAUCAAGCCGAACCACUAUAAACCGAGUGUUCAAUUCUCUCUUUCCCUUACUCAGUCUUGCGAUUGAAUUUUUAACUGUUGCAAAUUCUCUAAUUGUUUAAAUAUCGUGCAAGCUUCGAGAAAUUUUUUGUAUACCUAUUCACCCCCCCUCUAGGUACUCGUACUAGCUACUUCACAUCUAACAACUUACAGCUCCAUAUAUCGAUCAAUUAUUUAAAAUUUCUAAGGUUUAAAAGAAUAAUUCAGUGAUAUCGUAUCAUUUUAAGAGGUAUUGGAUUCAGAUGAAAUUGUUAGUACAUGGAGUUAACAUGGAAUGAAUACAACAAAAGUCAACGUCCAUUUGCAGAUUCCAUAUGGGUAGUUUUGGGAUUUUAUCUUCCAUUUCGCUGCUUUCGUUCUUGUGCUAAUUUACAAGUAUAAUGCUUACUCCGCCCAGAAGCUUUCUUAUUCUGCCUAGAUUUAGUAUUUUUUUUUUUUAAGUGGGGUUCCUUGCCUUAAAGAAAUUUUGACUAAUUUAUUUUGCAUCAAAUUUGACUAAUAGCAGAAACAUGCUUGAAACAAUCACAUUCCGCUUUUCUGAUAUGAUAAUUCAAGCUCUUGUUUUACACCAUGGUGGAUUUGUUCCAUUGAUACAUGUCUUGUACCUUGGAAUGAGAGAAUGAACUUGCAAAUCACAUGAAAAACGAAGAAUUUAUUGAGAUUGAGACUCGAAGAUUUAGAAUAAUGGUCAAGCAAUUGAGUCAUUCUAACACCUAAUGUCAAUUGAAUUCGUGAACAAGAAGGGUGAUACCUUUUUCAAUGAAAUAGCAAUGGCCAUAAAGGCAAAAUUCCUCAAACAUUACAAGAAUGUCUCGCUCUUUUUUUUUUUUUUUUUUUGGUAGCCACUGCCUUGGCUUCAAGGUUCAAGUUGGAGGGGCUCACAAUGCUUCCUAUUCCAUAUUACAAAUCUUUGGGACUGAGUCAGGAGCUCCAACUGGAGCACAUAUUGGCGAUAACGACGAGUAGACUCUCAAAUAUGCAUGUGGCAUAUGUUGGUCGAUAUAAUACAAUCCAUCUACAAAGAAAGAAUGCAGCCUCAUUAAGUAGUGCCCACAAACCUCUAUGGUCUUUGCUUCGAAGAACACCCCACGGUCUGCUAGGUAUUCAUCUUCAUUGUCUACUGGUGAAUUGGAGAUGUAAUUGGGAAUAGACUACACCAAGCACAUUAAUAGAGUUGGUGAAAAUAACCUCGAGAACGUGAAAUGGUGGAACUUGUGACUUACUCAUUCCACUGACAUAUACGGCACCUUCGAAGUCUAUGUUCAUUACUAGCCAACUUUUGGAAGUCAAAUAGAUCCAACUUGUUUGCGUAAAAUUUAGAAAUAAUUAGCGUAGGGUGAAAUUAGUUUUUACAAGAAUCAACUCCAUAGGAAUGUACCCAACAUGGACACAAGAACAACAAUGACACUGUAUAGUCCAAAUCAUGGUGAGGAUAUGAAUUAGUAUCGGAUGAAAGAGGGAAGAGUCAAAGAUCCAAUGGUGUUCCAUUUAUCCUACUAUUGCUCUGGAAGACAUUUGGGUUUCAUUUGUUUCGCGGAAAACAAUUUCCAAGAAAAGUUUUUUGGAUAUUUCAAGGUUCGUUUAAUAGAAAAUGAACUAGUUGAGAAAAAUAUUUUGCAUUAAUAGCAAAAAGUUUUCUAAAAUAGGAGAAAACAUUUUCCUCACUUACUCUAUGUUAUCUCACACCCUUGCUAGCCUCUUCAUCUUUCUUUUUUUCUUUUUAAAAAAAUUUGAAAAUUUUAAAUCAUUUUUCAUUUUUUUCCUUUCUUUUAUUUUCCUUCUUUUCGGGCCCAUCCUAUGGUUGGUGAUUGACCAAAGAAGGAGGAAAAGAAAAAAAAAAAAAGAGGUAAAAAUAGAAAAGAAAAAGUAAAAGAAAAAAAAAGCCGAAAGAAAAUUUAAAAAUAAAAUAAUCAAAAUUUCGAUUUUUUAAAAAAUAAAAACAUAAAAAAAUUAUUAAAUUGAGUGCACAAAAAGAAAUUGAAUCGAAUUUUCUACAUUGAAUGGCGAAAAAUAUUUUCUAGUUCAUUCUCGUGUUUCAAGCAAACACCGGAUAAUAUUGUUAUUUUCUUAAAAAAUGACUUUCUAGAAAAUAUUUUCCAGAAUCACAACAUUUUAUGCGAAACGAAUGAAGCCAUGGAGAGUGCCUAGAUACCUUUGAUUCCUGGGGUUUAUGACUAAUAACUAAUAAGAGCCAGCAAAAAUCGUAUUUUUCAUAUCAUCAUAACUGUCCAUUAUCUAUUAAGCCAAAAAACGACAAGUAUGUUCCUAGCAAAAGGCAUAACUCUCACUAGUUUUACAUGUUACUCCUUUUAAUAGCAUUCUCAUGAUAUGGAGCAAUUACUCUGUAAAUCUGAUAACCAAAAAAAUGUUGGAUGUAAUGUAAAUCUCAUAAAAAAAGAAAAGAAAAGAAAUUCACGAUCAACAUAAGCAAAGCAAGCAGGAGAGAAGAAAAUUAAUUUUAUGAAUCUAAAUAAAGAUGAUAAUUUCACCAACUUAAUGAAGUAACUACUUUUGGCUGUGCUGAUUUAUAUUUUCAAGUAACAUAUAGCUUUCAGAUAUAAAUUUCAGCUGUCCUCAGACACUUGAUGAUAAACUAACAUUAGGAUCACACCUAUCGCAUAUUCAUUCAUUCACAUCUAUGGACUGUGACUUAUAUUGCCUCACUCUUGUCAAUUUAAAGGAAAAAGAGUAUAAUUAUAGAAGAAUAACAUUACCAUGUAUGCCAUUAGAACAAUAUGAGUUACUUAGAGUCAAUAGGCAAAUUGAAGAGUUUGAUGUAUAACAUAUUUACGAAGCAUUGUUGAACAUCUAGAUUUUAUUAAAAUACUUAAGAGAAACCGUGCAGACCCCAUAAGAAACCCAAUCGUAAAAUGCAAAAUUUUGGUACAGUUAUUAUCUUAUAAUUUUCCACCACAUCAUUUAUUUAUUAAGUUUAUAUAAUAUUUUCAAGAUAAAUAAUGGCCUCUCGUCUCCUUAUGCAACCAAGCAAGUGAGAUGGUAGAAGACUUUGACUUGCUUGUAAUUACUAGAAUCUUCCCCCUAGGUUUUGCCGGCUUUUUAUCUUAUCCCUUUCUUUGCAGCUAAGCAAGCAAGAUAGUGGAAGACUUUAACUUGCUUUUUCUUCCCCUUCCUUCCCCCCCCCCCUUUCUUUUGAGUAGGUCUUGUUGACUUUUGCCUUAUCACUUUCUUUGCGAUUAAGCAAGCAAGAUGGCGGAAGACUUAGACUUGUUUUCCCUCACUAGAGAAUUUUUUAAAAGGUAAUUAACUCGGUUCAUAGAAAAAUUGAUAUAGAAUCUCCGAAAAAGUCUUUUUCUUGAUAAAGAUUUCUUUUGCAAAAUGCAAAUACUAACAUGAGCAUGCUAUGUAUGGAGAAAUAUCCUAUUGACCCAAUUUGGCAUCGUGCUUGAUUACUGCAACAACAUAUUUGUUCUUGAGAUAUCAAUCCUCGAUGAUGGUCAGAAUGACUCACGUAUAGCUCGAUGCAUGCCAGAAUGACUCAAAUGUGACGCUAGAUCUAGUCAAGUGUCGUUACAACAAGAUGCCUCUAUUUUUUAGUAGAGCCAUGACAAAGGGUUGGGGGGGGGGGGGGGGAGAGAGAGAGAGAGAGAGAGAGAUUGCGGGGGAGGGGAUAGAGAUAGGGGAUAAGUUGUGGAAGGCAUCAUUGGUGUUGGUUAGGGGAGUGAUUAUGGGAUGGUGACAUUAAUUGGUAGUGGUAGUGAAGGGGGGGUUGGUGGAGAGAAAGAGAGAGAAACGAUGCGGUAGAAUAAAUGGUAUUUCAUGUGACAAUUGUACGGAGGAGGUUUGGCUGAAUUGCCCCAAAUUGAUGUUGUCAUCUGGACGUGAAGCGCAUUGAUAUCAAGAGAAAGAUCAUGUUUAGAAAACUAAAAAAGAUAGGAUCCAUAUAAGUUCCUCUUGAGUUCCACUAGAUCUAGAAGUUUGUAACGAGUAUGGAACGAACGACGUACCACUCAAUUGUUGGUCAAAGCAAUAGGCAAGUGAAGAAAAAGCUCAUGUAGUUGUCACACCACAUACAAUGGGCUCCAUAUGCCGGGGGUUCCACACUCGAGCAUGAGGCCAACUAAGGAGUCCCGUGAAAGCAAAUGGAAAAAUCAAUUUUAUUUUUUCUCCGUUGAUUAACAUGAAUUGCAUAUAGACAUGAUUCAGACUCAUUAAAAUAUAUAUUAAAUUAAAUACUUUGAAUUCAUAAAAGCAUAUUUUUUAAAUUUUAGCUAAUUCGUAUAUGAUCCAAGUCACUGAAUAUGGUUAAGAUGUAAAUUUUUUACCAUUUCAAUGCCUCUAGCAGUGAGAGGCUUUCAUUUCAAUGGGAAGGGAAAGCAAAGUGUUGUCCAUCUGCACUUUGAUUUAUGCGGUCAUGCGAUCCCAUUACAUAGAGAACUAACAAAAGCUGAGAGUUAAUCGGUUAAAGUAGUAAAUUUUUUCAACAAGGAUGCGUAAAUCCAUGGUGGGAUUGUGUGUAUCCCAAGCACAUCUGGCUCAUCUUUUAAGGUAAGAGGGGAAGUAAUUUCCAAUGUGAACACUUUGCAGAAGUUGCCAAUUAAAGUAGAUGAUUGUGGGGCUCUUUCGAAAUAGUAUCGUAUGAAAACUAAUUUCCAUUGUGAACACCUUGACUUCAACAUAAAAGUAUGUACUCUUUCAAUUAAUGGGGCUAGAAAAGCAAAAGCCGAGGAUAAAGCAAAAUCUUCAAUUUGAUUUAAGUGGCCAUGAGGUCCAAUUACAAUCUAAUGGCUACGUCAAUCAGCAAUAGGGGUGCCAAUCAAUCAAUAAUUUGAGUGGCAAAGUGGAGCCAUUGUCAAAAGGUGAGGAUAAAGCAAAAAGUAUUGCCCAUCUUCAAAAAGUUAAUUUUCACUAUGAUUUGCUUGGCCAACGGAUCCAAUAACAAAAAGAACUAACAAGGAAAGUCUACAAAGGGGUCGUCUUGGCAAUUUCGAGGGAGGAAUUGUUUUGGGCUCUUGGUCAAAAAGGUUAGAAUCAAAAGAAGUCUCGGCAAUUUCAAGGAAGGAAUUGUUUUGGGGUCUUGGCCAAAAAGGUUAAAAUCAAAAGAAGACAUGGGAUGGUCCUCGGUAAGACCUUAAACUGCAGCAGUCCGGGGGGGACAACCUCGAUAACAAGGCCCCGCGCGGGCAUGUAAUCCCGUGCCUCCCCUCCUUGGGGUCCCCGAAGGCCAUACGAGGGGUAUUCCCUUUCCUGGGGAAGAAAAUUAUCCGGUUGGGGGCAAAAGCCUGGCCCCUGGAAAAUACNNNNNNNNNNNNNNNNNNNNNNNNNNNNNNNNNNNNNNNNNNNNNNNNNNNNNNNNNNNNNNNNNNNNNNNNNNNNNNNNNNNNNNNNNNNNNNNNNNNNNNNNNNNNNNNNNNNNNNNNNNNNNNNNNNNNNNNNNNNNNNNNNNNNNNNNNNNNNNNNNNNNNNNNNNNNNNNNNNNNNNNNNNNNNNNNNNNNNNNNNNNNNNNNNNNNNNNNNNNNNNNNNNNNNNNNNNNNNNNNNNNNNNNNNNNNNNNNNNNNNNNNNNNNNNNNNNNNNNNNNNNNNNNNNNNNNNNNNNNNNNNNNNNNNNNNNNNNNNNNNNNNNNNNNNNNNNNNNNNNNNNNNNNNNNNNNNNNNNNNNNNNNNNNNNNNNNNNNNNNNNNNNNNNNNNNNNNNNNNNNNNNNNNNNNNNNNNNNNNNNNNNNNNNNNNNNNNNNNNNNNNNNNNNNNNNNNNNNNNNNNNNNNNNNNNNNNNNNNNNNNNNNNNNNNNNNNNNNNNNNNNNNNNNNNNNNNNNNNNNNNNNNNNNNNNNNNNNNNNNNNNNNNNNNNNNNNNNNNNNNNNNNNNNNNNNNNNNNNNNNNNNNNNNNNNNNNNNNNNNNNNNNNNNNNNNNNNNNNNNNNNNNNNNNNNNNNNNNNNNNNNNNNNNNNNNNNNNNNNNNNNNNNNNNNNNNNNNNNNNNNNNNNNNNNNNNNNNNNNNNNNNNNNNNNNNNNNNNNNNNNNNNNNNNNNNNNNNNNNNNNNNNNNNNNNNNNNNNNNNNNNNNNNNNNNNNNNNNNNNNNNNNNNNNNNNNNNNNNNNNNAUAGAUUGAAUUAGAGAAACUUCAAUUUAGUGUGGUUUCCAUAUGAUUUUUUUUUGGUGACCCGAGAACCACUGUACAGCCGGCAAUCGGCGAUGUAAACCUGGGGCGACUAAGCCACCACCACAGACCCAAUCACAGUUGAGUUGCGUGAUUUGCGGUACACGGGAUUUGAACCCCUCCAUCCUGCACAUAUGUCAUAGGGGCGCUUAUCCAGUGUAGCCACCACGGGCAGUGGUUGGUUUCCAUAUGAUUUAAUGAGGGAAAAUUAUCAAAAAAGUUCUAAAUUUAUUGCACUUUUACCAAUUCAAUUAUAAAUUUUUUAAUUCAAUUUGUUUAAUCUUUAACUUAUUAAUAAUUUCCCAAUAUAAUCUAUUUGUAUAAUUUUGAUAUAAAAUUGUUGAUUUGAACUAUGAGCGUCUUUACUUGACAUGGCUGGUGAGGACUGGCAGCCUGACCAUAGCGGGCUCUCGGCUCCUGCUUGCCGUGUAUGAGGGCAGCGUGCCUCGGCCUUCACCUGCCAAUCAGCUUUUUGAUUCGCCGUUCUUCCACAGUGGGCCACCCAUAUUCUUUUGAAAUUUCGCCAACUUUGGGUUGGGCGUCCAAGACACGUGCCUCCACCUAAACAUGGCACGUGAUCAUGUUCCCGCCGCAGAAAGUGAACACAGAACCGCGUCGUCGGACUCCCCAGGUACAAGUUCUAUCUACUUCCAUAUCUGAAGCAUAUCGAAGCCUCUACGACCAGAGCGAGAGCUUCGGCUUAUAUCGGCGGAGGAAGCAGCGAUCUUCUUUCUCGUGAAUCCACCGAGCAGUACACCCGAGGCCAUCGCGAAGAGCAUCUGCAGUCACUCCUUCCGAACCACCGGCCUCAAAGGACUGGUUUUUCAGCAGGCACCAAUCAGCAGGUAAAAUCAACUCGAAUCGUCUCGAGUUUCGAACUUUUCAGUGUUCCGCUUGCUAUAAUUUCUGAUAAUGGACUCCGCUGAGGUGAGUAGGGUUCUUGGAUUUGGGGGGUCUUUGGUGGAACACGAGGGUCGUUUCUGGAUUUUAUCGAAAUACGGUAAGUUCCCCCUAUGUAGUUGGUGAUUUCGUAGCCACUACUCGUCCUUUCUCGCGACGUUCUGACCUGAGAUGAUCUGCAAAUUUACCUUCGUCUCUUUCCAAACCAAGCCGGUCUAGGUCGAGGCGUGAAGGUGAUCCUCGGAAUUGCGCAGCCUUUCGGGACUCGGACCCAACUCGAUCUGCUUCAAGGCGACUUCUUCUCAAACACUGAAACCCGUCACAACUAUUUCAUCUCUGAAUCGCUGCUAGAGGUAAGCACAACCUUCAUUCUCUGGUCCAUACCAAUUGAUAGCACAAAGAAUAAAAUACAUGUGAUUAUUACUCAUCCCAUGACGCCUAACAUCCUUUUAAGGCAUACAGAAUAAUACAUGUGAAAUUCCUUCGACUUUUGUAAAAUCAUUAUCAAAUACAUAUUACUAAUUUUUGUUACUACAAUCUUGUCAUUUAAACUAAUCGGUUGAAUUUGGUGGAAUCACACGUUGGCCCUUAUCCCGGUAUUGUUUUCAAAACAUCAACGGUUCACUGAACUCCAUUGGGAUGAAGGCCCCAUUCCAUGAAAAUUAUGAAAAUACCCUUCUAGACCUGAUUUUGGGUCCAUUGGCCCUAUAGGUACCCCACUUGUCAAAAAUUACUUAAAGCUUGAAACAUCCAAAAUACUUAGUUUUUGUAGAAAUAAUUGUCUUUUUUCUCUUGAAAACAGUUUAAAACUAACUAUAUAUAUAUAUAUAUAUAUAUUUCCAAAUAUAGAUCGUGCUGGUCUAUUCUCUUCAAUAAUUGCAGAAAACCUUUCAAAGCCUACGGAUCAAAAUUGUCAACGACAAAAAUUUAUUUGAACAGAUCAGAUCAACUAGAGAAUUUUUGAAUGUCCAUAAAACUAUUAUCCAUUAUAUUGGUAAUGAUCAUAAUUUUUGGAAAAUGACAGAAUAUUCAAAUAUUUUUUGGAAGUUAUGAAAAAUACACAAUUGUACUUAUUAUUAUUAUUAUUAUUUUUGGUGGUGCUGGUCACAAUGGAAAACUUGAAAGUGAGCAAUGCUGCUGUUUUCAAUGCACUCACACAUAUUUAAUAUGUGGAUUAUGUGGGUUAAAAUAGAGAAACUUGUCAUAAAGUGUGGUUUUCAUGAGAUUUAACUGCUUACAGCAAAGCAGUGAUAUAGCAUAUAAAGUUACCAACCUACGAUAGAUUUGACAAUAUGAUUUAUGCAUGUGUAGGGUGGGAGAGAAUGUAGCGUUUACAGGAGGAAGAACGUCUAUGAUAAUAUCAUACUGAUAUAUUAGCAGGAGCCACAUUUAUUUGUUUAACAAUAUGGUUUAUAAGUAGAUAUGAACAGAAUUGGUCAUUCUGUACUCUCGUCCAAAUUGUGCUCUCUCACAUUCAGCCUCUCUCUUGCAGAACAAUUCGGAACUAUUGUCCUCUCUUGCUUGCUUUGAUCUUUUCCCUCUUGAAAGUUUUCACCCGGGCUUGUUUAAGGUCUCCUCUCUCCAAUCUCGCACCUCUCUUUGCAUCUCAGCUCACGGAAGGUAAUUGCUUUUUCAUGUCUUAUUAGCGUGUCGAUUCUAUUGAUCCGUUGCUUUGUUAUUGGAAUAAUCGGCUGAACUAAGUGCAUUUUGGGCCCCUUUUUGUCAAUUGGGGAUGUGGGGUGGCCACUAAAUAGCAAAGGAGGGUCUUUUAUUCUCUCUCUAGAGUCGUCGUUACCUGUUAACGAGGAAUGUACCCAGCUCAGACUUGACUUUGGUGAAAAAAGAAAACCUUUGUUUUCGACUAUAGACGUAGCUAAUCCUAAGAAUGUCUGAUUGUUAGUUGCAUCGUAAUUCAGUAUUGAUCUUUUGUUGAACUAGAACGAGUAGGUCUGCAAGCGCGCUAGACUCUAUUGCGUGCAAAAUUGCCACAUUUCGCUUGAACCCAUAGGCCAUUUCUUUUUUUAUGAAUUGUGAGGUUUUUCUGUGUUUGAAGGUCCUAGAUCAAUUUAUAGAAAAAAAAAAUCAGAAAAAUAGAAGUAGGCUAGUUCUUGGGUCAACUAGUUUUGUUCUCGGUUACAAAAAUGGAGAACUAAUUAUUACAGAAUCAGUUCCCGAUUCUUAGUUUAGAACUUACUCAUCCUGAAACCAAUCAUCCUAAGAGUUAGUGUUCUCUUAAGGAGAUAAUGUUCGACAAUUUUACCUCCCUAUAGAACAUUCCAAAGGAGUGAUUCUGUUUUCCUCAAAUUGUUGGACCAUUAAUCGUAGAAAGCACUUGCAAUAGUAGGAAAAAAAAAAUCUAGUUGAUCUUCUGACACACAUGAAAACGAUCAAAUAAAUCGAGCCAUACAUGCAAAUUAGGAGAUUCACCUAGCUUUAUAUCACUUAUUUCUUACACCUCUUUGUGGUGAUAUUCUCAUUAUGGGCCCUCCGACAAAAAUGGGGACAAGCACUCAACGCCAUUCUCAAGGUGGUCGUCUCUGAAUUUUCCUCAGCAACUUCUUUUUACUUCCCUCCUCUUCUUCUCCUUCUUCCAUUGAAUCAAUACCUAAUUUCUAAUCGUUCAGACUGUGAGAAAGAAAAGAGUGCAUGAAAAGAGAGCACCGAGGGAGCAUCUACUCCUCCGUUUUUUUCCAUCUAACAAAUUAUAGCUCUAUUUUACAGACAAAAUAUCAAUCGACCUAGUAGAUUUGAAAAUUUGAAAUGAAAGGCUUAGUGAUAACAUACCACUUAAAAAUAAUUUCAUUUUGCAUGGAAUUGGAGCAUGUGGUGCCGGCUUGGAAUGGAUAAAAGAUAAAUAACCACAAGCACUUUUUUUUUUAAUCUCUACCUCACGUUUCCAACUUCAUUAAGAAUGACAACUUUAAACAAAAUUAAAAUGUAAAAUCUCAUCCACAGCUCGGUCCUUUCUUGAUGCCUUCCACACAUUUCUAAUUCCGUUUCAACUCAAUUAUUAUCUUUUUAAAUGAUUUAUCAAAUUCUGAUUUUCAAUAACCAAAUUAAAACCGGACUUAUGCUUAUAUUUAUAAUUGAAUGUAAUAUGCUUGUGCACAAAUUCUAGUUCUUUAUAGCCCAAUUGAAAAAUUAACGUUCACGUUACCGGUGAGUGGAUCAAGCCAACAAGUUUGACUUGAAUAGUGUGAGGUCCAAAAGAAGAUAAGGCGAGGUCUAAAAACAUCCAACUGCUCCUAGUCAAUCAAUUACCAAUUAAUUAAAGAUUUCAUGUUGGUUUUUUCUUGCAUGGUAAUAGAUUCACGUUCAUACUCGUUCGUAGAGAUUAGUUCAUCGAUCCUUUCAUGCAACAUAAAAGCAUCUUUUGUUCCAACUUUCACCCUUAGAUUGCCAUGCAUCUUGCGUUCCCUUUUUUACUUUUAAUUCAGCAAAUGGAUAAUUCAAAAGCCUUUUGGAAGUUACCUCUAAAUAUCGCUGCUUCCUUCUAAAAGUAAGCCCGGACACUUCAUUCCCUUCUUUUCUAUUUUUUUUCCUAAAUUAUCUUUUAUCUUUUAUUUUUUUGAAUAUUUCACAUACUUCUUUUUUUAUUAGUUUACUGACUUUUCAAGAGCUGAAUGAUAUGCCAACAAAAUUGUAAUAAAACAAUUGACCUAAACAAGAACUCAAGGAUUGUGUACAAGUAUUUGAUAUAUCAUUUGUAACUUAAUACUUAUGAGUUUUGCUCAUUUCAUGUGAUUUAACAAAUUAUAGCUCUAUUUUGCAGACAAUAUAUCAAUCAAUAAUUUAAAUUUGAAACUUUGAAGUGAAUAGCUCAAUAAAUCAUAUCAUAGAUUCAUCUUAUAUAAAGCUAUUGGCAUUUGGGGGCCAGCAUGAAAUAUAUAAGAGAGAAAGGACACUGACCAUUUGUGGUUCAUAUAAGCAAGAGGGAGAGUACCUUGUUCCGAGCUGUUGGAAGAGAGAAGAACGUAUCAGCCUAUCUGGGAAGCUUGAGUUUUUAUGGAGAACAAAGGUUGAGAGACUUGUUCACUUGUAGCAAUUUUUUGUUGUUUGGAAAAAAAAAAAUCAAGUAAAAGUUUCGCCGUGCGGUCCUUAAAACCUGCAAAAGCUCAGACUUUGGACAUUCUUUCCCCCACUGUUUUUGUGAGCGAUAAUAUUACUAAAGAUUCAUUUGAUGAUUCAUGUCGUAUCAUAUUAAUUGUGUCAUAUUUAGUUAGGAUAUAACAUGCAUAUGGCAAAACCUGAACAAGACAUGUUUAGCAAACGUGUUGAAUGGCCUCAAUAUGAACAUAACACUUUUAAGAAAGCAAGUCAAACGCCAUUACACGACAAAUGCGAUUAUUAAAAGUCACCAUAUAGAAAUGUCAACACGACACCAGGCAAUAUGCUAGCCUAUAUACAUGCAAGAAUAUGCAACACAUUGCAUUAAAUCUAAAGCAAAGAGCAAAAUUGCUUCCCAUGAUAUUCUAAUUACAAGCGAGACGCAGCCUUUUGUAUUAAUAUUAAUCCUAUUUAAAGCCAUAAAAUUUUAUCACAUAGAAAGCCCCAAAUUUCGAACAUACUAAAGCCAUGAAUUUCAAAAUCUAAAAAUUAAGAACAAAAAGAAAGCAGACCAUGAAAGAAGAGAGAAAAAGUUAAAAUUCGUCGUUAUAUAUUGGAUACGUGUUGGGUGGAAAUGUUGGGUGGAAAUGAUAUAAAUGGAACUUAAUUUCAUUGAUGGACUUAGUUAUCCUUCAUUCUAAUCAUCCUUAAAAAGGAAGAAAGGCCAAUUUUGGAAGAAAGUGCAAUUUUUGCAUUUCUUCUCAUUUCUAUGCACUUUUAGAAAGAAAUAAAUUGUGGGCCCAAAAGAAAGUAUUUCCCUUUCAUUUAUAAUCUUUUUCAUUGACUUCCUUCAUAAUUUAAACAGUUGAGAAAUUGAAAAUUUUUCCUCGAUUAAUAUUUAAGCUUUUUCGUUAAUUUUACAUAUAAUCAACGCCUAAAACUUGAAAUCUACCAUAUUAAAAAACGUGAUUGAUGGAAAUUUCCAAUUAGGAAAGUGCACGAAUCUAGAGGAAGAGGUUUAAUGGGCAACACCUACAUGACACCACAUUAGUUUGGCCAAUGAAAAUGGGAUUAGACAGAAAGGGUUGUGAAAAUGAGGUGGUGGAGAUAGUUAGGGUGGUUCAUAUAUUAGGCUAAAAAUAAUAAGAGUAAAAAUUAUGAUAACGAUUAGGCACCUUGUGAGCUUAUAUUUAGAGGAAGAUAUUUCCAUGGACUUUCCUAACAAUUUCAAUAUGUUAGGUGUGAAUUGAAAGAAUCCGUCUUUAAAUAUCAGACGUGUGAAGUUAUGUAGUUGUUAGUCGAUUAAUUACACUUCAAUAUGUUUAAAUAUGUGUUUUAAUAUCUACAAGUGUAUCAAAUAUGUGUUUCUGAACAAAUAAAUGAUGCGGGCUUUUCAGGGGCCUCUUUAGGACCACCUAAUCUUCCGCAAUGAAACGAGGUUAGCUUACUUAACUGAAGGCAGCGUCUUCAUAACCUAUCUCUUUCUCAAGAACAAGAACCUUCUUCAGCAUUGCCUGGGGAGAAAUUAACGUACACAUUAUUCGGAGUGGACCAAGCCAGCAAGCAUUUGCAGAAAAGCAUCCUAAAAGUGUCUUUCAUUGUUCAUCAAUCCUUUCGAGUAGCAGGAAAAGCAUCUUUCUUUUCAACUUUUCCCCUUAGAUCGUCAUGGACAGAGGGCAGAGUCAGGGAAAGAGCCAUAGAGCCAAGGAAGAGAGCACUGAGGAAGCAUCCACUUCUUCAUUCAUCUCUCUGAAAGCAACAGGUGUAGGUAGCGGUCAAUAUGACGUGUUUUUGAGCUUUAGAGGCUUGGAUACCCGCAAGGCAUUCACCGAUCACCUCUACCACAGUUUGAGCAAGGCCGGCACUAUACCGAUUUGCAUGUUCAAGGACGAUAACAGCAUACCGGUUGGUGAGGAAUUUGGUACAAAGAUUCUUGAUGCCAUCGCACGAUCUAAGAUUUCGAUCCCCAUCAUAUCCGAAAAUUAUGCUUCGAGUAAAUGGUGCCUCCGUGAGCUCAUUCAUAUCAUGGAUCGGAAGAAGAGCAUGUCACAUAUAGUUUUGCCCAUUUUUUACAAAGUUACCCCGUCGGAUGUGCGACAUCUAAAAGGAAAUUUUGGAAAUGCCUUCCAUUUGAAUCGGGCGCAUUUUGAGGAGAAGGAUAUCCAGGAAGGGCAACGAGCACUUAAGGAAGUUAGUAACUUAAAUGGAUGGGAAUCUGAGAAAUUUGUUGACAUGUACUUCACUAAACUUUUCUUUUUUCAAUUAGUAAGUUCUCUUCUUCAUGUAGAAUCGAUGAAAUGCAGAUAAAUUACUUUCAUUGCAAGCUCGGAAAAGAUCCCCAAAAUGUCCCAAUAAACAACCAUAAUGCCUCGAAGACAACAAACACCGGUACUCCCCAAGAUAUCACUGAAAACUAAACCAACGACAACUAAAAUCGAAACAUCCCAUAGUGCCCUAGAGUUUUACAUUUUCCUCCGGUACGAAGCGAAAACAAAGAAAUGAUAAUACCCCUAGCUAAUAGCGUCAAUCACUAAAGAAUAGACCGACAAAGUACUCCAAUGCUCAGUCUUCCAAACUUGAUCCCCACCAAGAUAAAAUGGACCUCCUAUAGCUCAGUUGAUAAGAAUCGAAUAUUUUGCAUAGACUAUGUCUUCAUUCAUAACCUCUCAUUGUUCUUGUUGUUUGACAGGCAUGAGGGAAAAUUAAUAGAAUGCGUGGUCGAAACUGUUAUAAACAAGUUACAGAAAGAUUUUCAGCUGGAUGUGCCUGAGCAACUAGUUGGACUUGAUGGUCGUAUGAAGAAAAUUAUGAAUUGGAUCGACAAUCCUUCCAUCAAUGCUCGAAUGAUUGGAAUUUAUGGCAUGGGCGGGAUAGGCAAGACAACUCUUGCCAAGUGCAUCUACAAUCAACUCUCGAAUAAAUUUGAGCAUGUCAGCUUCCUUUUAGAUAUUCGAGAAACUACCAGGCACCACGGUAUUACGUGUCUACAGAGUCAACUUAUAUCGGAUAUACUUAAUGAAAAAAGGGAAGUUUCUAGAAUUGAUGAAGGAAUUAAUAUAAUCAAAUCUAGAUUCGGACAAGAAAAGGUUCUCAUUCUUUUGGAUGAUAUAGAUGAUAAGAGUCAACUAGACGCGUUGGCUAGGAAAUGUAAUUGGUUUAUGGCAGGAAGUUUGAUCAUUGUUACCACUAGAAACAAAGCUAUUCUUGAUCAAUCUGAAUUUGAGGUAGAAUACAAGUAUGAAUUGAAUGAAUUGGACAAGGAGCAAGCUUUGCUUUUGUUUAAUAGACAUGCAUUUCAUAUGGAUCAUUCUCCGGGGGACUUUGACAGCAUAUCUCGUGAUAUCAUAUCCACCAUGGGUGGGCUUCCCUUGGCACUUCAAGUUGUAGGUUCAUACUUGUAUAGAAAAACAAAUCUAAAAGUAUGGGAAGAUGUGUGGAAGCAAUUAAAAGACCAACCGCAUAGAGAUGUCCAAAAGAUGUUGCAAAUAAGUUAUGAUGCAUUAGAAGAUAGACAUAAGCAAAUUUUUCUCGAUAUUGCUUGUUCCCUUAUUGGUCAAAGGAGCGAAUUUGCCAUGUAUAUGUGGGAGGACUGUGGGUUUUAUCCAAGUCUAGGAAUUGAAGAGUUGAAGUUGAGGUGCUUUAUUAAAAUUGGAGAUGGUGGUCGGUUUGAGAUGCAUGACCAAUUGAGAGAUCUUUGAAGGACAACUGCUUGAGCAACGUAGCGGACCAUGGGACCACGACUAUAAGGGAGUCCCAAGAGUACUAAGAAGCUUUGAAUUGGUAACAUAUGGCACUCCUUUCUUUUUCUCUCCCUCUUAUUUUAAUAUGUUUAAUCUAAUCUAUUCUAAUAUUUCAUCUAGGAUUGACGUAUGCUCUUACUUUCUAGGAGUAAACAUCCAUUUAUGUACAUCUUAGAUUUAAUGUGAUAGUUAAAUGGAUUAUAAGUAUCUAUAGGAUGAAAAAGUUAUACCAUUUGAUUCGAUUUCAUUGAUAUAAAUUACAUCUGUAAAGAUUUGAUUGACAAUCAAUUUAAGAUCCUUUAACUACAAAUUAUAAGUAUAAAUCUCAUUUACUAAAAGCAUGUAAUUGUCAUAUCUAGCUGAAAAUAUUGAUAAUAUAAAGGACUACAAUAAUGAAUGAAGAUGAAAAAUAAACAUCAUAGAUCAGAUAAAUGAGGUUUCUUGAAAAAAAAAAAUAGCAUGUGCCAAUUAUAAUAACUAGGGUUAAUACCUUGAAAAACCCCAAACUGGUACACUUGUGACAAAUUUACCCCAAACUAUUUUUUUGACCAUAAAAAACCCCAAACUGGUAAACUUGUGACAAAUUUACCCCGACUGAUUAUAAAAAACCCUAAACUGGUACAUUUAUGACAAAUUUACCCUAAACUAAUUUAUUUGACUGCAAAAAACCCUAAACUGGUAAAUUUGUGACAAAUAUACCCUACGCUAAAUUAGAUUAAUACUACAAAAAAAUCAUAAAAAUUGUAAACUGUGACAAACGGAACGUAAAAUCCUAAAUUAGUAUACUGGUUAACUGUCACGUGUCAUUUAACUUAAUAAUUUGAGAAUAAAAUUUAACAAAAACUAACAUAGGGUAAAUUUGUCACAAGUGUACCGGUUUGGGAUAAAUUUGUCAAAAGUAUACCAGUUUGGGGUUUUUGGUGGUCAAAAAAAUAGUUUGGGGUAAAUUUGUCACAAGUGUACCAGUUGGGGUUUUUUUAGGGUAUUAUCCCUAAUAACUAAUAAUUAAUUCAAAACGACAAGAUUGGAAACAAUUUCACAUUUAUCACAUGUUCUUGCUUAUUAGUAUGGCCAAAUGUAUUGGUGGUACUCCUGUGAUUUAGGAAUCCAAUGUUUGAUAUUUUCUUCUCCAUUUUGAUUUUGAAGAUACCCGUCCCUUUAAUCUACUAGUUAUGUCUAUCUCUUUUAAUUCUUAUUUUCUUUUAAUAGAUAAGAUAGCAAAAAUGCCCUUAAAAGUACUUUUAGGAAAAUCUUACUGUUUUUUAAGGUUUUAUCACGUUGACCUUGGUCAUUUCAUGAAUUAGGUUAGGUGUAUGAUAAAGAGUGGAUUUUCUUAUGACAAACGCUUGUAUCCGUCUAUGUAGCACAGACAUGGACACGCAACACGAGACACGACACAACACAACACGCCGACACGCCGACACGUCAUUUAUUAAAAAUAGAGAAUUUCGACACAUUCCGACAUAUUAUAUAUUAAAUAUAUUUUUAUAUAUAAAUACAUAAAUAAAUAAUAAUAAUAGCCUAGAAUUAAUUUACACAAAAAAAUAUUAAAUAAUAUCAUUCAUUAUUUUAAUUUGUUACAAUAAUACACAAAACUUAGAGGAAAAAAAUAUUGUUUAAAGAAAAAUACUGAAAUGAUAUUUUUAAAUUUAUUUAUUUAUCAUAUAUAGCAUUUUUUAUUACUUCUUUCAUAGUAAAAGACUUUAAAAAAAAUAAAAAAAUUCUAAAAAAACAAAACUGAAAAAAAAUAUUGACCCCGUGCGUGUAUAUUUAUAACAAUUUUAUUACUUCUUUUGUGUAUAUUUAUAUUUUGACCCUUCAAGUAUUAGAAAUUUUUAAAAUUGACCCCGUGCGUGUCGGAAUCGCGUGUCGGAAUUCUAGACUUGCGUGUCGAAAUUCUGGACUCGCAUGUCGGAGUAUGUCGGAAAGAGUUGACCAUGUGUCGGAUUUUUCGACAUUGGUUGACCGCAUGUCGGACCGUGUCGGGACGUGUUGGAGCAUGUCGGACACGUGUCGGAGUGUCGGACACGACACGAAGGCUUGUCACACCCCGAUCCUCGGACGCGCGCACAUCCUUCUACUUGGUCGAUUUUAGAAUGCGAUAUCCCAGGACUAUGUAUCGCCGACCCUUUCUAUUUGUUAAGCACAUGCGGAAGCAGUUAUAAAUCCCCAGACAAUAAAACAAUGGGAUAGGAAAGUAGGCCAUAUUUUUCAUAUUGAAAUUCAUAACCACACUUUCAUUAACAGCACAACUCAUAGUAUAUUUACAAUACUAUUUAUAGCAUAAAAGUCUCACACCUAUCUAUACCAAGACAGGGUUCACAAAAGGGAUGGGAUCUCAAUCCACAUCCGGGUUAUAUUCAAGAUCCCUCUCUGGAUCUUCUUCCUCUUCAAAAGUCUUUCUCCCCUUCAGGUUCCUCUUCCUUAGCUUCUCCUCAGGGUCCUGAAAUGGUUAUUCAAUAACCAAUGAGACCACGUCUCAGCGAGUCCUACCCCCUAAGACUCGAUUAAUAAACUAAUACGCCAUACGGUUGCCUAAGCACAACACGAGUCAGAGGACUUACCUUAGCCUCAGUUCCAACCUGCAAUUCAAGGUUAAACAUAGAUAUUCAAACAAUUCACGACAUACGAUCAAGCACUGAUCAAUCGACUAAGUCGAUCACAUGUCAACCAGACCCUUUCUAGGUCAUUCCCACUCAUACCACGAUUUCUCAGUGGUGGACUCAUUCACCAAAUCACAUGUGUUUCUCGGGCGUCGUUUUCGCCAAUGACAUACCGAUCACCGACACCGUGCGUUCUUUAAGGCGCCGUUUUCACCAGUGAUAACCUCGAUCACCGAACCACGUGUCCUUUCUAGGGCGCCGUUUUCGCCAAGGUGACAUCGGCUAUAGACAACAUCGUGAGUUCUUUAAGGCGUCGUUUUCACCAGUGAUAUUCCCAUAACCACCGAACCACGUUUGUCUAUAAGUCAUUUACGUGCGUUCUUUAAGGCGUCGUUUUCGCCAGUGAUACUCCCAAUCACCGAACCACGUAUGUCCAAUAAUAUCGUACCUGAUUGGUCUCAGCCAAUAACAUUCUCAGUUAGCUCUCACCGCUCUCCCUACUAUAUAGCCCAUCAACGUACUGGCGUUAUAUAUCCAUACUCAGCCAUCCAUCAAUCAAAUAUUCAAUAACAAACAAUUUAGGACAAUUCCUAAAAUUCCACAAUAAAUUCAAUUCCACACAACGUAGAGCUCAAAUAAAUAAACGGACUGCACCACGACAAUCAGCAUGAAAUUCCGGUCACCGGCCAUCCCGGUUGAAUUUCCGGAAAAAUAAUUAAUUAAAUAAUUAAUUUCGAAAAAUAAAUAAAUAAAUAUUAAAAAUCCAAUUUAGGCCCAUAUUGCCUUAUUGGAGCCCGAAACGGGUCGGGAAAAAUCCCGAGAUGCAUUCAAUAAAUAACCAAACAUUUCUACUUGCUAAUAACUAGGUCUAACCACCUAACAUGCAUCAUUAAGUCGCUAAAUUAAUUGUUCUAACCUAAUCUAACCACCUAAGUCCAUGUAAUUAAAUCUAACCAACCCUAAGACAUAAUUAGCAAACUAAUAAAGCAUUAGUGAGUAAAACUCACUUGACAAAAGCGGACAUUGAAUCACCGCGACGGCAACGCGACGGCGGCCGAAAUUGAACUUUCGACAACACCGGCGGACUUGGACGGGGCCUUAAGCUUAGGCCCAACAAAUCUCAGCCCAAUUGAGAUUUGUUCUUGCACUGGAAUGGGCUGGACCUGCUGAAUUUCUGGACUGAACUAACUUGGUCUUCAAAUUGGUGGGCUGGACUUCAAUUGGUUGCUGGAAACUGGGCCUCAAAAAGGCUGGGCUUCAAUUCUAAUUGAUGAUGGGCUGAGCUGGAUGGGCCUGCUGCAGUUGAAAACUCACGGCUGGGUUUCUGCACUUGCUAAAAUUGGGCCGUGAAAUUGCUGCAAAGAGAAUGGGCUGAGAACGCUGGAUUGGGGGUUGCUUCGGUGGAGCUAUUGGUGGUCAACAACCGAAGCUAGCUGGGAAAUUUUGACUCGGUGAAGGCGUGGCUUCUUCAAGCGGCGUUGCUGUCGUUGAACUCUUGGCAGCUGCAGCAAGGAAGUCGAGCUGCAGACGUGAACAACGAAGGGGAUGGAGCGGCAAAAGGUGGGCCGAGCUUGGAGAUGGGUUGAUCCGAAGCUGCUUCACUGGCGUUGAAGAUUUCGAUGGAGAAGCGUGGAGAAUUCGGUGGACUCGGCUUCGGUGGUCCGUUGUUGACCGAAGCAGAAGGAGAAGUUGGCAGGUGGCAGCGGCGGUGAGGAGAGACCACGAUUCUGGUCUUCACUUGGAGAAGGCUUUGACCGAACGGCUUGAAGAUUCGGCAGCUUGGAGGAAAAAAUCAUGGGGGCUUCACGGCGUUGGGUUGACCUAGCUUGGAGGAAUCAAUUCGGUGGGGAAGCUGGCGUGGCUGCAGGUCUUCGAAGGAGGAGCUUCGGUUGACUGGAUUUUACUCGAUGAAAGACUCAAGCUGGGACACGCGACUGAAGACACGGAUGGAUGCAGCUUCGCUGGGUCUUCAAUUCGGUUGAAGAAGGCACACGGGCGAAGGGAGAUAGCGGCCACAGAGACUGUACGCGGGGAGGCUUUGCUGGACUUCUUCCGAAAGAAUUAAAGCAGAAGUUGAAAUCUAAGGAACAAAUUGAAGAGGAGCCGUGCGUGAGGAAGAAGAUAAGAGAGAGGGUGGGCCAUCCUUGCCAAUUUUCCACAAGAAAUAUCUUCAACAAUCAAUCUAGGCCAAGCAUUAAACCUUGGCCUUCAUUAGGCCACACCAACAACUCUCACAACUUCUCAAUUGGUCAAUUUUGGGCUAGGGGGAGGGGAUGAUACGAAUUUCACCAUUUGAACUUCAAUUUCUCCAAUAAAUUCCCAAAUUGAGGUCCAAUUUCGACGUAGAAAAAUCCCAAGAAUUUUCUAUAAAUCUCCGACACACACGGGCUCAACCCGAAAGUCAAAUUUCCCAUUAAUUUAGCCAAUCUGAACUUCUGCCAAAUUUCCGCGACGUCCGAACCCAAUUUCCGUAAAAUUUCCCGAAUCUCCGAAAAUCUUCUGGGACUGAGUCGAUGCUCCAAAAAUUUAUUGUGACAUGGCCAAAACUUCAAUUUCUGAAAUCGGACUCGAAUUGGCGGUUAAUUUUCAUUCGGCGCGUUUUUAGCGUGACCUAGACUAUCGGGUAGUUUUCAGAACUUUUUAAGGCAAAUGACCCGUGGUCGAUUUUCUUCGAGCCACUAUGAACCCACUCGACUCAAUGGCGACUCUUGAUUGUCGUGAAAAUCUCGAGGAUUCAAUUACGGACACAGGGUACCAAAACAAUAAGAAAAUCAGUCUAGUGUCGGUCGACGAGAAUUUUCUAAUUCAGUGGUGUCACCCACGAUUAGUCACAUAUCUCUAUCGAUCCAGUCUAUCUCUGAUUUCAAAUCGAUUUUUUAACUAUGCCGUAGUGACCUCUAAAGAUGGACACGGUCAAGAAGCCGAUUCCUGAUCGAGUCCUCAAGUCUAUUGCCGUAAAAUUCCUUAAUAAUUUCCCCAGAUAGUCUAGUUAUCUCGAGAGUGAUCGGCUCUGAGAAUAACCCUAUAGAUGCGUCAAUGAAAUGCCCGAUUUAUUCAGUAGAAGACAGGGUUGAAAAUUUGGGAUGUCACAAGGCUUCUGGAGAGUGUCCGUGCUACAUAGGUAUCCGUUGUUACUUAUAGCACAUACAAUUGUUUGUCAUAAACAAAUCCAUCAAAACUUGACUAAUUAGAGGAGAUGCCAUACUUAUUAUUAUAUCCAUACCUUUGAGUAUAAUGAUGCUCAGCAUGUAGCCAAUCUUUUAGUUAAAUUAUCAUUGCUCAUGUCAUUUUAUUAUCAUAUAUUGCCCAUUUGGGCUGCCUCAUGAUAUGAUUUAUACACUAUUGUCUAAUGUCACCACAUAACUUUUUAAACAUACCUAACAAAAAAAAAAAUCGUUCCAAUUUUCAAAGAAAUGAUUAAACACUUCACAACAAUAGUUAAUGAUGUUAAAGAUAUGUAGAUAUCUCCUAGAGAUGUUUAGGAAAUUUUCUCUAAUUUUCUAUAUCUAUUUUGAUUAUGCAUAUUUGAUUUGAUUUUUUAUUUCCUGAAAUAGUCUUGUAAUGAAGUUUAUAAAUAGGCUCUCCAUGUAAUCUUUUCUAUAUAUAGAAAUAUAUUGAAAAUUUCCCUUUUUUCUCUUUGGCAUUAUUACCUCUAACUAAUGAAAUGAAAAUCAGGUGUUUCCAUAGCUACUUACAGGUGGUCCACCGGUGCUCUUUAACAAAUUCUUUUGAGAAAUUAUACGAAAGUCAUGAAAUUUUAUGAGUAAAUAUUUGUAUGUCGUAAAAUGGUUUCAUGUAUGUCGUAUUAAAUAGAAGUCAAAGUGCAUGUGCUACACAAUUUGAAAAAAGAAGGAAAAGAUAAAACAUUGAGUUGCAUUUGCCUUAGUUGUUUUAGAGCAAUAACCAUUUUUUCUUUAUUUUCAUCUUGUUUAAUUUUUGAAAGUUCGUCAAAAAAGAAAUUAAAUGUGAGUUCACAUGUCCGUGUUUUAUUUGUACACGGGAAGGAUAGAAAGGUUACAAAUCGUGAUUUAAGAAAAGCAAAAACUAAAAAGUUCAAAAACUCGCAGAGAGGCCCCUCCUGGUUCCCUUGCCGGUCCCCCUCUAGGCCCCCCUCUUGGUUCCGCAAAAUUUUGCAGAGAUGCCUAUCCUAUUUUCGCGACAUUUUGCGGGCAGAUUCAAGCGGAAACUCCAACUACGAACUCCUUUCUGAAAUGAGCGGAAACUCCAAUGGCGAACUCCUUUCUGAAGUGAGCGGAAACUCCUACGACGAACUCCUUUCUGAAGUAAGCGGAAACUCCUACGACGAACUCCUUUCUGAAGCAAGAUGGCUCCAAUGGAAGGUCAAGGGAAGCGAUUUGUCUUUUUCGACGACCAAUUUGCAUCUACCGAAAUUAUCAGUGCUGGAUUUCUCAUACAGCCACAUCACAAAGGAUUGGCGAGGAUGGAAGUCAUUAAUGGUAAGAUUAGGCAAAGAAGACAUCCUCUUUGCGAUUUUAGGGUUCUAUUCUUGUUUAGCCAAUCAAGUCAUUCUUUGACAACUUAUUCUCCUUUUGUAUUAGGCGUCAAAACGGCUAAAAGUUCUCAACCUUGGAUGGUGUCUUAAAUUAAGACGUACUCCUAAUCUCUCGGCUUUCACACAGUUGAAGAUUCUCAUCUUGCUCAAUUGUGGCGGACUGGAGCAUCUCCACCCUUCUAUUGGCGAACUCACGAGCCUUGUUUCCUUGGAUUUGAGUGGCUGUGAAAGUCUCAAGGAGCUACCAGAGGAGGUGGGCAACUUAAAAGAUUUGGAAGAACUUUUAUUAGAUAGAUCUGGUAUUAGAGAUAUUCCUCUGUCUAUUGGUUCUCUGAGGAAGCUGGAGAAACUAAGUACCUGCAUUUGUGUGUCAUUGAGAGAAAUCCCUAGCUCAAUUGGGGAUUUACAGAAUUUGCAACAUCUAAACUUGAGUUAUUCUGGGAUCAAAAAGCUUCCCAGUGCUAUUGGAAGGUUGAAAAAUCUGCGGACUCUAAGUCUUGAAUCAUGCUUCCUCAGUCUGAAUGGGGCAAUUCCAAGUGAAAUUGGUGACUUGCCUUCGCUCGAGUAUCUCAAUCUCACUUGGACACCAAUAUCUGACCUACCAGAAAGCAUUCGAAAUCUUUCUUCUCUCCAACACCUUGACCUAAGGGGCUGUUACAACCUCUGGUCACUGCCAGAGCUUCCUUCAGGCUUAAAAUAUUUGUCGAAGCCCUCGAUUGCAAGAACUCCAUCUUCAGGUAUGCCAUCUACUUGAACGCAUCUCAAGCUUUCCUCAAGACCCUUGAAACUCUCUUGUGUUAAGGAGUGUGAUGAGCUGAUAUUGCUUAGGCUUGACGGUUUCUCUUUGAAUGUGGUGUUAAAUGACGAAAUGAAUCGAUGUUUCAAGUGAAAAUUGUUGUUUAAGUUGUUUAGACAAGGAAGGAGGCUAUUGGUAAAAGCUAUAACAUAAUGUGUUUAUUGCAGAGAAGAGAAGAAGAAAGUGGAGAAGAUUAGAUCAAAGCUGGGACAGGAGAACGUGCAUCUCAGCGUUCGUCUGGAUCGCCAAGUUGAAAUUGGGGAGAGUGUGGCAAUCUUAGGAUUUGCAGGAGAUUUGGGAUCGUGGAAGAAGAAUGGGGCAAUGGACUGGACCAAGAGCAGAUGAGCAUGUGAUAAGAACUGAAAGGAGGAGGAUCUAUCAAAUUAGAAGAACUUAUAUUAGAUUUUUCUGAUAUUACUGAGAUUCCUACAUCUAUCGGUUCUUUGACGAGGCUGGAGAAACCGAGUGUCAGCUCUUGUGGGUCACUCAGAGACAUCCCCAGCUCAACUUGAGAUUUACAAAAUUUGCUACUUUUGGAUGUUAGUGGUUUUGGGAUUGAAAAGCUUCCUAGUGCCAUAGGAAGGUUGAAAAAUCCAUGCACUAUAAGUCUCCUAUCAUGCUGUAAUCUGAAAGAGCAAUUCCAAGUGAAAUCAGUGACUUGUCUUCACUUGAGAUUCUCUAUGUUACUUGAGGGAUUUUUGAUGUUUGUGAGGAUCCAAAAUAGUUUAUCUAGUCUCGACAGCACAUACCUGAAUGAUUUUGAUGUUGUAUUUGAGUUGAGUCUGCUUUUGUAUGCUCAUGCGGUUCAAACUCUCUGUCAAUCAAAUACGUAGCUGCUGAUUUUUUUUUUUUUUGUAUGUCACCCUGAUGCAGAGGUGUCUGAUGCCAUUGCAUUCUAAUGUUAUCACUCCUGAACUCAAUAAGCCUUUGCAGAGGGAGGUAUGCACUACCGGUCAUACCAUAACAAUGAAAAUAUAACCCAUGUGCUUAUACUAUAUGAGCUGUGGAAUCACACCUGAAAAUCAGUAUGCAAGUAUGCAUGAGGACAAUCUCCAUUUUUAUCAGUUUAUCAACGUGACACUAUCCUUUGAAUGUUGUCACAUAGGUUUCUAACUAUUUUAAUUUGAUAAGCUUAGUUCUCAUGUGAUGUUGACUUUGUAAAGUUGAAUUAACCCCUAGCAAACUAUCCUGUAUUUCUGAUUUUGCUAAUGGGAUAUUGCAAAAUAACCAAGUAAUAAAUUCAUCUUUCUAUUAUGUAUUUUAAGCACUUCACCUUUCAGCAUAUUUUUACUGACAUCAAUUAUGUUCCUAAACACAAACAAGGAAAGUGUUGCUAAUUGCUAUAUCUGCCAAACCUAUUGUUUUCUUUUUCAUCGGCUAGCUCAUGAAGUAUCUGUUCAUUGCAGUCCAACUGCAAUUGGUGCAUAUGAUGUUUGUGCAUUUGUACCUUAUAUUUCAUGAUGUAAAUUGUAAUGCUUCGAUUUAGUUAUCUCCAUUUAUUGAUAAUUAGUGAAUCCCGUCCUUCUUGUGUAGAUUCAAGCUGCAUUUCAUAAAAUUCAGAGAACAUUCCCAAACAUCACAGGACGGAGAUAUGGACUAGACUAAGAUAUGUCAUGAGAUGUUAUGGAAAGAAGUUCCAGAGUUCUUCGCUAAAGGUUUUUAUAAUGUGCUCCAUGCUGAUAAUCUUGAUAGGAUUCUUGAUAUAAAGGGACAUCUUCUAUGUGGUGCAGUAGUCCUUUGCAAACUUUGACAUCAUGCAUAAAGUUAAGCAUAAACUGUCUUAUAGGUGGUUCUAAAUGUGAAGUUAAGCAUAAAGUUAUGUUUGUCAACAAGAUUACUAUUUAGAUGUCCACUUCAAGCUACAAUUUUGUGAAUGUGAGACUUCUUUCAUGGAAAAAGCAAAUAUCAUGGAAUCAGCAAAUAAUUUGUCAACAGCAGGCAAGAUUUUCAGUAAAAAGGUUCCUAGAAGACAGUAAUUUCUCAUUCUGAAGAAUUUUGAGCACAAAAUAAAAAUGUUCAUUAGUGUACAAUCAGCUCUUGGAUCUCGAGAAAUUCAUGCAUUGGCAUUUUGCAAUCACUUUAAUAGUAUAAUCUCAAACUUGAUUCCUUUAAGCAUGAGUCUAUAAAGCAGAGUAGACAAAGCCAUACAUUUUCAUACUUGAAACCAAAUUUUCUUUAGCAUUGGCUACAGUUGAAGACUAAUAAAAAAAAUGCCAAGAAAAAUCUAUGGAAGGGCGAAAGUAGUAUAUGCAUGUGGUUUGGACCAAACCGUUGAACGGUCGUCUACUUGGUUAGUACUUGGACUCUACUAUGCCAAAUUACUGUCGUUGGUCAUGCAUUCAAGUUUCAAUCGAACCAAUUUCUUUGGGGCCAGUACUCUCAGUUGUUCCUCUUCAUCCUACCACAUUACAAUGGUGAAACUUUAGUAGUUAAAAGCUACUCGCAAGAUAAUCAUAUAUUCCGAUUUGGUCAUUGUCUACCAGAACUUUAAUUCAUUACUUUCCAAAGCUCAAGACAAGGCCAAGUAACUUGUUAAGCCAAGUUUGAAUCUUUAAACACUAAAUCAUACAUAAUGCCGGCCGCACUAAUGAAUAAAAACAUUAGUUAAAUAUAUUAAACACGAAAUAAUCUAAUUUUGAGCAUAUUGAUUAUAUAUAACACGAGAAAGGUUGCAAGUAAAGUCAAUGUAUUGAUUAUAUAAUUUAGAACAUAGCUACUCAAGAACACGAGAAUGAUAGUAUGCCAUUUCUUUUUAUAACAUACAAUCUGCACCUCUUUAGUAUGCCAUUUCUUUUGAAUAGCUACUCUUUGACGGGCUAUUAAUCGAGCAUACUAGCACAUUGUCUUUAUACAACACUUCUUAUUCAAGUGUUUUGCAAAAUCAAUGCAUUCAUUGAAAGUGUCAUGACCUAACCUUGCAUGCCAUGAAAAGGAAAGGUCAGGUUUAGAGAUACUUGACUAUGAGAGUUCCCUCAUGGUUCAUAUUCCAAAAGACGUUACCCUUGUGAGUCCCCUCAUUUAUGAUCAUGAGCUCUCCUAAGCUCGUACCUCGUGUGACAGUGCAAGGUAUCGUGAUUUGUACACACACGAGUGACACACCUUGAAAGAGGAUGUUUGGUGUGGAUAUCGAAUUUAGAUGCAUCUUUACCAUAGUAGCCCUCCCAAUAGUACUUGCUUCCCAUGAAUGACAUCGUUUCAUACAUUAGGAACUUUCGACGUGCGGACUCCUGGAGUGCCUUAACUUUGUCCUAAGGGACACUUAAGUGCCAUAACUUACGAAAGAUACAUUAAGUGCCAAAAUCGGAAUAAAAUGGAUCACUUGAGUGCCAAUUCGGCCAAAAUCCGUCCAAAACGUCAACGUGGCAUUUCUCCGGCGAACCGAGCCCAUAAUGACGCCGUUUUGGGCUGACAUCGUAAAAAUAAAAAAUAAUAAUUUUAAAAUUAAAUUUAGUUGAAAUAUUAAAGGCUUACGAACUCUGCCGGAAUGACUCGCCCNNNNNNNNNNNNNNNNNNNNNNNNNNNNNNNNNNNNNNNNNNNNNNNNNNNNNNNNNNNNNNNNNNNNNNNNNNNNNNNNNNNNNNNNNNNNNNNNNNNNUCCCCCUUUCCUUUUCUUUUUUUUUUGAAAUUUUUUUUAAAUUUAAAUUAUUAAAUUUUUAAUAUUUCAAUUAAAUUUAAUUUUAAAAUUAUUAUUUUAAAUAUUUUAACUAAAUUUAAUUUUAAAUUUAAUUUAAUUAUUUUUUUUUUUUACCACGUCAGCCCAAAACGACGCCGUUUUGGCCAGUCAGCGUGCAAAACGACGCCGUUUUGGGCGCGCUUCGCCGGAAAAAUGCCACGUCGGCAUUUUGGCCGGACUCUGGCGGGAGUGGCACUCAAGUGAUCUAUUUUUCUUCGAAUGUGGCACUUAAGUGUCCCUUUGGCCAAAGUUAUGUCACUUAAAGCGUUCUUUUGCCAUGAACUUUCCAUAGUGGAUAUGCUAAACUAUGGUGAGUCCCAUCGAGACUCAUACCUCUCAUGACAUGUUUAUUUUAGGGAUAAGUGCAUUGGAAGUCCUAAAAUUUGUCAUGAAAACGCAAUUAAAUUCUAAAACUUUCAAAAAAUGCAAUUAAAUCUUAAAAUUUGUCACAAAAUGCAAUUAAAUCCUAAAACUUUCAAAGAGUGCAAUCAAGUCCUAAAACUUAUCAAAAUGAUUUAAUCUAAGUCGUCCAUUGAUUAUACUUUUUGAAAGUUUUAGGACUCUGUUGCACUUUCGAGACAAGUUUUAGGACUUCAUUAAACCUUUUAAAAGUUUUAGGAUUUGAUUGAACUUUCGUGAUAAAUUUUAGGACUUAAUUGUACUUUUUGAAAGUUUUAGGACUCAAUUACAUUUUCAUGAUAAGUUUUAGGACUUCUAAUAUACUUAUCCCUUUAUUUUAUUAUCAAGUUGUUCAGAACAAUUUAAUAAGAUGUAAGUUGCCACUAGCUUCAUUUUUGGGGGUCGGCUAGAAAACCUAAUCGAGGAUUGUGAGUUAUCUCUUGAUUUCUACGCAACUAGAGAUUCUAGAUUUGGGGACUUGGGUUAUGCUAAUAUUUUUAUUAGUGUCAUUUUGGUACCGAAUAGUUUGUCGUGUCUCCAAAAGUGUCCAUGCUUUUCACCAUGCUUUUCAUUUGACUUUUUAAGGCUGAUUACACUAACUAAGUGAUCAUACGUGGAUGGUUGGUUUCAUGCAAUUCUAUUUCUAUAAAAGAGAAAAUGAGGCAUACAAUUGAAAUUUAAAGACAGAGCGGUAAGUAAACAAUCAAGUAAGUAGUUUAGGGAAAGCAGUGAAUCUAAUAUGCAAUCCUAAAAAACAAAGAAAACAAAAUGAAAGAAAAAAAUCUGCAACUUGUUGGGUGUUUAUAUAUCACAAGACAACCCAAAACAAAAUAUUAAGGACAAAUGGUACAAAAAUACGGUCGGAGUGUGUGAAAGCUAGUAUAAGCACCUAGAGGGGGGUGAAUAGGUGCGAAAACAAAUUUUGCAGAAUAAAGUAUAAAAUUUUACUUUUAAAUCAACUCUGUUUAGCAAUAGACUAUGAAAAGGAAAUUAGACUCUAAUAAUCCGAUAGAGUUACGAUCAAAGUAAAAGAGCUUAGGGAAGAGAAUAAGAACACAAGGUUUAUAGUGGUUCGGCUUAAUCCAAGCCUACGUCCACUCUUCCGCACUGACAGCCCACCGACUGGAUUUCACUAAGAGUCAAAAGAGUUGUUACAGUAUAGCUCUUCCUUGAUUCCACAGUGUAGAGACUACUACACUUUCUCAAUGUCUCACAGAAGUAUAAACUCUAUUUUGAGUACAAGUUCACACUCAACAAUUGAAUUGACAAAGAACAAGGAGUUUUAAACUUUGGAAUUUCUUUAUCGCGCACUCACUUGAAUAACUAGAACGUCUUCCUUAUAUACUCCUCCAUGCCAUCAUAACUGUUGGCACUUACCAAAGGAGCUCUUCCAAUCUAUCUGUUGCACAAAAUCAAUUAGGAAGAUUUCGAGUUAUUUAAGGAAUAUGACGAUAGCCCACCAAUCAUGCUCGCCCAUACAGUCAGGAUCUAGGUUUCCAUAAGUAGAACCUUCCAAGUAUGCUUCGCCAAUCAAUGGAUCCAAAAUUCCUGAAUCAAUCUCAAGAUGAAUAAAGGAUUCCAAGAUGUUAUAUUCAGCCGAGAGAUCUUCUUUAGUCGAUAGAAUCAAAUCCUUAAAUAAAUACUUAAUUCUGGAUAAGUCUUCUUCGACGGUCUAAAAACUGUCAAUGAGGAUAGACUUUGAAUCUUGAGUUUGGCGGUCCAGCGGUCUUCAGACUUAGACGAAAGAGUCUGCAAGUCUUCAGACUAGAUUGAUGGAAACGUUUUGUCAGCUUCAAAACACGUAGAGAAGUUUUCUCCAACAAUCUCCCUCUUUUUGAUGGUGACAAAACAUCACUAGUAAAUAAAGGUGAAGAAAUACCUUUUGGUCCAACAGCUCCCCUUGUUUUGUUGCCUUCAGGUUGAGUAGAUAAGUUUUCUUCUUGUUCAACUUUAGCUUCAGAGUGAUGAAUGUCAGCAGUUCCUGCCAUCUUAGAAUCACUUGAUAGGGAGACAGCCAAGGUUGGCUCGAAAGAGUCUCCUUGACCUUGAUUUUGUUCUCCUUCUUUCUCUUCUUCUUCUUCUUCUUCUUCUUCUUCUUCUUCUUCUUCUUCUUCCUCUUCUCUUCUUUCUUCCUCUGUCCUCCUCUGUUCAACCUCUCCCUUCUCUAUCUCUUCUCUCUCUUUUUCUCCUUCUGUUGGCUCUACUUCUUCAAAACUAACAAAACUCUUCAAAUUACGUAAGGCUGGAAGAGUCAUCUCAUCCUCAUCCUCUUCAUCCUACAAGAUGAGAAUUCUUUUUCUCUUCACAAGAGCAGCCAUGGGCUCCUUGCAUUUCCUUUUUACUGCAGCAAAGUCUUCUUUUGCUUUUAGAGGAGACUUCUCUUCCAUGCGUUCCAAUACCUUACUUAGCUCUUGCAAGUGCAUCUUUUUGACCAUUUCGAAUCCAAUCACCAUUAGAGAAAUUGUUGACAAACUUAAUGGAGCAGGGAUGUGAAUUUUAAAAUGUCUAAAAAGACGCGAGAUAAGAGCAGAAUAAGGGAGUUGUCCCUUAUCUUUCACAACUGUUCUAUACAUGUGGAAAAUAAUAGUGUGAGGCAGAGAAAAUUUGUAUCCAAAAUUGAUGGCAUGCAUCAGUUUCGCUUCAGACCGAGACACAUCAGUCUUGGAUGUCGACUUUGGCCUAAUGCAGUUGAUCACAAGUUUAUGUAACAAGAUGUUGGUGGCAUUCAUCCUAGAAUAGGAUAUCUUGCCUUUAGCAUCCUUGUCAUUCACCAAUGACUGAGUAGCAUGAGCAAAAGGUACACCAAAUGGUCGGAAACAUCCUCUUUCCACUCCAAUUAGAUCAGCCAAAGUAUCCAUAUCCACCAAAAACGCCUUGUCUCUCACAGUAAAAGAAAAGCUAUUUGCAUCCAUAAACGAUAAAUUCGAAUAAAAGUAUGCAGUGAGUUCAAUAUAAGUAGUAGUGGAUUCAAAACAAAAGUGCUCCAACUACAGGGCAGCAAACUUCUUUCGCAGAUUUAUUUUCACUAAAUCAAGGAAAUCAAAAUCAACAUUCCUUGGGUGCAUAACCCCUCUCUUCAACAAAUUCGAAUAAACCCUUUUGUGAUUCUUUGAUCUGAAUAGAUUAGAACCAUCAUUAAUAUUUUCAGCCACUCCCAUUCUAGGCUAAAAAUGGGAAAACAUUCUUUCAUCAUCAUCUAGUCCUAGAGGUUGAUUAGCAGUCCCCAUUUGUGGGUCACUAGGAAAAUUAGUAAAGGCUUUUUUAGCCAAACCUUUUCGGUAAUACCCAUCUUUUCCAUGUCACGUAAAGAUAGAGUCUCGUUCUUAUACCCCCUCUCUUUCAAGUAUUCAUCAAUCAAUGUCAUAGGAGUUCCUCCUCUUUUUAGAUUAGAAUAAAGCUUGAAAGCGACUUUAGGAGUUAAUGUUCUUACAGGUUCCGCUUCUUCCAAAACUUCUUCUUCUAUAUGAGUCGGUGGAGGAGUUUGACGCUGCUGAGAAGGUUGUUGUUGAUUUUGUUGCUGUAGAGGAGUAGAAACUUCUUCUUCGAUCAAGUCGAAGUGGCUAGGACCCUCGGGCAUAUGUUGUGGUCCCCUGCUUGCAAUCCUUGAUGACUUUUUUGAAGACAUUGUCUCUUCUAAGGGAGGAAUUCACAAACUUGCUUGAAAAAGGUGAAAACUUUUGAAUAGAUCGAGAGUGAAAGUGAGAGCAAAUAAGAAUUUUGUAUUCUAGGGUUGUAGUGUAAAAACAAAGAAGACGAGUAAAACAAAGAAGAUGAGUCUCGACAGUAUAUAAAGCAAGUGAAGCGAGGUAAACGAAACGUCAUAAAAGGAAAAUAAAAAUACCUUUUCAAAAACGACGAACUUCCAUUUUUGAAAAUAACUGCCUUUUUGAAAAAAGAGAAACUUAGAAAGAUAAUUUCAAUUAGCAAUUAAUAAAUAACCGUACAUUUUCAAGUUUAAAAUAUUGAAAAAUGAGCAACUUACAGUCGUAACUCUUGAUCUUCUGAGUAUGAAUAUCUUCAGACUUUACCUUUGAGUCUUGAGCACGUCCAGACUUUACUGGAUAAGAGAUGUAAUGUUCAGUCUAAUGCGAAUAGACUCAGAUAGGCUUUUCUCCAGAGGUUUUGUAAAAAUGUCCGCCAGUUGAUUCUUUGAGUCAAUGAAUUGAAUCAUAACUUCUCCAUUUUGAACAUGAUCUCCAAUAAAAUGAUGUCGAAUCUCUAUAUGCUUUGCUCUUGAAUGAAGAAUUGGAUUCCUAGUGAGGUUAAUUGUGCUGGUGUUGUUACAUUUGAUCUUGGUGCACGAAUCUUUAAUUCUAAAGUCUCUCAGUUGUUGUUUUACCCAUAAGAUUUAAGAGCAGCAACUUCCAAGAGCCAUAUAUUCUGCUUCCGCUAUUGAAAGAGCUACAGUGCUUUGCUUCCUUGAUGACCAAGAUACUAACCUGUUUCCUAGCACUUGGCAUGUACCAAAUCUUCCUUGAUAACCAAGAUACUAACCUGUUUCCUAGCACUUGGCAUGUACCAGAUGUGCUCUUUCUAUCAACUUGGCAACCUGCUAAGUCUACGUCUGAAUACCCAAGGAGGGUAAAGUCUCAUUCUUAAGGAAACCACAAACCCAAAUUUGAAGUAGUUGCAAUGUAUUUGAUGAUGCGUUUUGCGGUGCUUAGAUGAGACUCUUUUGGAUCAGAUUGAAAUCUAGCAAAAAUACAAACACUAAACAAAAUGUCAGGUCUAGAAGCAAUAAGAUAAAGAAGUGAACCAAUAAUACUCAUGUAAAGUUUCUAAUCAACUUUCUUUCCUCCUUCAUCUUCAUCCAAUUUCGAAGAACUAGACAUUGGUAUCUCAAUCUUUUUACAAUUCUUCAAUCCGAAUUUUUAAUAAGUUCUUUUGCAUAUUUCUCUUGGUGAAUGAAGAUUCAUUCUUUCAAUUGUUUUACUUGUAAUUCGAGAAAGAAGGAUAAUUCACCCAUCAAGCUUAUCUCAAAUUCAUCUUACAUAGACUUAGAAAACUUCUUGCACAGGUUUUCGUUAGAUGAUCCAAAUAUAAUAUCAUUAACAUAAAUUUGAAAAAGUAGAAAGUUUUUACCUUCCCUUUUAAUAAACAAAGUAGUAUCCACUUUUCCUUUGACAAAACCAUUUUGCAUUAAAAACUUACUUAACCUGUCGUACCAAGCUCGAGGUGCCUGUUUUAAACCAUAGAGAACCUUUUUCAGUCUAAAUACUGAGUCUGGUCUCUUUGGAUCUUCAAAUCCAGGAGAUUGUUCCACAUAAACUUCUUCUUGGAUGAAUCCAUUCGGGAAUGCACUCUUGACAUCCAUUUGGAUUAACCUAAAAUUUUUAUAACAUGCAAAAGCAAGUAAUAAUCAUUUGGCCACGAGUCUUGCUUUGUUCUUGAUCACUUUUCCUUUUUCGUCCAACUUGUUCCUGAAAACCCAUUUAGCUCCAAUAAUGGAUUUACCUUUUGGUUUAGGAGUUAAUUCCCAAACAUCAUUAAUGUUGAACUGUCUAAGUUCUUCUUGCAUUGCUUCAAUCCAGCUUUCGUCAGUUAAAGCUUCUUCUAUGCUUUUGGGUUCUAUUUUAGAAAUAAGUGCCACAGCGCUAAACUCUUCUUGCCUUUUUGAUCUUGUAUGAAUUCCUUCAUUGAUAUCACCAAUGAUGAGUUCUUUGGGAUAACUAGAUUUGUGCUUCUAGUUAUUUGAUGGUCUGGCAGGAAGCUGUUCUUCUACUUUAAUUGAUUCUUCAACUUCCUUUUGAUGAUUUUCAAAGGUCUGAGCUACUUCAGGGGAGGUAGACUUUGUGGAGUUUGGAGCAGAUUCAAAUUCUUCAGGAUGAGUUUGAAUCAGUUGAUUUUGCAAAAAGUCUUGGAAUUUGACAUUCGUAGAUUCUUCCACAGACCGAGUCUUUUUGUUCAAUACUCUGUAAGCUUUGCUGGUGGUUGAAUAUCAAGGAAGAUUCAUUCGUCUGAUUUCUCUUCAAACUUACUAGUUCGAUCAUUUGUAUUUUUCAAAACAAAAUAUUUGCAACAAAAUACAUGAAAGUAUGAAACAAUUGGCUUAUUUCCUUUGAAUAACUCAUAAGGAGUUUUCUCCAGAACAAGCCUUAAAAAGACUCUGUUAAUAACAUAACAUGCUGUAGAAACUGCUUUAGCUCAAAAAUGAGAGGAAAUACUACUUUCUAUUAGAAGAGUCAUUGCCAUCACCUGCAAAGAUCUAUUCUUUCUUUCCACAACUCCAUUUUGUUCUGGAGUGUAUGGAGAAGAAAAAACAUGUUGAAAACCUAACUCAUCAAAAAAUUUUGCAAAUUCUUGAUUUUUAAACUCACCUCCAUGGUCUGUUCGUAUACUUGAAAUAGCACAUCCUUUCUUGUUCUGAACUUUCUUAGCAAACUUUGAAAAGUAAGAAAAGCUUCAGACUUACUUGCUAGAAAGUAAACCCAGGUGAAUCCUGAGUAGUCAUCAACGAUCACUAGACAGUAUCUCUUUCCGCCUAUACUUCUAGUUCUUGUUGGUCUAAAGAUAUCCAUAUGCAGAAGCUGCAAAACGCAAUUAGUAUAAACCUGAUUCAAUGGUUUAAAAGAACUUCUAACAUGUUUUCCCAAUACACAUGGUGUGCAUAAAUUAGAUUUUUGAAACUUCAGGUUGGGAAUCCCUCGAACAAGAUUCUUAGAAGAGAUCUUGGCAAUCUACUUUACAUUGACAUUGCCAAGCUUUCGAUGCCAAAGAUUUGCUUCAUUUUGUAUUGAAAUUAGACAUUAAGACUUCUUUGGUUUUAUAUCCAGAAGAUAGAUGUUCCCAUGUCUUCGUCCAGUAAAAGAUUGUGAAAGAUCUUUAUUAGUUCCCGAACAUAUUCCUUCUUGAAAAUUGAUCUUGAAUCUAGUGUCGCACAAUUGGCUAAUACUCAACAAGUUGUAAUUGAGUCAUUCAACUAAGGAAACGUUGUUGAUUAUGAGACUUCUAAUUUUUACUAUUCCACAUCCAACAAUUUUUCCUUUGCUGUUUCCACCAAAAGAGACUUUUCCACCAUUAACUUGUGUAAGCUUUAUAAAACAACUUGAAUCUCUAGUCAUAUGCCUUGAACAGCCACUAUCCAAAUAUCAUUUGACAUUUUUCUUGAUAGUGACCUGCAAUUAAAAAAGAAACUCAAGCUUUUUUUGGUACCCACAUUUUCUUGGAUCCAGAUGAGUUAGUGCGAUAAGCAGUCUUUGCCCAUUCCUUCUUAACAGGUCUCCAAGCCAUAGGACAUUCUUUCUCAAAGUGUUCUGAGCUGUUGCACUUAGAACAUUUGAGAGCACUUCGGCCAACAGGUUUUACAAAGACUUUUUGAAAAUGAUUUAUGUAAAAAGUUUUUGUAAGCCUUUGUUUAAUUCUUUCUUUUACUUUUGGAAAAUCAAUUAGAGGAAUAGUUUCAGAAGUCAUUCCCAAACCUGAUUUGUUAAAGUAGGGUCUUUGUACUGAAAGAAUCUUUUCCAAUUUCUCAGAUCCUAUAGAAAAUCUCUUUGAAAUAUUUGAAAUGUCAUUAUUCAAAAAUGUAUUUUCUUUUGAAAGAGAGUCUACAGUUUCUUUUAAUGUAACAAAGCUUUUAUCUAAAUUUUCAAACUUUUCUUCCAUAAAAUUUCUUGUUGUUUCAGUGCAGAAUUCUCCCUUUUUAACUCGGAAAUUCUCUUGAGAGAGGUUUUGAGACUAAGACACAGUUCAUCAAUAUAUUUAGAGACUUUAGUAGGGAUUUUAAAAUGACUUACCUCGAUUUCACUAUCUGAGUCUGAGUCUGUAUCUAUAUCGGAGUCUAAAUCUGAUUUUGAUUUUGCCAUUAGACAUAAUUGGCAUAAUCUCCGUCACUUUCUUCACAUUCAGUAUCACUCCAUAUCUCUGCCUUGAGAGCCUUCCUGUAUUUCUCAGAUUUUCCUUUCUUUUUCUUCAACAUGGGACAGUUGGGUCUGAUGUGUCCAUUUUUCUUGCAUUCAAAAUAGAUCAUAUCUUUAUUGGAUUCAUCAUCUUCAGUUGAUUUGUUUUGAGACUUCUAAGUGCUUUGUUUCUUCCAAUUGAAUCUUUUUCCUUUUUUGUUCAGUUUCCUGAACCUUUUUAUCAUAAGGGCUAGCUCUUCAUCAUCCAUGUCAUCUUCAGAGGCUAUAACAUCAUAAUCAUCGUUGGAUCUCAAAGAAAUUGAUUUCUUACCUUUGGAAUCUUUUUCUUCAUUGAUUUGCUCCACUUCAUAGGACUGAAGUGUGCCAACCAACUCGUCUACAGAAAGUGGCAUGAUCCUUUGUGUUUCCCUUAUCGAGGUCUUUACGUGAUUCUAGUCUUUGGAGAGUCCACGCAGCAACUUGUUAACCUUCAUGGGUCUUGAGAUUGGUCGUCCCUAAUACUCUAGACCAUUUACGAUUUCUGUAAAACGACUAAACAUGUCAGUAAUAGAUUCUCUUGGCUUCAUCUUGAAGGCUUCAUACUGUCCGAGUAGAAUAUUGAUCCUUGUCUCUUUUACUAAUGUGCAACCUGUGAUAUAGCUAGUACGAGUACCUAGAGAGGGGUGAAUAGAUAUAUAAAAGAUUUUUCUUGAUGAUUGCACAAUACUUAGACAGUUGAAGGAUUUGCGACAAAUAAUAAUUAGCGUAAGACUAAGUAAAGAAAAGAGAGAAUUGAACACGCGGUUUAUAGUGGUUCGGCUUGAUUCAAGCCUACUUCCACUCUUCUGCACUGAUAGCCAAUUGGCUGGAUUUCACUAUGAACAAAGAGAUGUUACAACGUUGAUCUUCCUUGAUUUCUAGGUGUAGAUACUCUACCACACUCGCUCAAGAUAUCACCAAGUAUAAACACUCUCUGUGUAUACAAUUUCGCUCAAACUGUAUCGACUAAUAAUCAAGGUGCUUCAGAUUCUGGAAUUUCUCUAUCGAUCACACUCUAUAAACAACGAGAACGUCUUCCUUUUUAUACUCCUUUAUGCCACCAUACCGUUAGCACUUACCAAAGGAUUUCCUUCAAUCUACCCGUUGGACGAAAUCAAUUAAGAAGAUUAUUCGAGCUAUUAAAGGAACCUGACGAUAGCCCAUGAAUCAUGUUCGCCCAUACAAUUAGGAUCUUGGUUUCCAAGAAUAGAACAUUCCAAGAAUAUUUCGUCGACCACCGGAUCUUCAAUUGAUCUAGAUACAAAUAAAAGAAUCCGAUAUAUAUUUAUCCAACCAAGAGAUCUUCUCCAGAGGAUAGGAUUAAAUCCUUAACCAUAAACUUCGGCUCUGGAUUUCCUUCGUCACUGGAUCAGAAAGGCUGUCAAUGAGAAUAGUCUUGAGUCUUGAGUGCUGAGUCUGGAGAUCAGAAAGUCUUCAGACUUUAAACCGACGGUCUGCAAAUAUCCAGACUAGACUGAUAGAAACGUUUUGUCAGCUUCAAAAUAUUCUGGAAAGAUUUCUCCAACAAUCUCCCCCUUUUUGAUGGUGACAAAACUUUCCUGUAGAUUUGAACAACUUUGACCUGCAAAAACAUUUCUCAAGCAAUAUGGCUUUCUCAAAAAGAUUAAUAAAACAACCAGACUCUGCAUCCACAGAAAAUUGGUUAGUCUUUCAUGAGUAAUACCAUAUAACAACACUUGAUAUAAAUGCAAACAGUCAAGCAUCAAAAUCCACAGCCAAUUCAAUCAAAUUUAAGUUCACACCCAAGUUCACUCAAGUCAUACUCAAAAACAAACAUAACCACAAAAACAAAUUUAAAGUCGAAGUUUAAAGUUGGUUGGUUCAAAUUGCUUCUCCCCCUUUUUGUCAUCAUUAAAAAGGUGAGAAAGGAGUCAGGUCUGCUUGGGAAUGCGCACGAUCUGGAAAUCUCCCAUGGACUGGACUAUGCCUUCUAGCCUCUUCAAGUCUUCCCUUAGCUGAGCUACCUCCUCUCCUUUGGCAUUGGCUUGAAGUUGUAGAGCGAGGUCUUUCAUUUUGUCCUCCAGGGUAACUGAAGAUGCUUGUCCAGCAUUCUUUAUGGUUUGAAUCUCACAGUCCAGAGCAUAGAUUUGGGCCCGCAUUUCCAAAAGAACGUCUAGAAUACGACGAAAAUCUGCAGAAUUGUCCGUCUGUGUACUUGCAUUUGCUUUCUCAGAUGGAGUGAAUGCAGACGAUGGAGCUUCUGUAUAAUCUUGCAGAUUUGGUGUUGACGUAUCGUGUCCUUCUUCAGGCAAUUGAGAAGCCUGAAACUCUUCUGGGUCUGCUGGAGAGUGUCUUAGACCUUCACUAUUGGCAGCAUGAGGUGAGGACCUUUCUUGCUCGUCAACUCCCCCUGUCUCUAGGACAUCAUAAGGGGAAGAGUGAUGACCAUGCUCUUCUGUAUCUUGAUUCCCCUUCUCUCCAAAUUCAGCUGCAGACUUUUCUUUCUCUUCUUCUCUUUCUUCUUCAGCUUCUUUCUCCUUCUCUCGCUGCUCUUCUUCUUCUCUGUUCUUGGCUUGCUCCUCUUCUUCUCUCUGUUUCUUCUGAUGUUCUGUCGAUUGAGGUACAGAACGUCUGGUCCUUAUCAAGGCAGUGAUUGUGAGAUCUUCCUCCUCAUCUUCAUCCUCCAAGAUGAGAGUUUUCUUCUUUUUGGAUGGGGCACCAAUGGCCUCCUUCCCUUUUCUCUUUGAAUCAAACGGAACUGGAGUCUUAACUUGGAAUUUUUCCAUUGCCUUGGAAAGUUCUUUCAGACGCAUCUUCGUCAACAUCUUCAAACCUACCACCAUCUUAUCGCACGGUUGAACACAAAGUGAAUGUGGCGGUUCAAUAUUCAUGUGUCUGAAGAUCUUGGUCACCAAACCUGGAUAAGGCAAUUGUCCCUUGUCCUUCGACAUUGCUCUGUACAUGUGAAAGAGAAUAGUGUGAGGGAGAGAGAACUUCUUUCCUGAGUUGAUUGCGUACAUCAGUUUUGCUUCGGAAUUAGACACAUCAGUCUUUGAUGUAGACUUGGGUCUAAUACAAUUGAUCACAAUUUUGUGCAGCACAAUAUUGAUGGCACGCAUCCUUGAAUAGAUGAUUCUUCCCUCAAUAUCUCUAUCUUUGACAAGUUCCAUUGAGGCACCAGCAACUAAGACUUUGACUGGUUGAUAACGUCCUCGUUCAACUCCGAUUAUGUCCGCCAACAUGUCUACGUCUACCACAUAGUCCUGGUCUCGAACACUGAAUGAUAUUCUAUUCGCAUCUAAAAAGCUGAGAUUCGAAUAGAAGUAUGCUGUCAAUUGCGCAUAACCAUCUGUGGUAUCGGUACAAAAUUGCUCAAGUUGAAGCAGAUUGAACUUCUCCCUUAAGUUCACAUUAACGGCAUCCAAGAAAUCGAAAUCAACACUCCUAGGGUUUAUCACCCCUCGUUUCAGUAGUCUGAAGAACAGAUUCUCGUGUUCCUUCGAUUUAAACAACUCCAUCCUUUUUCCCUUCACCUUCGCAGCAACACCCAUUCUAGGUUGAAAAUCACUGAACAUUUUAUCAUCAUCGUUCCCGUCAGUCGAAUUUGGUCCCGACAUACAAGGGUCACUUGGAAUGUUCGCAAGUGCUUCUUCAGCCUUUCCCUUGGGAGCAAUUCCCAAAUCCUCCAUUUUUCUCAGAAAGAUAUACUCAUUCCCAUAAUGCUUAUCUUUGAGAAAAUCAUCCACGUAUUUCAACGGAGUCCCAGUACUUUUCAACGCACAGUAGAGUUUAUAACUAUAAGAGGGUUUUUGGACUCUUACAGGGUCUGCGUCCUCGAUUAUCUCUUCUUCCGGUUGUUGACCCGCACCUUGUGGGGUAGAUGGCGUUGAGUGACGUGGUGGAGAGUGAAUCGGGCUCUAUUGCUGACUCGAUAAUUCUUCCUCUUCGGUGAGAUCGAAAUGGGUAGGUCCCUCCUUCAUUCUCUGUGGUCCCCUGUUCGCGAUUCUUGAAGACUUCCUCGAAGAAGACAUUCUUCCUUGUCGCUGAAAGAUUCCUUUACUUGCUUUCCCAAGAAAAGAUGACAACUAUCUCAAAGAUGAACACGAAGUAGAAACCGGAUUGGGAGGAGAAUGCUUUUUUUAGGGUUUUGAAGAUUGAAAAAUGAAAACUGUAUGGCUGCGCAUGGUAAAAUUUCUGUUUUUCAAUUUCUCUAUUUCUCUGUUCCCUGGAACAGGUUUGGAACAGAAAUCCGUUUGGUAACGCAAAUUGAUUUCUCUAUUUCUAUUUCAAAUUUCUAUUUCAGAAAUUGUUUUGGAGGAGAAAUCAGAAGCUAAAAAUUUUAGCUUCUCUAUUUCUGAAGUAGAAAUAGAAAUUAUUUCUUCUGGGCAUCCUUUCGUUCACGGGUUUUUCUUCUAUCUGGGCAUUCUUUCUCUUUCUCCUCUCAACGCUUCCCACCAAAAACCCUAGUUGUCCAUCCUCGUCGUCGACUCCGUCGCCGUCCUCUUGCCGUCCUCAAAGCUCAACCAAAAACCCUAGCGCCGGCGACUCCGAAUUCAUCCUCGUCGUCGAUGCCGUCGCAGGUUUUUGCUCCAGUCGUGCCGUCGACUCCGAAGCUGUCCAUCCUCGCCAUCGACUCCGUCGCCGUCGUCUUGCCGUCCUCAAAGCUUCAACCAAAAACCCUAGCGCCAUCGACUUCGAAUCCAUCCUCGCCGUCGACGGCGACGGAGUUUCUAUUUUGUCUAUGUCCAAAGCUUCGAAUUACAAUGCCAGUGAUAAAUUUUUAAUUGGUGUCCAUUGAAACAGUAAGUUGAAAAGCUAUAUGUUCCGUGCAUAUAUGGCUAGGCGAUUGAUGUGUCAUCGAAUUGAGAUUUGAUCCUGGGUUUCUCUGGUUUUCAUGGUUUCAGAGAUCGGAGCUACUGCUGGAGGGGAUUGUGUGUGCGACCAGUGUUUUGCCAUUCAGAAGCUCGCUUCUUCAACAAAAAGACUUUUCUUGGAUUCUUUCACUGCUUGACCUUCUCUGGAACUUCCCCCCGCGAUUCCUCACGAGGUUCGAUCAAUCCUUCCCUUCUCGCCUCUCUUUUCAUGUUUCGGCUUUCGUCUGCAUCCUCUAUUUUCCCCUGAUUAAGUUUAUGCUUACACUAGAACUUUGUUUGAUGGCAUUUGAUGCAUGAUGUGGAACGGUCGUGUGUGAGUCGAGGGUUGACUGGAUAUGCAGAUUGUGGAUCUGUUUUGGAGUCAAGGACUGUCGUGCUUGGUCUUGGAAAUGGUGUUUUGGAAGCAAUGGUUGGUGUUUAGCUUUGUGAUUGCUUUAGCAAUCUGUGAGAGAACCUAUCUUCUUGCUUGCUUGUUGUGAUUGUGGAUGAAUUGGCAUCUGUUGUUGAGAGAUAUCUGUGCUGCAGAGAGUGUGGCUCAAGGGUUCGGGUUCUUUUUAGGCGUUGUACCUUCAUAACUCCGUCGGGUGACUUUGAUGGGGUUACGGAAUGAGAGCUGUUUACUGCUUUUCAUCGGAUAUCUGUCAUGCUUUGUCUACAAAUCUUGUCAUGUGAUCUGCUCAUCGAGAUCUUAUAUUGCUUUCCAUGCAUAAGGAUGUUUGUGCAUUCUUUCAUGUCACUGGAAAAACUUUCAGCUCUUAUUUUUUGCACUUUUUCAACUAAAAGACUGAACUAUACUCAACCUUUUCCUUGCGUUUCCUGAUUCUUUUCUCAGUCUUACAGUGGUAUUCAAGCUCUCCUCUAGUAUGUUAUGUAAGACUAACAUUCUGCUGGAAGUAACCCCUGUGCUUUAGAUAUGCUUUAGUAAUGCUAGAACGAUCAAUCUGUCAUUAAGGCAAUUUCCUUACAAAAAGAGGUUGCGCUUAUCUGCGAGUUCAUUUGAGUUUAACCUUUCCUUUGUAGAAGCUGUCAUGCCUUUCUACUGCUGGUUUAGAUGUAUGUGCAGUCUAGAUAAUUGGGACUGGCCAAGGAAGGGCACAGCAUUUUUUGAAAUUCCAUGCCUGAUUCUUUGGUUUCUUGGCCAAGAUGCCUUCUAUUUCAUGGUCAAAAUUUAGCUAAGAUGGUGACUUGAUUAUCAGCAGUCAGGAGACUGAAUGGAACCAAAGAGCCUGGUUUUGGUGUUGCCUUCGCAUAAUUGUUGGUGAAGCCAUUCUAUAUCAAGGGGGCAUAUUGCUAGAUGAUGUCUUCAGUAGCUGUAGGUCCUUGGUGGAAAUUAUCACAUGUUUUGACAUGUAUGGUAACUUGCGGCUUUGAGGCAAGAACUGGAGCAUUAUGUUUUCAUACGCCAGUUUUUUCAAGGGGACAAUCACCUCGUGGCACACUUCAACACACUGUAUCGACAGCUUUAGAUGGGGACUUUGGCAGUAGCUGAAAAUCAAGCUGCGCAUGACUCUGAACUCCUGGGCUAGUCAAUUGUAUCAAUGCAUGUUUUUGACUUAGUCCACUUAUUUAUAGCAAACAAUUGUAUGCGGGAUUCACCUCCAGCUUUCAUAAUUUACAAUAUUCAAAGCCCGGUUUGUUAUCUUCUUCUUUUGCACUUCCAUUUGAUGCAGCCAUUUGCAGAGCGCCCCCUUCGAAUUAAAAGGCUUGGGAGAGUUCUUUGCUCGGAUUGUGGAAUGUUUGGGUAAGAUUGAUGGUUGUGUAAGGUGCUGAUUUGAAUGCCUUUACUUCUAAGUUGUACAAUAUGGAAAAGACUAUGGAGAACAGGGCAUGUCCCCUGCCCAGCCAAAACAACAUUGCUUAUCAUUUAAAGUCCCCACCAGAAACUCACAGAGGACGACAAACGGUUGAAAAGGACCAGCCUUGUCCUGCAUAUAGUUAAUCUCACAUUCCACGAGAUGAGAAUGAACCUCGUGUCAUCAAAGAAUCAGUUUUCAUGCCAGACUGAGGGUCCUCCACUCCCCAUAAGGUUCAUAUGAAAUAUGGUAAAGGUGCCUGGACUUUGUUUGUAGGUGAUUCAACAAACUAUCCCUUUUAGUUAGAACAUCCAAUUGUGAUCUUACAACCUAUACAACGGCUUCUGUUAGCAAUCCCGAUUGAACGUCGGAUUGAUGUCAUGUCAAUGCACAUUCACCGUCGUAAGCAUGUACCGAUCUUACGGAUCUUAUCAAUCAUAAAGGAAAAUGAAGAUAACCAGUCUCUUUUCCAACUAGUCAUUGACCAUUGCACUGUCAAAUACAAACAUGGCCAGAAAAUGUAAACGGGAAUACCAACAAGAAAAAAAUAAAAUAAAAUAAAGAAAGAAAAAGGAAUGGGGGGAAGGCGUAAAGCAAAACUUGGAUCUUCGAGAGCCUGGACUAGUGAGAAAUGGCGCUCUUAUCUUUUAUAGUUUGCAUAUUAGCAUUUGAAAAUACCAAAUCUUUUAUAGUUUGCAUAUUAGCAUUUUUUAUACUAAUUACUAGCUUUUAUUUACAUAAAUUGCUAAUGUUUUGAAGUUCCUAACUACUCUAUCGAAUUACCAAUCUAAAUUAAAGUGAUUUACCAACUUUUAUCAAAUUAAAUUACCAUCACAAGCACCAAGAAGAGUGAGGUAAAAGAUGGGGACAACAUGAUUCAUAGAAAUAGAAAUUUUUUUCUGUUAUCAAACGGAUUUCUAUUUCAGAAAUAGAAAUUUUGAGUCGUUAUCAAACGGGUUUCUUUGCUCAGAAACUUGUCCAGGGAAUAGAAAUUGAGAAAUUGAUUUCUAGCCAGAAAUCAAUUUCUGUUUCAGAAAUUUUACCAUGCGCACCCUAUAUAUAUAACUCAGUUUUGAAAAGGGGAAGUUCAAUCGGUACAAGGAAAGUGUACGAACACUUCUUUUUAAAAUCAAUAACUGCCAAAAUUAAUCUUUUUGAAAAGACAGGAUUUCGUUUUUCACGGAGACUACAAAAUAACUGAAAAAAAAAAAUCAUACCUUUUCGAUAGCAACUUACAGUCUAUAGCCAUCAAUGUCUGAGUCUGAGGAUUUAGAGUCUGAUGGAUUAGAGUCUGAUGGAUUAGAGUCUGAUGAUCAUCAAUUUUCUAAGUCUGAGGGUUGGAGAGUCUCUAGACUUUAACUUCUUCGAGCUUCAAAAUGUUGAGUCUGGAACGGAUAAAAUCGAAUUGAUUUUUCUCCAAAGGCUUUGUGAAUAUAUCCGCUAGUUGACUUUUUGAAUCAACAAAUUGAAUCGAGAUUUCUUCAUUUUGAAUAUGAUCUCUAAUGAAGUGAUGUCGAAUCUCUAUAUGAUUUGCUCUUGAAUGAAGAAUUGGAUUUUUGGUGAGAUUGAUUGCGCUGGUGUUGUCACAUUUGAUUUCUGUGCAUGAGUCUUCAAUCCCAAAGUCUUGUAAUUGUUGUUUUAUCCAUAGAAUUUGCGAACAACAGCUUCCAAGAGCUACAUACUCUGCUUCUGUUGUUGAGAGAGCCACAGUGCUUUGUUUCCUUGAAAACCAAGACACUGUCCUGCUUCCAAGCAACUGGCAAGUUCCUGAAGUACUCUUUCUAUCGACUCUGCAGCCGGCCAGAUCUGCGUCUGAAUAUCCCAGAAGAUUAAAGUCUCCCUUCUUAGGAUACCAAAGACCGAUGCUUGAAGAUGAAGCAACGUAUUUAAUGAUACGUUUUGCAGCACUGAGAUGGGAUUCUCUAGGAUCUGAUUGAAACCUAGCACAGAUGCAAACACUCAACAAAAUGUCAGGUCUAGAAGCAGUAAGAUAAAGAAGUGAACCAAUGAUGCUCUUGUACAGCUUUUGAUCAACUUUCUUCCAUUCUUCAUCUUUGUCUAUCUUCAAAGAACUUGACAUUGGUAUAUCAGUCUUUUUGCAAUUUUCCAAUCCAAACCUUUUGACGAGAUCAUUAGCAUAUUUUUCUUGGUAAAUGAAAGUUCCUUCCUUCAAUUGCUUUACUUGAAGACCAAGAAAGAAUGUUAAUUCUCCCAUCAUACUCAUUUCAAACUCAUCCUGCAUAGACUUAGAAAAUUUCUUGCAUAGACUUUCAUUAGAGGAUCCAAAAAUAAUAUCAUCCACAUAUAUUUGAACGAGUAAAAAGCUUUUGUUUUCCUUUUUGAUAAAUAAAGUAGUAUCUACUUUACCUUUGACAAAGCCAUUCUGUAAUAAGAACUUACAUAGUCUGUCGUACCAAGCUUGAGGUGCUUGCUUUAAACCAUACAAGGCCUUUUUCAGUCUGAAGACUGAGUCUGGCUUCUUUGGGUCUUCAAACCCAUGUGGUUGUUCCACAUAUACUUCCUCUUGGAUAAAUCCAUUUAGGAAAGCACUUUUGACGUCCAUUUGGAAUAACCUGAAAUUUUUAUAACAAGCAAACGCAAGUAAUAGUCGGAUAGCUUCUAACCUUGCUACAGGAGCGUAAGUCUCAUCAUAGUCUAUUCCUUCUUCUUGCGUGUAUCCUUUGGCCACGAGUCUUGCUUUGUUUCGUACGACUUUUCCUUUUUCAUUCAUCUUAUUUCUAAACACCCAUUUGGCUCCAAUAACAGUUUUACCUUUCGGUUUAGAUGUCAAUUCCCAGACAUCAUUAAUGUUGAACUGUCUUAGCUCCUCUUGCAUAGCUUCGAUCCAGCUUUCAUCAGAUAAAGCUUCUUCUAUGCUUUUUGGUUCAAUUUCAGAAAUGAGAGCCACAGCACUAGACUCUUCACGUCUUUUAGAUCUGGUGCGAAUUCCUUCAUUAAUUUCGCCGAUGAUGAGAUCUUUAGGAUGACUGGACUUGUGCUUCCAGUUACUGGUUGAUUUGUCUGGAUGAUGAUCUCUUUAUUUAUUUGAAUCUUCAUGAACAUCUUGAUGCUGGUCUUCCAGAGUCUGAGAUACUUCUUGAGUUGUAAGCUUUGGAAGGUCUGGAGCAGGUUCAGACUCUUCAUACUGAGUCUGACUGGACUCAUCUAGCAGAGAGUCUUUAAAUUUGACAUUCAUUGACUCCUCCACAGACUGGCUCUUCUUGUUAUAGACUCUGUAGGCUUUGCUUGAUGUAGAAUAUCCAAGGAAGAUGCCUUCAUCUGAUCUUUCUUCAAACUUACCAACUCGAUCUUUUGCAUUUUUCAAUAUAAAGCAUUUGCAACCGAACACAUGAAAGUAUGAAACAAUGGGCUUCUUACCUUUGAAUAAUUCAUAAGGGGUUUUCUCUAGAAUAGGUCUUAGAAAGACUCUAUUGAUGAUAUAGCAUGCUGUUGAAACAGCUUCAGCCCAAAAACAUGAAGAAAUUUUACUUUCAAUUAAAAGAGUUCUAGCCAUUUCUUGAAGAGAUCUAUUCUUUCUUUCCACAACUCCAUUUUGCUGAGGAGUGUAUGGAGAGGAGAACACAUGCUUAAAUCCAUAUUCAUCACACAAUUUUGUAAAAUCUUGAUUUUCAAAUUCACCUCCAUGAUCUGUUCUUAUACUUGAGAUAACACAUCCUUUUUUCAUUUUGAACCUUUUUAGCAAAUUUUUCAAAAUACGAGAAGAUUUCUGACUUGCUUGCAAGGAAAAAUACCCAAGUAAAACGAGAGUAAUCAUCCACAAUUACUAGGCAGUAUUUCUUACCUCCAAUACUCUGGGUUCUGGUUGGUCCGAAGAGAUCCAUAUGCAGCAACUGUAGUACAUGAUUAGUAGAGACAUGAUUUAUUGGCUUAAAUGAAUUUCUUACCUGCUUUCCCAGAAUACAUGGUGUGCAUGGAUCGGACUUUUGGUAUGGUAAUUUGGGUAGACCUCGAACAAGCUGCUUUGAAGAGAUUUUAGCUAAUUGCUUCAUGUUGACAUGACCAAGCUUUCUGUGCCAUAAGCUUGCUUCAUCUUGAAUUGAGAUUAGGCAUUGUGAUUCAUUUAGAUUCAUGUCUAAGAGGUAGAUGUUUCCAUGUCUUCGACCCAUGAAAGACUAAGUAGAGUCUUUACUGAUUCCAGAGCAUAUUCCUUAUUGAAAGGAGAUCUUGAAACCAGUAUCACACAAUUGGCUAAUGCUGAGAAGGUUAUAGUUGAGUCCUUCCACUAGAGAAACAUUGCUUAUUGUGAGAUUUCCAAUUUUCACUGUUCCAAAUCCCACAAUGUUUCCUUUGCCGUUUCCUCCAAAAGAAACUUUUCCACCAUUCACUUGAAUAAGCUUUAUGAAGCAAUUUGAGUCUCCUGUCAUGUGUCUUGAACAUCCACUGUCAAGAUACCAUUUUACCUUUUUCUUGAUGGAGACCUGCAUUUAAAAGAGAGUCUCAAGCUUUCUUUGGUACCCAAAUUUUCUUGGGUCCUUUGGUGUUAGCAGAAUAAACAUUAUGAGGCCAUACUUUCUUAACAGGCUUCCAAACCAUAGGACAUUCUUUUUCAAAGUGAUCUUGACUGUUACACUUUGAACACCUUAGAGCAUUUCGACCUACAGACUUUGCAAAAACUUUCUUGAAAUGAUUUUUGUAAGCCUCUCUUGACGGUCUUUUCUUAAUCCUUUCUUUUACUUUAGGAAAAUCAAUCAAGGGAAUUGUUUCUGCUGUCAUACCUAGACCAGACUUAUUGAAGUAAGGUCUUUGAACUGAAAGAACUUUUUCAAGUUUUUCAGACCCUAUCGAAAAUUUCUUUGAAAUAUUUGAUAAGUCAGUUUUUAAAAAAGCAUUUUCUUUCAAAAGAUUAUCUUCUUUUUCUUUAAGAGUAGAAACAUUCAAGUCUAAACUUUUAACUUUUUCUUCUAAAAUGAUUUUCUUUUGUUUUAGAUCUGAGUUUUCCUUUUUAAGUUCGGAAAUUCUUUUGAGAGAAGUCUUAAGACUAAAACAUAGUUCAUCAAUGUAUUUAGAGACUUUGAUAGGAAUUUUAAAAUCACUUACCUCAAAUUCGCUGUCUGAGUCUGAUUCAGAAUCUGAGUCUGAGUCUGAAUGUGCCAUCAAACAUAUGUUGGCAUAUUCAUUAUCACUUUCUUCACACUCUGUAUCACUCCAGGUUUCGGCUUUGAGAGCUUUUCGAAACUUUUCAGCUUUUCCUCUUUUCUUCUUCAGAAGAGGACAGUUAGGUCUGAUGUGUCCCUUUUUCUUACAUUCGAAGCAGACUACAUCUUUGUUUGGUUCCUCAUCAUCAACAGACUUGGUCUGCUGUCUCUGGAAACUUUGUUUCUUUGAGUUGAACCUUCUACCUUUUCUAUUCAGUUUUCUGAAUCUUCUUAUCAUGAGAGCAAGCUCCUCGUCGUCCAUAUUAUCUUCAGAAUAUGUAUCAUCAGAAUCAUCAUUUGAUUUUAAUGCAAUAGAUUUCUUACCUCUUGGAUCUUCGUCUUCAUUAAUUCGUUCCACUUCAUAAGACUGAAGAGUUCCAAUCAGCUCGUCGACAGACAGUGGCAUAAUUCUUUGCGUCUCUCUUAUUGAAGUCUUUAUAUGAUUCCAAUCCUUGGAGAGUCCACGUAGUAGCUUGUUCACCUUCAUGGCAUCAGAAAUUUUUUAUCCUUGAUUCUCAAGACCAUUGACAAUAUCUGUAAAACGACUAAACAUGUCAGUUAUAGAUUCUCCUGGUUUCAUUUUGAAGGCUUCAUAUUGACUGAGGAGAAUGUUAAUUCUGGUCUCCUUCACUCGAUCUGUUCCUUCAUAGGUGAUAUGUAAUAUGUCCCAUACUUCUUUUGCUGUAACACAAGAAGAUAUUCUGUUAUAUUCAGUUGGUGACAAAGCACAAUAUAAAGAGUAAUUGCUUUUGCAUCGAGUGCUUGUCUCUUGUUUAUCUCUUCCUGAGUCAUUCCGCUGGUCUCAACAAUUUCUUUUCCUCUUUCAGAGACUGAUGCAGCAGUAGGAGUGAUUCCUCUUUCCACAACGUCCCAUUCCAGAGGAUCCUUUGAUCGUAGGAAAGCUUUCAUCUUGUUCUUCCAGAUGUUGUAAUCCUUUCCAUCAAAGUAGGGUGGUCUGGUAUUGCUUUGCCCUUCCACAAGCCCUGGUGCCAGCAUACUAGCCAUGGAUCUUUUACUCUGAAGUAAGACACUUCAAAUAAAGUAAGAACACGAGCUCUGAUACCAUUUGUAAUAUCCCGGGCCCCACUGUGUGAUAUUGUCCGCUUUGGACACUGAGUCCUCACGGCUUUAAAACGCGUCACACAGGUUAAGAGGGACCCAAGCCAUUAUAAAUUGGCCCAAGACUCUCUCCCUAGGCGAUGUGGGAUAGGGAACCCUUCCUUGCGCACGUCCGGGGACCGAGGCGCGGACGCACCGCCAUCCCUCCUCCCCGCGCACCGCCGCUCGGGCCGUCACACUCUCCCCCCUUGGGAGCACAGCGCCCUCGCUGUGGCCCCACACGCUGUCGGGAGUCAGCUCUGAUACCAAUUGAUAUAGCUAAUACGAGUACCUAAAGGGGGGUGAAUAGGUAUAUAAAAGAUUUUUCUUGAUGAUUGCACAAUACUUAGACAGUUGAAGGAUUUGCGACAAAUAAUAAUUAACGUAAGACUAAGUAAAGAAAAGAGAGAAUUGAACACGCGGUUUAUAGUGGUUCGGCUUGAUUCAAGCCUACGUCCACUCUUCUGCACUGACAGCCAAUUGGCUGGAUUUCACUAUGAACAAAGAGAUGUUACAACGUUGAUCUUCCUUGAUUUCUAGGUGUAGAUGCUCUACCACACUCGCUCAAGGUAUCACCAAGUAUAAACACUCUCUGUGUAUACAAUUUCGCUCAAACUGUAUCGACUAAUAAUCAAGGUGCUUCAGAUUCUGGAAUUUCUCUAUCAAUCACACUCUAUAAACAAUGAGAACGUCUUCCUUUUUAUACUCCUUUAUGCCAUCAUACCGUUGGCACUUACCAAAGGAUUUCCUCCAAUCUACCCGUUGGAUACAAUCAAGAUCUUGGUUUCCAAGAAUAGAACAUUCCAAGAAUAUUUCGUCGACCACCGGAUCUUCAAUUGAUCUAGAUACAAAUAAAAGAAUCCGAUAUAUAUUUAUCCAACCAAGAGAUCUUCUCCAGAGGAUAGGAUUAAAUCCUUAACCAUAAACUUUGGCUCUGGAUUUCUUUCGUCACUGGAUCAGAAAGGCUGUCAAUGAGAAUAGUCUUGAGUCUUGAGUGCUGAGUCUGGAGAUUAGAAAGUCUUCAGACUUUAAACCGACAGUCGGCAAAUAUCCAGACUAGACUGAUAGAAACGUUUUGUCAGCUUCAAAAUAUUCUGGAAAGAUUUCUCCAACAACCUGUCCCAAACUUCUUUGGUUGUUUUACAAGAAGAUAUUCUAUUAUACUCUAUAGGAGACAAUACACAAUAUAAAGAGUAAAUUACUUUUGCAUCAAUGGCUUGUCUCUUAGUUAUUUCUUCUUGAGUCAUCUCGCUAGCCACUACAACUUCUUUUCCCCUCUCUAAGACUGAUGUAGCUUUAGGAAUGAUUCAUUUUUCUACCACAUCCCAUUUCAGAGGGUCUUUUGAUCUUAGGAAUGUCUUCAUCUUGUUUUUACAUAUGUUGUAUUCAUUUUCAUCAAAAUAAGGUGGUCUAGUGUUGCUUUGGCCUUCAACCAAACCUGGAGCCAACAUACUAGCCAUGGAUCUUUAACUCAGAAGUAAAAACACUUCAAACAAAUGAGCACACGGGCUCUGAUACCAAUUGAUAGGGCUAGUACGAGCACUUAGAAAGGGGUGAAUAGGUGAUAAAAGAAAUUUUUGUGAAUUUUUAACAAAAUUAAUUUUUAAGCGUAACAAGUUGAAGGUGUAAAGAACUAAAAGCAGAAGUAUGAAGUUGCAAUUUUAAAGUAAGGAGAUAAGGGAAAGAGAAUUGAGAUACAAAGUUUAUAGUGGUUCAGACCAAGCCUAUGUCCACUCUCUCGCAUUGACAGCCCACCGGCUGGAUUCCACUAUGAAUCAAAAGAGAUUUUAUAGUCUCACGUCCUUGAUUUCACAGUGUAAAGACUCUACUACACUUCCUCAAGGUCUCACAAGUAUUUAAUCUCUCUUUUGAAUACAAGAAAAGCUCAAUAGUUGAGAUAGUGAAGAACUAGGAGCUUCAGACUUUGGAAUUUUUCUUUCACGCAUACACUCAAAUAACUUGAGCAUCCUCCUUAUAUACUCUUUCAUGCCUUCAUAACCGUUGGCACCUUCCAAAGGAGUUUUUCCAAUCAACCUGUUGGACAGAAUCAAUUAGGAAGAUCUCGAGUUAUUUAAGGAAUGUGAUGAUAGCCCACCAAUCCUGCUCGCCCAUAUAAUCAAGAUCUAGGUUUCCAUAAGUAGAACCUUCCAAGUAUACUUCGCCAAUCAACGCAUCUAACAUACUCGAAUUAAUUUUGAUACGAAUAAUAGAUCUUAAGGUGCAAUCUCUAGCCAUGAGAUCUUCUUCAACCGCAAGAACCAAAUCCCUAAAGAUAUACCCGCAUCUGGAUAAGUCUUCUUCAACGAAUAAUACUUUCCCUCGUCGGUCUAGAAUCUGUUAAUGAGGGCGGACUUUAAAUCUUGAGUCUGGAGGUCUUCAAAUUUUGACGAUAGAGGCUGCAAGUCUUUAGAUUAAACUGAUGGAAACGUUUUGUCAACUUCAAAACAGAUAAGGAAGUUUUCUCCAACAAUGAUGAGGUGGGUUUAGCAAAAGCAAAAUAGGGGUUCAUCAAAGGAAGUUGAAUUUUAGAGAUCUUAAUUUCAUCCUAAGAGAGAUUUCAUAGAGAUAGUCUAUCUUAGAAGCAUUGGAAACACGAAAAUCUAAAGGGGUUGAAAAAGAUGGAGAUGCAGCGAGAGAAAUAGGUGUGGAAAGACCGCUGUUGACACCUGAAAUUUUUUGUCGACAUUUUAAACAAAUAUUUUGCAAAAAUAUAAAAAAAAUGAAAAAAAAUGAUGAAAUGAGAAGAUAAAAAAAAUUAGAAAUAAGGAAAACGAAAAAAAGAAAAAAAGAGAGAAAAACAUAAAUAAAUAAAAAGAGAGAAAAGAAACAAAAAAGAAACAAAGAAAACAAAAAAAUAUAAAAGGGCUCACUUAUUUUUUUUUGGUGGGGGGAUUGGACGGAUCCAUUUUUCACUCUCUGGACAACCGUUUCUCUCUCUCUCCCACGCUCGCUCGAAAAUUCUUUGGGCUCUCGCUGCUAAACGGCUGAAUAGACUCUCUCGAUCGGGAUCUCUCCAGAAAUCUGUUCGGUUCAAAGGAUUUCGAUUGAUUAGAACCGACUGACGAGGAUCGACAGAGACGGUGGUGGCGACGGUGACGACAACGGCGACGGUGAUGACAACGACAGCGAUGGAUCACUCUUGGAAAUCAGACAUCGCUCAUUCAAUCGUCUCAAACAAUCGCCGGCCAAGGAGCGCAAGGUCUGAUGCUUGAUCCAAAGCUGACCAUCAAGGAUUGGUGACAUGAGUGACGACGCCCAUGGUUCCGUUCGCCGGAUCUAACUUGAUCCGAAACCGCCCGUUGAGGAUCGGUGGGUGAGGAUCGGCGACAAUCGCAACUACAACGACGCUUGACCGGUUUUUUUACUCUGGAUCGAGCUCACUCGAUCGGUGAGCUUUCUUUCUAUCCCUCUCGAUCAGUUAGGUUUCAAUUUCUGUUCUCUCUCUCAAUCCGUUUGAGUCUUGGAUUCUGACCUUCCCCUCUCUUGUUCGUUUUCUCUAGUAAUCACUCUCUCGGUUGGAUCUUACUCCCUCGUUACGAAUCACGCCCUUUCGGAGCUCGAGAUACAGUGGCUCAAGUCUGCGCCGAGUUGGAAGCCUUGGCUCAGCUCUCUGUCUCUGGCUCGAUCAGGUGAGGAAGAACAAGUUUAUCAAGAUUUUCCUGAUAAAUGUCGUUUGUUCAAGUGCUGUCAUUGUUGUCUUCGUUGUUGAUUGAUGGAUUUAGAGUAUCCGUUUAAGCUCUGUUUCGGAUUUGGUAUUGAGUUGAGUAGAUAUUUGAUUGAGCCGUGUUCUGUGCUGUGUAAUCAAGACAAAUGAUUGAUGUAUCGUACAGGGAUGGAAAUUGGUGUUGGAAUCGUUGCUUGUAUGCUUAGAUUUCUCUAUUAUAUCUCAUUUUCCCCUGUCCGUAUCACUCUGAUGUGUCAUCACUGUGUAUGUGGUGUGGCCAACGAUCAAGUGAGAGCUUGCCUCUUCAAAUGGAAGUUUACUGACAGUGGUUGACAAGGCUACAAUCAUUGACUAUGGACUCUCUGCAUUUAGUUGUUUUCAUUACUUGUGUUUCUUCUUUUCUGUCCGCCAUUUCACAUCUUUGUUAUUGAGCUGUUUCAAGGCCCUAUGUACAUGAAGGUGAGACUGUACAGCAUCCUAGGUUUAGAAUUCUUACAAACAAUUUUUUCAUGUUGAGUUGGAGAAGUAAGAAAAUGAGUUUUACUCUUAGUUUGUCUAUGAGUAGUAUUAAAGAGGGCAUGAGCCAUCAGUGAAGUUGUUUACUACUUAAGAGUGAUGGUAGUAUUCUUAACUGUUAUGCUACUAUGAUUUGUUGUUAUCAUGUUCGCUUUUAGUUGGUCAAAGGCAGGUCACGUGCAUUUGAUGUUUUCUGUUCAUUGCAAAUGCAAAUUUGAUUUUCCAUGACACACGCCAUAUAUGAAUAUCAGUAUGCUAUAAUUGCUCCUUAUGAUUGAAGCAUGUGGAAAAAAUAUUAUGUCAAGGAUAAGUCAAAUUUUACUGAAAAUCGAUCCAUGUAUGCUGACCAUGUUUUGAUAUCCCAUGAUUGGGUGUGCAUUUGAUUCCAACUUGAGGCUAGUUUGGUUAUGGAUUGAUGCCAUUUUGAUCAAGUAGACUCAUUCAUGCUUGUGAGAAAAUAUGGCUUCAAUUUCAUGGCAAUUUGUCAUCAAACAAUCACAAUUUGUAGUCUCGUAUGCUCUGUUACCAUUCCGAUUGCAUGCUGGAAGUUAUGGAUUAAAUAUAGAUUAGAUAAAUUCUGUCUUAGCUUGGUUCUGUUUUGCUGUGUUGCUGCUCUGUUCUUGUGUAGAUUGUUUUAGCCGAUUGAUAUAUCUUUGCUCUUGGAGUUUUUAGAAAAAAAAUAUGCAUGCUGAAUUUGAGAAUGUUGUCUUCUUAAAGCUGCUUGUGAUAUGCUGUUUUUUUUUUCUGUGGCUGACUGCUUUUAGUAUUGAAAUGGAAUAGUCGAUGUGUCGCGAUUUCGUAUGCCUGAUGUCACUUUCUGUUUUGGCUGAAAUGAGGUGCUAGAUGAGUAUAUAUUUUUUUUUACCUCGAGCCCUUCUAGACAUAAAAAGUACACUUCUAGAGCUUCGAUUUGAUAUGCCGUAUGCCCUGAAUGGAUGUUAUUUGGUUGCUCAAAAACACCUACAAAGUCUGUUGAUUCUGCAGUAGUUUUAGAUUGAUUUGCUGUUCUGACUUACUGCAAUUUUCUGUUUUAAUUGGAAUGAGCUGGUAGAUGAUGUUAUUAGAACUUAAUAUCUUCUGGAGAUUUAUAAUAGACUUCUCAAGCGUUCCAUAGACAUAUAAUAUGCUUGAUUUGGCAAUCGUUUGCCCUGUCAUAUGUUUGUUGCAAAAUAGAAGUCAAUGUCUUCAUGAAUUUUGCUCCUCAUAUCUGAAAGUCUACUGUUCCAGAAUGAUUUUUGUGUGUUCAUCGAUUUUUAUAAAAUUGUGUGUUCUCAAUCUGACAAUAAGGUCAUAUGGCUUGAAUGCUUGUCAUGUUAUACAUUUCACAUGUGAUUGUUAGAUGAAUGAUUUAGGUAUGACAUACAAUAAUGUUGAACCUUGGGGUAUUACCUAGAAUUCAACCUAUAGACUUUGUGACUUUGGUUACUCUUGAACACAAAAGAUGUCUUGUUUUUUUUAUUGUUUUUGAUAUGUGAUGAUUGUUUCUUUCAUUUGUAUGCAUCUAGUCAUCCAGAUGUCUUAGAUUAGGUUUAGAAUAGGAUCCUGAACAUGGAUAAAGCGUGAAGAUGGUGGAAGUCGAUGUCCAUUCUGACCAUUGUCAUGUACUAUUUGUUUUCCCGACAUAUGUCUCAGGUUCCAUACAUUGUAUAAAACCCGACAAGUUGCAGGUUUCCUUUCUUUCCCAAUUGUUUUCUUUUUUUUAUAUUUUUAGAAUUACAUGAUUAGGUUUAACUGAUUUUCUUGAUUGUUUACUUCAUGUCUUGCAAUUUCAUUUUCAUUGUUUGUUUUCCUUUCAUUUCUUAGGAAUAGAAUAGAAUGAAAGUAAUCCACCACUCAUGAUCAUUUAGUAUAGAAUUGACGAUCCUGAAAAUAUAAAAAGAAAUGCAUAGACAUGUUAGGAAAAACACAACAUACUGUUUAGGUACCGAAAGGGCGUUAAUAGCAAUAUUAGCGUAACCCAAGUCCCCGAACCUAGAUAUCUGGUUACAUAGGAAUCGAGGGAACACUCCCGACCCUUGAUUGGGUUUCUAGCCAACCCCUAAAAUGAGGCUAGUGGCGACUCCUGUCUAUUUUUUAGGUUGUUAUAAACAACUAGACUGCAUAAAUAAACCCGUUGUCACGCGGGGUACGAGCUUGGGAGAGCUCGCGAUCUCGUGAGGGAACUCUCAUGAUCAAGUACCCCUAAACCCGACCUUUCCCACCUUGGACAUUUCGAGGGCGGCGAGAUCGGGUCGCGACAACUGCUAACUGUUGAGUCAGCCGUGACCGUUGAGUCAUAAUCAAUUGGGACACAUGGAUGAUUGAAAUUGACACUCUGGAUUAUGGGACAAAAUUGUGUGGCAUGGUAUGGGACGUGUCAUAACGAUUUGGCCCUAUAAUCGGGACUCCUAUGAUUGAUUGAAAUAUGAGUGAGAUGUUUCAAUUGAUGUGUGCAUCUGUUAUAUGCAUUAGUUAUAUGAAUUGUACUGACGUGCAGGAAGGAACUAAGGCGAGGUGAGUCUUGUAUAAUGUGUGAUUAGACUGCCUCUAGGAGUAUGUCCUUCCUAACUGGGGUUUAGAGCGUGAACUCACUGAGACAUUGUUUCACCCCGUCUUGGGUUUAACUUUUCAGGUCCAUAGAUGGAGGUGAGGCCAGUUCGUUUUGGACAGCCACAGGGGUAUACAGAGUAGAGUACUAAUGUCCUUGUCCUCAAGAGUCCCUAGCUCCAUGAGCUCAUCGUGACCAAUAUCUUGGUUGAAAGGGCCUACCACAGUUAGUACCUCAUCGAUUCAGGACAUGGUUUCGCUAUGGGCCUAAUGGGGUCCAAGAAGGUCCCCUGCAGGGUUUCAACGUCCUCACCAUUACGGUCAACGCCGCUGCAGGCGAGGGAGUAGCUAACCCCCCUAAUGGUGUUGUAGUAGACCCGAAUCCCAAGUAGAUAGGGUCCGGGGUAGGGUUAGCUUGGCAGCUCUUUUGUUUUUGUGGGCCUCUGUGUAUAAACUUAGUUUGUUUAUAUAAGUGUGUUUGGUUUGAAAUCGUUGUCUUGCUUUUCUAUCACAUAUUUGUGUUGUCUGGGGAUUGUUUAUUAUACACUUCCGCAUGUGCAUAAAUAGUUGGGUCAGCGACGCGUCCUGGGACGUUGCAAUUUUAUCAACCACUGAGGGAUGUGCGCGCACUCAAGGGUCGGGGUGUGACAUCCCCUCCCAGAGUGGUGUCAGAGCUAGUCAGUAUUUGAAGUGAUAAGGUAUGAUGAGUUAUGGGAUAGUUAGUAGAAAAUGCCUUUUUAUUGUGCUAAUGUAUGUAUUUGAUAACUGAUAGGUAGCUUGUUUGUGUGGUCACUCAUUUUCUAAUUUUGUGUGGAAUUGGAAAGUAGGUUUUUGUAAAGAAUCUGCAUCAUGAGUGACCAAGAGCAGAGAACUCCUAGGAAUAGGGUAGUAGCCCCUGUGACUCGGGGUAUGACGCAGACAAGAGUCGGUACGUAAGGUGGCCAAGGUAGAGCGCAGGCUCAAGCUAGCGCAAGUGGGAUAGUGCCGCCGUCGGUUGGUGCUAGUGUAACAGCACCUGGCAAUCUUAGAAUUGAGGGGAUCGUUUAGGUGCUAGAGACGCUAGGCAACAUAGUAGGGCAGCAGGCUUAGAAUCAAGCUGCCGCCGCCACCGCUACAGCCACCACUACUACAGCUGCCACUACUGCUGCUAACAUUGCUGCUGCCAUAGCUAUUGUUGCACUUGCUGAGGCUCCACCUUGGAACGUAGUUGCUGAGAGAGCGAUGCACAAGCUUGUGGAACAGUUCCUGAAGUUGAACCCGCCGAGGUUCACCGGCGCAGGAGAUCCUGAGGCUGCAACUCUCUGGAUCCAAGACUUGGAGAAAACAUUUGUACUGCUGAUGUGCAUAGAGGAUGAGAAGGUUGUCCUUGCAGUGUAUCAAUUGCAGGGCAAUGCAAGUACUUGGUGGAGAGCCACCAGAGGGAGGGUGACCCUAGAAGGCGAGGUUCCGAUAUGGAACGCCUUUCUCGAAGCCUUUAAUGGCAAGUACUUCUCUGAUAGUGCAAGGGAGCAGAAGAUGGAGGAAUUCCAGCGUUUUCAUCAAGGUCUGAUGAUAGAGGACUAGUAUGAGGCCAAAUUUGUAGAGCUAUCACAAUACGCCCCUAGGCUGAUAAAGGAUCUAGCUAACAGAGUUAAGAGGUUCAGGAAUGGCCUCCGAUCGGAGUUGAAGAAUCCAUUGGUACCAUUCAACCUGAAGGAUUAUGAUGAUUUGUAUGAGCGAGCCCAGUUGAUAGAGAGGAAUCUGAGUGAGCAAGCUACUGCAUCUAGGUCGAGGUUCAGUUCGAAUAGAGAUGGUGAUAGUUUGGGAAGAAACCUAUGACCGGACGAAGGUACCCUAUCCCGCCUAACAGGAAGGAUGGGGUAAGCAAGUUAGCACCAAACUUUAGUGGAGUCUGUCGUUUUUGUGGGAGACGACAUAGAUCAGCCCUGUGUCGUUCUGCGAUGGAUGCUUGCUAUGGGUGUGGCCAGUAGGGCCACCAGGUCAGAGAUUGUCCUUGUAGACCGAUGGGACCGCAACAGUUGCCGCCGCCGCCACCAAUAAGACAGAACAGGGGAUACGAGUUGCAAAAUAUGCCUCAGGGUGGAUUGAACCGACCUCCAGCACAAGGAAGAAUGUACGCCAUCACUAGACGACAGGCAGAGGACUCGCCUGACGUGGUCACAGGUACGGUCUCGUUAAAUGGCCAUGUUACUUAUGCUUUAUUUGACCUUGGCGCUACUCAUUCAUUUAUAGUUGAGCAGUUCGUUAAGUUGGUAGGGUUGAGUCCUGAAUUGUCGAAGUCAGUGGUUAGUAUAUCUACAUCGUUAAAGGAUAAGGUGUUGUCUACGGUAGGCUGUCUUGAUUGUAAGUUAGUUAUUGGUGAGCGAGAUGGAAAGAUAGAUUUGAUAGUCCUAACUAUCUAUGAUUUUGAUGUGAUAAUUGGCAUGGAUUGGCUCACCAAGUAAAGAACUAAGAUGGACUGCUAACAUAAAGCGAUUUAGUUUAACCCGUUAGUGGGUGAAAGUUUCGAGUUUAUUGGAAGUCGAGGAGGACCCUCGAUUACCUUAAUCUCGUUGCUUGAGGCAACCCGUUUGUUAGACGGGGGUUAUCAAGGUUACUUGGCGAUUGUCGUGGAUACAACAGUUGAGGAGCUGAAGAUCGAGGACAUCGCUAUGAUACAGGAGUUUCCAGGCGUGUUUCCAAAGGAGUUACCUGGUAUGCCACCAGAGAGAGAGAGAUCGAGUUCGUGAUUGAGUUGGCCCCUGGAAUAGAGCCAAUCCCUAAGGCUCCUUACUGUAUGGCGUUGUCAAAGUUGAAAGAAUUGAAGGUGCAAAUGCAGGAGUUGUUAGAUAAGAGAUUCACACAUCCCAGUGCAUCACCCUGGGGAGCACCAAUUCUGUUCGUGAAGAAAAAAGAUGGUCCGUUGCAUCUUUGCAUCAAUUAUCGACAACUUAAUCAGAUGACGAUCAAGAACAAGUACUCACUGCUAAGGAUCGACAACUUGUUUGACCAAUUGUAGGGAGUGUCGAUAUUUUCUAAGAUCUACCUAAGGACGAGGUAUCAUGAAUUGAGGACUAGAAAGGAGGACAUACUGAAGACAGCGUUUCGUAUGCAAUACAGCCAUUAUGAGUUCACUGUAAUGCCGUUUGGUUUGACAAAUGCCUUAGCUGCUUUUAUGGAUCUGAUGAAUCGAGUCUUUAAGGAGUAUCUAGAUCAGUUUGUGAUCGUUUUCAUCGAUGAUAUCCUGUUGUACUCAAGAAGUCUAGAGAAGCACGAAAGGCGGUUGAGGACAGUGCUUCAGACUCUACAAGAUAAUGGAUUGUACGCUAAGUUCAGUAAGUGCGAGUUUUGGUUGACUCGUGUGGCUUUCCUAGGUCACGUGAUUUCAGGUGAAGAAAUCUCCAUGGACUCGACUAAGAUCUAAGCAAUUAUCAACUGGCCAAGACCGAUGACUGUGAUAGAGAUCAGAAGUUUCUUAGGUUUGGCAGGUUAUUACAGAAGGUUCGUGGAAGGAUUCUUAGCAUUAGCCUCACCUUUGACUCGACUGCUGAAGAAAUAAGAGAAGUUUGUGUGGACAGAUAAAUGCAAGCGUAGUUUCCAAGAGCUAAAGCAGAAGCUGACUACUGCAUCGGUGUUGACAAUUCCAUCUGGUCUUGGAGGAUACGAGAUCUAUAGUGAUGCGUCGUUUAGGGGACUAGGUUGCGUGUUAAUGCAGCAUGGUAGAGUUGUUGCAUACGUGUCCCGUCAGUUGAGACCUUAUGAGCUGAAUUACCUUAUGCAUGACUUAGAACUCAAAGCAAUUAUCUUAGCUCUGAAGAUUUAGAUACACUAUUUGUGCGAAGAAAGGUUCCAGAUCUUUAUAGAUCAUCAUAAGUAUUUAUUCUCUCAAAAUGAGUUGAAUAUGAGAUAGCGUCGUUGGAUGGAACUUCUUAAAGAUUAUGAUUGCAACAUCCUGUAUCAUCCUGGAAAAGCUAACAAGGUUGCAAAUGCGUUAAGUCGAAAGUCUUAUUGCGCGGAUGGUGAUCAAGGAGCGAAUCUUACUCGAAAGAGCUUGAGAUUUGGUUUUCAAAUUUGAGGUAGGCCACCUUUCAAAUCUUAUGGCCACCCUCAGAAUUGAGUAUGAAGUGUAGAUAUGGAUCAAGAUGCUUCAGUUGAUAGACCCAGAGAUCCAAAAGAUUUUGCAAGAGGAUGCAGACAAGAGAAAGGCUGAUUUCCAGAUUUUUGAAGACAGAACACUGAGGUUUCGUGGACAAUUGUGUGUACUUGAGGAUGCAAAACUUGAGGAGGAGAUUUUGUUAAAAGCUCAUUGUAGCAGUUAUAGCAUUCAACCAGAUAGUAUGAAUAUGUAUUAGAAUCUGUGUCAACACUUUUGGUGGACUGGUAUGAAGGCGGAUAUUGCCAAGCAUGUCGCAAAGUGUCUGACGUGUCAGCAAGUGAAGGAACAACACUGUAAGCCAGGAGGGCUUUUGCAACCUCUCAAGAUUCCCGAGUGGAAGUGGGAACACAUCAUAAUGCACUUUGUGAUGAGCUUACCAAGGAGUUAGAGAGGUAAUGAUUCUAUAUGGGUUGUGGUCGAUAGAUUUACGAAGUCUACUCACUUCAUAGCCAUAUGAAAAGGACUAUGCAUUGGACAUAUAUGCAGAACUGUACAAGCGUCAGAUAGUUCUCUGCAUGGAGUGCUAGUGACAAUUACAUUUGAUCAAGACCCGAAGUUCACGAAAACCUUCUGGAAAAGUUUACAGACUGCCUUGGGAACAAAGCUGCAAUAUAGUACGGCUUAUUAUCUACAAACGGAUGGCCAGUUUGAGGGGACAAUUCAAAUUCUCAAGGACAUAUUGAGAGCUUGUGUACUAGACUUCAAAGGAAGCUGGGAGGAAUAGCUCCAUCUUGUCGAGUUCACCUACAACAACUAUCAGCAGAGUAUUCAGAUGGAACCGUUUGAAACGCGGUAUGGCAAAGCUUGCAAAACUCUAGUUUGUUGGGAUGAAGUCGGAGAACGGAAGAUUACAGGCCCAAAGUUGGUUCAACAAUCAAUGGAUGUAGUUGCAGUUAUUAGGGAUAGAUUAAAGACCGCUCAGAGUUGUCAGAAAAGCUAUGCUGAUAAGCGUCGGAGACCAUUGGAAUUCUAAGUUGGUAAACAUGUCUUUCUGAAGGUGUCAUCGAUGAGGGAUACUUCGUGCUUUGGCAAGAAAAGGAAGCUAAGUCCGAGGUACGUUGGUCCCUUCAAGAUUUUGUAAAAAAUAGGGACUUUAGCGUAUCGUCUUGCGUUGCCGUCGAGACUAGCGCAAGUGCAUGACGUCUUCCAUGUGUUGAUGUUGUGAAAGUAUGAACCUAACCUGACCCAUGUGCUAAAUUAUGAAGAAUUAGACGUGAACGACAGAGUGUUGUACGUGGAGAGACCAGUCCAGAUUAUGGACCGGAAGGAGCAGGUUUGGUGCACCAAGAUGAUCCCGUUAAUCAAAGUGGUCUGGCAACACCACGGGAUAGAAAGAGCAACUUGGGAAAGUGAAGUGAAGACUUGAUGAGACGACAAUACCCCCAUCUUUUUGUUUAAGAUUUAUAAUGGUUAAAUUUCGAGGACGAAAUUUUUAUAAGAGGGGAAGAGUUGUGACAUCAUGAUUUUCAACCCUGUUUUAGAUGAAAUGAAAUGGGCUUUUCAUCGACACACCUAUGGUCUUUUUCUCUGAGUUGGCCACUCACAAGACAACAAGUAUAUCAGGUGAAACCAUUAAGGAAUCUAAACACAAUAAACUUUAGAAUUCGAUCAGAAAUUGACUGCUCAACUGUGCUAGUCUGCAAGGGUCAAUACGGCAUCGUCAAAAUCGAUCGGAGACCGGAGAUAGGUUGUUUUGAUAUAGGCAUAUGAUUAAAGUGUGGGUGAUUCCAUCUAAUUGCAAAAUUCUCGUCGAAUGCAUUAAACCGAUUUUUUUGUCAUUUCUAUAUCCUAUGCCCGUAUUUGAAACCUCUAGAUUUUCCCGACAACCGAGGGUUGCCAAUGAGUCAAAAAUGCACAACGUGGCUCGAAAAUAAUCGACCAUGGGUCAAAUGCACUAAAAAUUCCUAAAAGCUACCCGGUAAAUUAGGUUAUGCUAAAAUCACGUCCGGUUGAAAUUAACCAUGAAAUUAAACUCAAUUUCAGAAAUUGAAAAUUCUAUCUGUCACGAUUUAUUUUAGGAACGUUAACUCAUCUUUCAAAGAAUUUUCGGCAAGUCCAGAUUUUUGGCGAAAAAUCAAAAUUAGCAAAAUUUGGACCGGGAAAUUAAGAUGGCUUUUUUUGUGUGGAUUUUUUGCGUUAAAGUUGGACCAUUUGGUGAAGGAAAUUGUGGAAUGGAUGUGGAUGCCUUAGCUAGAACUUUUGGGUACCUAUUAGAUGGAAUUGUAGUGAAAUUGGAUUGAAUCUAAAGGGGAGAUGUCACAAAUUUGUAGCCAAGGGUGGGGUGCAACAUUUCAGCACCCUUCGAGACUUCUUGGAGAAGAUUUCGAGGGAUAAGGGCUGUUGGGUUGUGGCUAAGGCUCGUGGGGGCCAAGGGAUGAUGGUUUUGUGAUAUUUUUGAAGACUUUUGGGGCAUUUGCUUCCCCCUCCAACAGCAGAUCAUCUCCUUCUUCUUCCCUGCCUCACCAUUCCUCCAUUGUUGUUGAAUCAAGUGCAGAAAGCCAGCUAAGAACCAGCAACAGCCGUCAACCACCCCUCCUUAUCUUCCGAGGACCGUCGAGCAUCGCUCCAGCCUGCCGAAGCCGCGCACCUGUUCCCUUGCGCUCGCGCCAGCCAAUCGUGCGUCCACCAUCCCGAGCCGUCAACUAGGCCACCUGGAAGCCACGUCGCCAUCAUUCCAGCCACCAACCGUCAUCGUCAAGUCCCCUUCCGCCACUUGUUCAAGCUGCCGUGUCAUUUCCUCGCCGUUCCAGCCAAGUUGAGCUGCUCGUCCGGCUCUUCCAACCCAAGUUUAGAAUUGAAAUCCCAGCUAGGUGCUAAGACUUCGUGGGUUGUUUUGGGCCCCUUUCGAACCUCUCUUGGCGUCGCUCUAGGCUUGAGUCUUGCCUGCCUUGGCGUUGCCGUCAUUGUGAACUCACCGGCUCGCUAAUCCGAUGAGUUUACUCGCUAAACUGCUAGAGGUCAUGAUGCUUAAGUGGUGAUUAGAUUANNNNNNNNNNNNNNNNNNNNNNNNNNNNNNNNNNNNNNNNNNNNNNNNNNNNNNNNNNNNNNNNNNNNNNNNNNNNNNNNNNNNNNNNNNNNNNNNNNNNUAGAUUAGCAUUUUUAGGCUUAAUUAGGCAUUUAUUGAUUUAAUUUGCAUUUAUUUUAAUUACUUUUGCAAUUAAUUUAAUUAUUUAAUAUUUUCCGAAAAUUAUAUUGGGAUAGUCAGUAGCUGGAAUUUCGUGUUGAUUGUCGUGGUACAAUUAGUUUACGCAAUUAAAUGAUAAUUUGUGCAAUUGAGUGGUGAUUGUGAUUUUUGAUUAAUUAUUUCAAAAUUGUGAAAUUUUGGUAUUUAAUUAGAAAAUACCGGGUGUUGGGUUUUGACACCAAAAAUCUUUUUAAGUACUAUAUCAAACAAUGUGAUUUUUAAAAGUAAUGAUAUCAAUUUUUAAAGUUCGAUCUGAUUGUGUACCCACAACAAUUAUUUUACUGAAUGUUUUUAAUAUGAAGAAAAUAGACCAAGUUCAUUAUUUUAAUUGAGACAUUUGAGUGCAAUGCACGGUGUCCUUGGUCGGGAUUAAAUAAUCGUGUGAUGGCUAUGAGAAUCCUUCAUGAGCUUUUGAGUUAGACGAUGCUCCUUUGGGAAUAACCCAAGUCAAUGGAUGCCGAUUGCAGUGGAGGCUGGACCGAUGCUCCCUUGUGGAAUGCCAUCUAGAUGUAGACAUUACCGUGCUCGAUGGUGUGAGAUAACACCCGGCUAUGCCAGAAGACCGCUGAUUAUUGAGUUGGUCGUGGCCGUUGGGUUGUAAUUAAUUGGGAUGCAUGAAUGAUUGAAAUUGACGCACCGGAUUAUGGGACAAAAUUGUGUGGCACAGUAUGAGACAUGUUAUAACGAUUUAGCCCGACAAUCGGGACUCCUAUGAUUUAAUGAAAUAUAAGCGAGACAUUCCAAUUGAUGUGUGCAUCUGUUAUAUGCAUUAGUUAUAUGAACUGUAGUGACGUGUAGGAAGGAAUUGAGGCAAGGUGAGUCUUGUAUGAUGUGUGAUUAGACUACUUCUAGGCGUAUUUCCUUUCUAAUCAAGGUUUAGAGCGUGAACUUGCUGAAAUAUUGUCUCACCCCAUUGUGGGUUUAACUUUUCAAGUCCGUAGAUGGAGGUGAGGCCGGUUUGUUUUGGACAAUUGCGAGGGUAUACAGAGCAGAGUACUGAUGUCCCUGUCCCCGGGAGUCCCUAGCUCCAUGAGCUCAUCGUGACCACUAUCUUGGUCGAUGAGGGCCUACCACAAUUAGUACCUCAUCGAUUUAGGGUGUGGUUUUACCAUGGGCCUAAUCGGGUUUGGGAAGGUCCCUUGCAGGGUUUUGACGUCCCCGCCAUUGCGGUCAAUGUCGUUGCAGGCGAGGGAGUAGCUGACCCCCCUGACGGUGUCGUAGUAGACCCGGAUCCCAAAUAGAUAGGGUCCGGGGCAAAGUUAGCUUGGCUGCUCUUUUGUCUUUUUGGGCCUCUAUGUAUAAACUUAGUUUGUUUAUAUUAGCGUGUUUGGUUUGAAAUUGUUAUCCUACUUUUCUAUUACAUAUUUGUGUUGUCUAGGGAUUGUUUAUUAUAUGCUUCCAAAUGUGCAUAAUCGAUUGGGUUGGUGACGCGUCCUAGAACGUCGCAAUUUUAUCGACCACCGAGGGACGUACGUGCACUCGAGGUUCGAGGUGUAACAUGUGCUCAAUAAAUUUCAAUCACAAUUGGCCAAAUUGAUGCGUGAUUUUCACAUAUCAAAUGAGAUUCAAAUAUGACAUGCCAUACAUGAAUGUGAAGCUUGUCACACGUACUUCAAAUGUCGAGGAGACACCAAGGCAUGAUUUUCUUUUAAGGAGCCCAAAAAAAUGGGUUUAUAUAGGCUCGUGAUAAACCCCUAAUUCAACAUAACCAUCAUAGAACAUGAUCAAAAAAAAUUUUUAUAUGAUAUAAUGAUGUGCAAAAAUCUUAAGAAAAAUUCUAUAUGUAAAAUUCAACAUGAAAACAUGUUUCAUGAGACAUCUAAGCUUAAUUUGGCUCACACAAGCCUAUACAAAAAUGACAAAAAAAGAGAGUCAUGCAAUGAAGCAUGCAAAUCACAGAAGCACCAACAGGCUUUUGCGCAUGUGAUUAACAUGGUAAACGAUACUCAAUUCGUGCGAAUCAUACCUUGUUAGAAUAUUCAAAAUGUGUAUUACAAGUCUCAUGAAUGAUGCAACAUCAAAUGGACUCAUCUAAAGCCUUAAUUCCAAACAAACCUAAAUCGGACUUGGUGCAAGACAAACUAAUCCUAUGACAAAUUUCGGCGAUUUUACCUAACCAAAUCAAUUUCAAAAAAGCUAGAAAAAUAUAUGAUGUAUCAAGUCCAAUUUAGGUUAAUUUGUGAAAUCUAUCGAUUCUAUAGUAAUUUUCAGGUUAAUUUGUGAUUUUGAUUUGCUGCGAUUUUCUGUUUUAUUAUUUUUACAGUGAUUUUUUCGCAUGAAUUUUGGAAACAAAUUGACGUCCUCUUGAGGCAUGCAAUCUAUCAAAUCGAAGUUUGAGAAGUCUAGUUUCUGUCUAUAAGGACUUGAGGCCAUAAGAUAUCAUCUACUACCUCAAUUUAGCCAGAACAAAAAGUCACACCACAAAGAUACAAAAUUGCAGAUUAAGGCAAAUCAAGCUCAAUCAAUUUCAAAUUCAUUAUCAAUGAUCAUCAAAUCAUUGUAAAUCAUCCAAUGAAAUUCUAAAUCUCAUAUCUAAGCAUAAAUCGUAAACCUAGGGUUGAAUCAUAAACCCGAUUGGCUAAUCCAAUCUCACUUCAUUGGAUUUGAGAUUAGGAGCAUUACCUUUGUGAUUUUUGUUGAACUUUAAGUGUGAUCGAACCUCGAACUUCAAAGACAUGACCGGGCCUUUGUGGACUCGCUAAGGGCUUAGAUUUGCGGUUAGACCGCCGGUUUAGCAAUCUAGACAGAACCAGUCCAAGUCAGACUACCUUGAACCACCGGUGAAGAUUGGGCGAUUUGGAAGCCUUCAGUUGCUGCUUGGUUGGACUCUAGCUACCGAUGGCUCUUGGACAACCUAAAGAAACCCAUCACAAGUGGAUCACGUCCAAGCAAGCCCAGUUGAUCACCGAAACAAGCCACUCUUGCAGCGUUAAAGACCACCAGCCUUCGCGCCAGUGAUUGCUUCGAUCAAGAGAUCGAUUUGGAUGAGGCAGACGAACGGCUACCAAGGAUCCGAGCAAUCAGGAUAGGAGAGGAGGAAGAUCAAAGGAAGAUGUCAUGGCUGGGAUGUCGCCCACAGGGGCUCCAGCGAGCGGCAGUGAUUGCGGCAACCGACAAGUGUGUGUGAGAGAGACAGACAGACAGACAGAGAGGGAGAGAGAGAGAGAGAUAGAGAUAGAGACAGAGAAAUAGAGAGAUCGAGAGAGAGAGAGACAGAGACAGAGACAGAGACAGAGCUGGAGAGAGAAUUUUCUGCAAAUUUAACUUUGAAAAAUCAUAAAUGAUUCCCCUUUGAUUUUGGAGGGAAAAUCCUUUUAUACGUUUGACUAAUCGCCAAAUCUUGAUCGUCAGUUUGAUCUAAUUAUCAAAAUUUUGAUUUAAUGACCAAACUAAGCUCAUCAAGGGCUAAUCCGACUUAGAAUGUGUCUUAUGACUGAUCGAAUGGCUUUGAUUUGCAAAAAUCAGGGGUUAAAAUGGAAAUCGCAACUAGGGUCUAGUUAGGGGCGAAAUCAUAAAUUUACAAAAUUCAUGGAUCAUUUUGCAAAAUUUUCAAAAUGUAAGAACAUAAAGGCGAAAUACACAUGACAAGGAUCCAAGAGGCGGUCGCCGGCGAUCCAGAAUUGGCUGGCAAGGGGCCGAUAGGCCUGCCUCACUGGCUACCAAUUAGACUAGUCCAACCAGUUUACCCAGUUCGACCGGUUUUGGUUGGGUUGUCCUCGAGGAUUUAAAAAAAAAAAUACAAAGAGGAAACUUACCAAAUUUGAGAAGAAAUGAUCCAAUUCUAAUCAAAUUAGGCCAAUUAAACCAAAUGAAUGUAAUCUAUUGGUUUUUUAUUGACUUAAUUGAUUGAUUAUUGUGGAAAAUAGUGAACCUAGACCAUGGGUACACUUAAUUGAACAUUUAUAGGCCAAAACGGGAAAUUUUGCAAUUCCUUGAUCGAAAUUGCAAAUUAAUUGAAAUUGAAUUCAAUUAAUAUUGUGAAAUACCUAGUUCACUAAUUUCCCAUGCUGAGAAUAGUUUAUUGCAUCCAAAUUGACCUUAAAUUGACAUCAUGAGACUCAAGCCAAAAAUGAAUCGAGGUCUAAUAUCAAAAUUGGACUUCAAUUCAUGAAAUUAAACCUUAAUCUCGAAUAGAUCAACUUUAUUUCCUCGAUUGAAGGUCAAUAACUUGAUUUUCUCAUAUUCAAGAGAAUGAAAUUCUUCAAAUUGGGAAGUUCUCGAGUGAAUUUCUCAAAACGGACCUCAGAUUUGGACUUAUCUUAAAAAAAUAAGUGAAAUACAAGUGCUUGUUUGCAAAUCAUAAAGGAUUGAUUCAGACCAUUCGCCUUUUGACAUGAUGAUUCUCACAAUUGAGUGAACAAGUGAAUGAGAAAUAGUCCUUCGAUCAAAUGUCAUAAAAAGAACUAGACCUAAUUAUGACUAAAACAAAAGUAAAUUUAUUUUUGGUUGAUUUUGAACUUAAAAGUCGAAAAAAUCGGAAAACAAGGUUCUCAAUCAAUUUUCAAAAAAAAAAAAAUUGACACUAAAGUUAAAUUGACAAGUGUCUUGUGAUAAAUUUAUUUAUAUAUUUUAUUUUUCCUAAAAUGUUGAUUUUUUUAGUGAAAUCUUUGAAAAUUUUGAAAAUUAACUUGGCUAAAGUGAAAUUUAAAUCAUUUGACAUCUUUUUUUUAGAAAAAGUCAACUUUUGACUUGGGGUUGACCUUUGAUCAAAUGGUUGACUAAAAAGUCAAUCGUUUGACUUUUCAAUUUUUUUUGGAAAUGAAUAGAAAAUUACUUAAAAACGACAAAACAAAAGAAUGAAAUGAAAAGUCCCUUUUUUUUGUCAAGAAAUGGGAUCCAUCAUGAUCAAAAAUCCUAAUCUCGAUUUUUCUAUUUUUUUGACAUGUCGACUGAAAGUCAGGUAUCAAAGUUGCCCCUCUUUGAGUGGGAGUUUAGAGAGGUUCCAUUUGAAGACUAAUUGAUAUAUGCAAUUUUUAGUCGACUUCUCUUGGGGAAAAGAAAAUGAUAGGAAAUGAAAUUUGAUCAGGGAUAUACCUGGGCAUUUACCGUUGUUCAUUGUAAACAUGUGCGCUCAUGCUUGAGAUCUUUCUCUUCAUAUCUCUCAUUGGAUGGAACGAAGGAAAUGUAAUAAAUAUGGAAAAGGAAAGGUUUAAAGACAAGCCUGAGGAUAAGGUUCAAGAAUAAACUAGAACCUAAAAAUGAGGUUUAAAAAUGACCUAGAACCAAAAGAGACAAUGUUUAAGGUUUACCAGGAACCUAAGGGGACAAGGUUUAAGAUUUAUCAAGAACCUACAAUAUGAGAUUUAAGGUUGAUCAAGGACCUAAAUGACAAGGUUUAAGGUUUACCAAGAACCUAAGGGAUGGGGUUUAAGGUUUACCAAGAAUCUAAGGGACAAGGUUUAAGAUUGACCAAGAACCUUAUGAACAAAGGGGUAUGGUUUAGGAUGACCAAAACACAAAGACAAAGGAUAUGGUUUAGGAUGACCAAAAACAUAUCCAUUGGGGAAAUAUAUAUUUUGAAAAAGGAAUUCCAAGAUUUCUCAAAAGCUAAUAUGUGCAAUCAUUCAAACACGCCUUGGUAAAUGAUACAAAAUUGUCAAAUUCCUUAGGAAAGAAUUUUAACAAAAUGACGUUUGAUCAACCAUCUAAGGGUUAGAUCAAAUGUGCCAAAGUGGAAAUAACUUAAUCAAAAAGGUCUUUUGCAUUUGCUCUCAAUAAAGAUUUUUAUGUGGAAAAGCUAUUUAUUCUCAUUAAAAAGGUCUCACAUAACCUAUGGUGAAGGUUUUCAUAUACGUUUACAGUGAAUAUGAAUUCAUUGAUCAAAAGGUUUUUUGAAAGGACCGUAAUGUAGGCUUAGUCAUGGGUUUACACAAAGGAUAGUCACUUUGAGACCAAGAAAAGAACAAUCAUUCUAUAUAUUCAUCAGGUUUAUAAGUCAAGAACUUUGUAGAUAAAAUAAGAUAGAAUUGCUUUUACUCCUUCUAGCAAUAGCUCUUAUGUGAAAUUCCUACUUCAACUCAAACCAUCCCAAUCGAAAGAGACUUUAGAUAAAAGUUGUAAUGUUGGUUACGAUGAGGCUUAGAAGGCUUGAAAUUUUUAAGAUAUCAAGGGUAUUAAAGUGAAUGAAUAUGUUGGCAUCAUUACCAUCACACAACUUUCAUAAAGACAUGAUUUUUGAAAUUUGACCUAUAUCGAGAGUCCCUUUUGACUAUUUUGUUUUAAGACAUGAGAGCUUUGCUCUCUUUUCUAAUGGCAUAGCUUGCAAUACAUGCUUUGCAAAGCAUUUCUUUUGUUUCUUGUGUUAAUGGUCUUUUGCAUGACCAUUGAUCUUGUUUUUCUCGAUGAAUUUUUCAUAGGCAUUGGCCUUACUUUUACCAAGCACUAUUUCACCUGUCUCAUGGGCCUUUCUUACAAACUCACAGACCCAAUAGGAGGUCCUAUACUCAGACUCAUCAUUGUCGGAGUAAGCUCUUUCAUCCUCCAACGGGGAUGUAACAAGACCAACCUCAUCUUCUUCGUUGCCCCAUCUACUCGGGACAAUGUCUUUCAUAUUUACGAAAAAGCUCGGUGGAGGUGUGAACUUUAUCAUGAAGUUAUACUUGCUACUUGGUUGGCCAAGAGUAUCAACAAUUUUUUCUUUUUCGCAAGCUUUCUUAAUGAACUCACGAUCCAUGUGGGAAUUUUUAUACACAUCCUCACUCUCAGUAUCCGAGUCCUCUUCUUGGUAUAUUGGGGCUUUCCCUUUUAGGGCUCGACGAUCAUCAUCUCGAGAAUUAUUCUCGUUCAAGUCUUCAACUUUUCUUAUGACCCUUGAAAUCAUAUUCUUAUCGGACAAAUCAAACUCGACUAAAGUUAUUGGCUCUGAGUUGCUCCAUCAUCUUCGUAUUGGAUUACAUCGGACUCGGCCAACUUGGCAAGCUAUCUUCUCAUCGUGGGAGAUAUCAUCGCCUUUUAUUUGAUGAUUAGCAAAGGCCAUGAUUUGACUCAGCUUGGGAGUAUCAACAAGGAAAGGAUCCUUGUAUUCAUCCCCAAAGAUCACAUAAUGGCCUCAGCAUGCUUCGGGAGUGAAUAUUACGAGUCCUUGAAGGUUAGCAAAUUUUUAUCCAGUAGAUUCUGAAUCUUUGAUUGAAGAACGUAAUAGUUGUCAACAUUGUGACCAUUUUCUUACAUGUGAUAUUCACAAGUCUUAUUGAGGUCAAAGCCAAGGAACUUCGAUGGAUUGUCCCUCAGGACUUCUCUUGCUACCAGUCAGUUUUCAAUCAACAUGGGGAGUAACUGAGACAUCGAUCUUGGUAGAGGUGUGAAUUGUCUUUGCGGGGUCUUCCCCUGGUGAUCAAAACUUCGGGAAGAGCUCCUAGCUUCCAUGGCGGGCUUAUGAGAGGGAAGAGCUUAUGGCUUUUGAACAGAUGUAUUUUGAAUAUAAGCGAUCUCUACAAUGGGCUCCUUAUCCUUCUUUGGAGCAAACCUACAAACUAUCAUUUCAAACAGUCUUCCAUCUCGCAUGAUUUCCUCUAUACGUUCCCCCAAUUCAACCAUUGCAGGGAAGUUAAUUCAAAUAUUAUUGUACAUAUUCUCAAAGAAAUCUCGAGGCAACUCUCGAAGGAACAACUACAUAGUUUCCUUUUCAGAUAAAGGAGGCUUAACUUGAGACACGGCGACUCUCCAUCUCUAGGUGUACGCUCUAAAUAUUUGUCCUCCUUUUUAUCAACUCGGACCAAAUCCUCAGGAGUUGGAGCGAUUUCAGUAUUAUACUUGUAUUGUUGUAGAAAUUCAUCUACCAAAUCCUCCUAGCUAUAUAUCUUCUCUAAAUCCAGCUCAAUAAACCAGGUUAAGGUGGGACCUAUCAAGCUAUCUUGAAAAGAAUUAAUCAAUAGUGGAGAGUUGUCAGACUAAUGGGUUAUCUUGCCCAAAUAGUACUUGAGAUGGGUCUUUGGACACCCAGUUCCAUCAUACUUCCUUAUGACCGUAGGUCUUUAUAGAAUUCUGGGACUUUCACCUUAGCAAAGGGUGACAACUUGUUGAACCCUUGUAGUUGAUAGCCUUGCAGCUUGCACAGGCGUUCCUUGAUCUUCGCAAGGCGUCUUGCACUUUCUUCGUCAAGGUGAGAAUAGGAGUUUCCUUGGGUGGAGCCUCCAAGUCUAUAACGGUUGGGGUAAUAGUAGGAACUUCUUCAACAUAUCAUUUCUCUAUGGGAUCAACCACUAGCGUGUCAACAAGCGUGAUGGAAACAGUCGUCACAGCAGCGGGAGCUACAGGGUAAGAUUUUUGACUUGGUUGGAAAGAUCGAUCAGUAGCACCAUCAUUUGUGCCAUUUGGUUCUCCAUAGUGAUGAUACGAAUUCGUUCACCAUCCUCGCUUGAUGAUGGGUGCGUAUAAUAAAAUACUUCUUAGCCGUGUUUUAUUACCUAUGCGAAAGAAGGAACUCAAAUCAGCAUGUGAUUAAAGAAAUUAGGAAAGUAUGAACCUUGUUAAUUUUAUAUUUUCUUGAGAUGAAAUAGUGAUAAGAAGCAUAUAUGACCCCAGUAUUAUAUAACGUCAUCUUAUCAAAAUUUCUUCAAAAGAAAUUAUAUAAUUGAAAAGGAUGACAAUGAAUAUUUAAUCCAAAUACCCAUUUUCUAAAAGUCACAUCAAAAGGCAAUUCUAUGAACUUUCAUUGAUUACAUCAAACAAUUACAAGGUAAACAAAACCUUAGAUAUCAAAACUUACAAAGCAAUUAAACUUGCAAGUAAUACAAAUGUGAAUAUAGAAAAAUUUCGAUUACAACGAAACGAGGAAAAUACAAAGAAUCUUCCUCUACAAGGACAGGGAAAUACAUGAAAGGAUUUCUAGUAAAAAUCCUAAGAACUCAAUAAGACCGUAUGGAGAUGCCUGUUAUCAUGGGUCAAGCGUUCCACAUUGGUCAAGGCUUCGUCUUCAUGCUCCAUUACAUGAACUUGCUGAAAUUAUUGAGGUUUGGGAAUAUCAGGCAAUUCGACCUUGAACUCAAGUUCUACUUAACAAUAGAUAAGUUGAUCGUCGCAUGGUGUGUCCUCAUUUCCCCCUCUAAGUCAAAUUUGUCAACAGCAACUACAUGAUGUGACAUGUGGGGAUACCAUGUCUCGACAGUAGCUCGAAUUAUGGCUUCAAUGUGGCUAUUUGGUCCUCCACAAUGACCUCAUUGUGAUAAUCAAUAUGGUACAACCUCAACUUAAGAAUUGGUGGGAUUAUUUGAAGCGCGCAAUAUUGACGGAGCACCCUCAAAGGAUAAUACGACAUUAGACCAGUCAAUCCCAUAAGAGGGAGUGAGUCAUGUACUUCGCUAAUAAGGCGCACCUCGAGAUUCCCUAGCCAUCGGACUUGCCAUUGGAUUAGGCUCAUAUUGAGUCUUUUAAGGAAAUGCAACCAUAUAGAGAAGGACCACAACAGCCACACUGGAAAGAAAUUAUUCUUUCCAUGGAACAUGAGAAUGGGAUGGUAGUUUUUCGUGAUAUAGAUUAUCAUCAUGCGAGGAGCAAACUCUUUAAUGUAAGCAAUAAGCCAAAUUUGGACAUGACCUAUUGGGGCUAUAAGAGUUCCUCGUCUAUUUACUUUGAAUCAAUUGAGGGAUACAAAAGUCUUAGUGAGGCUCAUGCAUGCAAAGUGACUAAAGGCACACGCUUGACUAACAACAUGGGUAACUAAGGGCGCGUAUGGCAAAAUUUUGGAACAAAAAUCAAUUUCUAGCCAGAAAUUGAUUUUUCAAUUUCUAUUCCAAGGAUGAGUUUAUGAGUAAAGAAACGUGUUUGAUAACGAUUCAAAAGUUCUAUUUCUGAAACAAAAAUUCGUUUGAUAACAGAACAAAGUUUCUAUUUCUAGGAGUGGCAACGGCCGGCAUCUAGUGGCCGAAGUCCAAUGUUCGGCGACCGAAGUUCAGCGUCUGGUGACUAGCGGUGGGCGACCGAAGUCCGAAGUCUGGUGCCAAGUCCGGUGAUCGACGAGGGGUGGCUAAAGUCCGGGGUCCGGUAAUCGGCAACCAACAUCCAACGUACGGAGUUCGACAUCUGACGUUCGACAUUCGGAGUCCAGCGAUAGGAGGCCAGCGGUGGGUGGCAGGCGACCGACAUCUGGCAGCUGGUGGCGAGCGGCAAAUGGUCGCCGACGAACAUCCGGUUGUUGGUGAUGAGCCUCCGACAUCCAAUGAUUGGCGAUGAGCAGCUAACGACCAGUGGGCAUCCGGAAUCUGGUGACCGGUGGUUGGUGAUGGGCGGCCGGAGUGUGGUGGCUGGCAGCCGACAUCCAAUGUGUGGCAUCCUAGAAUUUCAUGUCAAUCCUUAGAUGUGCUUCGAUCCAUGAUUUGUAAUAAGAUUAAGGCCAAGCUUUUAGUGGAUAAUUAUUUGAUAGAAAAUAAAAUUCUAUUCUUGGCUAUGUGUUUUAUAGGUUGGAAUUUAUAAUUUAUGUUGCAAGUUUUAUGGUUAUAUAAAUUUGAAUUAGGUAUAUAUUUGAGUGGGGGUUUAGAGUGGAGUAUUAAAAGAGGAAGUGGGCCAAAAUUUUUAGGCCAAGACCAGCCCUCAAGACCCCACCAUUCGGCCAUUUAGGCCUGGCCUGCAAAGCCCAAAGGAAAGGAGCUGCCAUUCGAUUAGCCCAAGGAGCCCAAUGGGCUGUCAACCAAGGGGAGAGGCUAGCCCAAUUAGCCCAUCAACCUGCAUGGCAAAAUAAACAAGUGGCAAGAGAAGCUUGCCAAGUGUCUUUCCCCUAGAGCCAAGUGGCAUUAGCCAUGCAAACCAAAUGAUUGCAAAUGAUGAAGGGGAGAGAAAGAGAGGGAGAGUGGGCGGAUUGAGAGAGAGGGUUACCGAGAGAGAGACAGUGAAAUCAAGAGAGGGAGAGUGAGUGUGCGAGGAAGAAGGAGGAGGUUCGUCGCCGUUGUUGAGCCGCCGAGUCCCGCCGUCGAGCCGCCAUUUGCUUGCUGUGUUUUGCUUGGAUUAGAGGCAAGUAGAGUCCAUUGAUCUAUCCCUUGCUUGCUGUGUUUUGUGUGUUAUGAACGGUGAAUUUCGGAUGUGGAUGAAGUGUGAAAUUUCGAAGUUAUAGGAGUUGUGUUCUAGCCUAGUAUUCUGUUUCUGGAAAAACAAUUUGACCUUCGAUGAUUUCGUGAGUUGCAUGCAAUGUUCUAGUUGGAAUCUUGAUGUGGACAUCGAGCCAUAUCGAGGAGGAGGUGCUAGGGACCCAUUAUCUAUUCCUAUUGGUUCGAUUACUCGAGCACGGGCCAAACAAUUCAGGCAAGCUGUUGGCGUCAUGGUUCAUGAUCUUUGGCGUGAAGAUGACCUUGAAUCAAAUCUUGAAGAAUCUUGGAAAUCUUGGUGCAAUUUAAUUUUCUUGUCACCAAAUAAUUGACCAAGUCAAUUUUUAUAUAUUCUUGUUUAAGAAUAUUCUAAAAUAGGAAUAUUUUAGAAUAUAACGCAUUAGAUUUUUAGGGUUGGUUUUUAGGGUUUGUGUGACAGUCUAUAUAAAGGAUUUGCCAAAUUUCUUUGGGGACAGAUAUAUUUUAUUUUUGAGGAAAAGAAUUGAGAGAUUCUUUUUUUAUUGUUCUUUUGAGGACUUGACCUAAUCAAGAUUCUCUUGUGGCGGUCAAUUUGACUUAUCGAGCUAGAUAGCGAAUUCUUUCACUCGUGGCGUUUAUAACGUUGGUUGGUUGACACGUGUUCGUCAACAGGUCACGUUCAUACCGAGGUUGCCAAUCACAGGUUUGAUUGGAGGUCGAGGUUUGCAAUUCGCACCAUCUGGGCCUUCGUAGAACGAUCCUUCCACAACGAUUCACAUCAAAUCUGACUUCGACUUCUUGAUGAAAGUUAUAGAGGACUUCUUGAAGAUUAACAUACUAAAAAUUGAGAUGAAACGGACAAUUAUUGUUGGUGAAAUGAUUUUCCUUUUAAGAAACUAGAUCUGGAAACUGUUAUGUCAACCUUUGGUGAUUUCGUGAGUUGCAUGCAAUUUUCUAGUUGGAAUAUGACUUCGACUUCUUGAUGAAAGUUGUAAAGGACCUCUUGGAGAAUAACGUAUAAAAAUUUGAAAGGAAACGGACAAGUAUAGGUCAAUGAAACUAUUUUUCUUUGAUGAAGCAAGAUUUGGAAACUGUUAUGUUGAUCUGUUGUGAUUCCAUGAAUUUUGUGAAAUUAUCCAGUCCGAAUUUGAUCUUGUGUUCAUGAUUAGAGUUGUAGAAGACAUCGUGAAGAGCAACAUACUAAAAUUUGAGGAUAAACGGACAAGUAAUGAUCGAGGAAAACAAUUUUCUUUGAAAAAGAUGAAUCUGGACAGUAAACCGAGAGAUAGGAAGAGUUAUAAAAAUUAUAGCUUUUAAUCCAGAAGGAAUUAAAUUUCUAUUUCUGUAUGAGAAUUUUACCUUUAGAUCUCAGCUAUAACAUAUCAAAAUCUCAGAAUUUUCAGAGUUCAUUUAGGGGCUUAAUCGAAAUUAUUUCCGAAUUUGUGUAAAAGUGGUGCUGGAAUUUCUUUUGUUGUGAUGUAUGGAUCUAUGUAUUGAUGUGGAACUUUUUUGACAUGGUGUUCUUCAUGAAAUAUCUUCAUCUGGAUCUUUUUUACAUCAUGUUAAAUUCUCAAAAUUUAUUGAGAUUUUUUACUAAUUUUCCAAUAGUUUUCACUAAAGAAGUGCAUUCUGUUUUAUUCGAAAAUUGGUUCUAGUUUCAAAAACCAAUGAACUUCUUUAUGAAAUGUGAUAUCGUGGAUCUUAUGCGUACUGCAUAUAUGGUGAUGUUUGGCAUAUCAUGUGACAUCAAAAGAUGGUUUAGAUCUUUGAUAUUGUUGCAUCUAAUGCCAUGAUGAAAAUGAGACAUAAAUGAGAUUAUAUAUUGUGAUAAUAAAGAGACCGUCGGAGGUGUGAGCUGACGAUGCCCCGGGAGUGUUGAGAUGCCCGGAGUGUGUGUGCCGAAAUCCCUGGAGGUGUGUGCCUAGGGGAUUCCUCAUGAUGCUAGUUGGGAUACGAGAUGCCCAAAUGUUCGAAUGAGUCAAUGCCCUUUGGAUGCCUGGUUGUAUUAUGAUACAUGCCCGAAAGGUAAGGGGUUGUAUUAUGAUAUAUGCCCAGAGGUUCCUCGUGACGUCAAGUUGGGUGCGAGCGAUAAAUUGUGAGAUGCAAACAUUGGUCCCUGGAUGAAAAAUGAUGAGAUCCUUAUGAAAGAUAAGAAUUGAAAUUGAAUCAUGUGCAUGGGUGUAUGCAUAUGGCAUGAUGCAUGAUUUGCUUAUGAAAAUAAAAUUGAUGCUAUUUGAUAUUGAAAAUGCGAUCAUGAAGGCGUGAAUGGAUCUCAUGGUAAUGUAUGCUUGAUAGCAUGGAUGAUACGAAUCAUGGUGAUAUAUGCACGAUGGCAUGGUGAGAUAUGCAUGACUGCAUGGUGGUAUAUGCACGAUGGCAUGGCAAGAUAUGCAUGACUACAUGGUAAUAUAUGCACGACUGCAUGGUGAUGUAUGCUUGAUAGCAUGAAUGAUAUGUGCUUUACUCGUGAUAUCUUGAUUGUCUUGCUUGUUACAUUGUGUAGUUUGGUGGAUCUUUACUGCUGAGUGGUUGUACUCACCCAUUUUGGGGACUAACAUUUCAGACUAGAUAAGAUACCUCUGCUGCCACUGCCACCGGUAGAUGGAUCAAGUGGUUGGAUAUGACCGCGAGGAGGAGAAUAGCAAAGGAAGGAACUUUUGAACGUCGACACUAAUCAAUGGACUUUAAGUAUACGACUAUUGGAGGAGAUGUCGAUCAUCUUUUGAAGUAUAGCCGAGUAUAGAAGACUAUGGAAUUUUGAUGUACCGAUGAAUGAUGUCCAUCUGGUUUAAGUAAAUAAAAGUGUUUGGCUUUUACCUAUAAAUGUUUAGUGGGUGUGCAUCGUUUUCUGAAUAUAGGGAAGGGAGUUGAUGGAUGUGCUUCCGCCAUAUUUUUGCGCAGGGAUCUAUGGAAAUAUAUAUAAACCCCUAGGACUUAUAGACUUAUUAUAUCUCUUUGGUAUUAGAGUGAUAUAUUAUCAGGUCAAGUAAAAGGUAAGUGAACAGUGGCGACCCUAAUGGUUCGGGGGCCGUCGAGGGGUGCCACACGGUGGCUGACGAUCGGCGACUAGUGGCUGGGGUCGGUGGCAGGUGGCUGGCAACUGGCAGCAGGCGUACGGCAUCCCACGAGCGGCAAGUGGACGACAGGCAAUGACAAGAGUGAACGAUGAGAAAAAUUUUGAUUUCUUAGUUCCAAAAAUAGAAAAGCUAAAAAUUUUAACUUUUGAUUUCUACUCCAAAUCUAUUUCUGGAAUAGAAAUCUAUUCCAAAAAUAGAAAAUUGAAAUUGCAUUACCAAACGGAUUUCUGUUCCAAACCUGUUCCGGGAAACAAAAAAAUAGAGAAAUAGAGAAACAUAAAUUUUGUUAUACGCACCCUAAGGGAUCCAUUGUUUUUUGAGCAUGUGGAAAUAUCACAAAACCAAAUGAUAUAAUAAGAAAGGUACGAGGAAUUUGAUUUCUAGACUUAGGCUCAAGAAUAAGAAGAUGUUGCUCAAGGAAAGUAGCUCAAGGAAAGUAUAAGUCAUGGAAUUUGAAUUUUCCUUAUCAUAGGGAAUGUUUAGGAAUUGACUCAAAAGAGAGAUUGGAUUUUGGCCAAUAGGAGGAAUGGCAAAACCUUGGGAAACCUUACCUAACCUAAUGACUAUCUCAAACUUUUCAAUUGUAGGGGUCAAAAUGUAUUGAUUGAACACGAAGAUAGAAGUCACAGGGUUCCAAAAGUGGACCAGCGCUUUCACCACGACAAUUUGGGGUUCGACCUUCAGUAGCACUUCUCCACAUAGUCUUGAUGCUUCGGGUCGAGGUUAUCCUAUAUAACCUUGAGACUUUUCGGCACGGGAAUAACGUUGAUCUUGGGCUUGCCCAUCUAAAUCCUAAAUCCAAAAGGGCAUUCAAGAUUAAAAACUCAUCGUCGUUGGAAAUACAAAGUAUGGAAUUGAAAUCCAGAAAUUAGAAAUAAUAACAAUAAUAAAAUGGGAAUGAUGUCUUACCAACCAAAACCAUGGCAAGCACAACCACACAUCGCAUGAGGACUUGUGAGGUUUUGACGCCUAAGGGUGAGGACGCUAAAGGCUCCAGGUCCCCAUCCCGAAAGAUAAAAGUAGUUUUCUCACCACUACUAUCGUCAACUAGUGCAAAUUUUAUCAAUUGAGAUGAGUAGAUAUAUGGAAGUAUAGAUUACCACGAGUGUUUACUAGCAGUUUCCACCCCCACAAACCCUCCUAAAGGUUCUAAAUUGGGCAAUCGGGGUUUUAGACCGCGAUUAUGUGUGUGAUGUAGUGCUAAAACUUUCAAAUAUGCAUUUAAGUUUAAACAACCAGCACUUCAAUAUAACCAAUCAUUCAUUCAUAUGUCCUUUCGCCACUUGCAAGACAAGGGGUUUACACUCACUUCACUCCUUAUGCCUUCCACCAACAAGACCAUUUAACACAUGGUUAGUGACUUACCUCUUUUUUCACGCGACUUUUAUAUGUAGACAGCCCUACCAUAAGACAUGCUAUUUAACACGACAACUAUUUUAAACAACUUCCAGUCCUCUUAACUAGUAACUAGUCUCUAGUGGAGUCGUCAAGCUUGUCACGACCCGACCUUGCACGCUAUGAAGAAGAGAGGUCGGGUUUAGGAGUACCUAGCCAUGAGAGUUCUCUCACAGUUCAUAUUCCAAAAGACAUCAUCACCUUGUCUUAUGGGACGAACCCUUGUGAGUUCCCUCAUUCACAGUCGCGAGCUCUCCCAAACUUGUAAGUCCUGUGACAGCGGAAUGUGUCAUGAUUCGUACCUACACGAACGACACACCUAAAAAAAAAGAGAGAGAUUGAAAUUUAGGGCCAUCUUUACCAUAGUAUCCCACCUCAUAGUACUCGCUCUCCAUGGAUGGCAUCAUUUCAUCCAUUAGGAACUUUUCACAGUGGGUAUGCCCUCACGAUGGGUUUAUUUUAUUAUCUAAUUGUUUAGAAAGUACUAAGAUGGGAGUUAUCACUAAUUUCAUUUUUGGAAGUCGGCUAGAAAACCUAAACGAGGGUCGGGAGUUAUCCCUCGAUUUCUACGCAACUAGAGAUUCUUGAUUUGGAAACUUGAGUUACGCUAAUAUUUCUAUUAGCGCCCUUUUAAUACUUAACAGUUUGUCGUGUCUCCUAAAGUGAUCAUGCAUUUCUUUUUACUUUUUAGGGCUGAUUACACUAAUUAAGUGAUCAUGCGCGGAUGGUUGGUUUCACGCAAUUCUAUUUCUAUGAAAGAUAAAAGAAGGCGCGCAAUUGAAAUUCAAAGAUAGAGCGAUAAGUAAACAAUCAAGUUGGCAGUUUAAGGAAAUUGGUAAAUCUAACAUGUAACCCUAAACAACAAAGGAAAUAAAAUGAAAAAAAAAAAAACCCGCAACUCUUCUGGUGUUUAUACAUCACAAGACAACCCAAAACAUAUAUCGAGGACAAAUGGUACAAAAAUACGGUUGAAGCGGACAUCGACUUUCCAUCCUAUUCGAGUCUCGAGGGACCUCCACCUUCAAAGACCUAAUCUAAUCCUAAACUAAAAGUAGGGCUAGGUGCAUACAAUAGGAAAGAAACAAUCAUUCAUGACAAAAACAAUCACAAGCCAAUCAAGAAUAAUCAAGCAAUUGAAAUCAUAUGCAAAAGUAGACAUAUUGAGUCUCGAGGUCAACCUUUGCAAUUUAUGCAUCUAUAACAUCCUCAAUUUCAACCCUUAUUUUAGCCUUAACUAGUAGGCCAAUGACCAGAACACCAAUGGCAAAACUAGGCCAUGACCCAGCAUAAAGGCCGGUCAUGAGUCAAAUUGGCCUAAUCGAGACUUAGCAACCAAAGGUCUGGAUAUGGAGUGUUCAACCAUGGGAGGGUUAUUUGACCAAAAAGAUUAGCCAUGGGAUGAUCACGUACCAUCAUGAAUCGGUGGAUAGUCAUGACUCGAUUUCGAUUGGUCAAUGUACUGAUUGCAAGUGAUUCCACCUAGUCAUUUUAACAGCCAUGAUGACCAUGAAUCAAUGUAAGACGACCGUGAAUCAAAACGAAUCGAUCAAUCCCACAUGAUUAUAUGACAACCAAUAAUCGACCAUGGAUCGAAUAAACUCAACAUGGUUCAAUUUUGGACUAACUAAGACUUGUGGUGCAUGACUUUAUACUGGUCACUGGAUCGGCUAUGAGACUAGUUGACUGGCUUAGUGAUUGACCACGGGACUGGCCAAACAAAAUUGACCCACAGACUAGCCCACAAAUUGGUUAGAGGACUGAUCGGUUGGGCUAGGACCUAGCCAAUAAACCUACAUGCAACCCCUUUUCUCGAUAAAAGGGAGCUCAAGUUCGGUUUGGUCAAUCGAGCCUGGUUGCAUUUGACUCCGUUUGGGCAUGGCUUAAGCACGAACCACGAGCCAAAUAAAGUGGCCAAUCAUGGUCAAACUCAACUAAUUUCCACCUAAUGACAAGCCAUCACAAAUUUAGAUAUUUUUCCAAGUUGCAUUUAAUAUAUCCGUCACUUAGUAAUGGACACUUGGCACGUUGGGGCUUUACCUUGGAAAAUAAUAUUAGCCUUGAACUUAGAACCAUUAAUGAAAAGGACAUUUAGGCAUGGGACUAGUAAAAUCUUCUUGAAAAACAAGUGUAAACAAAUGUGAACAAAUAUGAACAUAUUAAAUGGAGUGUGGAAUAGGUGUCCCUAUAGCCUAAGCCUAAUCAUACCCUAAUGACUAAGUGUGAAACAUGGAUUUUGCAGCCCACAAGGAAGGGCCACAUGCCAAAGAGAGAGAGAGAGAGAAGCAAAGUGAAGUCCAAACUUUGAACUAAAGAUAAGCAUAAGCCCACAUUAAUAUCUCUUGGACUUUAGCCAUUCGAUGACCAAGAAGAAGUGUCCAAGCUAACUUAGAACUUAAUUGGAAACUUGGAAGAUAAGAUUUUCCAACCAUCAGUGAUCCUUGACUCAAGACCAAGUGGGGCACCUCCUCUUUCCAAUUGGAUUUGCCGCCUUUGAUUUUUCAAAAUUGUUGGACCUUCACUGUUUGUCAAUUUUACAGAACUUUUUAUGAUUUGAAUUUGAAGAAACUUCCUUCAUAAAAUUUGGUCAAAACAUCUUGGUCUACAAUAUACUUAAAUUUCAGAUUUUUUUGAGGUGAAAUGGUUAGGGUGAAGGCCUAAUCAUUUACCAUCUAGAACCUGCCUAGUGUAGUAAAAAUAGUGACCAGGUUGCAUUCUUGAAUUUUUACAAAUUCCUUUCGAAUUUAGAAUUCUUCCUGCACAAAAAAUUUAAAGGAUAUCCUUAUCUACAACAUAUAAAAAUUUCAAAGAGUUUUGAAAAACUCUAGAAUUUGAAAUGGGUCUUUCUUUGCGGUCAUUAGAUCUGCUCAAUAGGCAGAAUGUUAUUUAAAGUCUUCUCUACAACAUAUUAACAUUUCAUAAUUUUUCUAUUUUGUUUGAUAGGGUAAUGACACUAAUUUUGAAAAUUGCUCAAAACUAUUUCUUCACCCUAGGACAAGCUUGAAGUCUAGUUCUUAAUUGUCAUCCUGAGGUAUCCCAAGCUACUUAGCUAUAGUCAUACCCUACUUUGAGGCUUGAUGACCAAGUAAGGCCCUCUUAAAUGACUAUUGACUAGGUUUAUUUGAGGCGGAUAAUGAAGGUAUACUAGAUGACCUAGGGCACCUAUUAAGGGGGGAAUCAAGUGUGAUCAUUCAUUAAUUAAGGGCCAUUAUUAUAGACCAAGUGGGCCAAUUGGAAAUUGGUCACCUUGCCCCCACACUUUUUACCUAAGCCACGGUAAUUAAUGGCCCAUUAGGACCGUUUUUGGGGGAAAGCCCUGUAAAUAGGAGCGAAAACCAUUCACCCCAACACAACUUCACGUUCAAAUCCCCACCUUCUCAGGGGGGGAUGGGGUGGGGACGCGUAAGCUUCAGAAGUGGAUUUCGACUCCCACGCCCUGCAAGAGGCAGGGCAAAAGUCUGAGAGUGAGUGUAGAGUAGGAAUAGAGUAGGACUGACCAAAAAAAAAAAAAAAACACAACUUCACCAAAGCCAUCCUCCUCUCUUUACCUUCCACCACCAACGACCCUCCUCUCUCCCUCUCAAAAUUCAGCCUCCUCUCCCCUAGGAAUCCCUGUCACCACCCUUGCCAUUGUCGCCACUGUUUUAAAAACAUUAGCUUAGAAAGCCGUAAGUAGACGUCCUAACAUUUGGUUAAAACGUUGUGUUAUGCUAGUCCAAGCUUGUAAGAAGUUCAUAUUUGAUUGUUGUUCUUGAUUUAGGUUUUAUUUAUGCUUAUUUGAGUUGGUUUUGGAUUGGCUCUUUUGACUAGAUCAGGUAUUUAUUGGCCUUGGCUUGGUCGUUUGCUUUUGAAUUUGAAGUAGCGUAGUUCUGAUGCUUGAUUGUUGUACCUUUACUUGGCUUGUUAAAGUGACCAUUUUUUGUGCUUGUUUUACUAUGCCUUCGUUUUAUUUUGAUCCCAACAAUUCUAAAAAGCGUUUUAAUGAAAGUUCAUUGUUGUUUUAUAAAGUAUUCUAAACCACUUUUGUAAAUGUAUGUUCAUGACCUGAGUUCCAAAUAAAGGUUUCGCCGGCCUGGGAUGAACGUGAGAUCAUGACAAAUUGGUCCUUUCUUAGUCUUGGGGCAUUAUUGAGGCGUAUCGGUUCCCCAAGCCAAGUUCGGUACUAAAUCCGUGUAUCGUACGAGUCGAACCAAGCCACGAACCUUCAUUCAAGCUCGGUGUGCUCAACUACUUGGAAUUAGUAAGGCAUUUCACAUACUUAUGCAUGGGAUGCCUUUGGGGUUUGAAUUAAAAGCGAAGAUAAGAAUCAACUUAUGAUGCUUGAUGCAUGGACAAAUAAGAGACUAAAUUAUGCCGUCGACCGAUGGAUUUCAGCGAUGAUGCCCGAUGGAUUUUGGAAGAACCAAUGGAUUUUGGAAGAACCAAUGGAUUUUGAUUAUGCCGUCGACCGAUGGAUUUCAGUGAUGAUGCCUGAUGGAUUUCGAAUGCCUGGUGAAUUUCGGAUGGCUCAAUGGAUUUCGAUUAUUAAUAAACGAACCCCGUGCGGGUGAGUUUCACAUAUGUGUAAUGGAUCCUUAGUAUAUGCUUGCAAUUAAUUAAUAACCGUCGACCGGUUAUUUGCUUGUUGAAAAAGGCGAGGCAUCAUCCUAUCCGGAUUUUAGUAAGUUAACUUACUAAGUUGUACUCACUUGUUUUUAUCCUCUAGAUUUGUAGGAUGGCUGCGCCGCCCGUAAAAUUCGGCAUUCCAAUAGAUAUGACUGUGUCUUAGUAAAUUUUGUAGUAUUAAUAAAAAUUCACAUUAAUAAAAAUUCACUACAACCAUCUGGGUGGAAGGACUUGACUAGCUCGUCCCACACAAGUACCACAUUCUAUGAGUGGAUUGACGAAGGCUUCGUCGGUCCCCUUCAUGGUUUCGAGGGUCCCCCAGGGCCUGACGGUGAUGUCUCACCCAAUGGCAUUGUAGAAGACUAAGUAGAAAUCAAUCCUUAGGGGUGCUAAUUUUGGUAGGAUCUCAUUAGAGGAGAUUAGAAUACCCCAAAGUCUGAUGUGUUUCAGAAAAAGGACUGUAUGUAUUAGAUAGUGUGGAACCUAGCUCGAAUAAAUGGACUUGUAAGAUAAAUAAGGUAUAUAUGUAAAAUUACAAAUGGUUGUCAUGUAUAUAUAAACAUAUGGUUGUAUGUGUAUUUUUCCUACUAAAUUGUUGUGAUUUUUUGUGAUCGGGUGUUGAUCGCUUUCGCAUGUGUAUAACUCAAAGAUCAAUAAAAGAAAGAAAUACUGGUCACCGACACGCUUGGGAGGUUGCAAAAAAUAAUCAUCACUGCUCGUGACCUUGGAGAUGGAGUUGGGGUCAUUACAGUGUCGAUCCCUCUAGAUGCUUAUCUCAAUUCAUUUUUUUGGCUUAUAGCCAUUUGCUUCCAUUUGUGUUCUCGCAUGGCAACCAACACUAGUAAGCUCCUAUGAUGUGUUCUAAUUUAAUCCCAAGGUCAUCCCACAAAAUCAUGCAUCACACUUAUGUAUAUACCUAAAAUCCACAUGCAUAGUGAGAAAUGAACAUGCAGGCAGGCCUAUGAGCCUCAAACAAUCAGACAAUUUUAGUGAGCCAAUGUUGGACACUUAUUCAGUCGACAAGCGCCAAAAAUAAUCAUAGGCAUUUCUAACGAAAGGAAUGAUAUUACGUAUGUCUAGUUCAUGUGAUACUUCAAAAAGUUUGGAUAUGUUUAAAACAUUGAGAAGGGAAAAUGAAGUACUUUGACAAAGGUACAACUCGACUAUGGAAUGCAUUUAAUUGUCAAGGCUAAUCUGGGGCGCAUAUCAUGCACUACUAAUAGAUAUCACAGACAUUUUAAAUACAGUCCAAAUCUAGACAAGUCCAAUGUCAAAUCAAAAUUUUAAAGAUACUAAACGACUAACGUUGGAAGUAUCACAUGUACCAAAGCCAUUUUUAUAUGCAAAACCAAUGUUUCACCUUGAAUUUGGAAAAAAGCGUUACUCAAAGACCACUUUAUUUAUUUUAAAAAAAAUCAACAAAGAAGAUUAGGGAAUUUAUAAUAGAUUUCAUGAAGAUGAUGAAUCAUAAUUCCAUAUGUAAGCCAUCCUAAAAAAUACUAAAAUAAUAUCACAGCAAAGAUUUGAAACAAAACAUCACAAAGCAGGACAAAUAAUAUCAACGCAAUUGAAAAUGAACCCAAUGAUAAUGUGUUCCAAGAAAAUUACACAAUAUUCACAAUAUUAUGGGGAACAAACUUCAUGAAGAAAGUUCUNNNNNNNNNNNNNNNNNNNNNNNNNNNNNNNNNNNNNNNNNNNNNNNNNNNNNNNNNNNNNNNNNNNNNNNNNNNNNNNNNNNNNNNNNNNNNNNNNNNNUAUCAGAAUUCCACAAAACAACAUGGUAUCAUGACAUAUCAACAGAGAUUUAACCUAGUAAGCAUGGUCUAAAAAAUAUGAAAUUUUACCGCAACAUAGACAAAAUAAUGAUGGACAAAGUUCAUUAAGGGUAUGACCUAAGAAUCCUUAAGGAGAAAAUCACACAAAAAUGACAAAAGUUUAGACUUAACAAGGGUAAAACAAGGGUUCUAAAUUUUGCCUAAGUUAGAUUUCUAACCAAAAUGAACAAAAAUAGAAAAUGGGUCAAAAAUUAUGAAAAUCGCACAAAAUCAGUGCAUUGGAAAAAUCUAGACGAGUCCUAAGACUUUCUAAGAAUAGACUUAGGAGCUAAGAGAGAUUGAUAAGGUUUAAAUAAGAGUGUGCCUAGUGUCUUUCACUGUCUGUUAUUAUUAAAGGAAGUGAUCGAUGGAGGAUAGAAGGCUAGGAUGCAGAAGAGUUCGAGUCCAAUCGAGGUCAAAUUGAUGCUCGAAAAAUGAUAUUCGUGAAAUUGCGCAUGUCAGCCACAUACAAAAUAGAAUAUGAUGCAUGCUUAAUAGUCUAUAAAACCACCUAGACAAUACAUGAAAAGAAUGAAAAUCACAUAUGACAUAAGGUUGAAUGUGAAAAAAUAUCAUCAAAAAAUUUUGGAAAAAUAGUGUUUCCAACACUAUUUUACCAUUACUCUAUCGUGCAGAAAAUAUCAUGAUUGUCAUGGAAAUUUCAUAAGUCAAAGCUCUCUUUUAUAAAAUCGGUCUUACAUUCAAGGUGGAUAGCCAGAUAAAGAGGGCAAAAACAUAAUUCGUCAAAUUUUUUUCACGUGAGAAAAGUUAUUACAAGUAAAGGAAAUUACUAACACAUUGGCCACAAAAAUUUACAAAAUAUAAAAAAUGUUACGAUCAAUUUAAUUUUUUACUAAAGAUACACAAUCUGUGUUUAUUUUGCGGAAAAGUACUUUUUUCAUAAUUUCUAAUAUUUAGAGCUUCUCCUCGCGCUUCUCUUCUAGAUACUAGAAAAAAAAAAAGGUCAAUUCAUAUCUCUCUCUCCCUCCCCAACAUAAAACUGAAACCCCGUCAAAUCUAAUGAAUUAUCAUUCGAUUUUGUUGAGAAAAUAUGUUUUGAUUGCCCUUGUUAUUCCCAAUAGGAUGGCGCGGUAACAAAUCGAUUCUUCCAAAGCGCGCCCCAUUCAUGCCACCUGCAAAACCUUUACACACCUUCAUUACCUUUUGGAUCAUCGAAAGGAUCUCGGAGACCCACCAAAGCACAAAAGCUACGAUCUUUCAGAAAUUGAUGCUAUCCGUGAACCUGUUUCUGGAUCUCUACUUUCUAGAAACAAUAUUAUCUCAGGUGCCAUUAUUCCUACUUCUACAACUAUACGUUUGCAUUUUUACCCAAUAUGGGAAGCGGCAUCUAUUGAUGAAUGGUUAUACAACGGCGGUCCUUAUGAGUUAAUUGUUCUAAACUUCUUACUUGGUGUAGCUUGUUACAUGGGUUGUGAGUGGAAACUUAGUUUCCGUUUGGGUUUUCUUCAUUUUCUCCCUCCUGUUGUUCCAAUCAUAAUUAUUGAUAUGGGCCCUUUCCACAUAAAAGGGGAAUCUUUUGAUAAUAGUAUCAAAUCUUCCUUAGCUUUGUCGGGAUUACUUCACUCGAGAAAUUGAGCUAUUUUCUCGUGAGAUUGUCAAUCCAUAGCCAAAGACGCUCCUUUUCAACUGACAAGUGUUGACAAAUGCGUAAGUCAUUUACAGAAUGCUUGGUCUACUGAAUUCGUUGGUGAUGUUGGAAGCAAGUCAGAAAUGGAUUGACCGCAGAUGAAUAGAUGGACCGUCUAUGCAAUCAUAGUUGUCUUGCUUUAGCUAGUAAAGUUUGAAGGGAAGUCACCAUAAACUGUUGGACUAGUUUAGUUAGAAGAACAAUUCAGUGAUCUGGCCCUUUGUAAUAGAAUCUAAUAAUUCAUGCGUAUGUCUCGAUUUGGACAUUUAUGUGAGAAGGAAAAGCAUGGACUGGAUCAUCGCACUAUCACUUUUUGCCUGAUUCUAGGGUCUUCUCUGCACGACUUCCUUUUGCCAGAUAAAUCAGACUGUUCUUGCACAUCAUGAUACUAUGAAAUACUAGCGUGGACCAAUGAUAAUUCUUUUUUCAACUAAUUUAGUGCUUAAAUUGUGUGAUAGAGAUUCCUUGUUCUAUUGAAUGGGAUGGGAUAGGGAUGAUAAUUAUGCGUCUUAUUUUGAUGUAGUGUUUAUUAGUUUGGUAGCCAUCUUGCCCUGCAGAUUCAGUUCAUUUUCCCUUCUCAUCUGGUUGUCAUUGAUUGUUCGACUGAUUCUUGGCUUUGAGUUGUGAAGAUCAUGCAGGAAUUUGUUCUACUCAAAAUGGUAUGUCUCAGCUUUCAGUCUUUGCCUUUUUUUUUCUCUUUGUAUAGCCGUGGUGUAUGCUUUAAAAUUUUUUAUUCUUCGCAUGAAGUAACUACUGAAUUUAUAUGAUUUUACUACUACAUUUGCUUAUAUCAACUUUUGCGAUCAAGCCAAACUCAACUAGAAUAAAUGAUACUUGAUUAGGUUUCGAUUUUUAACAUUUUAUAUUAUUAUAAUUUUUAAUAUCAUUUUUAAUAGUCUUUUUUCUUUAAUUUUAAGUUCUUUAAAUAUUUUUUAAACUUUUUAAUAUUUAAUAUUAUUAUAUUAAUAGGAAAACGGGUCCGGACGGGUAUCCUGAUUCGGACUGUUGACCUGAUCCAACAACCUGGAUCCGACCCACGUCCGAAAAGAACCCAAUUUUAUAUAUUUCGUUUAUUAUUUUUUCUGUUCUCUUUUUGUCUUUUCCCCUGUUUUGUCCUUUUCUUCUGGUCAUUUUCUUCCUCCGAAGCUUUCAUUCUCUGCAACUUCUUUUCUUCAUAUUUCGAACCAAUGCACCCAGGCAUCACACCAUCCUCCAUGGGCGCUGGAGCUUACACCACCGCACCCUGCCGGUCAUCCGUUCCGACCAGCAUGUACCAACACCGAAAUAAAAUGAGCUCACUUUCCGGCGUCUUCCAUCACACCGUCCACUCAUCCAGUUCAAUGAAGUAGACACAACAUAUAUCAAACAAAAUGCAACGUAGCGAUCUCAUUAUUCAUGAAAACCAAGUUAACGACCAGCACCUUCAAAUUCGAACAGAAACAGCAGCUAUUUCUUACAUAUUUCUUUGAAACAUUUCGUCGAAUGGGUUUCCGGUGUCUAACUAAAAGUAAUAUAGCGUGUCAAUGAACAUACACGUUGGUGUCUCAUUCAUCCCGCAUUAAACAAAAGACAUUUCAAGUCGAUGAAAAAAUAUUUCAACAGAUCCUCAACAUGCUUUCACAGAAGCAAAUAAAACCCCGGUCUCAUCUUUAGAACAACACUAAGGCAUCAUAUCGAGCGUGUGAUGAGCACGGAAGAAAGAGAGGUCAUAGACCCGUUGUAAACUCUAGCUCAUGCCCAGACUCAAAAGAGAAUAGCGAGUGACGCUCAAACACGACAGAAGGGACAGCUAAUUUAAACCGAGCGUGAUCGUGGACUAGCGGAAACAAGACCCUGCUAUCGUUUCGGCUCCGUUUUAAAUAAAGCCAAGCAACGGAGUUCCCAUAGACAAGCGUUUGACCGCGGAUGUCCGUACCCCAUGGCCGAACGCUACCUUUUUUUCAUCAGUCCCCGUCGAGCACCCCACUUCUCUCUGCCAAAUCAGCCGCGCUCCUCUCGGCCGAAUCUUUUUCUGUUAGGCCUCUCUCUCCCUUACACGACAGCUCACCUAUUCUAGAAGGCUUGGGCACGCUCACUUCACUUGCUCGCCGCUUCUCUCAGCCGAAUCAUUUUGAAUUAUUUUCUUCUAUUUUCUUUUCGUGGCCCUUGUAGGCCGGCGGCCACGCAUACUAUGUUAACUUUUUCAAAGUUGGAGAGCAGUCGUGUAACGGUGCGAAAGUUAGGGGGCUUUUGAGAAAUUAUCCACAAAAUUAAGAGCAAAAAAGGGGAAUUAAAAGGGAAAUCCGAAAAGAACCCAAGAAAAAACCCCUUCCCCGCGCUUUCUCAUACCCUAAUCAAUCCCAAUUUGGGGAAGAAUUCGGAAAAAGCUCACUCCCGUCAAUUUUCCCCAAGUCGCUUCUCCUUCAUCCUCUUCCAAGAAGGAAGAAAGGAAAUGAUGAACGUGUUCAUGCCGAGGAACUUGGUGCCUCCCGCGCUGUUGGACGCGCUCCACGACGCGCUCAAGCUGAAGGGAGCUGUUUCUUCCAGGGGUGGGCCCCGCGAUUUUCACGCCGUUUCUUCCCCCGAUCACGUGAGUACGUUGGGAUUGGGCGGCGCUACGGCUUUUGGGUUCAUUUUUUAGAAUUGGGUUUGAGGUUGUUUUACGUCUUGAGAAGUUCGAGGAUCUUCAGGCGAAAGGGUGGAAGCUAGUCGGCAAAGAUCUUGUUCUCAUCCUAGUUUUAUCUUUUGGUUUCUUACUCGAGGCUGCUAAAUGCUAAACCAGAACUUGUAGUUGAGAAACGAAAGCGGAAGCAUUGGGGUCAACGUGCUGGUCAAGCAAGUCGAGAGAAGUUCUUUCGGCUGGGAAAAAAAAUGUUGAUUUCGAUGGGGGAUAUUUCGGUUUCUUGUAGUUCUGCAGUGUGUGGUUUCGUGUGCGAAAGAAGGGAGACCUCUGCCUCAAAAAGGGUAUAAUUGUUUGUCUUGCAAUGGAUGGUGUCGAAGUCCUCGCAUCUGGAUUUGAGAUGGAUGAGAAGGUAUGUCUGUUCCUAGAUAAGUCUGGCCUUGUAUGAUUUUUUAGCGUGUAAUCUUUAUUGUUACUUGUCUCUCUAAUUCAGUGCGGCGCGUCACUUAUCCUUAUCCAUGUAUCCUUCUAUGUGAUCCAUUGAUUCUUAUGCCUUCAGACAUGCUUUUGUUUGAACAAAUAUGGCAAUAGCCUGUUGUCUCUCUUAUUGUUUCACCAUUUCCGCGAAUGUGCAAGCUGAGAUUGGGAAACUGGUAACUUCAAUGGGGGAGUUCUACAGACCAAAACUUUAGCAAAUGUUAGCUUCGUAAUUGCGAAGAUGUUUUGGCUGAACUGAGGAAGGGUUUCGUCCAUACUUUUUUGAGUAUUCUCUGUGCAAGUUCUUUUGUAAUCCCAUCUUGAGAGAUAAAUUGUAUUUAUCAAUUAGUAUUGUCCUCAUGCAGUGGGCUUUAAUUGUUCUGAAGAUACCUGUUGUCACCAUUACCAAUGCCGUAAUGAGCACCGUGUUGUUCCUCUGGAGUCUUACAAAGUUCUUCCAUUUUUUGGAUCAACAAUAUGUGUCAUAGGAAUUCCUACAGGUACUGAUGAUUUGAUAUAGUUGCUGCUAUUGAUUGUCCUCUAGUUCUUCAAUUUCUAUGUUGUUCAUUAUCUUAGAUGCACGUAAGGAGAUUCAAAAGCACAUCACACAAAAAAAAAAAAAAAAGGCAUAUCACAAAAAAUGGUGGGAAAUAUUCCGCAGAAUUGACCAGGAAAUGCACUCGUUUAAUUGCAGAAAUAUCCUUUUCUUCUUCAAGAUUAAGGUCCAGUGAUUUGCUUGCAUAUUUUCCCUUUGAUAUCUGAUCGCCGUAUGAAAAUGCAUAUAUGUUUAUCUUGUCUUCGCUCAUGAAAAGACUUUUAAGAGUUUGAAAAGAAAAUUUGUAUAAUUUCAAGGUUUAGUGACAAUUAUAGUUUGAAAUGGGAAAUAUCUAUACUUGAUUUAAUCCUUGUUUCUGGUAAUAUACUUAGUUGGGAAUUUGAUUACUCAAAUGAGAAACAGUGAAACUUCCUGGCACAAGAAUAUCAUUGACUUUGACUUCUAAAUGAGGCUCUUGACUUCGCCAAGAUCUCUGCAUCCUCUGUUCCUUGCUUAACUCCAUCUACAACAAGAAACAGAGCACGUUAAUAGCAACAUAUGAGCCAUUUACCAGAAAACUUUCAUAAAACCCCGGUCUUAUCUUUAGAACAAAACUAAGGCAUUAUAUCGAGCGUCUGAUGAGCAUGGACUAAAGAGAGGUCAUUGACCUAUUCUAAACUCUAGCUCAUGUUUUGACUCAAAAGAGAAUAGCAAGUGAUGCUCAAACUUGACAAAAGGGAUGGCUAGUUCAAACCGUGCAUGCUCGUGGACGAGGGAAAACAAGAUUUUAUUCCUUUUCAAAAUCUGAAGAAAUUUCUAGAGAACUUAUUAGAUCUUCAGUUAACUCCUCAAUCAAUUACUUAUUCAUAAUGCUAAAAGAAAAUUAAUCGAUUUUUCUUUUUCAAUAUACUAUAUUCCACACCCCCAUCGUCCAUCGAUUUGAUUCUUUCAAUAGAUAUAGGUAUUCGUAUUGAAAAUAAUUAGAAAUCUAGGAAUUCGAAGCGUACUAUUAAGAAUUGCCUUUCGAUUGCUUUAGAUUGAUUGGAAUCAAGACAAAUUAAAUAGAAUUUAGAUGCUAUGUACAUUACAUAUAUCAAUACAUAUAUAAAAAAGAUACAUAUCGUAGAUUAAUCUAUAUUAAGAUUAUUUAUAUAUGUUUUUAUUUUAUACCCAGCUAUCAUUUCGGCUCCGUUUUAAACAAAGCCAAGCGACAGAGUUCCAAGUGUUUGACCGCGGAUGUCCUUACCCACCCGCCCCCCCCCACAGGGUUCAAGUUGGUGAAUGUGACCACGAAAUUUGAAUGAACCCUGGAGACUUUAAUUGAUUUAAAUGGGACUUUCCUUGUCAAGUUCAUAGAAUAUGUUCUUCUUCUAUUUAAAUUGGCGGCCAUCUCAAAACGCAUUUAUCUUUUUCUCUGUUAUCAGGAAAGACGGAGAGUUCAUCAAGUAGACGAACUCUGGUGGUUGGUAAGUCUCGAUAAAACCCACACUUUGGUGCAAGGAUGUCGAAUUGAGGUUGGAAGAGGGGGAUUGUUUGGAAGAGUUGAAACCCAUUUAUAGAGGGGAAGGGAGAGUCUAAUACUAUAACCGCNNNNNNNNNNNNNNNNNNNNNNNNNNNNNNNNNNNNNNNNNNNNNNNNNNNNNNNNNNNNNNNNNNNNNNNNNNNNNNNNNNNNNNNNNNNNNNNNNNNNUAGAAGGGCUUGGGGCACGCUCACGUCACUUGCUCGUCGCUCCUCACCCUCGCUCACGGACGUUCCCUUUUUUGGUCACAGCACGUCCUUCUACCAUCUCUCUCUCUCUCUGUGGAGAGCGCCCAUUUAGAGAAGAGAAGGGGCCAUGGGCUGGGCUCCUCUCUUUUCAUAACUCUAAUGGGCCAUGAAGGAAACAAAAGGGAUGAAAGAAAUGGGCUGGAAAAAAUAAUUCAACGGAUGGGCCAACGGAAAGAAGGAGCUGGCCGACCAUUUGUUAAAGGAGUGGGACCGGCCCGUUCGACUUAAUCAUUUUACUUUAUUUUUUUUUAUUUCCUCUUCAUUCCACCUAUUUUCUUUCAUUUCUUUUUUUUUUAUAUAUAAUUUUUUGGAUCUUUAUACUUCCAUUAUUACUAUUUUCUUUAUUUUAAAUAUAUUUUAUUUUUGGCUUUUUUUAUCAUUUUAUAGAUUUUUGUAUUUUUGGAAAAUGAGUGGACAUUUAAAACGUCGAUAAAACUUCGGGCGUCAACGAGAUCUAUUGGUGAUUUCCAUGACCCUUUCGUUGAAGUACAUAUCUCAUCUACUUUUUUUGUACUGCCUUUUUCAAGUUGAAACGUGCUUUAGAAAGCUACUUUUAAACGUGAUUUUUUAUUAGAUCUCAUGCUUUCAAGGUCUUGAUGAGGACAUCGGUCCACAAGUCAGAAAAUUAUAUGCUGAGGUAUCACUAGCCCCAAAACUAAAAAUUACUAUUUGCAUUGCUCUCUAGCUGCUAUAGACAUGUUGCAAUCUUGUUUUGACAGUUCCUCUUCGUGAAGUGUUCACAAAACCAUCAUGAUUUUGUAUAUUGCCAUAGUUUGCAGGAAAUAAUAGUUGGAUGUGGGAUCAACUGCAUUUACGGUGUUGAUAUUUAAUAUAUUUUAUGGUCACGAUUGCAGGCACAUGUUCAUAUAGUGGUCAAACAUGGUGAUGGUUUUCCUGAUGUGGGUUCCACAUGUGUUAGUUUAUGAUUUAUUUAUGCAAUCAUAUGAAAUUAUGCAAGCACCAAACCUGCCUUUCCCCUUGUUCUGAAUUAACAACUAAUGUAAAUAGUGGACAGUGCAACCUGCUUUUUGAAAUGGCUGCAGUUGUCAACUUUGGGUCUCUGUGAAGUCGUUCAAGGAAACAUUUUGAUGAUGAUCAUGAUAGCAUGCAUAAUGAAACGUGGAGAACCCACUAAAUUGGUUGGCUUGACUUGUUAUUUUAUAUGAUCUCUAUUUAUUCAUCAUCUUUUGAUCAUUGUCCUUGUCCAGACCUUGGGAUCACUGAGAUGUAAAACAAUUAGAGGGUAUUCUUUCCUACUUGAAAAGAAGAAAAUACAGGGGGAAUUGAAGUUGUGAGGUACGUGGGCAUCAGCAUAUUAAAAUAAAUAAUGUUUCCAUGGAGCCCGCCAUCUCUACAUUGUAAAUGGUUUUAUAUAAUCUCUAUUUAUUUAUCAUCUCAAUUGGUUUUUACUUGCAUCCACUAGUUUUUUGUUCGAAAUUUCUUCGUUCAUACUGAACCGCUUGCAGAAUCAAAUCCUAUCCCACAAGAUUGUAUAUCACGAGGCUUUUGUCAGUGUAAUGUCUUGACUUUUGGAGACUUGGUACAGCUCGCAGAGUUGUGGCCAAAUGGUUUUAUGGCAAUUUGUAGGGCCAAAGAGAAGCGAAGGGCACUUUAUAGCAGACACAAGGUAUGAUUAUUUCUACGUUCUUCCAGGAACUUCCUUUUCCAUGAAAAAGAAUAUGUAGUGCUUGGUGAAAAGGGAGAACGCCAUGUUUUUGACGAUAAUCCAAUUUCAGAAAAAUCCCCGAAAAUAACCUUCUAACAUUGUAAACCGAAUAAAACAUAAGUCAAAAUCCUAAUAAGUAGCCAAAGCAUUUGUAGUACUUCUUUUUAUACAACGCAUCUAAUCCAUAUCAAGAGAUUAGAUUCAUUCUCAUUUUUUGCAAAAUUGAGGUUUCUCUACUAUUCGAAAAUAAUUUUAUUGCCGAUAACUGAAAAUGGAAACAAACAAGGGUAUCCGGGUAUACACUGCUUCAAUUUGAUGGACUUUCCCUUUUCAAGAUCUCUUUCAUUAAACUAGCGAAAAAAAAAAAAAGAACUGGAAAUUUCGUCCUGCAUAAAAAUCCCAAGCGGAGGAGAAAAAAGAAUGUAUGGAAAUCCAGAAAAGGGGAGGAGAGGGGAAAAUGGGGAUUUGGCCUUUAACCAUAUUCGAGAAAAAGAAAAAAAAAAGGAAAUAAAGAAAAGAUUAAAAAUUAAAAAACAGGGGAUGGAAGAGCGAAACGACGUUCCCCUCUGCCAAGAACUGCCAAGGUCGAACGGUUCGUGCUGCGUCGUCGUUUUUUCCUUUAAACUCCAAGCGCUGAAGCUGGCGGAUGUGGGCGUUCGAGGUGGGGUCACAUGAAAACCGGAAGCUUUCGAAUCUCUCUCUGUCUCUGCACCUGCGAGUCACGUGCCACGGACGAGAAAUGUGGGGGAUGGAUCGUGGGUCGGGCGAGGAAAGGGUGCCAUUUGCCCGUUGCAAUCGGUGCUGCGAAAACAGUGCUGAGUCCGGAUCCGAUCCGGGCGUGGUUUUGUCUUUUUAUCCCUCUUGAAUAUCUAAACCCAUCAAAAUAGAUUGAAAACGUACAUAAUAAAUUAUGAAGUAUUAAAUGGGUUUAUGACCCGACCCACCUCAAUUUUGGAUGUAAAUUUUCCUAGAUUUAGGUCAAAUAAAGAGAUGUUUUAGCAAUGCGGAACAUGUCAAAUAUGAGUCACUAUAUACAUAUUGUAUGUAAAUAGAUUAAAACAGAUUAAAAUGAGUUUAUUUGGGCCGGACCAUUUCCGACCCAUUCCAAAACAAACUUGAAACACCCUUUUGAUGGGUGUAUGAAGAUCUAUCUCCAAAUGACAAAAUAAGUUCAUUGCCAUUCAAUCUUUAUCACUCGUGAUCCUGGAUUUGAAUAUCGCAGCAUUUGCACCUCUUUGUUUUCACCAAAACAUCAUUUUGUCGCUCUCUAUUUUCCAAAAUUGCCCUCCUGUCGAAAGUUAAAAUCACACACCAUCUCCUUACCAACUAAUCACCAAAUUACACCCGUGUGUAAUUAGCAUGCACUCCACAUCCGCUCAAUAAAAAGAAUUCUUUUCUCUUCAUACGUUAUCCAUUUGUGAUCACGUAUGCACGCAGUGCGGGCCUCAAGACUAAAGCUGAUGCAAGAAAAUAACUCUUCGUUCCGUGGAGGCUUGGCGAUCUUUUUUUUUUUUUUUUUGGGCGUCUCUUCAAAGUUAUUGCACCUAUAAUUGCAACAACGUUGCCCUAAUUUAGUAAAGAUGUGAUGGAUCUAUAAGAAAGGUGGGGAGUGAGGGCUGACUCAUUGCCUAGAAUUUCUUUAUGCAAAAAGGCUUUCGAUCCUUACCAUGUUGACCUGAUUCUGGGACCAGAAUCCCAGCCGCUCCAUCUCUCCAAUCUGAGCAUAUUUAACUGUAUGCCAUGAUUACAUGUGGAGCUCCGCAUCGAAAACGGCAAACAAAGGAAUGGAUGGAAAAGAAAAGCUCCAUUGCCUUGUAUAAAAGUAGCUGUAAUCAAUCAUUAUCAUCACCAUCAUCUGGUGCUAAAAGAAUCCUAAUAAACUAUUACAGAUCAGAUAGAAUUAAGCAAGAGGAAACCAAGAUAACUUCGAGCACCUUCUCGGAAGAUGCAAGACAAGGAAAGGCGAUAUUGCCGUAGAAGAAGAUUAAGAGAAAAUCGGAGGUGGAUUUGAAUGAAAUGCCUUUCCACUCAAAGAAGUCCAGAGAGGAAAGACUCGUAUCUACCAAAUCCAAUCCCUCUCUUCCCCCUAAAAUAAACCUUCAACCAAUUGCACAUCCAAGUUUUGAACAAUCUAGUUAAUGCUACAUAGCGAGAAUUAAAAAGCAUUUGCCUUUAAGAUGUCCCUUAUGACAUAAGUUCACUUCCUUUUGUUGAACUUUUCAAUAGCUAAUUGAAUUCAUUUGAUUGACUGGUUGUCAUUGCCUUUGUAGUUAAUUGGCAUUGUGGAUGCCUCAUAUCUCCAGCAAUGAUUUUUUUGGGGCAAGAGCUGUAAAUUCCUAUUUGCCUUAAAAUUAGUUGCCUUUUUUGAGUUUAUUUUGGAGAUCGUCUUCUAUGUCAUCAAUAUAGAGCGGCAAUUGCCGGUAAGUUUUGUCACUUGGUGGACAAGGUUUUCUGUAAUGAAGUACCUUACUAGGUGCAUAAGUUGGGAGUGGCAAGGGAAACGGAUCGAGAUUUCUUGAAACUUUUUGGUGUUUAACUAUUUGAUCAUGUGGAGCCUAGUUGAUUCCAUUGGUCAGCUCCUAUAUUAAGGCUAACCAUGGACACACUGAUGAAUUAGUCUAGCAAUCCCGCAGAAGCCUUAAUACAAACUUGUUUAGAAACUGAGGUCAAACACAUUUCUGAUGAAUAGUAGACUUAUCAUAGGGCACUUCAAGAAGAAUAGCGUCACAAACUCAACAUGGAUAUAGCUGUAGGAUUAAUUAAAUGAAUGCAUAUCAUAUAAACCAAUAUAUCUAUAUGGAAAUUGUUUAUAUGUAGCUUGAUGGCUUAUUCAAAAUCUUCUUUGUACGAGGUGUGUUGGAAUUUAGGGGUCCCACCUCCUCUAUAGUUUCCGAAGUCCCAAAGUAUUGAUUGGAUCUAAUUGUACAUCUACUCCUACUGCCAGGCUUCCUUUUUCAUCUUGUAAGACUACAUGUUUCAAGGGGCUCUGAAUGCUCUGUCCAAUAUCGCGAUAGUCAUGUCCAACCUAAGAUGUCAUGGAUUGAUUCAUUGGAUUUUUGUAGUUAUUAUAUUUGUCCCAAGAUUAUAUGUGCAAACAUAGCAAGCAUAUUUCCAAAGUCAAGUAUAAGGAAUGAUCAUAAGUUUUGUUAGCAUGAUGAAUUUGUAAGUCAAUUUAAAAGAUGUCGUGACGAUACAUUUGGGUCUUAAAACUUUCAUUUUGUGCACCCGAGCCUCAACUUGUUGUAUUCAUCCACUUUAGUCUUCCCAUUAGUCCUAUUAGGUUUUGGCAGACAGAAAAUGCCCCGUGAGUAGAAAAAAAGCCACUUGUUAUUAUCCAUCCCUUGACAGAAUUAACAAAAGGACCCACAUAUGUUGGAGUUACAAAUUUUGGGAUUUAAAUGUACGAAAUGAAAGUUUUGACUCACGUUUAUUAUUAUAAUUAAUAUCAGGAUUUGCUUUGAAAGUGUCUCUAAAAUUCUUUUCGUUGGUCAUAUAAUGUAGUGUUGAACUCUAUAAAAAGAUAUCACCCAAAAAAAAAAAAAACCUAUAAAAAGAUUUAUCGCCAAGAAGCCCCAAUCUUUGGUUGCUCUUGAGACAUGAUAAAAAGUGUUAUCCAUGAUCCAAUGUAAUUUUUCGGCACUUACGGGUCCACAAUAAAAACUUCAUGUGAAGUUUUGAUCUAAACAUGUGACUAAAUUCUUAGGGAAAAUUAACAAAAUAAUCCUCAACGGAUGCUAAUUCGAUUAUAAAUAUUUUAAUUUGGUCAAUUUAAUUUUAAAACUUUUGACAAAUCGUUAUUGUAAUUCUUUUGACUAAUUUUGAUUGAAAAUUGCUAAUGUGAAUAUUGAUCAUUUAUCAUGACACAAUCAAUGUUGACAUGGAUAAGUUUUUGCAAUUUAAAAUUUUUUCUUUUUGAAUUCUUUGCUUUUAUUCUUUGCUUUUAUUUUCUUUCAUGGCUCGUGUCGCCGGCGCGGGCAUAGUGCGUAACCUUUUCACAGUUGGAGAGCAGUCAUGCAACGGUGUGAAAGUUGGGGGGUUUCUGAGAAAUUAUCCACAAAAUUAAUAGCACAAAAAAGGGGAAUUAAAACGAAAAUCCGAAAAGAGCCCAAGAGCAACCCCUUUCCCGCGCUUUCUCAUACCCUAAUCCAUCCCAAUUUGGGGGAAGAAUUCAGAAAAAGCUCACUCCACUCAAUUUUUCCCCAAGUCGCUCCUCCUUCAUCUUCUUCCAAGUUCCGAUUCCCUUCGCGCUUCACCGUUGCUCUCUCUCUCUCUCACUCACGCAAAUGCAUUUGGAUUUCGCAGAAAUCCUUAGCAACGAGACCGAUCAUCUGUUGAGGAAGUCGCUGCUGGAGAAGGAAGAUAGGAAAUGGCGAAGACGAAGCCAUUUCAUGGGGGGCGACCGUGUUCGUGCCGAGUAACUUGAGUGCCUCCCGAGCCGUUCGACGCGCUCAAGCUGAACGGAGCUGAGGCCUUCCUCCGCUGCGACCCUUGCAGAAGUGGGCCCCGCGAUUUUCACGCUGUUUCUUCUCCCCGAUCACGUGAGUACGUUGGGAUUGGGCGGCGCUAACGGCUUUUGGGUUCAUUUUGAGAAUUGGGUUUGAGGUUGUUUUACGUCUUGAGAAGUUCGAGGAUCUUCGAGCGAAAGGGUUGUAAGCUAGUCGGUGAAGAUCUUGUUCUCGUCCUAGUCAUAUCUUCUGGUAUUUCCUCGAGGCUGCUAAAUGCUAAACCAGGACUUGUAGUUGAGAAAUGAAAGCGGAGGCAUUGGGGUCAAUGUGCUGGUCAAGCAAGUCGAGAGGAGUUCUUCUGCCUGGGAAAAAAAUGUUGACUUUGAUGGACGAUAAUUCUUGCAGGUCCGCAGUGUGUGGUGGUUUCGCGUGCGAAAGAAUGGAGACCUCUACCUCGAAAAGGCUAUAUUUAUUUGUCUUGCGAUGGAUGGUGUCGAAGUCCUUGCAUCUGGAUUUGAGAUGGAUGAGGAGGUAUGCCUGUUCCUAGAUAAGCCUGGCCUUGUAUGAUUUUUUAGCGUGUAAUCUUUGUUGUAACUCGUCACUCAAAUUCAGUGUAGCGCGUCACUUAUCCUUAUCCAUGUAUCCUUCUAUGUGACCUCCUGAUUCUUUGCUUUCAGACAUGCUUUUGUUUGAACAAAUAUGGUGGCAGCCUGUCGUCUCUCUCAUCGUUUCACCAUUUCCGUGAAUUUGCAGACUGAGGACGAGUUUCCCCCAUAUUUUUUUUCUUGAAUGUUCUCUGUGCAAAUUCUUUUAAGAAUCCCAUCUUGAGAGAUAAAUUGUAUUUAUCAAUUAAAGUUGUCAUUGUGCAGUGGGCUUUAAAUGUUCUGAAGAAACCUGUUGUCACCAUUAAUUGGUUACACGAAUGUUGUAUUGUGCAGCGUGUUGUACCUCAGGAGUCUUCCAGAGUUCUUCCAUUUUCUGGAUCGACAAUGUAUGUGUCACAGGAAUUCCUGCACACACUGAUUAUUUGAUAUAACUGCUGCUGUUGGUUGUCCUCCAGUUCUUCAAUUUUUAUGUCCUUCAUUAUCUUAGAUGCACGGAAGGAGAUUCACAAGCAUAUCACACAAAAUGGUGGGAAAUAUUCUGCAGAAUAGACCAGGAAGUGAACUCAUUUAAUUGCAGAAAUAACCUUUUCUUCUUCAAGAUUAAAGUCCAGUGAUUUGCUUGCAUAUUUUCCCUUUGACAUCUGAUCGCCGUGUGAAAAUGCACAUAUCUUUAUCUUGUCUUCUCAUAUGAAAACACUUUUACGAGUUUGAAAAGAAAAUCUGUAUCAUUUCAAGGUUUAGUGACGAUUAUAGUUUGAAAUAGGAAAUAGCUAUACUUCAUUGAAUCAUGGUUUUUGGUAAAAUCCUUUUACUUGGGAAUUUGAUUACUCAGAUGAGAAACAGUGAAACUUCCCGGCAUGAGAAUAUCAUUGACUUUGACUUCUAAAUGAGUCCUAAAGAAUUGUGUUCUGUGGUUCAGGAAACAAGGUGUUAAACAACUUACAAUUUGAACCACCAAUUGUUAAAUGAUCCUCAGCCUGUUCUCGCUUUUCCAGUGUGAGUUAGGACUGCCUGUUGGUUGCUCAAAGCACAUUGCUCAGCAAUGUUAUUAUUUUUUGAAUCUUUCUAUUGGCCUCAUAAAUGAUGCUCUGAAGCACUGUGAGUCCCACUACGAUGCCCUUGACUGGCUGUAAGCUCCAGGAGAUAAAUACAAGGUCACUAAAAGAUGGGGUCACAUUCAUAUGUUGAAUCGCAAAUGGUUUGAUCGAUCAACUUCCAGGAAAGGUGAUAUUUCAGUUACUAAAAUACCUUGUUGCUGUCAAUUGUAGUAGCAUUUAAGUUCUUUUUGGGCCAUCUUGUUGUCUGCCUCUAAUUUUGAGUGCUUUUGCCGACUAGCAUGUCUUAAUGAGGAGUCCUAUCCUGUUCAGGGUAGUUCCAUGUCUUUAGUGAAAACUGCAAGUAGUCAGCAAAAUCAGUACAGAGUUAUUAGAAGUUCACAGUCUCUCCCCUCUUCAAUGGUUGGAGAUCAGGACUUCCAUUCCAUUUCCGCUACUGACAAUGCUGAUCCAGAUUUAGAAAUUACUCUCUCACAGAAUGUGUCUUCAAUGUUUGUGGAUCCCAUUUCCUUGCAAAAGAGGAUAAUAGUGAAGUGGCAGCUGUGCAAUCCAAUGGUGAAGUGAAUCAUGAUGGUUGGGUUGCUGAAGACUCUGAAAAUGAAGACAAUGACCUGUAUUUGUUAGAAUAUGGGUUAACAUCAUCAAAUGCUCGAUUUCCCCAAGAGUGUUCCUAAAAGAAGUGAUCUGCAACAACCAUUCAAAGUUGGCUUGAAGAUACAAAACUUGGUGAUCUGAUUUUGAAGGCAGUGGAGCCUUAAAUGGUUCUGCUUGACACAGAUGAUGACUGACUAAAGAGUAUAUCAUUGUACACUGCUUUCUCUCUUUUCAUUAUGAUUCUCCGUGCUCUUCAUGUGAACAAUGGGAAGGCUGAAAUGUUAGUAUUGCCUAAUAGGACAGUAGUUGCUGAUUCACAUGACAUUUGGCUGUCUUUCACAUAUGAUUAGUGGCUGAAGGCUGCGAUCCUUUAAAUGGCUUUGUCAGCUUGCAACUCUCCAAUUUGAGGAUACCAUGCACUUCAUGACAUGGGUGGCCAAUUUUGCUGAAUGAAAUCCUUGUGUUUACAUGUUAAAAGAUGACGUAUGACUCUAAUUAAUUUGUGUUAAAGACAAUCUUUUAGCUCUUCCCGCUAAUGACAUGCAUAUAGUUUCCAGUAUGGUAUAUCCUUGUAAGUAAUAAACGGUUUCAUGUGGUUUUCUUCUGGAUCUCUUUCCUGCAGUUGCUGCUGACCUUGCAAUCUUUUGGCUGGUGAAGGUAAAGAUCUUUUUUCUCUUCAUGUGUUGAUCCUUUGCUUUUGUUUAUUGUGCAGCAGAACCCAGGAUUUUUAACCUUGUUUUGAAGUCUUAUAUUUGGUGGUACGGGUGUCACUGAAUUUAUUCCUUUUUGUCCUUUUGUGUUUUGGGCCACUGAUGUCUUAUCUCAGUCAACGGAUGAAAGUGGGAAGGGUCAAAGAGCCAAUAGUACUCCAUUUAUCCUAGUAUUGCUCCGGAAGACACUUGAUAGAGCACCGACAUACCUUUGAUUUAUGUAGUUUCUAUCCAAUAAAAGCCGAUGAAAUCAGAUUUUUCUAGAUCAGUCUAACGGUCCGUUAUAUGUUAAGCCGGAAAAUGACAAGUUUGAUCCUCAGCAGAAGGCAAAAAUCUUGUUAGUUUUUCAUGUUACUCCUUUUAAUAACACUCUCCUACUAUUGUUCCCCUGGAUCAAUGAAAAUAAUUGGACUAACGUGGACUCAAUAAACUCAUCAUGAGCAGAGCAAUCAUGAGAGAAGAAAACACAUUAUGAAUUAGGACAAAGAUGAAAAUUUGACAAAUUUCAUUAGGAUAUUGAUGUAUAUUCCAAGCAACCAAUAGCUUGACAAAUCAAUGUCGACCCUCGUCAAACCUUUCGUGAGGCUAGCAAUUGAAUGCAUCGCAUAUUCUCGUGUUCACAUUCAUGUAUCAUGACUUAUAUUAGGUCACUCCUUUUCAUUUCAAGGUGUCACGCUCCGAAUCCCGAGCAUGUGCCCAUCCUUCUUUGGUCGAUAAAAUUUUGCGACUUCCCAGGACUAGUCGUCGAUCCUUUUUGUUUUAUUGCACAUGUGGAAGCGGAUUAUAAAUCCCCUGACAAUAAUUAUCUCGGGAUAGAAAAGCAGGACAAAACAAACAUGCUUUUAUAUAUACACUAAGUCAUGUACAAAAAUCUAUGGCCAAAAGACUACAGAAGACUGGCCUUCCAAAAAGAAGCGGUCCUAACUGACUUACACUUCCGAUCACCUCCUCUCAGCUCUAGGUCCUCCAUUCGACUACCCUGAAAAUGUUGUCCCACAAUUACUUGGAGACAGUUCUCAGUGAGUCUAGCUUUAAACCCCAAUUAGGAGGGAAAUACGCCAAGAAGCGUCCUAAUCACACAAUCAAGAAGACUUACCUCAUCUUAGAUCCACCUGCAGGUCAGUACAAUUUAUAACUCAGACAGCAUGAAAACGUGAGCAACAAAUAAGCUCCAACAACUGGAACGUCACACUCAAUUAAUCAUGUGUUCAUAGUUUUAAUUUCGGCAUAUAGCACGGCCUAUUCUCUCUUCGGUGGUCUUCAGGCAUCAUCUCACCCCAUUGAGCACGGCACAUCUCUUUAUCAGACAGCUUUCCCAAAAAAGCAUAGGGUCUAGAAUUUACGGUGACCGGCUUCCCGUUGUCCAGGGGUAUCCCGAAUAAGGAUAACGUCUAGCUUAAUAGCUCAGGAUGAUUGCUCUUAACCAACACACGAUCACUCAAAUAUGGCCUAGAGCACCGUGCAUUGUACUCAAAUGCUUCAAUUAAAAAUAGUGAGCCUGGCUUUUUUCCUCGUAAUAAAAAUUCACAUGAAAUUACUCGUGUGUAGAUACACGGUCAACUUGACCUAGAAAAUUUGAUAUUCUUCCUUUUUGAAAUCCCACUAUUUCAAAUAGUACUAAAAACUAUUUUCGGUGCCAAAAUCUGACACCCGAGAUUUUUUGAAUAAAUAUUGAAAAUUCAUAAUUUUUGGAAUUAAAUACCAAAAAUCCAAUCAACAUUCAAUUUGCAAAAUUUAACACUCAAUUGCAAAAAUUAACCACACCAUUGCAAUCAGCACGAAAUUUCGAUCACCGAAUAUCCCAGCCUAAUUUCUAGAAAAUAUUUAAUAAUUAAAUAAUUACUGAAAUUAAUUAAAUAAAUCAAUCUAAAUUCUAAAAAUACUAACCUAGGCCAAAAUCAUUAAAUUAAUAAUCAAUAUGGACCCGGAAAAUUUCCGAACCCCUUCUAGAUAAAUAGUACAAUUUAUUUAGGCCUUAGCUAAACCAUGCUAACCACCUAACAUGCUCAAUUAAAUAAUUACAUUUCUAAUUUAAUCUAACUAAUAACCUAAUUCCUAAUAAAAUAAAUCAAAAUAUCCUUUAAACGUCAUUAGCCUACUAAGCAGAGUUUAGAGUAUAAACUCUCCGAUUAAUUGCGGAAACCGGUUCACCGCGACGACGAUGCGACAGCGGCCGAAACUUGAAUUUUCGGCGGCGUCAACGGAGCUCAGACUAGGCCUAGAACGGGCCCAACAAAUCUCAGCCCAAAUUGAGUUUGUUAUUGGAACGGGCUUGGCUUGAAGCAGGUUGACCUCGCGGGCUUGGACUGCCGAAAAAGACAACUUGCUGGGCUUCAAAGUUGGACUGGACUGCUGAUGGGCAGAACAAAAUGGGCUCAAAGGAGCUGCUUCUUGGGCUGCAGCGUGGGCUCGAAACUGGACAAAGGUGGAGAUGGGCUUCGGCUUCAAAUGGCGUGGGUUUCUAUUGCUCGCGUGGGCUGCUUGUUUCGGUGAUGCUGGGCCCAUGAGAUGGGCUGCCGAAUUGAGCUGAGGGAGAGAAGCAGCUUCGGGGAUGUUUGCUAGCGUUGGAUCGAAUGGCAGCUUGCAGAUGUCAAAGAAGAUGGCGUCAACGCGUGGCUUUGGUUCAUGGGAAGCUGCUCGCUCGUCGAUGCUGGGCUAGAGAACUUCACGGUCAACCAAGAGGGGCUUUGGUGGGGGAGAGUUGACCAGCGUGGGGACGUGGACUGGCGAUGCAGGCGUGAGGCUUCGGUGGAUGAUGGCAGCUGGGAGAAAUGAAGAUGGCAAGCGCGUGGACAUGUAGGCAAGAGGCAGCAGGUUCAGUCGCGAAAGAGCAGCUCGAUGAAGAAAUAAUUGUUUCGAUGGACUUCGUUCGUGGAUGAAAAUACAGAGGAAGAUGGGAAUAGAAGCAAGUGACAGAGGCUGCUUCGGUCUUUGCUUGGGACGCCGCGGAUGGAGGAAAAUUAAAGAGCAGGCAGGACUGAAUGAAGAUGGCUGAAGAAAUGAAGAGAUAAGGCCAAUUGGUCAAAUGAAUGAUUAAAAUGCCCCAAUAGUCCAAGCUGCAUCCUCUCAAUUAAAUGCAUUGUCCCCCUAAUUCUUUCCACAAUUUAAAUCUCACAAUAAUAUCCAAAUUGAAAUCCACCCCAUUCUUAAAUUCGAAUUUCACCAAUUAAAUUUUAAUUUCUUUACUCAAUUUCCCAAAUUGAGGUCCAAUUUCGAUGUAGAAAAAUCCCGAACAAUUUUCUAUGAUUCCCCGACACUCAAAGGCUCGGCUUGGAAGUCCAAAUUUCCAUUGACUUAGCCCAUCUGAAUUUCUGCCAAUUUUUUGCGACAUCCAAAUCAAUUUUCCAUAAAAAUCCUGGAAUUUCUGAAAAAUCUUCGGAGGAUGAGUCGACGUUUCUAAAAUAGCUCGUGACACCACAGAACUUUCAAUUUAUGAAAUCGAGUUCAAAUUCGCGGUUAUUUUCAAUCCGGUGCACUUUUAACGUGACCUAGUCUACCGGGUAACUUUUAGGAAUUUUUUGUGCAAUUUACCCGUGAUCGAUUUAUCUUGAGUCAAAAUGUACAUCUCCGACACAUUGGCGACUCUCAAUUGUCGUGAAAAUCUCGAGAUUUCAAUUACGGGUACCGGUACCAAAACAACAGAAAAUCAAUUUAGUUCCGAUUGAUGAGAAUUUUGUAAAAUCACCCACAAUUUGAUCACAUAUCUCAGUCAAAUCGACCUAUCUUUGAUCUCUAAUCGAUCUCUGACAGUGCCGUAACGACCCUUGCAGACUAACAAGGUCGAGUAGUCGGCUCCUGGUCGAAUUCUCAAGUCCAAUUGCAUUUAGAUUCCUUAAUUGUUUCCCCAGAUAGUCCAAUUAUCUCGUGAGUGAUCAGCUCAGAGAAUAACAUUAUUGGUGCAUCGACGAAAGGCCCGAUUUAUUUAAUCGAAAACGAAAUCUGAAAAUUGAGGCUGUCACACAAGGGGGAAAAGAAAAAAGUAUAGUUAUAGAGCAGCAAAUGUAUAGAUAAAUGAGAGUUACUUGGAGAUAAUAAACAAAACGAAAAGUUCAGUGCAUAUCAAAUUUACAACAAGCAUCAAAAUUUCGCAAAAUAUCUAUGAAAAACUAUGAGAACCCUAUAUCAAGUCUUACUAGAAAACACAAGUAGCCACACUUUCAUCCAAAAGCUCCAAAUUAUGAUUAGCACUGUCCAUUGCAUCACUUAUAAAUUAAUCCUAUGCAACAUUUCCAUAAUAAAGACCGGUCUCUUGUCUCGCCGUGAACAUAACCUAAGUGUUUGUAAUUAUGAUGUCCCCUCACAUUCACACACCUUCGAGGCAAUUCAGGGGAAGAACAAGAAUCACUCCAAAGUUGAACGUUGACUAAAGUCUUUUAUUUAUUUAUUAAUUUUUUGGAGUAGGUUUUGUCCGCAUUGCCUUGUCCCUUUCUUUGGUUAAAAGAGGACUUGGGAAAUGCAAUGAAGCGAGCAAGAUGAAGGAUGACUUUGACUUGCUUUCCCUCGCCUGACGCUAUGAAAUAUGAUUAGCUAACAACCAUGAUUUGGAAGUUGUAUGCUUUCCAUAUAAAUAACCAAUCAAGAUUGAUUUAAAUAUGAGUAUACAUCACCUCCUUCAUUACCUUCUUUUAAAUAUAAUUUAAGCAAGCUGCAAAUUAAAAAUAUGGAAUGAAAUAUAUCAAGCUGCUCUGAUUACAUCAUAAUUAUAUAAAAAGAAUUAUUACGAAUUUUUUAAUUCAAUCCAUUAUUAAGUCGUAGUAUGGGUGAAAAUUGAAAACUAUCAGCUAGAACCGUAUUCAAUUUUUAACGCAAAUCUUCUUUGGUUCCCACAUCCAAUGACCCAGCAACACUGCAGAAGACAGAGACCGUGUUUUCUCAUUUUCACACGUGCAAAAACCAAAGAUAUUUGCAUCCAUUUUACUUGCCAUAAACCAAAGUAAAACAUCUGUUUCAAAUUUCCCUCUCCUAGUUUUAAACAUUGAAGCUGUUUGACAUUAAGGGUGUGUUUGUCUUGUGAAAAAUGAAUUUGACAAACAUUUCCACUAAAAUCGCUAACAAUAACGAAUGAACAAAAGAUACUUUUAUGACUCAUGAAAAUGUUUGGACCUAAAUUUUGUCAAUAAUGAAAAUAAUUUUCAUUGGCUAAUUACGUUAAGUGAUAUAAGCAAUAAUUUUUAUGAUAUAAAUACCUUGCCAUGUGCAUGAAAAGUACGUUUGAGAGUGAUGUGCUUUUUGAAUAUCAUGCUCUUCAUGACAAGGGGGGUAAAUUUUACCGAAUGAAAUGGUUGUUUUUACAUGUUAAAAAAGAUGAGGUAUGACUAUAGUUAUUUUGUGUUGAAGACAAUCUUUCAGCUCUUCCCCUUGAUGGCAUGCAUAUUGUCUCUAGGAUGGUUUGUGUUUGUAAAUAAUAAAAGGUUUUCUUCUGUUUCUUUCCUACAUUUUCUGUUGACCUUGCAAUCUUUUGGCUGGUGAAGGUAAACAAUAUUCUUUGUUCACAUCAUGUGUUUAUCCUUUGCGUUUGUCUAUUAAGCAAUAGAAGCCAAGAUUUUUAACCUCGUUUCAAAGUCUUAAUAUUUGGUGGUACUAAGAUUAUGGGUGUGAAUGAAUUUAUUCCAAUUUGUUCUUUUCCAUUUUGGGCCACUGAUGUCUCAUCUCAGUCGACUGAUGAAAGAAAGAAGAGUCAAAGAUACAAUCUUAUUCCAUUUAUCCAACUAUUGCUCUGGAAGACACUUAAGAGAGUACCAAGAUACCUUCGAUUCCUGUGGUUAAUGACCAAUAAAAGCCAGCAAAAUGGGAUUUUUCAGAUCAGUUUAAUAGUCCAUUAUCUGUUAACUUGUUAAGCCCUAAAAUGACAAGAAUGUUCCUCAUCAGAAGGCAAAAAUUUUACUAAUUUUACAUGUUACUCCUUUUAAUAGAAUUCUCAUAAUAUGGAGCAAUUUUUUUUUUUAUCUUAUAUAUGUGCUGAAUUGUAUCCGGACCAAAAAAAAAUGUUGGAUCUAAUGUAAAUCUCAAAAAACAAAACAACUCACGAGCAGCAAAAGCGAAGCAAGCAGGGCGGAGGAAAAAGGAUUUUAUGAAUUUAAAUAAAGAUAAAAAUUUGACAAACUCUAUCAGGUAGCUAUUUUUGGAUAUGUUGAUGUAAUUUCAAGUAACAGAUAGCUUUCACAUGUCAAUUUCAACUCUUGCCAAACACUUGAUGAUAGACUAGCAUUAGGAUUACAUGUAUCAAAUAUUCGUGAGGUACAUUCAUGGACCAUGAUCUAUAUUGGCUCACUCUUGUCAAUUUAAAGGAAAAAGAGCAUAAUUAUAGAACAAUAAUAUUACCACAUUUGCUAUUAGAUAAAUAUAAGUUGUUUAGAGUCAAUAGGACAGUUUGAUGUAUAACAUAUUUAUGUAGUAUUGUGAAACAUUUAGAUUUUAAUAAAACACCUAAGAGAAACCAUGCAAACCCCAUACAAAGCCCCUGCUGCAAAAUACAAAUUUUAGUACAAUUAUUAUAUCAUAAUUCAUUUGCCCCGUCACAUCGUUUAUAAAUUAAAUUUAGACAAUAUUUUCACCAUAAAUAAUGGUUUAUGUUCUCCUCAUGUAACUAAGCAAGCAAAAUGGUGGAAGAAUUUGAUUUGCUUUCAAUUGCUAGAAUCUUUUUCCCCCAUUUCUUUUGAGUAGGUCUUGUUGGUUUGGCAAGCAAGAUGGCGGAAGACUUUGAUUUCUUUUCCUCGUCAAUCCUUUGCCUGCCUCCUCCUUCUUGUUAGCUUUUUCCUUACCACUUUCUUUGUAAUUGAGUGAGCAGGAUGGUGGAAGACUUUGAUUUGCUUUUCUUUGCCAGUUCUUCCUCUACCUCUUCUUUUAGGUCAUGUUAGCUUUUGCAUCGCUUUCUCUACAACUAAGCAAGUAAGAUGGUGGAAGACUUUGACUUGCUUUUCCUCGCCAAUCCUUCCCCUUCUCUUAGGUCUUGUUAGCUUUUGGCUUAUCACUUUCUUUGUAACUAAGGAAGCAAGAUGAUGGAAGACUUUGACUUGCUUUUCCUCACUAGUCCGUCCCCUCCCCCCCCCUUCCUUUAGGGGUGAGCACGGUUCCGGGGUAACCGGGAAACCGGGAACCGAACCGGAAGAGGGUCCCGGUUCGGUUCCCGANNNNNNNNNNNNNNNNNNNNNNNNNNNNNNNNNNNNNNNNNNNNNNNNNNNNNNNNNNNNNNNNNNNNNNNNNNNNNNNNNNNNNNNNNNNNNNNNNNNNAUUUAAAAAAAAACCCUAACGUCCCCUCCGCAAGAUUUCCCCCCCCCCUCUGCGGAUUCUUCCCCCCCUUUCCCUUUCUUUUCUCUCUCUCUCUCUUUCUUUUCUCCCCUUUUCCCUCGUCACGUCACUUCCUGCCCCCUCAACUUUUUUCUUUUCUUCUCUUUCUCUCUUCUCUUUCCUCCUCUCUCGGCCAAAACCCUACCCCUUCUUCUUCUUCUUUUUCUUCUUCCUCCUCCUCUUGCUGGCUGCUGCUUCACCCACCACCACACCGCUGCCCCACGCCCUACUCACCACCACCUCUUGGCCACCGAACCACCACCACCCACCGCUCGUCCGACAAGCCGUCUCGCCGUUGAGUCUGACGAGCUGUCGCGCCGUUCGCGCCGCCCCUCGCCGCUGUGAGCCACCGCCGCCGUCCCCAAGCCACCGUCACCACCUCUUGCCGCCGCCGCCUGAGAUUAGCUUCCGGUCCGUACUGAAAUGUCGCUCUCCGCGGCGUUCGGCAAGUGGCUGGAACAACUGGACCGGACCAGGAACCAGCGCCUCUCUCUCUCCUCCAGGUCUACUCCACCGCGACGCGAUCUCUCGAACUUUUCUUCGUGAGGCGAUCGGUUUGGAUCGGUAGCGGAUGAGAGGUGCUGGAAGUUUUUGCAGGCGAAGAGAGAGAGCUGCAAGCCGCCAAAUCGCUGGUCCUGGAGUCGAAGCGCGCGGCCAUCAGGUCGAUGGAAGAGAGGUGCUUGAGGCUCGAGUGGAGCCUGGCUUCGCAGAGCUUGAAGAUCUCGGCUCUCGAAUCUAAGAUUGCCGCUCUCGAUGCCGAGUACGACAACAAUGUCCAGCGACUGAGGUGAAGCAUAGACUUGUCAUCAUAAGAUUUUGGUCGCAUGUUAUGGCUUAUUUGUGCUUGAUUUUAGGGAGUUGAAGUGCGAGGUGGAGGAGCUUGAGGAGGCGGAGAAGGAGAAGGACGGAUUCUACCGAGCGCAGACCAGCGAAAUGAAGGAUUUUAAAGAAGCUACUAACGGAUUCGUCGUGGAUUGCCAGAUUUGCAUAGAGGAAUUAAGAGACGAGCUAAAUGAGGUAAAAGAGAAGCUCUCUAUUUUCGGAUCCUUGAGCUAACGUGAUACUGUGCUGGAUCAUUCUGUUAGCUGGAUCAAAGGCUGCAAGGUGAUAGCAAUAACGGUGAACUUUUAUCGCUUGUUUGGCUACUAUACCAGAGAAUGAAGAAAGAUUAUUUUCCCCUGUUAUCUUCGCUCAUGUUCGAUUUUGAUUUGAUGAAAUAGAGCUAUGGUUCAUCUUGAGUAGCAUACGAGAUAACUUGAAGAUAUAAAGUAUCAUGUUUUGAUAUUCUAUGACUGCAAUUAUUUGUGAUGUGCUAACUGCAAAAUGAAGUGGAUUUACAAGAGUCCAUGCAAUUGCUUCUCCCACAAUAUACCGUAUAGGCAGAACUAGCUGGAGAUGCUUCCAUAUGGUAUGUUGCUUGAGACCAAUAUGCGACUCUGCACGAAUGAUUGAUGGUGCUAUGAACUGGUCUCAAUCUCGUGAACUAAUUCUUUGCUUAGUUUUUCAGCAUGGUCGUCGUGGCCACCGGCAAAUGAGUACACUCGAAUGCGAAUUGAAAAGCCCUUCAAAGCAUUUUUGUGUAAUUAGUUCUUUGUGUUUGUGAUUUUGUUAACGUCAGUUUGUUCUCAAUUUCCUUUGCUUCUCUGCUUUCCUGUGUCAGAUCCAAAAAAGAAAGGAGCAGUUGAGGGCUCACGUUCUCUUCCCCGAGUAAUAUGUAAAUUGUGAAGACGGCUCACUGGUCAAGAGCGAAAUGCCAAGAGCCUAUGCUCAUACAACAUGCCUGUAGUUAUUAUUAUGAAACACAUUAACGAUAAGGAAUCACCAAAUUAUACAUUAGACAAUGUUUUCUCUAGAAAACUAUGAAAUUAGUUGUCUAUUUGGAUGUAAAAGAUUCACAUUGCUGUGUAUUGGUAGGUACUGAAAAUGGAGGGCCAACUAUUAAAUUAUUUCGGCUUCCGGAUAUUCGUGCCCACUACGAAAAUGAAAAAAAAAAAAAAAGAACCUGUUGGAACUUGGAACCGACCCCGGAGCGUGUGACAGGGUAGGUUCCAGGUUCUCGGUUCUGACGGGUAGGUUCUAGGUUCCAAAAAUUGAGGAACAUGUACCCGAGGGUAGGUUCCAGGUUCCAGGUUCCCGACGGAACUGAACCGGAACCGGGAACCGCUCACCCCUACCUUCCUUUUAGGUCUUGUCAGCUUUUGUCUUAUCUCUUUCUUUGUAACUAAGCAAGCAAGUUGGUGGAACACUUUGACUUGCUUUUCCUCACCGGUCCUUCCCCCCUCCCCCCUCUUCUUUUAGGUCUUGUCAGCUUUUGCCUUAUCGCUUUCUUUGCAAAGCAAGCAAGACGGUGGGAAUAUUUUUGACUUGCUUUUCCUNNNNNNNNNNNNNNNNNNNNNNNNNNNNNNNNNNNNNNNNNNNNNNNNNNNNNNNNNNNNNNNNNNNNNNNNNNNNNNNNNNNNNNNNNNNNNNNNNNNNNNNNNNNNNNNNNNNNNNNNNNNNNNNNNNNNNNNNNNNNNNNNNNNNNNNNNNNNNNNNNNNNNNNNNNNNNNNNNNNNNNNNNNNNNNNNNNNNNNNNNNNNNNNNNNNNNNNNNNNNNNNNNNNNNNNNNNNNNNNNNNNNNNNNNNNNNNNNNNNNNNNNNNNNNNNNNNNNNNNNNNNNNNNNNNNNNNNNNNNNNNNNNNNNNNNNNNNNNNNNNNNNNNNNNNNNNNNNNNNNNNNNNNNNNNNNNNNNNNNNNNNNNNNNNNNNNNNNNNNNNNNNNNNNNNNNNNNNNNNNNNNNNNNNNNNNNNNNNNNNNNNNNNNNNNNNNNNNNNNNNNNNNNNNNNNNNNNNNNNNNNNNNNNNNNNNNNNNNNNNNNNNNNNNNNNNNNNNNNNNNNNNNNNNNNNNNNNNNNNNNNNNNNNNNNNNNNNNNNNNNNNNNNNNNNNNNNNNNNNNNNNNNNNNNNNNNNNNNNNNNNNNNNNNNNNNNNNNNNNNNNNNNNNNNNNNNNNNNNNNNNNNNNNNNNNNNNNNNNNNNNNNNNNNNNNNNNNNNNNNNNNNNNNNNNNNNNNNNNNNNNNNNNNNNNNNNNNNNNNNNNNNNNNNNNNNNNNNNNNNNNNNNNNNNNNNNNNNNNNNNNNNNNNNNNNNNNNNNNNNNNNNNNNNNNNNNNNNNNNNNNNNNNNNNNNNNNNNNNNNNNNNNNNNNNNNNNNNNNNNNNNNNNNNNNNNNNNNNNNNNNNNNNNNNNNNNNNNNNNNNNNNNNGAAGCCUUUAUUUUCGACUUUAGAUGUGGCUAAUCCUAUGAUGGCCUUAUUACACGAUUGUUGGUUGCAUCGUAAUUCAGUACUGAUCUCUUUUUGAACUAGAAAGAGUAGGUCUGCAAGCACGCUAGACUCUAUUAAUUGCCACAUUUCGCUUGAAUCCGGAGACCUUCUUUUAUCUUCUUUUUCUUCCAUUGAAUAAGUACCUAAUUUCUAAUUGUUCAGACUAACAUGAAGAAAGAAAAGAGUGCAUAAAAAGAGAGCACUGAGGGAGCAUCCGCUCCUCCGUUUGGUGCCGUCUAACAAAUUAUAUUUCUAGUUUACAAGGAGAAGGAAGGCUUUGUGCUGUGCAGGAGGAGAAAUCUAUGGCCAAAUUAAAUUUAAAAUCACAUUCAUAAUUACUAGCUAGGUCCUUUCUUCACGCCUUCCCCACAUUUCCAAUUUUGUCUCAGCUCAGUUAUCAGCUUUUCAAUGAUUUAUCAAAUUCUUUGACAAAAAAUGAUUUAUUAAAAAUUUUAUUUUCAAUAAUCAAGUAAAAACUGAACCACUACGUAUAAUUUUGAACGAAUGCAAUCUGCUUGUACAUAGAUUCCAUUAUUCUAUAGCCCAAUUAAGAAAUUAAUGUACGCGUUAUAUGUUAGGGGACCAAAGCCGGCAAGAUUGACUUGACUAGAGGAUGAUAUCCAAAAGAAGAUAAAGCAAGGAUUAAAAGCAUCAGCGACUGCUCCUAGUCAAUCAAAUAAUAAUUAAUUAAUAAUUUCAUGUUUCUUUUUUCUUGCUUGGUAAAAGAUUUCAUGUCCAUACUUGUUCAUACUUCAUAGAGACUAAUUAUCAAUCCUUUUAUGCAGCAGAGAGCAUCAUUCUCUCACUUUUCCCACUCAGAUGCAUUGACAAAGGGCGGAGUCACACUGAAACAAACGANNNNNNNNNNNNNNNNNNNNNNNNNNNNNNNNNNNNNNNNNNNNNNNNNNNNNNNNNNNNNNNNNNNNNNNNNNNNNNNNNNNNNNNNNNNNNNNNNNNNNNNNNNNNNNNNNNNNNNNNNNNNNNNNNNNNNNNNNNNNNNNNNNNNNNNNNNNNNNNNNNNNNNNNNNNNNNNNNNNNNNNNNNNNNNNNNNNNNNNNNNNNNNNNNNNNNNNNNNNNNNNNNNNNNNNNNNNNNNNNNNNNNNNNNNNNNNNNNNNNNNNNNNNNNNNNNNNNNNNNNNNNNNNNNNNNNNNNNNNNNNNNNNNNNNNNNNNNNNNNNNNNNNNNNNNNNNNNNNNNNNNNNNNNNNNNNNNNNNNNNNNNNNNNNNNNNNNNNNNNNNNNNNNNNNNNNNNNNNNNNNNNNNNNNNNNNNNNNNNNNNNNNNNNNNNNNNNNNNNNNNNNNNNNNNNNNNNNNNNNNNNNNNNNNNNNNNNNNNNNNNNNNNNNNNNNNNNNNNNNNNNNNNNNNNNNNNNNNNNNNNNNNNNNNNNNNNNNNNNNNNNNNNNNNNNNNNNNNNNNNNNNNNNNNNNNNNNNNNNNNNNNNNNNNNNNNNNNNNNNNNNNNNNNNNNNNNNNNNNNNNNNNNNNNNNNNNNNNNNNNNNNNNNNNNNNNNNNNNNNNNNNNNNNNNNNNNNNNNNNNNNNNNNNNNNNNNNNNNNNNNNNNNNNNNNNNNNNNNNNNNNNNNNNNNNNNNNNNNNNNNNNNNNNNNNNNNNNNNNNNNNNNNNNNNNNNNNNNNNNNNNNNNNNNNNNNNNNNNNNNNNNNNNNNNNNNNNNNNNNNNNNNNNNNNNNNNNNNNNNNNNNNNNNNNNNNNNNNNNNNNNNNNNNNNNNNNNNNNNNNNNNNNNNNNNNNNNNNNNNNNNNNNNNNNNNNNNNNNNNNNNNNNNNNNNNNNNNNNNNNNNNNNNNNNNNNNNNNNNNNNNNNNNNNNNNNNNNNNNNNNNNNNNNNNNNNNNNNNNNNNNNNNNNNNNNNNNNNNNNNNNNNNNNNNNNNNNNNNNNNNNNNNNNNNNNNNNNNNNNNNNNNNNNNNNNNNNNNNNNNNNNNNNNNNNNNNNNNNNNNNNNNNNNNNNNNNNNNNNNNNNNNNNNNNNNNNNNNNNNNNNNNNNNNNNNNNNNNNNNNNNNNNNNNNNNNNNNNNNNNNNNNNNNNNNNNNNNNNNNNNNNNNNNNNNNNNNNNNNNNNNNNNNNNNNNNNNNNNNNNNNNNNNNNNNNNNNNNNNNNNNNNNNNNNNNNNNNNNNNNNNNNNNNNNNNNNNNNNNNNNNNNNNNNNNNNNNNNNNNNNNNNNNNNNNNNNNNNNNNNNNNNNNNNNNNNNNNNNNNNNNNNNNNNNNNNNNNNNNNNNNNNNNNNNNNNNNNNNNNNNNNNNNNNNNNNNNNNNNNNNNNNNNNNNNNNNNNNNNNNNNNNNNNNNNNNNNNNNNNNNNNNNNNNNNNNNNNNNNNNNNNNNNNNNNNNNNNNNNNNNNNNNNNNNNNNNNNNNNNNNNNNNNNNNNNNNNNNNNNNNNNNNNNNNNNNNNNNNNNNNNNNNNNNNNNNNNNNNNNNNNNNNNNNNNNNNNNNNNNNNNNNNNNNNNNNNNNNNNNNNNNNNNNNNNNNNNNNNNNNNNNNNNNNNNNNNNNNNNNNNNNNNNNNNNNNNNNNNNNNNNNNNNNNNNNNNNNNNNNNNNNNNNNNNNNNNNNNNNNNNNNNNNNNNNNNNNNNNNNNNNNNNNNNNNNNNNNNNNNNNNNNNNNNNNNNNNNNNNNNNNNNNNNNNNNNNNNNNNNNNNNNNNNNNNNNNNNNNNNNNNNNNNNNNNNNNNNNNNNNNNNNNNNNNNNNNNNNNNNNNNNNNNNNNNNNNNNNNNNNNNNNNNNNNNNNNNNNNNNNNNNNNNNNNNNNNNNNNNNNNNNNNNNNNNNNNNAAAAUCAUUUAAAGCCUAAAACAUCCAAAAUACUCAGUUUUGCAAAAAUAACUCUUUUUUUUUUCUUGAAAAUUGUUAAAAAUAUUUUCCAAAUAUCGAUCAUGCUAGUUUUUUCUCUUCAAUAAUGCACAAAACCUUUCAUAGGCUACAAAUCAAAAUUGUCAACAAUAAAAAUUUAUCUAAACAUAUCCGAUCAACUAGAGAAUUUUUGGUUGUCCACAAAACCAUUUCUCAUUAUAUUGGCAAUUUUCAUAUUUUUGGAAAAAUGAUAGAAAAUUCAAAUUUUUUCCAAUUAUAAAAAAUUCACCAUUGUACCUUUUUUUUUCUCAUUUUUUUUUUGGUGCUAGUUACAAUGGAAAACUUGAAAGUAAGCAAAGCUACUGGUUUCAAUGCACUUGCACGUAUUAAUUAUGUGGACAAUUUUUCGCCCCCACUUUAUCUUUGUGGAUUGAAUUAGAGAAACUUAUCAUAAAAUGUGCUUUUCAUGCGAAUUUAUUGCUUACAGCAAAGACAUGACUUUUACGUAUAUAUAGUGCCGGAAAUUAUUGACCUACAAUGGAUUUGACAAUAUGAUUUAUGCAUCUUUGUGGUGGGAGGAAAGUGCUGCACCUACGGUAGUAAGAACGUCUUUGGUAAUAAUAUAAUGGAAGAUUUACAAGCUGGUUAGAGCCACAUUUAUCUAUUUAACAAAGUGAUUUUUAAGUGGAUAUGAAUGGAAGUGGUCAUUCUGUACUCUCGUCCGAAUUGUGUGGCUUGACUUUGCUUGCCAUCUGAAAAGAAUUUUUAUUGCUACCAGUCAAUUAGCCUAUCGUCCUAUGAAGCACGGACACGUUACACGUGCUUCCGUGUCGUGUCCAACACGUGUCAACACGCUCGGACACACGUUGACUGCAUGUCCCAAAAACAAUGGAGGGUGGAGGCGAGGGCGAGGGAGCAUAGAUGAGGCCACGAGCGAUGGCGAGAGAUGGCCAAAGAAAGAGCAGAGACUGAGGCGAGGACCGCCACUUUGUGAUGCUGUGAUGGAUCGGUGACGAGGCUACAGCUGCGAGGGAGGAAGAGCUGGAGGCGAGGCAGUGAGCGAUUGUGAUGAGGACUGAGAGCAAGCAAAGAUCGAGAGGAAGGGGUCAUGCGGCGAGGAGGAGGAGAAGAAGGUCACUGCUAGGGUUUUGAGAAGGAAACUAAAAGAAUAAAAAUGGGAUUUGGCGUGUUGGAGGGAGGGAGAAGUGACAGGAAGGAGGGGUAAGUGUCAGGCAAUGUUGCACGGACACAUUGCCCAUGCUUUCGUGUCGUGUCCGACACGUGUUGGACCGUGUCAGACACGUUGACACGGUUGGACACGCAGUCAAUGCAUGUCCGAUUUUCCGACACGUUAUCAACUUUUGCUCAACACGUUUCGACACACAUGUCUGGAAGACGAUGGAGGGUGGAGGCAAGGAUGAGGGAGCAAAGACGAGGCCGCGAGGGACGGCAAGAGAUGGCUAGAGAAAGAGCAUAGAUUGAGGCGAGGGCCGCCACUAUGAUGCUGCGAUAGAUUAGUGACAAGGUUGCAGCUGCGAGGGAGAAAGGGCCAAAGGCGAGGCGGUAAACGAUUGUGAUGAGAAUCGAGAGCAAGCAGAGAUCGAGAGGAAGAGGAGAGGAAGGCGGUUGUGCGGCAAGCGGCGAGGAAGGGGGUCGUGCGGCGAGGAGGAGGAGGAGAAGGAUCGAGAGGAAGGGUCGUGCGGCAAGUGGCGAAGAGGAGGAAGUAAAGGAGCUAAGGUUUUUGAUAAGAAACUCUAAAUGAUAAAAAAAAAGAAAUGGGGACUCUGAUGGGCCAUCAGUGAUGGCGUGACUUUUGGGAGAGGGGGAGUGACAGGGACAGCCUAGGUGGUGGGGAGGGAAAGAAAAUUAAAAUUAGGGUGGGGGGAAAUGGACGAUGGUGGGGAAGGAAAGAAAUUUAAAUUUGGGGAUGGGGGGAAAUGGACGAGGGAGAGAAGAGAGUGGGGGUGGACCCCAGUAGGGAUUUUUUUAAUGGGAAAAAUAAAUAAAUGGGAUUAAAAAAUAAUUUCGGAAAAUAAAAUUACUGAAUUUGNNNNNNNNNNNNNNNNNNNNNNNNNNNNNNNNNNNNNNNNNNNNNNNNNNNNNNNNNNNNNNNNNNNNNNNNNNNNNNNNNNNNNNNNNNNNNNNNNNNNNNNNNNNNNNNNNNNNNNNNNNNNNNNNNNNNNNNNNNNNNNNNNNNNNNNNNNNNNNNNNNNNNNNNNNNNNNNNNNNNNNNNNNNNNNNNNNNNNNNNNNNNNNNNNNNNNNNNNNNNNNNNNNNNNNNNNNNNNNNNNNNNNNNNNNNNNNNNNNNNNNNNNNNNNNNNNNNNNNNNNNNNNNNNNNNNNNNNNNNNNNNNNNNNNNNNNNNNNNNNNNNNNNNNNNNNNNNNNNNNNNNNNNNNNNNNNNNNNNNNNNNNNNNNNNNNNNNNNNNNNNNNNNNNNNNNNNNNNNNNNNNNNNNNNNNNNNNNNNNNNNNNNNNNNNNNNNNNNNNNNNNNNNNNNNNNNNNNNNNNNNNNNNNNNNNNNNNNNNNNNNNNNNNNNNNNNNNNNNNNNNNNNNNNNNNNNNNNNNNNNNNNNNNNNNNNNNNNNNNNNNNNNNNNNNNNNNNNNNNNNNNNNNNNNNNNNNNNNNNNNNNNNNNNNNNNNNNNNNNNNNNNNNNNNNNNNNNNNNNNNNNCGGCUGAACUAGUGUCUUCUGGGCCCUUUUUGUCUACUGGGGAUGUGGGGUGGCUGCUGAAUAGCCGAGGAGGGUGUCUUUUAUUCUCUCUUUUGGAAUCGUUGUUGCCUGUUAACGAGGUACCUUAGCUCAGAUUUGACUUCGGUGAAAAAAGAAAGCCUUUAUUUUCGACUUUAGAUGUGGCUAAUCCUAUGAUGGCCUUAUUACACGAUUGUUGGUUGCAUCGUAAUUCAGUACUGAUCUCUUUUUGAACUAGAAAGAGUAGGUCUGCAAGCACGCUAGACUCUAUUAAUUGCCACAUUUCGCUUGAAUCCGGAGACCUUCUUUUAUCUUCUUUUUCUUCCAUUGAAUAAGUACCUAAUUUCUAAUUGUUCAGACUAACAUGAAGAAAGAAAAGAGUGCAUAAAAAGAGAGCACUGAGGGAGCAUCCGCUCCUCCGUUUGGUGCCGUCUAACAAAUUAUAUUUCUAGUUUACAAGGAGAAGGAAGGCUUUGUGCUGUGCAGGAGGAGAAAUCUAUGGCCAAAUUAAAUUUAAAAUCACAUUCAUAAUUACUAGCUAGGUCCUUUCUUCACGCCUUCCCCACAUUUCCAAUUUUGUCUCAGCUCAGUUAUCAGCUUUUCAAUGAUUUAUCAAAUUCUUUGACAAAAAAUGAUUUAUUAAAAAUUUUAUUUUCAAUAAUCAAGUAAAAACUGAACCACUACGUAUAAUUUUGAACGAAUGCAAUCUGCUUGUACAUAGAUUCCAUUAUUCUAUAGCCCAAUUAAGAAAUUAAUGUACGCGUUAUAUGUUAGGGGACCAAAGCCGGCAAGAUUGACUUGACUAGAGGAUGAUAUCCAAAAGAAGAUAAAGCAAGGAUUAAAAGCAUCAGCGACUGCUCCUAGUCAAUCAAAUAAUAAUUAAUUAAUAAUUUCAUGUUUCUUUUUUCUUGCUUGGUAAAAGAUUUCAUGUCCAUACUUGUUCAUACUUCAUAGAGACUAAUUAUCAAUCCUUUUAUGCAGCAGGAGAGCAUCAUUCUCUCCAACUUUCCCACUCAGAUUGCCAUUGACAAAGGGCGGAGUCACACUGAAACAAACGAAGGGUUGCACCCUUUAAUAAUGCCCGCGGUGCUUGCGGCGACCAUUCUUUUUGGUAUUCUUGCAUUCAAUCUUGUCAAGAAGAAGAGAGCAUCCACACCUUCGUUCAUCUCUCCAACACUCAUAGAAAUUGGUAAUAAUCAUUAUGAUGUGUUCUUGAGCUUUAGAGGGUCAGAUACCCGCAAGGGAUUCACCGAUCACCUCUAUCACAGUUUAGUCAAGGCAGGGAUUGCACCAGGUUUUGUGUUCAGGGAUGCUAAGAGCGUCCAAAUUGGUGAGGAAUUUGGUCCACGAAUUCUCAAUGCCAUCGCUUGGUCUAAGAUUUCGAUUCUCAUCAUCUCAGAAAAUUAUGCUUCAAGCAAAUGGUGCCUCCGCGAGCUUAUUCAUAUCAUGGAUCGCGCGAAGAGCACAUCACACACAGUUUUGCCCAUCUUUUAUAAAGUGGACCCAUCGGAUGUGGGGCAUCUAAAAGGAAACUUUGGGAAGGCCUUUCAUUCAUGUAAGAAGUAUUUUGAUGAGGAGGAUAUCCAUAAAGGGCAGCAAGCACUCAGAGAAGUGAGUCAAUUACAUGGAUGGGAGUCCGAGAAAGUUGCUAACGGGUACUUUGCUUCCACCUAAACUUCUCUUUUUUGAUAAGUACGUUUUGGGGAAAUUACCCAAAAAAAUAAUCUAUUAUAACAUUGAUAGUUUAGUUCUAGACCUUUUCAUUUAGUUAUUUUAGUCCUAAACCUUUUGAAAAUCUACCAAUAUAGUCCAUCCGACUGAUUUUAGCUAGAAAUCCCUUCUUUCUCUCCGGUUGCUAGCCUCCUUGAUGGCUGGCAACAGGCUAUGGACUAGGGUUGGUGAGGCUCGUCCUCCCUGUCAAGGGCCAACCUCGCCCGAAUCUUGUCCUUCUAAAGAGGUCAGGCCAACACAAAAUGAAAUGACCGUUGGUGAUCAUCCCCCAUUGUUAUUUGUAAAACCAAAACAUUUUGCUUGUUAAUUGGUCCCAUCCAUUCUUCACAUGUCUGUCGGUGACUUUUGAUGAGAUUAAGUAUAAUCAUGAAAUUAUCAAUGCAUUUUUUUUUUUUACAGGCAUGAAGGAGAAUUAGUGAAAAAAGUUAUCGAAGAUGUUUGGAGCAAGUUGCAACAAGAUUUUCAGCUUGAUGUUACGAAGCACUUAGUUGGAAUUGAUGAUCAUGUGAACAAAAUAAUGAAUUGGGUAGACACUCCUACCACUGAUCCUCGAAUGAUUGGAAUCUAUGGCAUGGGUGGGAUCGGAAAAACGACUCUUGCCAAGGUAAUCUAUAACCAGCUAUUGAAACGCUUUGUGCAUCAUAGCUUCCUUGCAGAUAUUCGAGAAACAACUUGCUGCAAAAAAAUUGUUUAUUUACAAAAGCAACUAAUUAAGGACAUUCUAAAAGUUGAACAUGAAUUUUGGAAUGUCGAUGAUGGAAUUAGAUGGAUUGAAUCUGGAUUUAGAGGAAAAAAGGUUCUCAUUCUUCUGGAUGAUAUAGAUCACAAUGAUCAAUUAAAUGCUUUGGCUAGAGAAUGUAAUUGGUUUAUGGAGGGAAGUAUUAUUAUUGUUACAACCAGAUAUGAAGCCGUUCUUGAUCAUUCUGAAUUCCAGGUGGACAAGUAUGACUUGAAUGAAUUGGAUCGGGAGCAUGCUUUGCUUUUGUUUAAUAGACAUGCAUUUCGUACAAACCAUUCUUCGAUAGAAUUUGAGGGUCUAUCUCAUGACAUUGUAUCCACCAUGGGUGGGCUUCCCUUGGCACUUAAGGUCGUAGGUUCAUACUUGUAUAAAAAAACGAAUCGAAAAGUAUGGGAAGAUGUGUGGAGGCAGUUAAAAAACCAACCAUGUGGAGACGUCCAAAAAACAUUGCGAAUAAGUUAUGAUGCAUUAAAGGAUGGACAUAAGCAGAUUUUUCUCGAUAUUGUUUGUUUCUUUAUUGGCGAAAAGAGUAAAUAUGCCAUGUACAUGUGGGAGGAUUGUGGGUUUUAUCCAAGUGAAGGUAUUGAAGAGUUGAAGUUGAGGUGCUUAAUUAAAAUUGGAGAUGAUGGUAAAUUUGAGGUGCAUGAUCAAUUGAGAGAUCUUGGAAGGAGCAUUUUUUGCCAAGGACAACCUAGCGGACCAUGGGACGACGACUACGAGGGAAUCACAAAAGUACUAAGACCCCGUGAAUGGGUAAAUAUGGCACUCCAUUCUUUUUCUUUCCCUCUUAUUUUAAUAUAUUUAAUUUGAUCUAUACUAAUAUUUUUUCUGGCAUGAACAGAUGCUCUUACUUUUUAGGAAAAAAGAUCUAUGUAAACAUCCAAUUAUGUCCAUCUUAGAUUAUUUGUGACAACUAAAAGGAUUAUAUGUAUUUAAAGGAUGAACAAGUUAUACCAUUUGAUUCGAUUUCAUUGACAUAAAUUACAUUUAUAAAGAUUUGCUUGACAAUCAAUUUAAGAUCCUUUAACUACAAUUUUGCUCUAUAAAACUCAUUUACUAAAAGCAUGCCAUUGUCAUAUCUAGUUGAAAAUAUUGAUAAUCUGAAGGACUACAAGAACGAAUGUAGAUGAAGUGCAAACAUCAUAGAUCAGAUAAAUGAAGAUGUCUGGGUUUAAAAAAAAAAAAAGAUAGUAUGUGCCAAUUACAAUAAUUGAUAAUUAAUUCAAAACAAUAAGAUUCGAAAAAAUUUCACACUUAUGAUACGUGCUUAUUUUCUAGUAUGGCCGAAUGUAUUGGGGGCUCUUGUGAUUCGGGAAUCCAAUGUUUGAUAUUAUUUUCUCCAUUUUGAUUUUGAAGAUAUCGGUCUCUCUAUUAGUUAUAUCUCUCUCUUUUCAUUCGUAUUUCCUCUUAAUAGAUAAGAUAGCAAAAAUCUCCUUAAAAAUACUUUUAGGAAGAUCUUACGAUUUUUAGAAGUUUUAUCCCGUUGACCUUGCUCAUUUCAUGGAUUAGGUUAGGUGUAUGAUAAAGAGUGGAUUUUAUUGUAACAAACAUUUCUAUCCGCUAUAAGUUUUCUUAUAUUAUUUAUAUUGUUAGGGACAAUGCCUCUUUCAUGCUAGAAAUGUCUAGACUGAAUUGACUAUUUAUAAUUUUUUUUUUUAAAAAAAGACCAGUUAAAGGAAAUGCCAUGCUAAUUAUUAUAUCCAUACCCUUGUCUUAUGAUAUAUGAUUUUCAGCAUGAAGUCAAUUUUUUGAACUAUGUUUUAUCUUUUACUUAAAUUAUCAAUGUUCAUGUCAUUUUAUUAUUAUAUAUUGUCCAUUUGGGAUGCCUCAUAGGCUCAUGGCUGAUCAAAGGCGAGGAAUUAACCCUAGCAAUUAACCAAGAGAUGGGCAAACAAAACGGCUUUAUAUUCUUGAUAUAAUUUGAAAUAGUUUGUUCCUAUGAUUCCAUAUCACACUCUUUUGUUUUUUUGUCGGUCACUCUUUUGUUGAUCCAAUAACUUUUUAACAUUAGCAAAAAGAGCACACCAUACGGGUGUUUGAAAAAUCAAAAAAAAAAAAAAAGAAGUCAAAUAUGUUUUGAAUGGAAAAAAUAGCUGAAAGAUGAUAAUUAGUGUGGUAAAAAAAAUUAAUGAUUGUACGAUUCGAGAGAUUUUGAUUUAAUUUUGCAAAUUGAAAUACAUAUGGGAAUAAUUUCCAAUUGUCUUGACUAUUUCAAAUAUGAUUAUAUCUAUUUUGUUAUAUCAUAUUUUUUCAGUUCAUUUUGGUGAAAUAUAUGUGUAUUGUGUGGAAACUUUUGACGAAAGUUUGAGGUUUGAAAUCCCAUUUCCAUAUAGUAGAUUUUUUAAUGUAAUACAUAGUAUAGAUCGAUGUACAAGCGAAAAUCAUUGAAGAUAGUGUGGGAUGGUGAUUAUAACAAUUUAGCGACAUUUUAGGCAAAUAGACUUAAGAGAAUUUAUUCCCAUUGCAUUUCACUGGUUAAUAUUUAAAGCAUAGAUAACGACAAAGGUGUCAACCUGUAAAAGCGAAUUUCUAACCAAUUAAACAUUUGGGGGAAAACAUAGGUAUUAUUACAAAAUUCAAAUAAAGCCAUAAGGGAAUUUCUUUUGCCGUCUUCAACUAAUUAGAGGAUCUGUGUUUAUAAGAUGGAAAAAGAAACGAUGCAAUUCUUAUGGAAACGGACAUGUGAUGAUUAAACAAUGUCACCACAUUACUUUUUAGUUAAUCGGUUUGUUUUCUAGUUGUUCUGAAAGCGACUUAUUUUUUUCAAUCCCGGUCAAAACUGCAAACCAAUGUCAUCACGUCACUUUUUAAACAUACUUCACCGAAAAACAAAAAAACGUUUCAAUUUUCAAAGAAAUGAGUAAACACUUCGCACAAAUAGUUAAUGAUGUUAAAGACAUUUAGAUAUCUUCUAGAGAUAUUUAGAAUAUUUCUUUUGAUUUUCUAUAUCUAUUUUGAUUAUAUAGAUAUAUAUAUAUAUAUAUAUAUAUAUCAGAUUUGAUUUCUUUUUAUUUCCCUCCAUGUAAUCCUUUCUAUAUAUCUAAAUAUAUUAAAAACUUCACUUUUCUUCUCUCUUGUAUUAUUAUAUUUAACUAAUGAAAUGAAAAUAGGGUGCUUUCUUAGUUGCUUACAGGUGGCCCAUCGGCACUCUUUAACAAAUUCUUUUGAAAAAUUAUACAUAAGUCAUUUGAAACUUUACAAGUAAACAUUUGUACGUUGUAAAAUGGUUUCAUGUAUUUUGUCUUAAAUGAAAGUCAAAAUUCACACGCUACAAAUUAAAAAAAAAAAAAAACAAGAGAUGAAACAUCGAGGUGCAUUUGCCUUAGUUGUUUUAAAGCAGUAAUUAUUUUUUCCUUUAUUUUCGUGUCAUUUGAAAAAAAAAAAAAAGAAUUAAAUGUAAGUUCACAUAUCCAUAUAUGUAUAGGGGAAGGAUGGAAAGGUGUCAGAUCGUGCAAAUCCAAGAUUUGAAAAAAGCAAAAACUAAAAAUUUAAAAAAACUUGCAGGGACACCCCUGGUUCCACGACUUUUUAGGGGCAGCUUCAAGUGAACACUCCAAGCAACUCCUUUCUGAAGUGAGAUGGCUUCGGUGGAACUUUAUUAAAAGCGAUGCAUCUCUUUUGACGGACAAUUUGCAUCUACCAAAAUUAUCGGUGCUGGAGUUAUUGAAAAGCGAUAUCACCGAGGAUUGGGAAGGAUGGAGUUCAUUCAUGGUAAGAUUGAAAAAAGAAGACAUAAUUUCUGCAAUUUUAGAGUUCUGUUCAUGUUUAGCCGAUCAACUCAUUUUUUCACAGCUUAUUCUCUUUUUGUAUUAGGCAUCAAAGCAGCUUAAAGUUCUCAAUCUGAGGCUUAAAUUAAGGCGUACUCCUGAUCUCUCGGCUUUCACGCAGUUGAAGAUUCUCAAGUUGAGCUGCUGUAAGAAAUUGAAGCAUCUCCACCCUUCUAUUGGCAAACUCACGAGCCUCAUUUCCUUGAAUUUGAAUUGCUGUAAGCAUCUCAAGGAGUUACCAAAGGAGGUGGGUGAACUCACGAGCCUCGUUUCCUUGGACUUGCGUUCCUGUGAAAGUCUCAAGAAGUUACCAAAGGAGGUGGGUAAACUGACGAGCCUCAUUUCCUUGAACUUGUGUUACUGUGAAAGUCUCGAGGAGUUAUCAAAGGAGGUGGGCAAACUCACGAGCCUCGUUUCCUUGGACUUGCGUUACUGUGAAAGUCUCGAGGAGUUACCAAAGGAGGUGGGUGAAUUAAAAGAUUUAAAAGAACUUUUAUUAAUUGUUACUGGUAUUACAAAGAUUCCUCCGUCUAUUGGUUCUCUGAGGAAGCUGGAGACAUUAAGUGCCGAUUCUUGUUACUCAUUGAGAGAAAUCCCUGGCUCAAUUUGGGAUUUACAGAAUUUGCAACAUCUUUACUUGAGUGACUCUGGGAUCGAAAAGCUUCCUAGUGCUAUUGGAAGGUUCAAAAAUCUAUGGACUCUAGAUCUCUCAUCCUGCGAUAGUCUGAAAAGGGUAAUUCCAAGUGAAAUUGGCGACUUGCCUUUCCUUAAGGAUCUCAAUCUCUCUGGCACACCAAUAUCUGACCUUCCAGAAAGCGUCCAGAAUCUUUCUUCUCUCCAAGGCCUUUACCUAAUGGGCUCUAAGUAGGGGUGUCAAUAGUUUGGUUCGGUUCAGUUUUUCAAAAAAACCGAACCGAAUCGAACCGUUAGAAAAAACUUUUAAACUGAACCGAACGAGACCCGAAUCGAAUACGAACCGAAUCGAAAAUUUCGGUUCGAUUCGAUUCAGUUUUCUGGUUUUUGAUUUUCAGCUUUUGGUCUUUGGUUUUUUUUUUUUCAUUUUUUUUUCUGUUCAACCCAAAAUAAUUUAAAUUCAAUAUGUCCCGCGCAUGUAGUCACAUGCUAUACAGUUUCUCUUAUCUUCCCGUCCAUGCAAGCAUGCAAUUUGCAGGGUCCGUAGGUCGCUUCGUCUUCAUGCAUGGCCCUGCAUCGAACCCAGAGAAAACCAGGCUAGACGAUCAUGGAGAUCAUCAGUCAUCAUUUCGUCUUCGGGAAACACUGAAGAGAAAGAAGGAACAGCCAUCGCUUCUUCUUUCUCUUCUUUUCGAAUCUGUCGUCGCUCUUUCGUCUUCCUCGCAUCGAAAGACCAAACGCCUCCAUCGAAGAAAGUUGAUACUUUAUCAGCAAUUUUCCCUAUAAAUCACACCGCUUCCCGUCUCCCUCAUGCACGUCUUGCAUUCGAUUCUCACAUCACUCAUCACCCACAGAGAGAGAGAGAGAGAGAGAGAGAGAGAGAGAAUGGUUGAAGGCGGCAAGAACACUUCUUCUAAGUCGACGAUCAUCGUCAACCCCUCCGCCCAAGAUGGCGCAGACCUGGCCCUCACCGUGUCAGUCGCCCACGCGCAGCCACUUGCUGCCUCCUACAAUGACAGAAUCCACCCUCUUCUCGACGCUGUCGACACUGUCGACAGUUUAUUCUCAUAAUGAAACCGAAUUUUUAAUGGUUUGGUGUUAUCGGUUUGUGGUUCGGUUCGGCUCGGUUAACCGAUAAUAAUCAAACCAAUAAAAAAAAUAUUAGUUUUUAAUGAGAACCAGAUCGAACAAAAAAAUCGAAUUUUUCAGUUCCUGACACCCCUAGCUGUAAGGAGCUCCAGUCACUGCCAAAGCUUCCUUCGAGCGUAACAGAUCUGUAGGUCAUUUGUCAGAGUCUUGGACUGCCACAGCUUUUUAGCCUCACCCACCUAGAAGAACUCGAUCUUGAGGUAAGCCAUCUACUUGAAGACAUCCGCGAGCUUUCCUCAAUACCAUUGAAACUCCGUUUUGAGGAGUGGGAUAAGCUUACAUUACUUUCGCUCCACGGAUUUGGGCACUUGGAAGAGCUUUCAAUAAAAAAAGUGUAGUUCCAUCAAAACAUUGACGCUUUCACAAUUGAUUCAUCUUAAACGAUUACGCAUUGAGCGUUGCGAUAGCCUAGUUGAAAUUCAAAGCUUUGGUAAUUUGGAGUCCGGUCAUAUUUUUAUAUGAAUGCAAGUGUUUGGAGACAUUAAAGGCUUCUGGGUGCCACCAUCUAGUUGAAAUUCAAGGUCUUGAGGGUGCGAAGUUCUUAGAAGUGUUGGAUUUUACAGGAUGCAAAUCGAUAAAGACUUUGCCAGAUUUGAUAGGAUUCAAGAAGUUAUGAUCUCUAAUAGUUCAAGACUGCAAGAAACUUACUCAACUUCAAGGACUUGAAAAGUUGAAUUUAAGUGAUUUGGAUAUUUCUGGUCGUGACUCAUUGGAAGCAAUACUGAAAUUAUCUAGAAUGCACAUCUUUAGAAAAUACGAACGAUUUUGAGUUCUCUAUGGAAAUAUUAUCUUGCAGUGAUAAUGAUGUGAGGAAUCCUAUACCCAUAUACAACAGUGAGACUAGUUAUGUUUCUUCAACAAAGGUAAUUAAGUAGUGAACAAUUAUUUUUCCUCUGAGAUUCAGGACCUCCUUUUCAUCACUAUCUUCUUUUGACAAGAAGGUUUUCCAUGACAGGAUUUUGUACUUUCCUAAAUUGCUGGUCUUGCACAAUUGAAGGAGUGGAGGAGUUGGUCAUAGAAGCUCACAUGAUGGUUCGGCCAAGAUCAAAAUGUAGACCCAAAUGUCAAUAGAAGGCAUAGUAAGAUUCUCCAUCCUUGAACGGUCAGCGUGAGCGAAUAGAGUGAUACUUUUCUCGAAGCUCUAUUUUUUUAGAAUGAUAUGCUUCACACUGGAUAUCUAUUUGAUUGAUUUUGGAAACUCUGGAUUUGCCUCUGUAUAAUUGUUAUUGAUUACGUUAUAGCAAUGUUUUUUAUUCAUCCUUCCAUUGGCAGCUUCUGUAGACUGCAAACAGAUAGCAGCUUGCAAGGCAAGAAAGAAAAUAUCAACAAAGGUAAACAAGAAUUACCUAGUGAUUUCAGUUCCCCUAUCAGCAAAUUCGGGAUUUGAAAUUUUCAUCUAGAGGCCAAUGAACUUCUGCUACUCAUUAUUGUANNNNNNNNNNNNNNNNNNNNNNNNNNNNNNNNNNNNNNNNNNNNNNNNNNNNNNNNNNNNNNNNNNNNNNNNNNNNNNNNNNNNNNNNNNNNNNNNNNNNNNNNNNNNNNNNNNNNNNNNNNNNNNNNNNNNNNNNNNNNNNNNNNNNNNNNNNNNNNNNNNNNNNNNNNNNNNNNNNNNNNNNNNNUCCCUUGAUGGCCCUCCAUUAGCCCUCUAAGAAGAGCAUCCACUUCCCAGUUAUAUGGUGAACUGAACUAAAAUAAAAUUCAAGGUUUAAGUGUUUCUGAUUGGUGACAAAAAAAAUGUUAAAGUAGUUUGGGCUAGUUUGUCAUGUAUGAAUGUUGACCAAUUUAACAUUACCAGUAGGCAAACUAUUGUUUUGAAAUAUCAUUAAGCAAGGCAAAUUGGUGCUGCUUCUAUGACAGAUUUGGUUGGUCUAUAUAACGAUCUAGGCUUACUUUGGGACUUCAAUUCAAUCAACUGUAUCGAUGGCCUUUCGCAUUAAAGGACAAUUUUUUGCCUGUCUGUGAAACAAGCUGGGACGAGGAGCUCAAGAAUUUGCUAAUUAGUCUGUAUCCCGUUUGAUCCUAUUGUUGUCAUGGAAUUGCUUUAUGACGUGACUGAUUUGGGUGUGGCUAAGUGGGCUGACGAACUUCAAAUUGCAUACUUGAGAUCGAUCAAAAUAAAGAAAAGGGAUUUUGCAAAGGAAUCAUCAGCAACAAUUGAGGACCAUCUUGCAUGCCAAACUUAAAGACACUUUGGGGCUAACUGGAGUGUCCCAAGGAAGUUUUGAUGCUUCUGAAUAUUCAAAUACUUGAUCUGAUCUCAUCACAUCCCUAAAUGAUUGUAAAUGUAUUUUUUUAGAUUAAACAUGCUUUCUUUAUGCUCAUUAGGUUCUAGCUCUCCUUUAAUCAAAUACUAAGCUACUGAUUUUUUGUAUGUUACCCUGAUGCACAGUUGUUCGACGCGGUUGCAUUCUAAUGAUAUCACUUCGGAAUUGAUGAGGCUUUGCAAAGGGAGGUAUGCACUGCUAGGCUCCUCCAUUUCUAUUAGUUUAUGGGCGUGAUGACAUCCUUUGAAUGUUGUCAUAUAGUUUUCUGAUUUGAUAAGCUCAGUUCUGAUGUACGCGGCAUUGGAUUUGUAAAGUUGAAAUUGACCUCCUCGCAAACUAUCCCGCAUUGCUGAGUUUGCUAAUUGGAACUUGCAAAAUAACCCAGUAGCAAAUGCAUCUUUCUGUUCUGUAGUUUAGGCACUUCACCUUUUUAGCGUAAUUUUUUAGCUUCAAUUCUGUUCCUAAACACAAACAGGGAAAGUGUUGCUAAAUGUUUAAGUCUAUUGGUUUCUAUUUCAUCGGCUAGCUAAAGGAGUCUCUGUUCAUUGUGGUCUAAGUCCGAUUGGUAUCAAUGUUUACGCAUUUUUACCUUAUCUGUCAUGGGGUAAAUUCCGAUGCUAUGAUCUUGGAUAUCUUCAUUUAAUUAUAAUUAGUUAGUGCUAUCUUGCUUAUGCAGAUUAAAGCUGCAUUUGAUGAAACUUGGUGAAACUCCCCAAACACCACGGGUUGGAGAUAUGGGCAAGAAUGAGCUAUGUCAGUAUGGAAAGGCAGUUCCAAAGUUAUUUGCAAUUGGCGUUUAUCUUUUGCUCCAUGUUGUUAAUACUCUUCGAAGGAUUCUUGAUAAAGGUGACCUCUUCUCAUGUGGUGCAUUAGUGUUGGAGAAAUCUUUCCAGAAUAUUUUGAAGCUGACAAAACAUUUCUAUCAGUCUAAGUCUGGAUGUCGAUAGUCUCAAGACUUUAUAGUCUCAAGUCUCAAGACUUUGUUAUCUCAAGACUCAAGACUCAAGACUCAAAAUUAUUCUCACUGACAGUCUUUCUAAUCCAGUGUUGAAGGAAAUUCAAAGCCGAGGUUUAUGGUUGAGGAUUUGAUCCUAUCCUCUGGAAUAGAUUCUUUGGUUGGAUAAUCAUUUCGGAUUCUUUAAUUCUUAUCUAAGAUCGAUUGAAGAUCCGAUGGUCGACGAAAUAAUCUUGGAUUAUUCUAUUCUUGGAAACCGAGAUCCUGAUUGUAUGGGCGAACAGGAUUGAUGGGCUAUCAUCAGAUUCCUUAAAUAGCUCGGAUGAUCUUCUUGAUUGAUUCCGUCCAACGGGUAGAUUGGAGGAAUUCCUUUGGUAAGUACCAAUGGCUAUGAUGGCAUGAAGGAGUAUAAAAGGAAGACGUUCUAGUUGUUUCAAGUGUGUGAUCGAUAGAAAAAUUCCAAAGUCUGAAGAUCCUUGAUUGUUAGUUGAGACUGAGCGAAAUUGUAUACAGAGAGUGUUUAUACUUGGUGACGCCUUGAGUGAGUGUGGUAGAUCAUCUACACCUAGAAAUCAAGGAAGAUCAACACUGUAACAACUCUUUGAUCAUAGUGGAAUCCAGCCAAUCGGCUGUCAGUGCAGAAGAGUGGACGUAGGCUUGAAUCAAGCCGAACCACUAUAAACCGAGUGUUCAAUUCUCUCUUUCCCUUACUCAGUCUUGCGAUUGAAUUUUUAACUGUUGCAAAUUCUCUAAUUGUUUAAAUAUUGUGCAAGCUUCGAGAAAUUUUUUGUAUACCUAUUCACCCCCCCUCUAGGUACUCGUACUAGCUACUUCAAUUAGUCCUUUGCAAGCUUUGAAAUUGUGCUAUUCUUUAACCAAGGCCCCAUCACUAAUCGCUUGGAGGAAGACCGCAUGUGAGUGGUUCUGUAUGUGAAGUCAAGCAAAAAAUGAGAUUUGUUAUCAAGAUUACCAUUUAGAUGUCCACUUCAAGCUACAGUUUUGUGACUGGGAGAGACUUUUUUCUUGAAAAAGCAAAUGCUGAGGAAUCAGCAAACAAUCUGUCCAUUGCAGCCAAGAGAUUCAAUGAAAAGGUUUUCAAGAAGACAGCAGUUUCUUAUUUGGAAGAAUUUAGAGCACAAAAUACAGGCGUUCAUUAGUGUAAAAUCAUCUCUCUAGGCUGGUUAUGUCGGAAAAUUCAUAUGUAGGCAUUUUGCAAUCACUUUGGUCGUAUUAUCUCAAACUUGAUUUAUUUAAGCAUGAAUCUAAAAGCAGAAGAGACACAGCCAUGUACACUUUCAUACCUAAAAUCAAGUAGAGAGACCAGUUCGUUCUUGAAGAGCAGCAUUACUUUUUCCCUUCCAGAUUCUCUCAGGUGGAUGCAUGGAGCUCGUGUCGCUUGGCAAAUUCUCAAUCAAGUACUGGGGUCUGGAGUGGAGUGUUGAGUUGUUUUAUGCAAAUUCUCGAUCAAAGGUUUGUCUGAGUCUCUAGUGUGGAUGGAGUUUAUAUAGGGUCUUUUUCUUGAACGAGAAACUUUGGUUGGUGAUUACGAAAUGUUAAAGUAGUUUUGGCUAGUCUGUCAUAUAUGAAUGUAUGCCUUUCUUAAAAUUACCAGUAGUCAAAAUGUUGUCUUUAAAUAUUAUCAAGCAAGGUAAACUGGUGCUGCUUUUAUGACAGGUUUGGUUGGUCUGUGUAAUGAUCAAGGCUUACUUUGGGACUUAAAUUCCAUCAGCUGUAUUGAUGACCUUUUGCAUAACUGGACAAUUUUUUGCCAUCUGUGAAACAAGCUGGGGCGAGGAGCUCAAUAAUUUGCUAAUUAGUUUACAUCCCAUUUGAUCAUAUUGUUGUCAUGGAAUUAUAUUAUCACAUGGCUGAAUUAGGUGUGGCUCACUUGGCUGAGGAACUUCAAAUUCCACAAAGCAUCAGCAACAGCUGAGGUGCCAAACUUGAAGAGGCUCGUGGGCCAAGCGGAACGUUCUGAGGAAGUUUUGAUGCUUGUGAAGAUCCAAAACACUUGAUCUGGUCUCAACAGCAUGUACCUGAAUGAUAGUAAAUGUAGAAUUUUAAAUUGAAUAUGUUGUUUGUAUGCUCGUUAGGUUCUAUCUCUUUGUUAAUCAAAUGAGUAGCUAGUGAUUUUUGUGUAUGUUAGCCUGAUGCAGAGUUGUUUGAUGUGGUUGCAUUCUAAGGAUAUCACUCCUGAACUCGAUGAGGCUAUGCAGAGGUAGGUAUCCACUGCUAAGCUCCUCCAUUUCUAUCAGUUUAUCCUUUGAAUGUUGUCAUAUAGGUUUCUGAUUUGAUAAGCUCAGUUCUCAUGUUUGCAGUAUUGAAUUAGUGAAGUUGAAACUGACCUCCUCACAAUCUAUCCCGAAUUGCCGAUUUUGUUGACUGGAUAUUGCCAAUGAUCAAGUAACAAGUACGUCUUUUUGUUCUGUAGUUUAGGCUUUUACCUUUUCAGCAUAAUUUUAUUAACAUCUAUUUUGUUCCUGAACACAAACGGGGAAAGUGUUGUUGCUAUUUGUUUACUUCUUUUAAGCCUAUUUUUUUCUUUUUCAUCUGCUAGCUAAUGAAGUCUCUGUUCACUGUGGUUGAACAGUGAUUGGUGUAAAUGAUGUUUAUGCAUUUGUGAUGCUGCAAUCUUGCAUUUCUUUAUUUAUUGAUAAUGAGUCAGUCCUAUCCUCAUCAUGUAGAUUCAAGCUGCAAUUCAUGGAGCUUGAAGAAAGUCCCCAAACACCACACGGGGGAGGUGCGGGCAGGAAUGAGCUAUGUCAUUAUGAAAAUGUAUUCUGAACCUAGCGAUGUUUAUCAUGUGCUCCGUGUUGAUAAUACUCUUCAAAGGAUUCUGGAUAUAAAGCAGCCUCUUCUCAUGUGGGGUAUUUGUCAUUUGCAAGCACAAAUUGCUUGCAGGAAGACCGCACGUGCAGGUGGUUUUAUUUGUGCAGGUUAUGCAUAAAGUGAGAUUUGUCAACGAGAUUACCAGUUAGGUGUCCACUUCAGGCAACAAUUUUGCGACUAGAAAAAGUGAAUGCCAUGGAAUCAGCAAAAAAUCUGUCAAUUGCAGCCAAGAGUUUCGGUGAAAAGGUUUACAAGAAGACAGUAGUUUCUCAUUCGGUUGAAUUUUGAACACAAAAGAAAGGUGUUCAGUAGUGUAAAAUCAUCCAUCUGUUCUGGUGCUACAUCAGAAAAUUCAUAUGUCCGCAUUUUGCAAUCACUUUUAUUGUAUAAUCUCAAACUUGAUUUAUCUAAGCAUGAAUCUAAAAGCUGAAGAGACCCAACCGUAUAUAUUUUCACACCUGAAACCUGUUUAUCUCUUGCAUUGGCUGCAGUUGAAGACUAAUAACAAAACGUGGACUACAUUUUUGGAAGGGUGAAAAGAGCCCUUCCCAAAAUUUACUCAUUUUCAUUGAACAAAAAACUUCUAAAGGUCAUCUAAUUGGUUUAUAAUGAGAUGAUACUCCACCAAAUUGUGGUCACUGUUUCACACAUUCAAGUGUCAAUCAAAGCAAUUUCUUUGAGGCCACUCUCAGAUAUUCCUGUACCCUGUACUAAAUUAUAAUGGUGGAAUUUUAGUAGUUGAAAGCUACUCCCAAGGUAUUCAUGGUUUGAUGUGCUUGUUGUCCCCUUGAACUUUGACUCAAUUUUUCCAGAGCUCAAGACAAGGCCAAGUAGCUUGUUAAGCCACAUUUGAAUCUAUAAGUACAUAUGUAAUGCAGUUUGUGUUGAAAUACUUGUUAAAUGUACUUAACAUGAAAUAAUUUAAUUUCAGAAUAUUGGUUGAACAUUGCACGAGAAAAGUCGCAAGUAAAGUCAAUGUAUCAGCUCUACACUUUAUUUACUUAGCUGCUUAGCCAGUGUCUAGGUAAUUAAUCCAAAGGGCAAUAGCUUUGUGUUUGACUACUUAUGGAACAUCAUUCACAGCCCCAUCAGCCGAAUUGAUUUGAAGUCGGAACGCAUGAAUAGACCGGAUAAUUGGAUGAACAUUCUGAACCAAUUGAGCUGAUGUGAUUUUGUUCAUGGGCUUUCCUCCCUUUUUCUCUUCCACUUUCGUUUCAUGCCAACAAUUUGCUUCGAGCUUGUUUUUUUAAAGUUCUAUCACAUUUUACAUCAAGAUCAUAUGAAUAACAGCCGUUCAAACAAUAACUAUGUAAGUUCCCAAAGGACAAGAGAAGAUUUGGUUCGGGCUCUUUGAUUUCCUCAUAUUUGUAACUCCAAGCUCGACAGGAUGGAAGUUGAAAUAUGAAAACUGUCCUCAAAUCAGAAUGGAACUAUAGAAGGCCUUACAGCUUAUUUAACACCUGCUAGCUGCAUGUUAGAAUGUAUAGGUUUGGUAGCUUGCCAUAGGAUAAAUAAUAUAAUGCACAUGAAUCGAAAUAGACAAAUUGAGGAAUUACAGGGUUAAUGAACCCCAAAACGGAGAAUUAAAACAACAUUUGGCCAAAAAUAAAAGUUCUAAACAAUGAAAUCGACCACGAAAGUAAAUGUAAACGUCAAAUCCUCCAAAUGAAAGCAGUCGUCUUAUUUUGCAAUCAGCAUCGUGUUGUUGAGAAGAGAAAUUAGUAGGUCAGACAAUUUUUACUUUGCACGAGAAUGCAUGCAUAAUCAUAUUGCAGAUAAAUCAGAAGGCAAGGAAAUUCGAGGAAAAAAAUCUUUUGGCAAAUAUAAAUAUAUGUGAAUAUCACAUACGAGUGGUCUCAUCUUCCUAUGUUUCAGAUGCUGAAGAUCAAUAAAUGAAACAAGGAUUCGAACAAACAUUAUACUGGAAAGAUCGAACAUUGUGGCACUCUUCUGAAUACUUAAUUACCAUUAGAUACAUAUUAAGAUGAUUAGCCAAUAAACAAAGCAAACCUCUUUGUUUCCUCCUGACCGAUUUCAUCCUUUUCUCUCUUGAUGACAAUGAGCAUGAUAUUCCGUAAUUUCUACAUAUUAAAAAUCGAUACAUAAAGCCCUAGCAUUGCGCUUCAACCACCGGAACCCUUGUUUGAAAGAAGCCUUGAACUUGCCCUCGACCAAAUAAAGCUUGUAUCUUGCCACCUCCUCUUCUCUGCUUCUCCGGGUCAUUCCACCACGUUUAUCAAAUUCUAAAACGUAAGAAAUAGGCAAAGGCCAGAGUCCAUUUCGACUUACAACAUCAGGUUUGUCUAUUCCCAUCCCAAAGGCAAUGGUAACACACAAUCUGGACCUCUUCAGUAUGCCAAUUCUUUUGAACAGUGACGAGCUACUAAUCCAGCAUGAUAGUACACCACUUUUAUAUGACCUUGUAUUUUAGAUCUAGUCUGUCAAACCUUGGGUCCCUGAGCUUUGACAGACUAGAUCUAAUAUAUGAGAACAUGGGGAACCCCAAGAGCUUUUAGGAUAUCCUGCGAUGGAUGUAUAAUUCAAUCAAAUUAAACAGAUUAUUUCAACAUAAUCAAGGGGUUAAUAUGUGAGCUUAGUACUCAUGAACUGACUGAGUGGCGGUUGCAGUUAAGGCCAUCACUGGGACAUACGGAAAGUUCUGCUUGAGACAUCCUAGUCCCCUAUAAUCUAGUUGAAAAUCGUGUCCCCCUUGACUAAUAAUGACAACCACAAAAGUGACAAUCAAUGAGCUUUACUCCUUAAUCAGUCUAAAUGUACAAGAAAAGCUCAAACCAGCAGCAUUUUCCUUUCAUGAGAUCAAACUGGCAGAGCAAAUCCAGUUAAGACCUUGUAAGAAACACAAUCAAUGAUCACAUGGUUGAACCUUUGCCUUUCUCAAGUUGUUACCAUAAAGUAUAAGUGUUAAUAGAAUAAACGGGGACACAAGAACCAGCUUAAGAGACUGAGUAUCAUGCCAAACAUAGAUAGGAGGUAUAAUCCUUAUCCAAGCUUAUGCCGAUUCCAAUUGCUCUGGGAAGUAAUUUCCAUUGGAGCUUAUUUAAGUUGUGCGCUCUUUACUCAAUAUAGUGAAAGAUGGGCCACUAAGUAUUCCCAAACGAUGGAACCUAAAUCUUUUCAUCGAACAAGGAGCACCGCAUUAUGUUAUAUAGAAAUUUCAUAGGGCUUUGGGCUUCAGAAGGCCUAGUGUAACACUGACAAUUUAAUUAGGCUAGACACAUAAAAAAUGCAGAGAAGUUUGGAAAAAGAGCUUAAGUUAGCAUAUAUAAAAGCUCAAACCAGCAGUACAUUCCUUUCAUGACAACCAUGAAAGUGACAACCAAUGAGCUCUUGUCGUCAAUCAAGCAAAUGUACAAUAAAAGCUCAAACCAGCAGCACGUUCCUUUCAUGAGAUUAAAUUGGCAGAGCAAAUCUAGUCAAUACCUUUUAUGAAACACGAUCAAUGAUCACGUGGGUGGACCCUUGCCUUUCUCAAAUUGUCAGUAUAUAGUAUAACCAUUAAUAGAAUAAAUAGAUACACAAGAACGAGCUUAAGAUAUUGAGUAUUAUGCCAAACAUAGAUAGCAGAUAGCAUCUUCCUUGUAAGAAACACAAUCAAUGAUCACGUGGGUGGACCUUUGCCUUUCUCAAGUUGUCAGUACAUAGUUUAACCAUUAAUAGAAUAAAUAGAUACUCAAGAACCAGCUUAAGAGAUGGAGUAUCAUGCCAAACAUAGACAACAGAUGGCAUCCUUAUCCAAGCUUAUGCCACUUCCAAUUACUUUAGGAAGUCAUUUCCAUUGCAGCUUAUUUAAGUUGAGUGCUCUUACUCCAUAUAAUGAAUGAUAUGCCACUAAGUUUUCCCAAACGACAGAACCUAGAUCUUUUCCAAAGCUCAAACAAGGAACAUUGCAUUCUGUUAUAUUAGAACUUCAGAGGGCUUCAGAAGGUCUAGGGUAACACUGACAAUUUAAUAAGGCUAGAAACACAGAAAAUGCAAAAAAGUUUGGAAAAAGAGUUUAAGUUAGCUUAUAUAAAAGGAAACUUGCUUAUAUUUAUCUGGAAUAAGGACAAAAGUUUUGCAAUGGCAACAUCACAAAUGAUUAUUCUUUUUGAAGUAACUCUAGCAUGAUCUUUCUUCAUGUGCGAGGCAUGCCAAAGCUUAUGCAUAUGUCACGCAAUGUCCCUCAUCAACAACAAAACCAGAGAGUUGUGCCUACAAUAAAAUAUCAUCAAAUAUAAAAAAUUAUAAAGAACCAUUUUGGAAAAAAGUUACAGUGCAUCAGAAACAACACCUUUCUGUGCAUGCAUUUCAAUAUCUCGAGAAAUGAUAUUUUUCCCCCAAUCCUUUUAGGAGUUACAUGCAAUAGCUUGCACGAUGUUUAUCUUUUCUGAAAGGGCAGGCAAAGCAGAAGUGGAGGUUAAUAAUUUGGCAGUCACAACACUCAGCAUAAAAGUUUUUUGAUCAAAAACCGCGAGGACAACUGCCAAUUGGGCAACAGUCUGUUGAGAGUUCAAGAAAGUAGAUUGUAUGCUGUACUUGAGGGUUACAUUAGUUAUUUGAUCCUAGAUGAGAAAUAGCAAGGGAGAUAUAACAACUGUGACACCUGGUUUUAAAGUUGCUAGCAGCUGAAACGAAGGUAAAAACAUCAGAAGAGCAAAUGAAGAAAGGAAGGGACGAUGGAAUUAUUAUUUCUUUCACCUUCAGUUGAUCAGGAAGGACAAGUUGUCACUACUUGUUUUAUAAUUACUUUCAGUACAUAUAUCAACUACUUCAAGACUAAAUAGAAAACACUUCUAAAAAAAUCAACUUAAUAAAUCCAAACUUAUAUCUUCCUUCUUAAUUCAGUUAUCAUUAAUUUUGCUUGCAACCAAGAUCCAUUGUAUAUUAAAGGACAUUAAUUUCAAACCAAUUAUGGGAAAAAGAAGUCCUAGAUCAUCACCCUUUGUUGAGAUAAUGGCAUAGCAAAUAACUGCAAAGGACCUUACCAAAAAAAAAAAACUGCAAAGGACAUAUAAAAAUCUAGAACCCAUUUCUCUCUGACUUAAUAACCCUCUUGAAUUGGACAUGAAUUAUGACUGACAACAACACAUAACAUGCAUAAACAAGAUGAAUUUUCAUGUAAGUGAUUAGAAGGUCCUAGAAGUGUAGCGCAAACUUCAAAUCCUAAAGAUUACAGACUAGAUAGAGAGGUGCGAAGGCAGAACAAGAAUGUACAAUAUUUCCUUCUUUUCUACUUUUGUCCGAUGCCAUACAUUGGAACCCAUGCUUAUGUGCCUGAAUCACUUCCUAUAGCUUAAUUUCAUUUGAAAAACAUUUCCUUCCUUAAGUUCACAACCUUCUUAAAAUGCUAAACAAAGCAGAUCAGAAGAUCAUGUUAUAGCUUAAAUGUUGACAUACAAGUCUACUUAAACAUUUAAUUGGUGGAACCACUGAGCAAAGUGCACAGGGCUUGUGCUCUAACAUUGUCUCCACACACUUCUACAUACAAUCAUCACCCAGUUGAGACAAUGUUAACAUUAACUAACCUGGUAACAUAAACUUUUACCACCUUUAUUGGGCAUGAGAAUAAAGCAAACUUGCUUGGCUACAGAAGCUUUACAAGCCUGACGUUGCAUUGGUCGAAAUGCCUUGGUUCCGAAUAUGACAAUGUGACAUCCCGAUUUUUCUCAAUUUUAUUUUUAGUCAAUUGAGUCGGGCAAUUCAUCUGUGCGUGUAGUUCGUCUCUCAGAGUUGGCCACUCACGAGGGAACUAGUCUAUUGAGUGAAGCAAUUAAGGAAUUUUAAUGCGUCAGACUUGGGGACUGAUCACCCUCGGGUCGGAUGCAAGAAAAUUUCCCCAAAAGCUACUCAGUGGAUUAGGCGCGCUGAAAUCGCACCAGAGUGAAUUCAACCGUAAAAAUUGGGAUUGAAUUUAGAAGUUGGAAGCCCGGUUAUGUCACACAUCUUAUUAGGAUGAUGGGAUAAUUUUGUGGAUUUUAAUUGAAUUCAAUUAGAAGAGAAUUGAAAGAAAAAUUGAAGAAAUUGGAUGUGCAAGGAUUUGGACCCCUGUGGAAAUGAUAUUGCACCCAUUGAAGAAUGUUGCGGGAGAGGAGAUACUGGAAGAUGACAUCAUGGGGGUGAUGUCAUGCUGAUUGAAGCCAAGGAUUGAGGGCUUGACAAGUGGAGGGUGGAGAUUUAAUCUCCAAAAAGGGGGCCAUCACCAUCAUCUUCAACCUUGGGAAGGAGAGAGAGAGAACUGGCGAAGGGGAGCUCGCCCGUCGACCAGCCUGCCCGCGCAUGCCGCUCCUCUGCCGUUCGUCGUCGUCGUGCAGCGCCGUCGUCACCGUCCCGUGCGACCGCGCAUCGCCCCGCACCCGCGUGCUCAUGCUUCGUCAACGCCGCCUCAGCAGUGCUCGUCCCGUCGGCCCAGCCACCCCAGCCGCUGUUCGACCUUGCCAGAGCCUCCUUCACCGUCGCCGUUGAGCCAGCCGAGCCGCCGCCUCUUCCUCCGCUCGUUUCGCACGCCUGCACCUCCCCGUCGCGCCUCUUUCCGGCCCGGUUCAACUGCUCCAUUUAUGGGUAUCUUAGCCCCUUCUAGGCCCACUUUGGCUAUCUUCCCGGCUCCGGAAGCUAGGCCCGCCUUUGGAAAAGUCAAUCCCGGCGUUGCCCUCGUCGUUUUGGUCCAAGCGGUGAGUUAAUCAAGUGAGUUUAUCUCACUAAACCCUAAUUAGAGUGUUAAUAAUGCCCUAAGUUUGUUUAGUUUGAAUUAGGUGAAUUUAGGUGGGUAGAUUAGUAUAUUUAAUUAUAAAUUGGGUUAAGAGGUUGGUUUAUAUUAAAGUAUGUUUAAUUAAGGUGAAAAUAGGUUAUUUAAUGUUAAGCCUUGAUGGGACAUAAUAGGAUUUUAGUUUUGAAUUAUUUAAUUGCUUCAAAAUUCUGGAUAAUAUAAUAUUAUAUUAUAAUCCGAAAUUAUUUAAAUAUUAUUAAAAAAACGGAAAAAUUAUUUUUGACCCCGGUUGCUCAGAAUUUCGUGACGAUCGCUGCUAUGCAUUUAGAAUUUGAAAUUGAUGAUUGAUUGUGACAAAUUGAGUGUGAUUGCGAUAAAUAGAGAUUUUUUUUAUAAAAUCUUAAGUGUGGAAAUUGAUGGGAGAUUGGCCGUGAUUGACCACCUAUUAGAGGUCGUGCCCAAUAGGGUCGUGAUUAACCACCUAUUAGAGGUCAUGCCCAGUGAGGUCGUGAUGUACCACCUAUGAGAGGUCGUGCCCAAUAGGGACGUGAUUAACCACCUAUUAGAGGUUGUGCCCAGUGAGGCCGUGAUGGACCACCUAUGAGAGGUCGUGCCCAAUAGGGCCGUGAUUAACCACCUAUUAGAGGUCGUGCCUAAUGAGGCCGUGAUGGAUCACCUAUGAGAGGUCGUGCCCAAUAGGGCCGUGAUUAAUCACCUAUUAGAGGUCGUGCCCAGUGAGGCCGUGAUGGACCACCUAUGAGAGGUCGUGCCCAAUAGGGUCGUGAUUAACCACCUAUUAGAGGUCGUGCCUAGUGAGGCCGUGAUGGACCACCAAUGAGAGGUCGUGCCCAAUAGGGCCGUGAUUAAUCACCUAUUAAAGGUCGUGCUCAGUGAGGCCGUGAUGGACCACCUAUGAGAGGUUGUGCCUAAUAGGGCCGUGAUUGACCACCUAUGAGAGGUCGUGCCCAAUAGGGCCGUGAUUGACCACCUAUUAGAGGUCGUGCCCAUCGGGCUGAGAUCUACCACCUAAUUAAAGGUCGUGCCAAGUGGGGCCGUGAUUGCCACUGGUUAUUAAACCUUCCUAUAGGGUCCUGAUUGGAAGCAGUAAUUGAUUUGCUAGAAUGACAUGUAAUUGGCCGAGUCAAUUGAUCGCUAAGACGAUCCAAGUGAUUGAAUUGUUCUGAUAAUGUGAUUGUGCCUCAGUUGUUUGGUUAUCAGAAUUGCACAUUGUUGAAUUAUAUAAAUUGUGCUAACCUGUAGAUAAAGGCUAAUGUGAGGACCGUAGAUGGCGGUACCCCCGGAGAAGAGUGGCAUGCCGACAGAGAUUGACCAGACGACGCAGAGUGCUCCUGACCCUGGAAGUCCUUGGGUCUAUCAGUUGGUUAGGUCCAUUGUCUAGGUCUAGGUGACUGUGGAUGUCAGGGUACCUUAUAUGUUUAGGGCUUGGUUUCGUUUUGGAGUCGAUGGCGUUAGGGUUGGCCCACUGGAUAGUAUGGACAUUCCGUUGGCUGUGAUGAACGCCAUUUUGGGUGAAGGCGUGGCGGAUCUUCCUGACGGUAGAGUGAUCAAUGCAUCGCCCCCAGCCUCUUGGGUGACAGAUCCUAAGGAUGUGGGAUCGUCGAACGAGGCCAACCAAUAGUCUUAGGACUGUUUUUCUUUUUGGCGGACCGAUCCAUGUUGUGUAGACUAACCCUUUUUUAUGCACAUAAGCUUUGACCCAUUUUUGGUGCAUAUAGUCUCUGGAUCCUGUUGGUGUAUAUAAACCCUGGAAUGAUGAUGAUUUAUGAAAGUAUGUUUGUUUGAUUUUGAAUUGAUUUUCCUGUUGUCAUAUCCCGUAUGUUUUUAUCAGGGUUUCUUAGCACAUUCCACAUUCACAUAAUAAUUUAAAAUGGGGCCGGCGACACUACCUGGGAAUGUCGCAUUUACAUGACCAUGGCAGGUUGUUCAAGUGUCUCGGGGUUUGAGGCGUGACAUCCCCGUUUAAGUGGUAUCAGAGCAUGUUUUGUGUAUGGAGUGAUAAGGGCGAUGAGUCAUGGGAUAAUUAGUAGGAAGAACUUUCCAUAUCCUAAUGCACGUGAUUGUUAGUUGUUUGUUAACUUGGUUGGAAUGUUACUCAAAUUCUAAUAUGGUAUUGGAAUUCGCCAAUAGGCGUCUGUAUUGAGCCUGUAGCAUGAGUGACCGAGUGCCGAGAGCUGUUAGGAAGAGAGCAGCAGGUCCCGUGUUUCGAGGUGGGUCUUCGUUGAGGGCCGGUGCCCGUGGUACCCUGGGAGGAGCGCAGGCCAAGACCAGUGCAAAUGGUGCAGCUUUGCCUCCAGACGGUGCAACAGCGUUAGAGGAUUCGAGGUUUAUUGGAAUCAUGCAGAUGCUCGAGGCGAUGGGAGACAGGAUGGAUCAGCAAGCCACUGCUAUAGCCACCGCAUUGAACACCGCCAAUACCACUGCUACUGCCGCCGCACCGGUUGCCGAACCAGAAGAGGAACCCGAUGAAAUUCUACUUGAGGAUGUGGCCGCUGGGAGGCCUAGACAGAAGUUGGUAUAGCAUCAACGUUCACGGGAGCAAGAGACCCCAAAGCUACAGCAUUAUGGAUCCUGGAGUUAGAGAAUGCCUUUGAGUUGCUGUUGUGCACUGAAGCAGAAAAAGUCGUCCUGGCAGCCUAUCAGUUGAGGGGGAUCGCGGCUACAUGGUGAAAGACUAACAAAAGGAUAAUGUUCCCUAAAGGUGUGGUUCUAGAGUGGAAUGCUUUUCUUGAAGUCUUCAAUGAGAAGUACUUUUUUGAUUGUGCCAGAGAGGUGAAAAUGGCGGAGUUUCAGUGCCUUCGUCAAGGUACCAUGUCAGUUGAUCAUUAUGAAGCGAAGUUCACCGAACUGUCGCAGUAUGCCCCUGAGUUGGUCCAGCGACCGUCAGACCGAGCUCGAAGGUUUAGAGAUGGGUUCCGAUCGGAGGUGAGGAGCUUGUUGGUACCACUGGAUUUGAAGGAGUACAAUGACCUCUACAAGCAGGCCCAGCUAAUCGAGAAAGACCAGAAUGAGAGAGCUGUCGCAUUUGGGUCACGGUUUAAUUCAAACAGAGAUGAUAAUCGGUUUGGGAAGAGGCCGAUGCCUGGGGGAAGGUAUCAUGUUCCACCCAACAGGAAGGGUGGAGUGGGGAAGUCGUCAUCGAGCUUCAAUGGAGCAUGUCGUUCGUGUGGAAGGCGACAUGGCUCAGCCCCGUGCCCUCUUAGGACGGGUGCUUGAUAUGAGUGUGGCCAGCAGGGUCACAUUACUAGGGUUUGUCCCAGGAGACAGAUGAGACAACCUCAAUUGCCGCCACCACUGGGUCAGAACAGAGGAUUCGCACCGCAGAUCGUGUCGCCCGGUGGAUUGAACCGACCUCUAGCUCAAGGAAGGACUUAUGCACUCACUAGAGGACAGGCGGAGGAUGCACCUAAUGUGGCCAUAGGUAUGGUCUUGCUGAACGACAAACCUGCUUAUGCUUUAUUUGAUCCCGGAGCUUCGCAUUCGUUUAUAGCUGAAAUAUUUAUUAAGUUGGUAGAAUUAAUUCCUGAAUUGUUGGAGUUUGUGAUUAGCGUAUCUACUCCGUUGAAAGAUAAGGUGUUAGUUACAGUAGGUUGCCUAGGUUGCAAGCUAGUGAUUGGUGAGCGAGAGGGGAGGAUAGAUUUGAUAGUCCUAGCCAUGUAUAAUUUUGAUGUGAUAAUUGGCAUGGACUGGCUCACCAAGCAACGAGCUAAGAUGGACUGUUAUCGCAAGGCGAUUUAGUUUAACCCAUUAGAGGGUGAGAGUUUCGAAUUCAAUUGGAGUCGAGGAGGACCCUCGGUUUCCUUAAUCUCAUUGCUCGAGGCAACUCGCUUGCUAGGCAAGGGUUGCCAAGGUUACCUGGCGACUAUCGUGGACAUGAUAGUAGAGGAGUCGAAGAUAGAAGACAUUCCAGUGGUGCGAGAGUUCCUAGAUGUGUUCCCGAAAGAAUUACUAGGUUUGUUGCCAAAAAGAGAGAUAGAGUUUGUAAUUGAGUUAGCUCUCGGGACCGAGCCUAUCUCCAAAGCUCCUUACCGGAUGGCCUUGUCAAAGCUUAAGGAACUAAAGGUGCAAAUGCAAGAGUUGUUGGAUAAAUGAUUUAUACGUCCAAGUGCAUCACCUUGGGGAGCAUCGGUGUUGUUUGUGAAGAAGAAUGAUGGUUCAUUACGCUUGUGCAUCGACUACCGACAGCUCAACCAGGUGACAAUUAACAACAAGUAUCCGUUGCCAAGGAUUGAUGAUUUGUUUGAUCAACUUCAAGGAGUGUCGAUAUUUUCUAAGAUCGACUUGAGGACGGGAUAUCAUCAGCUAAGAAUCAAGAAGGAAGAUAUACCGAAGUCGGUGUUUCGCACUCGAUACGGCCAUUACAAGUUUACCGUGAUGCCGUUUGGGCUGACGAACGCCCCGACUGCUUUCAUGGACCUAAUGAACCGGGUGUUCAGAGAGUAUUUAGAUCAGUUCGUAAUUGUCUUCAUCGACGACAUCCUGGUGUAUUCAAGGAGUACUAAGGAUCAUGAAAGGCACUUAAGAAUAGUGCUUUAGACUUUGAGAGAUCACGAGUUGUACGCUAAGUUCAGUAAGUGCGAGUUUUGGCUAACUCGUGUGGCUUUCCUAGGUCAUGUUAUCUCUGGAGAAGGAAUCUCAGUGGACCCAGCCAAGAUUGAAGCAGUGAUCAACUGGCCGAGACCUACUACAGUGACAUAAAUAAGAAGUUUUCUGGGUUUAGCAGGGUAUUACAGACAGUUUGUAGAAGGGUUUCCAAUGUUAGCAUCGCCGAUGACGAGACUGCUGAAGAAGGAAGAAAAGUUUGUAUGGUUAAAUAAGUGCGAGUGUAGUUUCCAAGAGCUCAAGCAAAAGCUAACUAGUGCACCUAUACUUACUAUUCCAUCUAGUCCAGGAGGAUUUGAAAUCUACAGCGAUGCGUCGUUUAAAGGAUUAGGUUGCAUAUUGAUGUAGCAUGGUAGGGUUGUUGCGUAUGCGUCCCGUUAGUUGAGACCUCAUGAGUUGAAUUAUCCGACGCAUGACUUAGAACUUGCAGCGAUCAUCUUUGCCCUUAAGAUUUGGAGGCACUACCUGUGCGGAGAAAGAUUCCAAAUCUUCACUGACCACCAGAGUCUUAAGUACUUAUUCUCUCAGAAGGAGUUGAAUAUGAGACAGCGCCGAUGGAUGGAACUCCUAAAGGACUAUGACUAUGAGAUUUUGUAUCAUCCCGGAAGGGCGAACAAGGUCGCCGAUGCAUUGAGCAGGAAGUCUUCAGUUGCACAUAUGGUACUCAAGGAAUGGAGUCUACUUGAGGGAGCACGAGAUUCGAGUUUCAAGUUUGAAGUAUGCCACCUUUCGAACCUUAUGGCCACCCUCAGAAUUGAGCCAGAAGUUCAGGUCAGGAUCAGGACACUUCAGCAGACAGAUCCGAAUAUUUAGAAAAUCGUACAAGAGGAUACAAAGAAGAGGAAAGCUGACUUCCAGAUUUCUGAUAAUGGAACGUUGAGGUUCCAAGGACGGUUGGUUGUACCCCGCGAUGUGGAGCUUAGGGAGGAGAUUUUAUCAGAAGCGCAUCGUAACAGUUACAACAUUCAUCCUGGUAGUACCAAGAUAUAUCAGAAUCUGCGUCAACACUAUUGGUGGUGUGGCAUGAAGGCGGAUAUCGCCAAACAUGUCGCCAAGUGUUUGACGUGUCAGCAAGUGAAAGCCCAGCAUUGCAAACCGAGAGGACUUCUGCAACCCCUUGAGAUCCCAGAAUGGAAAUGGGAGCAUAUCACGAUGGGCUUCGUGACGGGACUACCGAGGAGCUAGAGAGGAAAUGAUUCGAUUUGGGUAAUAGUUGACAGAUUGACAAAAUCGGCUCACUUCAUUGCAAUUUGAAGGGACUUGAGUUUGGAUAGACUCGCAGAUCUGUAUGUACGUUAGGUAAUUCGUAUGCAUAGAGUGCCGGUCACAAUUACUUCAGAUAGAGACCUGAGGUUCACUGCCGCUUUUUGGAAGAGUUUGCAAUCCGCUUUAGGAACGAAGCUGCAGUACAGUACGGCCUAUCACCCGCAGACUGAUGGCCAGUCUGAGAGGACAAUUCAGACUCUUGAGGACAUGCUGCGAGCUUGUGUCUUAGACUUCAAAGGAAGUUGGGAGGAACAGCUUCAUCUGGUUGAGUUUGCCUACAACAACAGUUAUUGGCAGAGUAUUCAGAUGGCUCCUUUUGAAGCGUUGUAUGGUAGAGCAUGCAGAACGCCAGUGUAUUGGGAUGAGAUCGGAGAAAGAAAGAUCACCGGUCCAGAGUUAGUACAGCAGUCAGUGGAAGCAGUUGCAGUUAUCAGAGACAAACUAAAGACUGUUCAGAGUCGACAGAAAAGUUAUGCCGAUAAUCGUCGGAGGCCAUUGGAAUUCCAAGUUGGUAAGCACGUCUUCUUGAAGGUGUCAUCGGUGAGAGGUACUUCCCGCUUUGGCAAAAAGGGGAAACUAAGUUCGAGGUACGUAGGUCUCUUCGAGAUUUUGGAAAGAAUAGGGACUCUAGCGUAUCAUCUUGCACUGCCGCCGAAGUUGUCACAGGUGCACAACGUCUUUCACGUGUCGAUGUUGAGGAAAUAUGAACCUGACCCGACUCACGUUCUAAAUUUCGAGGAAUUAAACGUGGACAACAAAGUGUCGUACGUUGAAAACUCGAUUCAGAUUGUGGAUCACAAAGAGCAAGUUCUGCGCACUAGGACCAUCCCAAUGGUCAAAGUGAUCUGGCAACACCAUGGCACUAAAGGAGCAACCUAAGAGACCGAAGAAUCAAUAAAAAAAUUGUACCCCUACCUUCUUGUUUAAAGAUCUGUAAUGGUUUAAAUUUCGAGGACAAAAUUUUUAUAAGAGAGGAAGAGUUGUGACAUUCCAAUUUUUCUCAAUUUUAUUUUCAGUUAAUUGAGUCGGGCAAUUCAUCUGUGCGUGUAGUUUGUCUCUCAGAGUUGGCCACUCACGAGGGAACUAGUCUAUUGAGUGAAGCAAUUAAGGAAUUUUAAUGCGUCAGACUUGGGGACUGAUCACCCUCGGGUCGGAUGCAAGAAAAUUUCCCCAAAAGCUACUCAGUGGAUUAGGCGCGCUGAAAUCGCACCAGAGUGAAUUCAACCGUAAAAAUUGGGAUUGAAUUUAGAAGUUGGAAGCCCGGUUAUGUCACACAUCUUAUUAGGAUGAUGGGAUAAUUUUGUGGAUUUUAAUUGAAUUCAAUUAGAAGAGAAUUGAAAGAAAAAUUGAAGAAAUUGGAUGUGCAAAGAUUUGGACCCCUGCGGAAAUGAUAUUGCACCCAUUGAAGAAUGUUGCGGGAGAGGAGAUAGUGGAAGAUGACAUCAUGGGGGUGAUGUCAUGCUAAUUGAAGCCAAGGAUUGAGGGCUUGACAAGUGGAGGGUGGAGAUUUAAUCUCCAAAAAGGGGGCCAUCACCAUCAUCUUCAACCUUGGGAAGGAGAGAGAGAGAACUGGCGAAGGGGAGCUCACCCGUCGACCAGCCUGCCCGCGCACGCCACUCCUCCGCCGUUCGUGGCCGUCGUGCAGUGCCGUCGUUGCCGUCCCGCGCGACCGCGCGUCGCCCUGCGCCCACGUGCCCGUGCUCCAUCGACACCGCCUCAGCCAUGCUCCAUCCCAUCGGCCCAGCCACCCCAACCGCCAUUCGACCUCGCUGUAGCCUCCUUCACCAUUGCCGUUGAGCCAGCUGAGCCGCCGCCUCUUCCUCCGCCCGUUUCGCACACCCACACCUCCCCGUCGCGCCUCCUUCCGGCCCAGUUCAGCUGCUCCAUUUGUGGGUAUCUUAGCCCCUUUUAGGCUCGCUUUAGCUAUCUUCCCAGCCCCAGAAGCUUGGCCCGCCUUUGGAAAAGUCAAUCUCGGCAUCGCUCUCGUCGUUUUGGUCCAAGUGGCAAGUUAAUCAAGUGAGUUUACCUCACUAAACCCUAAUUAGAGUGUUAAUAAUACCCUAAGUAUGUUUAGUUUGAAUUAAGUGAAUUUAGGUGGGUAGAUUAAUAUAUUUAAUUAUAAGUUGGGUUAAGAGAUUGGUUUAUAUUAAAGUAUGUUUUAAUUAAGGUGAAAAGAGGUUAUUUAAUGUUAAGGCUUGAUGGGAUAUAAUAGGAUUUUAGUUUUGAAUUAUUUAAUUGCUUCAAAAUUCUGGAUAAUAUAAUAUUAUAUUAUAAUCCGAAAUUAUUUAAAUAUUAUUAAAAAAAUGGAAAAAUUAUUUUUGACCUUGGUUGCUCAAAAUUUCGUGCCAAUCGCUACCGUGCAUUUAGAAUUUGAAAUUGAUGAUUGAUUGUGGCAAAUUGAGUGUGAUUGCGAUAAAUAGGAAUUUUUUUUUAUAAAAUCCUAAGUGUGGAAAUUGAUGGGAGAUUGGCCGUGAUUGACCACCUAUUAGAGAUCGUGCCCAAUAGGGUCGUGAUUAACCACCUAUUAGAGGUCGUGCCCAGUGAGGCUGUGAUGGACCAUCUAUGAGAGGUCGUGCCUAAUAGAGCCAUGAUUAACCACCUAUUAGAGGUCGUGCCCAGUGAAGCCGUGAUGGACCACCUAUGAGAGGUCGUGCCCAAUAGGGCCGUGAUUAACCACCUAUUAGAGGUCGUGCCCAGUGAGGCCGUGAUGGACCACUUAUGAGAGGUUGUGCCCAAUAGGGCCGUAAUUAAUCACCUAUUAGAGGUCGUGUCUAGUGAGGCAGUGAUGGACCACCUAUGAGAGAUCGUGCCCAAUAGGACCGUGAUUAAUCACCUAUUAGAGGUCGUGUUCAGUGAGGCCGUGAUGGACCACCUAUGAGAGGUCGUGCCCAAUAGGGCCGUGAUUAACCACCUAUUAGAGGUUGUGCCUAGUGAGGCCAUGAUGGACCAUCUAUGAGAGGUCGUGCUUAAUAAGGCCGUGAUUGACCACCUAUGAGAGGUCGUGCCCAAUAGGGCCGUGACUGACCACUUAUUAGAGGUCGUGCCCAUCGGGCCGAGAUCUACCACCUAAUUAAAGGUCGUGUCGAAUGGGGUCGUGAUUUGAAGCAAUAAUUGAUUUGCUAGAAUGACAUGUAAUCGGCCGAGUCGAUUGAUCGCUGAGACGAUCCAAGUGAUUGAAUUGUUCUGAUAAUGUGAUUGUGCCUCAGUUAUUUGGUUAUCAGAAUUGCACGUGGUUGAAUUAUAUAAACUGUGCUAACCUGCAGAUGAAGGCUAGCUCGUGUCCAGACUCAUAAAAGAUUAGCAAGUGACAUUCAAACAUGACAAAAGGGACGGCUAAUUUAAACCGAGUGUGAUCGUGGACCAGGGGAAACGAGACCCUACUAUCGUGUUGGCUCCGUCUUAAAUAAAGCCAAGCAACAGAGUUCCCAGAGACAUGUGUUUGACCGCGGAUGUCCGUACCCCAUGGCCGAACGCUACCUUUUUUUCAUCAGUCCCCGUCCAGCACCCCCUUCUCUCUGCCAAAUCAGCCGCGCUCUUCUCAGCCGAAUCUUUUUUUGUUAGGUCUCUCUCUUUGCUCACUUCACUUGCUCGUCUCUCCUCUCAGCCGAAUCAUUUUGAAUUAUUUUCUUUUAUAUCGUGGCCCUUCCAGGCCGGCGGCCACGCAUGGUAUGUAAACUUUUUCAAAGUUGCAGAGCAGUCAUGUAACGGUGCGAAAGUUAGAGGGCUUUUGAGAAAUUAUCCACAAAAUUAAGAGCAAAAAAAGGGGAAUUAAAAGGAAAAUCCAAAAAAGAACGCAAGAAAAAACCCCUUCCCCGCGCUUUCUCAUACCCUAAUCGAUCUUGGUCCUCGGCAAGACCUUAAACUGCAGCGCUCCGGGGGGGACAACCCCGAUAACAAGGCCCCGCGCGGGCGGGUAAUCCCGUGCCUCCCCACCAUGGGGGCCCUGAAGGCCAUACGAGGGGUAGUCCCUUUCCUGGGGACGAAAAAGAUUCAGGUUGGGGGUAAAAGUCCAGACCCCUGGAAAAAACAGGAGAACCUGGCGUCGGACCUGAGCAGGUCCUUAAAAGGCUCAAGGGGGGCCACCCCGACAGGAGGAAUAACCUCCCAGGGGUGAGAGACCCCGCGUCGGGGCCCCCUAUUCCCGUGGGAGGGAAGAAAAAAUAAAACUACCCCCACUGCCUCGCCCGCCACAGCUCUGGAACCCAGAAGGGUAAAGGAGAGGGAUGGCACACGGUAAGGGUAGAACGGCAGCCCUCUCGGUAGCCGAACCCAGGCCCGAGACAGGACCUAGUAGCCCAAUGACCCGUGCCAGAAAGGAAACUUUCUGGGUGGCGGCGGGCGGCUUCGGAAAAAGUUCACUCCCGUCAAUUUUCCCCAAGUCGCUCCUCCUUCAUCCUCGUCCAAGAAGGAAGAAAGGAAAUGAUGAACGUGUUCAUGCCGAGGAACUUGGUGCCUCCCGAGCUGUUGGACGCGCUCCACGACGCGCUCAAGCUGAACGGAGCUGUUUCUUCCAGGGGUGGGCCCCGCGAAUUUCACGCGUUUCUUCUCCCGAUCCCGUGAGUACGUUGGGAUUGGGCGGCGCUAAGGCUUUUAGGUUCAUUUUUGAGAAUCGGGUUUGAGGUUGUUUUACGUCUUGAGAAGUUCGAGGAUCUUCAGGCGAAAGGGUGGAAGCUAGUCGGCAAAGAUCUUGUUCUCGUCCUAGUUUUAUCUUUUGGUUUUUAACUCGAGGCUGCUAAAUGCUAAACCAGAACUUGUAGUUGAGAAACGAAAGCGGAAGCAUUGGGGUCAACGUGCUGGUCAAGCAAGUCGAGAGGAGUUCUUCUGCCUGGGAAAAAAAAGGUCGAUUUCGAUGGGGGAUAUUUCGGUUUCUUGCAGGUCCGCAGUGUGUGGUUUCGUGUGCGAAAGAAGGGAGACCUCUACCUCGAAAAGGGUAUACUUGUUUGUCUUGCGAUGGAUGGUGUCGAAGUCCUUGCAUCUAGAUUUGAGAUGGAUGAGAAAGCAUGCCUGUUCCUAGAUAAGCCUGGCCUUGUAUAAUUUUUUAGGGUGUAAUCUUUGUCAUUACUCGUCUCUCGAAUUCAGUGUGGCACGACACUUAUCCUUAUCCAUGUAUCCUUCUAUGUGACCCCUUGAUUCUUUUGCCUUCAGACAUGCUUUUGUCUGAACAAAUAUGGUGGCAGCCUGUCAUCUCUCUUAUUGUUUCACCAUAUACGUGAAUCCGCUGGCUGAGAUUGAGAAAUUGGUUACUUCAACGGGGGGAGUUCUACAGACCAAAACUUCAGCAAUGUUAGCUUCGUAAUUGCAAAGAAUAUUUUGGCUGCAAAAUGCAAGGUUUAAGUCUUGGAGUUAAUAAUUUGAAUUUAGUUUAAGAGUUGCGAAUUUGUUGUAUCUUGUUAAGGUUAAAUCACCUUAGAUGAGAUUCAUUAUGCUUUUUCACUAAGUAUGGGAAGUAUCGUGGGUAGUACUCUCAUUGAGUUGGCUGAACUAAAGAAGAGUUUCCUCCAUAUUUUUUUGAAUAUUCCCUGUGCAAAGUCUUUUAUGAAUUUCAUCUUGAAAGAUAAAUUGUAUUUAUCAAUUAAUGUUGUCAUCGUGCAAUGGGCUUUAAAUGUUCUGAAGAAACCUGUUGUCGCCAUUAAUUGUUAUACCAAUGUUGUGUUGUGCACCGUGUUUUACCUCAGGAGUCUUACGAAGUUCUUCCAUUUUCUGGAUCGACAAUGUGUGUCACAGGAAUUUCUGCACAUACUGAUUAUUUGAUAUAGCUGCUGCUGUUGGUUGUCCUCCAGUUCUUCAAUUUUGAUGUCCUUCAUUAUCUUAGAUGCACAGAAGGAGAUUCAGAAGCAUAAAACAAAAUGGUGGGAAAUAUUCUGCAGAAUUGACCAGGAAGUGCACUCAUUUAAUUGCAGAAAUAACUUUUUCUUCUUCAAGAUUAAAGUCCAGUUAUUUGCUUGCAUAUUUUACCUUUGAUAUCUGAUCGCCGUGUGAAAAUGCACAUAUCUUUAUCUUGUCUUCGCAUAUGAAAAGACUUUUAAGAGUUUGAAAAGAAAAUCUGUAUCAUUUCAAGGUUUAGUGACGAUUUUAAUUUGAAAUAGGAAAUAGCUAUACUUGAUUUAAUCCUGGUUUUUGGUAUUAUCCUUUUACUUGGGAAUUUGAUUACUCAGAUGAGAAACAGUGAAACUUCCCGGCAUGAGAAUAUCAUUGACUUUGACUUCUAAAUCAGUCCUAAAGAAUUGUGUUCUGUGGUUCAAGGAAACAAGGUGUUAAACAACCUACAAUUUGAACUGCCACUUGUUAAAAGAUCCUCAGCCAGUUUUCGCUUUUCCAGUGUGAGUUAGGACUGCCUGUUGGUUGCUCAAAACACAUUGCUCAGCAAUGUUAUUACCAUUGAAUCUUUCUAUUGGCCUCAUAUAUGAUGCUCUGCAACACUGUGAGUCCCACUACGAUGCCCUUGACUGGCUGUAAGCUCCAGAAGAUAAAUACAAGGUUGCUAAAAGAUGGGGUCACAUUCAUAUUUUGAAUCGCAAAUGGUUUGAUCAAUUAACUUCCGGGAAAGGUGAUAUUUCAGUACUAAAAUACCUUGUUGCUGUCAACUGUAGGAACAUUUAAGUUCUUUUGAGCCAUCUUGUUGUCUGCUCUAAUUUUGAGUUCUUUGCCGACUAGCAUCUCUUAAUGAGGAGNNNNNNNNNNNNNNNNNNNNNNNNNNNNNNNNNNNNNNNNNNNNNNNNNNNNNNNNNNNNNNNNNNNNNNNNNNNNNNNNNNNNNNNNNNNNNNNNNNNNGUAGUCAGCAAAAUCAGUAGAGUUAUUAGAAGUUCACAGUCUCUCCCUCUCAAUGGUUGGAGAUCAGGACUUCCAUUCCAUUUCAGCUACUGACCAUGCCAAACCAGAUUUAGAAACUACUCUCUCACAGAAUGUGUCUUCAAUGUUUGUGGAUCCCCAUUUCCUUGCAAAAGAGGAUAAUAGUGAAGUGGCAGCUGUGCAAUCCAAUGGUGAAGUGAAUCAUGAUUGUUGGGUUGCUGAAGACUGAAAAUGAAGACAAUGACCUGUAUUUGUCAGAAUGUAGGUUAACAUCAUCAAAUGCUCGAUUUCCCCAAGAGUGUUCCUAAAAGAAGUGAUCUGAAACUACCAUUCAAAGUUGGCUUGAAGAUACAAAACUUGGUGAUCUGAUUUUGAAGGCAGUGGUGCCUUAAAUAGUUCUGCUUGACACAUAUGAUGACUGACUAAAGAUUAUAUCAUCGUACACUGCUUUCUCUCGUUUCAUUAUGAUUCUCCGUGCUCUUCAUGUGAACAAUGGGAAUGCUGAAAUGUUAGUAUUGCCUAAUAGGACAGUAGCUGCUGAUUCACAUGACAUUUGGCUGUCUUUCACAUAUGAUUAGUGGCUGAAGGCUGCGAUCCUUUAAAUGGCUUUGUCAGCUUGCAACUCUCCAAUUUGAGGAUACCACACACUUCAUGACAUGGGUGGCCAAUUUUGCCGAAUGAAAUCAUUGUGUUUACAUGUUAGAAGAUGACGUAUGACUAUAGUUAAUCUGUGCUAAAGACAAUCUUUCAGCUCUUCCCGCUAAUAGCAUGCAUAUAGUUUCCAGGAUGGCAUAUGCUUGUAAGUAAUAAACGGUUUCAUAUGGUUUUCUUCUGGAUCUCAUUCCUGCAUUUGCUGCUGACCUUGCAAUCUUUUGGCUGGUGAAGGUAAAGGAUCUUUUUUCUCUUCAUGUGUUGAUCCUUUGCUUUUGUUUAUUGUGCAGCAGAACCCAGGAUUUUUAAACUCGUUUUGAAAUCUUAUAUUUGUUGGUACGGGUGUCACUGAAUUUAUUCUUUUUUGUUCUUUUGUGUUUUGGGCCACUGAUGUCUUAUCCCGGUCAAUGGAUGAAAGAGGGAAGGGUCAAAGAGCCAAUAGUAUUCAUUUAUCCUAGUAUUGCUCCGGAAGACACUUGGUAGAGCACCGACGUACCUUUGAUUUAUGUAGUUUCUAUGCAAUAAAAGCCGAUAAAAUCAGAUUUUUCCAGAUCAGUCUAACGGUCCGUUAUAUGUUCAAGUUUGAUCCUCAGCAGAAGGCAAAAAUCUUGUUAGUUUUUCAUGUUACUCCUUUUAAUAGCACUCUUGUACUAUUGUUCCCUUGGAUCAAUGAAAAUAAUUGGACUAACGUGGAUUCAAUAAACUCACCAUGAGCGGAGCAAGCAUGAGAGAAGAAAACACAUAUUGAUGUAUAUUCCAAGCAACCCAUAGCUUGACAAAUCAAUGUCAGCCCUCUUCAAACCUUUCGUGAGGCUAGCAAUUGAAUGCAUCGCAUAUUCUUGUGUUCACAUUCAUGUAUCAUGAGGCUAGCAAUUGAAUGCAUCGCAUAUUCUUGUGUUCACAUUCAUGUAUCAUGAGGCUAGCAAUUGAAUGCAUCGCAUAUUCUCGUGUUCACAUUGAUGUAUCAUGACUUAUAUUAGGUCACUCCUUUUCAUUUCAAGGGAAAAAAGAAAAAAAAAUGUAUAGUUAUAGAGCAGCAAAUGCAUAGAUAAAUAAGAGUUACUUGGAGUUAAUAAUCAAAAUGAAAAGUUCAAUGCAUAUCAAAUUUACAACAAGCAUCAAAAUUUCUUAAAAUAUCUAUGAAAAACUAUGAGAACCCUAUAUCAAGUCUUACUAGAAAACACAAGUAGCCACACUUUCGUCCAAAAGCUCCAAAUUAUGAUUAGCAUUGUCCGUUGCGUCACUUAUAAAUUAAUCUUAUGCAACAUUUCCACAAUAAAGACCGGUCUCUUGUCUCGCUGUGAGCAUAACCUAAGUGUUUGUAAUUAUGAUGUCCCCUAGNNNNNNNNNNNNNNNNNNNNNNNNNNNNNNNNNNNNNNNNNNNNNNNNNNNNNNNNNNNNNNNNNNNNNNNNNNNNNNNNNNNNNNNNNNNNNNNNNNNNAGAAGAAGAAUCACAGAAUCACUCCAAAGUUGACGUUGACUACAGUCUUUUAUUAUUUAUAAUUUUUGAGUAGGUUUGUCCGCAUUUGCCUUGUCCCUUUCUUUGGUCAAAAGAGGACUUGGGAAAUGCAAUGAAGCGAGCAAGAUGAAGGAUGACUUUGACUUGCUUUCCCUCGCCUGAUGCUAUAAAAUAUGAUUAGCUAACAAUCAUGAUUUGGAAGUUGUAUGCUUUCCACAUAAAUAACCAACCGAGAUUGAUUUAAAUAUGAGUAUACAUCACCUCCUUCAUUACCUUCUUUUAAAUAUAAUUUUAGCAAGCUGCAAAUUUAAAAUAUGAAAUGAAAUAUAUCAAGCUGCUCUGAUUACAUCAUAAUUAUAUAAAAAAAAUUAUUACAAUUUUGUGAUUCAAUCCAUUAUUAAGUCGUAGUAUGGGUGAAAAUUGAAAACUAUCCGCUAGAACCGCAUUCAAUUUUUUACGCAAAUCUUCUUUGGUUCCGACAUCCAAUGACCCAGCAACACUAUGGAAGACAGAGACCGUGUUUUCUCAUUUUCACACGUGCAAAAACCAAAGAUAUUUGCAAUCCAUUUUACUUGCCAUAAACCAAAGUAAAACGUCUGUUUCAAAUUUCCCUCUCCUAGUUUUAAACAUUCAAGCUCUUUGACAUUAAGGGUGUGUUUGUCUUGUGAAAAAUGAAUUUGACAAACAUUUCCACUAAAACCGCUAACAAUAACGAAUGAGCAAAAGAUACCUUUAUGACUCACGAAAAUGUUUAGACCUAAUUUUUUGUCGAUAAUGACUAUUUCAAUGCCUCCAACGGUGAGAGGCUUUUAUUUCAAUAGGAAGGGAAAGCAAAAUGUUGUCCAUCUUCACUUUGAUUUGUGCGGCCAUGUGAUUCCACUACAAAGAGAACUAACACAAGGUGGGGGUUCGUUUGUAAAAAUAGUAAAUUUUCUCAUUGAGGACACGCAAAUCCAUGGUAAGAUUGUGUGUGUCCCUAGCACAUUGCACUCACUUUUCGAGACAAGAGAAGAAGUAAUUUUCAAUAUGAACACCUUGCAAAAGUUCCCAAGUAAAGGAGAUAAUUUCUUUUGACAAAAAAAGAAAAAAAAAAAAGAAAGAAAAGGAGAUGAUUCCGGGGCUGUUGAGGACUAGCAUCGUGUAAAAAAGUUAAUUUCCACUAUGAUUUACUUGGCCACAGAAUAUAAUAACAAAAAGAAUUAAUAAGUGAAGUCUAUAGGGGGUCGUCUUGCCAAUUUCGAGGAAAGGAUUGUUCUGGUAGUCUUGGUCAAAAAGGCAGGAAUCAAAAGAAGUAAAUAAUUGCCUCGUCCAAGAAACGCAAUCCACCACAAGUUGUCUCUACUUCUAGAUCUGAAGCACAUCGAAUCCUCUACCAGAGCGAGAGCUUCAGCUUGAAUCGGCGGAGGAAGCAAGGGAUCUUCUUUCUCGUGAAUCCAUCGAGCGGUACGCCUGAGGCCGUCGCGAAGAGCACCUGCAAUCGCUCCUUCCGAACCACCGGCUCAAAGAACCCCAUCGAUAGUUGUCUUGAGGGACGGGGUUUUCGGCGGGCAUCCAUUAACAGGUAAAAUCGACUCGAAUCGCGUCGAGUUUCCAACUUUUUAGUGUUCCGCUCGCUAUAAUUUCCGAUCGUGGACUCCGCUGAGGCGAUUAGGGUUCCUGGGUUUGGUGGCGCGGUCUUUGCUGGGAACACGAGGGUUGUUUCUGGGAUCUCCAGAUAUACCAGAGAAGAGCUGCAAUUUAAUCGAGAGAUAGUAAGUUCCUUGCAUGUUGUUGGUGAUUUUGUAGCCACUACUCGUCCUUUCUCGUGAUGUUCUGACCUGAGAUGAUCUGCAAAUUUACCUCGGCGUAUCUCCAAACGAAGCCGGUCCAGGUCGAGGCGUGAAGGUGAUCCUCGGGAUUGUGCUGCCUUUCGGAACUCAGACACAACUCGAUCUGCUUCGAGGCGACUUCUUCUCAAAAACUGACGCCUAUCACAGUGAUUUCAUCUCUGAAUACCCCCUUCUGGAGGUAAGUCCGACCUUCGUCCUCCGGUCUAUUGCAAUUGAUAGGACAAAAAUACAUUUGAUUAUUACUCACUGCUUUAUCGCCUAACAUCCUCAAAGGCCUACGGAAUAAUACAUGUGAAAUUCCCUUGGGACAAAAAGCCCGUUCGAUUAAAAUUACGAGAAUACCCUUCUAAACCCGAUUUUGUGUCCGUUGGUCCUAUGUUCACCCUAAUUGUCCAAAAUUACUUGUUUUUUUUGGUCGGAGCCAACAGUACUUAAAGCCUGAAACAUCCAAAAUACUCAAUUUUUGCAGAAAUAAUUCUUCUUUUUUCCUUGAAUACAUUUAAAAACUAGAUUUUUUCCAAAUAUCGAUCGUGCUGGUCUAUUCUCUUCAAGAGUCGCACAAAACCUUUCAAAGGGUGUGGAUCAGAAUUGUCAACAACAAAAAUUUAUCUGAACCGAUCAGGUCAACUAGAGAAUUUUUAAAUGUCCAUAAAACCAUUUUCCCUUAUAUUGGCAAUUUUUGUAAUUUCUAGAAAAUGACAAAAAAUUCAAAUGUUUUCCGGAAAUUAUGAAAAAUUCACAAUUGCACUAUUUUUUUGUGCUGGUUACAAUGGAAAUUUGAAAGUGAGCGAAGCUGCUGGUUUCAAUGAGCUUACACAUAUUUGUGGACAAUUUUUAGGUGGACUUUAUCUUAGCGGAUUGAAUUAGAGAAACUUGUCAUAAAGUGUGGUUUUCAUGCGAUUUUACUGCUUUCAACAAAGACUUUUACGUAUAUAUAGUGUAGAAAAUUACUGACCUAUGAUAGAUUUGACGAUAUGAUUUAUGCAUAUUUAGGGUGGAAGGGAAAUGUAGCAUUUACAGAGUAAGAACGACUUUGACAUAAAAUUCACAAGCCGAUUAGAGCCACAUUUAUCUGUUUAACAAAAUGUUUUAUAAGUAGAUAUGAACAGAAGUGGGCAUUCCGUACUCGGGUCCAAAUUGCGUGACUUGACUUGGCUUGCCAUUUGAAAACAAUUUAAUUGCUACCAGUCAAUCAGCCUAUCGUCUACUACUCAUUAGUCCUCUCUCUCUCUCUCUCCCUCUCUCCCUCUCUCAUUUCUUACUUUUAUGUUUCACAUUUGGCCUCUCUCUUGCACUCUCUUGCAGAACAAUUCGAGAUUAUCAUCUACUGAUUAGUCCUCACUCUCUGUCUGUUCUUUCCCUCUUAGAAGUUCUUGCCCAGACUUGUUUAGGGUCUUCUCUCGCCGAUCUCACGCCUCCCUCUGCAUCUCAACUCACGAAAGGUAAUCACUUUUUCAUCCCUUAUUAGCAUGUCGUUUCUAUUGAUUCGUCGCUUUAUUAUUGAAAUGAUAGGCCGAACUAGUAUGUUCUGGGCCCUUUUGGUCUAUUGGGGAUGUGGUGGUGGCUGCUGAAUUGCAGAGGAUGGCCUUUUAUUCUUUCUUUUGGAGUCGCUGUUACCUCCUAACGAGGAAUGUCCCCAGCUCCGAUUUGACUUCGAUGAAAAUAGAAAGCCUUUGUUCUCAACUUUAGAUGUGGCUAAUCCUAUGAUGGCCUUAUUGCCUCAUUGUUAGUUGCAUUGUGAUUCAGUAUUGAGCAUUUGUUGAACUAGAACGAGUAGGUUUGGAAAUGCGCUAGACUCUAUUGCGUGCAAAAUUGCCAUGUUUCGCUCGAAUCCAGAGACCAAUUUUUUUUUUUAUUCAUUGUGAGGCUUCUCUGUGUUUAAGGGUCCUCGAUCAAUUUAUAGAAAAAAAAAUAGUUGGGUGGUUCUGGGGUCAACUAGUUUGGUUCUCGGUUACAAUAAUGGAGACCGAUAUUAAAGAAUAAGUUCGUGAUUCUAAUUAAGAAUCUAGUCAUCUUGAAACCGAUCAUCCUAAGAGUAAGUCNNNNNNNNNNNNNNNNNNNNNNNNNNNNNNNNNNNNNNNNNNNNNNNNNNNNNNNNNNNNNNNNNNNNNNNNNNNNNNNNNNNNNNNNNNNNNNNNNNNNUGAGUAAUAUUCUAUUUUCCUUGAUUGUUGGACCAUUAAUCCUAGAAAAAAAAAAUCUAGUUGAUCUUUUGACACAAAUGAAAUCAAUCAAAUAAAUUGAGCCAUACGCGCAUAUUAGGAGAUUCACUUAGCUUUAUAUCACUAAUUUCUUACACCUCUCUGCGGUGAUAUUCUCAAGAUGGGCCCUCCACAAAAAUGGGGACAAGCACUCAACGCCAUUCUCAAGGUGGUCGACUCUGAAUUUUCCGCAGCAGCUUCCUCUUACUUCCUUCUCUUCUUCUCCUUCUUCCAUCGAAUCCGUACCUAAUUUCUAAUCAUUCAGACUAACAUGGAGAAAGAAAAGAGCGCUAUAGCUCUAAUUCCAUAGACAAGAUAUUGGAUUUGAAAAUUUGAAACAAAAGGCUCGGUGAUAACAUGCCACUAUAAAAUCAUUUUACAUAGAACUGGAGAAUGCGGUGCCGGCAUGAAAUAGAUAAAAGAUAAAUAGCCAAGAGCAUUUUUGUUUGUCUCUACCUCUCCUUUCCAACUUCAUUAAGAAUAUGACCAUUUUAAACAUAAUUAAAAUAUAAAAUCACAUCCACAAUUACUAGCUUGGUUCUUUCUCAAUGUCUUCCACGCAUUUCUAAUUUUGUUCCAACUCAAUUAUUGUCUUUUGAAUGAUUUAUCAAAUUCUGAUUUUCAAUAACCAAAAAAAAAAAAAACCAAACAUAUGCUUAUAAUUUUAAUUGAAUAUAAUAUACUCGUGCACAGAUUAUAGUUCUUUAUAGCCCAAUUGAAAAAUUAAUGAACACAUCACUCGUGAGUUAAUCAAGCCAACAAGUUUGACUUGAAUAGUGUGAGGUCCAAAAGAAGACAAGACGAGGUCUAAAAACAUCUGCAACUGCUCGUAGUCAAUCAAUUACCAAUUAAUUAAAGAUUUCAUGUUGGUUUUUUCUUGCGUGGUAACAUUCAUGUUCAUUCUUGUUCGUAGAGAUUAGUUCAUCGAUACUUUUAUGCAGCAUAAAAGCAUCUUUCAUUUUCUUUUUAACUUUAAAUUCACCAAAUUCAUAAUUCAAAUGGCUUCGGAAAUUAUGAAAAAUUCACAAUAUUACCAUUUUUUGUGCUGGUUACAAUGGAAAACUUGAAAGUGAGCAAAGCUGCCGCUUUCAACGUACUUGCACAUAUUUAAUAUGUGGACAAUUUUUAGGUGGACUUUAUCUUUGUAGAUUGAAUUAGAGAAACUCAUCAACGUACUUGCAAACAAUUUGAGACUAUUGUCUACUGAUUAGUCCUCACUCGCUUUCUCUGUUCUUUAUCCCUCUUGAAAGUUCUCGAUGGAUUUGACAGUAUGAUCUAUCCAUGUUUAGGGUGGGAGGAGAAUGUAGCAUUUACAGGAGUAAGAACGUCUUUGAAAAUAAUAUAAUGGAAGAUUCACAUGUCGGUUAGAGCCACGAUUAUCAGUUUAACAAAGUAGUUUCUAAGUAGAUAUGAAUAGAAGUGGUCAUCCGUACUGUGGUCCAAAUUGUGUGGCUUGACUUGGCUUGCCACCUGAAAAUGGUCCAAAUUGUGUGGCUUGACUUGGCUUGCCACCUGAAAACAAUUUUAUUGCUACAAGACAAUCAGCCAUAUUCCAUAGAUAAUAAUUCGAGACUAUCGCCUACUACUAAUUGGUCCUCUCUCUCUCUCUCUCUCUCUCUCUCUCUCUCACUUUAUCAUUUGCAUGCGGCCUCUCUCUUGCAAACAAUUUGAGACUAUUGUCUACUGAUUAGUCCUCACUCGCUUUCUCUGUUCUUUAUCCCUCUUGAAAGUUCUCGCCUAGGCUUGUUUACAGUUCCUCUCUCUCUGAUCUUGUGCCUCGCUUCACACCUCAGCUCACUUGUGAUAAUCACUUUUUGAUCUCUUAUUAGCAUCUCGUUUAUUUUGAUUUUGUCACUUUAUUAUUGGAAUAAUCGGUUGAACAAAGUGCGCUCUGGGCCCUUUUUGUCUAUUGGGGAUGCGGGGGUGGUUACUGAAUAGCAUAGGAGGGUCUUCUAUUCUCUCUUUUGGAGUCGCUGUUGCCUAUUGAACGAGGUAUGUCCCCGGCUUAGAUUUGACUUCAGUGAAAAAAGGAAAGCCUUUUGUUUUCGACUUUAGAUGUGUCUAAUCCUAUGAUGGCCUUGCUGUGUGAUUCUUACUCACAUCGUAAUUCAGUAUUAAUCUUUUGUUGAACUAGAGCGAGUAGGUCUGCAAGUGCACUGGACUCUGUUGCGCGCAAAUUUGCCACAUUUCGGUUGAAUUCAGAGACCAUUCUAUUUUUCUUUUGCAUUGUGAGGUUUCUCUAUGUUUGAAGGUCCUAGAUCAAUUUAUGGAAAACUAAAUCAGAAAAAUAAAAUUAGGCUGGUUCCUGGGUCAACUAGUUUGGUUCUCGGUUAUAAAAGAGGAGAACCAAUCAUUACAUAAUAAGUUCCUAAUUCUUUGUUUAAUACCCACUUAUCCUGAAAUUAUUCAUCCUAAGAGCAAGUCUUCUCUUAAGGAGACUUCAUUCAACAAAUUUACCUCCCUCUAGAACAUUCCAAAUGAGUAAUAUCCUGUUUUACUCGAAUUGUUGGACCAUUAAUCCUAGAAAGUGUAUUCGCUUUCUCCUCUAAUUCAUUUUCUCCCUUCUUUAGCAAGAAAAAAGAAAAUAAAAAUCAUUUUCUCACUUCAAAGCUUCAAAAGUUGACCAAGUCUUUACUUGAAAAAAAGAAAAGUAAAUGAGGAAUUAAAAAGUACGGUGAGAGUUUAAGCAUUUUAACUAUAUUGCUACAUUUUACCUGCUCACAACUCAUUAUAAUUUCAAUCACUGCAAUAUAAAACAUACCAAAGUCCAUAGAAUGAUACUUCUUAAGAUCUUUUACAUGAUAUCCAAUAGUAAGAAAAAAAAAUAUAAAUCGAUCUUAUGACACGCACACGAAAACAAUAGAAUAAAUUGAGCCAUACACGCAUAUUGGGAGAGUCACCUAGCUUUAAAUCACUCAUUUCUUGCACUUCUUUCUUUACAAACAAUAAAUUUAUUCUUCAAAAUGUGAUUAUCAAUUUAACCUGAAUUAUCACAAAUUUACCCAAUUAUCCUAUUCUACUUCCAUUUCAAGUCAUUCCUUUGCAGGGCUUCUUGUGUCUUUGUGCUUGUAUCCAAUAAUCUCAAUAAGAAGAAAAAAGAGUGCAUAAAAAGAGAGCACUAAGGAAGCAUCCGCUCCUCCAUUUUGUGCCAUCCAACAAAUUAUAGCUCUAUUUUAUAGACAAGAUAUCAAUCAACUUUAUAGAUUUGAAAAUUUGAAAUGAAAGGCUCGGUGAUAGCAUACUAAUUCAAAAUAAAUUCAUUUUACAUGGAAUUGCAGCAUGUGGUGCCAAUGUGAAAUAGAUAAAAGAUAAAUAACCACGUUCAAUAAUCUCAAUAAGAAGAAAAAAGAGUGCAUAAAAAAAGAGCACUAAGGGAGCAUCCGCUCCUCCAUUUGGUGCCAUCUAACAAAUUAUAGCUCUAUUUAUAGACAAGAUAUCAAUCAACUUUAUAGAUUUGAAAAUUUGAAAUGAAAGGCUCGGUGAUAGCAUACUAAUUCAAAAUAAAUUCAUUUUACAUGGAAUUGUAGCAUGUGGUGCUAUCGUGAAAUAGAUAAAAGAUAAAUAACCACGUUCAAUAAUCUCAAUAAAAAGAAAAAAGAGUGCAUAAAAAGAGAGUACUAAGGGAGCAUCCACUCCUCAUUUUGGUGCCAUCUAACAAAUUAUAGCUCUAUUUUAUAGACAAGAUAUCAAUCAACUUUUUAGAUUUGAAAAUUUGAAUUGAAAGAUUUGGUGAUAGCAUACUAAUUCAAAGUAAAUUCAUUUUACAUGGAAUUGUAGCAUGUGGUGCUAGCGUGAAAUAGACAAAAGAUAAAUAACCACGAGCAUUUGUUUAUCUCUACCUCACAUUUCCAACCUCAUUAAGAAUAUGACAAUUUUAAACAAAAUUAAAAUAUAAAAUCACAUCCACAAUUACUAGCUUGGUAUUUUCUUGAAGUCUUUCACACAUUUCUACUUCUGUUUCAACUCAAUUAUUAUCUUUAAAUGAUUUAUUAAAUUCUGAGUUUCAAUAACUAAAUAAAAACCAAACGUAUGCUUAUAUUCUUAAUUGAAUGCCAUAUGGUUGUACACGAAUUCUAGUUCUUUAUAGCCCAACUGAAAAAUUAAUGUACACGGUACUCGUGGGUGGAUCAAGCCAACAAGUUUGACUUGAAUAGUUUGAGGUCCAAAAGAAGAUAAGGCGGAGGCUAAAAGCAUCUGCAACUGCUCCUAGUCAAUCAAUUACCAAUAAAUUAAAGAUUUCAUGUUCGUUUUUCCUUGUGCGGUAACAGAUUUAUGUUUGUUAUUGUUCAUGGAGAUUAGUUCAUCGAUCAUUUUUAUGCAGCAAAAAAGCAUCUUUUGUUCCAAUUUUCCCCCUCAAAUUGCCAUACAUUUUUCAUUCCCUUUUUAGCUUUCAAUUCAUGUUCAUGAAAUUUUCCAUGUGUCGUGAAUUCAUAAUUCAAAAGCCUUUUGGACAUUACUUCUAAAUAUCGCUGCUUCCUUAUAAAAGUAAGCCUAGACACUUCAUUUCCUUCUUUUCUAUGUUUUUCCCUAAUUUAUCUUUUAUUUUUUAAUAUUUCACAUUCUUCUUUUAUCAUUGUUUUGCUGACUUUUCAAGAGUUGAAUGAUAUGCCGACAAAAUUGUAAUAAAAAAAAAUGACCCGGAAAAGAACUCAAGGACAGUGUACAAGUAUUUCAUAUAUCAUUGGUAACUUAAUACUAUCGUGUUAUGCUCAUUUGGUGUCAUUUAACAAAUUAUAACUCUAUUUUGCAGACAAUUUACCAAUCAAUAAUUUAAAUUUUAAAUUUUGAAGUGAAUAGCUUGGUAACAUCUUAUCAUAGAUUCAUCUUAUAUAAAAUUAUUGGCUUGUGGAGCCAACACGAAAUAAAUAAGAGAGAAAUGACAAAGACCAUUUGUUCAUCUCUACCUUGCAUUUCCAACCUCAUUAAGAAUAUGACAAUUUUAAAUAAAAUUAAAAUAUGAAAUCACUAAAUUUGGACGAAAACAUCAAAGAAGUGAAGCAAACGACCCGAAACAAAUAGAGAGGCAACAUUCACACAAAAAGAGAAAAGAACAUAGGAGGGAGGGAGAACAAAGACGGUCUAAGAUUGAUUGAAGGGAGGGGUACCUUGUUCCAAGCCAUUGGAAGAGAGAAGAGAGAAGCUUGAAUUUUCUUGGAGAAAUAAGUUAAAAGUCGUCGAAAUAUUUUGGAUACAUGUUGGGUGGAAAUGACGUAAAUGGAACUUAGUUUCAUUGAUAGACUUAAUUAUCGUUCAUUCUAUUCAUCCUUAAAAAGGAAGUAAGGCCAAUUGGAAGAAAACUGCACUUUUUGCAUUUCCUCUCAUUUCUAUGCACUUAUAGAAAGAAAUAGAAUGUGGGCUCAAAAGGAAGUAUUUCCCUUUCAUUUAGAAUCAUUUUCAUCAACUUCCUUCAUAAUCAAACAACUGAUCAAUUGAAAAUUUUUCCUCGAUUAAUUUUUUAGAUUUAGUUAAAAUGCCUAAAACUUGAAACCCGCCAAANNNNNNNNNNNNNNNNNNNNNNNNNNNNNNNNNNNNNNNNNNNNNNNNNNNNNNNNNNNNNNNNNNNNNNNNNNNNNNNNNNNNNNNNNNNNNNNNNNNNUGGGUAACAAUUACAUGACACUCAUUAGUUUGGCCAAUGGACAUGGGAUUAGACAGAAAGGGUUGUGAAAAUGAGGUGGUGGAGAUAGUUAGGGUUGUUUAUUUAUUAGGAUAAAAAUAAUAACAGUAAGGUCGAAGAUCAUGACAAGAAUUAGGCAUCGUGUGAGCUUUAUUCAGAGGAAGAUGCUUCCAUAAAGUUCCAUACAUAAUAUCAAUAUCUUACCUUGAACUGAAAGAAUCCGCCUUUAAAUAUCAUACACAUACGUGAAGUUCCGUAGUUUUUCAAAUGUGCUUUAAGUAAGUCGAUUAAUUACAAUGCAAUUUGUGUAAUUUCAAAUUUGUGUUUCUAAACAAGUAAAUGAUGUGGGCUUUUUGGGGGCCUCUUCAGGGCCACCUAAUCUUCUGCAAUGAAACGAGUUAGCUUACUUAACUGAAGGUUGUGUCUUUAUUACCUAGGGAAUUAACGAACCCAUUAUUUGAAGCCAACAAGCAUUUGCAGAAAAAGCAUCUUUCGUUGUUCAACAAUCCUUUUAAGCAGCAAAAAAAGCAUCUUUCUUUUCAACUUUCCCCCUCAGAUUGCCAUGGACAGAGGGCAGACUCAGGGAAAGAGAAAGAGGGCAGAGGAAGAGAGCACCGAAGGAGCAGCCACUUCUUCUUUCAUCCCUCUAGAAGCCACAUGUGUAGGUAGCGGUCAAUACGAAGUGUUCUUGAGCUUUAGAGGCUCAGAUACCCGCAAUACAUGUCACGCCCCGAUCCUCGGACGCGCGCACAUCCUUCUACUUGGUCGAUUUUAUAAUGCGAUAUCCCAGGACUAUGUAUCGCCGACCCUUCUUUUAUUAAGCACACGCGNNNNNNNNNNNNNNNNNNNNNNNNNNNNNNNNNNNNNNNNNNNNNNNNNNNNNNNNNNNNNNNNNNNNNNNNNNNNNNNNNNNNNNNNNNNNNNNNNNNNNNNNNNNNNNNNNNNNNNNNNNNNNNNNNNGCAUAAAAGUCUCACACCUAUCUAUACCAAGACAGGGUUCACAAAAGGGAUGGGAUCUCAAUCCACAUCCGGGUUACAUUCAAGAUCCCUCUCUGGAUCAUCUUCUUCUUCAAAAGUCUUCCUCCCCUUCAGGUUCCCCUUCCUUAGCUUCUCCUCAGGGUCCUGAAAUGGUUAUUCAAUAACCAAUGAGACCACGUCUCAGCGAGUCCUACCCACUAAGACUCGAUUAAUAAACUAAUACGCCAUCCGGUUGCCUAAGCACAACACGAGUCAGAGGACUUACCUUAGCCUCAGUUCCAACCUGCAAUUCAAGGUUAAACAUAGAUAUUCAAACAAUUCACGACAUCCGAUCAAGCAUUGAUCAAUCGACUAAGUCGAUUACAUGUCAGCCAGACCCUUUCUAGGUCAUUCCCACUCAUACCACACUUUCUCAGUGGUGUACUCAUUCACCAAAUCACAUGUGUUUCUUGGGCGUCGUUUUCGCCAAUGACAUACCGAUCACCGACACCGUGCGUUCUUUAAGGCGCCGUUUUCACCAGUGAUAACCUUGAUCACCGAACCACGUGUCUCUCAAGGGCGCCGUUUUCACCAGUGAUAUUCCCAUAAUCACCGAACCACGUGUCUAUAAGUCAUUUACGUGCGUUCUUUAAGGCGCCGUUUUCGCCAGUGAUACUUCUAAUCAACGUACUGGCGCUAUAUACCCAUGCUUGGCCAUUACCAAUCAAAUAUUCAAUAACAAACAAUUUAGGACACUUCCUAAAAUUCCACAAUAAAUUCAAUUCCACACAACGUAGAACUCAAAUAAAUAAACGGUCUGCACCACAACAAUCGGCACGAAAUUCCGGUCACCGGCCAUCCCGGUUGAAUUUCCGGAAAAAUAAUUAAUUAAAUAAAUAAAUUUCGAAAAUAAAUAAAUAAACAUUAAAAAUCCAAUUUAGANNNNNNNNNNNNNNNNNNNNNNNNNNNNNNNNNNNNNNNNNNNNNNNNNNNNNNNNNNNNNNNNNNNNNNNNNNNNNNNNNNNNNNNNNNNNNNNNNNNNNNNNNNNNNNNNNNNNNNNNNNNNNNNNNNNNNNNNNNNNNNNNNNNNNNNNNNNNNNNNNNNNNNNNNNNNNNNNNNNNNNNNNNNNNNNNNNNNNNNNNNNNNNNNNNNNNNNNNNNNNNNNNNNNNNNNNNNNNNNNNNNNCGGAGACCGAAUCACCGCAACGGCGACGCGACGGCGGCCGAAAUCGGACUUUCGACGACACCGGCGUACUUGGACCGGGCCUUGGACUUGGCCCCAACAAAUCUCAGCCCAACUGAGAUUUGUUUCUUGCUUUUGGGCCAGACCCAAGUUGAAUUGGGCCUGCUGCGAAGAUGGGCUUCAAGCUAUGGGCUGAGCUGCAAUUGAUUUGCUGAAAAUUGGGCUUGGCCAAUUAACUCACAUGGGCUGGACUGGGCUUGAACUUGGGCCAAACUGAUGCCGAUCACUUGGGCUAGAAUAAAACUAAACUGGGCUGUCUUUGUUGGGCCCAAAAGAAAUUCACUGAGCUUGGAGACUGCUGGACUUGCGGUUGAACUCACGAAGGAGUUGGGCUUCGCUGGCCUCGCUAGCUUCGUUGGACGCUGCUCCGUUAGCAAAUCAAAGGGGCGGGUUGUUGGAGUUGACCGGUUGAUGCUGCCUUCGGUGAAUUGAUUUGAAGGCACGAAGGAAGACCGAAGAUGGGUGGUCUUCGCUAGGGUCUUCAAGUCGUUGAAGUCCUCGGACGUGCGGCUUCUUCAGUCAACGGCGGGGCUUCUUCUGAUUUCGCUGUUGACCGAGCGUGCUGGCUGAAGACAUGAAGCGGUGGAGAUGACUUCCGCAGCUACUGGACGCAUGGAGGGGGUCUUCAAGCGGUCAACCAAGAGCUUCAAUUGAAGCUGUUGUUGACCGAACCAGGCGUACACACUGCCAAGUGGCAGCAAGCUCGGCAGAAUGGAGCGGGCGUCGUUGCUUGCGGAGAAGGCCGUUCGGUGUCACAGAGACAAACGAAAGUGGGCUUUGCUGGCAGGGAGAUUUCGGUGUAUUGCGGCUUCGCAUGGGGCAGCUUCAGUAAGUCUUCACGCUGCUGGAGAAGACACGAAGCUCUGCACGCGAUUAACGAUCUUGUUGCUGCUGUUGUCUCGGUCCUCAAGCGGCAGUAGUUCUCGGCAGAAUGGAGAUUGUCGCACAAAGAAAUGAGAAGGGAGGGAGAGAGGUAGUUCACGGCAGCAAGAUGGAGAGGAUGAGGAAGAGUUGGGCUCCACUUGGUUGGAUAUUUCACAAAAUAUCUUCCAAAAUCAAUCUUGGCCAUGUAAGAAUACUUGGCCUUCAAUAGGCCAUCAAAACACUCUCUUCUAGAAGACCAAGUGGUCCAAAGGUUGUGGCUAGGUGGGGGUACACGAAUUUGGGAGAGAUGGCUUAACUUGCACAACCAUUCUCUCCAAAUUGAGGUCCAAUUUUGAUGUAGAAAAAUCCCAAAUGAUUUUCUAUAAUUCCCCGACACACAAUGGCUCAACCCGAAAGUCAAAUUUCCCAUUAAUUUAGCCAAUCCGAACUUCGGCCAAACUUCCACGACGUCCGAACCCAAUUUCCGUAAAAAUCUCGGGACCUCCGAAAAAUCUUCUGAGACCGAGUUGACGUUCCUAAAAUAGCUUGUGACAUCACUGAACUUUCGAUUUCUGAAAUCUGACUCAAAUCGACGGUUAAUUUCACUCCGGCGUGCUUUUAGUGUGACCUAGACUACUGGGUAGUUUUCAGAACUUUUUAGGGCAAUUGACUCGUGGUCGAUUUUCUUCGAGCCACAAUGAACCCACUCGACACAUUGGCGACUCUCAAUUGUCGUGAAAAUCUCGAGGGCUCGAUUACCAACACAGGGUACCAAAACGACAGAAAAUCAAAUUAGUGCCAGUCGACGAGAAUUUUCCAAUUUAGUGGAGUCACCCACGAUCGGCCACACAUCUCAGUCGAACCGACCUAUCUCUGAUCUCAAUUCGAUCUUUAACUGUGCAGUAAUGACCUCUAAAGAUGAACACGGUCGAGAAGCCGCUUCCUGGUCGAAUUCUCAAGUCUAUUGCCUUAAUAUUCUUUAAUGGCAUACCCAGCUAGUCCAGUUAUCUCGAGAGUGAUCAGCUCUGAGAACAACCCUAUAGACACGUCAAUGAAAUGCCCGAUUAAUUUAAUAGAAAACAAUACUAAAAAUUCUGGAUGUCACAAUACAUUCACCGAUCACCUCUAUCACCGUCUGAUCAAGGCAGGGACUGUACCGUUUUGCGUGUUUAGGGACGAGAACAACAUCCAAAUUGGUGAGGAAUUUGGUUCAAAGAUUCUCGAUGCCAUCGCACAGUCUAAGAUUUCGAUUCCCAUCAUCUCCGAAAAUUAUGCUUCGAGCAAGUGGUGCCUCCACGAGCUCGUUCAUAUCAUGGACCGUAAGAAGAGUGCGUCACACAUAGUGUUGCCUAUAUUUUACAAAGUUGCCCCAUCGGAUGUACGGCAUCUAAAAGGAAAUUUUGGAAAUGCCUUCCACUCGAGUCAAGAGCGUUUUGAUGAGAAGGAGAUCGCGAAAGGGCAACAAGCACUAAAUGAAGUUAGUCAAUUAAAUGGAUGGGAAUCUCAAAAAAUUGCGAACGGGUAUUUUACUGAACUUUCCUUUUUUGAUAAGUAAGUUUUCUUCUUUUGGUAGAAUCGAGGAAAUGCAAAUGAAUUACUUUUACUACAAGCUCAGAAAAGAUCCCCAAUGACAACAAACACCAGCACUCCCCAAGAUGUCCCUGAAAACUAAACCAAUGACAACUGAAACCAAAGCAUCCUAUAGUGCCCAAGAAUUUAAAUUUUCCUCUGGAAUAGAGCAAAAAAAAAAAAAAAAGAAACGACAAUAUCUCCAGCCAAUGGUAUCAAUCACUAAACAAUAGGCCUCCAAAUGACUCCAAUGCUCGAUCUUCAAAGCUNNNNNNNNNNNNNNNNNNNNNNNNNNNNNNNNNNNNNNNNNNNNNNNNNNNNNNNNNNNNNNNNNNNNNNNNNNNNNNNNNNNNNNNNNNNNNNNNNNNNCUCUCAUUGUUUUUGUGUUUGACAGCCACGAGGGAAAUUAAUAGUAACGUGUGUUGAAACUGUUUUAAGCAAGUUACAGGAAGAUUUCAACUUGAUGUGCCAGAGCAACUAGUUGGACUUGAUCAUCGUACGAAGGAAAUUAUGAAUUGGAUCGACAAUUCUUCCAUCAAUGCUCGAAUGAUUGGAAUUUACGGCAUGGGUGGGAUAGGCAAGACAACUCUUGCCAAGUGCAUCUACAAUCAACUCUCAAAUAAAUUUUCGCAUGUCAGCUUCCUUCCAGAUGUUCGAGAAACUUCCAGGCGCCACGGUGUUACAUAUUUACAGAGUCAACUUGUAUCGGAUUUACUAAAUGAAAAAACCAAAGUUUCUAGAAUUGAUGAUGGAAUUAAUAUAAUCAAAUCUAGAUUCAGACAAAAAGAGGUUCUCAUUCUUUUGGAUGAUAUAGACGACAAGAAUCAACUAGAUGCAUUGGUUAGGAAACAUAAUUGGUUUAUGGCAGGAAGUUUGAUCAUUGUUACCACUAGAAACAAAGCUGUUCUUGAUCAAUCUGAAUUUGAGGUAGACUACAAGUAUGAAUUGAAUGAAUUGGAUAAGGUGCAAGCUUUGCUUUUGUUUAAUAGACAUGCAUUUCGUAAGGACCAUUGUCCGGGGGACUUUGAUGGCAUAUCUCGUGAUAUCAUAUCCACCAUGGGUGGGCUUCCCUUGGCACUUCAGGUUGUAGGUUCAUACUUGUAUAGGAAAGAUCGAAAAGUAUGGGAAGAUGUGCAGAAAAAAGUAAAAAACCAACCAGAUAGAAAUGUCCAAAAGAUAUUACAAAUAAGUUAUGAUGCAUUAGAAGAAGGACAUAAGCAGAUUUUUCUCGAUAUCGUUUGUUUCUUAAUUGGCAUAGAUUACGAUGACGAAGCUGCACGACUCGCCAUGUACAUGUGGGAGGACUGUGGGUUUUAUCCAAGUCAAGGAAUUGAAGAGUUGAAGUUGAGAUGCUUAAUUAAAAUUGGAGAUUAUGGUGAGUUCAAGGUGCAUGAUCAACUGAGAGAUCUUGGAAGGAGCAUUUUUUGCGAAGGACAACCGCUUGAGAAACGUAGUGGACCAUGGGAUGAUGACUAUGAGGGAGUCCCAAGUGUACUAAGACAUCUAGAGGUAAAAUAUGGCACUCUUUUCUUUUUCUCUCCCUCUUAUUUUAAUCAAUUUAAUAUGAUCUAUUCUAAUAUUUCAUUGAGCGGGAAAUAAUGCUCUUACUUUCUAGGAAAAAAAAUAUAUUUAAACAUCCAUUUAUGUCCAUCGUACAUUAACCGUGACACUAAAUAAAUCGCAAGUAUCUCAGGGAUGAAAAAGUAAUAUCAUUGAUUCAAUUUCAUUGUUAUGCAUUACAUAUGAAAAAAUUUAAUUGACAAUCAAUUUAAGAUCCUUUAACUACAAUUUUAGACUAUAAAUCUCAUUUACUUAAAGCAUGCAAUUGUCAUAUCUAUUUGAAAAUAUUGAUAAUUAGAAGGACUAUAAUUAUGAAUGAAGAUGAAGUAUAAACAUUAAGAUCAAAUAAGUGAAGAUUUCCUGGUUAAAAAAGAAAGGAUAGUAUAAUAACCAAUAAUUAAUUCAAAACUAAGAUUGGAAAAAAAUUUCACGUGUAUCACAUAUGUUUGCUUUCUAUUAUGGCCAAAUGUAUUGUGGUGCUCUUGUGAUUUAGGAAUCGAAUGUUUGAUAUUUUUUUCUCCAUUUUGAUUUGGAAGAUACCGUCCCAGAUCUAUCUGUUUUCAUUCUUAUUUCCUCUUAAUAGAUAGCAAAAAUCUCCUUAAAAAUAUAUACAAGAAAAUCUUACUGUUUUUUAAGGAUCUAUCGCAUUGGCCUUGCUCAUUUCAUGGAUUAGGUAAGGUCUAGGUGUAUAAGAAAGAGUGGAUUUCCUUAUAACAGACAUUUCUAUCCUCUAUAAGUUGUUUAAUAUUAUUUAUAUUUUUUAGGACAAUGCCUCUUUUGUGCGAGAAUUCGCUGGACUAACUUGACUAUUUUAAAUUAAAAAAAGAAAAAUUGAUUAAUCGGAGGAAAUGUCAUGCUUAUUAUUAUAUCCAUAACCUUGUAUUCAUCAUGUAUGAUUUUCAGCAUGAAGCCAAUUUUCUCAAAUAUGUUUUAUCUUUUACUUAAAUUAUCAAUGUUCAUGUCAUUUUAUUAUAUAUUGUCCAUCUGAAAAGCUUCACAGGCUCAUGGCUGAUCAAUGGCAAUGAAUUAACCCUAGAAAUUGACCAAGAGAUGUUGGGCAAACAAAGCAGCUUUAUAUUCUUGAUAUAAUUUGAAAUAGUUCGUUCCUAUGAUUUAAUAUCAGUCUCUUUUGUUGAUCCAAUAACUUCUUAACAUUAGCAAAAAGAGCACACCAUUUAGGUGUUUGAAAAAAUGAAAAAGAAGAGUCAAUUCUGUUUUGAAUGGAUAAAAAUGCUGAAAGAUGAUAAAUAGCGUCGAAAAAAAUGAAAUUAUUGUACAAUUCGAGAGAUUUUGAUUUAACUUUGGAAAUUGAAAUACUUAUGGGACUAAUUUCCAAUUGACUACUUCAAAUAUGAUUAUUUCUAUUUUGUUAUAUCUUAUUUCUUUAGUUCAUUUUGGUGAAAUAUAUGCGAAUUGUGUGGAAACUUUUGACGAAAGUUUGAGGUUUGAAAUCCCAUUUCCAUACAAUAGAUUUUUUUAAUGUAAUACAUAGUAUAGAUUGAUGUACGAGUGAAAAUUAUUAAAGAUAGUGUGGGAUGGUGAUUACAACAAUUUAGCGACUUUCAGACGAAUAGACUUAAGAGAAUUUAUACCCAUUGCAUUUCACUCGUUAAUAUUUAAAGCGGAUAUAACGACACACGUGUCUAACCAUAAAUGUGAAUUUCUAACCAAUUAAACUUUUGGGGGAAAAUAUAGGCAUUAUUAUAAAGUCAAAUAAAGCCAUAAGGAAAUUUCUUUCACCGUCUGCAACUAAUUAAAUGAUCUGUUUUAGUAGGAAAGUUAAACAGUAUGUUUUUUGAUUUAUAAGAUGGAAAAAGAAACGAUGCUAUUCUUAUGGAAACCAACGUAUGAUGAUUAAACAAUGUUACCACGACACUUUUUAGUUAAUCGGUUCAUUUUCUAGUUAUUCUGAAAGCGACUUAUUUUUUUCAAUCCUGGUCAAAACUACUAACCAAUGUCGCCACGUCACUUUUUAAACAAACUUUACCCAAAAAAAAAAAAAAUCAUUUCGAUUGUCAAAGAAAUGAGUAAACAUUCCGCGCAAAUAGUUAAUGACGUUAAAGAUAUUUAGAUACCUUCUAGAGAUAAUGAUAUGUCUUUUUAAUUUUCUAUAUCUAUUUUGAUAAUGCAUAUCAUAUUUGAUUUCUUUUGAUUUCCCUCCACGUAAACUUUUCUAUAUAUCUGAAUAUAUUAAAAAUUCCCCUCUUUUUUUUCUCUUCCACAUUAUUACAUUUAACUAAUGAAAUGAAAAUAGGGUGAUUCCUUAGCUACUUACAGGUGGCCCGUCGACACUCUUUAACAAAUUCUUUUAAAAAUUAUAAGUCAUUUAAAAAUUUACAAAUAAACAUUUAUACGUUGUAAACUAGUUUGAUGUAUUUCUUCUUAAAUGAAAGUGAAAAUCCAUGCGCUACAAAAUUUUGAAAAAGAAGAAGAAACAAGAGAUAAAACAUUGAGGUGCAUUUGCUUCAGUUGUUUUAAAGCAAUAAUUAUUUUUUUCUUUAUCUUUGCGUCAUUUGUUUAACUUUCAAAAGGUCGUAAAAGAAGAAGAAAUAAAUGUGAGUUUACAUAUCCAUACAUGUACAGGGGAAGGAUAAAAAGGUAAUCGUGCAAAUUCAAGAUUUAAAAAAAGCAAAAACUAAAAAGUGAAAAAACUUGCAGAGACGCCCCUGGUUCCACGGCUUUUUGGGGGCAGCUUCUAGCGGAGAUUUCAAGUUUUCUGAAGUGAGAUGGCGUGAGUGGGACGUUCGUGGAAACGAUGCGUCUCUUUCGACGAUCAACUUUCAUUUGCCAAAAUUAUCGGUGCUGAGCUUAUGGGAGGAUUGGGAAGGAAUCGCAAAGGAUUGGAGAAUCACAGAGAAUUGGGAAGAAUGGAAUUCAUUAAUGGUAAGAUUGGGAAAAGAAUACAUCCUCUCUGCGAUCUUGAGGUUUGUUUUUUUGUUUAGCCAAUCAACUCCUCAUUUGACGGAUUAUUCCCCUUUUGUAUUAGGCGUCAAAGCAGCUUAAAGUUCUCCGCGUUAAAUGGUGUAAUAAUUUAAGAUGUACUCCUGAUCUCUCAGCUUUUACGCGGUUGAAAAUUCUCGUAUUGAGCGAUUGUGAUGGAUUGGAGCAUCUCUACCCUUCUAUUGGCGAGCUCACAAGCCUCGUUACCUUGGACUUGCGUUUCUGUAGAGGUCUCAAGGAGCUACCAGAGGAGGUGGGUGGAUUAAAAGAUUUAGAAGAACUUCUUUUAGAUGAAUCUCGUAUUACAGCAAUUCCUUCGUCUAUUGGUUCUUUGAGGAAAUUGAAGACACUGAGUGCCGAGUGGUGUAAGUCACUGAGAGAAAUCCCCAGCUCAAUUGGGGAUUUACGGAAUUUGCAACAUCUUAACUUGGGAAGUACUGCGAUCGAAAAGCUUCCCAGUGCUAUUGGAGGGUUGAAAAAUCUGCAGAUUCUAAAUCUCAGCUGGUGCAUAAGUUUGAAAGGGGCAAUUCCAAGUGAAAUCGGUGACUUGCCUUCCCUCGAGACUAUCUAUCUCAAUCUCACACUGAUAUCUGACCUGCCAGAAAGUGUUCGGAAUCUGUCUUCUCUCCAAAGCCUUUACCUAGAGGAUUGUAAGGAGCUCUGGUCGCUGCCAGAGCUUCCUUCUUCUCUCCAACGCCUUGAACUAUUGGGCUGUGAGAAGCUCCAGUCACUACCAAAGCUUCCUUCGAGCUUAACAUCGCUGCGGGUCACUUGUCAGAGUCUUGGACUGCCUCAGCUUUUUGGCCUCAUCCACCUAGAAGAACUCCAACUUGAGGUGCGCCAUUUACUUGAAGACAUCCGCGAGCUUUCCUCAAUAACACUGAAACUCUGUUUUGAGGAGUGGGAUAAGCUGACAUCACUUAAGCUCGUAUGGCUCACGCACUUGGAAGAGCUUUCAAUAAAAAAAGUGCAAUUCCAUUAAAACAUUGAGCUUUUCAGGAUUGAUUCAUCUGAAACGAUUACACAUCGAGCAUUGCUAUAGCCUAUCUAGAAUUCAGAAUUUUGAUAGUUUCAAGUCCUCGGAGGUCAUGUUUUUAUAUGACGACAUUUCCAUUAAAAGGCCAUUCCAUCCAAAAUCAGAGUGUUUGAAGAAAUUAGUGGCUGUUGGGUGCGACAAUCUAGUCAGAAUUGAAGGUCUUGACAGUGCGAAGUUCUUAGAAGAGUUGGACUUUACAGGAUGCAAAUCAAUGGGGACUUUGCCAGAUUUGACAGGAUGUGAGAAGUUACAAUCUCUAAGAGUUAAAGACUGCAAGAAACUUACUAAGCUUAAGGUACUUGAAAAGUUGAAUUUAAUUGAUUUGGAUAUUUCUGGUUGUGACUCAUUGGUAGAGCUUUCAAUAAAAAAGUGCAAUUCCAUUAAAAGAUUGGAGCUUUCACAAUUGUUUCGUCUGAAACAAUUACGCGUUGAGCAUUGCGAUAGCCUAAUUGGAAAAUGGGGCUAUGAUGAAUUGGAGUCCUUGGAGGUCAUAUUUUUAUAUGACUGCAAUUCCAUUAAAAGGCUUUUCCAUCCAAAAUCACGGUGUUUGAAGAAAUUAGUGGCUGUUGGGUGCGACAAUCUAGUCGAAAUUGAAGGUCUUGACAGUGCGGAGUUCUUAGAAGACUUGGAUUUUACAGGAUGCAAAUCAAUGGAGACUUUGCCAAAUUUAACAGGAUGUGAGAAAUUACAAUCUCUAAGAGUUCGAGACUGCAAGAAACUUACUAAGCUUCAGGGACUUGAAAAGUUGAAUUUAAUUGGUUUGGAUAUUUCUGGUUGUGACUCAUUGGAAGCAAUACCUAACUUAUCUGGAACGCGCAUCUUUAGAAAUUAUGAACUAACUCCUCUGUUUUUACCGAACUUAUCUGGAACUCGCAUCUUUAGAAAUUAUGAACAAGAUCUGUCUUUUGAUUGAUGGAGUGAUGUUUCCUGAAUAGAGGUAAAUAAGCAAUGAACAAUCAUUUUUCGUUUGAAAUUCAUGACCUACUUUUCAUCACUAUCUUCUUUUGACAAGAAGGUUUUCUGCGAUGGGGUUCUGUACUUUCCUAAAUUGCUAUUCUUACAUAAUUGAAGGAGUGGGGCAGUUGGUCGUAGAAGCUGACAUGAUGCUUUAGCCAAGAUCAAAAUGCAGACCCUGAUGUCAAUAGAAGGCAUAGUAAGAUACUCCAUCCUUGAAUGGCCAGCGUGAACAAAUAGUGAUACUUUUCUCGAAGUUGUAUUUUUUUAGAAUGAUAUGCUUCACACUAGAUAUCUAUUUGAUUGUUUUUGGAAACUCUGGAUUUGCCUUUGUAUAAUUGUUGUUGAUUACAUUAUAGUAAUGUUUUUCAUUUAUCCUUCCAUUGGCAGCUUCUGUAGACUGCAAACAGAUAGCAGCUUGCAAGGGAAGAAUAUAAAUACCAACAAAGAUAAACAGGAAUUAUCUAGUAAUUAACAUUUCCCUUAUCGAAAAACUCAGGAUUUGAAAUUUUCAUCUAGAGGCCAAUGAACUUCUGCUACUCAUUAUUGUAUUAUUGUAUACUAAACUCGAAAUUUCCCAGUGUCCAAAGUUUAUAUUUUCUUUUCAAAAUCCUUGGCCAUUUUGAGUUCCUUUAGUUCUUUUGUAUGUCAAAUUUGACUAAUGGCAGAUGUCCUGUUUAGGACGAACGCCUUCUGAUUUUCUGUGAUGAACGAAAACCCUGUCAAGUUUCUUAUUGCUCCCUUGAUGGCCCUCAUUAACCCUCUAAGAAGAGCAUCACUUCCCAGUAUAUAUGAUGAACUGAGCUAAAAUAAAAUUCAAGGUUCAAGUGUUUCUGUUUGGUGACAAAGAAAAUGUUAAAAGUAGUUUUGGCUAGUUUGUCAUGUAUGAAUGUUGACCACCUUAACAUUACCAGUAGGCAAACUAUUGUUUUGAAAGAUUAUUAAGCAAGGCAAAUUGGUGCUGCUUCUAUGACAGGUUUGGUUGGUCUAUGUAAUGAUCAAGGCUUACUUUGGGACUUCAAUUCAAUCAACUGUAUCGAUGGCCUUUUGCAUUAAAGGACAAUUUUUUUCCUAUCUGUGAAACAGCUGGGACGAGGAGCUCAAGAAUUUUAUCAUCUGAUUUAGGGGUGGCUAACUUGGCUGAGGAACUUCAAAUUCCAUACUUGAGACCGAUCAAAAUAAAGAAAAGGGAUUUUGUAGAGGAAACAUCAGUAACAGCUGAGGACCAUCUUGCAUGCCAAACUUAAAGACUAUUUGGGGCUGGCUGGAGUGUCCCAAGGAAGUUUUGAUGCUUCUGCAUAUUCAAAUACUUGAUCUGAUCUCAACAUCACAUCCCUAAAUAAUUGUAAAUGUAUUUUUUUCAAUUAAAUAUGCUUUCUGUAUGCUCAUUAGGUUCUAGCUCUCCUUUAAUCAAAUAUUAAGUUACUGAUUUUUUGUAUGUUACCCUGAUGCACAGUUGUUCAACGUGGUUGCAUUCUAAUUAUCACUUCGGAAUUGAUGAGGCUCUGCAGAGGGAGGUAUGCACCGCUAGGCUCCUCCAUUUCUAUUAGUUUAUUUGUGUGACAAUAUCCUUUGAAUGUUGUAAUAUAGGUUUCUGAUUUGAUAAGCUCAGUUCUGAAGUAUGUGGCAUUGGAUCUGUAAAGUUGAAAUUGACCUCCUCGCAAACUAUUUGCAUUGUUGAUUUUGCUAAUUGGAACUUGCAAAAUAACCCAGUAGCAAAUGCAUCUUUCUGUUCAGUAGUUUAGGCACUUCACCUUUUCAGCAUAAUUUUUUUAGCUUCAAUUCUGUUCCUAAAUACAAACAGGGAAAGUGUUGCUAAAUGUUUACUUCUUUUAAGUCUGUUGGUUUCUUUGUCAUCGGCCAACUAAUGAAGUCUCUCUUCGUUGUGGUCCAACUCCGAUUGGUUCAAUGUUUACACAUUUUUACCUUAUCCGUUGUGGGGUAAAUUCUGAUGCUAUGAUCUUGGAUAUCUUCAUUUAAUUAUAAUUAGUUGGUGCUAUCCUCCUUAUGCAGAUGAAAGCUACAUUUGAUGAAACUCAGAGAAACUCCCCAAACACCGCGGGUUGGAGGUAUGGGCAAGAAUGAGCUAUGUCAGUAUGGAAAGGCAUUCCAAAGUUAUUUGCAAUUGGCAUUUAUCGUUUGCUCCAUGUUGUUGAUACUCUUCGAAGGAUUCUUGAUAAAGGCGACCUCUUCUCAUGUGGUGUGUUAGUCCUUUGCAAGCUUCGAAAUCAUGUUAUUCUUUAACCAAGGCCCCAUCACUAAUUGCUUGGAGGAAGACCGCAUGUGCAAGUGGUUCUAUAUGUGAAGUCAAGCAAAAAAUGAGAUUUGUUAACAAGAGUACCAUUUAGAUGUCCACUUCAAGCUGCAAUUUUGUGACUGGGAGAGGCUUUUUUCUUGAAAAAGCAAAUGCCGUGGAAUCAGCAAAUAAUCUGUCAAUUUCAGCCAAGAGUUUCAAAGAAAAGGUUUUCAAGAAGACAGUAGUUUCUCAUUUGGAAGAAUUUAGAACACAAAUACAGGCAUUCAUUAGUGUAAAAUGAUCUCUCUAGGCUGGUUAUGUUGGAAAAUUCAUAUGUAGGCAUUUUGCAAUCGCUUUGGUUGUAUUGAUUUAUUUAAGCAUGAAUCUAAAAGCAGAAAAGACACAGCCAUGUACAUUUUCAUACCUAAAACCAAGUAGAGAGACCAGUUCAUUCUUGAAGAGCAGCAUUACCUUUCCCCUUCCAGAUUCGCUCAAGUGGAUGCAUGGAGCUCGCACCGCUUGGCAAAUUCUCCAUCAAGUUCUGGGUUCUGGAGUGGGGUAUUGAGUUGUUUUUAUGCAAAUUCUCAAUCAAAGGUUUGUCUGAGUCUCUAGUGUGGAUGGAGUUUAUAUAGGGUCUUUUUCUUGAACAAGAAUCGGUGUAUUUUUGGUUGGUGAUUAAGAAAUGUUGAAGUAGUUUUGGCUAGUCUGUCAUAUAUGAAUGUAUGCCUUUCUUAAAAUUACCAGGAGUCAAAAUGUUGUCUUGAAAUAUUAUCAAGCAAGGUAAACUAGUGUUGCUUCUAUUACAGGUUUGGUUGGUCUAUGUAAUGAUCAAGGCUUAAUUUGGGACUUAAAUUCAAUCAGCUGUAUUGAUGACCUUUUGCAUAACUAGACUAUUUUUUGCCCAUCUGUGAAACAAGCUGGGGCGAGGAGCUCAAGAAUUUGCUGAUUAGUUUACAUCCCAUUUGAUCAUAUUGUUGUCAUGGAAUUAUUUUAUCACAUGACUGAAUUGGGUGUGGCUCACUUGGCUGAGGAACUUCAAAUUCCAUACCUGAGACCAAUUUUGCAGAGAAAGCAUCAGCAACAGCUGAGGUGCCAAACUUGAAGAGGCUCAUGGGCCAAGCAGAAUAUUCUGAGGAAGUUUUGAUACAUGUGAAGAUCCAAAGCACUUGAUCUAGUCUCAACAGCAUGUACCUGAAUGAUGGUAAACGUAGUUUUUAAAAUUGAGUCUGUUGUUUGUAUGCUUGUUAGGUUCUAUCUCUUUGUUAAUCAAAAUGAGUAGCUGGUGAUUUUUGUGUAUGUUAUCCUGAUGCAGAGUUGUUUGGUGUGGUUGCAUUCUGGGGACAUCACUGUUGAACUUGAUGAGGCUAUGCACAGGUAGGUAUGCACUAAGCUCCUCAAUUUCUAUCAGUUUAUCCUUUGAAUGUUGUCAUAUAAGUUUCUAAUUUGAUAAGCUCAGUUCUCAUGUUUGCAGUAUUGAAUUAGUGAAGUCGAAAUUGACCUCCUCGCAGUCUAUCCAGAGUUGCUGAUUGGAUAUUGCCAAUGAUCAAGUAACCAGUACGUCUUUCUGUUCUGUAGUUUAGGCAUUUCACAUUUUCAGAAUAAUUUUAUUAACAUUAAUUUUGUUCCUAAACACAAACGGGGAAAGUGUUGCUGCUAAUUGUUUACUUCUUUUAAGCCUAUUUUUUUUUUCUUUUUCAUCUGCUAGCUAAUGAAGUCUCUGUUCACUGUGGUUCAACAAUGAUUGGUGUAAAUGAUGUUUUCGCAUUUGUACCUUAUCUUUCAAGGGGUAAAUUGUGAUGUUGCAAUCUCGCAUUUCUUUAUUUAUUGAUAAUGAGUCAAUCCUAUGCUCAUCGUGUAGAUUCAAGCUGCAUUUCAUGGAACUUGGAGAAAGUCCCCAAACACCACACGAUGGAUAUGCGGGCAGGAAUGAGCUAUGUCAUUAUGAAAAUGUAUUCUGAACCUAGUGGCGUUUAUCAUGUGCUCCUGUUGUCAAUACUCUUCAAAGGAUUCUGGAUAUGAAGCAGCCUUCAUGUGGGUUAUUUGUCCUUUGCAAGCACAAAUCACUUGCAGGAAGACCACACGUGCAGGUGGUUUUAUUUGUGCAAGUUAAGCAUAAAAUGAGAUUUGUCAAGGAGAUGACCAGUUAGAUGUCCACUUCAGGCUACAAUUUUGCAACUAGAAAAAUCGAAUGCCAUGGAAUCAGCAAAAAAUCUGUCAAUUGCAGCCAAGAGUUUCAGCAAAAAGGUUUGCAAGAAGACAGUAGUUUCUCAUUUGGUUGAAUUUUGAACACAGAAGAAAGGUGUUCGGUAGUGUAAAAUCAUCUCUCUAGUCUGGUGUUACCUCAGAAAAUUCAUGUCCGCAUUUUGCAAUCACUUUUAUUGUAUAAUCUCAAACUUGAUUUAUUUAAGCAUGAAUCUAAAAGCUGAAGAGACCCAACCGUAUAUAUUCUCACACCUGAAACCUAUUUCUCUCUUGCAUUGGCUGCAGUUGAAUACUAAUAACAAAACGGGGACAAAAUUUUUGGAAGGGUAAAAAGAGCCCUUCCCUAAAUUUUAUCAUUUUCAUUGAACAAAAAACUUCUAAGGGUCAUCUAAUUGGUUUAUAAUGAGAUGAUACUCCACCAAAUGGUGGUCACCGUUUCACACAUUCAAGUGUCAAUCGAAGCAAUUUCUUUGAGGCCACUCUCUAAUAUUCCUGUACCCUGUACUAGAUUACAAUGGUGGAAUGUUAGUAGUUGAAACCUACUUGCAAGGUAUUAUCGGUUUGAUGUGCUUGUCCCCUUGAACUUUGACUCAAUUUUUCCAGAGCUCAAAACAAGGCCAAGUAGCUUGUUAAGCCACAUUUGAAUCUAUAAGUACUAACACAAAUGUAAUGCAGGUCGUGUUGAAAAACUUGUUAAAUGUAGUUAACAUGAGAUAAUUUAAUUUCAGAAUAUUGGUCAAACAUUACACGAGAAAAGUCGCAAGUAAAGUCAAUGUAUAAGCUCUACACUUUAUUUACUUAGCUGCUUAGUCAGUGUCUAGGUAAUUAAUCCAAAGGGCAGUAGCUUUGUGUUUGACUACUUAUGAAACAUCAUUCACAGCCCUGUCAGCCGAAUUGAUUUGAAGUUGGAACGCAUGGUAGACCGGAUAAUUGGAUGAACAUUCUGAACCAAUUGAACCGAUGUGGUUUUGUUAACAAUUUGCUUCGAGCUUGUUUUUGAAAGUUCUAUCACAUUUUACAACAAGAUCUUAUGAAUAACAGCCGUUCAAACAAUAACUAUGUAAGUUCCCAAAGGACAAGAGAAGAUUCGGUUCAGGCUCUUUGAUUUCCUCAUAUUUGUAACUCCAAGCUCGACAGGAUGGUAGUUGAAAUAUGAAAACUGUCCUCAAAUCAGAAUGGAAGUAUAGAAGGCCUUUCAGCUUAUUUAACACCUGCUAGCUGCAUGUUAGAAUGUAUAGCUUUGGUAGUUUGCCAUAUGAUGAAUCAUAUAAUGCAGAGGAAUUGAAAUAGACAAAUUGAGGAAUUACAAGGUCAAUGAACCCCAAAACGGGGACUUAAAACAACAUUUGGCCAAAAAUAGAAGUUCUAAACAACGAAAUCGACCACAAAAGUAGAUGUAAACGUCAAAUCCUACAAAUGAAAGUAGUCAUCUUACUUUGCAAUCAGCAUCAUGUCGUUGAGAAGAGAAAUUAGCAGGUCAGACAAUUAUUACUUUGCACGAGAAUGCAUGCAUGCAUGCAUGAAGAAUCAUGGUGCUAAAUAAAUCAGAAGGUAAGGAAAUUCGGGAAAAAAAAAACUUUUGGCAAAUAUAAAUAUAUGUGAAUAUCACAGACGAGUGGUCUCAUCUUCCUAUGUUUCGAAUGCUGGAGACCAAUGAAUGAAACAAGGCUUCGAACAAACAUUAUACUGGAAAAAUCGAACAUUAUGGCACUCUUCUGAAUACUUAAUUACCAUUAAAUACAUAGUAAGAUGAUUAGCCAAUAAACAAAGCAAACCUCUUUGUUUCCUCCUUACUGAUUUCAUCAUUUUCUCUCUUGAUGAUGAUGAGCAUGAUAUUCCGUAAUUUCUACAUAUUAAAAAUCGACACAUAAAGCUUGAGCAUUUGCGUAUCAACCACCGGAACCCUUGUUUGAAAGAAGCCUUGAACUUUCCCUCGACCAAAUAAAGCUUGUAUCUGGCCACACUCCUCUUCUCUGCUUCUCCGGGUCAUUCCACCACAUUUAUCGACUUCUAAAACAUAAGAAAUAGGCAAAGACCAAAGUCCAUUUCGACUUACAACAUCAGGUUUGUCUAUUCCCAUCCCAAAGGCAAUGGUGGCACACACAAUCUGGACCUCUCCAGUAUGCCAUUUCUUUUUAACAGUGACGAGCUACUAAUCCAGCAUGAUAGUACACCAUUUUUAUAUGGCACUUCUCAUUUAAGUAUUUUGUGACAUUAACACAUUCACUCUUCCAAAAGCAAUAUACUAUGCCACAAAAAUUAGCAAAACAAAUUUUUAGCAACCCUUCAAGCUGCUUCAGUGGUUCCUAGGUCUUAGCUAAUACCUCGUAUUUUAGAUCUAGUCUGUCAAACCUUGGGUCCCCAAGCUUUGACAGACUAGAUCUAAUGUAUGAGAACAUGGGGAACCCCAAGACCUUUUAGGAUAUCCUAUGAUGGAUGUUUAAUUCAAUAAGAAUAAACAGAUUAUUUCAACAUAAUCGGGAGGUUAAUAUGUGAGUCUAGUACUCACGAACUGAUUGAGUGGCAGUUGCAGUUAAGGCCAUCACUGGGACAUACAGAAAGUUCUGCUUGAGACAUCCCAGUCCCCUAUAAUCUAGCUGAAAAUCAGGUCCCCCUUGACUAAAAAUGACAACCACAAAAGUGACAAUCAAUGAGCUUUACUCAUUUCAUGAGAUCAAAUUGGCAAAGCAAAUCCAGUUAAGACCUUGUAAGAAACACAAUCAAUGAUCACAUGGUUGAACCUUUGCCUUUCUCAAGUUGUUACCAUAAAGUAUAAGCAUUAAUAUAAUAAACAGGGACACAAGAACCAGCUUAAGAGACUAAGUAUCAUGCCAAACAUAGAUAGGAGAUUGGAUCCUUAUCCAAGCUUAUGCCGAUUCCAAUUACUCUGAGAAGUAAUUUCCAUUGGAGCCUAUUUAAGUUGUGCACUCUUUACUCAAUAUAAUGAAAGAUGGGCCACUAAGUGUUCCCAAACAAUGGAACCUAAAUCUUUUCAUCGAACAGGGAACACUGCAUUAUGUUAUAUAGAAACUUCAUAGGGUUCUGGGCUUCAGAAGGUCUAGUGUAACACCGACAAUUUAAUUAGGCUAGAAACAUAGAAAAUGCAGAGAAGUUUGGAAAAAGAAACCAGCAGUAUGUUCCUUUCAUGACAACCACGAAAGUGACAACCAAUGAGCUCUUGUGGUCAAUCAGGCAAAUGUACAAUAAAAGCUCAAACCAGCAGCAUGUUCCUUUCAAGAGAUUAAAUUGGUAGAGUAAAUCCAGUUAAUACCUUUUAAGAAACACGAUCCUUUUAAGAAACACGAUCAAUGAUCAUGUUGGUGGACCCUUGCCUUUCUCAUGUUGUCAGUAUAUAGUAUAACCAUUAAUAGAAUAAACAGAUACCCAAGAACAAGCUUAAGAGACUGAGUAUUAAGCCAAACAUAGAUAGCAUAUGGCAUCUUCCUUUCAUGAGAUUGAACUGGCCGAGCAAAUCCAGUUUAUACCUUGUAAGAAACACAAUCAAUGAUCACAUGGGUGGACCUUUGCCUUUCUCAAGUUGUCAGUAUAUAGUGCAACCAUUAAUAGAAUAAAUAGAUACACAAGAACCAGCUUAAGAGAUGGAGUAUCAUGCCAAACAUAGACAGCAGAUGGCAUCCUUAUCCAAGCUUAAGCCACUUCUAGCCACUUCCAAUUACUUUAGGAAGUCAUUUCCAUUGCAGCUUAUUUAAGUUGAGUUCUCU